GGUGUUUACGGGUGGACGCAGCUGGGGAUGGGCUAAUUUCCUUGGACUCAAGAAACUCAAGGACCCAUCGGGAGGCUAUGUAGUAGGAUCGAGCUGCGUUGUGAAGGCGGAUCUCACUAUCGUUGGUUCAUCCAAUGAUUGUUAAAUGUUUACCUCAUGGCCUGAUGGAGAGAUAAUGCCCUUACAUCCUACUUAUAACUAGAAUUCUAUUUGAGAUAAUGUUGUGGUAGCACUACUAAAAACUUGUGGGAUGAUUUAGUAGUAAUGAGCUGGAUUUGAGACGUGAGAUGAUUUCACGCAUAUAUUUGUGGAUAUAUGUAUCGAGCAGAUGUCAUGGGAAGUACUUUUUUUUUCUUUUCGAAACAGAGGCAAAGGAUUUGCCUUGCCUCAUCCAUUCAUUAAGGAGAAGAGACUAGUUAAUUAUUGAAAAACCGGGUGAAAAAACAUCACAAACCGCUGAGCGGCACACAGGAUACCACACACACUCUCCAACGAGGGCAUCAUCAAGACCGCAUGUAGACGUCAUCGUCAUCACUUCUCCUCUAGUAGGCCUCAUCGCCAACCCUAAAACACUAAGCAAACGACUCCGACUUUGUCGCAGAUGAUCAUCGACCCAACCCACAUGGAAGAGGCUAUGUGGAGUCACAUGCAGGCCCAUUCCAUAACUCAGCCACCUGCGGCAAGACAGCGCAGCUCCAACUCUGACGGAGAACUACGAAGGAGAAGUAGGCAAGGUUGGCGCCGUGGAGGAUUACCGAACGGACCACCCAUCGCUCGUCAUCGUAUACCACCUGGUCCCGCCACGGCAGCUUAGACUUCACCGCGACAAACAGCCGAGGCAAUCCCACGGACACGUCGGAGAAGAGCCGACAACCUCAACCGACGCCACAUCUCCGACCUCGCUCACCCCCAUUAUUGUUGCCACAGAAGCCUCGACGCGAACACCGACGCCAUCCACUUGUCCUACAUGUCGAUGUCUGGCUCCGAAGACGAAGUCCCGUAGAGGGAAAACGACACCAAGGCGCCGCCAUCGUCCGAUCACUCAGGAUCAAGGGUUUCCCCCAGAGUUGCACCGUCUGCUAGAUCCGUGUGAGAGGUCUGCAACAGCAGAGCAGCAAUGCCUCCAAAAGGUCAACGACAGCCGCAACCACCGCCAUCACUAGUCACGACACAAGGCCGAGACAGGGUUUUCACCCCAGCUCCCAACACACCCUCGACCGCACAUCAAUCUGCACCGACGCCGACAAGCCCACCCAUCACCACCACCACCAACGAACCUGCUCGUGGACGAAAAACCACCAUAGUCGACCACACCACCCGGAGAUUACCGGCGGUCAAACUCCGGCACGAGGCGCCAAAUCCAUCAACUGUCGCCCGGGAGAAGGACCGUUGGAUGCAUCGCAAGCCGCCAUGCCAUACCAAGCACCAUGCCGGCAAGGGGUAUAGGCACGCUGCCCGAGGCCAGGAGCCAUCAUGGAUUCGGGCCGCAGUCAUGCAUCAAGCGCGUCAACAUGCACCAUGCACGCCACAAAGGACCCACCAGAGACCAGAUCUGAAAUGCCCACGGCACGCAACUGCACUACCUCGUCGCCGCAGGCCCCUUGCACACCUUGCUGCCACAGCACCACCAUCACCUUCGAGCCCCUUGCACGCCCAGCGCCCUUGCCACGAUGCCCACACAGCAGAUCCGCGCUGCCUACACCUCCCGCACGCCCAGGACGCCCGUCUGGGCCCACCACGCGCAGAUCCGCGUCCGCUGGAUCCCUCAACGCGCCUCCCCACGUCGGAGCACCAGAUCCGCGCAGGCCGCUAGAAUCCGUGCUCCCCUUACAUCCCUCGCACACGCCUCCCCAUGUCGCGCCUCCCCUUGCCGGUGCUCCAGAUCGCCGCGCUCCUCGAAUCGCCGGGACACGGCCACCCUGAUGCAGCCACGCUGCACCGCCCCUACGCACGCCUCCCAGUGCUAAACCGCGACCACUCCCAACCAGUGUGCGCACUGGUGCGAGGCCAGCGCCCGAGAUCCUGCCGUGGCUAGCAGCCCGUGCUGGCGUAGCACCAACACGAGGAGGAAAUGGCCCGCCGCCGCUGAGCCGCGUAGGCUUUGCCCAGGCAGCAUCCGCCGACAGCAGCGAGGGGAUGAGAAGAGGAAGGGCUUUGACUGGCGGCGACUAGGGUUCACCCCUUGGCCGCCCACGGGAGCGACCUGAGGGGUUGUAUUGUUCCUUCCCCAGGCCCAUUGGAAGUACUUCUAUAUGCAUGGAUGACGCAACUAUGUCGGAUAGCUUGUCUCGCUACAUGGAUGUUUGGUUCAACUAAACCAUGUUAUCUCUCGCUUGGUUUUUGUGCAUCACGGAUGUUCCCAGUUGAUGAAUCAUAUAGUCAUAUGGUUCCAUGUAAAACACUUUGCCUAUAUAAUUUAUUUUGGAGUGAAUUCCACCUUUUACCCUAUAGCUGUACAUUUGUGACACAUAUUACCCCAUUUAGUAGACCUUAUAUUGAAAUAUAAGAUUUUGGAGACUUUUAACAUGGUUCUACCCCAGUUUUUUAAUUUGCUUGUUUAUGCUAGAUAGGAUCGGCAUGUGGCGUCAAUGAUUCGUACAAAAAUGUGUAAAGAUCUGAGGGCAUCAUUGACGAUCAUGUCCAGACUUCUCUUGUCCAUUUGUUCCAUUCCUCGUCGUCGUCUAGAUAUUUUUGGACCCCGGUCGUCACCUCACACCUUGUUUCUUACCUUAUUUUGUUUCUUUUUUCUGUUUGCUUUUUGUUUUUCCUAAAUUCAAAAUUUUCAAAAAAUGUUUAGAAUUUUCUAACAUGUUUGAAAUUCCUAAUUUUGUUCAUGUCUUUAAAAAAAAUCAUAUUUUUCAAAAUUAUUCACGUUUAAAAAAAUGGAAUUCCAAAUUCCAAUAAAAGUUCAAAAUUCCAAUUUUGUUCAUUUUUCAGAAAACAUCAUCUUAAAAUAGUUCACCGUAUUGAAGAAAAAUGUUCAACAUAUAUUGGAAAAUGUUCACUGUUCAUAAAAAAAUGUUCUUCAUGUAUAGAAAUUUUGUUCAGCAUGCAUUUCAAAAAAGUUCAGCAUAUAUUUUAAGAAAUGUUCAGUGUGUAUUUGAAUAAAGUUCACCGUACACUAAGAAAAUGUUCGCAUUUAAGAAAAGAAUAUUCGAAUUUUUUUUAUGAUUUCAAAACAUGUUCGUAUUUCCAAGAAAUUUUGUUCACAUUUUUUCCAAGAAAUAAUGAAAAUUAAAAAAAGGACCUGCCACUUUAAUUGGUACUUUAAACUUUAGGGCUGCUUUUAAGCCGUCGUCAGUGGCUAGCUCGUCUGGCUAGUAUCGUUAGCAUGCAUGGCUAUGUUGGGUUUCGACUCUUGCUACAUGUGGUUUUAUAUUUUUCACGAAAUUCCUGCAUUUGCUCAGCACUUGCAUUGGCCCGGCCCAUUUGGUCGCCACUUUUACCGAAAACUGAACUAUUACGUACAUUCACCUAAAAAAUAUAUUACAUACAUUAAUUGAUAUGUAUACAACAGACGACCGUAUAAUUCAUGAAAAGUCUAUAUUGCCCUUUAUACGUUUUGUGAGGAGGGUGUGCCGAAGCGGGGCUCUUUUAGAGCAAGUUAGUGACACUAACAAUUAAAUAGAACAGAAUCUGAGCAAAUUAUACAAAUAGUUUGAGAGAAGGCAAGCUACUGACCCCUGUUACAAGGCAAGCAAUUCUGUUCAUCCCUUGUUUCUGGGCAUGGACUGGGAUGCCACAUUCUUGAUACAAAUAGUUCGAGAGAAGGCAAGCUACUGACCCCUGCCACAAGGCAAGCAAUUCAGUUCAUCCCUUGUUUCUUGGUGUGGACUGGGAUGCCACAUUCUUGAUACAAAUAGUUUGAGAGAAGGCAAGCUACUUUAUUUAAAUUGGGGUCUAAACUACAAGAUUGUGAUUUUUUUAUUCCAAAAGUUAUGAAAAUCUAUUGCAGCUUCCUAAUAUUAUUGGAAGACUAUUCAUAAAUUUUCAAGAUAUUUCACAAAGCGGAAGUCCCCCAAUUUAAUAUACAUUUAAUCUACCAUUUUAAAGUUACUAAGGGUUGAAAAUUUAUUUCUGGAGUUUUGUCCAUCCACAGUUCAUGAAAAUUUACAGGUAGACUUCUCACGUAUAGGUGAAGCUAUGAUGAAUAUUCCAGGAUUUCUGAAGGACAUACAUUAGUGUAUCGAUUUUCGCGAUGCAUUCUAAAGCAUUUAAGGAGGUUUUGAGUUAUCCUUAAUUUCACAUUUUAAAUUAUAUGUUUAUGCAAUGAUCAUGAUGCCUAUUGCGAAAGAAAACCCUUCGGCGACGAUUGACAGGAGCUCUUAUUCAGCGCCUAUUGCGCCUUAAUGUUGCUAUGGCUCGCAUGUCGAGCAAAAUGGACAUACCCAAAUAACUUGCUCGCACACGUUGUACUCGCUCGGCCAGACUCCCCUCAUUCUGGUUUGCUUUUUUAUUUUUCGCCCAUCUUGUGCUGAGGGUGGUUUGCUGUCUUAAGGAAAAAAAACAGUCAUUUUUUCCGGUAACUUCUAAAGAAAUGGUGAAAUUAAAAAAUGUUCAUAGAUUUUUUAAAAUAAUCACAAAUUUAUUUACUUUCACUAAUUUGAAGAAUAUUCUUGAAUUUAAAAACGUUCACAGAUUCCAAAAAUCUUCACGAAUUGAAAAAGAAAUCAUGAAUUGUUUUUUUGCGAAUAUAAUAAAAUGUUUGUAAAUUUAGAAAAUAUUACAUAUUUUUUAAAAACAUGAGAAUUUGAAAUAAUAUUCAUGAAUUAGAAAAUGUGCGUGAAUUUUAAAAUGUUCAUGAAUUUUGGAAAACAUUUUCAAUCUAAAGAAAAGUUCAUGCAUUCUAUAAAAUCACUAAUUUGAAGAAAAUACAAAUAUACUUAUUUAACAAAAUAAAAUGGUAAAAUGACCUUCGAAAAAACAAAUAAAAUCGGCCGGAAAACCUAGGGAAACUUUUUAGAAUGUUCUCAAAACCAGAAAGCCCACCUAAUAGUCUACAUGGGCCCGCCCGUUAGUCACAGGAGUGGGCCUCCUUUACCGGUAAUGCUCUAUUUUUUGCUAAAAAAAAGUAACGCUCUAUUGAUCCUCAGAAAAGAAACGUAACGUUAUAUUUGGCACCUUGUUACAGAUGGCUUGCCCGGUUAGAUUGGGACUUACCUGGCAAUGCACAAAAAUAGCCUCAAGAAACACCGGCAUGUGGAGAAAUCUGAUACCUCUGUGUGUGUGUGGAAGAGGGGGAUUGGAUACUUUGCCUGCUGCAACAGCUGAUUGGCAUUCAAAAACAGCAUUUUUCAAGAUUUUUUGGUACAUUAGAAACACGAUUCGAGCCUGGUGCAGAUUGCUGGAAAGCUACGCUGAAUCCCUAGUCCUUGAAAAGCAAUCCCAACUGAAGCUCACAUGUGCAAGGGAAGAAAAGAGCAGCUAUGAGUACUCCAUUAAGGCCCUGUUCGACAGUUCUCCGCUCCGCUCCUGGAGCGGCCGGAGCGGAGCGGUCCGCAGCCUAAUUUUUGGGAGUUGACAAACAGGCGCUCCGUGCGCUCCCGUAUUCUGCAGAGCCGGAUGACUGCCGAAUGGGCUCUAAAGCUAAAUAAAUUGCUGGAACGUAAACAGCUCAGGUCGAGCCGGCGCUGUGUUGGAACUUAUGUUGGUUGUGCCGGUGGUGAUUUUUGUGUGUUUGGGAACAGUGAAACGAUUUGGUCCAAUGUUAUGUUCUUAAAUCAAGUUCUACAGAAGGUAAUUUUCUAAGUGAUUUGGCACUGCCUCAUGUGGUGUUCCUGCUUUACAAAAGAUGCUUUUCCACAACAUCCAAGUUUUUUAACACAAGUGGUAGACUAAGCCAAAAGACCACCAUUUCUUUCUUUUAAAAAAAAAACAUGAUACGGGAAACCACAGGAAAAUAAAGAAUCUCCAUUUAACUUAUCAAAGGAAUUGAAGACAGCUCAACAUUAUGUCCUAAGCUUAUUAAUCUGGGUCUUUUUCUUGCGACAAAUUAGAGCAACCACUGAGGACUGAGCAGCCUCAUCUAGCUGCAAAUGCAGCUACCAUCUUUGUGGCAAACCGCAGUUCCGCAGCCCAGUUUUUUGCAGGCAACAACACAGCCUUCAGGCGUACAAUUGUACUGGUAGGCUUCACGGCCAACACAUGCUUUGGCUUCCAGACCUAUGCCAGCAAAAAAAAAGGUGCAUCAGAAUCGAGAGCAGUUCGUAAUUAAACUCAGAUACUAUGAAAACAAUGUAGUGUGCAAAUAUCAGGAUAGAAGUGGCAUGCUUAUACAAAAACAGGCACAGGUCAUCAUUGAAGUUAUGAUGGAAUCAAUAUAUCAGGAUGGAGUCAACAACCACCAUGGCUAGCACUCGAUAGAUCAAUACUACUAGCAAAACCAUUUAUUAAGAUAUGUACCACGGCAGUAAAGGGGUGCUAAUCAUAAAAACACGGGCAAAACAACGGCCAUUGUUAAAAUUUAGACUGUAUAUGUUUGCUGCACGAAGAAUAUCAACUUUGAAGACACCUAAAGCAGCCAAAUGAACCUUUAAACAAAAACAUGGACAGUGACAAAAAUAUCCAGGCCAUGCAAUAGAUUAAGAUUUCUCUGUAAUUCCCAUUUUAGAUUUGGAUCUUUUUCUUAUUUCAAAAUAGUGAAAAAGUUUCAAAUUGAAAUAUUAUUUCCCACGCAUAUCAUUGGAAGCAGUAGAAUCAUGCAAAAGGGAUAAAUAUAUCCCAGAAACCAAAAAUCUCUCUAUAACUCAUAAGCUCUCCUAGAAAUAGAUGCACUACCUAUGUUGCUCUCUGAUACUUGACUCGACAUGCAAGUGGAUGAGAUCAUCAAAAGAGCCAUCAAGCACAGAAACCUUAAGUUGAUUGGAGCCAUGGCAAAGUUCUUACUGUUUCUUUGAUUCCUUCUCCUAUUGUCCUUUUUUGUACUGGGUGUUGUGCUUUCAUUCUGCUGCUGUUUAUAUAGAGGCGCCUUCGAGUGCCAAUUUUUGCAGUUUAAUUACUUCCUGCAUUAGUGUUUCCUUUUUAUGGUUCGCGGUAAUUAAUCAAGAUCCUCCAAUAAUACGCGCAUCAUGGAAUAUCCUGUGGGUAUGAAUUUAUUCGCUACAAAAUAUACCAUACACAACUAAUUAGUAUUCCAUAACAGGAUUAUGUCAGUUAUUGGCUCCUGAAAAUUACCAUACCAAAUUUAUUAGUUUUCCAUGACAACAUUAUGGCAUUUAUUGGUUCCCAAAAAUGACAUACUACAAAUUUGUUUGACAUUCCGCAACAAGAUCGUGCCAUUUACUGUCUCCCACAAAUUACAUACGAAAUUAGUUGGUAUUCCAUAACAAGAUUACGUCAUUUACUGUUUCCCGCAAAUUAAAUACAAAAUUAAUUAGCAUUCUAUAACAAGAUUAUUGCAUUUAUUGGCUUCCAAAUUACAUACACAAUUGAUAAGUAUUUCGCCACGAGAUCAUAAACCGUGUAUCAAAAAUUUGUCAUCUUGAUAGCUUCCAUAUAAAGGAGGAUUACCCCCGGUCUCUGCAGGUUUCCAUAUUUGCUACCUAGAAUUCCUGAUUUAACUUAUAAACCUUGAAGAACCGCUAGGCAGGAUGAAGCCAGCCACGUCGCCUUUAAAUACUCGUGCCACCGUCUGUAAAUUCCUUGUCCUGCCAAGGGCAUUUUAGUCAUUUCACCUUUGGGUAUAAAUCCCAGCAGCUCCCGUGCAAUGUAGAACCCUAGCCGCCUCCCCAUCUGCUGCCCCGCCCGACCCACUCACCCCGCCGCCCCGCCCGUCCCGCUCGCCUCCCCCUCCUCGUCGCGCCCCUCCUUCUCCUCCCAUCGCUGCCCCUCCUCCUCCGCCCCUCCCCCACCCCCUCCCCCCUCCCCAGCAUCUCGUCCGCCCCGGGUGCGGGGGCGAGCUGCUGCACCCACUCCCCUCCUCCAACUCCCCCACCCCUCCUCCAAUGGAGAGAGGCGUCGUGCCUAUUGCCAGGACGGGACAUGGGGGUGGAGGCGAGGGAGAGAGCGGGUGUUGCUGAAGAAGCUGGGGAGGCAAGACGAGGGCGGCGUGGCGUUCCGUGGCCGCGGUGGCCGGAGGGGCGGCUCCACGUCGCGGUGUAUGAGGUGCCUAGAGGAGGAUGCCGCGGCAGGUUAAACUCCUCUCCCGUUGUAGAACAGUCCGCAGUGUCGUCACCGUCGUCCUUGCCUUCGAGCCAUCCGUGACGUCGUCGCCGUCGCCUAGAGGACGCCGGUAGGAAGCAGCAGCUCGCCGUUUCCUUGGUCCCCGCCGACGCCAAGCGAGAAGAGAAGGUGAGAUCGAAUUCGUCUGAUCUUUCUUUUUCCCUGUCCCUCCCAUGGAUUUUCCCGGAUCUUGGUGAGCUCCUCAACCACCAGAUUUUGCGUGUUCUGUGAAUCCAAUCCUUCCGCCUGCAGGGGGUGCUUUGGGGUUUCUGUAGGGACGAGGAGAGGAUUUGUGAUGCGCAUCGCCGCCCCUCACUCUUUCUCUCGACUCAAUCUCAUUUUUUUCUUCUAAACAGUCAAAUUGCCAGUUAGUUUAGCUGUACUGAGCGACAAAGAAAAAUGUGCAGGCUUCUCUUUGUAUCCCAUGCACGUGUGCUGUAGUUGUAGCAAGAAAAUUCUUCGGAUUUCCCUGGCAAUCUGUCAGUUUAGCUUCAGGCAUUCCUUUGUAUCAUUCAGACUUAUAGUAAUUUUUUUACUUUCUGUAGGCACGUGUGCUGUAGGUGUAGCAAAUUGGACAAGCUACACCGCUAAUGCCGGGUGUAUGGAGCUCAGGAAGGCUAUCUGCAACAAGCUUCAGGGUACGUGCACACGGAUGCAUUUCUUAUUUUCAGAAUAUCCAUAUUGAAUAAGUAGUCUAAUUGGCUUCCUUGUUGCUCGGUUAUCGAUAUGCAGAGGAUAAUGGUCUAACCUAUAGCCCAGAUCAUGUGCUAGCGACCAAUGGGGCUAAGCAAUGCACUACACACGCUGUUCUUGAUGUUCUCUCAUGUGGUGAUGAGGUAAAGUUAUCAUCUUUGUAUAUCACAAUUUUUUAGGAUAAACACUUUUCAUUCUAGAUUAGAUAAUACCAUGAAAAUAGCAGCACCAAGUGUUUAUCCUGUAGUCCUUUUUGUUGUUCUUCUUAAAAUUUAGCAAACUGCUUCAUUUUCUUUUAAACUGCAAUUUUUGUUUGGGUCUUCCAUGCUUUGUCAUUAACUCAUGAUGUGGAUGAUGCAGCGCCAUGGAUUAGUCCCUGCUGUAGGAGAGAGAGAAGAUGAGAGGGAGAGAGAGAAGGAAGGAGAGGAGGGAGAAAGAGAGAGGAGAGAGUAGCUGGAGGUGCGUCGACCGGCGUCGGCAUGUGCUGGCAAGGUUGGGCGGGACGGGGCGGUUGGCUGCGGCUCCGUGGUUUCAGAUGGGGCACCGUGGGGAGCCAGGGAGGCGGCUUGGCCCAGCCAUGGCGUUGGUGCUGCGGAGCGCCGCCUCGCGCUACUUCGUCGUCGACACUGCGGGCUUCGCCACCGCCUACGCGAUGCCGCCCCAGGGGGAUCAGCAGCAGCCCCCCUCACUGUAGGGGCCCAGCCAGCAGGUCGGGGCCAAGCUGGGGCCCUGCGCCGAGUGCAGCGCCACCGGCACCAAGAAGUGCUCCGGGUGCAAGCGCAUGCAUAUUGGUGCGCCCCCAUCCCCCGCCCUCGUCCCCCUCCCUAUUUCUUGGUAUGACAUGGUUGUGUGUGUCAUGAUCUUGCAUUGCCGCCGAGUCCAUGCGGAAUCGUGGCGCCCCCUUUCUGUAAUUCGUUGCUUGAUGCGUGCAAUUGUGCCGGGAUCCUCCACCGUUCUUGGCCCUACCCCCGGUGUCCAUGAAUGUUGAUUGUGAUUUCUGUCGUUUCUUGGAUGCUUUGGGAAAUUGGGUCUUACCUUACCCCUGUUGUCCAUUAUUGCAAAAUUGUGAUUUUGCUCUUGCUUCUUGGAUGCUUGGGUAAUUCGGUGUUUAGGUUCAGUGAUUUUAGUGGUUCUUGAGGAUCCAAGACAUACAUAGUAGAUGGGAACCUCUGUUCUUGUGAGAUUAUUGAGUGGUGAUCAUGCGGUUUGGUGUUCUCGUGAGAUAAGUGCCUUCUUGCGGGCCCCUUGCAUCUUAUUUGUGCGAUUUGCUGCCUCGUCUUCUGCUAUGCGUUUGCUCACUGUGUUUGUUCCUAGGUGAGCCUCUCUCUUUUUCCCAUGCUCUUGACCUGCUCGAUAAAAUGCUUGUGUGGCUGCAAGCUAUUUUCUGCCUUGGGUUAGAUUCCUUUUGGUUUUUUGACAAACAUGUGAAUUACUCCUGAGUGAAAAAAUGGAGAAGAGGAGAGGAGGAAUUACUUCGUAUGUUUACGCAGCAUGAAAUUUCUAAAGUUAGUUUACAACUUGUUAGUCAAUUUUGGUUGUCUUGCAAAGUAAAAAAAUCAAGUAAAUAAUUUGCUUAUUCGCUAAGUAAAUUGGUAUUCUAUUCGUUGGGUCCAUCUAAUCACUUUCUCGUGCAUCCAGGUCGGCACUGCUGUUGUCACCGGGCAGAAUGGCCGACUGGCCAUGGGCAGGCUCGGAGCCCUCUGCGAGUAGGUAACUGAAUUUUCUGACCAAGGAGCUUUCUAAACCUGUAAAAAAUCAUUCUGACAGUUGCUGACCGGUAAAUAUGUGGAACUAUUUCAGGUGAAGAAGCUUAAUUUCCAGGGGUAUGAGGUGAUUCUGUUCGCCUCCGGCGCCGUUGGCAUCGGGAGGCAGAGGCUCAAGUACCGAAAGUUCAUCAACAACCAUGUUGCAGAGAGUUUUUUCUCACAGCAGUUUACUGACGGUCAUUGCCUCUUGUUAUCGUCACUGCUUGUGUGCUGAUAAUUCUCCUUGCUUGAAGUAUUGCCGAUCUGCAGAACCCACAGUUGGACCUGGAUGGGAAGGCCUGCGCUGCCGUCGGCCAGAGUGGCCUCAUGGCUAUCUACGAUACACUGUUUAGCCAAGUGGGUUUGCUAACUGUUGUUCUUUCUUUUGUUGUUGUUGUUGUUGUUGUUGUUGUUGAGGUUAACGGUUUCUGACGUUAAACUUACCUUACCGCAGCUUGAUGUGACAUUGUCUCAGCUUCUUGUUAUAGAUCGUGAUUUCCGGGAUCCAAGUUUUGGGCUCCGGCUUCAUGAGACUGAAUUUUGUUCCAGGUAAAACCAGCCAAGCCGGAGAUUGCUACAAUCCUAAUUUCUUUUGCAAUAUAUAGUUGAGAGGACUCGCCCCUGCUACUGUCACUAUGGUUGCUAUUGCCGAUUAUAAAAAUUAUAUUCUUCUAUGCUUUAGUGAAGUUGGGAGGAAAGUGUUGUGGAAAGGCAUAAGCUUUUGUAGUUGUGUUGUUCUUAAUAAUGGCAUUGAAGGCCCAAAAACAUAGAUUUGGACAGGUUUUAUCUAUGUAAAAAACACAAAAGAAGAGCUGCAUGCUAUUUGUUUCUCCUGGAGUUUCUUCUUAUCAAAUAAUUCAAAUCUAAUUUACACUUCAUAAAAUAUUACAUGUCAGACUCUGAAACUUGUUGAAAACAAUGUUUGUUUGGUUGUAGAAAAACAAAGCAGUUUUCUGAACCCUGCUACUAUCACUAUGGUUGCUAUUUUCAUUUUUAUUGCAGAACAGUUCUCUCAUGGUGUUUCUAUUAGCUGCGAGGAACAUUGGGCUAGCUUUUGUCUUGAGUCUCUUAGGUGUUAUUGAGAGGUUGUACUUGCCAGUGAGCUAAAUGGCCCGUUGGAACAAUGUGACUGCUUGUUUGACCUUUUAAAAUGGUUUGGUGGUGCAGAUAAGUUUGGUCACAGCCCAUUGGAUUUAGAUUUUAGGAGCCGUGUGAAACAAUUUCUUAGGUAGGUUUUCUUUUUCUUAGGUAGGGCAUAUAGGUAGCAUGGGAAACAAUUUCUCGAGUAGGUUUAUUUGUUUGUUAUAAUAUUUGGGUACUUAUUUUCGGAUGUUUUUUAGGUUCUCUGUAUAACAUGGUAAAGUUGCUGGUAUGAUUUUGGAAGCAACAGUGAUUUUUUUCUGUCGACUUUGUGGACAGGCUAACAGUGAAAAUUUUAUUUGUAAAAUAUGGCGAUCCCUAUAGUGGUAUUUCUGAAGCUUCGCUAUGCUUGCUUUCCCACCAACAAGCAGUAAUCCAAUCACUGGUGCACCAGGUACUAUAUCAUGUGAGAAAAUCGAACUGCUCAUUAAUAAGACAGGAUUUUCGCUCACAUUUAUCAUGCUUCGCCACUCACAAAUAAAUACUUGGGCAAUUGCUCUGUUUUAUAUUGCGAGCCUUAAUUUGCGAUGGUAGUAGCAUUGUUUGCGUUUAUUUGAAAACCAGCACUGAAUCACCAUUAUGCCUUACAGUUACAGUGGCUCUUUUUUAUAUUGUAUUUGCUGUUAAUAUGGUAUCUUCUAAACUAUGUUACAGAAUUUUCAGUUGUGUUUAUACUACAUUCUUUUAUAAAUUUACAGCGGCCAUCCACCAGGACGAUGCUGACAGCCAAAGAAAGCUCCUUCCCCACCGCUGACAGCCGAAACCGCUCUUGUGCUCAUCAAGGUCCCUUUCACCUCUCUAACCUCUGUGUUAACUCCGUCCGGUUCUAGGCCAAUUAAGGUUUUUUUGUUUUGUUUUUGCUUCCACUCUGUUUGAUUUAAGCGUGGUGGUCAGAUCCUCUUCAGAUGUCCAGUUGAGACACCUACCCAUUUCUUCUCUCUUUUUUCUCUUGAGAGGAGAGGAGAGGAUGCUAACUAGCGAAGUACUAUACUACUACAUUUCAAACCAUAAUAAGGUCCUUCGGUAAAAACAAAACAAGAUUUGCAGCGUCGCAGUAGCAAAAUUCCAGCAUCCACUAGCCACACAAAAAAGUAUGAGAGGAAUUCAAGGAUUAGUUUAUUAUUAACCUAUGUAGUGUAUGCACUGGUAGUUGAUGGAGUUUCAAGCAACAAGCAUGGAGCACCUUCCUCUUUCUAUCAUGUCACUUACCUGAUAAUUUGGUAAUUCUCUCUAUAAUGUCAUUCAUAUACCUGAUAAAGCCAAUUUCUUUGGGGCUCUCUGUCAUUCAUAUGUUCAGUGAUGCAAUCUGAAUUAUUAUGUAGAGGUUACUCCAGUCCUCACUAUUCUUCUAUUUGUCUCUGUUUAGUGUUUUACUUUUUUAUCAGCGGCAUAAUAGAUAACCAUAUCUACAUUUGUCUCUAUUUUCUGUCAGGUUAGUCAAUGUAUAGGACUGCGCUUUUGUGUGUCCUUUCCUUCAAGCUGUCAUUCAGGAGAAGAGAGGAGUGAGGCCUCGAUCCAGACUCAGGAGGAGGAGGAGACGAGGAGCAACACCUAUUUUUAUUGUCCGUCAAGCCCCAUUAUACUUUGCGGUUCCAGCCACCUGAUCACUAACCUGAAUGAGUAAGUAGACCAUUAUAUAUGAUGGUCUUGCUUCCUUUUGUGAUCAUGUAUCUUUGUUAGAUCCGGUGAGAAAAGGCGGCUUCCAAGCAGAGGAUGCGGCAGUGUUGGCCACGUUUGGUUUUCAUAAGCUAAUAAUCUACCCCUUCCUAUCUACUUCCUUUGUGUACCACAUUGUAACUAAUCAUCUAUGUACCAGUAGUAAAGACUUGGGUGUCUGAAUAUUCUCACAAUAGUUGUCUCCCUCUCGCCCUUUGCGCCAUUGGCGCAACGAGUCAUUUAGUUUAUACUAAAAGUUGGGAAAUUUUACAGUGCAUUAUAAUACACCAGAGCACGUGUAUUAAUAUGGGUGAUCUAACGGAUAACAAUAACUGGGCCUUUUUGAGUCCAAAGGUAUUUUCGACCUAAAUUUUUUUGUACUUUUAAUCGGCCAAAUUAGGUCCAGGGGUAUUCUCGUCCUAAAUUUUUCGAUUAAAUUAAUUGCAUUAAUAAAGCACUUCAUUAUAGAGGUCCCAUCAUCGUGCGUACUCUUUUGAAUUUUGGUUCAAGCGGUUCGUCCUCUCUCCUCCUCUCGAGCCCUAACCUCGGCCCCCUCGAUCGCCGCCGAUCGCCUCCGGCGCCCUCGAUCGCCGCCAAUCGCCUCUGGCGCCCUCGAUCGCCGCCGAUCGCCCCCGGCGCCCUCGAUCGCCGCCUAUCGCACCCGCCGUGUCUACCCCUCCUGCUCCUACUCCCCCUCCCCCCUCCAUCGCAAGUCACCCCACUCAGGUCGCUGCGCCAGAUCUUCCGACGAGCCGCUAAUCCACUCCUUUGCCGAGCGGACGCCACCUUCCCCGACCCGAGAGGCCACAUCAUCCUCAUCGACGUGCAUCAACUUUUUCAUGCCGGAUCUUUGCUGUAAGUGCCUAGCCAUCUCAAAUCUUUUCUGGUCCCUUCUGCAUAUAGCACCAAUAGGGGUCGGAUUUGAUUCUGGUUUAGGAUAUGUCAUGUGAGGUUUAGGGUUUAUCGUUUCAGAAAGUUGUGACGAGAUUUCGAUCGGAUUUGGUUAGGGUUUAGGAUAUGUCAUGUGAGGAUUAGGGUUUAUGUUUUCAGAAAGUUGUGACGAGAUUACGAUUGAAAGGAAGUGUAAGUUGGAUGUAGCUAGGACAUAUUGAAGGACUUAGUUAGGGUUAUGUGGCAUGAGAAAGUUGUCAGCAGAUUUGGAUUCAAAGAAAGUUAUUUUGGAUUUAGUUAGGAUAUACUUUUGAAUUGAGUUUUGAGAUAUUUUGGAUUUAGUUAGGAGAUAAUUAUUUUCUAUGGAGUUUGGACUUAUUUUGGAUUUAGUUAGGAGAUAAUUUGGAUUUAGUUAGGAGAUACUUUUGGAUUUUGUUAGGAGAUAAUUUGGAUUUAGUUAGGAGACAAUUUUGAAUGGAGUUUGGAGAUAAUUGAUCUAUCAGGGUGGAUCUAUCAAGGCAUUUGAAGGACUCGUGGACUUUGGAUUUAGUUAGGAGAUCAUCACUUAGAGCUAGUACAAUCAAUUACAAAUUUCUAGAUUUAGUCAGGGCAUAUUUACUUACAGCUUUUGAAGGGCUGAGUUAGGUACAUGAAUCCGAUAUGAAAAAUUAAAUCAAUUAUUUAAGCAGAGUAGUGCAUAAUUUCGGUAACGUAUGCUAUCCAUCCGUAACAUUGACUAUCUGUUUUCGCUGGCAGCAUAACGACAUGGAUGAUAAAGGCAACGAUGGCAAAAACUUGGGUGAUACAGGCAAGGAUGACAAGGACAUUUGUCAUAGAGGCAACGAAGGCAAAGGCAUGGAUGAUAAGGACAAUGAUUUCAUAGCCAUGGACCCCAAAGGAAUGGAUGGUAUGUGCAUGGAUGAUAAGGACAAUGAGGAUGCAAGCAAGGAUGGCAUAGACAUGGAUGAUGUACACAUGCAAGGUAAAGGAAUUGAUAAUAAAGGCAUGGCUGGUUCAGACCUGAAUGAGUGUGUGGAAUACUUAGAGAUUGUGAAGAAGAUUUUCAGGACUGAGGAAGAAGCCUACAUGUUCUACGUAGGCUAUGCGAGAAAAAAGGGUUUGGUGUUAGAAAGGAUGAUCUGAAGUACAGGGGUCCGGGUCCGAAACAAAAUGCAUACAGAAGGACAUACAAGUGCUUCAAACAAGGAUGGCGGGCCCUUAAGCACUUUAACGGAGCUGAAAGAAAAAGAACACCGAGGGGUCUUUCUCGGUGUGGGUGUCCCGCUCUUUUUCAGGUUGAGCCACAAGAUAGCAGUGGCCUCUGGUUCGUCAAGAAUUUUAUGGACAAGCUUAACCAUCUGUUUGUCCCUGCUGACCUGACUCCGUACUUAUCGGCUCAUCGUAGAAAGACUGACGCACAAAAGGCUGAUGUCAUCGAGUAUGCUAUCGGUGGACUUCGAACACAUCAGAUUAUGAAUGUAAUGGAGAAGAAUGCCGGAGGUCCCGACAAGCUUGGAUUUAUAGAUCGAGAUCUAUACAACCAUGUUUCAAUCAAGAAGAAGCGCAAGAUAGAAGGCAGUGACACUAGAUAUUUGCUCACCUAUAUGAUUGCACAGAAAAAAGCAGACCCGGAAUUCUUUUUCAAAUACACAAAAGACAGCGAAGGCUAUUUGAGGAACAUAUUCUGGGCUGAUUCACAAUCCAGGAUUGACUAUGUUGCCUUUGGUGGUGUCGUGGUGUUCGACGGUACAUAUCGGUCUAACAAGUACAUGCACGUGGCAUAUCGAGGAGAAUAUGGUGAUCCACCUCCGCAAGAAAAAGCUUGAGGAAUUUAGGGAAUUCAUUUACCGUCGUUGGGAUGUUGAUGAGUUUGAGAAAAGAUGGGAGGCUUAUAAGGUUAGGUUCAAAAUAAAACCAACAGGCAAGAUGUCAUCAUGGGUUAAUAGGAUGUACGAGCUGCGACACAAAUGGGCUGCUGCAUACACAAAGGGUAGAUAUUUCCUAGGCAUGAUGAGUAAUCAGAGGAGUGAGUCUCUCAACUCAAGGCGUCAUGUGCACAUGAACAGGAAGAUGCAGCUUGUUGAUUUGUUGUAGCAUGUUGAGCACUGUGUAUCCAUAAUGCGUAAGAAUGAAGCAGCAUUAGACGCAGUGGCGACACAUACGAUACCCUUCACUAAGCUGAAUGCACACCCUCUAGAGAUUGCUUCCUCUUAUAUUUAUACAACUGUGAUGUUUCCACGGGCAAAGCGUCAGAUUGUCGAAGGAACAAAUUAGCAGGUCACAGACCGGGUAGCGUGUGAUGGUUUGGUCGUGUUUGGAGUUUUGCGCAAAGUCCCAUAUGGGAGGGAUGCUAGAGAAUUGCAAGGUAAGGACGGUAAUGACUCGGAUGCUAAGGUUCCUACAGAAUUGGAAGGUAAGGAUGCUGAGGACUUGCAUGCAAAAAACUUGGAUGUUGAGGAUCCCAAUGACUUGGAAGGUAAGGAUGGUGUGGACUUGCAUGCAAAAAACCUGGAUGCUAAGGAUCCCAAUGACUUGGAAGGUAAGGACAGUGAGGAGUUGGAUGCAAAAAAGUUGGAUGCACAAGGCGUGGAUGCUAAGCCUGUGGAUUUUAUAUAUCACGUGACUUGUCUAUUUACAGGAGCAAGACUGGACGCUGCAGCUUGUAAAUGUAAAAAGUUGGAAAGUCAGGAUUACCCAUGUGCACAUAUAUUCUGUGUUCUGGAUCAUCUUGGUGUACGCACAUUUCCAAAAAAAAAUGUGAAGAAAAGAUGGACAAUGCAUGCCAAGCCAGCAUUCCCUUCCUCGAGGACUGCAAAUACUCAUGUAUGGUCUGAUCACAUGAAUAAGUAUCAUCAACUACGCAACAUGUCUAGUGACGCUUUAUUCACAGCCGCAGCUAGCGAUUCACAGUCAGAACAGGUGAUGGAGCUCCUCCGGAGUAUAUUGGUUGAUGGAGAAAAAACUGAUUUGGAUGAAGGCCAGAAAUCGUUUGUUCCUUUGCCAACAUACUUCUCUACUGCUUGCGAAUCCUGCACUGAUGACGUGGAAAAUCCAAUCAAAAUAAUUCCAAAAGGGAGACCAACUACCGAAGAAUCGAACAAGAGGAUUAAAUCCAGGCGCGAGCGGAUGAGAGGGAAAAAUAGCAACGAAGUUAGUGCACAUGUUAAUCUCAUUGUUCAUUUCCAUACAUGCUUACAGAGUUAAUAUGUUCUCCGGGAGAGUGUUCACAUAUUUUCCUUCAAUUUAAGCAGGAAAAAAUCGGGGAAAUCAAAGGUCACAAGGAGGAAGAAGCGAAAAGAGAAAGACUCAAAGACAGAAGAAGACACAGAGUCAGAUACAGAAGAAGAGGAAGCUUCUAAAAAAGCAACAAAGUUAGCGCACAUGUUAAUCUCAUUGUUCAUUUCCAUACAUGCUUAAAGUGUUAAUGUGUUCUCCGGGAGAGUGUUCACAUGUUUUCCUUCAAUUUACGCAGGAAAAAAUCAGGGAAAUCAAAGGUCACAAGGAGGAAGAAGCGAAAAGAGAAAGACUCGGAGACAGAAGAAGACACAGAGUCAGAUACAGAAGAAGAGGAAGCUCGAAAAAAAGCAACGAAGUUAGUGCACAUGUUAAUCUCAUUGUUCAUUUCCAUACAUGCUUACAGUGCUAAUAUGUUCUCCCGAAGAGUGUUCACAUGUUUUUCUUCCAUUUAUGCAGGAAAAAAGCGGGGAAAUCAAUGGUCACAAGGAGGAGGAAGCAAAAAGAAGCGACAGAGUCAGAUACAGAAGAAGAGACAGACGCAGAUACAAAAGAAGAGGAAGAUUCAGGUACAGAAGAAGAGGAAGAUUCAGAUGUAGAAGAAGAGGGAGAUUCAGCUGCAGAAGAAGGGGAAGAUUCAGCUGCACAAGAAGAGGAAGAUUCAGAUGCAGAAGAAGAGGAAGAUUCAGAUGCAGAAGAUGGUGGGCUGAGGAGGGCUAGGAAGAGACCAUUGGAGGUUGCAGAAGACGAUUAUGCAAAACCAAACAAGUGGGCAUUACCACAAUUGUGCAUACUUCAACAUGUUUUCGGAUGCUGGCUGCAGAUUCAUCUAUUUCAUUUUUUUAGGAAACGCAAGGGCGCUCCAAAUGUCAAAGCUGGGAGGAAUAAAAAUAACAAUGACAAGGGUGCGCGAGGAAAACCAGUGAAGUUAAUGUCUGUACUUACAUGUCCGCUCUACAACUCAGGUCUUUGCUAGUACUAUGUUGACGUUUCUUCACUUUUCCAGGAAAUACUCUAGGAAGGGCGGUAAAGAACAGGUGAAAGGGGUGAUGAAGACAAAAAGGCCUGCUAGGAAUGUACCAAAGGCUGAGUGAAUAAGAGCUGUCAAGUAAGCUUCUGCAGCUAUGAAGAGAAAAUCAGUGAAGUUAGUGUUUUUUGUGUUCAAGUGUACUGUACAUGCUCAAAUCUUCUUUGCUAUCCUAUUAACAAACGUUGUUUCAUGCAGGAAAGCUAAAGUGAAGUCGAGAGAGGAUGUUUAGAUGCAUAGGGUCAGGCAGAUGAAACAAAAGGAUUUCUGGGGUCAAAAAAAUUAGAACAAACUGAAUUGUUUCCGUGCCAUGAUCCACCUUGUUUAUGAUGUAUUAGACCUAUUUGAUGGACUGCCACUAUUUUUCUGAAUACCUCGUUUGAUUGGUACACCCUCAUUUUAUUAUGGACAGGUUGACAUGGUCGGCUAGUUAUGAUUUAUCAACAUCUAUCAAACAAUGCAUUUUUAGUGAAGUUGGUUUUCUGUAUUUUUUUCAUUUUCUAUAUAAUAUAGGGACAAUUGCAUUUUUGCCCCUAGUUGGUUCCUACCCACGGGUUUUGCCCUUACUUUUCGAGCUUGCUCAGUUUUGCCCUUACUUUUUCCGUCGUGGUCCCUCGAAUGCCCUUUGACCGUUUGACCAGAAGUUUGAAAAUUCAUAACUAAUUCAUAUGAACUCAGAAAAAUGCAAAUAAGAUAUCAAAAUGUUCAGAUAAACAUUACCUUUAUGUGCAUAUCAUUUGCAUUCAGGACAAAAGCACCCUUUAAACUACCUAAGGUAAUUAAUGUUAUUAACAUUAUUAAAAAUAAAAAGGUAUAAACAAUAUUUUUUCAUGAAUAAAAAUUACAUGCAAAUGUAAGUGAUGUUUUCUGAACAUCCAGAUAUCUUAUUUUCAUUUUUUGAGUUCAUAUCAUCUUGUUAUGAAUGUUCUAACGACUUUGACCAUUAUUUGGAAACUUCAUAACAAGUUGAUACGAACUCAGAAAAAUGCAAAUAAGAUAUCAGGAUGUUCAGAAAACAUCACCUACAUUUGCAUGUAAUUUUUAUUCAUGAAAAAAAUAUUGUUUAUACCUUUUUAUUUUUAAUAAUGUUAAUAACAUUAACUACCUCAGGUAGUUUAAACGAUGCUUUUGUCCUGAAUGAAAAUGAUAUGCACAUAAAGGUAAUGUUUAUCUGAACAUUUUGAUAUCUUAUUUGCAUUUUUCUGUGUUCAUAUGAAUUAGUUAUGAAUUUUCAAAGUUUUGGUCAAACGGUCAAAGGGCAUUCGAGGGACCUCGACGGAAAAAGUAAGGGCAAAACUGAGCAAGCUCGAAAAGUAAGGGCAAAACCCGUGGGUCGGAACCAACUAGGGGUAAAAAUGCAAUUGUCCCUAUAAUAUAUUGCUGAAAUUUGUUAAAAGUGUAGGUAAAUUUCAUACUUGAAAUAUAAAAUACAAACCGAUUCCUCAGAAACCUACUUGAAAUCAAAAUAGAAACCUCGUUUUCAAAUAACCUUGAAAAUCGUAUAUUUUGAAAUAGUAAAUAAGGAUACUGAUAUUUAAAAAAUAGCAUUCUCAUUUGAAAAAAAGCAUGUUCAUUUGAAGAUAGAAUGAAUAUGCAGAUUUAAAAGUAGCAUGCUGCUUUGAAUAUGCUGUUUUUAAAAUACCAUGCUAUUUUAAAAAUAGCAUGCUAAUUUUAAAAAUAUAAUGCUGAUUUUAAAAAUGGCAUGUUGAUUUUAAAAAUAUUAUGCUGUUUUUUAAAACAAGCAUGCUGAUUUCAAAAAUAGCAUGCUACUUUUGAAAAUAUAAUGCUCUUUUCAAUAUGCUACUUUUAAAAUAGCAUGCUAAUUUUAAAAAUAUAAUGCUUCAAAAAUAGCAUGCUAAUUUCAAAAUAAUGAUGCUGAUUUUAAAAACAGCAUGCUACUUUUAAAAAUAUAAUGCUCUUUUCAAUAUGCUACUUUUAAAAUAGCAUGCUGAUUUUCAUGUUGUUUUGAAUAUGUUGUUUUUAAAAAUAGCAUGCUGAUUUCAAAAUAACAUCCUGAUUUUUAAAAUAUAAUGUUGUUUUUAAUAUGUUGUUUUUAAAAUAGCAUGCUGAUUUUAAAAAUAUAAUGCUGAUUUUACAAAUAGCAUGUUGAUUUUAAAAAUAUUAUGUUGUUUUCAAUAUGCUGUUUUUUAAAACAAGCAUGCUGAUUUAAAAAAUAGCAUGCUACUUUUGAAAAUAUAAUGCUCUUUUCAAUAUGCUACUUUUAAAAUAGCAUGCUAAUUUUAAAAAUAUAAUGCUUCAAAAAUAGCAUGCUAAUUUCAAAAUAAUGAUGCUGAUUUUAAAAAUAGCAUGCUACUUUUAAAAAUAUAAUGCUCUUUUCAAUAUGCUACUUUUAAAAUAGCAUGCUGAUUUUCAUGUUGUUUUGAAUAUGUUGUUUUUAAAAAUAGCAUGCUUGUCAGAGUAAUGGGCCAUGGGUAGCCUAACCCGAGUCCCAGAACCUUUCAAAACAUCGGGGCCGGCUGCGCCCCUCAAGACGUGAAGUUGGAGCGCCGCCUUCAGGUCGCCGGCUGGCCGAACGGCCGACUGCCAGAAGACGACCAUGCUCAGGAAGGCGGCUCUAAGACGGGCUGACUCCUAGCAGGCGGCCUCAAGAGAGGCCGGCUCCGAGCAGUCGGCCCAUGGCGCCCUCAAAGUCUGCGCCCCCAUUAAGAAGACAAGACAGGGUGAGGUUGCAGUAUAACUCGUUCCCUCGUAUCCAGGGCCGGGCGUGGCCAUAGUGCUCCGUACAAGCGGAGAUCUCUGCCUGGCGCGGCACUGUUGCCACUCCGCCCCUGACAUCAGUCCUGUCAGGCGAAGCCCUGUUCCCACGACCGCCUGUCGGUACGGCCCGAAGACGGCGGGCCCUACCGGUUAGCGAGAGCCCGGAAGACGGCGGGAGCCUCACCAGUCGGACUCGAGGGAGGCCGGCUCCCAGCAGACGGCCCGUUCCUUCCUCGGGGCCCCACGCGCCAUCAACCAGAUAACACGCGGAGUGGCUACAGUGAUCUCCCACCAGGCGGCGAAACUGUAGUCACGCCCCCCUGACCAAGCCUGCGUCAUUAGCAUCACGGCUACAGUAAUCAGCAGUCGGCAAGACCCCCGCGCGGCGGGGGCGGCCUGUCGGCUCCGUACCAGACCAGUCGGCGUGGCGCACCAGGCGGCGGGCCCCGGCAGUCGGCGGAGAAGCCGCCGACCAAAGAGACUAAUAGCCAGGUCCCACACCCGACCAGAUUACCAUUGUACCCCUAGGGGGUAGGCUUAUAUAAACCCCCAGGGCACCCAUGCAAAUGGUUCCAACCUGUUAGAAUUAGACUCACACCUAGGGGGAGAGGAGAGCAAGCCUUGCCUUCUUCUACCUCUAGCAUACAGCUCGAGGAGCACCAUUGUACUCACUAGUGCCUUAGUGAUCAUGCGGAGACCCCGCAGAGCAGGACUAGGGGUGUUAUCUCCUAGGAGAGCCCCGAACCUGGGUAAAGUGCGCCAGCGUUCGUGUCUACGCCUCAUCCCACUUCCAGGCACAGGAAACGGUGAACAUGAUAUACGCAACCCACAUUCCCAAGAGGGAACGGAAGCGUGCACUAAGGGACGUCUAUGUGAUGGAGCCAGUCGCCCCAAAGUUCAACCCAUGGUCCUCUUGUCCGAUCACCUUCGAUCGCAGGGACCACCCCACUACUAUCCGUCAUGGCAGAUCUGCUGCAUUGGUCCUUGACCCCAUCAUCGACGGAUUUCACCUCACUAGAGUCCUUAUGGACGGCGGCAGCAGCCUGAACCUGCUCUAUCAGGAUACAGUGCGCAAAAUGGGUAUAGACCCCUCGAGGAUCAAACCCACUAAAACCACCUUUAAAGGUGUCAUCCCAUGUGUAGAGGCCCAUUGCACGGGCUCAAUUACACUGGAAGUGGUCUUCGGAUCUCCAGACAACUUCCGAAGCGAGGAGUUAAUCUUCGAUAUCGUCCCGUUCCGCAGUGGCUAUCACGCACUGCUCGGGCGAACUGCAUUUGCCAGAUUCAAUGCGGUACCGCACUAUGCAUACCUCAAGCUCAAAAUGCCAGGACCUCAUGGGGUUAUAAUAGUCAAUGGAAACACAGAACGCUCGCUCCGCACGGAGGAGCACACUGCGGCCCUCGCAGCAGAGGCACAAAGUAGCUUUUUAAGGCAAACCGCCAAUUCGGCGAUAAAGCCCCCAAAUACCUUCAAGCGAGUCCGGAGUAACCUGCAGCAGGAUCGCCUGGCACAUUCAGAGCUCGCCUAGCUAUUCAGCCCCCGUCCUAGUCCCAGUCAAGCGACGAAAUCUGUGCCGCGCGUACAUAAUUACGCACUAAAAAUACCAUGGGCAUAGGCGGGGGCACGACCAGGGCACGUCCCACAAUGCGGCUCAACCGCCCCAGGGGCUGUAUACCUUUAUCAUUUUCUCUCUUUCAGGACAUUACUCUCUAGAAGCCCUUUUCGGCAGUCUGAUUGCUGGACACAUUACAGGAAGGAACAACCAAGGAGGCAAGAAGCUAAGACGUACAAGGGAAUCCCCAGGUGGUCUCUGAUAACAAUCGAAGUACCCGUUUUAAAUACCCAUACUCAGCUUGCCCUUGGAUAGGACAUGUCAAAUAGUCCUAUUUUUUUCUUAUUGCACUACUUGUAUCAGUACGCUUCGACGUAUUAUUUAAAUAACAAUGCAUAGCAUUAGUCUAUUAUUGCAUUACCCUUCCUUUUUUCCUUGUCUGUUUAUUUACAACAAAUUGCACCCGUACAUUCUGGUACGACGAGUACGCCAGGGGCUUCAGUAUACCCCAUAAUACGGCGUGAGAAGUCCGAACACUUUCGAUAGUGCGGCACCCUGAACUUAUAUCAUUAUAUGCAUCAGCUCCGAAUCAUGUCUUGGGUCAAUAGUUGGGUUUGCCCGGCUCCCAUGUUUUAGUACCUUACGUUCCGCAAUAUCGGCUAAGGUAGCGCUGGGAGAACUACUGCGAUUGUGUCCCGGUUCUUCCGGACGAGCACCUCAGUAGAGAAAGCCGAAAACUGACUGUCAUGAUAAGGCGAGAGCUGGUCGCUGUUCGAGAGGUCUCAAGUCCUUAAAGACUUUUUCCGCUUCGGGCGAGGAGUCGACCUUGCCCGACUUAGGCGUAUAUAGCGCCCCAAAUUCGGCCUUCCGAAUACUAGGGGCUUCACCAAAAUUUAAAAUUGUAGACUUCUAUGGCUAAGUGAGAGUGAUAAAGCCUUAUAGUCCGAUUGCCUGGUUCGUUGUGCUGAACACCUCCCUCGAAGGACCCAAAAUUGGGAUAAAGAGUGCUCAGGUUUAUCCCGAACACCCCAGUACUAGUUACAUGGGGGCAGAAGCCGACAACUGGCCAACUCUCAGAUUUAAUAAACGGCCGCACAAAAGGUAAUAUUUUAAAUUCACAAGCGUUGCAUAGCGCAAAUGAACUCGUUUCAUAUUACAGGAUCACAUAAGUAUAUAUUCAUUCGAAUAUUACAUCCUUAGCACAUUCCUCCGCCACAAGGCGAGAACCCUUCAGGACACUGUUAUAAUACAUUUCGGGGUGGCGAUGCUCCUCGCCUUCCGGCAGCCCCUCCUUCACCAGCUUCUCGGCGUCCAGCUUCGCCCAGUGCACCUUUGCCUAGGUAAAAGCCCUGCGCGCACCCUCGAUGCAGACGGACCGCUUUAUGACUUCAAGCCGUGGGCAGGCAUUCACAAGCCGUCUCACUACGAUGAAGUAGCUAUCAGGCAAGGGAUCGCCAGGCCAUAUCCUGACUAUAAGACCCUUCAUGGCCUGUUCGGACGCCUUGUGGAGCUCGACCAGUUGCUUUAGCUGGUCGCUCAAGGGCAUGGGGUGUUCGGUCCCAGUAUACUGAGACCAGAACAACUUCUCCGUCGAGCUCCCCUCCUCGGCCCGGUGGAACUCCGCGGCAUCUGACACACUGCGGGGUUGAUCUGCGAACGCUCCUGGAGAGCUCCGAACUCGGGUAAGUAAAAGGAAAUUUUCUUUCACAUGCUUGCUUUGCAUAAUGAAUGCCUUACCCGCCGCUAUCUUCUUAACCGCCUCAAUUUCCUGGAGGGCCUUUUGGGCUUCGGCCUUGGCAUGCUGUGCACUUUCGAGGGCCUUCGCAAGCUCGGACCCUUGCGUCUUAGAGUCACGCUCCAAGGACUCAUGCUUUUGGACGAGGGCCUAGAGCUCUUGCUGCACCUCACCUACUCGGGCCUCUUGUUUCUCUCGCUCGAUGCGCUCCUUGGCCGCCUUGUCCUCGGCCUCGGACAGCGCCUUCUUCAGGGUCGCCACUUCAGUCGCGGCCCCUAGCAAAAUUCAUGACGAUCCUAUGAUCUAAGCAACCACUCUUGUUUUUUCUUAUCAUUAUACAGACGGGGUAUCACCUACCUUUGUUCUCUUCGAGCUGCCUCUUGGUAAGGCUGAGCUCUUCCUUGGACCGCUCAAGGUCCCUCUUCAGUGCGGCGACCUCCGCAGUACGUGCGGCAGCGGCCAGCAGUGAAGCCUGCAUAUGCACAUAGGCAUAUUUUGAUUAGACUCCUGCGAUUAUUAUUUGAUCCUCUAUUCGGCUUUUCUUCGCGAACGUCAAACAGAGCAUCAGGGGCUACUGUCUAUGACAUAAAUUUCUUAUAAUUUGGUUACUUACCUCAAAGCCUGUUAGGAGGCUGGCACAGGCUUCAGUCAGUCCGCUUUUGGCGGACUGAACCUUCUUGACCACCGCACUCAUGAUAGUACGGUGCUCUUCAUCAAUGGAAGCGCCGCGAAGCGCUGCCAGCAAGUUGUCCGAUGCCUCUGGAUGGACAGAGGUCAUCGGCACAGAUGGCUCGCCCCCCUUAGCGAGGGGUCGCCCGACGGAGUCCGGAACCACUGGAGGUUCCGGCACAGUAUUCGGCUGGGGGCCAAAUUUGUUGCCCCCGCCAUUAGAGCCCUUGGGAGUCUUGUUCGCCAUGCGCCCAGUGUCCGGGAUGUCGCCUUGGGGCGCCUCCAAGACUAUCUCCCAUUGAGCUACUACCCUUCGAGACAACACCUCGGCGUCGUCCGUAGGGCGGGGGGAGGUGGCGGUCGGGAGUGAAUCGCUGUUCAUCGCCAACGGAUACAAAGACCCAUCCGAAGAGGAUACGUCAAUAUGGGCCUUGGAGGGACUGCAUGAUCAUGUUCGGCAUGAUAAGGAGCAAUAAAAUGAAACAUACCAAAACUAUUAUGGUAUCCGGAUACUUACGACUUCGCCAGGGGCUUGUCCCUAGGCAACCACUCCUCUUCGCUGAAGGCGGCGGCGGUGGAGUUGUCCGGAAGGAGGGUUCUUCCCUUCUUGGACCCUUCGGCCGCCCUGGACGGGGCGGCCUUCCUUUUCUUGUUUCCCCCGGCUGGGGGGGGGGGAGAACUUUCCUCUUCCUCCUCCUCGUUUUCGCGGGAGGAGUGCGCCUCGGUGCUUUCGGACGAUGAGUCUGAUAUAACCUUGUGCCGGAGACCCUUCCUGGUUCCCGUGGCCUUCUUCUUGGCCUUCUUCUCCGGCACCUCAUAAGGUGCCGGAACCAGCAUCUCCGUUAGGAGAGCAUCUGCUGGAUCUUUGGGCAGGGGAGCCGGACAAUCGAUCCGCUCCGAUGUCGCUACCCAGUCCUGUUAAACGGCGUGGAGGCUUAGAUCCCGCGUGUAGUUAUACUGGGGAAAUGAACAUCUUAUAAGAGAUAAAAGACUUACCGGAUUCGCAGGGCGCUUUGCGCUGAGUCCGCGGUCCUCGGUAAGGGGAGGAGGUACCUCGGCGCCCUCGAACAGCACCUUCCAGACGUCCUAGUGCGUCGUGUCGAAGAGCUCUCGCAGCGUCUGGUGCUCGGCCGGGUCAAACUCCCACAAGGUGAAUGCCCGUCUUUGACACGGGAGGAUCCGGCGGAAGAGCAUGACUUGGACCAUGUUGACGAGCUUGAUUUUCUUGCUCAUCAUGUUUUUGAUGCAUGUCUGGAGUCCGGUCAGCUCUACCAGGGAACCCCUAGGACAGGCCCUUCUCUUUCCAGGAGGUGAGCCGCAUGGGGAUUCCGGAUCGAAAUUUGGGGGCCGCCACCCAGUUGGUGUCGCGCGGCUCGGUGAUGUAGAACCACCCCGAUUGCCACCCCUUUAUGGUCUCCACAUAGGAGCCUUCGAGCCAGGUGACGUUGGGCAUUUUUCCCACCAUGGCGCCUCCGCACUCCGCUUGUUGGCCGACCACCACCUUCGGUUUAACAUUGAAGGUAUUCAGCCACAGGCCGAAGUGUGGCUUGAUGCGGAGGAAGGCCUCGCACACGACGAUAAAGGCCGAGAUGUUGAGGAUGAAAUUUGGGGCUAGGUCGUGAAAGUCCAGCCCGUAGUAGAACAUGAGCCCGCGGGCAAACGGGUGGAGGGGAAAUCCCAGUCCGCGGACGAAGUGGGUAAGGAAAACCACCCUCUCAUGGGGUUCUGGAGUAGGGAUGAUCUGCCCCGCAUCUGGCAGCCGGUGCGCGAUAUCCACGGCCAAGUAUCCGGCUCCCCGCAGCUUUGUGAUGUUCUCCUCCGUAACGGAGGAGACCAUCCACUUGCCUCCCGCUCCGGACAUGCUUGGAGUGGUUUGAGGAGAAAAACGGGAACUUGGGCGCUGGAGCUCGAGUGCGCAAGAAUGGAUGAGCAAGGAGGAAGAAGGCGUGGGUGAAAAGGGUGAAUCCUUGUCCCUUUAUAAGGGCGGAAGAAGCUAUGCGCCUCCCCACCUACUUGGUAAAAUCGCUUAUUCCCGAAGCGCCGUAAUUGAUGGCGCGGUUGGGUUACCCACACCCGUAUUGAUGAGAAUCCCGUGAUAAGGGGACACGAUCUCUGCUUCGACAAGACAUGCCAAGGAAACCGCCUCGCAAUAUGUGCAGUGGCUGGUUGUGAAAAACGGUUCGAAUAAUGACCGGGCCGUGGUGUGAUGUCAUGCUGCAAAAUGCGUCAGCAGAUUAGAUUUGUGGAAAUGUUAUUCUCUCUACGGUGGUAUGUGGAAUUUGUUUUGCAGAGCCGGACACUAUCCUUGUGUUCAAAAUCUUCUAUGGAGUAUUCGGAGGAGGAACCCGCCUUGCAAUGCCGAAGACAAUCUGCGUGCCGGACUCAUCAUCAUUGAAGGCUGGUUCAGGGGCUACUGAGGGAGUCCUGAAUUAGGGGGUCCUCAGACAGCCGGACUAUAUCCUUUGGUCGGACUGUUGGACUAUGAAGAUACAAGAUUGAAGACUUCGUCCCAUGUCCGGAUGGGACUCUCCUUGGCGUGGAAGGCAAGCUUGGCAAUACGGAUAUGUAGAUCUCCUCCCUUGUAACCAACUCCGUGUAACCCUAGCCCCCUCCGGUGUCUAUAUAAACCAGAGGGUUUAGUCCAUAGGACAACAACAAUCGUACCAUUGGCUAGCUUCUAGGGUUUAGCCUCUACGAUCUCGUGGUAGAUCAACUCUUGUAAUACUCAUAUCAUCAAGAUCAAUCAAGCAUGAAGUAGGGUAUUACCUCCAUCGAGAGGGCCCGAACCUGGGUAAAUAUUGUGUCCCCCGCCUCCUGUUACCAUCCGCCAUAGACGCACAGUUCGGGACCCCCUACCCGAGAUCCGCCGGUUUUGACACCGACAGCCACCACCAGCCGGGUGGUCAGCACAGUCAUAGUGGUGGAACGCAAGGAAGAAGGCAAAGCACUACCAGUACAGAGGCCGGUGUAUUACUUAAGUGAAGUGCUGUCCGCCUCCAAGCAAAACUACCCCACUACCAAAAGAUGUGCUACGGCGUGCACUUUGCCGCCAAGAAACUGAAGCCAUACUUCCAAGAGCACCCAAUCACUGUGGUCUGCACAGCUCCACUUGCCGAGAUCAUUGGAAGCCGAGAUGCCUCAGGCCGAGUGGCCAAAUGGGCCAUAGAUUUGGCCCCCUACACCAUCUACUACCAGCCUCGCACCGCCAUCAAGUCACAAGCACUGGCCGACUUCCUCGUCGACUGGGCCGAGACCCAGUACCUGCCGCCAGCGCCAGAUUCCACUCAUUGGCGAAUGCACUUUGAUGGUUCCAAGAUGCGCACCGGUUUGGGAGCCGGCAUCGUCCUCACCUCUCCCAAAGGCGACAAGCUCAGAUAUGUGCUGCAAGUCCAUUUUGCCGCCUCUAACAACGUUGCUGAAUACGAAGCACUCAUUCACGGGCUCCGGCUUGCCAAGGUACUCGGCAUUCGCCGGAUCCUGUGCUAUGGAGAUUCCGACUUGGUGGUCCAGCAGUCGUCGGGUGACUGGGACGGCAAGGAUGCAAAUAUGGCCAGCUAUCGCUUCCUCGUCCAGCAACUCAGCGGAUACUUUGAAGGUUGCGAGUUCCUCCAUGUGCCAAGAAAUGACAAUGAGCAAGCUGACACCUUGGCACGAAUCGGCUCCACCCGGCAAGCAAUACCAGCCGGCGUAGCCCUGCAACGCCUCCUCAAGCUGCCUGUCAAGCCGUCACCUGAAUCAGACUCCAUCUUUGUGCCGGAUCCUCCUGAAGCAGUCGGAUCCGACUUGAGGACCCCAGCAGCCGGCACGGGGAAUUCGGCAGGAAACCCGGGGACUGCAGCAGCCGCACCCGGCCCGGGGACUUCAGAACCCGGCCUGGGGACUGCAGCAGUCGGCCCGGGGACUUCAUCGACUCAGCAAGCGGCAGCCGACUCCAACCCGCCGCCUCCUGGCCCAACCGCCCUCGUGCAAGUAGCAGUCCUAGCAAUCGAAGAAAUUGCAGCACCUUCAUGGGCCCAGCCCAUCCUCAACUUCCUGGUGAACAAAGAGCUGCUGACUGAUGAGAUCUCGGCCCGGCAAGUGCAAUGCCGGGCAGCAAUGUACACCAUAGUCAACAGAGAGCUUGUGAGGCGCAAUGUCACUGGUGUCUACCAGCGCUGCGUAGAGCCGGAGCAAGGCCAAGCAAUCCUCAAAGAUAUCCAUCAAGGCGAGUGUGGUCACCACGCAGCUUCAAGAGCACUCGUGGCCAAAGCUUUCCGCCACGGUUUUUUCUGGCCGACUGCUCUAGAAGACGCCAAAGACUUGUUCCAGAAAUGCAAAGGGUGCCAGAAGUUCCGUUCCAAGCCGCAUCACCCGGCUUCUGCACUCAAGACCAUCCCCAUUGCCUGGCCCUUCAUUGUCUGGGGGCUGGAUAUGGUGGGACCAUUCAAGACAGCACGCGGCGGCAUGACUCAUCUGCUUGUUGCGGUGGAUAAGUUCGCCAAGUGGAUAGAAGCAAAGCCAAUUAAAAAAUUGAAUGGUCCGACUGCUGUGACUUUCAUCUCUGACAUCACCAUCCGGUAUGGCAUACCACACAACAUCAUCAUUUACAAUGGCACAAACUUUGCCAAAGGCGCCUUGGCCCGUUUCUGCGCGACGCAGGGCAUCCGACUGGACCUAGCGUCCGUUGCCCAUCCGCAGUCAAACGGCCAGGUGGAGCGAGAAAACGGCCUCAUUUUGUCCGGCAUCAAGCCCCGACUGGUCGAGCCUCUGGAGCGUUCGGCCGGCUGUUGGCUCGAUGAGUUGCCGGCCAUCCUUUGGAGCCUGCGCACAACUCCGAACAAGUCAACCGGCUUCACGCCUUUCUUCCUCGUCUACGGUGCCGAAGCCGUCAUCCCGACGGACAUAGAAUUCGACUCCCCUCGAGUCACCAUGUACACCGAAGAGGAGGCAAAAGAAGCACGAGAAGACGGCGUCGAUCUGCUGGAAGAGGGCCGGCUGUUGGCACUCAGCCGGUCCACCAUCUACCAGCAGAGCCUGUGUCAAUACUACAACCGCAAGGUCAAGCCAAGAUCCUUCCAAGAGGGAGACCUUGUGCUCCGGCUGAUCCAGCGAAUAGCCGGCCAGCACAAGCUCUCGGCACCAUGGGAAGGCCCUUUCAUCAUCAGCAAGGUGGUGGGCAACGACUCCUACUACCUGAUCGAUGCUCAGAAGCCUCGAGCAUGCAAAAGAGACGACUCCGGCAAGGAGACGGAGCGACCAUGGAAUGCAAGCCUCCUUCGAAGGUUUUACAGUUGAUGCAGUAUGUACCACACCAACUUUUGUAUUAAGUACGAAGACUCCGGGUCCCCCGAGAAGAGCUCGGGGACUGCCCUCUUUUAUCUAUAUGAUAAGUAUUAUGCCUAUCAGCGUGUUAUUUCAUUUAGUCCGCCUGGCACCGGGUUCGACUAAGUCGACCCAGGGACUCGCCGCCUUGUGCUAUGUAAUGACUCCUGCAGCCGGACAAGUAAUGAGUUGGCACUUAAGCCUUCUCCUGCCAGAAGCCGCAGCUCGCAGAGCGACUGUCCGGCGGGCAGGAGUCAAGGUAGAAAGGGUGUUCGCAUGAAAAAUGGCUAAGGACCCAAGGCAUACACAUAGCUCAAGCCGGCUUCCUGUUUCGCCGACCGGCUGCUGAGCAGCCGGCCGGCCGGUUUCUACUUAACUUGCUAAAAAACUCUAAUCGGCUAAGUACUUGCCUUCCCGGAAGUGGCUAAGUACUUGACCCAGCCACAGUCCGCAGAGCGGCUGUUCGGCUGGCAAGACACCAACCAAGGGAAGGCGGCAAAGGAAAAAGGCCAAAGAGCAGAAAGCAAGGAAAGAUAGAACUCGGCAAAAAUAUUUACAUAUCAAAAGGCCCUUGGCCGACAUUCAACAAGAGUUUGAAAUACACCCCGCGGGUGGAAUUGUGCGAAGUUAACGAAGUUUGUCGAGACUGAUAAGCAGGAAGAAACAAAGGUAAAAUGGCAGCCUAGGAAGCAGUGGACGGGUUCGGCGGAAUGGUGGAGUCGGUGGUGCCGGCUGGUGGAGAAGCCGGUUGGUAGGUCUCCGCUUGGUCGCCUUCAGCAGCAGCCGGCUCGCUCGGGCGUGGCUCAUUGCUGGAGGCGCGGUCGAGCUGAGGCUGGCCGUCCGCUCCGACCUCUGGCGCCUCCUCUUCACCUUCCUCCUCCUCGUCUUCUCCCUCGUAACUGGAGUCAAUCACCUCGGCCGAGUCCUCGCCAUCCUCCGGGUUCAGCCCGAACCACCCUGGUGGCGCCUCGGCACCGUUCUCGGCCAGCUCCGGGAUGAAGAUGCUGGUGUUGGUGUACUCGGCGAUUUCCACCGCCCGCUUGACAAGAUCACCCUCCACCGCCACCAGCUCCUCCUGGGCUUCCUGUCGAAACAUGGUCAACUGGGCUAGAUUUAGCCUAGGGUACCACGCCUUGAUGAACUCCAAGGCCCAGCGUGCCCCGGCCCGGGCCGAGGAACCCUUCCAGGCCUCAAGGCGGCCGGCCGCCACCUCAAGCCAGUCGGCGGUCCAGCUGGGCGUGCGUGUAGCCGGCAUGUCCGGCCACAGGGCAGUGAUCGCCUGGGCGCCGACACGCUGAAGGCGGUGCAGCAUCCGAUGAGCCGGCCGAAGACGAGCCUGAAUGCUAAGAAGCUGCUCGCUAAGAGUGCGGGGGCGUCGGCAGCAAUCUGCUCGCCUUAUGCUCUCUGUCCUUCACGAUCGGCCUCGAUAGCCUGGUUGGCAGCACCAGAGUGACCUGGGAAGAAGUCUGCUCGGACAAAACAACAAAAGAGCCAAAUUAGAAACAAGAAGCCGGCCUGAUCAGAAGCCGGCGGCUCGAUGAAAGAGUGAAAAAGGAAGCUCACCGUCAACCAUGUCUUCAAUCUCGCCGAAGCCGGCAGUCAGCAUUGCCUCCUUGUCGGUCCAGGCGGAGCGUUCGGUCUCGAACUCAGCAAGGAGGCCGGCUGGCCGGCCUCCUUGUCCUCCGCCUCCUUCUGGGCCUUCUUGAGAAGCUCCGCCUGCUUCGCCAGUCGCGUAACCAGCCGGUCACGCUCUUCGGCCAACUUGCCGCAGUCCGCCUCCUUGGCACGCAGCGCGGUGUUGGCUUCGCCCAGUUGCUGCUGCAGGGCGGCGUUGGCCUCUGCAAAAGUAGAAGAAGAAAAGGACAUCAACAAUCAACAAAGAGAGAUAUAGUUGCUGGGAAGAUCCGGCCCGACUGCUCAGUAGUCGGCCCGAAUCUCGGGGACUACCGCCCGCGGGUGCGCCGGCGUGCCCUCGCGGAGAAAGAAGUUAUCAAAUAUGAACAGAGAAGAAGAACAGUUGCCAGGAAGAUCCUGCCCGACUGCUCAGCAGUUGGCCCGAAUCUCAGGGACUACAGCCUGUGGGUGCGCCAGCGCGCCCUCGCAGUGAAAGAAAAAGACUUACUCCAGCUCUCUGACAAGUCGACGGUCCGUUGAUCCAACUCCUGGACUUUGGAGUUGAAGGCGGCUGCACGGAGGUUGUGAUAAUCCUGCAGAAAAGAUAUCAGACAAUAUUAGUACUCGGAGCUUGCCAAUUAAAGUUCCGAGCCGCCUGCUCAGCAGCCGGCCCGAAACUCGGGGACUACACCCAGUGGGUGCGCUGGCGCGCCCCCACGGAGCAAUACAAGAAUUAAAAACAAAGAAGCAAGAAGCAUACCUGGACGGCUGCUCGCGACUCCAGGAACACAUUGUUGCAGCGCUUGAGUGCAUCGGCUUCAGCGCGGAGCUUGGCCUGGACGUCCAGGAUCGCCUUGUUCAAAGGGCCCGUCCCGCCUCCCCGCACCCACCCAGUGGGCGCGGCGCUGGUCGCCUCGGCGUCCGGGAUCGAAGAGCUCGCGGCACCGGUCUCCAACGGGCGUGGCACCGAGGCCGCCUUUGCAAACCGGUGACGCGAUGGUGUGCAGACCUCGGGAGUCGGGCCCGUCACCAUCUGGUCUCCGGCUGGUGGCGCCGGCGGAUCAGCUGGCUGCUUGUGUCGCGCCUCCUCAGAAGGUGGUGGCGGGGGCACGAUUACAUCCGGCAUGACAACAUCGCCGCCGUCCCUCUCCAUGAUCGGGUGCUCAUCACCAGCUUCCCCAGUCGGCGCCACGAACUCUGGUGGUGGCGGCGCGGAGUUCAGGGGGGUGACGAAUAUCGCCGACUGGCGGCGCGCGGCCUCUUCAGCCUGCUCCUUCGUCGCGGUAGCGGCCUCGGCCUCCGCCAGCUUCUUCAAGGCGGCGGCCUCCACCUUGUCCGCCUCCGCCUUCUCCAGGCGGGCGGCUUCCUGCUCCUCGCGCGCCUCCCGCGCGUUUCGCUCCGUCGCCUCCCGGAGGUCGGCCUCCGGAUCGAUUCGCCGGGUGGUGCUGUAGGUCUCCGCCGACCCAACGAUGGAGGCGACGGCCGACUUCUCGAGAGAGAGCGGAGCCCUGAAUCAAGAAAAUAAAACAAAGGAAGUUCAGAAAGAAUCAACGAGAAAGAAGAGCACAAGGAAAAGAUACUUACGCCGACACCAUAGGAGGCGCCUUUGGGAGCUUCUGGUACUUGGCCGCCUUCGCUGCGGCCUCCUUCCGCCUGGUCGUGGCGGUCGGAUUCUUGGUCUUCUUUGGCGCGCUGCCGAACAAGACGAUUCCUUGUUUACGCUUGCGCGUGCCACCUCGAGUAGACGUCUCGAUGGAGGGGCCCGCGUCCGCCCUGCCGACGCCCCGCGCAGGGCGCGGCUCUUCUUCCUCCUCAUCAUCAUCGGGCCAGGUCUCGAUGCCGCCUUCUUUGGAGCUGCCUUCUUCAUAGACGUCGCCUGUCACGGUGUCCUCCAAGGCAGCCGCCCCCAAGUCGGGGUCGUCCACGUCGCUCACCGCCCGGUCCGGCUGGUAAUCGCCACCCGCCCCUACGAUGGCGGCCGUCGCUUCCGACAUGUAGAUCUAUUUCAAAUGAUGAGAGGCCGGCUGAUCAAGACCAAGAUCAAGACUAAGACGAGUAUCAAAGAAAGAAAGAAUUGGAAAACUUACCGCAUGCGGCGGGUUAGCGGGGAAUAUGGCCGCUUGCCGAAGCUCCAAGACCCCUCCAGCUUGAGGCCGGAGAUCUUGUUUACCAAGUUCGCGACCUCGGCAGCCGGCAUCUCCUUGGUGCUCAGCCGGCACGGGUCGCGAUGCCCGCUCAUCCGGCUGAUCAGGUGCGGCCGGCCUUGGAGCGGGAGAACCCGGCGCGCGACGAAGGCGACCAACAAAUCGGACGCCUUGAGGCCCUUGGUGUUGGUCAGCUCCCGGAGUCGUUGGAUGGCGGCGGCGCCGUCUGCCGAUACUGGCUUCGGCUUGUAGCCCUAGCUGGCCUGAGGCUCAGCCGGCGGACUGGCUACAUAAGCGGGCAGGUUGAUGAAGUCGAUGGCCGGGUCCACGUUCUCCACGUAGAAGUAAGAUUGCUGCCACAUCUUGACCGAUUGUGGCAGCUUGAUGGUGGGGAAGGUGUUCUUCGGCGACGGCCCGGCGAACCGCGAUGAAGGCACCACACUAGGCAGCCACCUCCCGGACGGAGGUGCCCAGCUUGGUGUAGAAGAAUGCUCCCCACAGCUCGAUGGUGGGGAGGAUGCCGAGAUAGCCUUCGCACAAUGUGACGAAGGCGGCUAGGAGCAUCACGGUGUUGGGCGUGAGGUGAUGAGGCUGGAGGUGAUAGAAUUCGAGAAACGAACGGAGGAAGCCGCUCGCCGUCAGGCCGAAGCCGCGGAUGAAGUGCGAGCGGAAGACGACCCGCUCGCCCUCCCCCGGCGCCGGCGAGAUCUCCCCCUCCGGCGGCACGCGCGCCUUCACUUAGCUCGCGCCGGGAAGACGCCGCAUCUCGCGGAGGAAGGUGAUAUGGUCUUCGUUGACGUUCAAUCCGUCCCAGUCUCCUCCCCGCUCGCGCGCCAUGAAGAGCUCGACGGAGGAAAUGGCGUGGCGGGGGAGAUGAGAAUGGUGCGGGGCAAAGAGGGCUCGGGGCGGAUGAACUCGAUGGAGACAAGCUGAGGCAGCGCUCUGGCAUGGCUUGGGGGCGCUGCGGCGAGAGGAAGAAGAAAGAGGCAAGAAUGGGGUGGAGGGGCGCGCGUGCUCCGCCGCUCCCUCUCCUGCCCCUAGUUAUAGCCUGCGGGCUAUGAAGCCGAGGGGGCGGGCGUGGGAUCGUGGGAUUAACUGUGCCCACGACCCCACGCUCCCACCUUUACCGCGUGAGUUACUGCGCGUGGUAACUCCGCGGGGAAACUCAACCGCGCGCCUCGGCCAAAGCGGAUCCGCUCGCGCGCCGAGGCCCGGUGGUGGCGGCCCAGCCCACAGUCGCGUCCCAUCACGCGCGUGGGCUGGCAGGCUGGCCCGGCUGGCUGGCGCCACGUGGCACGCCCACGACAGGCGGCGGGCCUAGAAGCUUAGCUUGCACGCCACCUAGUUCCCACCAUUACAUUCAAAGUUCCAGAUAGAUCCGACUGGACGUGGCCGACUCCUCUCAGGCAGCUUGCCAAGAGUCGGAUGAAGCUUCCACCCAUAGCACCUGGAGGGGGAAACUGUUGAGGCUUCUCGGCUCCUCAGCCGCGGCGCCUCACCAGCUUCGGGUACUACUGUCGGAGUAAUGGGCCACGGGUAGCCUAACCCGAGUCCCAGAACCUUUCAAAACAUCGGGGCCAGCUGCGCCCCUCAAGACGUCAAGUUGGAGCGCCGCCUUCUGGUGGCCGGCUGGCCGAACGACCGACUGCCAGAAGACGGCCAUGCUCAGGAAGGCGGCUCCAAGACGGGCCGACUCCUAGCAGGAGGCCUCCAGAGAGGCCGGCUCCGAGCAGUCGGCCCAUGGCGCCCUCAAAGUCUGCGCCCCCAUUAAGAAGACAAGACAAGGUGAGGCUACAGUAUAGCCCAUCCCACCGUAUCCAGGGCCGGGCGUGGCCACAGUGCUCCGUACAGGCGGAGAUCUCCGCCUGGCGCGGCACUGUUGCCACUCCGCCCCUGACAUCACUCCUGUCAGGCGAAGCCCUGUUCCCACGACCGCCUGUCGGUACGGCGCGAAGACGGCGGGCCCUACCGGUCAGCGAGAGCCCGGAAGAUGGCGGGAGCCUCACCAGUCGGACUCGAGGGAGGCCGGCUCCCAGCAGUCGGCCCGUUCCUUCCUCGGGGCCCCACACGCCAUCAACCAGAUAAGACGCGGAGUGGCUACAGUGAUCUCCCACCAGGCGGCGGAACUGUAGCCACACCCCCUAACCAAGCCUGCAUCAUUAGCAUCACGGCUACAGUAAUCAGCAGCCGGCAAGACCCGCGAGCAGCGGGGGCGGCGGCCUGUCGGCUCCGUACCAGACCAGUCGGCGGGGCCCACCAGGCGGCGGACCCCGGCAGUCGGCGGAGAAGCCGACGACCAGAGAGACUGACAGCCGAGUCCCACACCCGGCCGGAUUACCAUUGUACCCCUGGGGGGUAGGCUUAUAUAAACCCCCUAGGGCACCCAUGCAAAGGGUUCCAACCUGUUAGAAUUAGACUCACAGCUAGGGGGAGAGGAGAGCAAGCCUUGCCUUCUUCUACCUCUAGCAUACAGCUUGAGGAGCACCAUUGUACUCACUAGUGCCUUAGUGAUCAUGCGGAGACCCCGCAGAGCAGGACUAGGGGUUUUAUCUCCUAGGAGAGCCCCGAACCUGGGUAAAGUGCGCCGGCGUUCGUGUCUACGCCUCAUCCCGCUUCCAGGCACCAGCGACGUUCUACUCGCUCCCACCAUGAUAAGCCAUCCAUUGGCAUAUGUCGCACCCAAACCCCGACAAUGCUGAUUUCAAAAUAACAUCCUGUUUUUAAAAAUAUAAUGUUGUUUUCAAUAUGCUAUUUUUAAAAUAGCAUGCUGAUUUCAAAAUUUACAUGCUUUUUUAAAUAUGCUGUUUUGAAAGUAGCAUGCUGAUUUUGAAAACAACAUUUUUUUAAUUACGUUGUUUUUAAAGAUUGUGAAAACUGCAUUUUUUUAAUUACGCUAUUUAAAUUUUUUUAAAAUAACAUGCUGGUUUGCUCUGUUUAUGAAAAUAGCAUGCCAUUUCGAAAACAACAGAAACAUCAUUUUUUAAAUAUGAAAGCUUCGACCCGCAAGUUUUUGCUUUUGCAUUGCAUUUUUUUGUGCAACACAUACAAACCUCAUUUUCAAAAUAACUCGUACUAGCUUAAAAUGAAAGUAGCAUCUAAUCCAUAUGAAACCUGGUUAGAUUUGAUUUUAAAAAUACUAGCAUCACUGUGGCAAAAAAAGGAAAUAUCUUUGCUGUCCAUAAAGGUAAUUCUAUCAGGGAGGGUACCAGGGUGGCGUAAUGUACUUGGUGGUAGUAAGAACAGACUUGCAUAGCAAGUACAUUACGCCACAUAAGUUCAUACUACCACCAAGUUACUACCAAGUUCCACUUACUAGACGAUCUUCAUAUGCAGUCGGACCCAAAAGUUAUACCACCAAAGUACGAGUUACUACCAAGUACCAAUUACUACUAAGUUGCACUUACCGGACCCAAAAGCUAAUACUACCAACUUCCAGUUACUGGUUACUACAUACAUAUUAUAAAACUAGCGUCAAACUACUCCCAUGGGUCAACGAAUCCUCAUGCCACUGGCCAUGUUCACCCUAAGCCCACCUCCACUCCUUUCCAUGAACCUGAAGAUAGCCAUUUGAUCUUCUUUCAUUUUGGCGCCCUGAACGACUUCUCUCCAGUUCUUCGUCAUGAUCGCACGCCCGUCCUUCUUGCCCAUCUUGAACAAGACCUUUUUAGAACCUUCAAAAUGUAUGUUGGUGACACGCAAAACCAUGGGCUUUCGCAGAUAGUCUUUGAGGUAGGCCUGACUAUAAUCCUUUGAGAAGCACUGAUUGCACGGGGAAAUAAAUAAUGUUACAUAAAAAUAAGUAUGAUUUGCACAAAGAAAAGUAAGUAUGAUUUGCACAACCACGCCUGUCCUCCUCUCUGUCUCUACAUGAUGGCAUUUUCACUUGUGAAAUAUGAUUUGCAAAAAAAAGUCCAAGUGUUUACCAUCUUGCUCUUCCCUCUGAUGACUGCCGAGCGAGUGACGGUGCUGACAUAGUAUGGUAUGGGAGUUUUGCACUGCUUUACUAUGGAUUUGAGACAGUCCCACCGAUCCUGGUUUAGCAAUACAUGGUUGCCAUAGAAGAUGCGAUCCUUGAAAGUUCCUCUUCUCCCCGGGUAUCCCAGUCCUGUAUAAAAAAUAUUAAGAUGACAGAGUAGUAAAUAAUUUCAUACAUAAGAUCUAGAACAUCAACACUGGGUUGAUGAUCAAUGCCUACUUCAAUGAUCAAGAAAUGAAGGACAUAGAUAACCCAAUCACAUCCACCCAGAAUUAUCUCAUAGAAACAUGGGAAAAUUGAAUAUUUGAUUAAACUAACAACUAAACACUGCUCUAUUUAAGCUCUAGUUCAAUCAAUGUUGAUUUGGAAGGUCAUCUAGAACCCAAAAAGAGUAAUGUGUGGUAAUCAAGUGUCACUCAAACAUCAACUUUAGAUAGUUCACGGUUCAUUUAAUAUCUGACCAGCCAUAUAGAACUUUACCCCUGUGUGCUAAGAUGGGAUCGUGGUCCACAUAUCCAUCUCCAUCAGAACUAUCAUCAGUGUCAUAGUCGCUAGAGGUGUCGUCAUCACCGCUAUAGCCGUCACUCCCAUGUGAAGUGCAAUAUGAAGCAUCAUCUGAGGUGGUCCGGUGAUCUCUAUCUUCAUUGCUGAUGAGGAUGGUUUCCCUUGCCAUUCAAACCGGUUGCAUACAUUGCAAUGAACAAAUGUUAGUUAUUGAUAUAUGAAAUCAGUCUUACACUAUAACUUGUUAGCACCAUAUACAAUGUGAAUAAUCUUUUCGCAUACUUCUUGCUAAGUACGUAGUUAAUGUAUAAACAUCUACAUGAAAAAGCUAGUCGACAGCCAGAUUGAUACUACUAGACUAUUUGCACGACUAGUGAAGACUAGUGGUUAGACUCAUAAUCAUUGGGUAGACAGAACCAAUUAGGAUAUUUCAAAGUUACAAUUUUUUUUGCAUAUGUUUGUGACAUUGGCAGAAAUAGUUGGUAGCCAACCAAUCACUAGCAAACAUUUGGCAUUUUGGCAGAUAAUCGCAUGCCAAAUUUUGGCAUCGAACCAUUCAUGUUGACAGAUCAUGAUUGACUUGCUACCAAUGUUGGCAUUGCCAAAUAUUGGCAAAUUUAUGUGAGCUGGACAAGAAAACUUGGUAACCAACCAAUUAUUAGCCAUGUAUAUUUGGUAUCAAACCAAUUUCGCUCAUAAUUCGAACAAGCAGUAAAAAGAAUCAUCAAAAAUAUAAACCAACCAUAAUUGUUACACCAUGAUUGGUAGCCAACCAAUCACUUAACAAAUCAUUUGAUCAAAGGUAUGCACAAAUUAGUAGCCUUGCAUACUUAACAAAUCAUUCAAAAAAUGAACCAUGAUUGACUGCUCUCAUCGAGUAAUACGUGAAACUAUAACUGAUCUACCUUUGAUCACUGCAAAUUUCCUGAUGGGCUGUUGUGUGGUACCAUCAGGUAAUAAAUAUGAAGUCUUUAAAUUGCCCCAACAAAACAAAUAAUGCAUUUGCUCCUGUACAUAACAUUUUUAGAGGUAGCUGUGGAGGUUAAUUUUCCAGUGAGAAUAAGGACAUGGUAGCAUCUCUCAAGCAAGAUGGCAGCAUAAUGAAGGCUAUGAGAACGAGCAAGGUAUGUUGUCCAACAGUCACCCUUUUGUAUACUUGCUAUGUAUUUACUCAUUAUACCCAUACCAACAAGUGAAAUCAUGAUUAUGAAGUAUAAUGGCAGAAAAUCCAACAAUGAGGAAUUUGUUGCAAUAUGAACUACUAGCUCACAACAAAUCUUCAUUGACCCCAACAAGCCCAUACCAUAUCAUGGGAUAGGCUGACAUAAUUCAAGUAAGCAGUAACAACAAUCAUCAAAAAUAUGCACCAACCAAAAAUAUUACAUGUGUGCACAUAUCAUCAAAAACAUGCACCAAUCAAGAGCCGUCUAUACUUGACAAGUCCUUCGAAUAUGCACUAAUCAUCAUACUACCAUCGAGUAAUACAUGAAACUAUAACUGAUCCUCAUUCCAUCAUUACAAAAUUCCUCAUGGACUGCUUCUGUGCUCGCCUUUUAGUUUUUAAUAAUUAAGUAUCGGCAAAUACAUAUACGCAGUCUUCAAACUAUCCCAACAAACCAAAACAUGUGUAUGCUCCUGUGAAUAUACUUUUUCUAUAUCUAGCUGUGGGGGAUCAUUUUCCAGGGAGAAAAAUUACUUGAUAGCAUCUGUCAAGCAAGAUGAUAGUAUAGUGAAGGCUAUGUCGACGAGCAAGGUAUGCUGGCCAACACCCACCCUUUUCUCUUACUUGCUACCAAAGUGUUUACCCAUUACUACCCAUACAAACAAGUAAAACCAUGAUUAUGCAGUACAUUGUCAGAUUAUCUUGCUGUAAAAUUACUUGUUGCAAUAUGACCUACUAGUUGACAGUAAAUCUGCGUAUACCCAUAACAUGCACACAAGCAAGUGUCAGCUUUUAACUUGGGCGGUGCUGCUAGAUCGCAAAAUUAAGUUCAGAUUGACAUGCGAAGGGCAGGGAAGAUCAAUCUUACCCGCGAAGUGGUACCAGAUGGGGCUAGAGUAGACUUGUUCGAAGCUAGCAACACCGGAGCUUCGGGCGGCGCGGCCAGGGAUUGGGGAGAAGAGUUGCCGUUGUCAGACCUUGUUGUUAAUGAAGCAGUGGAGAAUCAUGGCCGAAGCAGGGGGAGUGGGUGGCCGGAGCGGAUCCGGCCGAUUUGACGACGACGGGGGCGGCCAAGGUGACGGCUUAGCAAACCCUAGCCGUCGCCCUUCGCGUCUCCUCUCUGUCUCUGCAAAGAACGAAGUGUGGUGGGAUUGGGAAUGGGGGUGGGGUUGGGGUUUGGGCCAUCGCUCGCUUUUCUCUCUGCCUCCCACUUGUACAGGCCCACAAAAGGAACAAAGUGUUGGGCCGGAUCAGAUGCAGAUUUGGCAGCUUACCAAUUCUGGCCAAACAGAAAAGAUCAGCAUCACCAGGCUAGCAGGACCACCACUGGUGUGCUUUUGAAGAAACCCUAAAAAUACAGUGCUGUUCAUAUUGCAUGUGCAUGAGUCUUUCAGUACACCAAUUGAUCUUGAAUAAUUUUAAGCACUCCACAGUAUAUAUAUGAAAAUUAUGGUUAACCAAUAAAAUGGUAAACUAUUCGAUGCAAGGUUAAUUUUUAAAAAAAAUCAAUAAUUGAAUUGUAUGCAUUUUUAUGAUUAAAUUUAAUAAAUAUAACAUUUUUUCAAAAACUAUGAUAAUUAAAAUAUUCAUUGGUAUUUAAAAAAACAACCGCAAAUGACUACUUAUGCCAACCAGAACUUCUUCAGGGUUUCGAUUAUUCAUCUAUUAUUUGGCAUGCUGGUUCUCAUAACGCCUUCUUCGGACCUUCUCUUUGUCCAACAAAUUCCUGAGAUAUUGGGCUAGUGCCUUGUGUUUCACCCUCACACCAUGCUUCAUUUGGUAGCCUUUGGCAACUCCUUCGGCGUGCUCAAGAAUACUAAUGAAAGCCGGGUCCAGAUAUUUGCCAUAGAAAGCGCAACGAUAAGCCAUACGCUUAAGCACGUUGCACUUUCCAUUCUGCAAUUCUUCAAGGGUUUUCUGAGUGUGUGCAUCCAUCUCUCCUUCGGAAAUGUCCGCAUAAUCAUCAGAAUAAGGCUGCAAGUUUAAAUUAUGUAUGAUAUAAGCUGAACCAUUGUUUACAGUAACUAAUAUUCCCUAAGUUCCAUACUAUAGUGCCUAUAAAUUAUUUUUAAAAUAAAUUUUAUUAACUUUGAAAAUUUAAGGAGAAAAAAGCAAUAUCAAUUCCAUAUGGAAGCAUAAAUCAUAUGAUGUACUUUUAAAAAAAUGUCAAUAAACAUGGACAACCUUUAUGAUGUCUGACUUUUAGCAUAAAACAAAAACGCACUAAAUUGUGGAGUGGAUGAACCAUUAAUUUUUCAAAGAUUGAUUGAAUAAAUAAUGAUCAUUACGUACUGAUGAUCAAUAGUAUAUUUUGAGCUAGAUUCCAUUAUGCCAAGUCAACAACAAAUUGAUGGUUUAAUGAUUAACCUCUAACCUUAAACUUGAAGACAGAUGUAGGGUUAAAAAAAUAAAAUUACCGUAAAGGAAUUCCAGUCCAUGCCGUGCAUGUGCUGCUGCUUGUGAUCGAGGACGGAGUAGUGCACCUCCUCGUUGACAUGAUGCUUCUCUGGGUCGGACAUGAGUAGUCCAAAGCUUUCUCAUGGGGAUCCUGGUCCAUGCGAUGGACGACGACAUCGGUGGUUAGCCCCGCAAGUCCAUGAUCUGUCAUGCGGCGUCCAUGACAGGCCCCAACGUCCAUGGCCCCGAUCUGUCACGACGGCCAAUCGACCUCCACGAGUGGAUUUCAUAUCCGGUGGCAGGGAGGCGGGCGUGUGAGCAGCGACGAUGGUUUUAGAGCGUACCCUAGGGGGAGAGAUGCGGGGAGUAAUUGGUAGUCACCUACUAUAGCGGAAAUACUUUGGCGUUGGGAACAUUCAAUGCAGCGGGCUUAUUUAGGCGCUUAAUUAGGAUCCUGGAAGAAAAUCACAAUCGUAGGCGCUUGGGGCAGGCGCUAGGAACUGGAUUUUGUACAUCUACGUGAUGCAAUCCAAAGAUCGUGUCCGGGGUGGAUGGGUUGGGGAUUGAAAAUUUUGUACAUAAACCCUGGUGCUGAAGACUUGUGAAACAUCAAAUCAAAUUGUCAUCAAGUGAUCUAAAAAUUUCAAACUGAGAAAGAAAUGUAUGUAGAGGCCAUUAUAGUAUUACUUGGAUCGAGACUUUGUGAUCAUCAUGUAGCCAUGCCACAACCAACACGAUGGUCUCCGUGGCCAUCUAGACAUCACACCAUGCACCGUUGGCCGCCUAGACCCUCAAGCCAUGCAUCGAUAGUCAUCAUGUCUCGCAUGCAUUUGUGAUGCUAGCAAUGUCAUCACAUGAUGCCAUAAACUAACAAGCAUGUGACAAUAAUUUAAAAAAACAAGAAAAUACUCCGUCCCAAAAUUUUGACUAAAACAUGAUUUGACACGUCAGUAUUUACACAAAUCGAAGACAAGAAUUUUGGGACGGAGGGAGUACUGAAGCAUCAAUAUUCCAAUCCUAGGUUGCUAUAAGAGAAGCUUGGAUUUCCAUCUACCAAGCUGAAUGCAGCUCAAGGCUGCAAUUCCAUUGCACUGGUACGUUAGAUAUGUAGUCGGCACACAACUUAACAUGCAUAGUUGUACCAUAGUUCAACAGUAAGCAUACAAUACUUCUUAACAUAGUUCAUCCAUAAAGUCUCGCCAACAUACCACAAACUAAGGUAGUACUUAACCUAGUUUAGACCAAAAGAGCUUCCAUUAUGGCUGCCAGGGUGCACGCACUGCCCUAAACCCCCUCCCAGAACUCGGCAAGGGCGACGUGUGCCACCCUGGAAGCAUAUCCAUGGGCGUGGCUAGCGGCUCGUCCGAGUGCAUGCUGGAUAAGACUCAUACGGGUGUUAUUAACCUUACGAUUAGGAUCAUGGAUAUUGAAAGUCCCCAUGUUAUCGUCGUGGCAGAUUCCCGUGUUGAUACCCCGGCCGUCAAUGGUCCUUAACUAUUCAACAUUCUAGCUAAGUAGUUAUUAUGAAUUCUGACAAGAAGCGAUCCAAAAUUUUGUAUUUACAAAGAAACUAAUUAACAAUGCUCAAGUAAAACAGUGAUGAAAUCCAGUUUCUUUAUGCAUUAGCCUCUGCUUAGAGAUAAUCAAUGUUUAAAAUCAUUGUCACAAUCACUUAGGUAGAUCAUUAAAUUAAAACCAAAAAUCAGUGCUCAAAGAACAAAAGCAGCAAAGCAUUUACUCAACAUUUUAAGACCUUAUUUGCCUAGUGCAUAACUCGUGCUCAGCGCAAAUCAAUCUUUAUGUUAUUAUCACAAUCAUCUGCAUAGGAAAUUCAAUUCCAAGGUGCAGCUACGAAAUAGUAUAAGCACAAUAACCAACCAUAGCCGGAUUAUUAGCAGAACAAUUUAUAUAGAUAAAAAAUGACCUCUAAAGGGCUCAACACAUGUAACCUAGCAAGUUAGGUAACACAUCUACAUAAUCUAGAUAGGCAUUUCAUCGAUUUAAAAAAAAAGAAACCCUGGCCUUCCCCAAAAAUAGAGAAAAGGACAGACCAGACAAAACCUAGGAUUUUACAAUAAUAAUAAAGGAGAUAGAUGACUAACGUCUUCUUCGUCGACGUCGACGGCGACCACAGGCUCGGGCACAAGAGGAACCAGCGGCAGAGGAACCGGCUGCAGCAGAGGAGCCACCUGCUCCAGCUGAUGAGCCACCUGCUGCGACCGAAGAACCUGGACGACAGCAAGGACGUCAAGCCCGCCCGUGCCGGAUUAUUAGCACAAUAACGUAUAUAGAUCAAAAAAUGACAUAUACAUGGCUCAACAAAUGUAACCUAGCUAGACAGCAGCCGAUCUAGGAUUUCACACUAGGGUGUUCAAAAAUUUAUAUCGUAAACAAAAAACCCACAAAUAAUUUUGAUACAGAGGGAGUAAUAUCUGAAAUGUUCAUGUGAAAAUAAUUUCUAUUCCAACAUAAUGAUAGUACUGACAUGAAUGAUAGAAAAUGAGGAUUAUUUACUGCACGACCAUAGAAUGAAAUCAAUGGUAAUUGGGCUCCCAGAAGCAAGCAGUUUUAUACGAAUUGGCAUGAAGUUUAGUGGAAAAAAGCACACCACUUUUAGUCCUUUUACCUUGCAUACACCUUCCUUAACUUUCUGCCAAAAAAUUGGGGUGUAGAGAUGUACACCCAUGCACCCAUGUGGACCUACCCCUGAACCUACAUCUACAGAAUCUAGGUAGGGAUUUCUUCGACUAAAGGAAAACAAAAACCCUAGUCUUCCCCAAAAAAGGAGGAAAGCACCGACCAGAUAAAACUUUGGAUUUGGCCCAAUAAGGAAGAUAAAUGACCGACCUCUUCUCCAUCGUCGUCGCCAUCGACCACGGGCUCGGGCGGAGGAGUCAGCAGCCGCGGCAGAAGAGUCACCUCCACCGGCGGAGGAGCCACCUGCUCCGGAUGAAGAUCCAGGACGGCGGCGAGGAUGUCAAGACGACCCAGCUGCCCGCUCGACCCCUCGCCGGCUGCCCGGGCGUCGCCCCCGGCGUGGUCCAUCCUAGUGCGCGGCAUCUCGACGGCGGAGGUGCGCGGCAUCUUGACGGCGGAGGUGCGCGACAUCUCGACGGAGGAGGUGCAGCGGCGAGAAGGGUGCACGGCGAGCGGUGAGGCGUGGGAGGAGAAAACCCUCGUCUAUGGAUUUGUGGAUGGGGAAGAGGACGAUGCGGCCGACGAUGAGAUUAAUAAUCGAGAAGCGGAGCGGCCGGCUCUAGACUUUGGGAUGACUUAAUUAGUACUACUUUGGCCACAUUCACACCACCCCGUGUGUUGUUCACACCGCCCCUGAUCUGCUAGGCAGGUUUGAGAUGGGCACGAUCGUGCACAACCAGGAUUUAGGAGUAAUGCACGUGUCAUGUUGUAUUUUUUAAUAUGUUGUAAAACUUCAGAAACAAAGCAAUGGCAAAUGAAAAGUUACGUAAAUUCAGAACUAGUGGUCAUCGGCUUUGAUGUAAAAACAAUUGAUUUGUUUAAUUUAUUUAAUAAUUCCUAAAUAUUGAAUUUAAACAUGCACCUAAACCAUAGCGGUUAGUUCACAUUUGUCUCAUCGUGCGGGUUCGUCUACCAUAUGCAUGUCGUUACGGCAUCUGGUACCAUUGAGGGGAAUCGGGUGCGGUGCGAUGCGACAGCGUUCAUACCGACCCAUAUCAUGUACCCCUAGCCAACCCGGCCGGCAACAUGCACUACUAGCCACCUCGAUGCGAACCAUGCCCUCAUGUCCACCAUGGGCAACACGCUGCUCAACUAGACACAUUUUAUGGCAAAAUAGUGCAUGAUGCCCAAUCUCGGUGUGCAAUAUGUGCAGUUGACUAGCGGUGCACGAUUUGAGUAUAGCUGGCUAGGCGUGCAUGGUUGGUGGCUAGAUGACUAAUAAGUGUGCCUGCGUCAUGUCCACGUUGUCAAGGUUGACCGAUGGGUGUAUACGUGGCCAUGUGUGCAUGCAUCGUGUUGGUCCAGCAGGCGUGCGAUGCAUGGGGCGGGCCUUGGUGGCUAGAGACCACAUAAAGUGGCACUGAGUUUUGAGGCAAAUGAAGGAUUGGGCCCCGCACCCCCUCCACAGGCCGGACUCGUUCCCUCUCGAUGGCUUGAUCGGGUCCCGUUUCAUGUGGCCGUGAUCUAGAUCUUGAUUUUUUGAGGUUACAACCCUAGAAAUGCUAUAAAUGUCCCGAAUAUGGUAGCGGAGCGAUAAAGGGCACGCAAUGAACUAACCCCCUCCCCCUCCCGGGUAAUUUAAGUUUAUUUUUCUCUACUCCUAUAAAACACUCAGUUUGUGAUGGUGGUGCGCAUGUCAUCCGUCAUUUCUGACCAUCAGAUCUGCAUCUAACGACUGUUAUGUAAGCUGUGACAUUUUUGGAACAUGACCACACUUCUUUGCUCCAAUUUGCAGAAACACCUUAGUAUCUUCAAACCAAUCUCAUCAAGACAUUCACAAGGAAUAUAUUUUGAGUGAAACUUAAUACGAUUAGAUUUUUAGUGAUAUAUAUACCAAAACUAGUGUUUUUCUUUCAAGUUUGUGACCAUGCAUUAUUCUACUUUGGAUCUGUUGCAACGCACGGGCACACUGCUCGCUUCUUAGUGAACGAUCUAACGAGUUUCACGAGUAGCUCGUUAGUAUCAACAUAACACCAAUUUCCAUCUUACGCGGCCAUUUUUGGAGGCAGCAAACUAGUGCAUUUCCUUUUUGAGUCACCAUCUUCCUUCUUGAAAACCACAUCAACACACUCAUCAUGUAUAUCGUAACACAUCAGAAUCUGUUAACGAGCGCUCACAAGCUUAACUAGCUUCAAACGAACCUAGCCAAUCAUGGUUUUAUGCUACUUAAUCUCAAUGAGCCGAUGAUUAAUAAGCACGAGUUUAACAAGCAGAGAUGCCAAACCACACACCAAUUAACAUAGGUCUACCUUAGUUCAACGCUUCCAUAUAUACAAAACCAACAAAGUAUAGCAUAGUUCAACCAUAAACGUUCACCAACAAAGUAUAGCAUAGUUCAACCAUAACACUUAGCAUAGUUAAAACCAAAAGAGCAUCAGUUCUAGCUACGAGGGUGCGCACUUCCCUAAAGCGUAGCCAUUCUAUCUUCAAACCAAUCUCAACAAGUACUCGGCGUACGCGGCAUGCUUCACCCUGAAAGCGUAGCCAUUAUUGAUGCUGCCUUGAGAGGUUCCGAGUGGAUGCUAAAUGGCACUCUGCAGGCUGCAUUUCAUCAGCUUGUUGCAGUAAGGGCAUCCGUAGCCCCCUUCCGAUUCUAGGCCUGAUACGUUUCUCGAGCGCACCACUGUCUAGCUCCCUCACCUUCUGCCUCUUGUAGAUCCUCUGGGUUUCUGGGUCACUGUCGACGUCGUCACUUAGGACCUACAUGUAGUACAAAAUGUUGCGUAAGUAUAUUUAAUAUGAGAAAUCACCAGGCACAUAGUCUAUGAAACAUAAUGUAAUUGAUGACAGCGUAAAAUAUCUUCAAAUGAUGUUGAAAAAAUAAAUCAUAAUUUAUUAGUUGCUACAUAAGCAACUAAAUGGGAUAGUACCAUAUAGUAAAAAAAUGAAGGAUCAACCAUACAUGUCGAAGAGAGCACUAGCAUUGCCACAUUUUGCCACACAUUUUUCCCAAGCUUGCCUAAGGUUAGUUCAUCAAAAUGAGAGCCACAAGUUGGCAAGCCUAAGGGAAUCUUGCCACACUUUUUGUGUGUAUGCCAUGUGGGGCCCAAGUGUGGCUUGCCUAAGGUGUGGCUGGAACCAAACACUCACUUAAGUUGGUCAAACUUGCCUAACUUUAGGUGUGGCAAUCUUUGGCAAAGUUAGUCACAAACCAAACAGCCCUUUAGUGCAACAAAAUUCACUUAUUACGUAAAAAUGCAUGAACUGAUGAUGUAACAUGGCAGAGCAGCAUACAGAUGUACUAAUGCAAAAAAAAGAAUUAUAACUUACAUUCAUGACUAGAUAAAAUAGCUACUGAGCUGUAUCUAUUUAGGGUUAGAAUUUUGUGUGCUUAUGAUGAUGGAUAUUGAAAGUCCCCAUGUUAUCGUCGUGGAAGUUUCCCCUGUUGAUCGAUAUCCCACCUAUCGAUGUUCCUGAACCAUUCAACAUUCUAGCUAAAGUAGUUAUUAUGAAUUCUGACAAUAAGUGAUCCCAAAUGUUGUACUUAGAAAAAAGGGUUUUUAUCAUUUAUGCCACCAGUUGUGUCCCACAACUCAGUAUCGCCACUAGGAAUUUCUACUGCUAAAAAAUGCCAUCGCUUCGUUAGACACAUGCUCAAAAAUGCCACUACACAUCAUUAUUGUGAUCUCAAAUCUCUUUUGACAUGUUAUAAUGGCAUCAAUCAAUACCUAUGGACCAGCAUGCCAGCUCUCCCUCUAUCUCACUACAAUAAAGUGUGGGCCCACUUGAUCCCAACAGCGUUCUUAUUUUCCUGUAAAAUUAUUCGCUUACUUACUCCUCACUAGUGGGCCACAUUUAUCAUUGUGAGAUAGAGAGAACUGAUAUGUGGGACUAGGCUUUUUUUGUCAUAUUGGAUGGUCACCAAGUUUUACAUGAAAAUAACAAUGUGUAAUGGCAUUAUUGAGCAAACAUCUAACGGAAGGAUGGCAUUUUUUAUACAUCUAAUGUCAUUUUUGAGUAAGCAUCUCACGAAUCGAUGUCAUUUUUGAGCAGCUGUAACUUCUAAUGGAAAAACUGAGUAGUGGGAUACAACUAGUGGCAUAAAUGAUAAAAACCCUACAAAAGAACUAAUUAAAACAACUCAAGUAAAACAUUGAUGAUAUCCAAUUUCUUUCUAAGAUAGCCAUUGCUUAGAGAUAAUCAAUGUUUAAAGUCAUUGCCGCAGCCACUUAUGGAACAUUUAAACCAAAGAUCGAUCAAGUGCAACCAAACAUGUACUCAACAUUUUAAUACCUUAUUUGCCUUUUACUGACCAGAGAAAACCUAGGAUAUUACAAAAUAAAUAAAUAAAUAAAUAAAUAAAUAAAGGGGAUACAUGACUAACCUAUUAUCCGUUCUCGUCGGUGACGACCACAGGUGGGGGCAGAGGAGGCAACACCAGCGGCAGAUGAACACCCGACUGAGGCUGAGGAGCCAUCACCUACUCCGGCAGAGAAGCCAGAGGAGCUACCUGUUCUGGAUUAUUAGCAGAAUAAUUUAUAUAGGUCAAAAAAUGACAUAUACAUGCCUCAAAAAAUGUAAUCUAGCUACACAGCUGCGGAUCUAGGAUUUCAUACUUGGGUGUUAAAAAAAUUAUAUUGCAAACUAAAACCACAACAAUAUUUUUCAAAUGGAGGGAGUAAUAUCUAAAAUUUUCAUGUGAAAAUAUUCUUUGUCCAUCGUAAUGACAGUACUGACAUGAAUGACAGAAAAUGAAGAUUAUUUACUUCAUGACCAUACAAUAUGACAUUUUCAUAAACAAGGCAUGGUGUUGUUAUCCUUAAGUUGCAGAAAAUAUUUUCACAAUCACCUACGUAGGCAAUUCAAUUCCAAGGUCCAGCUAUGUAUUUGUAUUAGCAGAGUCACCAAACCUAGGUGGAUUUAUUAGCAGAAUAAUUUGUCUAGAUCAAAAUAUGUUAUAAUGGCAUGUGAUAAUGGACCAACAUGUUAGUGUGAUCUCAAAUCUCUUUUGACAUGUUAUAAUGGCAUCAAUACCUAUGGACCAACAUGCCAGCUCUCCCUCUAUCUCACUACAAUAAAGUGUGGGCCCACUUGAUCCCAACAACGUUCUUAUUUUCCUGUAAAAUUAUUCGCUUACUUACUCCUCACUAGUGGGGCCACACUUAUCAUUUUGAGAUAGAGAGAACUGAAAUGUGGGUCUAGGCUUUUUUUGUCAUACUGGAUGAUCAAUAAGUUUUACAUGAAAAUAACAAUGUGUAAUGGCAUUAUUGAGCAAACAUCUAACAGAAUGAUGGCAUUUUUUAUACAUCUAAUGGCAUUUUUGAGUAAGCAUCUCACGAAUCGAUGUCAUUUUUGAGCGGCUGUAACUUCUAAUGGAAAAACUGAGUAGUGGUUUACAACUGGUGGCAUAAAUGAUAAAAACCCUACAAAAGAACUAAUUGAAACAACUCAAGUAAAACAUUGAUGAUAUCCGAUUUCUUUCUAAAAUAACCAUUGCUUAGAGAUAAUCAAUGUUUAAAAUCAUUGCCGCAACCACUUAUGGAACAUUUAAACCAAAGAUCGAUCAAUGUUUAAAUUUAUAUUGCAAACUAAAACCGCAACAAUAUUUUUCAAAUGGAAGGAGUAAUAUGUAAAUUUUUCAUGUGAAAAGAUUCUUUGUCCAUCGUAAUGACAAUACUGACAUGAAUGACAGAAAAUGAAGAUUAUUUACUUCAUGACCAUACAAUAUGACAUUUUCAUAAACAAGGCAUGGUGUUGUUAUCGUUAAGUUGCAGAAAAUAUUUUCACAAUCACCUACGUAGGCAAUUCAAUUUCAAGGUCCAGCUAUGUAUUUGUAUUAGCACAGUCACCAAACGUAGGUGGAUUUAUUAGCAGAAUAAUUUAUCUAGAUCAAAAUAUUGCCUAUACAGGGCUCAACACAUGUAACCUAGCUAGUUAGCUAACACAUCUACAGAAUAUUGAUACGGAGUCCAUCGAUCAAAGAUAAAAAGAAACCCUGGCCUUCCCCAAAAAUAGAGAAAAGGACUUACCAGAGCACACCUAGGAUUUUACAAAAAAAUAAAGGAGAUAGAUGACUAACGUCGUCUUUGUUGACAUCGCCGAUGACCACAGGCUCGGGCACAGGAGGCAUCACACGCGGCAGAGGAGACACCUGCUCCGUAUGAGGAGCCAGAGCAGCUACCGGGGCCCACAUAAAUGGCUGUGCAAGGACAGUUUCAUGCUGGUCAACUACCAUAUAUAAGAAAUUUUGGCCAAAACAAAAUUCGGGUCCACUACUGUACAUCUGUACCGGUGCUGCGGCUAUCAAAAUUUGGCAUCAACACAUUUUGGAUGCACGAGAGCCAUGAGAUCGGAGUGGUUGGUAUAUCUUAAAUAAAGAUAACCUAUACAAUGAGGAGCCGACCCCCACACCAUGUGGAUCCGCCCUGAAACCUAACGGAUCUAACGAAUCUAGGUACAGAUUUCAUAGAUGGAAGAAAAUCAGAAACCCUAGCCAUGCCCAUAAAUAGAUAAAGGACUGAACAAGGAAACCUAGGAUAUUUCCAAAAAUAGGAGUUAGAUGACUGACCUCUUCUCCGUCGUCGUCGCCGUCGACGUUAACGAUGGGCUGCGGCAGAGGAGGCAGAUGGCGUGGUAGAGGAGUCACCUGCUCUAGCGUAGGUGCCACCUGCACAGGAUGAAGAGCCUGGACGUGGUCGACGACGUCAAGGCCGCCCUGCUGCCGGCUGGACCCCUCGCCAGCGGGGACGAGUUUCUCCUUGUGCAGCUUCGCACGGGGCUUGGAUGCUUCAUGCGCCAUGGCGUCGGCCCUCCCUCCCAUGGUGCGCUUGGGCAUCUCGACGGCGGAGGUGCAGCGGCGGGAAGUGCACGGCGAGUGGUGAGGCGUGGGAGGAGAAAACCCUUGAUUGUGGCUAUUUGUGGAUGGAGAAGAGUACGGGAAGAGGGGGGCGGCGAUGAGAUUAAUGCUAUGGGGAAGCGGAGCGUGCUAUGGGGAAGCGGAGCAGCCGAUUUAGUCCUUGGCUAGUCAACCGCAUUUAUUGCCACGUUCACUCCUCCCCGUGUGUUGUUCACACCACCACUUCUGCCACGUCAAAACGCAACUUCUCACUAAAAUGAAUAGCCCGAUCGUGCACAGCCAUGAUUUAGGAGUAAUGCAACUUCCCUUCAAAAAAUUGUGUAAUGCAACUGCUCCCUCUUUACACAGAACAAAGUCAUACAGUAGGGCAACUGCAUUUGUAGGCUUGUUUCAUCUGCACGUGUCAUGUUUUAUAUUUGUCCUAAAAUAUGUUGUAAAACUUUACAAACAAUGGAAUGGCAAAUGGAUGUGACAAAACUUCGACAGCAACCGCGCGGAUUCGUUUGCCAUAUACCCGAUGUCCGAUACCGAGGAGGGGAAUGUUGAUCCACACGAUGCCAUGCGUUUCAUCUGGACCCAUAUCAUGCACCCCUAGCCAACCGGGCCAAAACAUGCGCCGCUAGCCUUCUCGAUCCAAACAAUGAGCUAGUGUCCACCAUGCGUAGAGAUGCUCAUGUGGACAGGUUUGCUAGCACUAGUGAAUGAUGUCGGAUCUCGGUGUGCAAUAUGUGUAGCCGCGUGUCUCUUUGGCAUGCCUGGCAUACCGACGGGAGGGACUCAUCGAAGGUCCAACGAACCGUGGUGGGGUCAAUGGUGGAUGUAUGGUGUGGGUCAACCUGGCUAACGGUGCAUGGUUUGAGUGUAGGUGGCUGGGAGGCUAGAUGGCUAAUGAGUGCGCAUGCGUCAUCUGUACAUUGUCAAGGUUGAACGGUGGUUGUCUACGUGGCCAUGCAUGCAUGCAUGGUGUGGGUCCAGUUGGCGUGCGGUGCACGGGACGUGCCUUCGUGGCUAGGGCGCACAACUUGCGGCACAGAGUUCUGAAGCAGAUGAAGGUGCGGGCCCCGGUCUCCGUCCACAAGCAGGACUUGUUCCCUCUCGAUGGCUAGCAUUGGGAUGCGUUUUGGUCUCGUUUACACACAACUACGUGAAGGCUUAUGCGUGCCGCUCUCGAUGUUCGACCACAACCACACCGCAAAAGGUCCCAAGAAAUUCCGAUCCCUCGUGAAUUUGCACGGAUUAUAGCGGCGGCAGACGACACCCGUCAUUUUUGCCCUUAACAACGGCUCUGAGCUGGCCCUUCCUGUUGUGGAAUUGUCACGACAGAUGUCCUAGUGUGAGGACUUAGUCGUGAGGCCAACGCAUCUACACGGUAGCUUGAAGGGGUUGGUCGGAAUCGAGAGACGCGAGGCGGAUCAACACACAAGACAAGGAUUUAGACAGCUUCGGGCCCCGGAAAACAUCAUCCGGUAAUAACCCUACAUGCUGUUUGAGGCUAGGUCUCAUUAUCAUCACGAGGGAGACGCCGUAAACCGGCUCUCCUAGAUGUGUCUAACCCUUAAGAUUAUUUCUCCCCCCUCUUGGGGUGCCCUGCCCCUCCUUAUAUAAGUUGAAGGGGCGGGUUACAUGUAGAGUCCAACUCGGAUUAAGACUUCAACUAUUUUGACUUCUCUUCAUGGGCUUCUUAACAUCUUGGGCUUCCUAACAUCUCGGGCUUGUUAACCCCAGACGACUCUGUCUGCUGGGUUAUAACUAUCUACCGGGUUAUGACUGUCUGCCGGGUUAUGAUUGUCUGUCGGGUUAUGACUGUCUGCCGGGUUAUGAUCUAACUUAACAUCUCGGGUUAUCAUCUGUCGGGUUAUCAUCUGACUUAACAUCUGUCGGGUUAUCUUCUGCCGGGUAAUCAUUUGACUUAACAUCUGCCAGUUUAUCAUCUGACUUAACAUCCGCCGGGUUAUCAUCUGGGUUAACUGUCUGCCGGUUUACCACCUGCCGGUUUACCGUCUGGCUUAGCCAUCUGUCUUAACUGUCUGCCAGUUUACCAAGUCCCAACCGGGUUAUAACUCCUGCCGGGUCAUACCGCGGGGUAUAUCCCCGACAUUAGCCCCCAGUUUAAUUUGGAUUUAUCCAUGUUAAACUAAUCCUGAUCAUCCUUAAGUCCUUUUCAUUUCCUUCUUUUAGAAAAUCCGGGUCAAUAGGCCAGCUUCAGAAUCAAUUUGCUAACAUUGGUUUGUCACAGAGAAAUAUUAUGAAGAAUAAUUCAUUUGACUCAGCUCCCAAUGCUUAACAAAAAUAUUGGUCCUUGAAAUACUCAUCUGAUCUUCAGCCGACUUAAGGAUGUAGAACUUCUCAGUUUAUCAUUGCCAAAAUUGCCGGUUUAUAAAUAUUGAUGGCACCGGGUCAUAAUUGUAGUUAACAUCAAGCUUGAAAAUACACCUCUUAUAUGCCUAUCACUUGUAGCCCCCAAGUCUUAAGAAGGUAUCGUAGCAACGACUUAAGACUUGCUUCAAUAUAAAUGUCACAACCUUGAAGACAUCCGAUUUGUUCAUCUCAAUGACAAGUCAUAAACUGAGUAUUCCACAUAUGUAGCCCCCAAGUGCCGGGUUGUCAUGCUUGCAGCAACCUGGGACUUGAAAUUGCCUUAUGCUCAUAAAAACUUCAACCAAUGUAGCCCCCAAGGGCCGGGUCAUUAUGCAAUAAUGAGCAGGGACUUUGUAAAUAUAAUCAUGUACAUUUGAGCAGUGAUGUGUAGCCCCCAAGGGCCAGGUCAUUAAGGUAAUACUGAGCUGGGACUUGAUAUAUACUUCAAUAAAAAUAACAUCUUAUAAUGUAGUCUCCAUCGUAGGGCUUGAACCCACGUCCACCAUGUUAAGAGCUUUGUGCUUUAUCAACUAAGCAAUGGACCCUUCAAUAUAAUGGAUUUAACUUGUGUACCUUGAAUUGUUGACAGGAGCAAUUGGUAGCCCCCAAGGGCCGGCUCAAUAUGAUGUGAUGAGUCGGGUCUUCAGUAAGGCUAGUAAAAAUGACUUUGCAUUAGCCCCCAAGUGUCAUGGUGCAUGCUUGCAGCGACAUGAGACUUGCAUAUUUGAUGUAAUCUCAACUUGAAUAAUGUAGCCCGCAAGUGCCGGGUCGUAAGCCUGCAGCGACUCGGGACUAUUCCUUCCAUUGUAGAAUAAAUUAUAUCCAUUGGUGAAAUAAUAGCCAUUGCGCUAAAGCAACUUUGAAAACCUCAAUCAUAAUACUGGUUAUUGAUAACCAUAAUAAAAAUACAGCCAUGUUGGCUAUUAAAGAUUUGAAUAAUAUAACCCAAUGAUUUAUAAGCGCAUGAUUCCAAUGGCGCAAUCCAAAUAUAUACUGGCGACUUAUAGUCCAAAGCCAGGCCGGGUUAAUAAACACCGGAUAUUAUCUUAUCUCAUACUGGCGACUUAUAGUCAAAAACCAGGCCGGGUCAAUAAACACCGGUGAAUUAUAAUCAUAAAACUUUAUAAGUCUUAUCAAAUAAACCUCAAAAAGAAAGAAUCUGCGAAAAACAUACAAGAAGCGAGGCUUUUCAUGGGCUGCAGGCCCAAAAAGAGGCUUUUCAUGGGCUGCCAGGCCACUGAGUUAAUCCAUUUUACAAACCUUAUAAGAUGGACCUCACAUUAACCAAUCGUCAUUUUAACUUUGACAAGUUCAGGGUCUGUAUAAGAUUGACUUGUCAAACGUUCGACGGGUCUUUCCAGGAUUACCUGGGCGGAGUGACUUACUUAAAAAGGCAGGAUAACCCGGGGUUUUAGGUGAAUACAGCUGGCUUCCAAGCCUGGCUUUUAUAGCCUAUCACAAGGUUAUAGACUCUUUGUUCUUUAGAACAAAAGAGCCCCCAAGCAAUAUUUUGAGCUGUGCUCAGGGGGGACCUAUGUUUGAGUUGUGCUUUUGCAACAGACUCUCUUUGGUCCCUUUAACUUUUCUAAGAACUCGAACUUGCGAGAGAUUAAUUCUUUUUGAACCGGAAAUUCUUAAACCGGAUAUUGAGAGCUUCAAAGCUUUGUGGGAGACAACUUUCCCAUGAGCCGGAUUUUAAACCGGAAUCCUUCUUUUUAAGCCGGAAAUUUCUUGACGGCUUUUAAAUUUUCACCAAUAUGGCGGUAGCCUCCGGGACCGGGUUAUCUUCCCUCCAAUGAUCGGGAAUUCUUGAAUUCACUGAAACCGGCCAAUUCUGCCGAGUCAUAUCAUUGUAGCCCCCGAGUCUCAAGACGACUUGAGGAGUUGGCUUGAGAUUCUCCAUAUUUAACCGUGAUAUAGACCGGUAUGAGUUAUCCAAUAGCUCAGUGAUAUAAUAGUCCCUUUUUGCAGUAGACAAUUUGUCCUGCAUUGGAAAACUUGCAAGCCAGAGUGAUUGCUUUUUUAAAGAAAUGAAUAUGUAAAAAAUAUACUGGAUGCAUUUCACCUGAUAUGUUCAGCCGCAAUUUAUCUGUCACUGAGUUGAUGAUCACUGCGAUGAAGCUGAAAUCAAUGACGGGCGAGUCGGCCACGGGAGCAGACAGAUGAGUCGGUCGCGGCGUUGUAAGCCGGCACAGACGGGCAAGUCAGCCGUGGGCACAGACAAUGAGUCAGUCGCGUGUGUUGAUGUAGCGGGGGCGGCGACUUGCACACGUAUCCGUCCAGCAGCGCGGCACGGACAAACGCUAGUGCAAAAUUAAUGCUGACGCGCACCAUUUUUGCGACACCUUUGUAAGGAAUAAUGGUCCUGUGAAAAAAUAUCAUAGACCAGAGUAAUUGUUCUCAAACAAUUUAAUAUGUGCUAAUGAAAUAUAUAGAAAAGAUAGCACCUGGUGACUUGUCAGACAAACGCGGGCACCGACAUUGGAUGAUAUAGUCGGACGAAAAAGAGUUCUCAGAUAUACUGUUAACUUUGUCCGAUCUUUUAAAUCGCUAGACGCGUCUGACAACCUCAUGGAGUAGUAUUCACAGCAAAAAUCAAAUUGUCUUACUCUUGGAUUGCUACGGAAGAGGCGUCGGGCAGUUGCAAUAAUCGGCUUAGAGCCACUAUAUCCUUGUGCCCACGUUCUCCUCCCCCACCUCUUUGCAUGCACAUAGGUUCUUUGUCCGGAAAAAAAAUCCGUGCAUACCAGAAGCAAACCUUCCCCUUUGCAACCCGGACGUCAUCUCCUGCUACGUGUUCAGGCUGAACAUCGCACGGCCUCCUCAAUUUUGCCCCAGGCGAUACGCAGCUCGGCUCCAAUCGCUGCACGCAUGCGUAUGGCUCGGCUCCAAAACUGAACCUGUACGUGCGAUAUUGACUCCCAUAGUUACGUGAUUGCUUCUGAUAAGAUCACAGCGUGCAGCUGCAGCCUUGUCCGCCUCCAAUCCUCCAUCAAUCCAAUCGAGAAUUUCUGAUGGCUGAGCGACCGGAACGUCCUCCAGGCGAUGCGAGUAGCCGCCAGUUCCCUGGCCCGACGCUCACUGCAGUAGGAGGAAUGAUAGCCAUGUCCGCCGGCCGUCAAAACACGCCCUCUCCCUCGCAUGAAGAGAUCGGACUGGAAGGACAGCCACGUCCGCUACCGGCCGUGCUGCUGCAAUCUGAAGCAGAGCUAUCUUGGAGAAGGUCGGGAGUGGCCAUGCCGGAAUCUCACACCGUUGCCUCGAACGACGACCAUGGUGGUUCUACCUCUGGCUUGCACCAUGUAAACCUCGUUGAUGAGAACAGUUGCUGCUCCAACUUGUACCAUCCGUCGUAUACGAUGUCAGAAGCCACGACAUGCACCAAGGACUUGCCGCCGCCACAAGUCAUGUCAGGAGGAGGCCAGCAAGAUGACGCGGUUACGGAUGGUCGUGGAGAAAAUGGAGAGCAAACAAUUCAGGUACGGCGGUCUCUUGGCUCAAAUUCGAGCGAAAUUUAUCUUUUCACAUUGCAUUGUGGUAACAGAAAUUUAACUUUGAACUAUGUGUAUUGUAGGUUCCUGAAGUUGGGAAAAUGUUUGAGUCAGAGAAAAACGCCUAUGACAUGUACAACACACAUGCCGGCAAAGUUGGAUUUAGUAUUAGAAAGAACCAGACAAAGCGUUGACAUGAUGGUAGUAUAUAUCAAAAAAGAAUUGUUUGCAGUAAUCAAGGCCAUCGAGAAACUGAGUCAUUGAAGGACACUACAAGGACGGAUUGCAAUGCCCGUAUUCAGUUUAGUGUUAGCAGAGAGGGGAUAUGGACAGUUCAAAAGGUUGUAACCGAUCAUAAUCAUUAUCUUGCUAGUCCCAAUAAGGUGCACAAACUAAGAUCCCAACGACGUGUUAUAGAAGUGGACAGUCAUCUAAUUGGCCAAAUACGGGAAGCCGGGAUGAAGCCAUCCCAGGUGUAUGACUUCAUGGUAGCGUUUUAUGGAGGACCGGACAAAGUGCCAUUCGCAAAGAUGGACUGCAACAACAAGAUUGGUUGUGAGCGCAAAAAGUACUUAGAAUCAAAUGAUUUGCAAACACUUCUCGAAUACUUGAAAAAUAAGCAGAGAGAGGAUCCAACAUUUUUUAUGCCAUUCAAGUCGAUGAGAAAGAUGGUCGGAUUGCUAAUUUCUUUUGGGCAGAUGGCCAGUCUAUCAUGGAUUACGCAUGUUUUGGAGAUGCUGUAUCAUUUGACACUACGUUUCAAACUAAUAAGUUUGAAAUGCCUUUUGCUCCAAUCCUGGGAACCAACCAUCACAAGCAGACUAUAAUUUUUGGGGCAGCGUUGUUAUUUAAUGAGACCAUUGAGUCAUUUGUUUGGUUGUUUGAAACCUUUCUAACAGCAAUGUCAGGUAAGCAUCCAAGCACAAUUUUCACUGAUCAGGAUGCGGCCAUGGCAGGAGUAGUUGCAUAUGUGUUUCGAAAUACAAGUCAUCGACUUUGUCUAUGGCACAUUUAUCUUAAUGCCGCUAAACAUCUCGGACAUGUAAUUCAUAAGCAUCCUGAGAAGCUUCUACCUGAUUUUAAGAGAUGUGUCUAUGAAUAUAGAUCAGAGUAUAAGUUCAACAAGAAGUGGCAUGCAUUGUUGGAUCAGUACAACCUCCAGAACAACGAAUGGAUGGCAAAGCUAUAUGAGUUGAGGGAAAAGUGGGCUGCUGUGUAUCGUGACUCAUUUACAGCUGAUAUGAACUCGACUCAAAGGAGUGAAGGUAUGGAUAAUGUCUUCAAGCAAAGAUUCCGUAGGAGACUUGGUCUCUCAGAACUCCUUGUAGAAUGUGAGCAGGUUUCUCGUAGUCUUCGGGAAAAUGAGUUGGAUGCAGAUUUUAGUUCGCGUCGAAAGAACCCGAUUACUUACUCAUCUAAGUUACCUUUGCUGAAGACCGCAUUUGAAUCAUAUACAAGGAGGAUUUAUUCAGAGUUUGAGGAAGAAUUUACAGGUUAUGACUGUCUGCCGGGUUAUGAUCUGACUUAACAUCUGCCGGGUUAUCAUCUGACUUAACGUCUGCUGGGUUAUCAUCUGUCGGGUUAUCAUCUGACUUAACAUCCGCCGGGUUAUCAUCUGCCGGGUUAUCAUCUGACUUAACAUCCACCGGGUUAUCAUCUGGGCUAACUGUCUGCCGAUUUACCAUCUGGCUUAGCCAUCUGUCUUAACUGUCUCUCUUAACUGUCUGCCGGUUUACCAACUCCCAGCCGGGUUAUAACUCCGGCCGGGUCAUACCGCGGGGUAUAUCCCCGACACUUCCCAUUGGUCGCACAUGGCCCAUAUAUGGACCAGAGCUUAGCAUGGAACUGUCACCCCCAAUCCCUGCUAUGAUUUCAUGUGGCUGCGGUAUAGAUCCUGAAUUUCCGAGGAUACUACCCUAGAAAUGCGGCAAAUGUCCCGAAUAUGGCACGCAUAGGCUCCGGGAAAGGCCAGGACCUUGCAUGCGCUUUUGGAUUGUUCUCCGUCGACCGGAGAGAAAGCAUCGACGAAAAUGGAGGAACAGGCCCGCAUUCACUGCGCAAACCGGACGCGUUACCUCAAGGUAUCUAGAUCCAAACAAUGCACCCCCGCCGUCUAGACCCACGUGGCGCACCACUUAGGCACUAGACCCACACCACUUACGCCGGCCCCAAGCCAACCAUUCCCCAUGUAGACUCAUAUGCCGCACCCCGCAAAAUAGCUUAGCACAAGACUUUCACCCCGAUUUCCACAACAUGCACCACUACACGUAAGUGUCCACAAAAAUGGACUAUCGCAUUAUCAACAUUUUUUUGCCAAAACAAGUAAGUUGUUUUUAAAUUGCUUGAAAGUAACAAGAUUUCUGUUAAAUUACAAUUUCAUUAAUUACACAUUAUAAGGUGCAUUUUUGGUCCCUCAAAAAGGGGUGCAUUCCUUUUUGUAAACCCACAAAAUUCCUUCCUUUCCCUCGAAAAAACGAAUCCUUCUUCACCCUCUCACGAUCACGUUCACGGUGGCCUCGUCCUAUAAUCUAGGAGUGGUCGAUCCAAUCUCCCCACGGGGGACAACUUCCAUGCACUAUCUAUCUUGGUUGGUUGCAACCAUCUCUUGAAAAUGGUUUAUUAUGGGAAAAUCACAUUCUUUUGUUUUUCCUUCCAAAGAUAUGUGGCGAAAAAACAUGGAACAAAAUUGUAGAAGGCUGGUGGGAUACGUGCACAUGCUGUCUUUUUGUACUACAAGUGCACUUGUUGGCAAAUUGCAUGCGCACGUGUCAUGUUUCAUUUUUUCUUGAAAAUUAUGUUGUACACCUUUACAUAGACGCUUGAAUUAUUGUUUUCAUAUGUUAAUAAUUCCUAAAUAUUGAAAUUCAGCAUGCACAUAACACAUGGCAUCCAAGCUUCGUCGGCGACUGCUUGGAUUCGUCUGGUAUAUGCCCGCUGUCUGGUAUCGGGCAGGGGAAUGUGGAUCCAUGUGAUGCCAUGCGUUUCAUCUGGACCCAUGUCAUGCACCCCCAGCCAAUCGGGUCGACAACAUGUGCCGCUAGGCUUCUCGAUCCUAACCAUGCGCUAGUGUCCACCAUGGGUAGAGAUGCUCAGGUGCACAGGUUUGCUGGCACUAGUGAAUGACGUCGUAUCUAGGUGUGCAAUAUGUGUAGUCGCGUGUUGCUUUGACAUACCUGGCAUGCUGAGGGAAGGGACUCAUGUCGGAGGUCCAACGAACCGAGGUGUGGUCAAUAGUGGAUGGAUGGUGUGGUUGAACUUGGCAAACGGUGCAUGGUUUGAGUGUAACUGGCUAGGUGUGCAUGCUUGGGAGCUAGAUGGCUAAUGAGUGCGCAUGCGUCUUGUGUACAUUGUCAAGGUUGACCGGUGGGUGUCUACUUGGCCAUGCGUGCAUGCAUGGUGUGCAUCCAGUUGGCGUGCGGAGCACGAGAUGGGCCUUGGUUGCUAGGGUCCACAUCUUGCGGCACAGAGUUCUGAAGCAGAUGAAGGGGCAGGCCCCGCACACCGUUCGUAGGCCAGACUCGUUUCCUCUCAAUGGACAAUGGAUCUGAGGCGGCCCUUCUCUUUGGUGGCACAUGGCCCAUAUAUAUGGACCAAAGAGCUUAGCAUGUGAUUGUUACCCCAUUCUCUGCUAUGAUUUCAUGUGGCCGCGGUAUAGAUUGUGAAUUCCCGAUGAUACUACCCUAGAAGUGCGGCAAAUGUCCCGAAUAUGGCAUGCGGGACCCAAGAAAGGCCGGGACCUAGCAUGCGCGUUUGCAUUGUUCUCUGUUGACCCGAGAGAAAGCACCGAUGAAAACGGAGUAACGGGCCUGCACUCAGUGCGCAAACCGGCCGCGUUACCUCAAGGUAGCUAGAUCCAAACCAUGCACCCCCGUCGUCUAGACUCACGUGGUGCACCACUUACGCACUAGACCCACACCACUUACGCCGGCCCCAAGCCAAGCAUCCCCCCGGGUAGACUCAUACUCCCUUCGUCCGGAAAUACGUGUCAUCAAAAUGGAUAAAAGAGGAUGUAUGUAGACGUAUUUUAGUUCUAGAUACAUCUCUUUUUAUCCAUUUUGAUGGCAAGUAUUUUCAGACUGAGGGAGUAUGUCGCACACCACAAAAUAGAAUUAGCACAAGACUUUCACCCCGAUUCACGAGGUUGCUACCUUGUGCACCCCUAGCCAGCAUGAUACACUGCAUGCACCUAGAGCUACCUGGGCCCACAGCAUGCACCACUACACGUACGUGUCCACAAAACAAACUAACCCGUAAUCAACUUUUUUUGCCAAAACAAUUUAGUUAUUUUUAUAAUGGCUUGAAAAUAGCAAGGUUUCUGUUAAAUAAUAUUUUCCUUAAUUACAAUAAGGUCCAUUUUUGUCCCUCUCAAAGGGGUGCAUUCCAUUUUGUAACCACACAAAAUUCCUACCUUCCCUCAAAAAAAAGAAUUCUUCUCUCACGAUCACGAUGGCCUCACCCUAUAAUCUAGGAGUCGAUCCAAUCUCCCCACGGGGGCCAAGUUGCACGCAGUAGAUAUUUUUGGUUGGUUGCAAAUUUCUCUCCAAAACGGUUUAUUAUGAGAAAAUCACCUUAUAUAUAUUUUUUACUUCCAAAGACAUGUGGCGACAAAAGCAUGGAACAAAAUCGUAGGAGGCACGGUUGGAUACGUGCACAUGCUGUCUUUUUACUACAACUGGACUUGUUGGCAAAUUGCAUGUGCACGUGUCAUGUUUCAAUUUAUCUUGAAAAUUAUGUUGUAGACAUUUACAUAGGCAAUUGAAUUAUUGUUUUCAUAUCUUAAUAAUCCCUAAAUAUUGACCAAGUGACACAUGUGGUAAGCAAUCCAAAAAAUUCAAAAAAAAAUCCCUAAAUAUUGAAUUUAAGCAUGCACCUAGAAAUUAUCAGUCAUAGAACCAACAUCUCUUUCAUACAGAUUAAGGUACUUCCACAUUAAACCUAAUACUACAAAUUCAAAGGAUCAACUUAAUACAUUAACAGCACAUAGGGAUGUAGCCCAGGAAUCCAACGAGUAGAGAGAAAAGGAGGAACAAAAGCUGGAAGAAGAAGGAUCAGCCAGCAGCAACGCCAUCAGCCUCCUAGCCUCACAACUCCAGGUCUCCAGCCUUGUGAACUCCAGUUUUUUUCCUGCGAAACACGAAUGGCAAAGUUGCUGUUACAGAUUAGGACUUAGUAAAAAUUACAGUUAUGCUGAAACAGUUAUAAUGACUAGCAGUGUUGACAUGAUGGUUACAACAAGCAAACAAAACCAAGAUCACAAGUUGCAACUUACUUUCAACAUCAAAAAAUUAUAUUAACAUGACCACUUUAGAGCAAGAUUUUACCAUGCAACAUAAACUUGUCAUAGCAACAAAAGGCAUGACAUGAAAGUAUUGACAACAUAAUGCAAAUAAUUUUUAGGAAGCAUGGCCAUAGGAGUUAUAUUUUUAGUGGCAACCUUCAAGCAAAGUUGCAUAGUUUUAUAACAGAAAGGGCUGCUGUUAUUGGUAGAGGCACACUGAGAUUGGCUUUCCAUCGAGGAUGACCAGGUGGGCCAGGGGCCACGUGGCUGGGAGGGUUUGUGUGUGUGACUGCCGUGGGACCCGGAUGUCAGUGGCUUACUCUGAAAGCAAAAGGGGGGUUUAUAGUUUAGUGGGAACCAUCAAGCAAAUUCGCAAAGUUUUAUAGCUGACAGAUUUAUACUUGCUGAGAUGCACAGAGUAAAAUGAUGGCAUGUUGGAGGCAAUAAAUAAAUAUGCUACAUGGCUUGUCAUGGCAUCUAAUUGCACAGAAUGCUAGUACAAAUCAUGGAGAACAAGACAUACAACAUGAGCAUCUCCAUAAGAGCUGGUAGCUAUACCAAAAAGCAAUCAACAACUCAAAAAAAGGUUCAAAUAUAGUAUCAAGCACUUAAUAAUAGAAAGACACAUAACAAAUUUUUGGAGUAGAAGUGCAGGUGAACAUCAAAUUCUACCACUACAACAGUACAAAUUUAGCCUAGGGUUCAUAUACAUCAUAAUCACUACCACCACAACUGUAAGCACGAGCAGUAGGAAGAUUAGGAGUGGGGAAGCUUACUCUAAAAAACGGUACCGCUGCCGUUCAGACGAGGGGAGCGGCGAGGGAAGCGUGGAGAACGGCGGGGAAGCGAGUUUGCCACCAUUGCCCUCCUCCUCUUGCGCUUCGAAGUCUCCGGUGACUCCGUUGGUGGCUGCACAAUCUGGAACGGCACCUCGUGCACGGUGGCUUCCUGAUCCAGUGGAUGCACUACCCUGGAUCUGAACGCCCACCACCUCCACCUGACCCAUGGUUUGGACGAAUCGGCCUGCUCCAUCGCCUGGAGGAGGAUCUCGAUCUUGUUGAUCGGUUGUGAGGACGGGGGGCAAAGCUUCUUGUUUUCUCUCUUCGACAUUUCCUUCAUGGUGGCCAUCGCCGUCCAGCACAUUUGCAGUGUGUUGUCAAACCAAGAAAGGAUCUCGGUCAACCUGGCCAUCUUGCGCUGGUCGCCACCGGCGAUCUGCUCGAUCUCCUGCUCCAUCGAGAGGGGGUGGGGGUGGAUGUGGAUGUGGAAGAGGAGACGAGCAAAGUUGCGGCGGCGAGAAGGAGGAGAUGGCUGCCGUGGAUUUGGAAUGCAGGAGAGGGAGGAGAUGCCUGCGGUUGUGUAAUGGUGAUGGAAGAGGAGAGGACCCAGGCGGCGGCGGUUCUGCAUUGGAUGAGAGGGGCGGCGCGUGAUUGUUUUUUUCCUAUGACUUUUUUUGAGACAAUUUUUUUCCUAUGACUAAAAUGCCAUAGAUUAAAACGGUUCCAAAAAAGCUCAACCACUGUAAAACUUUGUAUAAUAAAUAUAGAUAUUUCGGGCCAACCAAAGCCCACAACAUGACAUAUAUAGUACGCUUACAACUGAAAUAACACCAAGACAAAUAUAGAUAGAUACUAGAUUUUUUAGCUAAAAACGAUAGAUAGAUAGAUAGAUAGAUGGCCACCGCUUCUCCACCAGGCUCCUCCUCGCUCCUCCUCCGGGCGCCCUUCACUGCUCCUCCGCGAUGUUGUUGAUGGGGUACGGCAGAGUGUGCAUGCGCUCCUCGGUGGGGAAGACGUUGUCAUAGUUCGUGAAGAUGUUAUGGGUGGUAAAAGCUAUGAACUCGCAGCCACAUGAGAACACGCGGCCGAGGAGGUAGAACGCAUCGAAGGGGUUGGUGAAGUGGGCAACAUAGCAACCACAACCCCGUUUUGGAUGACCUCCUCGACUCGGUACAUCCUUGGAGAUCCCCGGGGGAGGUGCCCGUAGCCGGCCCCAAGGAAGAAGUCAGUGAACUCCCUUGCGCCCCUCCACCUUGACAUCGCCCACACACGAAGGGUGCUCUCGACGUACACCCCGGCGGGGUAGAGCAUCUCCAGCACGGUGGGGGGGAAGCGGUAGGUUGGCCCGGUGUACUGCAUGGCUGCGGCGGGUUGGUUCUUGGGGCUGUUUGUGGUGAAGAAGAAGAAGGGCAGACGCAAAAUGCAGGUGGGAGAGUAUGGGAGAUGGAUGAAGGGUGUGAUAGGAAGAGGAACAUGAUAGGUGGCUUAAAUAGUCACCGUGGCAGUAAUGGAGUCAAAUGUGAACAAGUUUUCCACCCACCGCGUCAUCGGGAGUGUACACGCGUGGGAAACUGUAGUGUGAAUCUAAAUGCGAAGUUUAAGCACUACAAAAAAAGACACAUCCGUGACAUUUUGGGCCGAACGAAAUUUUUUUCUGUCAUACAUAUGACACUUCUAUGACGAUAAUUGUGACAAAACCCGGUAUCAUCAUAGAUGUGGUGGGCUCCUACUUCUAUGACAAAAAAUCAUGACAGAAAAUGGGCUUUUCGUCCUGGGCGGGCCGGAGACGCAACUGCAUGACAUUCUUUGGGCCGUCCAUGACGGAAAAAACCAUGGUAGAAGCGAGGGGGAGGAAAAUUUCGGGGAGUUCCCGGUUACGGUGGGAGGUCGGGGGCUGAGCGAUGCGCGUUUCUCUCAUACACGUACGCGCGUGUGUGCGAGGCGUUGGGCUCUAACUGAACCCGAGCGAUCGAUCGAUGGCUGUUAACUGAACUCGAUCGAGCGAUUCCUUCGCUACUGCUGCUAACUGAAGCNNNNNNNNNNNNNNNNNNNNNNNNNNNNNNNNNNNNNNNNNNNNNNNNNNNNNNNNNNNNNNNNNNNNNNNNNNNNNNNNNNNNNNNNNNNNNNNNNNNNNNNNNNNNNNNNNNNNNNNNNNNNNNNNNNNNNNNNNNNNNNNNNNNNNNNNNNNNNNNNNNNNNNNNNNNNNNNNNNNNNNNNNNNNNNNNNNNNNNNNNNNNNNNNNNNNNNNNNNNNNNNNNNNNNNNNNNNNNNNNNNNNNNNNNNNNNNNNNNNNNNNNNNNNNNNNNNNNNNNNNNNNNNNNNNNNNNNNNNNNNNNNNNNNNNNNNNNNNNNNNNNNNNNNNNNNNNNNNNNNNNNNNNNNNNNNNNNNNNNNNNNNNNNNNNNNNNNNNNNNNNNNNNNNNNNNNNNNNNNNNNNNNNNNNNNNNNNNNNNNNNNNNNNNNNNNNNNNNNNNNNNNNNNNNNNNNNNNNNNNNNNNNNNNNNNNNNNNNNNNNNNNNNNNNNNNNNNNNNNNNNNNNNNNNNNNNNNNNNNNNNNNNNNNNNNNNNNNNNNNNNNNNNNNNNNNNNNNNNNNNNNNNNNNNNNNNNNNNNNNNNNNNNNNNNNNNNNNNNNNNNNNNNNNNNNNNNNNNNNNNNNNNNNNNNNNNNNNNNNNNNNNNNNNNNNNNNNNNNNNNNNNNNNNNNNNNNNNNNNNNNNNNNNNNNNNNNNNNNNNNNNNNNNNNNNNNNNNNNNNNNNNNNNNNNNNNNNNNNNNNNNNNNNNNNNNNNNNNNNNNNNNNNNNNNNNNNNNNNNNNNNNNNNNNNNNNNNNNNNNNNNNNNNNNNNNNNNNNNNNNNNNNNNNNNNNNNNNNNNNNNNNNNNNNNNNNNNNNNNNNNNNNNNNNNNNNNNNNNNNNNNNNNNNNNNNNNNNNNNNNNNNNNNNNNNNNNNNNNNNNNNNNNNNNNNNNNNNNNNNNNNNNNNNNNNNNNNNNNNNNNNNNNNNNNNNNNNNNNNNNNNNNNNNNNNNNNNNNNNNNNNNNNNNNNNNNNNNNNNNNNNNNNNNNNNNNNNNNNNNNNNNNNNNNNNNNNNNNNNNNNNNNNNNNNNNNNNNNNNNNNNNNNNNNNNNNNNNNNNNNNNNNNNNNNNNNNNNNNNNNNNNNNNNNNNNNNNNNNNNNNNNNNNNNNNNNNNNNNNNNNNNNNNNNNNNNNNNNNNNNNNNNNNNNNNNNNNNNNNNNNNNNNNNNNNNNNNNNNNNNNNNNNNNNNNNNNNNNNNNNNNNNNNNNNNNNNNNNNNGUUUCGACCGUAGGAGGUCCGUUUCGUCCAUUUUUGCGGUAUGCCACACCCCUCCCGAUCAACAGGACCCCCGUUUCAACCGUAGGAGGUCCAUUUCCUCCGUUUUGCGGUACGCCACACCCCUCCCGAUCAACAGGACCCCGUUCCGAACGUAGGAGGUCCGUUUCCUCCGUUCUGCGGUACGCCAGGCGUCGCUUCCAUCGCCUGUUCCGUCCAAGCCCUCCCGAUGAACACGGCCACACAUUCCGUUCCGACCCAGCCGGUUGGCUCCCACGCGUUCCGUUGCCUCCCGAUGAACACGACGCAUUCCGUUGCCUCCCGAUGAACACGACGCAUUCCGUUGCCUCCCCAUGAACACGAGGCAUUCCGUUGCCUCCCCAUGAACACGACGAUGACGAUGUUUCUCCGUUCCGACCCAGCCAUGUACACGAGCCCUGGCCAUACGUAUGCGCGAGUAGGUGUUCGAGACCCUGCCCGUAUGUACACAUACGUGGCCAUAUUUUCUUUCUUGCACCCUGGCCGCUGUACGUACGUGUACAUGCUAUGUGCGCGCCUCUACUACGACACGUGCGCGCCUCUACUACGACACAUGCGCGCCUCUACAUCGACCAAUAUGUACGUACACGUUCGCGACCAGAAUGACAACGCUACGUACGCUUCAACUAGGUGGGUCCCGACUGUCAGGCACUUCCUUGCCUGCGAAGAUGUAGCUGGUGGGUCCCAGCAGUCAGGGGGCGAAUCGUUUUAUUUUUUUGCCCGGACGCACUUCCUUGCGUGCGAAGGUGUAGCUGCUGGGUCCCAGCAGUCAGGGGGCGAAUCGUUUUUUUACCCGGACGCACUUCCUUGCGUGCGAAGGNNNNNNNNNNNNNNNNNNNNNNNNNNNNNNNNNNNNNNNNNNNNNNNNNNNNNNNNNNNNNNNNNNNNNNNNNNNNNNNNNNNNNNNNNNNNNNNNNNNNNNNNNNNNNNNNNNNNNNNNNNNNNNNNNNNNNNNNNNNNNNNNNNNNNNNNNNNNNNNNNNNNNNNNNNNNNNNNNNNNNNNNNNNNNNNNNNNNNNNNNNNNNNNNNNNNNNNNNNNNNNNNNNNNNNNNNNNNNNNNGCUAGUGGGUCCCAGCAGUCGGGGGGCGAAUCGUUUUUUUUCAGACACACUUCCUUGCGUGCGAAGAUGUAGCUGGUGGGUCCCAGCAGUCAGGGGGGCGAAUCGUUUUUCCCCGGACGCACUUCCUUGCGUGCGAAGAUGUAGCUCGUGGGUCCCAGCAGUCAGGGGGCGAAUCAUUUUUUUCACGAAAUACGGUGGCCCGUCCGGUGGGUCCCCGCUGUCAGGUGGAGGAAUAAUUAUUUUGCGCGUAAUAAGGAGGCACUUCCUUGCGGCUGCCGUGGACCCACCUGUCAGCCUCUCCACGUACAGUCCACGUCCGAUGGAAGUUGUUCCUUCACCAUGUUGACCACGCCACGCCGAGAGCACCAGGGCGGUGGACGACGGCGAGGCCUAGGAAGGGGGCACUGCUUUGGGCGGCUGGAGCAAGAAGACCAGAGGUUGAAGAAGCACGACGGCCGUUGGAUGGACAUCGUACGGUCACUGCAGCUAGAAUCGUUUAUAUUGACUAAGUUGACAAAGCCCUUGGUACGUCAACUUAGUAGGCCCACAGGUCAGCUUCCGAAAUGGUGCGCCCCAGAUGUCAGGGGAAGGAAUCAUUUUUUGCGCGGGUGAAGCUAGAAUAUCCGAGAUUGAAGAAGAAGCACGGCAUCUAUUGGAUGGACAUCCAACGGCCACUGCUGCUAGAACCGUGUGUUGACUAUAAGUUGACAAAGCCUUGCAUACGCGUCAACUCUGUUUUUUAAGGGACACGUCAACUUAGUAAGGCCAGAAGUGUGUGGCAGAGAACUUAUAGCCCAUUUGAGAUUUGUAAGAAUGUGUAGCCCAUUUUUGAAUUCUAAUGGAAUUUACUACAGCCCAUUUACAGUUUGUUAAAAGUACAGCCCAUUUCAACCAACCGUUCAAAACAGAAUUCAAUAAAAUUUCCCACAUUUUGAUGGGAUCCGAAAUAUUUUUAUCCCGAAAUUUCUAGUCAGAUUAAAUACAAUUUCAAAAUAAAUUUAUAUUACGUAAAAAUCCAACGAAACAUUGCGCUCGCAACAAUUAAUGAAAUUAAAAUUUUCAAUAUCCAAAAAUAAUAUUUUAUAAAGUAAUCACGUGUUUGGUGCAUUUUUUUAUAGUUACUGCCCAGUUUUUAUAAUUACAUCACAUUUAUUAUUUCUUAAAGCCCAUUUUCUUGUUAAGCCUAAUGCAUCCCUCCUAGGAAAGAUUUGUAGCCCAGCGGGGUGGAGAAUAACAACUUGACCUUGCCUGGGUAUUCCUAAAAAAAAGUAUAGCUGGGCUAGCCAUUUUCAGCUUGAAAAAAAUUAAUAUCUGGGCUGGAUAUUUGGCCUGGGCUAGACGGGCCACAGCUCGCCCAGUUAAUACCUCAGCGAUGUUUUCGUUGUUGUUCUGAGGAGAAAAAUUAAUACUGGACUAAACAUCGAAAAACUCUGCAGUGCUCACACCUCAAAAACACAAAUAUUGCUCGAGCUGCUUGGUCCCAGCUGUCGGCUGCUUCUUGUGCAAUUCUCUCGUUUGUUGACUACUACAUAGGUUGACAAUGGUGUGGGACCGUGAUGUCAGGAAACCAGGAGGAAGCAAAAUAAAUUAUAUAUAUAUAAUAAGGAGGCACUUGCGUACGUGAGGCUAUGGACCUGGUGGGUCCCCAUUGUCAUCCUCUCCAAGUAAAGUCAUCUCCUCGCCCGUGCGCGCUUUCCGCCCGAAACAGUCAGCGCCGCCCGCCCCGCUUCCCGGUGCAGGCGAUUGCUCCGCCUUCAAACGACACAAGUGUCGUCCGACCGUCCAUCUGCCGCCCACAUUAAUGAUACGCGGUUGCCGAGGCGGCUACUCCGGCGCCACACGUCUGUCCCUCCGCCCGCCCACCAUUGCUAUAUAAACUGCUGCGCCGGCCAUAGCCGCAGUCAUCCGCAUCUGUUCCCUUUCUCCUGUCCACACCACUACUGCCCACCAUGGCUUCCUCGUGCUCCAGCGCUCUUCGGGACGGGCAGACGACGGACCACAAGGAGAUGGCAGCCAUUGCUGCCGACCGGCUGGCCGGCAGGCAGCCGGAGGACGACGAUGUCCCAAUGGAGAACAUGGUAGUCGAGGAUCCAGUGCCAACCCCCUCCUCUGCGCCAUCCUCGCUGGUGCAUUGCACCAUGACCAUCGGCGAGGCCCGUGCCCAAUAUAUGGACAGGGUGAGGCAGAUGCGUGAGGAGCAGUUCCGGGAGGCGCAGGCCGACGCCGCCUACAACCACCAUCUCCUCCAGGAGCACCUGCAGGCGGAGGAGCAGAUCGCCGCGUAGCGGGCGGAGCAGGAGGCGCUGCUCGACUUGUACCGCUCCGCCCGCAAGGUCCGCCUCGAGCGCUGGCGGUACCGCAUGCGGGUGGCAGAGGCUGCGGCCGCCUACAAAGAGGCUAGCAAAGAGGGCGAUGAAGCGGGUGAGGCGCUGUUUGUCGAGACCGAGGACGAGGCAGAGGACAAUGCCGGCUCUGACGAGUCCCCGCUCCGUUGGCGUCGACAAGGCCCUGCUCCGCCGAGGCCCCGUGGCGCCAACAACGAGGCAGAGGACACAGCCGGCUCCGCCGAGGCCCCGCCCCGCCAACAACGAGGCAGAGGACAUCGCCGGCUCAGCCGAGGCCCCACCCUGCCGGCAACAUGGGGGAGGAUUUCCACCGCUCCGCUGAGGCGCCGCCCGUCGGCAACGAGACAGAGGACAUCGCCAGCUCCGCCGAGGCCCCGCCCCGCUGCCAACGAGGCCGCGCCACACAAAAAACGAGGAAGAGUAGAACACGGUAGGUCACCGCCGCUUGGGUCCAAGUAAGGCCACCGCUGCUACCCUUCGGUUGAAGCCAAGCUAGGCGGGUUGACCAUUGACGGCCGGUUAGCUUCUUGGCGGUGACGUGGAGUCGGAGAGCUGCGCUGGAGAAGAACGCUGCUUCUACUUAACUGCUGGUGCAGUUGGCUGACUGACACGUGGGCCCAACAGGCCACAUAUCAAUUACGCAACUGCACCUGCAGUUAAGUCAUUGAAGCUUCUGUUCGGCUCAGCGGGACACACGUGGGUAGCUUCGGUUAAUUAAUUAUACCUCCAGCGCACCCCUUUUUAGUUGAGGAAUGUAUGAAAUGUAAUGAAAUACGGCAUGUUUAUAUGAAAUCCGACCGUGUGAAUGAAUUUAUUUCGAUUAGUUCGAAUUCCUGUAUCACUGGCAUUGGAUGAACAUGCAAAACAAUACGUACUAGCAUUAUUCCCAGGGUGAUCACCUCGUUUGCAGCAGUUUCACAUGUACUCCCUCCGGUCCUUUCUAGUCGUGCAUACAAGUUUUGUCUGCAGUCAAAGUAUCUCUACUUUGACCAAUCUUAUACAAAAAAGUAUGCACUUUCACAAUGUGCGAAGUAAAAAGGAACAGAAGGAGUACAAAGAGUUUGAGCAGCUUUUUAGCGUUUCUAUACAUUGCAAUCAAACACACAAGCCUGGCAAUUCAUAGAGAACAUUCAAAACAAUCGAUGAUUAUGCAUCUCAGCGACUCACAUGUCAGAGGCAAUAUUUACUUCACAACUAAAGAAUAAAGAAAAAUUGAUCGACGCUGCUGACAGCAAAGGGCGUCCCAUUCAAAAAUAUCAAACGCAUGUCUUGCUAAAAUCAAUGAGCAAAAUUUGACAAGGUUGUCCCAUUCCAAAAUAUCAAAUGCCUACGAUUGUGGAAUGGGCAGGGUUUGCCAUCAGUUCGGACAUUGACAUGGCACCUCGUGCUAAAUAAACCAGCUUUCUUUUUGUGCAGUUCCACCAAAAUCAACCAAAUUCGCGUGUAGCUUGUAUGAUUUCGCCCUUAUAUGUUGCAACGCCUUGAACUUAUCGGCACCUCCUUUCUUCUGGUGGAAAUGAAUGAUUCGAUGUAUUCAUGAACAUUUUGUGCAGUUCCCAUUGAAAUCAAGCUGAGCACCCCUGCUUGCACAAAUACAAAAAAGUGAUUAGUAUAAAGCAAACUGUACUAUGAAUUGACAGUUUCAACAGGCACAUACAUGGUCCAUGUAGAGCACACUUUUAGAAAAAUGGAACUCACCAGAAAGAAUCCUAGAACAACAUUGUACUCGCGCAUCACAGCAAAAAAAUGGAGAUUUGUCAGUCCUUCUGAGCUGAAGUUAGUUUGGUCUUGUGGGGAGUAAUGUAACCAUCCUUCAAUUGCUCCUUCUGAUGAGAAGAUAGACAGGGCUUCUUCAUCCUGGCAUAAUCGGAACUAGUCACUUCACAUACUCCAUAUUCUUCUUCAGAGGAAGAUGAUCCUGUUGUGCAAAGACAAGAGGACUACUAAAUGCUAGCAUCCCUGUUUGCUCGAAAAAAGGAAUGGAAAUAUUUAAAACAACACAGAUGAAGCACUUCUCAAGGGCAAUACCACUUUUUCAUGACAGUAUCUAAACAGUAGCACAACACCAAUAGAGAUGACAAAGCUCAAUCAUAUGGAUGAAACCAGUGGGCGAGUACCAACCUUUGUCAGGAGGCUUAUUGUGUAGAGCAUACAGAUGAAGCACUUCUCCGGAACCAUCUGUUGCUAUCUACGGUGGUGGCCAUGCUUACUAUAUACUCCUCGAUUAGUUUAAUGUUUCCAACAUCUUCUUGUGCAGUUCCAACUAAAUAUAUAGUAUCUUCAAAGAAGAUCCCUGUUUGCACAAGUAGAGAUAAUUACAUAUUACAUUAAGAGUGGCAUCAAAUCAGUGGCAAAACAAUUGCUCGUUCCAGCCAUAGCAAUAAAUUAAGAUGCAAAACUAUAUCAUUACUUGUGUCAUCACAGUUCCAGCACCGGGAGUUGAUUUUUGUUUUUCUUCCGCUUGUUCUUCCCCUUCAUCACUUGGUUCAAUAACAGACAAGCUUCGCCUUCAAUGUAAGAUUUGGCAUGUCAAUUAGGGAGCACAAGUAUAGUACUAAACUUAAUUUUCUGAUGAAAGUGGCAAAAUACAGGCCAGCAGUUGUGAAAUAUCCUUAUCUUACCUCAAUGGGAUAUUACGGUGCACAUACAGAUGGGAAGUCUUGUCUCCAUUUGUGUAGUUCACUAAAAUCAAGCAACAUUAUCAUACAAGUAGCACAACAUAUGAAAGCACACUGCAGAAUCAUGUGAAAGAAGGCUAGUACUGACCUCUCAUGAUGCGGAAUUCAAACAACUCACAAGAAGAAGAUCUGAACCAAAUUCGCCUUAACGGAUAGGAAGUAAGAUAUGCUCUUGUGCAGUUCCACUAAGAUCAAGCAAUCAAGCAACAUUGUCGGUGUGACAUUUUGGUUGAACUGCACAAAACACUCUUAAAACAAAAGUGUUUUGUGCAGUGCAACAAAAGGUCACAAUGGCAACAAGGUGAAGUAGAUAACCCUGUUUACACAGAGGUGCAAAGGAAACAAUUAGUGGUCAAUAACGGUGGAUGACACAGAAGCCAACAAAAAGAAGCAUCUACCUUAUCUAAAUGGGAAAGAAAGCAAGACAGUAGCAUUUCUCAAACGGUGGCAUUGAUUAAUAUUAACAUAGAGAUUAUAUUAACAAUAAAAUUCAUUAAACAUGUAAUUUGCUUUUAGCUGUGGCAUUGCAUCAGUUUUCCAGCGGCAUUAUUAGAGGGUGUUUGUUUACAGGGACAUUUUCGUGUAGGGACUAAAAAAACUCCGUGUCAGUCCCAUCUAAACCAAACAGGAGGGACUUUUAGGGACUAAAAGUGGGCAUUUGGGACUAAAGAAAGAAGACCCCGAGGGAGUCUUUUUGGGACUUUUUCCAACAGUUGCCCCUGCCACGCAUCGCACCUUGUCUCUAUUAGUUCAUUACUAGGGGUAACAUGGUCUUUUAGCAUGUCAUUUAAUAACCUCUAGUCCAUGUUUAGUCCCUGGAACCAAGCAGGUAGGGACUACGGAGUUUUUAACCAAACAGGGCCUUAGAUUAACAAUAGCUAAUGAGUUGCACGGGACAGUGGACGCACCAGCACCAUGUGCAUCUACCGAUGUACUGUGGUCAUGCACAGUCUGUUGCAACAAAGAACAAACAACCAAGGAGCAUAUUUGUGUUGGUCCCAGUUUUGUUAUCUUUAGCCACCUUUCCCUAUGUGAGCGCAGCAAAUCUAGUCCUGCUCAAACUCUACAGCCUUGUCCCUUCCUUUCCUUUUUGAACUAGUACUUUCGCCCCUUCCUUUCCUCUUUGAACCACGUCCUAGAUUUAUGCGAUACAACUUUCCCCCAUUCCUUUCCUCUUUGAACCACGUCCUAGAUUCAUGCUAUACAACUUUCCCCCUUCAUUUCCUCUUUGAACCACGUCCUAGAUUCAUGCUAUAUACAACUUUUCCCACUACUUUCCCCCACUCCUUUCCUCUUUGAACCACGUCCUAGAUUCAUGGUAUACAUGCAGCUAGAGCAAUGCAUGUGGAGUAAGUAAAUUAUACCUUAAGGUUCUAGGGGCGUGGUUCGGUGGGCGACGGGACGACGGCGAAGAAGAAGGGGUCGGAGGCCCUCCCGUGCCGCCGCUGGGUGGAAAGUGAACAGCUGCGCCGGUAGUCCCUCGUUGACGGCGACAGCAUUAAGCCUCCUUCCCUUCCCGACGGACGGAUCCUGCCGGCUCUUUGAGCAGCAGUGAGGGGAGAGAGAGGCCAACGAAGUCUUGUUUAGAUCUGGAGAGGGCGAGAGAGUGUGAAGGGAGCAACUACAAGCGCUGAGGCUCCAGCGGGAGAGGGCGAGAGAGUGUGAAGAGAGCAACUACAAGCGCUGAGGCUCCAGCGGGAGAGGGCGAGAGAGUGUGAAGAGAGCAACUACAAGCGCUGAGGCUCCAGCGUGUAUAUAUAUACUGGAGAGAGAGUGUGAAGCGUGCAAACCCUAGAAAACAUUUUGACCAGUCAAAGAAUCCUCCUGGCACAAAUUAUGCUCAAGUGUAGUUAUCGAACCCGAGACCUCAAGUUUGAUGAGCGAACAGGCUAACCAGCUACACAACCCUCCCGUUAUGUUCAACGAGAGGGAAAUAACAUUUUAUACAUUCCUGCAUUCGUGUGACAAGCAUGCCGUGUUUUUUGUGUGUGUGUGGGAGUCAUUGGGAUUUCAAUCAUAAUCGUGUCAUGUGGCUUUGGUGGUAAGACUAUCCACAGUGGUGCAGAAAUAAUGCAGCCUUAGUCACCUUACCUCUCUCCACGUAGUACGUUGGGUCCCACCAGUCAGAGGGUGAAACAAACAAAUUAAUAAGAAAAAUUAAAAGCGUCAGCGGUGUAUCUUACCUCACACAUCUCGCUACUGCUCGGGAACAUUGUCCAAUUGAUCCCUCUGUUCGCUCACGUACUAUUUUAAGUGAAUCCUUAUUAUAACAUGCACACAAAUUUUGGGCACUUGUAUUCGACUUAAGUCAGUGUACCACCGUAUCUCGUAUACUUACUACUCCCUCCGUCUAGGUGUAAUAAGUCACGUUAGAAGGUGCAACGGGACCAAGGUGCGUGCGUGUGCGCGUGUGUGUGUGUGUGCUUAACAGCAUGUGUGUGUUAGAGAGAGCGACAGAUCAACCUACUCCUACAGAGAGAUGUUGUGUAGUGUACGAUUUUAGCCGCGAGAGUCGGUGCAUCCUCUCGUUUCCGGGCGUGUCCGGUAGGGACAUGCGGACAGCUGCCACGCCCGCUCCUGACCAGCCUGGCCCACCCAAAGCCCCUCCAUCGCCCGCGCGCUUCCCGCCCGAAAUAGUCAGCGCCACUCCAAAGAAUCGGUGCCGCAUUCAUGCCCGGGCAGAGCGGACGUGACCUCUCACCGGCGCAAGAGUGAUGGUUGCUUCGUCCGUCCAACUUACUGCUGGGUCUAUAUGAUUUGACGGCUCAUUGGUCUUUAUUACUGAGGUGGUAGGACUGCUGGAUGUCCCACGCUUUCGGCGAAAGGAGGUACUACUACUAGAUUACAAUUUUCUCCAUUCUUACAGCGGAGGCGUGCAAGAGCAGUGAAAACACGCAGGCUCAGUGAUUACAUGGCCCACCUCACACUAUCACCGUGCGACACCUAACUCUUUACAUAGUACUCCCUCCGUUCCUAAAUAUUACUAGAUGAGUCCCCGCGCGUUGCCGCGGAACAACGGUAUAUCUCUCUGCGCAAAAUUAUCGAUUUCAUAGAACUAAAAAAACUCUAUAACCGCAUGACAAAUGUGGUAGCCAAACUAAAUAAACUCCCAUCAUCAUUUAGAUCAUCCCAUGUAAGGAAAAAAGAUCAGCCAACUCCUACUGCAUAAUGGGAUUAUAUUUUUCUUUUUGACAUGUUAAUGGGACUUAAAAGCUCACUUACAUGCAUGCUACCGGUGCAUGCUUGCAUGCAGACAUGUUGAUGUGAUUUAAAACCCACUCACAUGCAUGUGCCACGGUAUUUCUGCAUGCUUGCAUGUGGCUUAGUGCGGAGCCUCUCAACGUCUAGAUCAGACGGCUAUUAUGGAUUGAUUUACUUCAUCUAAUGGCUACAUCAAUUUUGAUGAUGUGGCUCAAGGAGAGGAUAGAGAAUUCCUAGUAGUGGGGGCUAGCUAUUACUAGUAGAUAAGUCUUUGUAGAGAUUCCACUAGAUAGGAACAAAAUGAAUGAAUCUACACUUAAAAUGCAUCUAUAUACAUCCGCAUGUGGUUCAUGGUGAAAUCUCUACAAAGACUUAUAUUUAGGAACGGAGGAAGUACUAGUAUAGUACGUACUGUAAUUUAUCAGCGAGAUAAAUUUGUACAAUGCUAUGAAGCUUCCAGCUUCUGUUACAUGUAUCUUGCGUCCAAGGUUGCCCGUUGCAACAUUUCAUCAAAUACAAAGGAGACUAACAUGCAUGCUAUUGCAUCCCAAUGAUUGACAGAUCAUAGCAAAUAUGUACUCCCUCCAUUCCAAAAUAAGUGUCUCAACUUUGUGCAAACUUUAGUACAAAGUUGUACUACUACUAAAGUUGACACUUAUUUUGGAACAGAGGCAGCUAAAGAAAAAAAGAUCCAUGCAGUCCCUAGCCCUUGAACCGUGAACCCUGACCAGGCUUCAAUUUGCUGGCAACGUUCGAGCUUCCUAAUAAAUAAAGUUUGCAACCUUUUGACCAUCGGAUCAUUUUGUGCAGUUUCACCAAAAUCGAGAUGAGCAUCCCUGUGGCAAAGAAAUUGAAGAAGUGUGAUUAGAAUAAGAUUACUGGGACUAGUUGAUGAGACAUAAACUCAUCACAAAUACAGUACGUAGAAGCCAGUAGAGGUAUGUGCGGGGCAAAGAAGUAGAAAAAUAUCCACAGGGAGUGAUGUGGGCAGCUGGAGCAGUGGUGCAAGCCGGCUGUAAAGGGAGUUGUACCUGAGGGACGUAGCUCAACCUAGAGGAGGGCGGCGGGAGGCGGCAACUGCCCACGUCACGACAGUGAGCAAGGGACGAAGGCAACCUCACUGGCUUUGUGAGAGAGAACGGCGGGGACCCCUGAUCGGGACGUGCCGACAGUGGGUUUUCGCCGUCGGCGACGGCCACCGCAUCUACACUAAGCAUCCACCCCUUCCCCAAGCGGACGUGAUCCGCCGGGAUGUUAGAGAUGUGGCCACAGUCGUUUUGUGCGAGAGAGUGUGAAGAGAGCAACCCCAGCAAGCAACCGUGUAGGCUGGCCCGUCCUGACUAUGUAUAUAGUGGAGCGGUUUCCUUUUCUCUCCAUAUGAACCUAUCAUAUUGCGGACGUGCCACUGAAGAAAAAAAACUUUAUUUAUAAAUGACGCGGCACGUACUACUCGUUCUCCUAUAACCUUGCGCUUGGCAUCUCCAAAAUAUUAACCUUGCGAUUGGCUCUUCGCCUCUUCAGGAAGUCGAGCAAUAAUGGUAGUGCAGUAUAUAUCGUUCUGGCUAUAUGAGACCGAAUAAAUUGCUGCACGUCCACCACGUGGGCGAGGGUCGAGGGGCGAGGGAGAGUGCUACAUACGGAGCAAAAUGAGUGAAUCUACACUCUAAAAUACGUCUAUAUACAUCAAUGUUUGGAGUAUGUACUAGUAGUUCAUAUUGAAAUCUACUAAAGGACAUAUAUAUUCCAAACAAUAUGAUAUAAUCUCUAUAACCAAGGUAGUAGGGACGAGGAGUAAACGGAGGGAGUAGUAAAUUUUUCUCCUCGUCCUGCGAGCCACCGCGCGCAUGGGCGAGGGAGCGGGCGUAAGGCGGAGCAAGCUUCACCUCAUCCUGCGAGCCACCGCGCCCGUGGGUGGGGGAGAGGGCGUACUAAGCAAGCUUCUCCUCGUUCUGCGAGUUGACGGGACACAUCAAAAGUACUCCAGUGUAUAGAGCCUUGCCUCUAAGGUAGGCCCCACAUGGUUUGCCUCUUUUUUUAACGUAACACGUCAAGUCGCAAUUUGUUUGUUCACCCGUGGUAGACGAUCCUCCCUCCACCAAGUGGGCAACUAGUACACGUGCCAAAUUACCACGUGGGCUGCCUUUUUCGUACAGAAAUGAGCUCCACCGUGUACCCGCGCGGGUGUGGUUGGGAAAGAGACGGGAGUACGUGCGCCGUGCAUGCACCUCUUCUCUUCGUGCACGUCCCCCACCUACGUGGGUGUGUGUGAGAGAUNNNNNNNNNNNNNNNNNNNNNNNNNNNNNNNNNNNNNNNNNNNNNNNNNNNNNNNNNNNNNNNNNNNNNNNNNNNNNNNNNNNNNNNNNNNNNNNNNNNNNNNNNNNNNNNNNNNNNNNNNNNNNNNNNNNNNNNNNNNNNNNNNNNNNNNNNNNNNNNNNNNNNNNNNNNNNNNNNNNNNNNNNNNNNNNNNNNNNNNNNNNNNNNNNNNNNNNNNNNNNNNNNNNNNNNNNNNNNNNNNNNNNNNNNNNNNNNNNNNNNNNNNNNNNNNNNNNNNNNNNNNNNNNNNNNNNNNNNNNNNNNNNNNNNNNNNNNNNNNNNNNNNNNNNNNNNNNNNNNNNNNNNNNNNNNNNNNNNNNNNNNNNNNNNNNNNNNNNNNNNNNNNNNNNNNNNNNNNNNNNNNNNNNNNNNNNNNNNNNNNNNNNNNNNNNNNNNNNNNNNNNNNNNNNNNNNNNNNNNNNNNNNNNNNNNNNNNNNNNNNNNNNNNNNNNNNNNNNNNNNNNNNNNNNNNNNNNNNNNNNNNNNNNNNNNNNNNNNNNNNNNCGAAAUUGUGUGUGUCUGCAAGUCAAAAUAUAGGGCGACUGGCCUACCGGAACGUUAGAGGGCACAUGUCAAGUUUGUGUGUGGCAGGGAGACAUGACUAGAGCGCUCGAUGUAUCGGUGUGUGGGGGGAGGGGGUGGGGGAGGGGUAGGCAGAGGCCUAACUAUAGAGGUAGAACGACUCGUAUAUGUGUUGAGAAGGAGAGACCCAGCUAUGUCUUGAGGGAGAUCGGUCAACAUCCAUACAUAACUAAAGGACGGGAAAUAUGAUGGGACAGAGAGAGAGAGAGGAGAGAGAGAGCGGGAGGGAGAGGGAGGGAGAGGGGUAGAAUGCUGGAUGGGUGAUGGAGUUGCUUCUCGAAGAUGGUGGGAGAGGCCUACUAGAAAAACUGAGGGUGGAACUGCAAUGUUCUCAAUAAGAGUGGGGAUGUGUUCCUGUGUGUGCCUGUGCGUGAUAGAUCUGUCGGGACGCAUCCAUGGAUGAUGAAGGGGAACCAUGUGUUUGGUAAGCAAACCUAACUAGAUCGGUAGAUCAAUUGUUGUUUGUCGGAGGAAGGGAGAGACACAACUAAUGAGGUAGAUCGAUUGACGUGUGGGUAAAAACGAGUUAUAAGGACCUAGCUAGCUAUAUGUAUAGCGAGAGAUCGGUCGGUGUACGCCCAUUUGUUAGAGGCAAAUAAGGCCCAGCGAGACGGAUAGACAGAGAGAAUGGAGCUAGGAGGUGGUGCGAGAGGCCCAACUACUAGCUAGAUAGGGGGAGGAGUGUGCGGUUGUGAGAUCGAUGAAAAGAGGGGAGAGAGUUUACACGUGUGUCUGACCGUAUGAGAGACAUGAGGCAAUGACACAUAAAGGAGGAGAUUGAAGGUGUGUGUGUAUGUUGUAGGCAGGCAUCGCUGGAGAGGUUUAUCGAUCGGUGUGUGUCGGAAAGGAGUUGUGGAGACUCUGGGAGAAUGACCUAAAGAAAAAAAUGAAUGUGCCCGGUGGAUAGAAUGCCGAGGGAGGGGGAGGGCGAGGGCAUGUGCAUGCACGAGAGAAAGUUAGUGGUAGCUACAAAGGUUAGAGGAUUGUGUGGGUGUAAGAGACUAACAAAGAUCAUAAUUUGAUAUGAAAGCGGAUUCAUAUAUUUGAAUAGGAGAUCAUAGUGUUUUAAACAUUGCAUGCAUGAUUAUAGCGGUGAUACACGUGCUGUGCACAUGUUAUACCAUAAUGUGAUAAUGCAUGGCGUUUGCAACUCACAGCUAAAUGUCGAACAAUCUAAACCAUACUAUACAUCAAACAAUCUCACAUUUUAUUUGAAUUUGUGAUAAUGUGUGGCGUUUGCAGCUUACAACUAAAUAUCGAACAACCUAAACAAUACUAUAUAUCGAACAUUCUCACAUUUUAUUUGAAUUUGUGGUAAUGUGUGGUGUUUGCAACUCACAUCUAAAUACUUGUAGGCGUAGGGGGCGGGGCACCAUACAUAAUGUGAUAAACACAUUAUACAUAUGAGACAUGGUUUAGAUUAUGAAGAUCUAGCUAGAGCUAGAAAUGUAAUGUGAUUUGAAAUCAAAAUAAAGUGGAUUCAAAAAAUCUAGUUCGAGUUCAUAUAGUACACAUAGUUCAUAUGUAACUCGAGACUAAUCAUGUGGUGUGCUGUGAAGAUAAUACACAAAUGAUGGUUUAACUUGACAAUAAUGAUGAUUGUAGAUCUUAUUAAAACAGAGAAACGAAUUGAAAUGCUUUGACUUCAUAACAAUCAUUACUGUAGAUCUUAUUCAAAUAGAGAAAUGAAUUCAAAUUUAGUUCAUAUUGAAGCGGUAGUAUAUAUGUUUGGAAUGCACUAAAACGUUCAUUUGAGUAGUAGGUUGCAUGGAUUAUACACGUAGCGAAAUAUUUUAAUUGAACAUAACAUGAAUUCAAAGUUUUGAAUGACAUUUGUAGUGCGCAUUGAUUUGGUACAGUACACGUUAGGCUUGUCCGGAAAUUUCAACCCGCGCCUUGUUAGCCCGAAAUAUUUAAGAUAUAUCUUUGUCUCGUUGUGCUCCGACAACUCCCUCCAUCUCAACCCGUGCCUUGCUAUUCCGAAAUUACAACGCGCGCGAAAACUCCCACCUCCUGUGAAAUCCCGACACGCGAAAUGCCCGUGGUACUCCUGAACCGAAAGAACCGCCUCAAAUCGGUGGGGGUACUUUCAUAACUUACCCCACAUUUCGGACAAGUGCGUCUCUAAGCCAUGGUUCCCCACUGCCAUCCCAUCCGCCCACCCAUUCGUACACCGAGGCCGCGAAAACCCACGACGAAACCCCACACCCUGCUCCGUCCGCCACCCAGCCGGAGCCUCUUCCCCGACGACGUCGUCCACAGCAACACCUCGACGUCCCUCAUCCAUCGUACCGGAUCAGGAUCCGUCGUCGAUCUCAUCAUCCCGCCGGUUCAACCACCCCGUCCUCCACCUCCAAGGAGCUGCCCCGACGUUCCCCUCGUCUUUCGCGCCAUCUCCAUUCCCACACCACCGUCUUCACCUGCACCACCGAAAGAGCAUCAUCAUCACCGUUUCCUCGGAUGAAGCUGCGGCCUAAUUGGCGCCACCAAAGAGGUUGUACACUAAUCGCCACAUUUUCUUCUUGAUUCGAUCUCAUGGUGUUGCCGGCGCUCGGUCCCGAGCCGACACGGCGCGGCUCCAUCCACGGCGGCGUCGCCGGCCACAUCCUCCACGGCGUUGCUCCCUCGGCGGCGACGUCCACAUCAGUAGGAGCUGCUGCUGCUUUAGCUCUCGCUCGCGCUGCUGCUCUGCUCUUGCUCUCGGUCCCCUGCCUGGUCUGCUCUUGCUAUUGCUCUUGCUCGCGCUGCUGCUCUCGCUCUUGCUCUUGCUUGCGAUGCUGCUCCGAUUUAGCUACACUUCAGUCGACUGAAUCGACUUUUGGGUCAGUUGAUUUUCAAGGGGUGGGGGGCUCGCCAGGGUGAAGGAAGAACCAGCCGCAGCGGAGAGGGGGGCUCGCCGGAGAGGUACCCCACUAUCUAUCUUAGGGUUCAGGAUGGGGGCGGCGGUCGCCGGUGGUGGCGGGGCGUUGACGGGGCGGUGGCGUGGGGAUCGCCGGAGAAAAAGCUCGGCACGGGGGGGCCUAGAGGGAUGGCCAGGGCGGCGGCGGACCGGCGGUGGGGAGUAUUUUCAGGGCGGGCGGGGCGGCGCACCGCCGGCCGCGGGCGGCGGGGGGCUGCUGUUUGGCUGGUGGUGGCUGGCGGCUCAGGGGGGUGGAGGUUGAAGAUGAACCGCAGACCCUUGAUUUCGUAUCCAACGGCUGCAAAAUCAACUGACCAGAGAUGAAAAAGUCAGUUGACCGACGUGUAGCCUCACCUUGCUAGUGCGUUCAGUUUCGACAGCAAAAUUCAGUUUCGACAGUUAAGUUCAGUUUCGACAGUUAAGUUCAGAGAUGAGCGGCUGAUGUAUUUUACAUCUAGCACUUUGUGGUUAUGUAUUUUACGUCAUGUAUUGGAGAUGCUAUUAGAAUUCCACUCAGGUUAACGUUGUUCGUUGUCUCUCUUAUCCUGCUUCAGCCUCGGCGUCGUACAACUCAUCGGAGCUGCUCCAACGACGAAACCCUCCAUCACAGCGGAGCAGUACCUCGGGCUCCAUCUCCAGACGCCUAAGAUCUUCUUCCCCUCCUCCGAUAGCAAAGUCAGCCGGAGCAUCCUCACCGGCCAACCCAAUCAUGCUGAGAUCGACAUGGCUUCGCCAAAGAGGUUGUACACUUGUUACAUCUCUUUUUUACUCUACAUGUUAUAUAUAUUGUCCAUUGAGCACACGGAUUUGUUCCUUUAGUGUCUCCUUGAAAGAAAAAAACGUAGGAAUUUUAAUUUUCACUUGUCCUCCUUUUCAAAUUCCUAUUCAUGAAGCACAAGACUAAGAGAUAGUAGCAUAAUAGCAUUAUAACCGUACAUUUUCUUGUGGUUUGACUUAAUCUCACCAUGCUUCUUUGCAUCCUGUGAUCUUCCAAUUGUUGUGAAUCAAACACCCAGAUUGGCAGAAAUCCUGUGUUUUUAAAUUCUCUGUUUUGCACGUGCAUUCCUAUCCUAUUCCUGUCUAUUUCCUAUCCCUGCAUUGUUGGAAUCCUCCAAUUGAAACGAGCCCUUACAAAAUUACUUCUCUUACAGAUAGUUGUCAAAGAAAACCUUGCGUGGUUUGUCCCGCUCCUGCUGCGCCGUCGUCCACCCCAGCUCAGCUGCCCCAACGACAGAAGGGUCCAGCACAGUAGGGAUCCGGCCUCCAGACUGUCUUUCGCCGCCUCAGAUCUUCUUCCCCGCCGCUGGCAGCCAUGAAAACUGCAUUACCAUCAUCAACCGAGCAGAUGACCUUGAGGACUACACGGGUCCGCAAGAGAGGUCGCACUCUUUCGUGUCUGCUUACGUUAUCCAUCGCUUAAUAUUACAUGCUACUUUAUCGUCAUGUUCACCGAUUAGACUCUGAGUCAGCUCCAAACUAAUGGUCAAACUUGAGUUUUUAAAUGGUUGUGGGGUACAUAUCGGGGCCGCUAUCAAUAGUAUCUAUAUACUAUCGGGUUAAUCUCCGGUGUCUACUACGAGUUUCAUGUUGGGUGGGAAACAAACAGUAAAGAAGCCAUUAUCUGUAUUUUUUAACUGAAGCCAUUAUCUGCCUGCUAUUAUUGGUUUUGGGUCUAUCCACAGGUUGCUACCAUCACUCUGGAUUCCUGCAUGCACUCCUUACAUAAUCUCACUAUGUUUUAUUCCUAUGCAUGACAGUUAUUGUAAACAAUGGAACUGAACAUGUAGAGCAAAAGAGACGAGCCUUGCGUGGCAAUAAAAUUUCAUGCAAACGUCGCUCCAUGGUAGGCGCAAAGGCAGCCCCCCUCCACGCAUUUCAGAUUGUAAUCGAGAGGAAGAUAUCUGUUCUGAGGGGGAUUCAGAAGGAGAAGACAACUCCUAUUUACCCCCUGAGGUCUUCGCUCUAACUUGGCAUGCUGAUGUUGGUUAUAUCAUGCAUAUGGUGUCUUGCAUUGCUUACUUUAUACAUCAAAUAUGUCAUCUACUUAGUUUAGACAUCCUUUGUGCGAAUGCCAUCUAUUUAGUUUAUUCAUCGUUUAUGUGAAUUAUGCAACGCCAUCUUGUUUAGCCAAACAUCAUAUAUGUGAAUUUUGCAAUGCCAUCCUGCUUAGCCAGUCAUCUUAUAUGUAAAUUAUAUUAGGCCAUCCUUUUUUCGUUACAUAUUACAUUUGUCAACAAUGUUAGUACAUCCAACUGCUCUUCGUGUGCAUCAGCCAUUUGACACAGUGAUGGCAAAUUCUGGAGUGAAAACAAGGUCUUCAGAGCAGACUAUGCUAUCUGACGAAGCGCAUAUCUCGCUGGUUACGGAUAGCUCCUCGGAGGAGGAUUCAGAGACAGAUGACCAGUCCUAUUCCCCCCCCCAAGGUGUAUGCUCUAACUUGGCAGGGUUAUGUUGCUCAUAUCGUGCGUAUGGUGUCUCGCAUUGCUAUGUCAUUUGAUUAGUUUAGACAUGCUUUGUGUGAAUGCCACCUGUUCAGUGUCUAAUUACCAUAUAUGUAAAUUAUGCAUUGCCAUCUUGUUGCAAGACAUUAUAUAUGUGAAUUAUACAAUGCUAUGUUGUUGCAAAGGCAUUAUAUAUGUGAAUUAUGCAAUGCCAUGAUGUUUAGCCAAUCAUCAUGUAUGUGAAUUAUAUCAUGCUAUCAUUUUUUUGUAUUACGUGUUCCAUUUGUCGACAACGUUUGUAUAUUCAACUACUCUUCCUGUGCAUCAGCCAUUUGAAGCGGUGAUGGAAGUAUCUGGAGUGAAAACAAGGUAUUCAGAGCAGACAAUGCUACCUGCUGAAGCAGACAUCUUGCUGGUUACAGAGAGCUCCUCAGAGGAGGAUUCAGAGACUGAUGACCAGUCCUAUUCCCCCCUGAGGUCUAUGCUCAAACUUGGCAGGGUUAUAUUACCCAUGUCAUGCAUGUUUUCUUGCAUUGCUUAGUUUUUACAUCAUAUAUGGAUUGCCAUCUGCUUACUUGCUUACUAUAUAAAUCAUAUAUUUGAAUUAUAUCAUGCCAUCAUGUUUACAUAGUACAUACACAUCAUCUCUCUGGAUUAUGGCAUGGCAACCCAUUUAAUAAAGACAUCAUAUAGUUAUAUCAUCUCAUCCUGUUUAGUGUUUACAGUCAUCAUAUUUUGAAUUAUGGCAUUCUAUCCGUGAAUGUAUGUGAAUUAUGGCAUGCCAACCUAUUUAAUAAACACAUUAUAUAGUUAUGUCAUGUCAUCCUGUUUACGUAGUCUCAUAUUUUGAACUAUGUCUUUCCAUCUUUUUUAGUUAGCCAUCAUAAUGUGAAAUUGUGUCAUGCUAUCCUGUUUAGUUAGCCAUCAUAUAUGUGAAAUUGUGUCAUGCUAUCCUGUUUGGUUAGACAACAUAAAUAUGAAUUAUUUCAUGCCCUUUUUUAUUCUCCACUAUCCAUUGCACAUGUCUAUCAUACAAUGUCUAUACUUUCAAUUACUUUUCUUGUUUAUCGGCCAUUUGAAUUGGAGAGCGUGAUGGCAGUAUCUAAGGGAGUAACAACACGGUCUUCAGAAAAGAUUGUGCUACCAGUUGAUGCAGAUAGAACCACGGUUGUACUUGCCCAAGGACCAGAUCCACCACACAUAACCCAGACUCUCGCAGAUUGUACCCCUACCCAGUUGGACAGAGAACCAGCUACACUCCUUCUAACCCCAACCCCGGCAGAUAGUAACCCAGUUCCAGUUGACACAGCACCGUCUCCACCACGGAGCACCCAAACACGAGCAGUUAGUAAGGGAACUGCAGUGCCCAAAGCAUGAGGACCACCACUCCGAAUCCCAACUCAACGCUUACAGGAGAAGAAGAUUUGUUCUCGGGUCAGGUUCUGUAGCUAUGGUUCAUACUCCUUUACUCUUGCAUUACUGUAUUUACUCAUACCAACUAUUUUCAAAUUUGAAGGAUGGAAUUGAAACUCCAAUUGCCGCAACAGGUAUGUUUUAAACCUGUUUCUUUAACUGGUUUGCUGUUGUAACCUGCUCUAUGUUGAUUUCAGUUUCAAUUGAAUAAACAGUUAUGUUCUCAUGUCAUGCACAUUACAAGUGUUGUUAUUGCUGUAUAGUUACCCACACUUAUAUUCUGUCUAUUCUGCUUUGUCUUGAACAAAUAUUAUUUGAACUGUGUCUCUAUCUUGAUUUGGCAACAAAAACUAGAAUGAUAUAGACCAUAAAGUGACCAUGGUACAUAGAUAUAUGUUUGUUUCAUGAUGUUAUCCUGUCCACUUUACUACUGAACUCAUUUACCAAAAUGAGUUUCAUAUACAACAUGGUAAACAUGUGAUGUGUCUGCUUGUUUCUCUUUUAGAAUGCGGACAAAAUAUUGGAGAAUAGUACCGCGUUAUCCAAUGGUAAAGGAAGUAAUGCAGAUAAGGUUCAAGAUAGUGAGACAUCCCUGUUGGUCUCCAAGAAAGCUGAUAAAAACUAUCUUGACGACAGUGAGGGAACCCAAAAGUCCUGUCUUGAUGUAGUGUUCGAGUUACUGGCCACUACUGCUGGCACAAGCUCUUCGAACUCGCUGCCUGAAUCAGUUCGUCUUCUUGAGUCUCAACUUCAAGUUGAAAGACAUCAAUCAGAUGUGCUGCAACAGGAAGCUGAAGGACUGAGGAAGUCCCUGCAGAAUUCAGAUGCAUAUUUUCUGGUGAAACAGCAAGCGCUGGAGGAUUUAAGCGCCAAACAAGAGAAAGUUAAUAAGCUUGCUAAGCAUCUUGCCAGCAUUAUGGGUACCCAGGAUAUUGUUUCUUGAGAUCUUCUGAAGUGGUUUCAGUUCUGGAUUUGUUUUGCUGCGGCGUUUAUUUGCGCUGGUCGCCAACUUUGACAACCAGUGUAUAUGAUAUGCUGCUUUGUUCCCUAUAUUUGCACUGGUGGCAAACUUUGAUGCCCAGUGGAUGUAAUAUGUGUAAUAGCCGUGAUAGCCUAGCGUUAGUUGCUUGCUUAUUUAUUUCCUUGUUGUCUUGUUUAUUUGUUUGCUUGUAGUCAUUGCAGUUCUUUUUCCGCGGUUAGCUAGUGGCUGCAAUAACCUAUUUUUUUAAACUAGGCCACAAUAACCAUGGGCUAAUAUUUACUGUAGUGACACUGGGCCUCCUACUGGCCGUAGAAACAGUGGGCCUUCUACAGGCCAUAGAAACAAUGGGCCUUCUAUGGGCCGUAGAAACAAUGGGCCUUCUGCGGGCCGUAUCAUCAAUGGGCCUUAUACGGGUCGUAUGAUCGAUUGGCCAAACAUGGGCCAAACAGACCGCAUUAUGGCCGUAAACGGGCUAGAGUUGGAAUCGUCCGUUCAUGGGCCGACCAUAACGGGCCAUCGUUAAUAGGCCGUAUUUGGUGAUGCUAUGAAAAUGGCCCAACAGACUAACGGUCCGACUGUAACGACGGGCUGAAUUUGGCCCACGAGCAGAAAAUGACAGUAACGGGCCGUAAGUAACCAAAUGCUGCAAAUGAGCCCAAGAAUAAAUGGGCCCUCAUAAGGCCAAAAGUUAACUUGGGCUGGAAACGGCCCAACGGAAUAACGGGCCAUUAAUGGGUAUAAAGUGAUACACUGUUCAUUACGGGCCAGUUUCACCACGGGCCGUUAAUGGGUGUAAAGUAAUACACUGUUCAUUACGGGCCAGUUUCAGCACGGGCCGCUAAUGGGCCAAGAGUUACAAAGGGCUUCAUAUGGGCCGAAAGACGUCAUGGGCUAUACAUGGGCCAGAAGUGAAAACGGGCUGGAAUCAUAUUGGAUGGCCCAGAUGACGCUACUGGGCCUAAUUCGGAUAGGGUGUAACGGGCCUUGGGUUAGCGGGCUGUAAAUGGGCUAUAUGCGAACAGGCCGUUAACAGGCUUUCCAUGGGCCAGCCCGCCAGCUUUUGACCAAGUCAAACGGGCCGGCCUUUUCACAGGAAUGGGCCACUAUUGGGUCGUGCCACGUGUCGACGUAUAAUAGGCGCCUUCUGUCCAGUGAAUGGAUGACAUCUGUCCCAACGAUGAGCCGACACGUGUUUCCUCUAGCCAAUGAUGAUUUUACACAUGGAAAAUCCCCAUUGGUCGGGGCUGUUAACGGGUUAUCGGAUCCAAAUCCCGACCCGAUAGCUUAACGGCGUUCCGUUACGGUGGAUGCCACGUGUCAGUCACCCUUGACGAAAGCACUUCUGUGACACGUGAUUUAUCGUCAUGGAAGUGGACACUUCCGUGAUGAUAAUUUUGGUAAUGUCAUGGAACACUUCUACGACAGCACAGGUAUGACUAUCUUGAUUCUGUCAUAAAUUUGUCAUGGACGUACAUGCAUGACAAAAAACGCGACCUAUUGUGACAAUCACGUAUCAUCACGGAAGUGUAUUUUUUUGUAGUGAAGUGCUGCCCUAUGUGCAGUCGGUCGGGUCAAGCGGGGACGGCUCUGCGGCGCGUGCUCCUUCACGUAUGUGCACGCAUGCAACGUAGGCUGAAGCGGGCGCAUGCAUGCAAUCGCAUGCAACGUAGGCUCUCUCGGGCGCAUGCAACGGCGGCGGACAUCGCUCGGUCCAACGGGUGGGCUUCUUUACACAGCCCAACGACGCGCAUGCAUGGCAGCCCACCCUCGAGCGCAGAAAAAAAACAACGUAAGUAUUAUAUGAUUUAUCGACGCGAAAGCCGUAGAAAAUCCUUACAACGUCAAAAAGCUAAGAAACUUGGCAAGGAUGCUAGUCAUGUCGGUACAAGGUUGUUGGUCCACUUCAAGGAUGUCGACAAAAACAUGCUUCGAGACGGACCCUUCCCGUCCUACCCGAAAGGCCAGGAUGUAAGUCCAAUGAGAUCAACACUUGUUCAUGUUGGCCAAUGUGGCACUGACCAUCGAAGGAGAUAAAGAUUGAUACUUGUUCAUGUGGGCCCAUAUUCUUUUACAUUUGGUGUCGAUAGAACACAAAAAAUAAACAUGACUAUAUGCUUUUAGGUCUUCACCCUCCCCAAUUUGUUGGCCAACUCAGCAGGUUUUGCCUUAAGAUGCCACCUCUUUCAGUAAGCUGCAAUUGCUGUGGUUUUGGAAUGCUAGUUCCCUUUCCUGCAGAACGGGCAUUUAUAGCGACCGUUACGCCGGUACACAAUCUUUGCAGCCAUGAGCCACUUGAAGAUUUUCUUUCUGAAAGCUUCCCUCAGCUGUAGGUAAUUCUCCCAUUCUUCCAAAUUUGCAAUCUGGUAUUAGAAGAAGAAAAAUCUCAUGCUAGCGAAUUGUACAUUAUAUCAAAGGCAGGCAUAAAUGGAUUUUUUUUCUUUGUAUUGGUUUUCUAAAACUUUGGUUAUAUGAAAGACAGGCAUAAUGGAAUACAAAUGACCCAUUCAUCUAAAUUUGCAAACCCUAGGACUGAUAACCGUAUGAUUAAUAAUAAUAAAAACAAACAGUAGGAUUGUCUGUAUGAAUAGCGAGGAAUAACAAGAGAGCAAUUUCUAGGGUUAACUUCGAGAAGGCAAAUUCUAGGGUUAAUCUCUGCAGACACUAACCGAUUCGUCAUCGUUGGGGCUGUGUUGUGAAGGAAAUAUGCCCUAGAGGCAAUAAUAAAGUUAUUAUUUAUUUCCUUAUUUCAUAAUAAAUGUUUAUUAUUCAUGCUAGAAUUGUAUUAAACAGAAACUUAGUACAUGUGUGAAUACAUAGACAAAACAAAGUGUCCCUAGUAUGCCUCUACUUGACUAGCUCGUUUAUCAAAGAUGGUUAUGUUUCCUAACCAUAGACAUGUGUUGUCAUUUGAUGAACGGGAUCACAUCAUUAGAAGAAUGAUGUGAUGGACAAGACCCAUUCGUUAGCUUAGCAUUAUGAUUGUUACAGUUUCAUUGCUACUGCUUUCUUCAUGACUUAUACAUGUUCCUCAGACUAUGAGAUUAUACAACUCCCGAAUACCGGAGGAACACCUUGUGUCCUAUCAAACGUCACAACGUAACUGGGUGAUUAUAAAGAUGCUCUACAGGUGUCUCCAAUGGUACUUGUUGAGUUUGCAUAGAUCAAGAUUAGGAUUUGUCACUCCGAUUGUCGGAGAGGUAUCUCUGGGCCCUCUCGGUAAUGCACGUCACUAUAAGCCUUGCAAGCAAUGUGACUAAUGAGUUAGUUGCGGGAUUAUGCAUUACGGAAUGAGUAAAGAGACUUGCCGGUAACGAGAUUGAACUAGGUAUUGAGAUACCGACGAUCGAAUCUCUGGCAAGUAACAUACCGAUGACAAAGGGAACAACGUAUGUUGUUAUGCGGUUUGAUUGAUAAAGAUCUUCGUAGAAUAUGUAGGAGCCAAUAUGAGCAUCCCGGUUCCGCUAUUGGUUAUUGACUGGAGACGUGUCUCAGUCAUGUCUACAUAGUUCUCGAACCCGUAGGGUCCGCACGCUUAACGUUCGGUGACGAUUUGUAUUAUGAGUUUAUGUAUUUUGAUGUACCGAAGGUAGUUCGGAGUCCCGUAUGAGAUCGGGGACAUGACGAGGAGUCUCGAAAUGGAUGAGACGUAAAUAUCGAUAUUUUGGACGACUAUAUUCGGACAUCGGAAAGGUUCCGAGUGAUUCGGGUAUUUGUCGGAGUACCGGAGAAUUACGGGAAUUCGUAUUGGGCCUUAAUGGGCCAUACGGGAAAGGAGAAAAAGGCCUCAAAGGGUGGCCGCACCCCUCCCCAUGGACUGGUCCGAAUUGGACUAGGGAGGGGGGCGCCCCUUCCUUCCUUCUCCUUCUCCCUUCCCUUUUUCCUAUUCCAUGUGGGAGGUGGAAUCCUACUAGGACUAGGGAGUCCUAGUAGGACUCCACACUUGGGCGCACCCUGUGAGGGCCGGCCUCCUCCUCCCUCCAUCCUUUAUAUACGUGGCCAGGGGGCACCCCAUAGACACACAAGUUGAUCAUUUAUCUUUUAGCCGUGUGCGGUGCCCCCCCACCAUAAUCCACCUCGGUCAUAUCGUAGCGGUGCUUAGGCGAAGCCCUGCGUCGGUAGCAUCAUCAUCACCAUCAUCACGCCGUCGUGCUGACGGAACUCUCCCUUGAAGCUCUGCUGGAUCGUGAGUUCGUGGGACGUCACCGAGCUGAACGUGUGCUGAACUCGGAGGUGCCGUACGUUCGGUACUUGGAUCGGUUGGAUCAUGAAGACGUAAGACUACAUCAACCACGUUGUCAUAACGCUUCCGCUUUCGGUCUACGAGGGUACAUGGACAACACUCUCCCCUCUCAUUGCUAUGCAUCACCAUGAUCUUGCGUGUGCGUAGGAAAUUUUUGGAAUUACUACGUUCCCCAACAUGUUGGACCAGCUACGGCUGUGAAUCGGCGGUGACGAUGUCCUUGUCGACCAGUUCCUUCAUGGGGUCCACAUCCGCCGCAUGGAGCGCACCAGCCACGCCCCCUCCUCCGGCAGGUAGGAUCAUCCUCGCUGGUAAGAAUGUGGGCUUUUUGGCGGCAGCGAGUAGUGGGCGGCGACGAGGACGUGGGUGGAUAGGCAGAGGCGAUCGAACGCUGGAGGCAGGAGCGAGAUUUGGGGAGUGAAAAUUCAAUUUGUUUGGGAGAGAGAGGUCAAGGCCGCGCACAAUUCGCCAAUUUUGAAAUUUAGGUAGAAACAUGCACGUAUACGACAUCGUGCACACCUAGAGAUUUGCCCGAACCAACCAAUCAACCAACCAAGCAAAAGAAAAAGUGCACGAUGUCGGUCCACAAACGUGGCAACAUAAACCGAACACCAAAAUAGGAGGGACAUUUUUUUGUUUUGUGCAGUACUACUAAAUACUAGAAGGGAGAACUACUGAAAAAAAAUACUAGAAGGGACAGUUGGCACAUUUCAUUUCACAUGGCAUCUAGCUUUUUUGUUCAUCGCUAGCUAUGUUGUACCGAUUAGGUAAAAUGAAUGGAUAAUUAUUAAACCCUAGCUAUUGUCAAGGUUUAUCGGUGUGUUUCUACGUGGCCAAGUGUUCUUGCACGGUGUGGGUCCAGGUGAGUGUGAUGCACGGGACAGGCCUUUGUGGUUAGGGCCCACAUCAAGCGGCACCGAAUUUUGAGGAAAGUGAAGGAACGAGCCCCGCACACCGUCCGCAUGCCGGACUUGUUCCCUCCCAUUGGCUAGAUCCAACAUGCCAUAUGGCCUCGUUUACACUUAGCCCGCGUGAGGGUUUAUGCAUGCCCCUCUCGGUGUUUGACCAUACCCUUCAUGGCUCAUAUGAUGAGACCACGCCAGGCCCCGUGAUGCACCGCCUAGGCACAAACCGGACGCGUUACCUCUCGGUAGCUAGAUCCAAACCAUGCACCCCCGCUGUUUAGACCCAAGUGGAUUAGCACCUAGACACAUGACCCGCGACACUUGUGCCAGCCCCGAACCAUGCAUUCCCGUCAUGUAGACUCAUAUGUGUCCAUGUGUGCAUGCAUGUUGUGGUUCCAGCUGAGCGCGAUGCACGGGACGAUCCUUGGUUACUAGGUCUAACAUCACGCGGCAACGAUAUUUGAGGCAAAUGAAGGAAUGGGUCCCGCACUCCCUUCACAGGACGGACGCAUUCCCACUCUGUGGCUUGAUCCAGCAUGGGAUAUGGCCCCGGUUGCCCACAGCCUAUGUGAGGGCCUACGCAUGCCGCUCUCGAUGUUUUACCACACCCUCUAGGGGUCGUAUGAUUACACUUGCGCCAGGUCCCGUGAAUUUUCGGCCCCUCGCGAAUUUGCAUGGAUUAUAACGGCAGCUGACGAGCAUCAUAGCCUAGGGAACGACGUCGAGGUCACCCCUCCUUUUGGUACCAUAUGGUGCAUAUAUGGACCAAAGAGCUUAACAUGGGGCUUUCAUCCCAAUCCUUGCUAUGAUUUCAUGUGGCCGCCGUAGAUCUUGAACUUUUGAGGUUACAACCCUAGAAAUGCGGUAAAUGUCCCGAAUAUGGGAGGGAUGGGGCGCGGGGUGAGAAAGGCCAUGCAAUAAACUAUCCCCAUAAUUUAUGUUUGUUUUAUUUGGCAAGACAAACAAGUUUUUUUAAAUAAGGAUUUUUAGCAUGUUUUAAUAAGGAUUUUAAAUUUUCACAUUGUAAGGUGCUUAUUUUUUUCCUAAAACAAAGGUGUUGUAAAUGCACAAAGCUCCUCAUUGAGCCUCUCACCAUCACGUUCACGUUGAACUCACCCUAAAAUCAAGGAGAGGUAGAUCGAAUCUCCCCACGGGGGGCAACCUCCACCUAGUAGCUAAAUAUGGUUAGUUGAGAAUUUCUCCCCAAGUCGUUUUUUGAGGCAAAAUCACAUUCUUCUUUUUUCCUCCAAUAUUGUGGCGAAAUACAUGGAAGAAAAUCGUGGGAGGCACGGUGGAACGAGUGCACCUGUUUUUCCCCUCCAAAAGUGCACUAGUUGCCAUAUUGCAUGUGAAUGUGUCACCUGUACAAACAAUUGAAAUGUCGUUUUUAUUUUGUUAACAAUUCCUAAAUAUUGAAUUUCAGCAUGCACCUACCCCAUGGCAGUUAGGUCAAAUUUGUUUUAUCCAAGCUCCGCCAGCGACCAUGCAGAUUCUUGUACCAUGCACGUGCUGCCCCGGGCCUCCGGCGUCCGGUACCGGACAGGGGAAUCUGGAUGUGAUGCAAUACAAUUCAUGUUGACCCAUAUCAUGCACCCUUAGCCAACCAGGCCGACAACAUGCACCGCUAGCCACCUCGAUCUAGACCAUGCGGUCGUGUCCACAAUGGGCAAAGAUGCUCAGCUGGACAUGUUUGCUGGCACUAGUGCAUGAUGCCCAAUCUCGGUGUGCAAGACGGGUAGCCAUGUGUCGCUUUGACAUGCUUGGCAUACAGAGGGAGGGACUUGUUGGAGAACUAACGAACCGAGGUGGGGUCAAGGGUGGAUGGAUGGUGUGGGUCAACUUGGCUAAAGGGGAACGGUUUGAGGCCAUUUGAACAAUUUAUGCCAUGGAUAUGGUCAUGAGCUAGCUCACUUGCCUUACCACGAAAUUUUACAUAAGGGGACAGUGUAAACUUAAAAAUUUUGAGUUUUAUUUUUUGAUAUCCUGUUUGUUACAUUUAUGGCACCGUGUACAACAAAUUUGGGGUUAUUCUGGAGAUGGUCAAAAAAGCACUUCAUUACAGACGGAUCGCUUGGUCUCACUUAAGCGAGUUUUUCUAACAAGGUGGUUUUUUCGACCACAUCCAAAUCACCUGAAAUUUUGUACACGUGAUCUCUUUCAUUAAAAUAGACAGAAUAUGAAAGUUUGCCAUUUUUUAGAAUUUUAUAUAAUUUAUAGUGGCUCAGUGAAACUCAGGUACAUACCUCUGACUUCACCUUAAGGGGACAGUGUAAACUUCAUUAUUAUUGAAUUUUCUUUGAUAAUCAUGUUUAUUACAUGUAUGUGACAAUGUAAAAAAAAGGGUGAUUUGGAGAUGGUCCAAUCAUAAACAUGUGAACAUAUACAAAAGAAAAAGCCCACCUCUAACAGGAGAUUUCAGACCCCACGGCCUGCAUACGACUAGAAACCCAACCAUAUGGGCCAGGAUGCAGGCCCGUGGGAUAUUGAUUUCUCCUGCUAGUAGGCCCCCAACAGGGCAUACACGGAACUGGAUAUGGAACAUGCUAUUUCAGUGAGAGAGGCUCAUGCAAAUGGUUUCUCAGCCGCGUAUAUAAGUAGGUGCGUGCGCGUCUCGCUUGGCGAGGUGGGACUAAACUCCCACCACCCGUCAGUUGCGCCCGGUGCGUCUCAGCGUUGGGUUGUCUCAGGUGAACCUCACCCGCAUGUUGUACCACGCGUCCCUGUAGAUGGUUGGGCUGGCCCAUCUUGUAUGCAUAUCCUUUUCCUUUUUCGAAUUUCACAUAUUCUCUUUCAUUUAUUAUUAUACAGUUCUAAAACAAAGGUGCUCCUAGGUACCAGCAAGUCUGGCAUGAGGAUUUCCCUCUGGAUGUAAAUUGUGUCAUGACCACAGAUUUCGUCGGUCCCCAGUAAUUGGAAUGCAAGGUGUUCCACGUCAAAAAAAACAAAGGUUGUUGUAAACGCACAAAACUCCUUCUUCAGCCUCUCACCAUCACGUUCACGUUCAACUCACCCUAAAAUCAAGGAUAGGUCGAUCUAAUCUCCCCACGAGGGGCAACCUCCACGGAGUAGCUAAAUAUGGUUACUUGAGAUUUUCUUCCCAAGUCGUUUUUUGAGGGGGAAAUACAAUUUUCUUUUUUUCCUCCAAUAUUUGUGGCGAAAUACAUGGAACAAAAAUCGUGGGAGGCACGGGGGCUACCUGUUUUUCCCUCCAAAAGUGCACUUGUUGCCAAAAUGCAUGUGAACGUGUCAUAUUCCACAUUUUCCUUAAAACAUGUUGUACACCUGCACAAACAAUUGAAUUGUCGUUUUCAUUUUGUUAUCAAUUCCUAAAUCUUGAAUUUCCGCAUGCACCUAUCCCAUGGCGUCUUAUCCAAGCUCCCACAUCAACCGCGCAGAUUCUUCUCGCGUUCGGUACAAGAGAGGGAAAUCUUGAUCCGAUGUGAUGCGAUUCAUGUCUACCCAUAGCAUGCACCGCUAGGCAACCGGGCCGACAACAUGCACCGCUAGCCGCCUCGAUCCAGACAAUGGGCAAAGAUGCUCAGCUGGACAUGUUUGUUGGCACUAGUGCAUGAUGCGCCAAUCUCGGUGUGCAAGACGUGUAGCCGUGUGUUGUUUUAACAUGCUUGGCAAACCGAGGGAAGGGACUCGUCGGAGAUCCAACGAACCAAGGUGGGGUCGAGGGUGGAUGGAUGGUGUGGGUCAACUUGGCUAAAGGUUUAUGGUGGGUGUCUACGUGGCCAAGUGUGCAUGCAUGGUGUGAAUCCAGUUGUGUGUGAUGCACUGGAUGGGCCUUUUUGGAUAGGGCCCACAUGAAGCGGCAACGAAUUAUGAGGAAAAUGAAGGAACGGGCCCCGCACUCCGUCUGUAUGCCAAACUCGUUCCCUCCAUUGGCUAGAUCCAGCAUGCGAUAUGGCAUCGUUUCCACAUAGCCCGCGUUAGGGCUUAUGCGUGCCGCUCUCGGUGUUUGACCACACCCUUCAUGGGUCAUACGACGAGACCACGCCAGGCCCCGUGAAGCACCGCCUAGGCACAAACCGGACUCGUUACCUCUUGGUAGCUAUAUCCAAACCACAUGCAGACCCGCCGUCUAGACCCACGUGUGGAGCAUCACGUAGACGUUUAGACUCAUACGUGGACAUGCACCCUCUUGGUAGACGUUUAGACUCAUGCAUUACCUCUUGGUAGCUAGAUCCAAACUGGACUCACACCACUUACGCCAGUCCCCGAACCAUGCAUCCCCGCCGUUUAGACUCAUACGUGGACAUGUGUGCAUGCAUGUUGUGGGUCCAGUUGAGUGCGAUGCACGAUACAGGCCUUGGUUACUAGGUCUAACAUCACGUGGCAUCGAGAUUUGAGGCAAAUGAAGGAACGGGCCCCGCACUCCUUUCACAGGCCGGACGCAUUCUCUCUCGAUGGCUUGAUCCGACAUGCGAUAUGGUCCCGUUUGCACACAGCAUAUGUGAAGGCCAAUGCAUGCCGCUCUCGAUGUUUUACCACACCCUCUAGGGGUUGUACGAUGACACCAUGCCAGGUCCGGUGAAUUUUUAGCCCCUCACGAAUUUGCAUUGAUUAUAACGACAGCAGACGGGCAUCAUAGCCGUAGAGAACGGCGUCGAGGCCACGCCUCCCGUUGGUAGCAUAUGGCACAUAUAUGGACCAAAGAGCUUAACAUGGGGCACUCAUCCCAUUCCCUGCUAUGAUUUAAUGGUGGCCGCGUAAGAUCUUGAACUUUCGAGGUUACAACCAUAGAAAUGCGGUAAAUGGCCCGAAUAUGCGAGGGGGGCGAGAAAGGCGACGCAAUUACCUACCCCCAUUAUUGAAGUUGUUUUUUCUGGAAAGAAAUUUUUUUUAUAAAUAAGGAAUUUUCAGCACUUAUUAAUAACAAUUUUAUAAUUUCACAUUGUAAGGUGCAUUUCUCUCUCUAAAACAACGGGGUUGUAAAUGCACAAAACUCCUCCUUGAGCCUCUCACCAUCACGUUCACGUUGAACUCACCCAAAAAGGAUUUCCCUCUUUUUUACGAUUUUCCUUUGUUUUUGUUUUUUAGACAAAAGGAUUUUGCUUUGUGUUUUUUUAGUAACAUAGGGUUUUACUUUGUGACUGGUAAGCGGCCUGUGGGCCUGUUUGGUUGUUUGUUUACGAACUGGACCCACGGGCCGUUAUUUUCUGUGCUUGACACGGAUAGGGUCCGUGUCAUUACCCCCAUCGCCCACACACCCCCGCCCCCUCACCCCCACCCUCCCCACAAACCACCCCGCCGCGUCCCCGCCGCCUACUCGCCUGGCCGCUCUCGACGGUUGGAGCAGAAGAGCGCGGAGUGAGAUUGGGAGGCCGCCAGCAAGCACCUAGCGACUAGGUGAAGUGAGAAACCCUAACUUGUAAUCUUCGACUUCUUUGUUCCUUGUUGUGUUGCCGUUUCAGGAGUUGGAUGUGGUUUUCAAAGUCAGAGAUUAGAUAGUUAGGAUUUUUAAAUCGGAGGUUAGAUGGAAGGCGAUGCAGAGAUUGAAGGAAGUUUUCUACAUCGGUGGCUUGCUGGGUUUUUUUCUAGGGUUUCGGUAUUCCAGGGUUUUCAUAACAAUGAACAAGUGCAGAUGCGUAACACAAUAGCAGAAAAUUUCAGCAAACAGUCCUUUAAAAACUUAAAAUAAUAUUGGCCUUGUGCAGUGGCGAAUCUAGGAAGAAACCAUAGGGUGGGCUCAAAACUUAUAAGCCGGGCUAGUGGAUUAAAUUCCUUUUUAGGCCGAAAUUAGGUUGGGUGUAGUAAGGCAGCCAUUAACUUGUCGUCCUAGAUUGCAAGUCAACUAAACAUUUCUCAGAAUAAUAUUUAUUGCAGUGUUUGUUUUUUUGCAGAAUAUGAAAUUUUGAUCCAAAUAUUGGUAUCUUUGUAGGGAAAUAACAAUAACCUCUUAAUUCUGUUGCCCAAAUUAGUUCAUAUUUUAAAGAUUAUAAAUGUGAGGGCGUACAAUAUAUCAGAGUUUUUAGGAAUUAUUUUAAUCUUUAUUUGUGUGGUUAUGUAGUACCAGGAAAAAGUGAAGUAAGUUCAGUUUCUCCAAUAUGACAGACAAGUGGCUAAUUGAGUUGGUUACCCUGACGAUCCUUCGUCUGUCCAGAAUAGAUUUUCUUUUCUUUUUCAAGGAACAUAUUGUUGGAUGAGGAUGUAUGUAGAUGGGCUGUAUGUUGAAGGCAUGCGUGUGUAGAUUCGGGUGGGCCGAGUAACAGCAGUAGUAGGAUUUAUGUUUUGAUAGGACUUUUCUCAGAGAUUACUGCUCAGUCUCAGACACUACCUCAGUUGUGCUGCAGAGGAGGAGGGGCCAAUGCCGCACGUCGACGCUCGGGGUGAGCCCAUGCUGCCGGUCGAGGAUCAAGGGAAGGACAUGUCUGAACAAGCUGUGGUGCGGCGGGCACGCGCUGCGUUGCGGGGUUAUGAGGAGUGGAGGGCGAGCCAGCCACUCAGUUCAAGUGUAUGAUUGUUGAUUACUGAUGCAGUACCUUCAUUGAUUAUAAUGUAUGAUUGUUGCCUAGUGUGUUUACAUGCAUAAGCCCUUUUCUUAAAUUCUCAUCCUUUGCUUUUCUUCAUUUUAUUUUGUUUACACAGGUGGUGUGCAUAACCUGUCGAUAGGACUGCAACAGGCCCGAUGCUGAUGGGUUGAUAUUUACCAUCAGGUUAGAUGGGGACACUUCAGCUAUGGUAUAAAUAAUGAUGUCAAUUUUUACUUGUAUUGUGUUUGUUCCCCUCUACUUUGAAGAUUAACAAAAUGUAGGAAAUAAAUAGCAAUUAAAUUCUACAUCCACAUAUCGUGCCAUGCUAUGCAUGGCACCAGUUCAGCGCCAUCCCAGAUAGUUCAUUGAUUUUUCAAGCGAGAGGGAGCCGCACGUAUGAUUUUGGCGUGUACAAAGGGAAUUCAAGGGCGAUCAUCUAUGGUGAAAACUGGUGCAGGUUUGUUGAAGACUUCGACCUACGAGAAGGCGACCUUGUCUCCUUCGAUUUGACUGAAGACAUUCCUAUGGUGUACUGCUGCAACCUGCCAAGGACAUGCGAUCAAAACGAAGAGCGUAAAGAUACUCUAGAAUUAGCUGUCAUAACGAAGGGAAUUAAUCUGACUAAGCAAGAGGAGCGUAACCUACAUGACCUUUUGGCGAUGAAGAGAGGUUAUAUAGGUGCAUUUUUUGUCCACCGCUUCACCAAGUCGAACAUAGCAGGAAAGACGAUGGUAUAUUUUUGGUGUACUAGUAUUUUCUAUUUUGUAUGCAAUUUUCUUUGUUUUUCAUGGAGAGAAAGAUUAAUGAUAUGCUAUUGUAGCUGAAACCAGUGAAUACACCGAUGUGUGUUUUUGCAUAUCCUUUUGUUUCCCAUAACUGAAGGUCCUUACGUAAUAUAUGUAGAUGUAGCUGAAGAUCGUUUUCUUUACUGCUCCUUCACAUAUUUGAGAAUUUUUCUUCCUAUGAUGGUGCAUACAGAGAUUACCGGUGAAAGUUGUUGUCACAGCCCUAGAAUUGUGCUUGUAAAUAGUUGCAUCAGAGUGCAUUAUGCAUCAUGUCUAAAUUUCCAGUGAAAUUGAAUUGAGGGAAUUCUCAAGCCUCAAAAAUCUUUUAAAAAUGAUCAACAUUGAAAUCGUUCAAAUGAGCCCAACAAAAAUGUUCCUGUUAAUCUCUGAAGAUAUUGGCAAGAGCUAAAACUCAAACCAAUAUUUUUUGAAUCUUAGAAAUGAUUCUUUUGGGACUUUGAAUCAAACCAAUAAUUAUUUGAAUUGGAUUUAUAUUCAUAAUAACUAGUUUAUGAAUCCAAUAAUUCUGAAAAAUGGUGAGUGGCUCUGAAUAUAUUAUAUCUAGCCAAAUGAUAAUUUUCAGAAGCUAAGAAAAUGGUUUGGUUUUUGAACUAAACCAAAACAAAUUGCAGAAAUAGAAAACAAAACAGAAAAGGGGAAAGGGAAAGGUUUUACCUUGCCUUACCUGAAGCCGGCCCAACUGGCACCCUAGCUCGCUGGCCCAGCUCACUUGGCGCCUCUUGUCGUCUUCCUCCUGCCAGAAGGAGCAGCUGCGUGCUCGCACGCGCGCGGCCGAGGAGGCCAGCUCCUCCCUGUCUGCCUGCCCCUCCCCGACGCAUGUGGACGACGCCACGCAACCCCUCUGGUCCUCUCCCACUCUCCCAGUGCUCCUCCUCCCCUCUGUCUCUCUCUCACGCGCACGACCAAAUGCCACCGUCGCCGCCGCUCGCUGUAGACAUGGACACCGUCCACCCCUCGCCUCUUCGACGCACCAAGAAGCUCCGCCGUCGACCUCUACACCGUCUCCACCGAGCCAUGCGAUAGGAAGAGCCCUGGAGCGCCGUCCCCGAUGUCUUCUUCCUCCUCAGGCCACCGAGAUCGCCGGCGACCUCCCGUCGUCACCAGCCCCUCCCCGAGCGCGUAGAGGCCUCCGUUCAACUCGCUGUGAGCUGCUGCGUCUUCCCCCUCCUCCCCGAGCUCGUUCCUGUUCUGUAGCCGCCUGUUCCACCGGAGCCGCGAGCUCGGAUCUGCCGGCCAUGUCGCCGCCGUGGCCACCAUCACCUAGAGCUACAACCGAACGCACACCCGUGCUCAGCGCAAUGCCCGAAGCCCAAAACCCCCUCCAGUGGCUCCUGUCGUGCACCGCAACACCGAAACCACUGAGACCCGAUCUCCGGCCGCCGCCUUUGAGCUCGCCGCCAUCGAUAUAGGUCGCCCUCGUCAUGACUGACUGCACCACUCGACGCGCGGGAUCACCAGCUGUCCGUAGGUGGUCUCCUCUAACCAUUUGGACGCCGGAGCGCAAAACACGCGGCCCUCCACCGCGUCUGGCCUCGCCGGCGUCGACCCGCCGGCGGGAUUAGCCCGAGUUGACCUCGUUUGACCUGGGGUUUGACUCCUCUGGGUCAAUACUGGUGGGCCAGAGCCCUGCUAAUUUUAGCUUAGCGCUAAUUAACAUUUAGUUAACACACUAAGUCACUGACAUGUGGGCCCUGGCCCCACUAACAGCUUAGUUAGUAUUAAUUUAACCCUGUUAAUUAGUUGUUUCACUGACGAGUGGGUCCCAGCCGUUAGGUUUGACCAGGGCUGGCCUCUUUGACUUUCUGACGUCAUGCUGACACUGUGAUGACGUAGUAAUGCUUUUCUGGAUUUUUAAAUAAAUCUAUUUGAUUUAUUUAAUUUCAGAAAAUGUUUAAAACUUCUAAAAUUCAUAGAAAUUCAACCGUAACUCCAAAUGAAAUAAGUUAUAUAUAAAAAAUUAUCAGAAAAAUCCAAUGAAUCUCUUUAUGGUUUCCUCAUGCAUGUUUGAAAACCUUACAGCCACUGUAUAUGAUAAUUUGAAUAAAUGGCAUUUGAAAUGUCUUAUAUGGAGUUUGAAUUUGAACCUUUGGUUCAAACCAACUUCAUUUAAUCUAGUUGCUAGUUGAAUUAGCUCAAUCAACAGCAUAUUGCCAUGUCAUGAUCAUGCAUCAUAUUGUUGCAUUGCAUUGAUUGUGUUCCCUCUUGUUUGCCGGUGGUUGUUCCUCUCGGUAGACGUUGUUCUGAUGAUGUGAUCGAUGACACUAAUGAAGACACAAUGCUAUCUUCAGAAGUUCCAGGCAAGCAAAACCCCCUUGUUCAUUCCGAUACAAUCCCACUCUCUCCCCUCUGCCCUCUUUUACUGCAUUAGGACAACAACAAUUCAAGUGUUACAUGCUGCGGUAGCUGAACCCCUUUCCUCUGCAUGACCUGUCAUUGCCAAAGUAAUUAGAUGAAACCCACUAGCAUGAGUAGGAGUUGUUUGAGCCCUGAUGUGCCUACUCAUUCAUGCUUGUUGUCAUGCCUGCUACUACUUAGAGUAGAGUCAGGUCUGAUUCAUCGGGGAUGAAUUGGAAUGUGGUGAACAUGUCCUACUGUUGAGAGCUAAGUGUGUGAAUACGAUUUGGUAAAGGUAGCGGUGAGAGGCCAUGUAGGAGUACAUGGUGGGUUGUCUCAUUGAAGCCGUCCUCAGGAACUGAGUUCUGUGUUUGUGACCCAUGAACAGCUACUACCACACAUUGGGCUCCGGGCACUCCAAGCUCUCUCGACUUAUUAAUCAACUCGAUCUCUGUCCAGCAGUUGCAACUAGUUUCUGGUGUUUGUAGGUAGUGUUAGUAGUCUACCAAGUGGCACCCGGUAUAGGUGGGCUUGGGACAGACUAGGCACAGUGGCACGGUAUACCAAGCAUAGAACCAUCCGUCGAGGUGGGCUUGGGAACCCUGCACACAUCGUUUGGGGCCGUGAGCGACACCCCGGCCGGAUCUCCUUGCGGAUGGAACCCGAAUAGGCGAUAAACCUGGACUAGAGACUUGUGUGGUUAGUCAGGUCGUGGCUGACUCCCUCGCCAGGCUUCCGCUUGAAGGUUGCCGAGAUACACGACGUGUACAUGGUGGUAAGUGGCGAGAGCGUGUGUGAAGAAGUACACCCCUGCAGGGUUAACAUUAUCUAUUCGAAUAGCCGUGUCCGCGGUAAAGGACUUCUGGGUUGCCUGUGCAGUUCAUAGACAAGUGAAAGUGGAUACUCUAAAAUGCGCAAGAUAAGCGUGAGUGCUAUGGAUGGCGUUCUCGUAGGGAGACGGGAGCGGAUCCAUAGUGGUGUAUUGAUAUGGUGAAUAUGUGGACUCGUGUGCGCCACCUCAACAGAGUUACUUGCGGUCGAAGUUCAGGAUAGCCACCGAGUCAAAGCUGGCUUGCUGCAGUUAAACCCCACCAUCCCCUUGUUGAUACCAAUGCAUAUGUAGCUAGUUCUGAUGUAAGUCUUGUUGGGUACAUUUGUACUCACGUUUGCUUAAUUUAUGUUUUUGCAGAAAGACUUCAGUCUCGCUAGUAGUUCCGCGUGGACUUCGACGUUUAGCUUGUAACCUCAGCUACGAGCUUGUACCUUGGGAGGGUCUUGUACUUAGUCAGGCUUCUCAGCCUUUUUCUUUUGUAGUUGUCUGUACUCAGACAAGUUAAGCUUCCGCAUGUGCUUGUUGCUUGUAUGCUCUGUAUGUUGGGUCAUCAGACCCAUGUUUGUAAUAUCUGGCUCUUCGGAGCCUAGUGAAUAAAUACUUUGAGUCGUAGAGUUUUGUUGUGAUGCCAUGUUGUAUUUACACAUAUCGAGCAUAUUGUGUGUAUGAUUGAAAUGCUUGGUAUGUGUGGGAUCUGACAACCUAGUUGUCUAUCCUUGGUAGCCUCUCUUAUGGGGAAAUGUAGUCUAGUUCUUCCACUAAGCCAUGGUAGUCUGCUACAGCCCGGUUUACCGGAGUCCUAUUAGCCAAGUUGCUACUGCUCCGGAACACUUAGACUGGCCGGCAUGUGUCCUCCUUCGAUCAUGUGUCUGUCCCUUCGGGGGAAUGUCACGCGGUGUCUUUCGGAGUCCUGUUAGCCUGCUACAGCACGGAUUCCCGGAGUCCUGCUAGCCCAGUUGCUACAGCACGGAUUCACUCGCUGAUGACCGAAACGUUCGUUGCUGGGUCAUGUAUGCCUGUCCCUAUAAGUUAGUGCCACUUUGGGUUCACGACUAGUCAUGUCGGCCCGGGUUCUCUGUCAUAUGCAUGCUAGCGACACUAUCAUAUACGUGAGCCAAUAGGCGCAAACGGUCCCGGGCCAGGUAAGGUGGCACCCGUGGGAAUACCGUGCGUGAGGCCGCGAAGUGAUAUGAUGUGUUACAUGCUAGAUCGAUGUGACUUAGGAUCGGGGUCCUGACAGCUUUGGUAUCAGAGCCUGACUGCCUGUAGGAUUACCAAGCCAAACUGGUCGAAGUCGAGUCUAGAAAUGCAUUAGUUAUAUAAGGGAAUUGAUUGUGGAAGGGAACGUAAGGAUCUUUUUACUCCUUUACCUUAUGCCCUUCUGAUCUGAGUCAACCUCUUCUUUUCUACGGGGAUUAAGAACUAGGCCUUCUCAUCUAUCUAUCAGGAUGACGAGUUACUAUGAUAGAGACCUAUAGGAUUGAUGGAUUUAAGCCCCAGUUCAGUUUCUACUACUUCCGUGUGUUCAUAGUCGAUCUCGGAAUCUUGAUAUUGUGCUUCUGAGUGGUUAUGCCACUAUUUUGCAGGAUGUCUCAAAUAUUUUUGAGCAUUUACAGUCGUUAUGCUGUCCGAGUCAUUCCAAGUUUCUAAACGAUCUGAUGUAUUUGCAAAAUCUUUUCCUUUGUUUCUGAUGUCCUUUGGGCCAGGUUAACCACACUAAUUGCUGAGUUGAGGUACUCCACUACCUCGACAUAUCUGUUGGAGCUAUUAUUAUGACCCUAGGUGUUUUAGGGAGUCACCUAGUAAUCUAGCCAUGUUUUGUGUUCCCAGUGUGAUGAAUCUGGCCAUCAUUCCCGAAAGCAUCCCGUGAUGCUACUUAGUAGUAGGUAUUCUACUCCUGGGUUUUUGAACCCGAGAUUCACCCUACUUCAUGUUGUUAGUAUUUGCUAGUUCCCUUAAGAUAUUAGUAACCUUUGCGAUAGUCCUCGAGGUCCGUGGUAUCUCAUUCUUCCAAUACCAUGAACCAUCAUGGCAGAAGUUCUUUUGAACCAAAAGAUCACAACCAGGGUGCUCUUGAGGAGUACUCCAUUCAUAUUGUGAAUCUGCCAGUCCCUUUUCUUCUGCAUGGGUUAUCUGGAAGAAAUAUGUUGAACUUGUUCGACAUACUAAUCUAUGCAUCCACAACUCAGAAAGAUAUGUGUUCCUUUGAGUUGUCCCCCUUUAGUUGUUUUCUGACCUUCGUCUAUCAAUUGAUAGUCAAGAGUAUGCGUGCAUUCGUUCAUCGAUGCCUAUUAUUCUUGUGGCCCGUCAAGCCAUUCUAAUCCGGAAUGACUAGGAGAAACAAACUCCAGUACCUCAUCCAUAUCCAGGAUUGGGUCAAAGUAGUUGUAUUUCGCAGAUCAAAAUGCCAAUCCAGCUUUUGUUCUGUUCUACCUCGGAGUAUUACCCCCUUUAUGUCAGGAUUGUCAUGAGAAUUGCACCAUCUCUCAUGAAUUUUUGACGCAGUGAUACUUCUUGCCAUCAUUUUUCAUUCCUCGGUCCCGUGUUGUCACAACCGGAAUGCCGACAAGUGAACCAUGAUGUGUGAAAUCAAUACUCCUAGCAACCGUGUUGCUUGGUAGUUAAUGGACAUUAAUAUCAUUCUUAGCGUGUUGGUUAUUGAAUCACUAUACUAGGAUUGAUCGUGCUACCUUGUCCUUAUUUCUGGUGCACUCUUCGAUCAAGAGUUAGGAUUGUAUCAAUCCCUUCCCUAUUUAGUUAUAUCAUCUUGCCCUUGAAAGCAAGAUUAUUCUCGAGCUUAAUAACAUAUCGAUGGUUCGUGAUAUUCCAAUGUCUUCUCGGAGGUAUUACCGGGUUGUUCCCUGACUGUUAUGUUGAGCUUGUGCUCAUGUUGGUUUUCUUCUAAACCACCCAUUCUCCAAGUAUCUAUGAUGGAUACCCCUGAGCUAGUUGGUCAAGCUAAACAACAAAUUGGAGAGUUGGAAUAUAAAAGCUUGUCUAACUUAGUUCAUUUCCAAAGGGAUAUCUUGUGUUUGUGUGUUUGUUGUAGAAGGAUGAUUUCUUCAUCGAUUGGUCCUCGAGAUCAGUUGUUGAACCUAUCGUCUUGCCCAAACCUUGAUUUGAGUGUGGGCCAUCGUCAAAUCAAGUUAGAACCAACGAUAUUCGUAAUGUUGUCUUACUCGUGGUUGAUUCCUCGAGCAUACACCAUUACAUCUUUUGGUCUGACCAAUACUAUCACAUUGUUCACAUAAUGGUGGAAGUCCAGUGAUAUGGGAAUUCUGCUGAGUUGCUGUUGAGCCCAUCAGCAGCAUUUUGUCUCCUCCAUGAUUCGUGUUGAACAUUAAGUAGUGUUGGAAACUUUUAAAGCAUUGCCUUCGUGUUCCGUUCAUGAAGCAUAUGCUCGGAUGAAAGAAGUAACUUCCUCUAAUACAUGUGCAUUGAUGCAAGUUGCCGCCGUGAAUUCGAGAAAGUCAAUGUUGUUUCCUCUGAAAUCAUCCCAAGUCAGCCAUGCACGUGCAAAGUAUUCUGUGGUAUGUUAGACUGAUCAUCUUCAUUCCAUAUGUAAUUCCUAGCACACCAAGCCACUGAUUGAUUUGUUCAAGGAUAAUAAGUUCUAAGUGCUAGUCCUGAAGGUACCAGACGGAUUUGUACAAGAUUCCUUAUCCUCGAUGAUGGUUCCCAACCAGAACUCGGUAGUGUUUUAUCAUAAGACUAUUGUGUGGUCAUGCUUGUCGUGGACAACGUGUUCACAUGUAUGUAGCAAACCAGCUCAUGUUUUGGAGCUUGCUAUCGUAUUUCAUCUCCCGAGAAUCUCACAAUGUCAUCUCAUUGAUUGGUGUUGCAAACUUUCUUUUCCAGACAUGCUGUCUAAAAUAUCCCGUUACCAACCAGAUCUGAACCUCAGGCAGAUAUGAUGGUUGGAACAUUCCCAACAUUUACAUUUUUUCCCCAGCCCACAUCGCCAUUGUGCCAGUUUUCAAUGGGCUGCCCUUCUCAGCAGUUGCUGUCCAGGAUCAUCUUCAAAAAUGGUCCUACCAAGGAUUCCAACCAUUUUCGAUGAUAAGCAAAAUCAUCCCUUGCAUUGUCUUCGACAAGGUAAUCCACAUCAUCCAUACUAGUCCAAGUAUGUCAUUCUUUUGAAUUCCUCCAAACGAUCAAUUGUGAAUUGCCUCAGGCUAGUAUGAAGAGUUCCAAUGAUCUAUGGAUCAAAAGUAAUUCUUUUUGCCACUUAAGGGAAUAAUGCUAUGAGUCACCUCCUCUAAGAUGUCUCGUUAUGGUGUCAUGACAACUUAACUCCUCGCUACGUUGAGACUGUACACCAUCUUACCCAAGCAUGGAGUUGUUGCCUACCAAAUUGAACCUUCGUCGUCUACUUCUCCAUCACCCUCCUGAUGUGUGUCUUGCGUCUCGGCUCAAGAGACGUUCUUUCGCCUCACCCCAUGAGUUGAUCAUGUAUCGCUUGAUCUUUGUAAAGAUCGAAUUCUGUCGAGUUUCCUCUGUUUCCUCAUCAUAGUUGGAUGAAGAUCUCAAAAGCAAGGACGUCAAGAUCAAUUUGAAGGAAUAAAUCAACAUCUUCGAGAAGGACAGUAUGGAUCAUCAAGAUUGUGAUAGUUUUGCGACCCCCCUUUCCUCUUGCCUCACGUCUUGAAUCUCGGGACGAGAUCCUUGUUUAGUGGGGGUGAGUUGUCACAGCCCUAGAAUUGUGCUUAUAAAUAGUUGCAUCAGAGUGCAUUAUGCAUCAUGUCUAAAUUUCCAGUGAAAUUGAAUUGAGGGAAUUCUCAAGCCUCAAAUAUCUUUUAAAAAUGAUCAACAUUGAAAUCGUUCAAAUGAGCCCAACAAAAAUGUCCCUGUUAAUCUCUGAAGAUAUUGGCAAGAGCUAAAACUCAAACCAAUAUUUUUUGAAUCUCAGAAAAGAUUCUUUUGGGACUUUGAAUCAAACCAAUAAUUAUUUGAAUUGGAUUUAUAUUCAUAAUAACUAGAUUAUGAAUCCAAUAAUUCUGAAAAAUGGUGAGUGGCUCUGAAUAUAUUAUAUCUAGCCACAUGAUAUUUUCAGAAGCUAAGAAAAUGGUUUGGUUUUUGAACUAAACCAAACCAAAUUGCAGAAAUAGAAAACAAAACAGAAAAUGGGAAAGGGAAAGGUUUUACCUGGCCUUACCUGAAGCUGGCCCAGCUGGCAGCCCAGCUCGCUGGCCCAGCCCACCUGGCGCUUCCUGUCGUCUUCCUCCUGCUAGUAGGAGCAGCUGCGUGCUCGCACGCGCGCGGCCGAGGAGGCCAGCUCCUCCUUGUCUGCCUGCCCCUCCCCGACGCGUCUGGACAACGCCACGCAACCCCUCUGGCCCUCUCCCACUCUCCCAGUGCUCCUCCUCCCCUCUGUCUCUCUCUCACGCGCACGACCAAAUGCCACUGUCGCCUCCGCUCGCUGUAGACACGGACACCGUCCACCCCUCGCCUCUUCGACGCACCAAGAAGCUCCGUCGUCGACCUCUACACCGUCUCCACCGAGCCACGCGAUAGGAAGAGCCCUGGAGCGCCGUCCCCGAUGUCUUCUUCCUCCUUGGGCCACCGAGAUCGCCAGCGACCUCCCGACGUCACCAGCCCCUUCCCGAGCGCGCAGAGGCCUCCAUUCAACUCACUGUGAGCUGCUGCGUCUUUCCCCCUCCUCCCUGAGCUCGUUCCUGUUCUGUAGCCGCCUGUUCCACCGGAGCCGCGAGCUCGGCUCCGCCGACCAUGUCGCCGCCGUGGCUACCGUCACCUAGAGCUACAACCGAGUGCACGGCCGUGCUCAGCGCAAUGCCCGAAGCCCUAAACCCCCUCCAGUGGCUCCUGCCGUGCACCGCAACACCGAAACCGCUGAGACCCGAACUUCGGCUGCCGCCUUUGAGCUCGCCGCCGUUGAUAUAGGUCGCCCCCGUCGUAACUGACUGCACCACUCGACGUGUGGGAUCACCAGCUAUCCGUAGGUGGUCUCCUCUAUCCAUUUGGACGCCGGAGCGCGAAACCUGCGGCCCUCCACCGCGUCUGGCCUCGCCGGCGUCGACCCGCCGGCGGGAUUAGCCCGAGUUGACCUCGUUUGACCUGGGGUUUGACUCCCCUGGGUCAAUACUGGUGGGCCAGAGCCCUGCUAAUUUUAGCUUAGCGCUAAUUAACAUUUAGUUAACACACUAAGUCACUGACAUGUGGGCCCUGGCCCCACUAACAGCUUAGUUAGUAUUAAUUUAACCCUGUUAAUUAGUUGUUUCACUAACGAGUGGGUCCCAGCCGUCAGGUUUGACCAGGGUUGGCAUCUUUGACUUGCUGAUGUCAUGCUGACGCUGUGAUGACGCAGUAAUGCUUUUCUGGAUUUUCAAAUAAAUCUAUUUGAUUUAUUUAAUUUUCGAAAAUGUUUAAAACUUCUAAAAUUCAUAGAAAUUCAACCGUAACUCCAGUGAAAUAAGUUAUAUAUAAAAAAUUAUCAGAAAAAUCCAAAGAAUCUCUUUAUGGCAUCCUCAUGCAUGUUUGAAAAACUUACAACCACUGUAUAUGAAAAUUUGAAUAAAUGGCAUUUGAAAUGUCUUAUAUGGAGUUUGAAUUUGAAUCUUUGGUUCAAACCAACUUCAUUUAAUCUGGUUGCUAGUUGCAUUAGCUCAAUCAACAGCAUAUUGCCAUGUCAUGAUCAUGCAUCAUAUUGUUGCAUCGCAUUGAUUGUGUUCCCUCUUGUUUGCCGGUGGUUGUUCCUCUCGGUAGACGUUGUUCCGACGAUGUGAUCGAUGACACUAAUGAAGACACAAUGCUAUCUUCAGAAGUGCCAGGCAAGCAAAACCCCCUUGUUCAUUCCGAUACAAUCCCACUCUCUCGUCUCUGCCCUCUUUUACUGCAUUAGGACAACAACGAUUCAACUGUUACAUGCUGCGGUAGCUGAACCCCUUUCCUCUGCAUGACCUGUCAUUGCCAUAGUAAAUAGAUGAAACCCACUAGCAUGAGUAGGAGUUGUUUGAGCCCUGAUGUGCCUACUCAUUCAUGCUUGUUGUCAUGCCUGCUACUGCUUAGAGUUGAGUCAGGUCUGAUUCAUCGGGGAUGAAUUGGAAUGUGGUGAACAUGUCCUACUGUUGAGAGCUAAGUGUGUGAACACAAUUUGGUAAAGGUAGCGGUGAGAGGCCAUGUAGGAGUACAUGGUGGGUUGUCACAUUGAAACCGUCCUCGGGAACUGAGUUCUGUGUUUAUGAUCCGUGAACAGCUACUACCACACAUUGGGCUUCGGGCACUCCAAGCUCUCUCGACUUAUUAAUCAACUCGGUCUCUGUCCAGGAGUUGCAACUAGUUUCUGGUGUUUGUAGGUAGUGUUAGUAGUCUACCAAGUGGCACCCGGUACAGGUGGGCUUGGGACAGACUAGGCACAGUGGCAUGGUGUACCAAGCGUAGAACCAUCCGUCGAGGUGGGCUUGGGAACCCUGCACACAUCAUUUGGGGCCGUGAGCGACACCCCGGCCGGAAUUCCUUGCGGAUGGAACCCGAAUAGGCGAUAAACCUGGACUAGAGACUUGUGUGGUUAGUCAGGUCGUGCCCGUCUCCCUCGCCAGGCUUCCGCUUGAAGGUUGCCGAGAUGCAUGACGUGUACAUGGUGGUAAGUGACGAGAGCGUGUGUGCAGAAGUACACCCCUGCAGGGUUAACAUUAUCUAUUCGAAUAGUCGUGUCCGCGGUAAAGGAAUUAUGGGUUGCCUGUGCAGUUCAUAGACAAGUGAAAGUGGAUACUCUAAAAUGCGCAAGAUAAGCGUGAGUGCUAUGGAUGGCGUUCUCGUAGGGAGACGGGAGCGGAUCCAUAGUGGUGUAUUGAUAUGGUGAAUAUGUGGACUCGUGUGCGCCACCUCAACAGAGUUACUUGCGGUCGUAGUUCAGGAUAGCCACCGAGUCAAAGUUGUCUUGCUACAGUUAAAUCCCACCAUCCCCUUGUUGAUACCGAUGCAUAUGUAGCUAGUUCUGAUGUAAGUCUUGCUGGGUACAUUUGUACUCACGUUUGCUCAAUUUAUGUUUUUGCAGAGGGACUUCAGUCUCGCUACUAGUUCCGCGUGGACUUCGAUGUUUAGCUUGUAACCUCAGCUACGAGCUUGUACCUUGGGAGGGUCUUGUAGUUAGUCAGGCUUCUCAGCCUUUUUCUUUUGUAGUUGUCUGUACUUAGACAAGUUAAGCUUCCGCAUGUGCUUGUUGCUUGUAUGCUCUGUAUGUUGGGUCAUCAGACCCAUGUUUGUAAUAUCUGGCUCUUCGGAGCCUAGUGAAUAAAUACUUUGAGUCAUAGAGUUUUGUUGUGAUGCCAUGUUGUAUUUACACAUAUCGAGCAUAUUGUGUGUAUGAUUGAAAUGCUUGGUAUGUGUGGGAUCAGAUAACCUAGUUGUCUAUCCUUGGUAGCCUCUGUAAUGGGGAAAUGUAGUCUAGUUCUUCCACUGAGCCAUGGUAGUCUGCUAUAGCCCGGUUUACUGGAGUCCUGUUAGCCUAGUUGCUACUGCUCCGAAACACUUAGACUGGCCGGCAUGUGUCCUCCUUCGAUCCUGUGUCCGUCCCUUCGGGGGAAUGUCGCGCGGUGUCUUUCGGAGUCUUGUUGGCCUGCUACAGCCCGGGUUCCCGGAGUCCUGCUAGCCCAGUUGCUACAGCACGGAUUCACUCGCUGAUGACUGACACGUUCGUUGUUAGGUCAUGUAUGCCUGUCCCUGUAAGUUAGUGCCACUUUGGGUUCACGACUAGUCAUGUCAACCCGGGUUCUCUGUCAUAUGGAUGCUAGCAACACUAUCAUAUACGUGAGCCAAUAGGCGCAAACGGUCCCGGGCCAGGUAAGGUGGCACCCGUGGAAAUACCGUGCGUGAGGUCGCAAAGUGAUAUGAUGUGUUACAUGCUAGAUUGAUGUGACUUAGGAUCGGGGUCCUGACAGCUUUGCUAUCGUCACAACCCUAGAAUUGUGCUUGUAAAUAGUUGCAUCAGAGUGCAUUAUGCAUCAUGUCUAAAUUUCCAGUGAAAUUGAAUUGAGGGAAUUCUCAAGCCUCAAAAAUCUUUUAAAAAUGAUCAAAAUUGAAAUCGUUCAAAUGAGCCCAACAAAAAUGUUCCUGUUAAUUUCUGAAGAUAUUGGCAAGAGCUAAAACUCAAACCAAUAUUUCUUGAAUCUCAGAAAUGAUUCUUUUGGGACUUUGAAUCAAACCAAUAAUUAUUUGAAUUAGAUUUAUAUUCAUAAUAACUAGUUUAUGAAUCCAAUAAUUCUGAAAAAUGCUGAGUGGCUCUGAAUAUAUUAUAUCUAGCCACAUGAUAAUUUUCAGAAGCUAAGAAAAUGGUUUGGUUUUUGAACUAAACCAAAACAAAUUGCAGAAAUAGAAAACAAAACAGAAAAUGGGAAAGGGAAAGGUUUUACCUGGCCUUACCUGAAGCCGGCCCAGCUGGCAGCCCAGCUCGUUGGCCCAGCCCACCUGGCGCCUCCUGUCGUCUUCCUCCUGCUAGUAGGAGCAGCUGCGUGCUCGCACGCGCGCGGCCGAGGAGGCCAGCUCCUCCUUGUCUGCCUGCCCCUCCCCGACGCGUCUGGACAAUGCCACGCAACCCCUCUGGCCCUCUCCCACUCUCCCAAUGCUCCUCCUCCCCUCUAUCUCUCUCUCACGCGCACGUCCGAAUGCCACCGUCGCUGCCGCUCGCCGUAGACACGGACACCGUCCACCCCUCGCCUCUCCGACGCACCAGGAAGCUCCACCGUCGACCUCUACGCCGUCUCCACUGAGCCACGCGACGGGAAGAGCCCUGGAGUGCCGUCCCCGACGUCUUCUUCCUCCUCGGGCCACCGAGAUCGCUGGCGACCUCCCGUCAUCACCAGCCCCUCCCCGAGCGCGCAGAGGCCUCCGUUCAACUCGCUGUGAGCUGGUGCAUCUCUCCCCCUCCUCCCCGAGCUUGUUCCACCUGAGCCGUGAGCCCGGCUCCGCCGGCCAUGUCGCCGUCGUGGCCACUAUCACCUAGAGAUACAACCGAGCACACAACCGUGCUCAGCGCAAUGCCCGAAGACCAAAACCCCCUCCAGUGGCUCCUGUCGUGCACCGUAACACCGAAACCGCUGAGACCCGAACUCCGGCCGCCGCCUUUGAGCUCGCCGCCAUCGAUAUAGGUCGCCCCCGUCGUAACUGACUACACCACUCGACGCGCGGGGUCACCAGCUGUCCGUAGGUGGUCUCCUCCGUCCAUUUGGAUGCCGGAGCGCGAAACCCGUGGCCCUCCACCGCGUCUGGCCUCGCCGGCGUCGACCCGCCGGCGGGAUUAGCCCGAGUUGACCUCAUUUGACCUGAGGUUUGACUUCCCUGGGUCAAUACUGGUGGGCCAGAGCCCUGCUAAUUUUAGGUUAGCGCUAAUUAACAUUUAGUUAACAAACUAAGUCACUGACAUGUGGGCCCUGGCCCCACUAAUAGCUUAGUUAGUAUUAAUUUAACCCUGUUAAUUAGUUGUUUCACUGACGACUGGGUCCCAGCCGUCAGGUUUGACCAGGGCUGGCGUCUUUGACUUGCUGAUGUCAUGCUGACGCCGUGAUGAUGCAGUAAUGCUUUUCUGGAUUUUUAAAUAAAUCUAUUUGAUUUAUUUAAUUUCAGAAAAUGUUUAAAACUUCUAAAAUUCAUAGAAAUUCAACCGUAACUCCAAAUGAAAUAAGUUAUAUAUAAAAAAUUAUCAGAAAAAUCCAAAGAAUCUCUUUAUGGCAUCCUCAUGCAUGUUUGAAAAACUUAUAGCCACUGUAUAUGACAAUUUGAAUAAAUGGCAUUUGAAAUGUCUUAUAUGGAUUUUGAAUUUGAACCUUUGGUUCAAACCAACUUCAUUUAAUCUGGUUGCUUGUUGCAUUAGCUCAAUCAACAGCAUAUUGCCAUGUCAUGAUCAUGCAUCAUAUUGUUGCAUCGCAUUGAUUGUGUUCCCUCUUGUUUGCCGGUGGUUGUUCCUCUCGGUAGACGUUGUUCCGACGAUGUGAUCGAUGACACUAAUGAAGACACAAUGCUAUCUUCAGAAGUGCCAGGCAAGCAAAAACCGCCUUGUUCAUUUCGAUACAAUCCCACUCUCUCGCCUCUGCCCUUUGUUACUGCAUUAGGACAACAACGAUUCAACUGUUACAUGCUACGGUAGCUGAACCCCUUUCCUCUGCAUGACCUGUCAUUGCCAUAGUAAAUAGAUGAAACCCACUAGCAUGAGUAGGAGUUGUUUGAGCCCUGAUGUGCCUACUCAUUCAUGCUUGUUGUCAUGCCUGCUACUGCUUAGAGUUGAGUCAGGUCUGAUUCAUCGGGGAUGAACUGGAAUGUGGUGAACAUGUCCUACUGUUGAGAGCUAAGUGUGUGAACACGAUUUGGUAAAGGUAGCGGUGAGAGGCCAUGUAGGAGUACAUGGUGGGUUGUCACAUUGAAACCAUCCUCAGGAACUGAGUUCUGUGUUUGUGAUCCAUGAACAGCUACUACCACACAUUGGGCUUCGGGCACUCCAAGCUCUCUCGACUUAUUAAUCAACUCGAUCUCUGUCCAGGAGUUGCAACUAGUUUCUGGUGUUUGUAGGUAGUGUUAGUAGUCUACCAAGUGGCACCCGGUACAGGUGGGCUUGGGACAGACUAGGCACAGUGGCACGGUGUACCAAGCGAAGAACCAUCCGUCGAGGUGGGCUUGGGAACCCUGCACACAUCGUUUGGGGCCGUGAGCGACACCCCGGCUGGAUCUCCUUGCGGAUGGAACCCGAAUUGGCGAUAAACUUGGACUAGAGACUUGUGUGGUUAGUCAGGUCGUGGCCGACUCCCUCGCCAGGCUUCCGCUUGAACGUUGCCGAGAUACACGACGUGUACAUGGUGGUAAGUGACGAGAGCGUGUGUGAAGAAGUACACCCCUGCAGGGUUAACAUUAUCUAUUCUAAUAGCCGUGUCCGCGGUAAAGGACUUCUGAGUUGCCUGUGGAGUUCAUAGACAAGUGAAAGUGGAUACUCUAAAAUGCGCAAGAUAAGUGUGAGUGCUAUGGAUGGCGUUCUCGUAGGGAGACGGGAGCGGAUCCAUAGUGGUGUAUUGAUAUGGUGAAUAUGUGGACUCAUGUGCGCCACCUCAACAGAGUUACUUGCGGUCGUAGUUCAGGAUAGCCACCGAGUCAAAGUUGUCUUGCUACAGUUAAACCCCACCAUCCCCUUGUUGAUACCGAUGCAUAUGUAGCUAGUUCUGAUGUAAGUCUUGCUGGGUACAUUUUUACUCACGUUAGCUUAAUUUAUGUUUUUGCAGAGGGACUUCAGUCUCGCUAGUAGUUCCGCGUGGACUUCGACGUUUAGCUUGUAACCUCAGCUACGAGCUUGUACCUUGGGAGGGUCUUGUAGUUAGUCAGGCUUCUCAGCCUUUUUCUUUUGUAGUUGUCUGUACUCAGAUAAGUUAAGCUUCCGCAUGUGCUUGUUGCUUGUAUGCUCUGUAUGUUGGGUCAUCAGACCCAUGUUUGUAAUAUCUGGCUCUUCGGAGCCUAGUGAAUAAAUACUUUGAGUCGUAGAGUUUUGUUGUGGUACCAUGUUGUAUUUACACAUAUCGAGCAUAUUGUGUGUAUGAUUGAAAUGCUUGGUAUGUGUGGGAUCCGACAACCUAGCUGUCUAUCCUUGGUAGCCUCUCUUAUGGGGAAAUGUAGUCUAGUUCUUCCACUGAGCCAUGGUAGUCUGCUACAGCCCGGUUUACCGGACUCCUGUUAGCCCAGUUGCUACUGCUCCGGAACACUUAGACUGGCCGGCAUGUGUCCUCCUUUGAUCCUGUGUUUGUCCCUUCGGCGGAAUGUCACGCGGUGUCUUUCGGAGUCCUGUUAGCCUGCUACAGCCCGGAUUCCCGGAGUCCUGCUAGCCAGGUUGCUACAGCCCGGAUUCACUCGCUGAUGACCGACACGUUCGUUGUUGGGUCAUGUAUGCCUGUCCCUGUAAGUUAGUGCCACUUUGGGUUCAUGACUAGUCAUGUCAGCCCGGGUUCUCUGUCAUAUGGAUGCUAGCAACACUAUCAUAUACGUGAGCCAAUAGGCGCAAACGGUCCCGGGCCAGGUAAGGUGGCACCCGUGGGAAUACCGCGCGUGAGGUUGCAAAGUAAUAUGAUGUGUUACAUGCUAGAUCGAUGUGACUUAGGAUCGGGGUCCUGACAUCUUUGGUAUCGUCACAACCCUAGAAUUGUGCUUGUAAAUAGUUGCAUCAGAGUGCAUUAUGCAUCAUGUCUAAAUUUCCAGUGAAAUUGAAUUGAGGGAAUUCUCAAGCCUCAAAAAUCUUUUAAAAAUGAUCAACAUUGAAAUCGUUCAAAUGAGCCCAACAAAAAUGUUCAUGUUAAUUUCUGAAGAUAUUGGCAAGAGCUAAAACUCAAACCAAUAUUUUUUGAAUCUCAGAAAUGAUUCUUUUGGGACUUUGAAUCAAACCAAUAAUUAUUUGAAUUGGAUUUAUAUUUAUAAUAACUAGUUUAUGAAUCCAAUAAUUCUGAAAAAUGCUGAGUGGCUCUGAAUAUAUUAUAUCUAGCCACAUGAUAAUUUUCAGAAGCUAAGAAAAUGGUUUGGUUUUUGAACUAAACCAAAACAAAUUGCAGAAAUAGAAAACAAAACAGAAAAUGGGAAAGGGAAAGGUUUUACCUGGCCUUACCUGAAGCCUGCCCAGCUGGCAGCCCAGCUCGCUGGCCCAGCCCACCUGGCACCUCCUGUCGUCUUCCUCCUGCUAGUAGGAGCAGCUGCGUGCUCGCACGCGCGCGGCCGAGGAGGCCAGCUCCUCCUUGUCUGCCUGCCCCUCCCCGACGCGUCUGGACAACGCCACGCAACCCCUCUGGCCCUCUCCCACUCUCCUAGUGCUCCUCCUCCCCUCUGUCUCUCUCACGCACACGACCGAAUGCCACCGUCGCCACCGCUCGCCGUAGACACGGACACCGUCCACCCCUCGCCUCUCCGAUGCACCAAGAAGCUCCGCCGUCGACCUCUACGCCGUCUCCACCGAGCCACUCGACGGGAAGAGCCCUGGAGCGCCGUCCCCGACGUCUUCUUCCUCCUCGGGCCACCGAGAUCGCUGGCGACCUCCCGUCAUCACCAGCCCCUCCCCGAGCGCGCAGAGGCCUCCGUUCAACUCGCUGUGAGCUGGUGCAUCUCUCCCCCCUCCUCCCCGAGCUCGUUCCACCUGAGCCGCGAGCUCGGCUCCGCCGGCCAUGUCGCCGUCGUGGCCACUGUCACCUAGAGCUACAACCGAGCGCACAACCGUGCUCAGCGCAAUGCCCGAAGACCAAAACCCCCUCCAGUGGCUCCUGUCGUGAACCGCAACACCGAAACCGCUGAGACCCGAACUCCGGCCGCCGCCUUUGAGCUCGCCGUCGUCGAUAUAGGUCGCCCCCGUCGUAACUGACUACACCACUCGACGCGCGGGGUCACCAGCUGUCCGUAGGUGGUCUCCUCCGUCCAUUUGGACGCCGGAGCGCGAAACCCGUGGCCCUCCACCGUGUCUGGCCUCGCCGGCGUCGACCCGCCGGCGGGAUUAGCCCGAGUUGACCUCAUUUGACCUGGGGUUUGACUCCCCUGGGUCAAUACUGGUGGGCCAGAGCCCUGCUAAUUUUAGGUUAACGCUAAUUAACAUUUAGUUAACACACUAAGUCACUGACAUGUGGGCCCUGGCCCCACUAAUAGCUUAGUUAGUAUUAAUUUAACCCUGUUAAUUAGUUGUUUCACUUACGAGUGGGUCCCAGCCGUCAGGUUUGACCAGGGCUGGCGUCUUUGACUUGCUGAUGUCAUGCUGACGCCGUGAUGAUGCAGUAAUGCUUUUCUGGAUUUUUAAAUAAAUCUAUUUGAUUUAUUUAAUUUCAGAAAAUGUUUAAAACUUCUAAAAUUCCUAGAAAUUCAACUGUAACUCCAAAUGAAAUAAGUUAUAUAUAAAAAAUUAUCAGAAAAAUCCAAAGAAUCUCUUUAUGGCAUCCUCAUGCAUGUUUGAAAAACUUAUAGCCACUGUAUAUCACAAUUUGAAUAAAUGGCAUUUGAAAUGUCUUAUAUGGAGUUUGAAUUUGAACCUUUGGUUCAAACCAACUUCAUUUAAUCUAGUUUCUAGUUGCAUUAGCUCAAUCAACAACAUAUUGCCAUGUCAUGAUCAUGCAUCAUAUUGUUGCAUCGCAUUGAUUGUGUUCCCUCUUGUUUGCCGGUGGUUGUUCCUCUCGGUAGACGUUGUUCCGACGAUGUGAUCGAUGACACUAAUGAAGACACAAUGCUAUCUUCAGAAGUGCCAGGCAAGCAAAAACCGCCUUGUUCAUUCCGAUACAAUCCCACUCUCUCGCCUCUACCCUCUGUUACUGCAUUAGGACAACAACGAUUCAACUGUUACAUGCUACGGUAGCUGAACCCCUUUCCUCUGCAUGACCUGUCAUUGCCACAGUAAAUAGAUGAAACCCACUAGCAUGUGUAGGAGUUGUUUGAGCCCUGAUGUGCCUACUCAUUCAUGCUUGUUGUCAUGCCUGCUACUGCUUAGAGUUGAGUCAGGUCUGAUUCAUCGGGGAUGAAUUGGAAUGUGGUGAACAUGUCCUACUGUUGAGAGCUAAGUGUGUGAACACGAUUUGGUAAAGGUAGCGGUGAGAGGCCAUGUAGGAGUACAUGGUGGGUUGUCUCAUUGAAACCGCCCUCAGGAACUGAGUUCUGUGUUUGUGAUCCUUGAACAGCUACUACCACACAUUGGGCUCCGGGCACUCCAAGCUCUCUCGCUUAUUAAUCAACUCGAUCUCUCUCCAGGAGGUGCAACUAAUUUCUGGUGUUUGUAGGUAGUGUUAGUAGUCUACCAAGUGGCACCCGGUACAGGUGGGCUUGGGACAGACUAGGCACAGUGGCAUGGUGUACCAAGCGUAGAACCAUCCGUCGAGGUGGGCUUGGGAACCCUGCACACAUCAUUUGGGGCCGUGAGCGACACCCCGGCCGGAUCUCCUUGCGGAUGGAACCCGAAUAAGCGAUAAACCUGGACUAGAGACUUGUGUGGUUAGUCAGGUCAUGGCCGACUCCCUCGCCAGGCUUCCGCUUGAAGGUUGCCGAGAUACACGACGUGUACAUGGUGGUAAGUGGCGAGAGCAUGUGUGAAGAAGUACACCCCUGCAGGGUUAACAUUAUCUAUUCGAAUAGCCUUGUCCGCGGUAAAGGACUUCUGGGUUGCCUGUGCAGUUCAUAGACAAGUGAAAGUGGAUACUCUAAAAUGCGCAAGAUAAGCGUGAGUGCUAUGGAUGGCGUUCUCGUAGGGAGACGGGAGCAGAUCCAUAGUGGUGUAUUGAUAUGGUGAAUAUGUGGACACGUGUGCGCCACCUCAACAGAGUUACUUGCGGUCGUAGUUCAGGAUAGCCACCGAGUCAAAGCUGGCUUGCUGUAGUUAAACCCCACCAUCCCCUUGUUGAUACCGAUGCAUAUGUAGCUAGUUCUGAUGUAAGUCUUCCUGGGUACAUUUGUACUCACGUUUGAUUAAUUUAUGUUUUUGCGGAGAGACUUCAGUCUCGCUAGUAGUUCCGCGUGGACUUUGACGUUUAGCUUGUAACCUCAGCUACGAGCUUGUACCUUGGGAGCGUCUUGUAGUUAGUCAGGCUUCUCAGCCUUUUUAUUUUGUAGUUGUCCGUACUCAGACAAGGUAUGCUUCCGCAUGUGCUUGUUGCUUGUAUGCUCUGUAUGUUGGGUCAUCAGACCCAUGUUUGUAAUAUCUGGCUCUUCGGAGCCUAGUGAAUAAAUACUUUGAGUCGUAGAGUUUUGUUGUGAUGUCAUGUUGUAUUUACACAUAUCGAGCAUAUUGUGUGUACGAUUGAAAUGCUUGGUAUGUGUGGGAUCCGACAACCUAGUUGUCUAUCCUUGGUAUCCUCUCUUAUGGGGAAAUGUAGUCUAGUGCUUCCACUGAGCCAUGGUAGUCUGCUACAGCCCGGUUUACCGGAGUCCUGUUAGCCCAGUUGCUACUGCUCCGGAACACUUGGACUGGCCGGCACGUGUCGUCCUUCGAUCCUGUGUCUGUCCCUUCGGGGGAAUGUCACGCGGUGUCUUUCGGAGUCCUGUUAGCCUGCUACAGCCCGGAUUCCCGGAGUCCUGCUAGCCCAGUUGCUACAGCCCGGAUUCACUCGCUGAUGACCGACACGUUCGUUGCUGGGUCAUGUAUGCCUGUCCCUGUAAGUUAGUGCCACUUUGGGUUCACGACUAGUUAUGUCGGCCCGGGUUCUCUGUCAUAUGGAUGCUAGCGACACUAUCAUAUACGUGAGCCAAUAGGCGCAAACGGUCCCGGGCCAGGUAAGGUGGCACCCGUGGGAAUACCGUGCGUGAGGCCGCAAAGUGAUAUGAUGUGUUACAUGCUAGAUCGAUGUGACUUAGGAUCGGGGUCCUGACAGUUGUCGACGCCCUGAAGACCCCAAGAGAUGGGGAGAUACCGGGAGAUGGGCUUGCUGGCAUUCGGCUGUGCAAGGACAGUUUCAUGCCGGUCAAGUACCACAAGUGUGAUGAUGGCCGCAUCAUCUUCGGCAAUGGAUGGAGUGAUUUUGUUGACAGUGAAGAGCUCAAGGUUCAUAAAGCCGUUCUUUUCGGUUUCAAGAGCACCACCCAUGAAGAUCUUCAGAUCGAGGUGGUUAUGAACAUGCUGACCGAGGAGCCACAAAUGUAGCACGACAACGCAAGAGUGUCCUUUACACUAGGUAUACUGCGAAAACUAUGUUGAUAGCAGUUAUGCAUCUAUGGGGUUAUGUCUUCAUUAUGUCUUGGGUGAUGAUGACUAUUAGAGGAGGACAUGUUGCAGUUAGAGUAAAUGCUUGGAUUGGGCCCUAUUCAGGACUCAAAAUAGGGCUUACACAGGUGGUUGCUUUAUUGGCUGUUGUUUCUCUGGCUAUAAUCAUGAACGAUGGUAAUGCAAAUGGAAUCGUUAAGGGGGUUUUAUUAAUAUUUUAAAUCAUGGAGUUAAGAUGGUAGAACUACCUAUGAGUGUUUGCGUAGGAGAUGCGGGGAGGGCAUCAUUUGUGUUCUUGACUCUUUGGUAAUGUAGGAAUAAUGUGAGAUUACAAAAUAAAUGGUAUAGUGAUCUUAUGAUUCUUGUUUAGCUAAUUUGCUUGUGGAUCAUGGGAUGGUCUAUAUUGCAGAUGAAGGUGGUAAACAAAGAGGUGCUGAUGUUGGGAGCAAAGAGGUGAUGAUGGUCUAUAUGCGUAGGCUAGAGCAUGUAGCAGGUGAAUUGUACAGUUCAUCGCAAGUGUGGAGUCACAGGGUACUGCGGUGUCGCCUGCGCAUCUCUCAGCUAUAUUUUCUGUCCUCUGCCGUAGUUUUAUUUUUUGGACCUUCAUGUUAAGUCUGGCUGGGCUUGCUACCAUGUAUGAUUUGUGCUGCUAGUUGAUUACUUUAGUUUCUAGCUGUAGUUUGUAUCAGGGGCUUGAAAGACCAUGUGAUUUCUGUUAAUGGAAAAUCAGAGGGGGCGGCCCUUCUUUUGAUUAAAAAAAUGAACUUUCUCUAUGCAAUUAAAAAAUUAGAAUUUCUCUAUUCAAACCCAGUUGAGAACAGUAUUCAUUAUAAAUCUGAAAUAAUCUUUUGGUAAAAAUGGCUAUCGCAUUCUGUAUCAUAGCUAGCGAAACCGAAACAAAAUAAAUGUCUUAAGUAUAAUAUCUUGUGAACGUAGAUCAAAUUAGGCAAGACAGCUACAAUAAAGGAUGAUCCAAAUUGCAGGAAAUUUGAACUUACGACUUACUAGCAGUAUAAUAAAGUUUACAGACUAUCAGGAUAAAUAGAAGAAACAUUUUAGGUUGAUUCAUUCUUGCUUUCGGACUUCUUUGACCGCCUAGAUGGUUUGGCGAGAUGCUGGCACUGACUCUCGAACCCCUUCUGGAAGUUCACCAAGCACCUGUAUACAUCAUAGGUGGCAUACACGUCCCUGGAAGCAUAAUAGAUGUUCUUCAAGGGCAAGGGCGCUUCUGCCCAUAUAUGGUGGUCAUCUUCUGUGAUAGCAUCCUUCAUCUUGUUGUAGCUGUGGUGGAUGAUGGAACCAGCGUAGUCAGCCAAGCCAUACUUUGGCUUAAUCGUCACUGGAUCAGGCACUCUCCACAUAUUCUGGAUAUCCACAAAGUUUCGUACCACCAGACCAACAUGCUUGAGUUUUUUCUCGUAAUUGUUGAUGUCCACCCCAACAAAGGUGUACUCCUCGUCGAGCAGGAAGGCGGCAAGCAGGCCGCAGUGCUCAUCAGCAACGCUUAUGUGGUACACGAGGACGUAGAUGCCAACGCAUAACUGGACCACGGCAGCCAUCUGUGUCGGACCACGAGGCCAGGUGAACUCCACAUCCAGUGCAACUAUCUUCUGGUCGUCGUUCUGCAGCCAGUAUUUGAAUCUGCCAAUGCAGUACUCAACACAGCUAGCCUUGUUCGUGUACUUCACAAAAAUUUCAGUAUUCCCAUCUGCCCUAGCAGCAUAAUCUUUCACGAGCGCCAUAUCGAAGGACUGUAAUUGAUGAAACCAGUAUAAGACAUGAAGCAUGACAAUAACAUGAUAACAAUAAGCCGAGAUGAACAUGACGGCAGAUAGUAUAGUAAUUCUGGCGCUAUUGAAAGUUUAUGUAAACAAGUGCAUGAACAAUUUAAACUAAACAAGUACUCCCUCUGUAAAGAAAUUACUAAAGUAGUGAACCAAAAGUUGUUAUAUUUCCUUGCAGAGGGAGUAUAUGCAAAUUAACAAUCAAAAAUUACGCUCUUGAAAUAUUUAUCUAAACAACUGCAUCAAUAAUCCAGAAUAAACAUGUAUCUAUGAAUUGUUCAUCGCCCAUGCAGAUGAAACUGUGUGUACAAACUAAAGAAGCAGGAGCAAAACAAGAAAUUGACAAGACAACGGACUAGAUGUUGCAUGCAGAUGAAUCUGUGUGCAAAAUUCUCAUAAGGCAACGGACUACAUGUUGCAGGCAGAUGAAUCUGUGUGCACAAAAUAAAGAAGCAGGAGAACAAGAAAUUGACAAGAAGGCCAUCGUAUGUGCUGCUAAUGGAGAACUACUAACAAAAUUGACAGGAAGGAGAACUCACCGUUCCAGAAGCCAGAUUGUUGGGAGAGUGGGUGACGCAGAGGAAGAGGGAAUCGAGAGGACGCAGAGGCAGAGGAACCAUUUUUGGAGAGUCGUGGCAGUGAGGACAAAGCGCCCUCGCGCAUGCCCGUCCUAAAUAAUUGGGACGGGGCUCGUCCCGCCUGUUGGAGUCCUCGCUUCCUUUCUCAUGUUUACAUUUAAAAUGGGCUCAUCCCAUUAUAAUAGGCCCGUAUGAGAAAGCACAAGAAGCCCAAACGCUUCACGGUUGUGAUUACUGAUCUAAACUUGCUAAAAAAAUCUCAAAAUAAAAAACUAGCUAAAAAAACAUUACGUGAUCUAAAACUACCUCUUCGUGAGAUCCCAAAUUCCCAAUAUUUCAUUGUGGUCGGUUGUUAGAGAAUCCCCUAUAAAUAAACAUUACGUGAUCUAAAACUACCUCUUCGCGAAAUCCCAAAUUCCCAAUAUUUCCUUGUGAUCGGUUGUUAGAGAAUCCCAUGUAAAUACAAAGAUUUUCACGGCAUAGAUCAUAUACUCCACCCCACGCCUCCCAUACCUAGCCUUCCAUGACUACACCGAAUUACCACCCCACGACGCCCAAAGUAGCUCCCAGGUCGGUGAAGCCGACGGAGCCGUCAUCUUCGAAGCCUGCGUUGGCCAAUCCUGAGAUGAAAGAGAAGGGCACGUCAGAGAAGCCGACGAAAGAGAAGGGCACGUCGGAGAAGCCGGCGAAGCAAAAGAUGAAAGCGAACGGCAAUGGAGCCGGUCGCCAUCGAGAGAAUCCUCCGGUAAUGAUCGAGAUCCUUGUACUCUGUAUACUCCCUCCUCCCCAAGUCUGCAUGCAAUCCCAUUAUUUACGGCGCACUUCCUUUUGAUCUUGUUUAGUUACAGCCAUAACAAACUAUCCCUAUUUCACCGAAGGGAGAUGGGUGUGUCUAGAAAGAAAAGAAAAAAUGACAAAAAAAGGCUUGCACGAAUCUUAGCUUAAAAUCAGUGACAUAGGACUUAGAUGUGCAAUACUUAGAGCACAUCUAGAUGUGCUUUAGCAAAACUUAAGGGAGAUCGUGGAUGCCUUCCUCUCUUAGUUUUUAGUCGUGAAUGCCUCUCUCUCUGUAAUGAAACUUGCGCUAAUUUUCGUGCUGGAAAGUUCUACGUGUAACGAUAUGGAAAGGAAGGACUAGUAAUUUAACUUUGUUUAAAACCAGCAACCGAAUCAACAAAAUAAUCGUAGUACUCCUAAAUGCCUGAUCAAAUAAGCAGUAGACAGAAUACAAAGUAGUUUUGUACGUAAGUUGUUUUCUCUUUUUGUUGAUUGGCCUGUUUUACACUAAACGUCUAGAAAUUCAAGACUAGUGUAUGUAGUUAAUUUGUUCACUGUGAAUCUGUGGUAACUGGUCCAACUUGUCAGUUCUGCGCGUUUCAGCGGUCACAAUGUACAUGAUUUAGUAAAAACAUGCAGAAAUAUGAGACACCUCACUUAUUUGGCAUUGAGAACAUCAAAUGUAUGUACUAUAUUAAAUUUUAGGUUGACGAGAAAGAAAGGAGAAAACUAAAGAGAAAGAUGGACAGUAGGCUCACAUGUUUCGGUCCAUGUCAACAUUUUUAGGCUGCUUGAUGAUGCCUAGCUGUGUUUUUGGUUGCUCGAGUCACUACUAUGGUCAUGUUUACUGGACAUAAGGUUAUCAUCUCAGUUUAUAUGCCUUAAAAUUUGGAAAUUGCUAAUUUUUUGGCAUAGGCUUUCUGAAUGAAUUCUUAGUCUCUAGUCAUUGAAACUGUUGUUGGGGAACGUAGUAAUUUCAAAAAAAUUCCUACGCACACACAGGAUCAUGGUGAUGCAUAGCAACGAAAGGGGAGUGUGUUGUCCAUGUACCCUCGUAGACCGAAAGCGGAAGCGUUAGCACAACGCGGUUGAUGUAGUCGUACGUCUUCACGAUCCGACUGAUCCAAGUACCGUACGGCACCUCCGAGUUCAGCACACGUUUAGCUUGAUGACGUCCCGCGAACUCCGAUCCAGCAGAGCUUCACGGGAGAGUUCCGUCAGCACGACGGCGUGGUGACGGUGAUGAUGUUGCUACCGACACAGGGCAUCUCCUAAGCACCGCUACGAUAUGACCGAGGUGGAAUAUGGUGGAGGGGGCACCGCACACGGCUGGAAUAGAUCAACAGAUCAACUUGUGUGUUAAGAGGUGCCCCCUACCCCCGUAUAUAAAGGAGCAAGGGGGGAGAGGCGGCCGGCCAGGGAGGGCGCGCCAAGGGGGAAGUCCUACUCCCACCGGGAGUAGGACUCCUCCUUUCCUAGUAGGAGUAGGAGAAGGGGGGAAGGAGGAGGUGGAGAGAAGGAAGGAGAGGGGGGCCGCCGCCCCUUUCCCUUGUCCAAUUCGGACUGGGGCAAGGGGGGCGCCGCGCCACCUCCUGGCUGCCCUCUCUCUUAUCCACUAAGGCCCAAUAGGCCCAUUACUUCCCUGGGGGGUCCGAUAACCCCCGGUACUCCGGUAAAAUCCCGAUUUCACCCGGAACAUUUCCGAUAUCCAAAUAUAGGCUUACAAUAUAUCAAUCUUUAUGUCUCAACCAUUUCGAGGCUCCUCGUCAUGUCCGUGAUCAUAUCCGGGACUCCGAACUACCUUCAGUACAUCAAAACACAAAACUCAUAAUACCGAUCGUCAUCUAACUUUAAGCAUGCGGACCCUACGGGUUCGAGAACUAUGUAGACAUGACCGAGACACGUCUCCGGUCAAUAACUAAUAGCGGAACCUGGAUGCUCAUAUUGGCUCCUACAUAUUCUACGAAGAUCUUUAUCGGUCAAACCGCAUAACAAUAUACGUUGUUCCCUUUGUCAUCGGUAUGUUACUUGCCCGAGAUUCGAUCGUCGGUAUCUCAAUACCUAGUUCAAUCUCGUUACCGGCAAGUCUCUUUACUCAUUCUGUAAUACAUCAUCCUGCAACUAACUCAUUAGUCACAUUGCUUGCAAGGCUUAUAGUGAUGUGCAUUACCGAGAGGGCCCAGAGAUACCUCUCCGACAAUCGGAGUGACAAAUCCUAAUCUCGAAAUACGCCAACCCAACAAGUACCUUUGGAGACACCUGUAGAGCACCUUUGUAAUCACCCAGUUAUGUUGUGACGUUUGGUAGCACACAAAGUGUUCCUUUGGUAAACGGGAGUUGCAUAAUCUCAUAGUCAUAGGAACAUGUAUAAGUCAUGAAGAAAGCAAUAGCAGAAUACUAAACGAUCAAGUGCUAAGCUAACGGAAUGGGUCAAGUCAAUCACAUCAUUCUUCUAAUGAUGUGAUCCCGUUAAUCAAAUGACAACUCAUGUCUAUGGCUAGGAAACAUAACCAUCUUUGAUCAACGAGCUAGUCAAGUAGAGGCAUACUAGUGACACUCUGUUUGUCUAUGUAUUCACACAAGUAUUAUUGUCUCCCACUUGUACUAGAGUCAAUAAUCUAGAUUACACAGUAAUGAUUCUAACACCCAUGGAGCCUUGGUGCUGAUCAUGUUUUGCUCGUGGAAGAGGCUUAGUCAAUGGGUCUGCAACAUUCAGAUUCGUAUGUAUCUUGCAAAUUUCUAUGUCUCCCACCUAGACUUGAUCCCAGAUGGAGUUGAAGCGUCUCUUGAUGUGCUUGGUUCUCUUGUGAAAUCUGCAUUCCUUUGCCAAGGCAAUUGCACCAGUAUUGUCACAAAAGAUUUUCAUUGGAUCCGAUGCACUAGGUAUGACACCUAGAUCGGAUAUGAACUCCUUCAUCCAGACUCCUUCAUUUGCUGCUUCCGAAGCAGCUAUGUACUCUGCUUCACACGUAGAUCCCGCCACAAUGCUUUGUUUAGAACCGCACCAACUGACAGCUCCACCGUUCAAUGUAAACACGUAUCCGGUUUGCGAUUUAGAAUCGUCUGGAUCAGUGUCAAAGCUUGCAUCGACGUAACCCUUUACGACUAGCUCUUUGUCACCUCCAUAAACGAGAAACAUAUCCUUAGUCCUUUUCAGGUAUUUCAGGAUGUUCUUGACCGCUGUCUAGUGAUCCACUCCUGGAUUACUUUGGUACCUCCCCGCUAAAAUUAUAGCAAGGCAUACAUCAGGUCUGGUACACAGCAUUGCAUACAUGAUAGAGCCUAUGGCUGAAGCAUAGGGAACAUCUUUCAUUUUCUCUCUAUCUUCUGCAGUGGUCGGGCAUUGAGUCUGACUCAACUUCGCACCUUGCAACAUAGGCAAGAACCCUUUCUUUGCCUGAUCCAUUUUGAACUUCUUCAAAACUUUAUCAAGGUAUGUGCUUUGUCAAAGUCCAAUUAAGCAUCUUGAUCUAUCUCUAUAGAUCUUGAUGCCCAAUAUAUAAGCAGCUUCACCGAGGUCUUUCAUUGAAAAACUUUUAUUCAAGUAUCCUUUUAUGCUAUCCAGAAAUUCUAUAUCAUUUCCAAUCAACAAUAUGUCAUCCACAUAUAAGAUUAGAAAUGCUACAGAGCUCCCACUCACUUUCUUGUAAAUACAGGCUUCUCCAAAAGUCUAUAUAAAACCAUAUGCUUUGAUCACACUAUCAAAGCAUUUAUUCCAACUCCGAGAGGCUUGCACCAGUCCAUAAAUGGAUCGUUGGAGCUUGCACACUUUGUUAGCUCCCUUUGGAUCGACAAAACCUUUUGGUUGCAUCAUAUACAACUCUUCUUCCAGAAAUCCAUUCAGGAAUGCAGUUUUGACAUCCAUUUGCCAAAUUUCAUAAUCACAAAAUGCGGCAAUUGCUAACAUGAUUCGGACAGACUUAAGCAUCGCUAUGGGUGAGAAGGUCUCAUCGUAGUCAAUCCCUUGAACUUGUCGAAAACCUUUUGCAACAAGUCAAGCUUUAUAGACAGUAACAUUACCGUCAGCGUCAGUCUUCUUCUUGAAGAUCCAUUUAUUCUCAAUGGCUUGCCGAUCAUCGGGCAGGUCAACCAAAGUCCACACUUUGUUCUCAUACAUGGAUCCCAUCUCAGAUUUCAUGGCCUCAAGCCAUUUCGCGGAAUCUGGGCUCACCAUCGCUUCUUCAUAGUUCGUAGGUUCGUCAUGGUCUAGUAACAUGACCUCCAGAACAGGAUUACCGUACCACUCUGGUGUGGAUCUUACUCUGGUUGACCUACAAGGUUCAGUAGUAACUUGAUCUGAAGUUUCAUGAUCAAUAUCAUUAAAUUACUCACUAAUUGGUGUAGAUGUCACAGGAACCGGUUUCUGUGAUGAACUACUUUCCAAUAAGGGAGCGGGUACAGUUACCUCAUCAAGUUCUACUUUCCACCCACUCACUUCUUUCGAGAGAAACUCCUUCUCUAGAAAGGAUCCAAAUUUAGCAACAAAUGUCUUGCCUUCACAUCUGUGAUAGAAGGUGUACCCAACAGUUUCCUUUGGGUAUCCUAUGAAGACACAUUUCUCCGAUUUGGGUUCGAGCUUAUCAGGUUGAAACUUUUUCACAUAAGCAUCGCAGCCCCAAACUUUAAGAAACGACAACUUUGGUUUCUUGCCAAACCACAGUUCAUAAGGCGUCGUCUCAACGGAUUUUGAUGGUGCCCUAUUUAACGUGAAUGCAGCCGUCUCUAAAGCAUAACCCCAAAAUGAUAGCGGUAAAUCAGUAAGAGACAUCAUAGAUCGCACCAUAUCUAGUAAAGUACGAUUACGACGUUCAGACACACCAUUACGCUGUGGUGUUCCGGGUGGCGUGAGUUGCGAAACUAUUCCGCAUUGCUUCAAAUGAAGACCAAACUCGUAACUCAAAUAUUCUCCUCCACGAUCAGAUUGUAGAAACUUUAUUUUCUUGUUACGAUGAUUUUCAACUUCACUCUAAAAUUCUUUGAACUUUUCAAAUGUUUCAGACUUAUGUUUCAUUAAGUAGAUAUACCCAUAUCUACUCAAAUCAUCUGUGAAGGUGAGAAAAUAACGAUACCUGCCGCGAGCCUCAACAUUCAUUGGACCACAUACAUCAGUAUGUAUGAUUUCCAACAAAUCUGUUGCUCGCUCCAUUGUUCCGGAGAACGGCAUUUUAGUCAUCUUGCCCAUGAGGCAUGGUUCGCAAGUACCAAGUGAUUCAUAAUCAAGUGAUUCCAAAAGUCCAUCAGAAUGGAGUUUCUUCAUGCGCUUUACACCAAUAUGACCUAAAUGGCAGUGCCACAAAUAAGUUGCACUAUCAUUAUCAACUCUGCAUCUUUUGGCCUCAAUAUUAUGAAUAUGUGUAUCACUACUAUCGAGAUUUAAUAUAAAUAGACCACUCCUCAAGGGUGUAUGACCAUAAAAGAUAUUACUCAUAUAAAUAGAACAACCAUUAUUCUCUGAUUUAAAUGAAUAACCGUCUCGCAUCAAACAAGAUCCAGUUAUAAUGUUCAUGCUCAACGCUGGCACCAAAUAACAAUUAUUCAGGUCUAAAACUAAUCCCGAAGGUAGAUGUAGAGGUAGCGUGCCGACUGUGAUCACAUCGACUUUGGAACAAUUUCCCACGCGCAUCGUCACCUCGUCCUUAGCCAAUCUUCGCUUAAUCCGUAGACCCUGUUUUGAGUUGCAAAUAUUAGCAACAGAACCAGUAUCAAAUACCCAGGUGCUACUGCGAGCAUUAGUAAGGUACACAUCAAUAACAUGUAUAUCACAUAUACCUUUGUUCACCUUGCCAUCCUUCUUAUCCGCCAAAUACUUGGGGCAGUUCCGCUUCCAGUGACCAGUCUGUUUGCAGUAGAAGCACUCAGUCUCAGGCUUAGGUCCAGACUUGGGUUUCUUCUCUUGAGCAGCAACUUGUUUGUUGUUCUUCUUGAAGUUCCCUUUCUUCUUCCCUUUGCCCUUUUUCUUGAAACUGGUGGUCUUGUUGACCAUCAACACUUGAUGCUCCUUCUUGAUUUCUACCUCCGCAGCCUUUAGCAUUGCGAAGAGCUCGGGAAUCGUCUUAUCCAUCCCUUGCAUGUUAUAGUUCAUCACGAAGCUCUUGUAGCUUGGUGGCGGUGAUUGAAGAAUUUUGUCAAUGACGCUAUCAUCCGGAAGAUUAACUCCCAGUUGAAUCAAGUGAUUGUUAUACCCAGACAUUCUGAGUAUAUGCUCACUGACAGAACUAUUCUCCUCCAUCUUGCAGCUGUAGAACUUAUUGGAGACUUCAUAUCUCUCAAUCCGGGCAUUUGCUUGAAAUAUUAACUUCAACUCCUGGAACAUCUCAUAUGCUCCAUGAUGUUCAAAGCGUCGUUGAAGUCCCGGUUCUAAGCCGUAAAGCAUGGCACACUGAACUAUCGAGUAGUCAUCAGCUUUGCUCUGCCAGACGUUCUAACAUCUGGUGUUUCUCCUGCAGCAGUUCUGGCACCUAGCGGUGUUUCUAGGACGUAAUUCUUCUGUGCAGCAAUGAGGAUAAUCCUCAAGUUAUGGACCCAGUCCAUGUAAUUGCUACCAUCAUCUUUCAACUUUGCUUUCUCAAGGAACGCAUUAAAAUUCAACGGAACAACAGCACGGGACAUCUAUCUACAAUCAACAUUGACAAGCAAAAUACUAUCAGGUACUAAGUUCAUGAUAAAUUUAAGUUCAAUUAAUCAUAUUACUUAAGAACUCCCACUUAGAUAGACAUCCCUCUAAUCAUCUAAGUGAUCACGUGAUCCAAAUCAACUAAACCAUGUCCGAUCAUCACGUGUCACGACCAGAUUUUCGGGAUAUUAAUUCUCUAGAAAAUGGCCGUUGUGCUCACCAGCCCCAGGAUUACUGUUAGCUGAUGAGGCACCAACUUGAUACAAGAAAAUCCAAGCAAGUACAAAAAUAUGUAGUACAAGACCAUUGUGGCCUAGGAGUACAACAUUUGGUUUUCUAGUGGUUGAUGGCGGAAGCGGUUGUGGUUCAUCUGCGUCUAUGGGACUCCAUUUCCCACAAGAACAGCUGACCAGGAUAAUUCCUAUCUUCGCGAGGCUGCAAAUGUCAACGCGUAGGUUCCGAGGUUGUCACCGCGAUGCUUAUCUCCAAGCAAGGAAUCUGGCCAAGACAAUAGCCAGGGACAAGCCGGUGAGUACGUUUGAAUGUACUCGCAAACAUUAAGAAUACGGAUAUAAUAUAUCAAACAUGCUCCGGGUUAUUAUGUGAUCACACGUCUGUCACGAAAUGUACGAAAAACCAUGAUGCACACAUGUGGGUGAAAUAAACGAAUAUAAAGUACUGGGUGCCAAGCGAGGGUCUGAAUGACUCCUCGAGAGGAAACUGCAAGAAUAGUAAUACUGGUGCCAAACGAGGGUCUGAAUGACUCCUCGAGAGGAAACUGCAAGAAUAAUAAUGCCACAGUCGGGCGUCGGGGCGACACCACAUAAAGGGCUUAUAAAAUAUAAAUGAACAACAAGCAUGCCGCAGUCGGGCGUCUGAGCGACGCCACUGAAAGGGCUUAUAAGAGAAUAAUCACAGUGAAUAUCCAGGAGGUAGAACCAUCCCAAGGAUACUCAAUAAAAAUACAUAAUAUAAAUGGUUAGUCCAAAAUAAUAAAGAUCACAAUCCAUAUGCGCCAUAAUCAUAAACAAUAUUUAGUUCAGUCGUUUCUCCAUCCGAAAACCGAUAAUCUGGUCCAAUCAAACCGUAUCUCCAUCCGAAAACCGUUACUAUGAUCCAGUUAGCCGUGUCUCCAUCCGAAAACCGUCACUGAGUUCUAGUUAAAUCGUAUCUCCAUCCGAAUACCGUCAUUAGGUUCGACUCAGACUGUGGUCCUUUCUCAAGAACGUGACUAUCUAACAGGAUAUAUCCUCUACAGAGGGAGUACCAUUUUCCACGAGUAACGGGUUUACUUAGUCCCUCGGGACUAAUUCCGUCUACGGUCUUUUAAUUGAAAACACACCUGACCUGCACACACCAGCUUAACUCACCGGUGUCUGGAAUCACCCACGACACCUGCCAAGCAAAACUCUAAGUGGGGAGGCUACAACCUCGACGUAGCAUGGGAUCAAAUUUCUAUUCGCGCGCUCUAAGGGGGUGCCCCCCCUCUCGGUCCCAACCGGAAACACCCAUGCCCCCUGACCGAAUGACAGGCUUUAAUCCGUGGCCACGGGACCCUCAUUCACGGCCUCUCUGUACGGUGUGUGCUAGGAUGGGGUUGACAACUUACUGAACCAUACCCUGUCCCCUGCAGGGACAAGUGGUGGUACCAACAAAUAAGGAAGCUAUUGAUCAAGACUCGGUCUACAACCGACUCAGGUGGUCCAAGUAUCCUCCAACAAUACUACCACUAGUGAAAUAGAUCACCACUCCUCGGGCCUCACCAUGCCAUACCGGGCAUACUCGUCUCGACGAGGGACUAGGGACAAGCUCGUGUCUACCCAAGACCAGGACUUUCCCGGCUUCCUACCGGUAUGCAUGAGAAGCUCACCAGGAUGAUCCAAAUCAUUAGUGUAUCCAUUGCUGACCACAAAACAACUCCAAAGUGUACUCAUGCACGAGACUAUAUCGAUACAUAAAGCUAUCACAUACUCCAAGUCAAAAGGUGUUGUGAUUGCACAAGAACACCAGAACAAAAUAUUAUGCCAGAGUUCAGAAAUGCUUGCCUUCAAGUGUAUGCAUGUGGGGGUGCACUUUUGAAGGAUGCCUUUUCUCCAAAAAUCCUAUUUUGAAAAAUAUUCAAACAACACACAUUUAAAAUGCAGUACAAAAAGUUGUCCCAAAUAUUUCUGGAAUAAAUCUUAAAAUAAACUAGAUGAAAUUUGAGAGAGGUAGGAAAAGGAAUCAACUCAUUUGGAGUUUUAUUUUAAAAGUUAUAUCCAGUCAAACAUUAGUCAAACUUCUGUUUUAAUAAAAUCAGAAAAAAGGAAAGCGCUACGGGGAAGAAUACGUUUUCAAAACAGAGGAGACCUACUCCGGUCUUUGCGCUAUCACUUAAACAGAGAGGGCGGCCGCGCGGGUCACUGACAGUGGGUCCAGAGGGCCCACUGGUCAGGUUUGACCGUUUUCCCUCGCCCUCCCUCUCUCUGCCCGAGCGGCGCGGGGCUCCGGCGAUAGUCGGCGACGAACGGCGGCUCCUUGAGGGCAUCUGAGGGCAGGGAUGGGUUGGCCAGACCGAGGCGGUCCUCUCGGUGGGCGUUAGGCAGGUGGGGACGGAGGAGGUCACCGGCGGCGAGCUCCGCGGCGGAGGGAGGUUCGGGAGCAAAGUGGACUAUGGGCUCCGGUGAUCCUUGGCCGAAGCUGAGGCGCUAGGCAGCUCCGCAUGACUACGGGGAAGUUCUUGGUGGCGUUGGAUUGGCGGGGGAGGGCUUGGCUGCGACGCAAGGCACAGGAUUGCGACGGCGACCGAGCUGGCCGGAGACGAGGAAGAAAGGACUCUCCCGUCGAUUACUGGCUGUGGGAGGGCUAUGGGGGUGGCCUGGGGUUGCUUGAGUGAUCGGUUGAGCUCGGGGUCCCUUUAUAUAGGCGCUCGAGGCUGGCUCCCGCGGUGGCCGAGGAUAAGAUCGCCGGCGACCACUUUCCUGUAGUUGCACGGCAUCGUGGCGGCGACGAAAGCGUGCCGAUGAGCGGGAGGAUAAGCACGGCCUAUGCUCUGGGGCAGCUGGCGUGCGCUGGCGGUUUGGGCGGCGCCGUCCGCGGCGGAAUCCGCUGCCGACGCCGGCGUGCUGCCAAGGCGGCGCUGCAGGGUGCCAGGAGAGCUUGGAGGGUACUGGAGAGAGGGUGAGUGCCUGGCGUGGUUCGGCAGGCGAACAGGGGCCAGAGAUGGGACGCGACGAGGGUGGCAGAGCGGCGUGUCGGCUCAGUGCACGCGCGUGCAAAACGUGCGCUCUGGGCGCGCCCAGAGCACGCACGGCACCUGCUCGACAAAAUGCCAGCGCGCUCUAGAGAGCUUGGGUGAGGCUGGCAGCUAACAGGCCAGGGUUAGGGACAGCUGGGAUGCUAGUGGACAUGCUGGAUGGGUCAGGGGUUCAAGUCCACAAUGCAAACCAGAGAGCUUGCCAAAAAUUGUUCCUGCACACAGGGUGCUCGACAGAAUGCCAAGGUCACAUAGGCAACUCUUGGGGUGGCCAAACUCUCCGGAUCCUAGUCUCUUUAAGAGCUCAAGAAGGUGGUAAGGUCAGUUUGGCAAAAACAGAAAGUUGAUAGUGCAAGUUUUUGAGAAAACCAGUCUUGGGCAGAAACUAAAGACUAUCAUUUCAUGCAUCAAAAAUAUGCCAAUGGGUCCAAUCUCCUGGACUUAAGAGUUUGGUAGGGAGGACUAUAGGUAGGAAAAAGCUCAAAGGCAUUAGAGCAAAAUAAAAUGGGGUUGCAGUACAAAUCACCAAACUGGACCAGAAUGGAAAUGAAGAUGAUUCACUCAAAUUUUUCAAAGAACAACACUGGGUUUUUACUUGAAGAUGAAUAGUAUGCAUCCACUGACAUCUCCAAACACUUGGAAGAAUUUUUAGAAGAAUAUUUAAAUAGGUUGUAGUGCAAAAUACCUACUGGACCAGAUUUGAAAAAUUGAUGUGGAGCUCAAAAUCUCCAAUGACCAAAGGAUGUUUUUGCACAAAAGUGAUGGGAAAACCUCACAUGACAUCCCCAAAUUUUGGUGAAAUUUUUAAAAGAAUUUAUCAAAUGGUUGCAGUGCAAAAAGGGGCUCCAAAUUUAUGAAAGACCAUUUUAAAAGAAUAAAGGUCAUGAAAAAUAAUUAUGCAAAUAAAUCCACUGAUAAAGAAUUGAUUUUAUAAAGAGGGCACACAAGUCCAAUAAUACUCUUUGAAGGUUUUUUCCACUUGAAGUAAAUAUUCACAAUAACAAAAGGGUAAACCUUGACAAAUGGAAAAGUUUUAUUUCCUGGCAACAUUUUAAUAAAUAAAACAAGGCCAAAAAAUUUGGGUGUCACAACACUACCCCCCUUAAGAAAAAAAUCUCGUCCUCAAGAUUUGUUACAAGCUGUUACGAUGAUGCGCGAAUAAAAAUCUAUGUCGUGAAAAUAUAUAUACGCAGCAAUAACUCGGGGAAAGAAAUCUCCUCAAAACAUGUUGUGAGAGAAGAAGUAAUUAAAACAAAACUAACAGCAGUAAAACUGCUCACACAACAGGAACUAAAGAAAAUCGGAUCCGUCGCACAAAAAUCUUGGGAACCACGAACAUGCUACAACACAUAAAAUAAAAAUACUGGGAUAAUAAAUACGUCGGAGGCGUUUACAAGGAAUACGGCAAAAAGACAGGGUCCUGAGAAAAUGCCUCUGGCACUGGGGCACACCCCUCUUCUAUCGGGGGAAGCGGGUUGACCAGACGAUGAAUGCGCCCUUCUUGGUCAGGCCUCAAAGGUCUGCCAAUAGCGAUCCGAGGAUUUAAAUCAGCGAGGCUCUGGAGAUAACCCAUUACUCGCUGAGUUAAACGCUCCUGGGCAAUAACGUACUGGGCAAGGCUGGCCAGUACUGGAUCUCUCUCAAUACGUCCGCCGGGAAAAGAGGCAACUUCUUCGGGUGCUGCACGACUCGGAAAAUAAUAGUAUCCUCGCUCGCUGGCAUAGGGUACUGCGAAUCGAAGACGAGUGAGCGCCUCGUAUGCAGCAGCUUCUAUGGCCAUAUGCGGAGUCGGCAUGGAUUUCCCCAUGAAGGAGACUUCCGUUGGGUCUUGGUUUGGGUAGGCGGGAGGGAUGUGCACCACUGCCCAAUAUUUCGAGGUGGUAGGUGUGAUCCUCGAUUUGAGCAACUCAUGCUGGGGUGGACGGGUGGCACUCAUAGUACUGCAGGUAAAGUCCCACAAUAAUUUGACAAAGCUACCCGGGGUUGCGUCUGGGGUUCUCAGAUAAAUACUGGGGGUUGACAUGGCAAGGAAUGGCUGUGAGCGCUGCGCACAAAGGUGAGGGGUGCUCGGCGAGGUCACGAGGUGGCCUUUAUAUAGCACCGGGGCUGGGUUAUCUACCGGGGUGAAGGGUAACAGGUUGACGAUCCUGUUCUCGGGUCAAAGCCAUAGAUAUGCACAUCACAUAAAUGUGACGCAUUACUGUGUGCGCCGACGGGGUUGGUCUUGGUAGCUGCGCCCGAAAAAAGUGCAACUGUACGCUAACGUACACAUGCAUAGCUACCACUCCAAAACAGGGGCGCUCAAGCAGACAGCAUGCAAUACAAGCGAUACAAGCCCACACCAUUACAAAGCGUAGGAAAACCAAGGCUCGAUACAACUCGAGCGACUUAGUCUACUUCAUUAAUUUCUAAGCGGGCUUGCCUAGAGGACGCCGAUGCUUCUCCACGGUUCUCACCGUCGGGAUUUGCCGGCUGAGGCUGAGGGGCUGCAGGGUCGGGGAAACGGUGAUGACCAUCGCGGGGGUUGUUGGCCACAAUCCCGUUGGAAUGGGUUCCCAAAAGGCGACGAAGCGCUUCUGGGGUCACCAUAGUACUCUGGUUGGGGGCUGGCGCAGACCUCAAAGGAUCGAUCGGGUGUCCGAACAGCACGACUGGGUUGUCGGCGUCGGGCUCCGCUUCUCUUCUCGCCGGGGCUCGGCGAACCAGCUCUCCGCGAGCUGCGAUCAGAUCAAGGGUGACCUGAUCGAACAGUUGCUCUAGUGCGCUUACAUAGCGCACCAGAUGCAACAGCGCAGGAUCUGUCUCGUGGUCUCCAUUGGCAACCUGGGGCAGCCUACCGUACCCGUCACGACUGGGGUAGUAGUAGAACGAGCGACAGUUAACUCUAGGCGACAAGUGCCGGAGUUGAACUAUAGCUUCGCGGGCUGCCAGUUGGAUGGCUUGUGGCUCAAAGGAAGUGGUCCUUCCAGUGAACCUGUAGGGGCGUUCUGGCGACAGACCCCUACCGUAGAUGUGCACAGUGGCCCAGUACUGACGGCUCUCACCAUACAUGGGUCCUUGGUACACAACAUACUCAGGAGGCUGUUCUAACGCAUAGGCACGGCGGGUGAGGUUUGCGAGCACGGUCACGGAACCUCCAAGGUUGGUCGCUGUGGUCUCAUUGUGAACGAUGGGACCAGGCAUCGUGGCUUGGUUUGGGGAAAAAGGGUUGUGCUGUGCUGUGUUGAGGCUAGCGUGCCCUUUUUAUAGGGAAAGGGGACGGAGUCUUCCUCCGCACGCUUGCGAUAGAGACUGGUUGGGUGUCGGUCACUGGCGCGUGAUCGACGGGCUAGGUUGAUAGGUUGGGCACCGUCCGCCGAAAAGGGCGUUGGGUCACUGUGGGGCUAUCUUACGUGAGAAGCUUGGCCGGGACUAGGUUAAGGUCUGAUGGUUUGGUUAACCUAGGUUUAUCGACCUGGCUAAGAUAGGAUUAGCCAAUGGUCAGCCUAGCUCUGAUACCAAGUCUGUCACGACCGGAUUUUCGGGAUAUUAAUUCUCCAGAAAAUGGCCGUUGUGCUCACCAGCCCCAGGAUUACUGUUAGCUGAUGAGGCACCAACUUGAUACAAGAAAAUCCAAGCAAGUACAAAAAUAUGUAGUACAAGACCAUUGUGGCCUAGGAGUACAACAUUUGGUUUUCUAGUGGUUGAUGGCGGAAGCGGUUGUGGUUCAUCUGCGUCUAUGGGACUCCAUUUCCCACAAGAACAGCUGACCAGGAUAAUUCCUAUCUUCGCGAGGCUGCAAAUGUCAAUGCGUAGGUUCCGAGGUUGUCACCGCGAUGCUUAUCUCCAAGCAAGGAAUCUGGCCAAGACAAUAGCCAGGGACAAGCCGGUGAGUACGUUUGAAUGUACUCGCAAACAUUAAGAAUACGGAUAUAAUAUAUCAAACAUGCUCCGGGUUAUUAUGUGAUCACACGUCUGUCACAAAAUGUACGAAAAACCAUGAUGCACACAUGUGGGUGAAAUAAACGAAUAUAAAGUACUGGGUGCCAAGCGAGGGUCUGAAUGACUCCUCGAGAGGAAACUGCAAGAAUAGUAAUACUGGUGCCAAACGAGGGUCUGAAUGACUCCUCGAGAGAAAACUGCAAGAAUAAUAAUGCCACAGUCGGGCGUCGGGGCGACACCACAUAAAGGGCUUAUAAAAUAUAAAUGAACAACAAGCAUGCCGCAGUCGGGCGUCUGAGCGACGCCACUGAAAGGGCUUAUAAGAGAAUAAUCACAGUGAAUAUCCAGGAGGUAGAACCAUCCCAAGGAUACUCAAUAAAAAUACAUAAUAUAAAUGGUUAGUCCAAAAUAAUAAAGAUCACAAUCCAUAUGCGCCAUAAUCAUAAACAAUAUUUAGUUCAGUCGUUUCUCCAUCCGAAAACCGAUAAUCUGGUCCAAUCAAACCGUAUCUCCAUCCGAAAACCGUUACUAUGAUCCAGUUAGCCGUGUCUCCAUCCGAAAACCGUCACUGAGUUCUAGUUAAAUCGUAUCUCCAUCCGAAUACCGUCAUUAGGUUCGACUCAGACUAUGGUCCUUUCUCAAGAACGUGACUAUCUAACAGGAUAUAUCCUCUACAGAGGGAGUACCAUUUUCCACGAGUAACGGGUUUACUUAGUCCCUCGGGACUAAUUCCGUCUACGGUCUUUUAAUUGAAAACACACCUGACCUGCACACACCAGCUUAACUCACCGGUGUCUGGAAUCACCCACGACACCUGCCAAGCAAAACUCUAAGUGGGGAGGCUACAACCUCGAUGUAGCAUGGGAUCAAAUUUCUAUUCGCGCGCUCUAAGGGGGUGCCCCCCCUCUUGGUCCCAACCGGAAACACCCAUGCCCCCUGACCGAAUGAUAGGCUUUAAUCCGUGGCCACGGGACCCUCAUUCACGGCCUCUCUGUACGGUGUGUGCUAGGACGGGGUUGACAACUUACUGAACCAUACCCUGUCCCCUGCAGGGACAAGUGGUGGUACCAACAAAUAAGGAAGCUAUUGAUCAAGACUCGGUCUACAACCGACUCAGGUGGUCCAAGUAUCCUCCAACAAUAUUACCACUAGUGAAAUAAAUCACCACUCCUCGGGCCUCACCAUGCCAUACCGGGCAUACUCGUCUCGACGAGGGACUAGGGACAAGCUCGUGUCUACCCAAGACCACGACUUUCCCGGCUUCCUACCGGUAUGCAUGAGAAGCUCACCAGGAUGAUCCAAAUCAUUAGUGUAUCCAUUGCUGACCACAAAACAACUCCAAAGUGUACUCAUGCACGAGACUAUAUCGAUACAUAAAGCUAUCACAUACUCCAAGUCAAAAGGUGUUGUGAUUGCACAAGAACACCAGAACAAAAUAUUAUGCCAGAGUUCAGAAAUGCUUGCCUUCAAGUGUAUGCAUGUGGGGGUGCACUUUUGAAGGAUGCCUUUUCUCCAAAAAUCCUAUUUUGAAAAAUAUUCAAACAACACACAUUUAAAAUGCAGUACAAAAAGUUGUCCCAAAUAUUUCUGGAAUAAAUCUUAAAAUAAACUAGAUGAAAUUUGAGAGAGGUAGGAAAAGGAAUCAACUCAUUUGGAGUUUUAUUUUAAAAGUUAUAGCCAGUCAAACAUUAGUCAAACUUCUGUUUUAAUAAAAUCAGAAAAAAGGAAAGCGCUACGGGGAAGAAUACGUUUUCAAAACACAGGAGACGUACUCCGGUCUUUGCGCUAUCACUUAAACAGAGAGAGCGGCCGCGCGGGUCACUGACAGUGGGUCCAGAGGGCCCACUGGUCAGGUUUGACCGUUUUCCCUCGCCCUCCCUCUCUCUGCCCGAACGGCGCGGGGCUCCGGCGAUCGCCGGCGACGAACGGCGGCUCCUCGAGGGCAUCUGAGGGCAGGGAUGUGUUGGCCAGACCGAGGCGGUCCUCUCGGUGGGCGUUAGGCAGGUGGGGACGGAGGAGGUCACCGGCGGCGAGCUCCGCGGCGGAGGGAGGUUCGGGAGCAAAGUGGACUUUGGGAUCCGGUGAUCCUUGGCCGAAGCUGAGGCGCUAGGCAGCUCCGCACGACUACGGGGAAGUUCUUGGUGGCAUUGUAUUGGCGGGGGAGGGCUUGGCUGCGACGCAAGGCACGGGAUUGCGACGGCGACCGAGCUGGCCGGAGACGAGGAAGAAAGAACUCUCCCGUCGAUUACUGGCUGUGGGGGCUAUGGGGGUGGCCUGGGGUUGCUUGAGUGAUCGGUUGAGCUCGGGGUCCCUUUAUAUAGGCGCUCGAGGCUGGCUCCCGCGGUGGCCGAGGAUAAGAUCGCCGGCGACCACUUUCCUGUAGUUGCAGGGCAUCGUGGCAGCGACGAAAGCGUGCCGACGAGCGGGAGGAUAAGCACGGCCUAUGCUCUGGGGCAGCUGGCGUGCGCUGGCGGUUUGGGCGGCGCCGUCCGUGGCGGAAUCCGCUGCCGACGCCGGCGUGCUGCCAAGGCGGCGCUGCAGGGUGCCAGGAGAGCUUGGAGGGUACUGGAGAGAGGGCGAGUGCCUGGCGUGGUUCGGCAGGCGAACAGGGGCCAGAGAUGGGACACGACGAGGGCGGCAGAGCGGCGUGUCGGCUCAGUGCGCGCGCGUGCAAAACAUGCGCUCUGGGCGCGCCCAGAGCACGCACGGCACCUGCUCGACGAAAUGCCAGCGCGCUCUAGAGAGCUUGGGUGAGGCUGGCAGCUAACAGGCCAGGGUUAGGGACAGCUAGGAUGCUAGUGGACAUGCUGGAUGGGUCAGGGGUUCAAGUCCACAAUGCAAACCAGAGAGCUUGCCAAAAAUUGUUCCUGCACACAGGGUGCUCGACAGAAUGCCAAGGUCACCUAGGCAACUCUUGGGGUGGCCAAACUCUCCAGAUCCUAGUCUCUUUAGGAGCUCAAGAAGGUGGUAAGGUCAGUUUGGCAAAAACAGAAAGUUGAUAGUGCAAGUUUUUGAGAAAACCAGUCUUGGGCAGAAACUAAAGACUAUCAUUUCAUGCAUCAAAAAUAUGCCAAUGGGUCCAAUCUCCUGGACUUAAGAGUUUGGUAGGGAGGACUAUAGGUAGGAAAAAGCUCAAAGGCAUUAGAGCAAAAUAAAAUGGGGUUGCAGUACAAAUCACCAAACUGGACCAGAAUGGAAAUGAAGAUGAUUUACUCAAAUUUUUCAAAGAACAACACUAGGUUUUUGCUUGAAGAUGAAUAGUAUGCAUCCACUGACAUCUCCAAACACUUGGAAGAAUUUUUAGAAGAAUAUUUAAAUAGGUUGUAGUGCAAAAUACCUACUGGACCAGAUUUGAAAAAUUGAUGUGGAGCUCAAAAUCUCCAAUGACCAAAGGAUGUUUUUGCACAAAAGUGAUGGGAAAACCUCACAUGACAUCCCCAAAUUUUGGUGAAAUUUUUAAAAGCAUUUAUCAAAUGGUUGCAGUGCAAAAAGGGGCUCCAAAUUUAUGAAAGACCAUUUUAAAAGAAUAAAGCUCAUGAAAAAUAAUUAUGCAAAUAAAUCCACUGAUAAAGAAUUGAUUUUAUAAAGAGGGCACACAAGUCCAAUAAUACUCUUUGAAGGUUUUUUCCACUUGAAGUAAAAAUUCACAAUAACAAAAGGGUAAACCUUGACAAAUGGAAAAGUUUUAUUUCCUAGCAACAUUUUAAUAAAUAAAACAAGGCCAAAAUUUUUGGGAGUCACAUCACGUGAGAUGGAGUAGUUUCAAUGGUGAACAUCACUAUGUUGAUCAUAUCUACUAUAUGAUUCACGCUCGACCUUUCGGUCUCAGUGUUCCGAGGCCAUAUCUGCAUAUGCUAGGAUCGUCAAGUUUAACCUGAGUAGCGUGUGCAACUGUUUUGCACCCGUUGUAUUUGAACGUAGAGCCUAUCAAACCCGAUCAUCAUGUGGUGUCUCAGCACGAAGAACUUUCGCAACGGUGCAUACUCAAGAAGAACACUUAUACCUUGAAAUUUAGUGAGAGAUCAUCUUAUAAUGCUACCGUCAAUCAAAGCAAGAUAAGAUGCAUAAAAGAUAAACAUCACAUGCAAUCAAUAUAAGUGAUAUGAUAUGGCCAUCAUCAUCUUGUGCUUGUGAUCUCCAUCUCCGAAGCACCAUCAUGAUCACCAUCGUCACCGGCGCGACACCUUGAUCUCCAUCGUAGCAUCGUUGUCGUCUCGCCAACUAUUGCUUCUACGACUAUCGCUACCGCUUAGUGAUAAAGUAAAGCAAUUACAGGGCGAUUGCAUUGCAUACAAUAAAGCGACAACCAUAUGGCUCCUGCCAGUUGCCGAUAACUCGGUUACAAAACAUGAUCAUCUCAUACAAUAAAAUAUAGCAUCAUGUCUUGACCAUAUCACAUCACAACAUGCCCCGCAAAAACAAGUUAGAAGUCAUCUACUUUGUUGUUGCAAGUUUUACGUGGCUGCUACGGGCUGAGCAAGAACCAUUCUUACCUACGCAUCAAAACCACAAUGAUAGUUCAUCAAGUUAGUGAUGUUUUAACCUUCUCAAGGACCGGGCGUAGCCACACUCGGUUCAACUAAAGUUGGAGACACUGACACCCGCCAGCCACCUAUGUGCAAAGCACGUCGCUAGAACCAGUCUCGCGUAAGCGUACGCGUAAUGUCGGUCUGGGCCGCUUCACCCAACAAUACCGCCGAACCAAAGUAUGACAUGCUGGUAAGCAGUAUGACUUGUAUCGCCCACAACUCACUUGUGUUCUACUCGUGCAUAUAACAUCUACGCAUAAAACCUGGCUCGGAUGCCACUGUUGGGGAACGUAGUAAUUUCAAAAAAAAUCGUACGCACACACAGGAUCAUGGUGAUGCAUAGCAACGAGAGGGGAGAGUGUUGUCCACGUACCCUCGUAGACCGAAAGCGGGAGCGUUAGCACAACGCGGUUGAUGUAGUCGUACGUCUUCACGAUCCGACCGAUCCAUGUACCGAACGCACGGCACCUCCGAGUUCAGCACACGUUCAGCUCAAUGACGUCCCGCGAACUCCGAUCCAGCAGAGCUUCACGGGAGAGUUCCGUCAGGACGACGGCGUGGUGACGGUGAUGAUGUUGCUACCGACGCAGGGCUUUGCCUAAGCACCGCUAUGAUAUGACCGAGGUGGAAUAUGGUGGAGGGGGGCACCGCACACGGCUGGAAUAGAUCAACAGAUCAACUUGUGUGUUAAGAGGUGCCCCCUGCCCCCAUAUAUAAAGGAGCAAGGGGGAGAGGUGGCUGGCCAGGGAGGGCGCACCAAGGGGGAAGUCCUACUCCCACCGGGAGUAGGACUCCUCCUUUCCUAGUAGGAGUACGAGAAGGGGGGAAGGAGGAGGUGGAGAGAAGGAAGGAGAGGGGGGCCGCCACCCCUUCCCCUUGUCCAAUUCGGACUGGGGCAAGGGGGGCCGCGCGCCACCUCCUGGCUGCCCUCUCUCUUCUCCACUAAGGCCCAAUAGGCCCAUUACUUCCCCGAGGGGGUUCCGGUAACCCCCGGUUCUCCGGUAAAAUUCCGAUUUCACCCGGAACAUUCCGAUAUCCAAAUAUAGGCUUCCAAUAUAUUAAUCUUUAUGUCUCGACCAUUUUGAGACUCCUCGUCAUGUCCGUGAUCAUAUCCGGGACUCGACCUACCUUUGGUACAUCAAAACACAAAACUCAUAAUACCGAUCGUCAUCUAACUUUAAGCGUGCGGACCCUACGGGUUCGAGAACUAUGUAGACAUGACCGAGACACGUCUCCGGUCAAUAACCAAUAGCGGAACCUGGAUGCUCAUAUUGGCUCCUACAUAUUCUACGAAGAUCUUUAUCGGUCAAACCGCAUAACAAUAUACGUUGUUCCCUUUGUCAUCGGUAUGUUACUUGCCCGAGAUUCGAUCGUCGGUAUCUCAAUACCUAGUUCAAUCUCGUUACCGGCAAGUCUCUUUACUCUUUUCGUAAUACAUCAUCCCGCAACUAACUCAUUAGUCACAUUGCUUGCAAGGCUUAUAGUGAUGUGCUUUACCGAGAGGGCCCAGAGAUACCUCUCCGACAAUCGGAGUGACAAAUCCUAAUCUCGAAAUACGCCAACCCAACAAGUACCUUUGGAGACACCUGUAGAGCACCUUUAUAAUCACCCAGUUACGUUGUGACGUUUGGUAGCACACAAAGUGUUCCUCCGGUAAACGGGAGUUGCAUAAUCUCAUAGUCAUAGGAACAUGUAUAAGUCAUGAAGAAAGCAAUAGCAGAAUACUAAACGAUCAGUGCUAAGCUAACGGAAUGGGUCAAGUCAAUCACAUCAUUCUUCUAAUGAUGUGAUCCCGUUAAUCAAAUUACAACUCAUGUCUAUGGCUAGGAAACAUAACCAUCUUUGAUCAACGAGCUAGUCAAGUAGAGGCAUACUAGUGACACUCUGUUUGUCUAUGUAUUCACACAUGUAUUAUGUUUCCGGUUAAUACAAUUCUAGCAUGAAUAAUAAACAUUUAUCAUGAUAUAAGGAAAUAAAUAAUAACUUUAUUAUUGCCUCUAGGGCAUAUUUCCUUCAACUGUUGGUGAUUGCCCUUAAUUUUGCAUGGUCUUUACUAAUUGAUCUUUAUGAAUCUGAUGGGAACUAAGGAGUAUGUGCUCUUGAAUGCUUGCAGUGGAACUGUUACAUUCCUUUUUUGAGAUUAUCUAUAAACUAUUGAUCUUCUGAUCAUGUAUGGAAUUAUUUUCGUAAGCGUGACGCCUGAAACUUUAGUAAUGUACAUAGACCAAAGUCUGCUAUUUCUACUAAAAAUCUAUACUAUUAUCAGUCAAUUUGCCGACAGAAAUAGCUUGUUUUUCUAUGUCUGGUGUUCAUUAUAUGGCCUAGAAGGUCUAUGAUUUCAUGUAGUACUGUAGAGCACAAUUUUGAUAUUGGCAUAGAUUAGAUCUAGUCGGUUCUAUGCAUGUUAAAAUGAAUACCAUACAGAAUCUAAUCACACUAUCUAUACAUUCAGGGAACUCAGGUUGCUUCAUUGCUGUAAUACGAGAUGUUCAUAAAAGAAUUAAACACACAGCAACUGACGUACAUCAAGUUGAUUGGACUGGGUGAACUUCUCAAGACUCCUGGCAUGAGAAUGAGACGUCUACUGUGCCAGGCCAUCGCUUAUUCAUAUGAUGCAGAGCAGGAUGCCUUUAUAAUUAAUGGGAGACCAUGUAGGAUCACACUAAAAGAUGUGGAGCAUAUAACAGGCCUGCCCUGCAUGGGGAAGAAUCACGUCUCUUCAAAUCACAACGUUACUUUGGAGUUGUGGAAGGAACUGAAAGACCCCAAUGACACAAAAGUAACUUUGAAAGGAUUGCUAGCCAAGAUGAAAGGCGACAGCACACCUAAUUUUGUCAGGCCAUUUGUCUUGUACACCAUAGGCAAAUAUGUAUGCCCGACAACACAGCAGUAUGUGGACAACAGAUGCCUUUGGAUUGUUAGAAACGUUGAGACAAUAAAGAGCACCAAUUUUGGACAGCUUACACUUGACCAUCUUAUGGCUAGGGUCAGGAAAUUUGUAAAUGGUGGAGCAAAUCUGGAGGGCAACCUACCACUGCUGCAAGUAAUACAAUCAUUAUUAACAUACCAUACAUUUAAUUUUAUGGAAAAUUUUCUAAGUUGUUUUUGUUGUUAUGCAGACGUGGUACUACGAGAAGUGGAGGGUGCACCAAUUGGACUCUACCAUCUCGUAUGCAUCAAGGUUAAGUCCGCUGAUCCAAAACUGGAGUGACGAGGAGGCACAGAAGGUUGACAACAUAAUCAACAAAAAUUAUAUAGGGGUUGCAGAGGUAAAGUGUUAGUACUGUGUGCCUGGAUUAUCUACCAUAUGUUUUGAAUGAUACUAACGACACUAACAUGCAGUAUGUUGAUGACCUGCUGCGGCCUUUCAAUCCGCCACCAGUUGGGACGCCGGUCAAACCAAAGACUCACGGUCAGGUAAAUGAUGAACAUCAGGCAUAAAUAUAUAUUGUAACUUUGCAAGUACAAUCGAAGUCAUAUGCUUCUAGCUGCUUGUAAUUUGCAGGAUAAGGCACUCAUGGGCCGCGUAUUGGCUGAUUUGAAAGAAGUUGCCUCCAUUGUGCGGGAGGCCAGUGCACAACAAUUUGAUAGGAUGUGCACCCUUGAAAAAAAUGGACGAGUGCCUUAGGCGUACACUUGUGAACGGCAGACGCACGGACGACCUCAUCACAGAAUUCAAUGUAAGUAUACCAUUAUGAGUUUCUAUAAAUAAUUUUACUAUCAAUACUCUCCACACUAACACAUUUUUUUAAAGAACCACCGCUAUGGAAUAUUUGAUGCUGAUCGCCCAGCAAUAGAGGACAUACAGCUAUCUGACCUGGGAGUACCUGCGGACCCAAUGGAGGUCCCAGGAGAGAAUACUACUCACCAGCAAAAACAAAAAGAUGACACGGAGGUCAUUGCCAAAGGCAUUUCUGCUAAAGGAAUACAAAAAGAUAACAUGGAUGCCCCCAUGAAGAAUGUAGCUGAAGAUUUGCAGCCUGCUCCUAGUUUGCAAUCGCGAAAGCAUUCAAAAACCACCACAAGCCUUGAAGCUUUCAUGAUGAUACACAUUUCACAUCUAACUGAUUUUGUUUUAAGUUAACGCAGAUUCGUAGCUAACAUAUGAUCUUCCACGUUCAGCAUGAAGAAAACAGAGCUGUUGCUGCAGCUUGCAAGGAGAGUCUCAAGAAUGUUUCACAGCUUUAUAAAGAGUUGGAUGCUUCGCAGGGUGCUCCGAGUUUGGAUUCGCGAAAGCAUUCCAAAGCCACCACAAGCCUUGAAGCUUUCCUGGUGAUGCACACUUUACAGUUAACUGGGUUUUUUUUCGCGCAGAUUGCAAGCUAACAAGUGCUUUAUUUCGAAUCACAGGAUCCUCUGAAUUUGAGGCACAAUGAGAAUGUGCGAAAGGCUGAAGAAAGAAGAGAUCAAGAUGAUGAAGAUGUCAGUAUUGAGGUGGGGGGAGAGGCAGGUACCAAAAGCAAUCACCGGUCUGCCAAGGCUAAGGGAAUAAGGGAGCCGGAAGAGCCCCAUGUCUUCCCAGUUGAUGAGGACAACUAUGAUGAUUCUUUAGCAAAGCAGCGACAAGAUAAUGUGGUUGAUUCCAUGCUACCAACUCGUGCGAGCAUCCGGAAAAGAGUGGCAUCUUCAUUAUUGUGCAAUGAAGAUUAUGUUAUGUACGAUAGUGAUAAGAAGAGAAAGAAAAACAGGACUCCAUCGGAGUCUACCAACGAUUCCAAGGACACAAAGAAUACAAAGAGGAAAAACCGUGCAAGCAAUUUAAAAGAUACAGACACAGGUGCUUUGAGGCUGGAGACCGACCUUGACAAGUUCCGACAGAUUUAAGUGGCUGAAAUUGUCAACACCUCAGAUCUUGAUAAACAAUUGGUGGUAAUUGAUGACAUUGUUCUGCUACAGAAGCAUUUGCAAUGCCUCACCAUGACAGAUGGAGGCGAAGAUGACAAAUGGUUGGGUGACGAAGUAAGAUAUUUGCCAAAUUAUUUUAUCAAUUUUCUUUUGCACAGUACAAUUAACUUGAUUUUUGUUUUAGUUGGUUGAUGUUGUGAUUCAGAUCAUGCGUCAUGAUCAUCCUAAGGACAUAAGGGACGGGCAACUGGUUUACAUUGAGAGGGUGGCCGGCGUCACUAUGCUCGAAAGAGACGGUAAGGUAGAGAACUGCCACGAGGCCGCUUUGGCGGGCAGUCAUGGAACAACAAAAGGAGACAACUACCUCAGACAUGAUCUGGUACCAUCUAACCAUGACAUAAACACAUUUAUUUUUCUAAUUAUUAUGCAUGUUGAUGUAAUCAUCUUUGCUGUCCAGGUUUUUCUACCUACGAACAUGGCGAACACCCACUGGUUCCUUGUGGUCGUAAACCCCAGAAGGAGGGAGAUUCAGAUUCUUGAUUCACUUUUCAGCUACGUAGUACGCACACAAGUGGUUCACGUGGUGAGAUUUUAAACGUCUUUCAAUAUAACACAGGAUUUAGCAUCAUACCUAACCAUGAACCGUGAGCAACUUCUCAUACCAUGGACUUUGGCAGAUACGUGGGGUGGAAGCACAUCUGAGAGCAUCGCUGCGAAUCAAUGGACCACAAAGCCAUGCAUGGCAAGACAUUAACGUGACCCAAUGGACAGUAAAGCAUGUUCCUGUGCCAAGAUAAGAUGACAAGUCAGUCAACAGUAUUAGCUUCUAAUUAUGUUUUUCAUUGUUAAUACGUGAAAUGCUGCUAACAGAAUUAAUUGUUGUAGUUCUUCUUGUGCACUCUACAUGUUGAAGAACAUUGAAUUCUUUACGGGAGAAGAUCUUACGCUGCGUUAUGACCAAGUACGUAGAGUAACACCUAAAAUUCUGUCAAUUUUGUAAACAUAUGGAAUGAUACUAACAUAUCCUCCCAUGCAGGCAUACAUUGACAAUUAUAGAAGAGAGCUGCCUGUUGUCCUUCUUAAUUCGCCCUACAAUAAAUUGAAGUCCAUGAAAAGGCUGAAGACGUACAAUGCUAGCCUAUCGGAUGCAGCUGCGAUUGAAGAUCAUGAAGAUGCAAGCAGUUAGUCCAGCAGUGGUUGAUUCUUAGAUCUGGAGUGUACACUUGGUUAUGAAGCGGUAGAGUAGGGUGUGGUUUGGUUUUAGUCCCAAAGAAGGUUUCCUAGCCAUGUUCUUAGUCCAGUGCGGAUUAAUCAAGUUGUAAUAUUUCACAGUACUAGUUCCAAAUACUAUUCUUGAAAUAAAUUUGGUCUGCAUGGGAGACGCUGAAACAUAUAUUUGCUUUUUACAACCAGAACUUUUGAAGCUUAGGAAGGUUAACUAAAUUCUUAAAUUUACAUUUUAAGUUUUGUCGGAGUCUUGACAAGAUUCAGAACAAUUACAUCGCUAGUUAGAAGUUUCAGAAUUUUUUUAACAUCGCUAGUUAGAAGUUUCAGAAAAAUUUCAGCGAGUGCUGAAAUAUUUUGGCCGAAAUUCAGUGAGGCUGAAAUAUUUUGGCUGAAAGGCAAAUAUUGUAGUGAGUGCUGAAAUGAAUGAAGUUCAGUUAUUUCAUCGAAAUCUCACCGAAGUGAAAACCAUGGUGUCGUGCCAUCUUGAGCAGCACCAGACAUGAUUCAGUAUUAUUAACAAAAUUUGGUCUCGCAUAUACGAGGAAAAAAGGGUAUGAGCAUGAGCAUGCAAGAUCGGAUGGGCAAUAAAAUAGCUUCACAAGAGAGUAAAAUACUUCACGUGUGAAGACUCAAUCCUAGUUGACUUUAGAACAAGUUUUCAUCCUAAAAGAGGUCAAGUGAACUACUUAUAACCAAUAAUAAAAGCGGUCCAGUUCUUUUGGCUGAUUUUCAAAGAAACGGGAACUAUAUCUUUUUGAUGAUCGGGAUUCUCAGGAGACCUAUGUGUUGUUACGCAACUUACCUUGGGUUUUUUUAAACCAUAACUUACCUUUGCUAAACUCUCCACGCCACCCUAAUAUUCAACCAGGUGGGUCCCAUCCCUUGAUUUCCUCCAACCGAAGAAAUCUAUACGUAGAUAUAUGCCCGGGUUGUUACGAUCCCUAUAAAUAGGGAUCCUUUGAAACCUCGUACAUCAUAGUUCGUCCUUCUGCGCCGCCCAAACCAGCAAGACCGAAGGACGGAGCAACCCAGGAAUCCAGCAAGGCCGAAUGACGGAGCCAAACAUGAAUCCUCUGGUAACUCCCCACGAUCUCCUGCUGCAGCCGCUGCUAUUUUUCGUGCCUAGAUCUUCCUCCCAUGAUCUCUUGCUGCAACCCCACUCGUUGUUUGCAUAUUCAUGUAACUCAGCACGUUUUUAAGCAAAUUAAGUUGGGGGCGUUAGGGGAGGUUGCUAGGAUUUGUUUCCUACCAGAUUCGCAGUUCAUUGAUUAAUUCCAGGCUAAAUCUUAGCGUCUGGUCUUGUCGAUGCCAAUUAGUGCAGCGGGCGCUUGCCUUCUUUUUUUCCUUUCGCACGAGUUAUGGAAGGCAUCGAUGGCCCAUGUUUUAAUUCCAUACUACUAACCAUGAUUAGUGCCUAGAGUUGAGGAGACCACGAUUGGAUAGUUUUUUAUUUUCCAAUCUUUAUUUUAUUUCAGAUAAGUGCCUUGCAAUGGAGAUUACCUUAUAUGACCAUUCAAACGUAACCAAGUUGAAUCUAAUGAUAGUAUUUGCACAUUCAUGGAACUCAGCAUGCUUGUACCUCAUGCAGUAGCGUAGAGCAUAUUGUUUAUGUUGGUAUAUAUAAGUUGUAUUCGUCUGUAUGAGUGUUUAAAUUGUAUACCAUGUUGAAUCUAAUCACACUUGCACAUCCAUUGAACCCAGGAUGCUUCUUUGCCGCCAUAUGAGGAGUUCAUAAACGGAUUGAACAUGCAGCAAAGGAUGUACAUCCAGUUGAUAGGACUGGGUGGACUUCUCAAGACACCUAGCAUCAAAAUUAGACGUGUACUGUGCCUGGCCAUCGCUAAUUCAUAUGAUGCAGAGUAGGAUGCCUUUAUCAUCAAUGGGAGACCAUGUAGGAUCACACUACAAGAUGUAGCGCAUAUAACAGGCAUGCCCUGCCAUGGGAAGAAGCACGCCCCUUCAAAUCUUGAUGAUAAUAUGGAGUUGUGGAACAAACUGAAAGACCGUAAUGACACCAAAAUAACUUUCAAAGAAUUGCUAGCCAAGAUGAAAGGCGACAGCACACCAAAUUUUGUCAAGCCAUUUGUCUUGUACACCAUAGGCAAAUAUGUAUGCUGAACAAAAGAGGAGUAUGUGGAUAACAAAUAUAUUGGGAUUGUUAGAAACUUUGGGACGAUAAAGGGCACAAAUCUUGGACAGCUAACGCUUGACUAUCUUAUGGAUAGCGUAAAGAAUUUUGUAAAUGGUGAGGCAAUUCCGGAGGGGAAUCUACCACUGCUGCAGGUAAUUCGUAGUAGUACAAUUAUCAGUUACCUAACAUACAUUACAUAAUGUACGAGAAUGUUUGUAAACUGCUUUUGUUGUCAUGCAGACAUGGUACUACGAGAAGUUCAGAGUGCACCAAUUGGACUCUAGCAUCUCGUAUGAAUCAAGGUUAAGGCCGCUGAUCCAGAACUGGAGCGAGGAGAAGGCAAAAAAGGUUGACAAUAUAAUCCAGAAUAAUUAUCUAGGAGUUGGAGAGGUAAAAUGUCAGCACAUUGCCUGGAUUAUGUAACAUAUAUAUUUUCUAAAUCAUACUAACGACACUAAAUUGCAGUAUGUUGAGGACCUGAUGAGGCCUUUCAUUCCAGCACGAGAUGGUAUGCUGGCCAAACCAAAGACUGGCGCUCAGGUAAAUGAGUUACAUCAGGCACAAAUAUAUAUAUUGUAACAUUCCAACUAGUAUGAAGUUAUAUGAUUCUAACUGUUUCAAAGUCUCAGAUUAAGGUACUCGUCGGACAUUUAUUGACUGAUUUGCAAGAAGUUGCCUCCCUCAUGCGGGAGGCCGGUGCAGAACAAGUCGAUAGGAUGUGCACCCUUGAAAAGAAAAUGGAUGAGUGCCUUAGGCAUACCCGUACAAAUGGCAAGCUCACGGAGGACCUCAUCAAAGAAUUGAACGUAAGCCUAGAAUUAUGAGAUUAGUAUAUAUAAUUGGAAAUUUACGUGUACAAGUUUUUUCUAAAUUAGUUUACUAUGAAAACACCCUAGACUAACAUGUAUUUUUUUAAGAAAAAACGCGAUGGAAUAUUUCCAGGAGUGGAGGACAUACAUCUAUCUGACCUCGGGGCACCUUCACACCCAAUGGAGGCCUCUGUUGAGAAUGCUGAGCAGGCUUCUGACCAGGGGAAACAAAAGGAUGUCACGGAGGUCGCUGUUAAGCACGAUUGUAAGCAGGGAAUAAAAAAUGAUGACAUGGAGCCCCCCAUGAAGAACCUUGAUGAAGAUUUUGGCGUACGCAUGCAUGUUAACUUAAUUAUGAAACAAUCAUUGUCGUUUUAGAAAUAACAUGUGAUCUUCCACGUACAGGAUGAAGCAUUCGAAAGAGUUGCUGUAAAAAUCAAACAGGAUCUCAGUGGUGUUCGUAAGCUUUUGAAAGAGGUGGAUGAUAUCCAGGGAGCUCCUAGUUUUGAUAAGCAAAUGUAUUCCAAAGCCACCACAAGCCUUGAAGAUUUCCAGGUGAUGCACAUUUUACCUAUAAUUGAGCAAGAAUCUGCUAAAGGCUAACACGCGGUUUAUUUCGUAUGACAGAAUCCGUUCAACAGACGGAGUAAGCAGCACUCUGUGAAGGCUAUGGGAUCGCGAGAUCCUGAAGAGCCCCGUGCCUUCACAGAUGAUGACAACCAUGAUGAAUCCUUUCGAAAGCAUCAACAAGUAAGUGUGGUUGCAUCGACGCCACCAAAUCAUGGGGGCGAAAAGAAAAGGGUGGUAUUGCAAUUGUAUAAGAAUGACGAGUAUGCUUCGUACGAUACUGAGAAAAAAAGGAAAAACAAGACUCCAUCAGAGUGUACAAAUGAUUCCGAGGACAUGAACAAUAAAAAGAGGAAAAUCGGCUCUAGCAACUUAAAAAGAGGUCAGAAGUUCCUGAAACCCAGAGGGACCAACUAGACGUGGUUCGACGGGAUUUCGUGGCGUCACUGAUCAACACUACAAAUCAUGAAAAACAAAUGGUCUUAGUUGAUGACAUUGUCGUGCUAUCAAAGCAUUUGAAAUGCCUCACCCAUAAAGAUGAAUCUGAAGAUGGCGUAUGGUUGGGUGACGAAGUAAGAUAGUAUUUCACAAAUUAGUUUAUGAAGUUUCAUUUUUGUACAAUACAAUUAACUUGAUUAUUGUUGUAGGUGGGUGAUGCUGCGAUCCAGCUCAUGCAUCAUGGUGAACCAAUUGACACAAGGGACGGCCAACUGGUUUACAUUGAGAGGGUGGCCGGCGUCGCUAAGCUCGAAAGAGAUGGUAGGAUAGAGGAGUGCUACGAGGACGCUUUGGCAGGCAUCCUGGAACAACACAAGGCACCACCUACCUGAAACAUGAUAUGGUAUUUUAACCUGACGUAGAACGGAUUUUUAUUACUAUACACGUUGAUCUAAUUAUCUGUGCACUUCAGGUUUUCCUACCUACGAACAGUUUAAACGUGCACUGGUUCCUUGUGGUCGUAAACCCCAGAAGGAAGGAGAUUCAGGUUCUUGAUUCACUUUUCCACUGUAUGGUACCCAGAGAAGUAAAUAACGUGGUGAGAAUUUCAACAUAUUUAAUUAUAAGAAAGGAUUUAACAUCGUAUGUAAGUAUUAGUCGUAGGCAACUUCUCAUCCCAUUGGUCUUGCAGGUACGUGGGAUGGAAGCACAUCUGAGAGCAGCGAUGCGAGUCAAUGGGAUUGAAAGCAAUGCAUGGGAAGACAUUAACGUGACGCAAUGGCCAGUACAGAAUAUUAAUGUGCCAAAAUCCGAUGAGACGCCAGUCAACAAUAUUAGCUUUUGUUUUUGUUUUAGAUUUAAUAUCUGAAAUGCUGAUCUAACAACAUAAAAUGUUGCAGUUCUUGCUGUGCACUGUACAUGCUGAAGAACAUCGAAUUAUUUACGGGAGUAAAACUGAGGUUGCAAUAUGACGAAGUACGUAGAGUAACACCUAAAAUUCUGUCAUUUUCUAAAACGUAUGGAACGAUACUAACAUAUCCUCGCAUGCAGGCCUACAUCGACAAAUUCAGAAGAGAGCUACCUGUUGUGCUUGUCGAUUCACCCUACAACAAAAUGAAAUACAGGAAUAGGUUCAAGCAGUAUCAUGCUAGGCUAUCGGAUGCAGCUGCGGUUGAAGACGACGAGGAUGCAAGCAGUUAGUCCAGCAUUGUGGUUCAUUCUUACAUGUGGAGUGUACACUUGGUCAUAAAGCGAUAGAGUAGGGUGUGGUUGGGUUUUAGUCCCGAAGAAGGUUCGGACCAAUUACAGUGCACGGGCAACCCUCGAAGAAUAAUGGAUUAUUACAUCUUGUAACGCCCACGAUGCGGCUAUAUCUCCCACGUGUCGAGGCACGACUUAGAGGCAUAACCGCAUAGUGGUUUUGUCGCAAGAAGGGUCAUCUUCACACAAUCCCAUGUAAUGAACAAGAAUGGGAUAAAGAGUUGGCUUACAAUCGCCACUUCACACAAUACAUAAAUAUUAUUCAUACAUCAUCCAAAAUACAAACAUAUAGACCGACUACGGUCAAAAUCCAGAUGAAAAUAAGACAACCGCAAAUGCUAGAUCCCCGAUCGUCCCAACUGGGCUCCACUACUGAUCAUCAGGAAAAGACACAUAGUAACGACCACGUUCCUCGUCGAACUCCCACUUGAGAUCGACCCCAUCAUCUGCACUGGCAUCUUCGGCUCCUGCAACUGUUUUGGUAGAAUCUGUGAGUCACGGGGACUCAGCAAUCUCAUACCCACGAGAUCAAGACUAUUUAAGCUUGUAGGAAAGGAUGGAGUAAUGAGGUGGAGCUGCAGCGGCAAAAGCAUAUAUGGUGGCUAACAUACGCAAAAGAGAGCGAGAAGAGAAGCAACGGAACGGUCAGCAUCUAGCAAUGACCAAGAAGUGAUCCUGAACUCCUACUUACGUCAAUCAUAACUCAGACCGUGUUCACUUCCCGGACUCCGCCGAGAAGAGACCAUCACGGCUACACACGCAGUUGAUGCAUUUUAAUUUGGGUCAAGUGACAAGUUCUCUACAACCGGACAUUAACAAAUUCCCAUCUGCCUCAUAACCGCGGGCACGGCUUUCGAAAGAUAAUACCCUGCAGGGGUGUCCCAACUUAGCCCAUCAUAAGCUCUCACGGUCAACGAAGGAUAAACCUUCUCCCGGAAAGACCCGAUCAGUCUCGGAAUCCCGGUUUACAAGACAUUUCGACAAUGGUAAAACAAGACCAGCAAAGCCGCCCGAAUGUGCCGACAAAUCCCGAUAGGAGCUGCACAUAUCUCAUUCUCAGGGCACACCGGAUAAGUCAAGCUACGAGUAAAACCAGACCUCGAGUUUCCCCGAGGUGGCCCCGCAGGCUGCUCGGUUCGGACCAACACUCGAAGGAGCACUGGCCCGGGGGGGUUAAAAUAAAGAUGACCCUCGGGCUCGCGAAAACCCGGGGGAAAAGGCUUAGGUGGCAAAUGGUAAAACCAAGGUUGGGCCUUGCUGUAGGAGUUUUAUUCAAGGCGAACUGUCAAGGGGGUCCCAUAAAUCACCCGACCGUGUAAGGAACGCAAACUCAAGGAACAUAAUCCCGGUAUAUCAGUAACUAGGGCGGCAAGAUGGAAGAAAACACCAGGCAUAAGGCUGAGCCUUCCACCCUUUACCAAAUAUAUAGAUGCAUUAAAUAAAUAAGAGAUAUUGUGAUAUCCCAACAUAUCCAUGUUCCAACAUGGAACAAACUUCAACUUCACCUGCAACUAGCAACGCUAUAAGAGGGGCUGAGCAAAAGCGGUAACUUAGCCAAACAACGGUUUGCUAGGAAAGAAUGGUUAGAGGCUGACAUGGCAAUAUGGGAGGCAUGAUAUAGCAAGUGAUAGGUAGCGCAGCAUGGCAAUAGAGCGAACAACUAGCAAAGCAAAGAUAGAAGUGAUUUCGAGGGGUGGUCAUCUUGCCUGCAAGGUUCUCAGAGUUGUCGAAAACUUGAUCCUCGUAAGCGUACUCAACAGGUUCCUCGUUCACGAACUCGUCUCCCGGCUCUACCCAAGACAAGAACACAAACAAACGGAACCACAAUCAACAACGAGAAAUGCACAAGCAACAUGAUGCAAAACAUGUAUGAUAUGCAAGAUAUGAUAUGUGAUGCAUAUGCGUGCUCCGGAAGGAAAAUGAUGAACAAGGUAGUAACUUUGCAAACCAAGCAUGCCACUGGAAAGAUGAGAUGAUUUCGGUCGAAAUCGAUAUAAAGAUCACCGGAAUCGGAUGCACGGUUUGCAAAUGGCAAGCAAAACAAGUGACGUGAAUCUGCGAUAAACAGCAUGAUAGCACUUAAAAUGCAACAAGCAACAAUGCUACAGCAAUCCAACAUAGCAACAAAGCAUAUGACAGUAAUCUACAGGAGAUGUUUGACAAAAUAUGAACACUGAGCUACGGCUAGAUCACAACAUACCAAGCUCAAACAAGCAUGGAAAAAGUGCAAAAGAUAACAGGAUCACAGACUUGGUGAAAAACUGGACAUGGCAGAAAACAGCAUCAGGUAGCAAUGUUCAGAGCACGAAAUCAACAUGCUACAGGAACUUAACAUAGCAAAACAAGGCAUGGAAGUGUUCUACUAAAUGCAUAUGACAAAAGUCCCUUACUGACUAUAAGCCAAAAAGGACCAAAAGAUAUGAUGGCAAGCAUGUAAACAUAGCACGUUUCGUUAUCAGGUUCCAGACUGCCAGAAAACAGAGCAUGGCAGAAACAAUAAUAUGUAGGCAUGUUGGUGAGCUUGAUGCACUCACCACAAAGCAAUGCAUGACAAAACAAGCAUACCUACAGCAAGAUGGCAUGUUUAUGAAUCUAUCCAUGGCAAGAACAAAAGCAUAGCAUGUAUGGAUCAACUAUAAUAAGCUUGGCAAAAUUGCAUAUCAUGUUAAGUAUCUGCCAGAAAUAUUUUAUAGCAAAAGUAGAGCAAGAUUGAGUCAUGCUAUGGUACCCCAUAAUUGCAAACACGGGCAGGAAUCGAUCAAUUACAACUAUAGCUACAAAACAUCCUUACUGAAUAUAUCCAAACUAUGCAUGGAUCUCUCUGUAGCAUCAAGUUUACAUGGCAACAAAAUAACAGCAGACAAGGACGUGGAGAAAUCACUGUCCCUGAAAUCAGAAACAUUACGGAGCCUACUUUGCAUGCUUGUGCUAGUCACCACAGAGAUCACAAAAAUACAUGGCAUACACCAUUGGAAAGAUGGCAUGGCAUAAUUCAAAACACAUGUAAAGCUCAUGCCCAUAAGAUGCACAGAUUAAAUGAUACAAAAAUGACAAAUCUCCAAAUUCUGCUAAGAACCAGAAGAUAACAGCAACUAGCCCUCUUGCAACAGAGAUUUGGGCAUCAAGAUGACCUCUACUGAACAUAGUGCAAUUGAACAAAAUGUAGAACAUCACGAGACGAACAAUUUGACAUAUUACACGCGGGAAUCGAAACUAUGCACAGUGAGUUAUGCCACGAGGAACAAGUGCACAUAUCGCGCAGACUUAGGAAUUUGGGGGGGGGGGUUCGGGUCAACCUGCUACAGUACCCCGAUCGGAUCUAGCGAUGGGGCUCCGGUGGCGCUCGUCUCCGGCGACGGGAGGAAGGAGACGGCGGGCCUCGGCGCGGGGAGAGAGGACGGCGGGGCNNNNNNNNNNNNNNNNNNNNNNNNNNNNNNNNNNNNNNNNNNNNNNNNNNNNNNNNNNNNNNNNNNNNNNNNNNNNNNNNNNNNNNNNNNNNNNNNNNNNNNNNNNNNNNNNNNNNNNNNNNNNNNNNNNNNNNNNNNNNNNNNNNNNNNNNNNNNNNNNNNNNNNNNNNNNNNNNNNNNNNNNNNNNNNNNNNNNNNNNNNNNNNNNNNNNNNNNNNNNNNNNNNNNNNNNNNNNNNNNNNNNNNNNNNNNNNNNNNNNNNNNNNNNNNNNNNNNNNNNNNNNNNNNNNNNNNNNNNNNNNNNNNNNNNNNNNNNNNNNNNNNNNNNNNNNNNNNNNNNNNNNNNNNNNNNNNNNNNNNNNNNNNNNNNNNNNNNNNNNNNNNNNNNNNNNNNNNNNNNNNNNNNNNNNNNNNNNNNNNNNNNNNNNNNNNNNNNNNNNNNNNNNNNNNNNNNNNNNNNNNNNNNNNNNNNNNNNNNNNNNNNNNNNNNNNNNNNNNNNNNNNGCGGCGGGGCAGACGCGGGCUCGCGCGGGCCCUCCCUGGGCUCCGCGGGCCGGCGCGGUGGAGAGGGCGGCGGCGACAAGUGUCAGCGCCGGAUUCGUCGGUCGGCGCGGGCGGACGUGUCCGGCGCGGGCGGACUUUGUCCGGCGGCGCGAGGUGGAAGACGCUAGGGUUUGAUCUGCGAUUCGUUUUCGGGAGGGGAUGGAGUUUUAUAGGUAGAGGGAGCUAGGAGAGUCCAAAUGAGGUGCGGUUUUCGCCCACACGAUCGUGAUCGAACGACCUAGAGCAUGGAAGAGAGUUUGGUGGGUUUUGGGCUGGUUUUUAGGGGGGUUUUUGCUGGACACUCAAAUGGACUUUGCGGAUGCCCGGUUAACCGUUGGAGUACCAAACGACCUCCAAAUGGAACGAAACUUGACCGGUGGUCUCCGGGUAGUGUAAUAAGGCCACUUGACAAGCCUCGGUCCAUUCCGAGAAUGUUUGACACCCGCACACAAAAGAAAACAAGAGGGGUGCACCGGAGGAGCUAGGAGCGCCGGAUUGCAAAACGGACAACGGGGAAAAUGCUCGGAUGCAAGAGACGAACACGUAUGCAAAUGCAAUGCACAUGAUGACAUGAUAUGAAAAUGCAUGACAUGACAAAAUGCAAAACGAAAAACAAAACCCGACCACGGAGGGAAUCUCAUAACACAAAGCCGAAAAUGGCAAGAGUCGGAGUUACAAAUAUGGCAAGUUACAUGCGGGGUGUUACAACACUCCACCACUACGAGAGGAUCUCGUCCCGAGAUCUAGGACUGAAAGAACUCCGGAUAUUCGGAACGGAGAUGGUCCUCGCGUUCCCAGGUGGCUUCCCGGUCGGAAUGGUGCGACUACUUCACUUUCAGGAAUUUGAUUGCCUUGUUGCGUGUCUUGCGCUCAGUUCCUUCAAGAAUAGCAACGGGGUGCUCAUGAUAAGACAAAUCUUCUUGGAGGUCAAUCUCUUCGAAGUUGAUAGUGCGCUCAGGCGCCUUGAAGCACUUGUGGAGCUGUGACACGUGGAACACAUCGUGCAUGUUCGUGAAGUUGGCAGGAAGCUCAAGUUGAUAGGCGAGGUCGCCUCUUUUGCCAAUGAUCUUGAAAGGACCCACGUAUCUAGGGGCAAGCUUCCCUUUGAUACCAAAGCGACGAGUGCCUUUCAUUGGAGAGACGCGGAGGUAGACAUGGUCUCCGAUCUCGAAAGCCAAAUCAUGGUGCUUACUAUCAUAGUAACUCUUCUGGCGCGAUUGCGCGGCUUUGAGAUUAUCACGAAUGACUUUACACAUUUCUUCGGCUUCAGUGAUUAAGUCAUUGCCAAGAAGUUGGCGUUCACCAGUCUCUGACCAAUUGAGAGGAGUACGGCACUUUCUGCCAUAGAGAAUCUUGAAUGGGGCCUUGCCCGAACUCGCUUGGAAGCUGUUGUUGUAGGAGAAUUCAGCAUAUGGAAGACAAUCUUCCCAUUUCAUGCCAAAGGAAAUGACACAAGCCCUGAGCAUAUCUUCAAGAAUUUGAUUGACUCGCUCGACUUGGCCACUAGUUUGAGGAUGGAAAGCUGUGCUGAAGCGAAUGUUUGUGCCCAUGGCCUUCUGAAAGGAGUCCCGGAACUUAGAGGUGAAGAUGCUUCCACGAUCUAAAGAAAUCAAUUGUGGAAUGCCGUGCAAGGAGACAAUUCUGGAGGUGUAAAGCUCUGCCAGCUGAGCUGCUGUGAUGGAUUCUUUGAUUGGAAGGAAAUGAGCCACUUUAGAGAGCUUGUCGAUGACAACGAAGAUAGCAUCAUUUCCACGCUUGGACUUGGGAAAACCAGUCACGAAGUCCAUUUCGAUAUGAUCAAACUUCCAUUCUAGGAUAGCAAGAGGUUGAAGGAGACCAGCUGGUUGUUGGUGUUCUUCUUUUACUCUUCGACAGACAUCACAUUCAUUCACGAAUUGAGCGACUUCUCUCUUCAUUCGAGUCCACCAAUACGACUGCUUGAGGUCAUGAUACAUCUUCGUACUUCCAGGAUGAAUGGAAAGAAGAGAAUUGUGCGCCUCGUUCAUUAUGACUUUCCUUAGAUCACCUUUAGGAACCACAAUCCGGUCCUCGAAGAAUAAAGUGUCUCUGUCAUCAAUGCGAUAGCACUUGUAUUUGGAAAGACCCUUGUCGAUACCACGUUUCACCUUCUUCACCAUGGCAUCAAGAAGUUGUGCCUCACGAAUUUGAUCUUCCAAAGUAGGAGAUACUAUGAGGUUGGCAAGAAAGCCUUGAGGAACAACUUGGAGAUUCAGCUUGCGGAAAGCUUCACAAAGAUCCGGUUGGAAUGGCUUGAGAAUUAAGCUGUUGCAAUAAGCCUUCCUGCUUAAAGCAUCUGCAAUGACAUUUGCUCUGCCUGGAGUAUAUUCAAUACUCGGAUUGUACUCUUGAAUCAUUUCGACCCAUCGAGUCUGCCUGAGGUUGAGGUUGGGCUGAGUGAAGAUGUACUUGAGGCUCUUGUGAUCGGUGAAAAUGUCCACUUGUCUUCCCAACAAGAGAUGUCUCCACGUUAUUAAUGCAUGGACAACUGCCGCCAACUCAAGAUCGUGAGUGGGGUAGUUCUUCUCGUUGGGCUUCAACUGACGAGAGGUAUAGGCCACAACUUUCUUCUCUUGCAUUAACACAGCACCGAGACCUUGGAGAGAAGCAUCACAGAAAACUUCAAAAGGCUUGGAUUCAUCAGGAGGAGUUAAGACAGGAGCGGUGACGAGUUUCUCUUUGAGAGUGUUGAAAGCAACAUCACACUCAGGAGACCAGACAUACUUCACAUGCUUCUGGAGGAGGUUGGAAAGAGGCUUUGCAAUCUUGGAGAAAUUCUCAAAGAAUCUUCGGCAAUAGCUUGCAAGACCCAGAAAACUGCGGAGCUGCUUGACAUUCUGAGGAGGUUCCCAAUUCACAAUUACGGACACCUUCUCGGGGUUAACAGCGAUGCCCUUAGCAGAGAUGAUGUGACCAAGGAAAAGAACUUCAUCAAGCCAAAACUCACAUUUAGAGAACUUUGCAUAGAAUUGAUACUCUCUGAGCUUGUCGAGCACCAAUCGCAAAUGUUUGGCAUGAUCCUUCUUAUUCUUGGAGAAGACCAAGAUAUCAUCGAGAUACACCAGGACGAAUUCAUUGGUGUAAGGGUUGAAUAUGAAAUUCAUCAUCCGAGAGAAAACUGGAGGAGCAUUGACAAGGCCGAAAGACACGACAGUAUAUUCAUAAGAACCAAAGCUUGUUCUAAAUGCUGUCUUGGGAAUAUCUUCUUCACGAAUGCGAAUCUGAUGAUAACCCAUACGAAGGUCAAGCUUGGAGAAUACUUUAGCACCUUUGAGUUGCUCGAAUAGCUCAUUGAUGUUGGGAAGUGGAUACUUGUUCUUGAUUGUCUUCUUGUUCAAUGGACGGUAGUCGACACAAAGUCGGUCCGUGCCAUCCUUCUUCUUGACAAAAAGAACACCACAACCCCAUGGAAAAGAACUCGGUCUGAUCAAACCCAGACGCUCUUGUUCAUCGAGCUGUUUCUUCAAUUCCUUCAGCUCGUUUGGUCCAAGCUUGUAUGGAUGCUUGCAAACGGGUUCAGUGCCAGGCUCUAGUUCGAUAACGAACUCAACUGGGCGAUGAGGAGGCAUACCCGGAAGCUCUUCUGGAAAGACAUCUUGAUACUCACAAGCGACUGGAAUCUGAGAGAUGGCAUUCAAUUCGCCCUUCUCAUUGAGAGAGAAAAACCGAAUGGUUUCAUCACGAGCGGCAUAAAUAAUCACAUCCUCAGAAGAGUGUGUCAAUUGAAUUUCCCUGGCAGCACAAUCAAGUUGAGCCUUGUGCUUAGAAAGCCAGUCCAUCCCGAGAAUUAGAUCAAUAUCCGAGUCACCAAGAACAAUUGGAGAAGACUGGAAUUCAUAGUCACCCAUCUUGAUGGAAACAUCCGGAACCAUCAUACUAGAACUCAAACGUUUACCCGGAGAAACGACAUCCAUGGGUUUACUCAGAUGAGAACAAGUGAAUUCAUGCUUGGCAAAAAAUGGUCUUGACAUGAAACAAAGCGAAGCACCAGUAUCAAAAAGAACUUUUGCAGGAAUAUCAUUAACUGAGAGAUUACCCAUUAUCACAUCAGUAGAUUCCUCCGCUUGAGCUGCAUUCAUCAUGUUCACCUUUGCAGACUUUGGAUUAUGCUUGACCACUGCAUUGCUGGAAGAUCUGACAGGAGGAGGAGGAAGACGCCUUUGGUUGAAGCAUUUGUUAGCAUAGUGACCUUUCUGCUGACAUUUGUUGCAAGUCACCUCUGAGAGUGGACGGUGAUAAGGAGCAUUGGACUUUGGAGCUUGAUUCUGAGACUUGUUCUGAUAGCCAGAGUUGGAAGAGUUGGAAGAACCAUGGCCACCUUUGUUCUUCUGCUGGUAAGGCUGACGAAACGGAGGAGGAGGAGGCAACCAGAACUUCUGUUGCUUAGCUGCCACAAGUGAGGAAGAAGAAGACUGAACUGCGUCUCUGACUCUCUUCUUAGAAGCCUCACACUUGAGCUGAGCAGACUCUUGCUUCAGUGCCAUAUUGUAGAAUUGAUCAAACUGAGUAGGCUCAACAAGAACGAGAGCUAACUGCAUAUCCUCUUUAAGGCCACCUCUGAAGUGAUAAAUCAUGCUCUACUCAUCAGGAACGUCUUGUUUAGCGAAGCGAGCAAGUUUCUGAAACUGGAUGUUGUAUUGAUACACAGACAUGUUGCCUUGCUUGAGAUUGCGGAACUCCUCACGCUUGCUCUCAACAACACUUUGUGGAAUGUGGUGCGCUUUGAAGUCCCGACAGAAGUCAGUCCAAGUGAUCACACGACCUCCUCUGGAAUCUUCGUAUUGCUGAAACCAAUCAGCAGCUUGGUCCUUGAGCUGGAAAGAAGCGAACUUGACAUAGUCCUCAGGCCUGACAUUGCUACAUUCAAAAUGCUUGUUGAUGUCCACGAGCCAAUCAUCGGCAUCCGUGGCCUCGGCACAGUAGCUGAAAGACUUGGGCUGAUUUGCGAGAAACUGGUUGAGUGUAGCGAAGUUAGGCUGAUUGUUGCCUUGACCUUGAUUGCCUUGAUUGCCUUGCCCUUGAGUAUGUUCUUGCAAGAGUUGCAGAAUCAUCUGAGCAUUGGCGUUGGUGGCUGCCAUGAUAGCUUGCUAUGCCUCCGGAGGCGGAGGUGGUGGCGGAGGGUUCGCUUGACUCCCUUCAUUGCGAUCCGGAUUCUGACGCGUUGGCGGAGCCAUCCUGAAGAGGGUGACAUCCGUUAGCAUCUUGAUAGACAAAUAGAUAAGUAGAAUCAACGGAUAGAAAUUGCAACAUAUAGUCUUCACAAUAAACAUUCGAACAAAGAUGAACGAAUGAAUUCCGUAGUAAAUCAUCACACUUCCAUAAGUUGAGAAGCCACUUAGAAAAGAUAUGGAAUCAACAUAUGACUUCGAAGCAAACUCGAAUACCACAAUUGAAAACAAAACAAAGUAUUGGCUUGCGGAAUAAGCCGGAACAAACAUAUGAUAGAUAUUUCAUCCGAAGUUUUCGUGGUGGGGCCCACACAGGCUCAAUCGUACAGCACCAUCAUGUACAAGGCUGUGCACAUGACAUACGAAGCGUCCCCGAGUCGGCAUAGCCAUGGACUCUUUAAGACACUACGAGACCACUGUAAAAUCAACCGUGUACAGGCGGACCACUAGACGUCGAACCCCAAUCUCAUAUCAUGCGUCUGUCGGAAAGAUAUCCUAAGGCUACUAGAAUUCCCACUUAUAAACUCCCGAAACUUUCUGGUUAUGCAAUCUGGUGUUGGGGAUACAGGGGACACAAAAUAUAUCACCCAAACUAGCAAUCCCUAGAUCCAGUUGUAUCCAUCCGUCAACACAUAACCAAGAAACCUUCGGAAAUCGUUUACCUCAACCUUCGAAAAACAUCCGUUAUACAAGUUAUGGCAAUACUCCUGAACUCCCGCCCCAGUACUGGGUGGCGUCGAGGUGAUCUCACCAACAACUGCAUAAAAGAGAUUUCGAUGUCGGCGAAACUUAGGUAUUCCAGAACUGCAACGAUAAAAUUGUGACGACAACACCUCGGAGCUCAACUCCCCGGGACACUGCCACAACCCCUAAAUGUCAGGAGGCACCAAGAACAAUGUUCUCGUCACAAAACCAUCGGAACGAUUCCAAGAUACCCGCGUGAUCCUUAAAAAAAAUUAGUGAAAUUUGAGGAGAGAAUAGUCAAAACUCUACGUCAGGAGACCUCACCAGAGCGACGAAGGGACUGAGGAGUAAAAAGAAUCCUACUCUCCGAUAUAUAUAAUCCUAAGACUCAAAACAUUUUUUGUUCUAGACUCAACAACGCCAGCGAUUCGAUCAAGCAGGGGGCUCCUAAGUCGGGGAUGGCUCUGAUUACCAACUUGUAACGCCCACGAUGCGGCUAUAUCUCCCACCUGUCGAGGCACGACUUAGAGGCAUAACCGCAUAGUGGUUUUGUCGCAAGAAGGGUCAUCUUCACACAAUCCCAUGUAAUGAACAAGAAUGGGAUAAAGAGUUGGCUUACAAUCGCCACUUCACACAAUACAUAAAUAUUAUUCAUACAUCAUCCAAAAUACAAACAUAUAGACCGACUACGGUCAAAAUCCAGAUGAAAAUAAGACAACCCCAAAUGCUAGAUCCCCGAUCGUCCCAACUAGGCUCCACUACUGAUCAUCAGGAAAAGACACAUAGUAACGACCACGUCCCUCGUCGAACUCCCACUUGAGAUCGACCCCAUCAUCUGCACUGGCAUCGUCGGCUCCUGCAACUGUUUUGGUAGAAUCUGUGAGUCACGGGGACUCAGCAAUCUCACACCCACGAGAUCAAGACUAUUUAAGCUUGUAGGAAAGGAUGGAGUAAUGAGGUGGAGCUGCAGCGGCAAAAGCAUAUAUGGUGGCUAACAUACGCAAAAGAGAGCGAGAAGAGAAGCAACGGAACGGUCGUCAUCUAGCAAUGACCAAGAAGUGAUCCUGAACUCCUACUUACGUCAAUCAUAACUCAGACCGUGUUCACUUCCCGGACUCCGCCGAGAAGAGACCAUCACGGCUACACACGCAGUUGAUGCAUUUUAAUUGGGUCAAGUGACAAGUUCUCUACAACCGGACAUUAACAAAUUCCCAUCUGCCUCAUAACCGCGGGCACGGCUUUCGAAAGAUAAUACCCUGCAAGGGUGUCCCAACUUAGCCCAUCAUAAGUUCUCACGGUCAACGAAGGAUAAACCUUCUCCCGGAAAGACCCGAUCAGUCUCGGAAUCCCAGUUUAUAAGACAUUUCGACAAUGGUAAAACAAGACCAGCAAAGCCGCCCGAAUGUGCCGACAAAUCCCGAUAGGAGCUACACAUAUCUCGUUCUCAGGGCACACCGGAUAAGUCAAGCUACGAGUAAAACCAGACCUCGAGUUUCCCCGAGGUGGCCCCGCAGGCUGCUCGGUUCGGACCAACACUCGAAGGAGCACUGGCCCGGGGGGGUUAAAAUAAAGAUGACCCUCGGGCUCGCGAAAACCCGGGGGAAAAGGCUUAGGUGGCAAAUGGUAAAACCAAGGUUGGGCCUUGCUGUAGGAGUUUUAUUCAAGGCGAACUGUCAAGGGGAUCCCAUAAAUCACCCGACCGUGUAAGGAACGCAAACUCAAGGAACAUAAUCCCGGUAUAUCAGUAACUAGGGCAGCAAGAGUGGAACAAAACACCAGGCAUAAGGCCGAGCCUUCCACCCUUUACCAAAUAUAUAGAUGCAUUAAAUAAAUAAGAGAUAUUGUGAUAUCCCAACAUAUCCAUGUUCCAACAUGGAACAAACUUCAACUUCACCUGCAACUAGCAACGCUAUAAGAGGGGCUGAGCAAAAGCGGUAACUUAGCCAGACAACGGUUUGCUAGGAAAGAAUGGUUAGAGGCUGACAUGGCAAUAUGGGAGGCAUGAUAUAGCAAGUGAUAGGUAGCGCAGCAUGGCAAUAGAGCGAACAACUAGCAAAGCAAAGAUAGAAGUGAUUUCGAGGGGUGGUCAUCUUGCCUGCAAGGUUCUCAGAGUUGUCGAAAACUUGAUCCUCGUAAGCGUACUCAACAGGUUCCUCGUUCACGAACUCGUCUCCCGGCUCUACCCAAGACAAGAACACAAACAAACGGAACCACAAUCAACAACGAGAAAUGCACAAGCAACAUGAUGCAAAACAUGUAUGAUAUGCAAGAUAUGAUAUUUUAUGCAUAUGCGUGCUCCGGAAGGAAAAUGAUGAACAAAGCAGUAAAUUUGCAAACCAAGCAUGCCACUGGAAAGAUGAGAUGAUUUCGGUCGAAAUCGAUAUAAAGAUCACCGGAAUCGGAUGCACGGUUUGCAAAUGGCAAGCAAAACAAGAGUGACGUGAAUCUGCGAUAAACAGCAUGAUAGCACUUAAAAUGCAACAAGCAACAAUGCUACAGCACUCCAACGUAGCAACAAAGCAUAUGACAGUAAUCUACAGGAGAUGUUUGACAAAAUAUGAACACUGAGCUACGGCUAGAUCACAACAUACCAAGCUCAAACAAGCAUGGAAAAAGUGCAAAAGAUAACAGGAUCACAGACUUGGUGAAAAAUGGACAUGGCAGAAAACAGCAUCAGGUAGCAAUGUUCAGAGCACGAAAUCAACAUGCUACAGGAACUUAACAUAGCAAAACAAGGCAUGGCAGUGUUCUACUAAAUGCAUAUGACAAAAGUCCCUUACUGACUAUAAGCCAAAAAGGACCAAAAGAUAUGAUGGCAAGCAUGUAAACAUAGCACGUUUCGUUAUCAGGUUCCAGACUGCCAGAAAACAGAGCAUGGCAGAAACAAUAAUAUGUAGGCAUGUUGGUGAGCUUGAUGCACUCACCACAAAGCAAUGCAUGACAAAACAAGCAUACCUACAGCAAGAUGGCAUGUUUAUGAAUCUAUCCAUGGCAAGAACAAAAGCAUAGCAUGUAUGGAUCAACUAUAAUAAGCUUGGCAAAAUUGCAUAUCAUGUUAAGUAUCUGCCAGAAAUAUUUUAUAGCAAAAGUAGAGCAAGAUUGAGUCAUGCUAUGGUACCCCAUAAUUGCAAACACGGGCAGGAAUCGAUCAAUUACAACUAUAGCUACAAAACAUCCUUACUGAAUAUCUCCAAACUAUGCAUGGAUCUCUCUGUAGCAUCAAGUUUACAUGGCAACAAAAUAACAGCAGACAAGGACGUGGAGAAAUCACUGUCCCUGAAAUCAGAAACAUUACGGAGCCUACUUUGCAUGCUUGUGCUAGUCACCACAGAGAUCACAAAAAUACAUGGCAUACACCAUUGGAAAGAUGGCAUGGCAUAAUUCAAAACACAUGUAAAGCUCAUGCCCAUAAGAUGCACAGAUUAAAUGAUACAAAAAUGACAAAUCUCCAAAUUCUGCUAAGAACCAGAAGAUAACAGCAACUAGCCCUCUUGCAACAGAGAUUUGGGCAUCAAGAUGACCUCUACUGAACAUAGUGCAAUUGAACAAAAUGUAGAACAUCACGAGACGAACAAUUUGACAUAUUACACGCGGGAAUCGAAACUAUGCACAGUGAGUUAUGCCACGAGGAACAAGUGCACAUAUCGCGCAGACUUAGGAAUUUGGGGGGGGGGGUUCGGGUCAACCUGCUACAGUACCCCGAUCGGAUCUAGCGAUGGGGCUCCGGUGGCGCUCGUCUCCGGCGACGGGAGGAAGGAGACGGCGGGCCUCGGCGCGGGGAGAGAGGACGGCGGGGCNNNNNNNNNNNNNNNNNNNNNNNNNNNNNNNNNNNNNNNNNNNNNNNNNNNNNNNNNNNNNNNNNNNNNNNNNNNNNNNNNNNNNNNNNNNNNNNNNNNNNNNNNNNNNNNNNNNNNNNNNNNNNNNNNNNNNNNNNNNNNNNNNNNNNNNNNNNNNNNNNNNNNNNNNNNNNNNNNNNNNNNNNNNNNNNNNNNNNNNNNNNNNNNNNNNNNNNNNNNNNNNNNNNNNNNNNNNNNNNNNNNNNNNNNNNNNNNNNNNNNNNNNNNNNNNNNNNNNNNNNNNNNNNNNNNNNNNNNNNNNNNNNNNNNNNNNNNNNNNNNNNNNNNNNNNNNNNNNGCGGCGGGGCAGACGCGGGCUCGCGCGGGCCCUCCCUGGGCUCCGCGGGCCGGCGCGGUGGAGAGGGCGGCGGCGACAAGUGUCAGCGCCGGAUUCGUCGGUCGGCGCGGGCGGACGUGUCCGGCGCGGGCGGACUUUGUCCGGCGGCGCGAGGUGGAAGACGCUAGGGUUUGAUCUGCGAUUCGUUUUCGGGAGGGGAUGGAGUUUUAUAGGUAGAGGGAGCUAGGAGAGUCCAAAUGAGGUGCGGUUUUUGCCCACACGAUCGUGAUCGAACGACCUAGAGCAUGGAAGAGAGUUUGGUGGGUUUUGGGCUGGUUUUUAGGGGGGGGUUUGCUGGACACUCAAAUGGACUUUGCGGAUGCCCGGUUAACCGUUGGAGUACCAAAUGGAACGAAACUUGACCGGUGGUCUCCGGGUAGUGUAAUAAGGCCACUUGACAAGUCUCGGUCCAUUCCGAGAAUGUUUGACACCCGCACACGAAAGAAAACAAGAGGGGUGCACCGGAGGAGCUAGGAGCGCCGGAUUGCAAAACGGACAAGGGGGAAAAUGCUCGGAUGCAAGAGACGAACACGUAUGCAAAUGCAAUGCACAUGAUGACAUGAUAUGAAAAUGCAUGACAUGACAAAAUGCAAAACGAAAAACAAAACCCGACCACGGAGGGAAUCUCAUAACACAAAGCCGAAAAUGGCAAGAGUCGGAGUUACAAAUAUGGCAAGUUACAUGCGGGGUGUUACACAUGUCUAUUUUCAUACGAGAGAAAAAGGUACGAGCAUGAGCAUAGCCUCACAACAGAAGAAAAAAUACUGCAUGAAUCAACACGCAAUCCUAGAAAACGGCACAGUCAAUGUCUCAUAGGCAGGCCGCAAAGCCAAAAAAGAAGAGCAUCAGGAUAACCAGAGUAAAUCAUGUACCAUAGGGGGCCUCUGCAGGUGCUGCAACGAUCAUGGUGUGGCAUGGUAGGAUGUGCACUGAAUUGAAGGGAUCACCUUCAGGAGCACAGUAGGGUGGCCAUGGUACAUCCAUCCUGCCUCAGGGAAUCACAUAACAUGUUCUGUCAUAGCCCUGCAAAACAGAGGAAAGAUUACUACUUGUACUAACCUUGUCAAGUGUGUGCAUGUAACAAAUAUUGGACAUAACUAAACACGGAAGAAUGAAAUGCAACAUAUGGAAGAAUCGAAUGGUCAUUCCUUUCUCUCUGCUUUUUGCGAGGAUCAUUACUCUCCCUUUAACAAGGCUAAAACAUCAUAAUAAGAAUUAACACCAAACUUCAAACGGUGGAUAUCCCAUGUGAAUCUAAUUUUUCUUAUAAAGCACAUGCCAAGUCUGUUGAUCCCAGUCCAGCAAUUGCACAAGAAGAAGCGAGCAUCAUAAAUAUUGAGCAACAUAAACUAUGAAUUGUUUAUAGUACAGUCCAAAAUUAAUAGCUUAUCAUCUCUAUUGAUCUCCAAAUCUCACCUAUCAGCCAAAUUGAAAGAAUACAUGUUGAAUGAAUGUAUAAGUGUAUGAAUGCAACGAUUGAACGUUCGUAGAUCUUGUAGUCGGGGCUGGACAAAUGGGGCUGGCCGUCCAGGCCGGCGGCCCGCUUCAUCUAGUCUCGCAGAACAUGAUCCAUACCCAACCACCUUGCCUUCCGACGAGAUGCAUGGCCAGAUCAAAGCUGCGGCCAUGGCGGAGAGGCGUAGAGGACACAAACAACCAAUUGGGGUGUGGGAAAGAGGUUGCCUAUAACCUUGUGGCUAUAGGCACCUGCAUGGAGGACUGGGAGGUGGGAUGGCGCCGAAUCUUCGCCAGCGGCCGCCGCGGGGAGGGAAGUGCGCCUCCUCUCGUGUUCUUCGUUGAAAAGGUGAUGCGAGAUCGCGAGGGAAUUGGGGUGUAGGGAAGGAGGGGCCGCGACGCAUGGCUAGAUCCUGCCGGCGAGGAUUAAAACCCUAGUGGCGGCGAGGAAUAAACCCUAGCGAACGGGAUAAAAAUUGAACCGAAAAUAGCCCUGAAAUUCAUACCGAGAAUACCCUCGAAAUAUUUGGGAGGGAAAAAUCUGAUCAGUUCGAAAUAUUUUUUCUCCCGAAAAUGCCCCUCGGGGUCUGAUAUAAUACACGUGACAUCGGCGUAUUGCAUCGGAUCUGGACCAUCGAAUUCGCUCCGACGGACGGUCCAUAUCGUCCGGAUGCACUGUUUGUAAAUUUAGAAAAUAUUACAUGUUUUUUAAAAACAUGAGAAUUUGAAAUAAUAUUCAUGAAUUUGAAAAUGUUCGUGAAUUUGAAAAUGUUCAUGAAUUUUGGAAAACAUUGUCAAUCUAAAGAAAAGUUCAUGCAUUCUAUAAAAUCACUAAUUUGAAGAAAAUACAAAUAUAUUUAUUUAACAAAAUAAAAUGGCAAAAAGACCUUCGAAAAAACAAAUAAAACCGGCCGGAAAACCUAGGGAAACUUUUUAGAAUGUUCUCAAAACCAGAAAGCCCACCUAAUAGUCUACAUGGGCCCGCGCGUUAGUCACAGGAGUGGGCCCGAGCCGCGUAGGCUUUGCCCAGGCAGCAUCCGCCGACAGCGGCGAGGGGAGGAGAAGAGGAAGGGCUUUGACUGGCGGCGACUAGGGUUCACCCCUUGGCUGCCCGCGGGAGCGACCUGAGGGGUUGUAUCGUUCCUUCCCCAGGCCCAUUGGAAGUACUUUUAUAUGCAUGGAUGACGCAACUAUGUCGGACAGCUUGUCUCGCUACAUGGAUGUUUGGUUCAACUAAACCGUGUUAUCUCUCGCUUGGUUUUUGUGCAUCACGGAUGUUCCCAGUUGAUGAAUCAUAUAGUCAUAUGGUUCCAUGUAAAACACUUUGCCUAUAUAAUUUAUUUUGGAGUGAAUUCCACCUUUUACCCUAUAGUUGUACAUUUGUGACACAUAUUACCCCAUUUAGUAGACCUUAUAUUGAAAUAUCAGAUUUUGGAGACUUUUAACAUGGUUCUACCCCAGUUUUUUAAUUUGCUUGUUUAUGCUAGAUAGGAUCGGCAUGUGGCGUCAAUGAUUCGUACAAAAAUGUGUAAAGAUCUGAGGGCAUCAUUGACGAUCAUGUCCAGACUUCUCUUGUCCAUUUGUUCCAUUCCUCGUCGUCGUCUAGAUAUUUUUGGACCCCGGUCGUCACCUCACACCUUGUUCCUUACCUUAUUUUGUUUCUUUUUUCUGUUUCCUUUUUGUUUUUCCUAAAUUCAAAAUUUUCAAAAAAUGUUUAGAAUUUUCUAACAUGUUUGAAAUUCCUAAUUUUGUUCAUGUCUUCAAAAAAAUCAUGUUUUUCAAAAUUAUUCAUGUUUCAAAAAAAUUGGAAUUUCAAAUUCCAAUAAAAGUUCAAAAUUCCAAUUUUGUUCAUUUUUCAGAAAACAUCAUCUUAAAAUAGUUCACCGUAUUGAAGAAAAAUGUUCAACAUAUAUUGGAAAAUGUUCACUGUUCAUAAAAAAAUGUUCUUCAUGUAUAGAAAUUUUGUUCAGCAUGCAUUUCAAAAAAGUUCAGCAUAUAUUUUAAGAAAUGUUCAGUGUGUAUUUGAAUAAAGUUCACCGUACACUAAGAAAAUGUUCGCAUUUAAGAAAAGAAUAUUCGAUUUUUUUUAUGAUUUCAAAACAUGUUCGUAUUUCCAAGAAAUUUGGUUCACAUUUUUCAAGAAAUAAUAAAAAUUAAAAAAAGGACCUGCCAUUUUAAUUGGUACUUUAAACUUUAGGGCUGCUUUUAAGCCGUCGUCAGUGGCUAGCUCGUCUGGCUAGUAUCGUUAGCAUGCAUGGCUAUGUUGGGUUUCGACUCCUGCUACAUGUGGUUUUAUAUUUUUCACGAAAUUCCUGCAUUUGCUCAGCACUUGCAUUGGCCCGGCCCAUUUGGUCGCCACUUUUACCGAAAACUGAACUAUUACGUACAUUCACCUAAAAAAAAUAUUACAUACAUUAAUUGAUAUGUAUACAACAGACGACCGUAUAAUUCAUGAAAAGUCUAUAUUGCCCUUUAUACGUUUUGUGAGGAGGGUGUACCGAAGCGGGGCUCUUUUAGAGCAAGUUAGUGACACUAACAAUUAAAUAGAACAGAAUCUAAGCAAAUUAUACAAAUAGUUCGAGAGAAGGCAAGCUACUGACCCCUGUUACAAGGCAAGCAAUUCUGUUCAUCCCUUGUUUCUGGGCAUGGACUGGGAUGCCACAUUCUUGAUAUUUUCAUUCUCUUGUAUAAAGGCACCCCUGUUACAACGCUCUUUUUCACUUGUAUAAAGGCAUCCUUAAAUAUUUUCAUUCUCCCUUCGUUUGAUAAAGAUUUUUUCUUCUUUCAGGUUGUAGGUUAGAUUGUUAGGCAAUGCAUCAAUGUUCUCUUAUGCAACUUCGGAACAAGAUAUUGCCAUACCGAUGUAAGUCAUUUUGUUUCAAAUUGAUAGUUUUUUCUUUCAUGAAUUUGGUCAUCUCAUGGAGAAUGAAGUGAUUGUCCCUAGGUUUCAAUUUAUAUGGAUGACUGCCUUCUUAAUUCUUGAAUAUGGCCAUACAUUAUUGCCCCCUCUCAAUUUUGUUCCUGGGUCCGCCCCUGCUCUCAAGCAAGCAAACCAUACACUAUGUGUUUCACAGUCCCUUUUUGGCCAAAGAUUUCACGCACGUUGGUCAAGUAUUAGAGAUGCACGACUAUUUUGUAUUGUACUUCCGAUCAUUCUUAUUCUUAUGUCAGUCAAUUUUCACAAAGAUACGAUAUUAAACAUGAUUUUAUCCCAAGACACUGGUGAGUCUAAUCAUAACGCUCUCAUCUUCAUCUCGCAUAUUGAGGAGCUAGUGGGUGUGUCGGAUUGAGCUCAAACCCACCCAAAAUUUUCAAAUAACUUGCAGGUUCAGGUUAACUCCUUUAAAGGCACGGAGGCUAAUUUUUUUUAGAGAGAGAGAGAGAGAUCCAGAAAUCUGCUGGCUUUCGUAUAUUAAGCAGGAAGAAGCGGACAUAGGUGAGGUUACUAUGAUCAAGUGAUCACAACAACGUGGGAGUUAGCCGAGUUAAAACAAAAAUACCGACCCAAGAAACAAGGCCAGAACAAUGCUAAUAUCGCAUCCUGGAUCACCCAGGUGGCAGGCAUCGCAUCCCUGCGAGAAACCAAUGAUCUUUGUCGCGUUCAACUCUGACCAUGGUCGAACUGACCGUGGAGCACUUAUCAUGGAAGCAUCUCUCGUUGUGCUCACUCAACAAGUGCGAGGCUACCAGCAUUAGCAUAGUCUUUAAUCUUUUCAUUUCUGGGGAUGGGGCGGCAGAGUUGAUCACUACUGUUGCCUGCUGGACAGAAUUAGCAGUAGGAGGCCAAUUUUGCAAGGUUGAGGUGCUGCAGCAAGGCCCGAGAGAAACAUUAUGCCAUACCUCUCUUGCGGUCAGGCAUUCCCAUAACAGAUGGAAAGAGUUUUCCAAACUGCGCAUGGAUAGGGGACGGAAAUAACCGUUGAUCCAUCCUCUUCUCUUGAGCAUGUUGUUGCACCAAAGUCUGUUUUGCAUGAGCAGUCGGGCGGCUUAGUUUUCCCUGGUGCAGAAGCAGACCAGAACAAGCUCUUGAAGUUUGAGGACAUAGGCCCCUAGAACUGCAUCAAGUAGGCGGAUCUCGUUGUAUAUUCUCAUGGGGCAUUUAAACUCCAACUGAUCUCGUCAGGUGUGGUCUCACUUAGGCUAGAAUAGAUGUUACGGGUGAGCCUCCAUAGCAUGAUGAACUCAUCAACCUUUUCCAUAUAGUUACCUCCCGUGAUAUCAUUCACCUAGUUGUCUUGGCAAAGGGCAUCCUGGACCGUUCUGUUCUUCUUUCUGCAUCUCUUGCAUGUCUUUGGGAAAAGAGUAGCCAGCGUCUCCGUGCUGAUCCAACAGCAACGCCAGAAGCUUGAUGUUCUUCCGUCUCCAACUUCAAUCUUGGUCGCUGACGCGAACAGGCGCGGUCAGAUGCAUCACUGGGCAACUUUUAGAGCCGACCCCAAGGUCUUUCCGGGCUCUUCCAAGCCAUCCAUAACCAACGCAAGCAUAGGGCUCUUCCAAAUUUCUCUAGAGCUCCACGAACGUUAUUUUGCACGCACAAAGAUAAUUCAACAAUAUUUGUUGCCAAUUUUUUUUAUUUGUUACUAUUGUAUUUGAUUUCAUUUUUCAGAAGAAUGCAUUUGAACUCGAGUGUAGAAACUUCAUGUUCAAAAAGGGCAUGUUAGUGUCAAGCCCAAGAGAAACUACCUGUACUGAAAGAAAUUGUCAUAGUGUGCAUCAAGCUUUUAAAAAAUCCAAGUCUUUCUGAAGCAUCGAUUUUGUUAUUUUGCCCAAAGCUCCAUGAACGUUAUUUCAUCAUGAAAUUCUGCACCCACGAAGAUAGUUCAACAAAGUGUUGCAAGAAAAACUGAUUUUUUUUCUUUCAACUUUUUACAAUUUUUUUAUUUAUUCUUCACAAGGAUGCAUUUGACCUCGAUGUAGUUAACUCCAUGUCAAAAAGGACAUGUCAGUGUCAAGUCCAAUAGAAACUUCCUAUGCUGAAAGAAACACUAAUAGUAGCGCAUCAAGCUUCAAUCCCCCCCCCCCUUCCAAAAAGAGCAUCACUUUCGUUGUUUUUUCUCGGAGCUCCACGAACGUUAUUUCAUCACGAUAUUUUGCAAGCACGAAGCUAAUUCAACAAUGUUUGUUGCCAAAAAGCAGAUUUUUUAAUUUGUUAACUAUUAUUUUCGAUUUCAUUCUUCACAAGGAUGCAUUUUAGCUCGAGUGUAGAAAACUCCAUGUUCAAGACAUGUUAGUGUCAAGCCCAAUAGAAACUGCUUGUACUGAAAGAAACAGUCAUAGUGCGCAUCAAGCUUUCAAAAAAAAUUGUGCAACGAAGUCUUUCCAGAGCAUCUUUUUUUCCAGAGCUCCGGAACGUUAUUUCAUCAUGAAAUUCUGCACGCACGAAGAUAAUUCAACAAAAUUUGUUGCCAAAAUAAAACAGGUUUUUUGAAUUUGAUUACUAUUUUUUUUAUUCUUCUCAAGGAUGCGUUUGACCUCGAGUUUAGAAACUCCAUGUCCAAAAAGGAUAUGUUAGUAUGAAUCCCAAUAGAAACUGCCUAUACACAAGGAAAAAGUAAAAUUAGCGCUUCAAACUUCUAAAAAGAAAAGUUGCACAUCCAGGGAAUAGAACCUGGAUAAUUAAAAAAAACUUCUCCAGAAAAGUAGCUCAAAUGCUCAUGUGUGAACAAGAAAAAUAUAUAAAAUAACUGAUUCUUAUUACAAGAAACAUUGCUUAGUUUUCUUCCUGGGUGUAAAUUUUCGUGAUGAAAUAACAUCUGUGGAUGUCUACGAAAAAAAUAACAAAGUAAAUAGUCAAGAAAUGCUUUAAAAAAUAGUCUUUUUGGAGAAUCAAUUUUAUUAUUUUUGCCCAGAGCUCCACAGACGUUAUUUCAUCAUGAAAUUUUGCACGCCCGAAGAUAAUCCAACAAUGUUUGUUGCCAAAAAAUCAGAAAUUUUUGAAUUUGUUUACUAUUUUUUAUUGUUCACAAGGAUGCAUUUGAGCUCUAUUUCAAAAAAAAGAAAGGGAUGCAUUUGAGCUCGAGUGUAGAAAUUUCAUGGCCAAAAGACAUGUUAGUGUCAAGCCCAAAAAAAAAAUCUGUGCUAAAAGAANNNNNNNNNNNNNNNNNNNNNNNNNNNNNNNNNNNNNNNNNNNNNNNNNNNNNNNNNNNNNNNNNNNNNNNNNNNNNNNNNNNNNNNNNNNNNNNNNNNNNNNNNNNNNNNNNNNNNNNNNNNNNNNNNNNNNNNNNNNNNNNNNNNNNNNNNNNNNNNNNNNNNNNNNNNNNNNNNNNNNNNNNNNNNNNNNNNNNNNNNNNNNNNNNNNNNNNNNNNNNNNNNNNNNNNNNNNNNNNNNNNNNNNNNNNNNNNNNNNNNNNNNNNNNNNNNNNNNNNNNNNNNNNNNNNNNNNNNNNNNNNNNNNNNNNNNNNNNNNNNNNNNNNNNNNNNNNNNNNNNNNNNNNNNNNNNNNNNNNNNNNNNNNNNNNNNNNNNNNNNNNNNNNNNNNNNNNNNNNNNNNNNNNNNNNNNNNNNNNNNNNNNNNNNNNNNNNNNNNNNNNNNNNNNNNNNNNNNNNNNNNNNNNNNNNNNNNNNNNNNNNNNNNNNNNNNNNNNNNNNNNNNNNNNNNNNNNNNNNNNNNNNNNNNNNNNNNNNNNNNNNNNNNNNNNNNNNNNNNNNNNNNNNNNNNNNNNNNNNNNNNNNNNNNNNNNNNNNNNNNNNNNNNNNNNNNNNNNNNNNNNNNNNNNNNNNNNNNNNNNNNNNNNNNNNNNNNNNNNNNNNNNNNNNNNNNNNNNNNNNNNNNNNNNNNNNNNNNNNNNNNNNNNNNNNNNNNNNNNNNNNNNNNNNNNNNNNNNNNNNNNNNNNNNNNNNNNNNNNNNNNNNNNNNNNNNNNNNNNNNNNNNNNNNNNNNNNNNNNNNNNNNNNNNNNNNNNNNNNNNNNNNNNNNNNNNNNNNNNNNNNNNNNNNNNNNNNNNNNNGGUUGGUCGCCGGCGACGCCGGCGAGGUCAGGAUCCAGGUUCUCGUGUCUGGAGAUGACCGAUGCGGACGUGGCGUCACAAGAGGAGGAUGGCUCAGCCGUUGUGGAUUCUUCAGCGCCGCCUACCGCGUUACGUCGGAGAAAGACCGACGAGGAGUUGGCCAACGAAUUCUGGGCGGAUAUCGGCUACCCGACGCCGGCGUCGAGGGUAUGGGAGAGACCGUCGUCUCGACGGACAGGUGAGUUUUCUCAUGUGUGCAGGUCGGAGGCGAGUGGAGAUCUGCAACCCAAGGUGGCGCCGGUGAACUCCAACUCUUCCGGGCCUGAGGAGCGCACGGGUUUGAACUCGAAGAUGGAAGCGGCAAACUCCAAGGCGGGUGGGCCGCAGUUUUCACCAAAGCUGCCGGCGGCGGUUUGGCGAGGCGUCGUNNNNNNNNNNNNNNNNNNNNNNNNNNNNNNNNNNNNNNNNNNNNNNNNNNNNNNNNNNNNNNNNNNNNNNNNNNNNNNNNNNNNNNNNNNNNNNNNNNNNNNNNNNNNNNNNNNNNNNNNNNNNNNNNNNNNNNNNNNNNNNNNNNNNNNNNNNNNNNNNNNNNNNNNNNNNNNNNNNNNNNNNNNNNNNNNNNNNNNNNNNNNNNNNNNNNNNNNNNNNNNNNNNNNNNNNNNNNNNNNNNNNNNNNNNNNNNNNNNNNNNNNNNNNNNNNNNNNNNNNNNNNNNNNNNNNNNNNNNNNNNNNNNNNNNNNNNNNNNNNNNNNNNNNNNNNNNNNNNNNNNNNNNNNNNNNNNNNNNNNNNNNNNNNNNNNNNNNNNNNNNNNNNNNNNNNNNNNNNNNNNNNNNNNNNNNNNNNNNNNNNNNNNNNNNNNNNNNNNNNNNNNNNNNNNNNNNNNNNNNNNNNNNNNNNNNNNNNNNNNNNNNNNNNNNNNNNNNNNNNNNNNNNNNNNNNNNNNNNNNNNNNNNNNNNNNNNNNNNNNNNNNNNNNNNNNNNNNNNNNNNGGGGUGCCGGCCCGGUCUGGGUCGCUCGUCAAGCCGUGGAUUGGGCCGAUCCCUCCGCCUAGAGCUUCACCUCUCCGGACGCUCGGUGAUCUGUUACCGCAUGCUUGCGGCGGCGAAGACAAUGUAGGGCCGCGAAACUGUUCGCCGGCGUUCACUCCUCCGAUGCCAGUGCGGGGGGCCUCGUUGUGCACGAGUACCGUUCCCGAUCCGGAGUUCACGGCGGGACCACACCAGGAUGAGGACAUGACACAUCAUAGGCGUCCACUUCGGAUAGUCAAUCUGAACCGUUGGCUUGGGCACUUGUGGAACCGGACGGGGAGCGCUGCGAAACCUAACUUCUUUCGCUCCUUUGCGGCCGUCGUCCGCUCCCCUGCUAUGACGAGAGGCAAUCCGGCCGCGCCGCCCGGUUCCAACUCCGGCCACCAUGCCCGCCCUCCUCCUGGACCCGUGCAGCCGUCCGAUCCCAGCCCGUCCGGAGGGGCUCCGGGUUUCUCUCCAGGGGUAUAUCUACCGGUCCAGCCAACGCAACCAAACGCACCGGCGGGAUCCUUGGCGCCGGCGCAGCAGCAGCAGGUCGUCUAUCAGCCGCCAGUGAAUCAACAUCAAGUAUAUCAGAUGCCGUUCCAGCAGCAGUUCAUCAGCAACCCACAGCAGGCAUAUAUGCUUCAACCUUCGGGUGGCCUUGUGCAGCAACAUCAGCAGCUCGCAGUGCCUGUUUUUCAACAGGUGAGUAAUCAAGGGCAGCAGCUUGGUGCUCCAGCCGGUAUGCAACCGGUCGCCGCUUUUAAUGUUGGGCCGGCAUUCAAGUCUGCUACCUCCAGUCCCGCUAUUGCUGCUCGUCCGCGCAAACCGAAGGGCGGCAAGGGCGGCCGUCCUAAGUUCCAGCAGGGAGCAGCGUCGUCUACUCCGAACCCAUUUGUCCCUAUGACUAUGCAAGGGCAACAGAGUGCGGCACCUGUCUUUGCCUCCACGCCAAACUUGCCUGGGGGAGGCGGGCAGAUGGUUCUCAUGCAGAGCAAUACACCAACCUUGCCUCAAUCUUCGGUGCCUGCUGGAGUUACAACAACAACUAAAAAGGUGUGGUGCACUAAAUGUCAAUCUGCAGGGCAUACUGCUGAGGACUGUGUGACACAACAAUUCUGUUUUAUAUGUAAUAAGACGAAUCAUCCGAUGACCAUGCGUCGGUGCCCUGCUCUCAAGAUGCCGAAGCCGGUGGCGAUGCUCUGUGGAUAUGGUACUGAGAACAUGGCUUUUUUCCAGAUGCCUGACAAUGUCUGUAGGGAGGAUCUAGCACCACAAGUCUCCCCAACAGCGCUAGUCACGAUCUCCGGUGGCUCUAUCACUUCCAGUAUUGUGGAGGCAGAGGUUGCCAAGAUUGCUCAGUGCCAGCAAGCGUGGACUUGGGAGGCCAUACCACAUGGUCAGAAUGCCUUUCUCAUGUCAUUCCCAAGUGAGGAGGUGCUUCUGCNNNNNNNNNNNNNNNNNNNNNNNNNNNNNNNNNNNNNNNNNNNNNNNNNNNNNNNNNNNNNNNNNNNNNNNNNNNNNNNNNNNNNNNNNNNNNNNNNNNNNNNNNNNNNNNNNNNNNNNNNNNNNNNNNNNNNNNNNNNNNNNNNNNNNNNNNNNNNNNNNNNNNNNNNNNNNNNNNNNNNNNNNNNNNNNNNNNNNNNNNNNNNNNNNNNNNNNNNNNNNNNNNNNNNNNNNNNNNNNNNNNNNNNNNNNNNNNNNNNNNNNNNNNNNNNNNNNNNNNNNNNNNNNNNNNNNNNNNNNNNNNNNNNNNNNNNNNNNNNNNNNNNNNNNNNNNNNNNNNNNNNNNNNNNNNNNNNNNNNNNNNNNNNNNNNNNNNNNNNNNNNNNNNNNNNNNNNNNNNNNNNNNNNNNNNNNNNNNNNNNNNNNNNNNNNNNNNNNNNNNNNNNNNNNNNNNNNNNNNNNNNNNNNNNNNNNNNNNNNNNNNNNNNNNNNNNNNNNNNNNNNNNNNNNNNNNNNNNNNNNNNNNNNNNNNNNNNNNNNNNNNNNNNNNNNNNNNNNNNNNNNNNNNNNNNNNNNNNNNNNNNNNNNNNNNNNNNNNNNNNNNNNNNNNNNNNNNNNNNNNNNNNNNNNNNNNNNNNNNNNNNNNNNNNNNNNNNNNNNNNNNNNNNNNNNNNNNNNNNNNNNNNNGUUGGCGGCUGAGGCGAUCGCCAAGGUGGAGGGCGAGGUGCAGCCCUUGCAGUCUCCUUCAUCACCUAACCCGUCUACACCGCCUUUCGUCAGUGAGACGGGCUCCGAGAUCGAUGUUACUCCUUCGUCGCUGAGGCGUAGCGGGCGUCAUCAUGUCGGGACUGAUGGAUCAGCAACCACCGACGAGGAUACUAUGGUGAAGGCUAUGCGUAGGACUGCUGCACGCAACCUCGACUUUGAAGGUAAUUCCUCUCGCAAAUCUUUUAUGUCUUUUGACAAUUCCAAAGUAUCUUCAAAUAUCACUAGACUUGGGGUGUCACUAGGACGUAAUGCGAACGAGAUAGAUUUUUCGGUCAAGUCUCUAAAACAAGUGGAGUUCGACCGGCUUACGGUUGCUCCCAAGUCUUCGAGCUUUGUCGACCCUCUCGUGUCAUAUGAGGAGGAUGAGGAUGCUGAUGCCAAUCAUGAAGGCAAGCUUCUCUCUCAUCUGGUUAAAGACACGACUGAAGUAGACCUUGAUGAUACUGUACGCGACACUANNNNNNNNNNNNNNNNNNNNNNNNNNNNNNNNNNNNNNNNNNNNNNNNNNNNNNNNNNNNNNNNNNNNNNNNNNNNNNNNNNNNNNNNNNNNNNNNNNNNNNNNNNNNNNNNNNNNNNNNNNNNNNNNNNNNNNNNNNNNNNNNNNNNNNNNNNNNNNNNNNNNNNNNNNNNNNNNNNNNNNNNNNNNNNNNNNNNNNNNNNNNNNNNNNNNNNNNNNNNNNNNNNNNNNNNNNNNNNNNNNNNNNNNNNNNNNNNNNNNNNNNNNNNNNNNNNNNNNNNNNNNNNNNNNNNNNNNNNNNNNNNNNNNNNNNNNNNNNNNNNNNNNNNNNNNNNNNNNNNNNNNNNNNNNNNNNNNNNNNNNNNNNNNNNNNNNNNNNNNNNNNNNNNNNNNNNNNNNNNNNNNNNNNNNNNNNNNNNNNNNNNNNNNNNNNNNNNNNNNNNNNNNNNNNNNNNNNNNNNNNNNNNNNNNNNNNNNNNNNNNNNNNNNNNNNNNNNNNNNNNNNNNNNNNNNNNNNNNNNNNNNNNNNNNNNNNNNNNNNNNNNNNNNNNNNNNNNNNNNNNNNNNNNNNNNNNNNNNNNNNNNNNNNNNNNNNNNNNNNNNNNNNNNNNNNNNNNNNNNNNNNNNNNNNNNNNNNNNNNNNNNNNNNNNNNNNNNNNNNNNNNNNNNNNNNNNNNNNNNNNNNNNNNNNNNNNNNNNNNNNNNNNNNNNNNNNNNNNNNNNNNNNNNNNNNNNNNNNNNNNNNNNNNNNNNNNNNNNNNNNNNNNNNNNNNNNNNNNNNNNNNNNNNNNNNNNNNNNNNNNNNNNNNNNNNNNNNNNNNNNNNNNNNNNNNNNNNNNNNNNNNNNNNNNNNNNNNNNNNNNNNNNNNNNNNNNNNNNNNNNNNNNNNNNNNNNNNNNNNNNNNNNNNNNNNNNNNNNNNNNNNNNNNNNNNNNNNNNNNNNNNNNNNNNNNNNNNNNNNNNNNNNNNNNNNNNNNNNNNNNNNNNNNNNNNNNNNNNNNNNNNNNNNNNNNNNNNNNNNNNNNNNNNNNNNNNNNNNNNNNNNNNNNNNNNNNNNNNNNNNNNNNNNNNNNNNNNNNNNNNNNNNNNNNNNNNNNNNNNNNNNNNNNNNNNNNNNNNNNNNNNNNNNNNNNNNNNNNNNNNNNNNNNNNNNNNNNNNNNNNNNNNNNNNNNNNNNNNNNNNNNNNNNNNNNNNNNNNNNNNNNNNNNNNNNNNNNNNNNNNNNNNNNNNNNNNNNNNNNNNNNNNNNNNNNNNNNNNNNNNNNNNNNNNNNNNNNNNNNNNNNNNNNNNNNNNNNNNNNNNNNNNNNNNNNNNNNNNNNNNNNNNNNNNNNNNNNNNNNNNNNNNNNNNNNNNNNNNNNNNNNNNNNNNNNNNNNNNNNNNNNNNNNNNNNNNNNNNNNNNNNNNNNNNNNNNNNNNNNNNNNNNNNNNNNNNNNNNNNNNNNNNNNNNNNNNNNNNNNNNNNNNNNNNNNNNNNNNNNNNNNNNNNNNNNNNNNNNNNNNNNNNNNNNNNNNNNNNNNNNNNNNNNNNNNNNNNNNNNNNNNNNNNNNNNNNNNNNNNNNNNNNNNNNNNNNNNNNNNNNNNNNNNNNNNNNNNNNNNNNNNNNNNNNNNNNNNNNNNNNNNNNNNNNNNNNNNNNNNNNNNNNNNNNNNNNNNNNNNNNNNNNNNNNNNNNNNNNNNNNNNNNNNNNNNNNNNNNNNNNNNNNNNNNNNNNNNNNNNNNNNNNNNNNNNNNNNNNNNNNNNNNNNNNNNNNNNNNNNNNNNNNNNNNNNNNNNNNNNNNNNNNNNNNNNNNNNNNNNNNNNNNNNNNNNNNNNNNNNNNNNNNNNNNNNNNNNNNNNNNNNNNNNNNNNNNNNNNNNNNNNNNNNNNNNNNNNNNNNNNNNNNNNNNNNNNNNNNNNNNNNNNNNNNNNNNNNNNNNNNNNNNNNNNNNNNNNNNNNNNNNNNNNNNNNNNNNNNNNNNNNNNNNNNNNNNNNNNNNNNNNNNNNNNNNNNNNNNNNNNNNNNNNNNNNNNNNNNNNNNNNNNNNNNNNNNNNNNNNNNNNNNNNNNNNNNNNNNNNNNNNNNNNNNNNNNNNNNNNNNNNNNNNNNNNNNNNNNNNNNNNNNNNNNNNNNNNNNNNNNNNNNNNNNNNNNNNNNNNNNNNNNNNNNNNNNNNNNNNNNNNNNNNNNNNNNNNNNNNNNNNNNNNNNNNNNNNNNNNNNNNNNNNNNNNNNNNNNNNNNNNNNNNNNNNNNNNNNNNNNNNNNNNNNNNNNNNNNNNNNNNNNNNNNNNNNNNNNNNNNNNNNNNNNNNNNNNNNNNNNNNNNNNNNNNNNNNNNNNNNNNNNNNNNNNNNNNNNNNNNNNNNNNNNNNNNNNNNNNNNNNNNNNNNNNNNNNNNNNNNNNNNNNNNNNNNNNNNNNNNNNNNNNNNNNNNNNNNNNNNNNNNNNNNNNNNNNNNNNNNNNNNNNNNNNNNNNNNNNNNNNNNNNNNNNNNNNNNNNNNNNNNNNNNNNNNNNNNNNNNNNNNNNNNNNNNNNNNNNNNNNNNNNNNNNNNNNNNNNNNNNNNNNNNNNNNNNNNNNNNNNNNNNNNNNNNNNNNNNNNNNNNNNNNNNNNNUGGAAGCUAAAAAUUCCCCUAAGAGUGAAGAUUUUCCUCUGGUUUCUUAACAAAGGAGUCAUCCUAACUAGAGAUAAUCUGGCACGACGAAACUGGCAUGGCUCCAAGACAUGUGUCUUUUGCCAACAUGACGAGUCUAUCAAACACCUAUUUUUUGAGUGCAAGUUCGCUCGGGCAGUUUGGGCUACGGUCCAAGUAGCUUCGAAUUUAUAUCCACCACGUAGUGCACGGAAUAUGUUCGGCAACUGGUUACGGGGUAUAGAUAAACAAUUUUCUGCACAUAUUCUUGUGGGAGCGGCGGCCUUAUGCUGGGCAAUGUGGCUUACCAGGAAUGAUGUGGUUUUUAACAAUAAAUGUGUCUCAUCUCCUAUGCAGGUUAUUCAUGUUUGUACACGAUGGCUCCGUACUUGGUCUAUCCUGCAGAAGCCGGAAGACAGGGACAUUUUUAUGAUGGCGUCUACACGGCUGGAGCGUACGGCCAGGGAGGUUUUCUACCCCCAUGGAUGGCGGUGUGAUUUACGGAUAGGAUUUACCGCUCCUUAGGCUGGACACGAUUUAUUGCUUGGCAUUGUAUCAAAUUAUUUUAUUUUUAGGGUGCUCUGGAUUUUUUGGCUGUGUGCAUCUAGCUAUGCAGAGGCCGGGCUUUCUUUUGACAUGAUUGUAUCAUCUCGAUAUAUCUAUUCAAUGAAAUGUCCUUUAUCGAAAAAUUAUUUUUUAUUUUAUUCUUCACAAGGAUGCAUUUGAGCUCGAGUGUAGAAACUCCAUGUUCAAAAAGGACAUGUUAUUGUGAAGCCCAAUAGAAACUGAAACUGCAGCACUGGAAAAAAAAACAGUCAUAGUGCGCAUCAAGCUUUAAAAAAAAAAAGUUGUUGUGCAACCAAGUCUUCUUGGAAUCAAACCCUGGUCAGUACCAUGGGAGGGUACUAUGAUACCACCACACCAGAUGCGUUAUAUACGUGUUACAGUUCUUGCAUUUAAAUCAUGAAAUCCUCAAACCCCCGAACAAUGGAAGAGGCAGCAUUCUGGCUCAGUGCUCUAAAAAGGCAAUUUUCAAGGCAUUAUUUUCCCCACACAAGCCACAUAAUUUAUCCUUUUUUUCAUGAAAAUUUACAUGUACAUGUGUAAUAUAAUUCAGAUUUUGACAUAUAAGAAACGUCAAAAGCACAGUAUCCCCCUCUCCACUCCUUUAGGGACACACCCUGGCAAUAAAAUAGAUCAAAACUCUCAAACUUAGCAUUCAAAUAAAAUGACACUUUCAUGUUAGAACACAAUGUUGAUCAACACAGGCUGACUAGUUGACGAGUACUUAACUGCUUUUAUGUUAGAACAUAAUGUUGCUCCGCACUACUUCCGUCCGAAGUUUAUAUGGGUUCGUGUUCCGGUUCAAGUUUGACAAUCAAUUCGACCAAUAAAACAUGAGUUAUGUACCAACAAAAUGCCUAAUGGAAACAUUUUUAUAACACAUGACAUUCAUAGUUCGGUCAAAAUGGUCAAUUAAAAAUCACGAAAUACGAACAUGUAAAUUGGGAUGGCUGGAGUACCACUCAAAGUAAAAUAAAAAUUCAAAAAUAAGACGGGACAUGACAAAGGGAGUUGCUGUUAUUCUUUUCAUCACCUUCAACAUGAGCAAAGCAGCAAUGCAGGAAGCACGAAUACGCAUCAGUCCUCAUUUUUGGCAGGUGAUAAUAUUUCACCUCAUGCAAUCGAAGCUUGCAAGAGCUCGACCCAAACCAAAAGAGUAGCAACCCCAUCAAACUGGUCACGAAAGAGCAAUCUGCCUUCAGAAGGCUUCACACCCUGUUGCAAUUUCUAGAGUUCAAAUUAUAUAUUCCCUUCUAUGGUGUGAUCAAUUGCCUUCAACAACGGUUAUGAUUUUCUGAAGAAUGUUGCAAUAUAAGCAGAGCUGGUACAAUGCUGUGGCAUUUGCCAACAAAGCUAUAGCAACACUCAAAUCCGCCACGAAAACACCAGUCACCACAAGUUUCACUGCUAAGAUAGGAACUUUGUCACAAGUACUGACGGUGAUGAACUCUGACAAGGAUCAAAAGCCCAAAUCAUGGGUGCGGAUAGCCAGGGGGGUCCCAUGGUCCAGCACCGUAGCGGUUCUCUCUGUAAGAAUAGCCGCUGUCGUAGAUGUCUUGCAAGCCCAUCCCAAGAGUUGUCAUAGGUGGUCCGUAAGCUCCAUGGCCGCUGAAACCUAAAAUUAUAGGUAUGAUAUAGGUUAACCACAACAGAUUUCGAUGACUUGGAUGCAAGUGAGGAAACAAAACCUACUAGGUGGCUUUCUCUUCUCAAGCUCAGCCCUAAGCUUCUCAGACUCCUGAGCCAUAGUUACAAGAUCCUUCUCCACUGCCUGCACCUGUGCCAUCAGCUCUGCCUUUGCAUUCUUUUCAUAAUCAAGAGCGGCCCUGCGGUGAUAUUAAUAGUUAGCUACUCUUANNNNNNNNNNNNNNNNNNNNNNNNNNNNNNNNNNNNNNNNNNNNNNNNNNNNNNNNNNNNNNNNNNNNNNNNNNNNNNNNNNNNNNNNNNNNNNNNNNNNNNNNNNNNNNNNNNNNNNNNNNNNNNNNNNNNNNNNNNNNNNNNNNNNNNNNNNNNNNNNNNNNNNNNNNNNNNNNNNNNNNNNNNNNNNNNNNNNNNNNNNNNNNNNNNNNNNNNNNNNNNNNNNNNNNNNNNNNNNNNNNNNNNNNNNNNNNNNNNNNNNNNNNNNNNNNNNNNNNNNNNNNNNNNNNNNNNNNNNNNNNNNNNNNNNNNNNNNNNNNNNNNNNNNNNNNNNNNNNNNNNNNNNNNNNNNUCAAAAUACAAAAUUAAAUUCCUCAUCUGAGCCACCAACUUAGAUUACUAAACCAGAAACACAGACCAGAAUGGUUCAAUACCUGGUACGAAUUAGUUCCUGUCGCAGACCAUCUCGUUCAGCUAGCAUGGCAGGUAUGCGCUGCUUUUCAGACUUCUGAUGCUCAACCUCCUUUGCUAGACCCUGCACCUUUUCAGUCAACUCUUGCCUCAAAGACUACAGCGUGCCUGCUUCAGAUCGUAGCUGCAAGGCAUCUUGCCUAUGGGGUUCUAAAGAGCGUAGCUCAGCUUCCAGCUUCAGAUUCCUCUGAGUCAGCUCCCUCGAUUCAAGUUCUUUCUCUGCGCGGAGCUUAGGUAUAGCCUGACUCGAUGAAUAGAGAUCUUCUUUCAAAUGAGACAUUGCUUGCCUGAGUCCAACAAUUUCAUCCAUCAGAUGUUGGUUGUCAUCACGGAUUCUGCGUAUCUCAUCACGGCGGCUAGACAGCUCUCCCUCGAAGCGACGUGGUCAGAUAGACCUUUCUCGUGCAAGUCGAGGAGGAGGACCAUCACGAAAUCCUCGUGGUUCCUCAUAGUACUGGCGACUUAUGCGGUGCUUCCCUGCCAUUUAUAGCCUGUAAAGAAUAACCGGAAUGUUAAGACAAGAGAAUAAGAAACUCACGUGUCAGAAAUGACUUUUAGAACCACAUAAGUGGUUGGUUUCCUCGUUGUUUUGUUUGGUGAUUGCUGAAACAUGACGUGUACCACUAUGUAUUUGUCCUAUAUUUGUUUCCUGGUUUAUUUAUUUUUCCAAAAACAACAUGGGACACACAAGUGCGUUGCCAUAAAUGAAACAACUGACACACACAGUCGCUCAGUCAGCGUUUGUCUCAGUUUCAAAUUGUGAAUCGUUGUCAACUUGGUAGUAAGAUUGCCAUUAACUUCAUUGAUAUUUUAGCAUCUACGUACAAGACGGUUAGCCUUUGCCUAUGAAUAAUGCAUCAUUAGCAAACAUUUAAGGAAACAUAACCUUCAUUGCACACAACCUCAGAAGACAGCAUUGAUUACUUCUUUUGAGCUGAAGCAUCUCCAGAAACAGGCUUAUGGAUUGCGGUGGAAAUAAGCUCCAGUAGGGGGAAGUUCUGAAAAACUGUUUUUCAUUUUCUUUUCGGCUUACAGAAUUCAGGCUUCUUUUCUGUGUUAACUAAUGUAAAGUCUACAAUGUCCCUGAACUUUAAUCACAUCCUUUUGUUAGAUAAUUUCGUUUUUUCCAUUAUUUAACUGCAGAAGCAAAAAAAAAAUCAGCAUAACAGAAUUUCAGUUGUGUCCUAUUUUGACGUAAGCAAUAAGUUGCAUGCGUCACACAUGCUUUUCGAUUGCACAAUAGGCUGCAUUAAUAUACAUGCAUUAACAGUCAUAUGCGAAUCAGAUACAUCACAUGGCAGUGACGGCACAUCCCCCAAAUUCAAAUUCAGAUGACUUCAAACUAUAAUUAAAUGAACGAAUGCAAAAAAAAAAGUAGAUGACAGCCAUUCUUGUAAGUUCUAACGAAAAUAGCUUAAUUUGAGCAUGAGUAUGAUUCCCAGGUACAAAAACAAUCAUGUAUCUAUAAAGGAGAAGACAUGCCCUCGACCAACUUUUUCCUGCGGUCGAGCUGGUCGGCAGUGAGCUGGAGGCCGAGGUCGAGCUAAGCAGCACCUAACUGGAGGUGGAGGACAAGCUGGAAAGCGGCAACACAUGGGACGACGUCGAGCUAGCCUGUAGCGAGACGAGGUGGAUGCAUUUGGCAGCGUCGAUCUCCUAGCGUAGGAGACCCGUGAUGUUGUGAGAGAACAACGAGAUAACCAUGCAGGGUCGGGUUUGGGAAUAGGGAGGCACGCGGUGGCAUACGGAGCCACGGAGGCAAUUUCCUUGUAACUCGGCGGGCAUUUCUAAAAUUGAUGAGGCGAGAAGCUCGGAAGACUGGGUCCGAGCAGUUUCCUGGUUUCAACAAUUUUCUGGGUGGUGGGUAAAAUAUUGUCUAAUGAUAAGAGGCUCUGCAUUUUGGGGGGUUUUAGCUCUCUUGGCAAAGCCCCAAAACAAGUGACCCCAAUACAUAAUUAUCACAGCAUCGCAAGAGCAGAUUGCUAAAGAACAUCAACCAAUUAUCACAACAAAGCAAUACGCAUGAUUAGCAUUGGUUAUCACUUUAUUACCAAACCACUAUGAUUCUCUAAAGAUAUCAAAAACCACAUGGAGUUCUCUUAUCACAAAAAAAAACAGGCUUUUCCUUGCAUGCUGGCAUAUUUGGCUAAUCCACAAUGCCAAGAUCUACAAACAUAUUCAGGCGUCUUUCACAACCUCACAUUGCAAUUUUGUCCAUGACAUAUCUCUCGUGGUGCAUAGGGCUAAGCCUAGGUUUAUAGACAGGUUGCUCAGGUGGAUUGCUUUUCUCCCACCUUAGAUUAGUCUAUGAUCCUUGUAUGUUCUGGCCUUGUUGAUCUCUGUACAUGUUAUCUCUAUAACAUAAAGUUAAGGUUCUGGACUGCAACAGCCUGACCGCUACAAGAUAUCAAACAUAUCAAGACUAGAUUUUCUUGCAGAAUUUUAAUUAUCUCUGAACAAAAACUACUUGUAAUAUUUACCAUCAACCAAAUUGAUACAGAGCGUAGCACUGCAUCAUCACAAAACAGCAACUUACGGGAAACAACUUACGCUAAUCUGCCGUAGGGAGAGUAGUAUGGCAACCAGCAGAACCCGAGCUUAAUCGAUCUCCUGGAGCGAGACGCCGGUGGCUGCGGGCUGCGGCACACCCAGCGGCAACGUUACCAGCGGCUGUCGGUGGAGGAUCAGAGGGGAGGAGCAGUCGGGGAGCGGUGGCUACCAGAGAUGGCGAGUAGACGCGAGCAGGGAAAGUCACGCCCGCCCUGCGAUGGAGCGGCGGAGGACCGCAGAGUGGCAGAAACAGCGGCGGCCGGAAGCCGUGCAAGGGCGCGGGCGCGGCGGCGGGGGUCGGGAUAGGGACGGGCACAGAGUAUGAGAGAGAGAGAGAGAGAGAGAGAGAGAGAGAGACGCAUCGGGGGCUGUACUCGGCUUGUUUUGUGGCUAGGCAUGUGAUCUGGCCGAGCCGAGCUCGAGCUCAGAGCGACCCGAGCCCAAGGCUCGCUUUCCUUUCCGUUCUCGUUUUCUUUCAAGUUGAGUCAGGCUCGGCUCGAUUUUGAGGAGCGGGGCCGAACAGAGCCACCAGCCCGUUCAGCUCGGCUCGAUUAUAAAGCCAACUUCAACGGGAUCACCCAAAUCCAUUGUAAGUAAAUGUUCGGGGUGGUACGAACACUCUUAGGAGCAUAUAAAGUCGGACUUGGCAAAUCGAAAUCCAUCGAAUGCCCGUAAACACGGACAAACGCGUCAGCAGACAGUAACCAGUUACGCCUCAAAUUUCCUUCUCUGUAUCCAAGUCUAUCAUAUUUCAUCCCCUAGAUUCAUACAAAACCAUGUAAAAUAAAGCUACGUACUACGACACGCUAGCUAUGAUUUAUCGUCGGAGAUGUCGAUGACGUCGGUGCUGGGCACCGGGUGGACUGGCGCGUAGGAUGGCUCCGGCUCCUCCUCAUCCAUGUAUGUGAGCAUCUGGUCGACUUUCGCAGCUUGCUCCGCCUCCAUCUUCUGCCGACGACUACGUCUGGUCUCCGCAUCCGACUCCGAGCAAAGGGAAUCGAGGAUGGCCUACUGCUCCGCCUGCAAAUUCGUGUCCCCAGCGUCCCCCAGAUCCUCCUUCGGCUUCUCCUCCGCCUCAACCUCCUCCUACUCCUCAAUCUCAUCCCCCCCUCCUCCAAGUCCUCCUUCGGAUCCAUCGCAUCCGAAAGUAGCCCCGCGGUGAUCUGGGCUUCCCGCCUUGCCUGGGCCUACUCAAGGAGCUGCAACCAGUGCUCUGGUGUUAAAUAUGGGUAGCUCCUUACCCAACGGCGUGGGGGCAUGGCGACACACAUCAGAAAACGAGGGUCCAAAGUUUCUAAAAAUGGUAUUCUAGACGAAUUUCCACUCGACGAGUAAUUAGUGUCUCAAAUGCAUAUCUAGGGGGUAAAAUAUGGAAUUCACUCUUUAUUUUAUUUUGAGAGCGAAGGCGCUCUUUCAUUUGCCCUAUGUGACUCCAUCCAUUUGUUUCGAUCCGAUGGACCAGGUCUUAGUUACUAGUCUUAAAUUGUACUCAAAUCCUCCACUUGUGAAAAGGUGAGUAGUCUUGGCAGUAAUUUACUUCAUGUUCUACUUCUUGUUCUCUUCUUUAUUUUUUCUGUGGGUAAUAAUUUUCAUGAGCCAAGCCGCUAAGCUCGCAUGCACAGGGUACACCCACAUACCCGUGCACCCGAUGCGGGCAUUUGCUAGGUCGCGAGGGACUUGCUUUCCCGGACAUGUUUGCAUAGGCCUCACGAGAGGUACCCGGCAAACUCUGACGAGCGCAGGCCAGCAACCGAACAAGGUGGGGCCACGGCCACCCUAACUAACACACAAGCUGGACCCAUAAACCAAUGACCUAAUGCUCAGAGGGAACAAAGGAAAUCAAGGAAGGAGGGAUCAGAAGGGAAAGAAAAGGCAAACGUGUGAGGACAAAUACCUGAUGACUCGCAUGAUGAAAGAUCUCUUCAAAGCUGACUUCAUCCCCUAGUUCUAGGAGGUCGCCGUCAACUUUCUCGACAGGCUCACCACCGCCAUAGAGCUGGCGCUCAAUCAUGUCGCACGCCUUCGGACCACGCACCAAGGGAACGCGCUGCAUGUCGCCAUCACCGGCCUCCAUGCUGAUGACCUCUCCCACGCACUGGCAGCUUUGUGGUUGCCCGCCGCCGAACUGGAGAAUGCCCACCUCGAGGUCCCGCUGGCUCCCAGCUAGGUCAAGCCAGUGUGCGCGACAUCCUUCAUGGCGCACAAAUGAAGGAAAUAUGCCCUAGAGGCAAUAAUAAAGUUGUUAUUUAUAUUUCCUUAUAUCAUGAUAAAUGUUUAUUAUUCAUGCUAGAAUUGUAUUAAUCGGAAACUUAGUACAUGUGUGAAUACAUAGACAAAACAUAGUGUCCCUAGUAUGCCUCUACUUGACUAGCUCGUUAAUCAAAGAUGGUUAUGUUUCCUGACCAUAGACAUGUGUUGUCAUUUGAUGAAUGGGAUCACAUCAUUAGAGAAUGAUGUGAUGGACAAGACCCGUCUGUUAGCUUAGCAUAAUGAUCAUUUAGUUUUAUUGCUAUUGCUUUCAUCAUGACUUAUACAUGUUCCUCUGACUAUGAGAUUAUGCAACUCCCGAAUACCGAAGGAACACCUUGUGUGCUAUCAAACGUCACAACGUAACUGGGUGAUUAUAAAGAUGCUCUACAGGUGUCUCCGAAGGUGUUUGUUGGGUUGGCAUAGGUCGAGAUUAGGAUUUGUCACUCCGAGUAUCGGAGAGGUAUCUCUGGGCCCUCUUGGUAAUGCACAUCACUAUAAGCCUUGCAAGCAAUGUGACUAAUGAGUUGGUUACGGGAUGAUGCAUUACGGAACGAGUAAAGAGACUUGCCGGUAACGAGAUUGAACUAGGUAUGAUGAUACCGACAAUCGAAUUUCGGGCAAGUAACAUACCGAUGACAAAGGGAACAAUGUAUGUUGUUAUGCGGUUUGACCGAUAAAGAUCUUCGUAGAAUAUGUAGGAGCCAAUAUGAGCAUCCAGGUUCCGCUAUUGGUUAUCGACCGGAGGUGUGUCUCGGUCAUGUCUACAUAGUUCUCGAAUCCGUAGGGCCCGUACGCUUAACGUUCGCUGACGAUUUGUAUUAUGAGUUAUGUGAUUUGAUGUAACGAAGGUUGUUUGGAGUCCCGGAUGAGAUCACGGACAUGACGAGGAGUCUCGAAAUGGUCAAGACGUAAAGAUCGAUAUAUUGGAAGGCCAUAUUCGGACAUUGAAAAGGUUCCGAGUGAUUCGGGUAUUUUUCGGAGUACCGGAGAGUUACGGGAAUUCGCCGGGGAAGUAAUGGGCCUUAAUGGGCUUUAGUGGAAAGGAGAGGAGGGCCUCAAGGGGUGGCUGCGCCCCCCAUGGGCUGGUCCGAAUUGGACUAGGAGGGGGCGGCGCCCUCCUCUUUCCUUCUCCCCCCUUCUCCCUGCCCUUCCUUCUCCUACUAGGAAUAGGAAAGAGGAGGGGAAUCCUACUUGGACUAGGGAGUCCUAGUAGGAUUCCCCACACCUGGCGUGCCCCUAGGGCCGGCCACCUCUUCCCUCCCCUCCUUUGUAUACGUGGCCAGGGGGCACCCCAUAGACACACAAGUUGAUUGUUUUAGCCGUGUGCGGUGCCCCCCUCCACAGUUACACACCUCGGUCAUAUCGUCGUAGUGCUUAGGCGAAGCCCUGCGCCGGUAACUUCAUCAUAACCGUCACCACGCCGUCGUGCCGACGAAACUCUCCCUCGGCCUCAACUGGAUCAAGAGUUCGAGGGACGUCACCGAGCUGAACGUGUGCAGAUCGCGGAGGUGUCGUGCGUUCGGUACUUGGAUCGGUUGGAUCGCGAAGACGUUCGACUACAUCAACCGCGUUACUUAACGUUUCCGCUUUCAGUCUACGAGGGUACGUGGACACACUCUCCUCGCUCGUUGCUAUGCUUCUCCUAGAUAGUUCUUGCGUGAUCGUAGGAUUUUUUUUUGAAAUACUACGUUCCCCCACAGUGGUAUCAGAGCUAGGUUUAUGUGUAGAUGUUAUAUGCACGAGUAGAACACAAAGAGUUAUGGGCGAUAAUAGUCAUACUGCUUACCAGCAUGUCAUACUUUGAUUCGGCGGUAUUGUUGGAUGAAGCAACUCAGACCGACAUUACGCGUACGCUGACGCGAGACUGGUUCUACCGACGUGCUUCGCACACAGGUGGCUAGUGGGUGUCUGUUUCUCCAACUUUAGUUGAAUCGAGUGUGACUACGCCCGGUCCUUGUUGAAGGUUAAAACAGCAAACUUGACGAAAAAUCGUUGUGCUUUUUGGUGCGUAGGUAAGAACGGUUCUUGCUAAGCCUCGUAGCAGCCACGUAAAACUUGCAACAACAAAGUAGAGGACGUCUAACUUGUUUUUGUAGGGCAUGUUAUGAUGUGAUAUGGUCAAGAUGUGAUUAUAUAAAUUGUUGUAUGAGAUGAUCAUGUUUUGCAACACAGUUAUCGGCAACUGGCAGGAGCCAUAUGGUUGUCGCUUUAUUGUAUGAAAUGCAAUCGCCAUGUAAUUGCUUUACUUUAUCACUAAGCGAUAGUCGUAGAAGCAAUAGUUGACGAGACGACAACGGUGCUUCGAUAUAGAUCAAGGUGUCAAGCCGGUGACGAUGGUGAUCAUGACGGUGCUUUGGAGAUGGAGAUCAAAGGCACAAGAUGAUGAUGGCCAUAUCAUAUCACUUAUAUUGAUUGCAUGUGAUGUUUAUCCUUUAUGCAUCUUAUUUUUCUUACUACGGCGGUAGCAUUAUAAGAUGAUCUCUCACUAAAUUUCAAGGUAUAAGUGUUCUCCCUGAGUAUGUAUCGUUGCUACAGUUCGUCGUGCCGAGACACCACGUGAUGAUCGGGUGUGAUAAGCUCUAUGUUCACAUAUAACGGGUGCAAGCCAGUUUUGCACACGCAGAAUACUCGGGUUAAACUUGACGAGCCUAGCAUAUGCAGAUAUGGCCUCGAAACACUGAGAUCGAAAGGUCGAGCGUGAAUCAUAUAGUAGAUAUGAUCAAUAUAUUGAUGUUCACCAUUGAAAACUACUCCAUCUCACGUGAUGAUUGGACAUGGUUUAGUUGAUAUGGAUCACGUGAUCACUUAGAUGAUUAGAGGGAUGUCUAUCUAAGUGGGAGUUCUUAAGUAAUAUGAUUAGUUGAACUUUAAUUUAUCAUGAACUUAGUCAUGAUAGUAUUUGCAUAACUAUGUUGUAGAUCAAUAGCUCACGAUGUAGCUCCCCGUUUAUUUUUGAUAUGUUCCUAGAGAAAAACUAUGUUGAAAGAUGAUAGUAGCAAUGAUGCGGACUAGGUCCAUGAUCUGAGGAUUAUCCUCAUUGCUGCACAGAAGAAUUAUGUCCUUAAUGCACCGCUAGGUGACGGACCUAUUGCAGGAGCAGAUGCAGACGUUAUGAACGUUUGGCAAAGCUCGGUAUGAUGACUACUUGAUAGUUUAGUGCACCAUGCUUUACGGCUUAGAACCGGGACUUCAAAAACAUUCUAAAUGCCACAAAACAUAUAAGAUGUUCCAAGAGUUGAAAUUUGUAUUUCAGACUCAUGCCCGUGUCAAGAGGUAUGAGACCUCUGACAAGUAUUUUGCCUACAAGAUGGAGGAGAAUAGCUCAACCAGUGAGCAUGUGCUCAGAUUGUCUGGGUACUACAAUUGCUUGAAUCAAGUGGGAGUUAAUCUUCCAGAUAAGAUAGUAAUUGACAAAGUUCUCUAGUCACUCUCACCAAGUUACUAGAACUUAGUGAUGAACUAUAUGUUGGAAAUAUGCCCUAGAGGCAAUAAUAAAUUGGUUAUUAUUAUAUUACCUUGUUCAUAAUAAUCGUUUAUUGUCCAUGCUAGAAUUGUAUUGAUAGGAAACUCAGAUACAUGUGUGGAUACAUAGACAACACCAUGUCCCUAGUAAGCCUCUAGUUGACUAGCUCGUUGAUCAAUAGAUGGUUACGGUUUCCUGACCAUGGACAUUGGAUGUCAUUGAUAACGGGAUCACAUCAUUAGGAGAAUGAUGUGAUGGACAAGACCCAAUCCUAAGCAUAGCAUAAAAGAUCGUGUAGUUCGUUUGCUAGAGCUUUUUCACAAGUAUCAUUUCCUUAGACCAUGAGAUCAUGCAACUCCCGGAUACCGUAGGAGUGCUUUGGGUGUACCAAACGUCACAACGUAACUGGGUGACUAUAAAGGUACACUACGGGUAUCUCCGAAAGUGUCUGUUGGGUUGGCACGGAUCGAGACUGGGAUUUGUCACUCCGUAUGAUGGAGAGGUAUCUCUGGGCCCACUCGGUAAUGCAUCAUCAUAAUGAGCUCAAUAUGACUAAGGAGUUAGCCACGGGAUCAUGCAUUACGGUACGAGUAAAGUGACUUGCCGGUAACGAGAUUGAACAAGGUAUUGGGAUACCGACGAUCGAAUCUCGGGCAAGUAACGUACCGAUUGACAAAGGGAAUUGUAUACGGGAUUGAUUGAAUCCUCGACAUCGUGGUUCAUCCGAUGAGAUCAUCGUGGAACAUGUGGGAGCCAACAUGGGUAUCCAGAUCCCGCUGUUGGUUAUUGACCGGAGAGGCGUCUCGGUCAUGUCUGCAUGUCUCCCGAACCCGUAGGGUCUACACACUUAAGGUUCGGUGACGCUAGGGUUGUAGAGAUAUUAGUAUGCGGAAACCCGAAAGUUGUUCGGAGUCCCGGAUGAGAUCCCGGACGUCACGAGGAGUUCUGAAAUGGUCCGGAGGUGAAGAAUUAUAUAUAGGAAGUCCAGUUUCGGCCACCGGGAAGGUUUUGGGGGUUAUCGGUAUUGUACCGGGACCACCGGAAGGGUCCCGGGGGUCCACCGGGUGGGGCCACCUAUCCCGGAGGGCCCCAUGGGCUGAAGUGGGAAGGGAACCAGCCCUUAGUGGGCUGGGGUGCCCCCCAUGGGCCUCCCCCCUGCGCCUAGGGUUGGAAACCCUAGGGUGGGGGGCGCCCCACUUGACUUGGGGGGAAGCCACCCCCCUUUUCCCCUUGGCCGCCGCCCCCCCAUGUAGAUGGGUUCUAGGCCGGCGCCCCCCCUCCCAGGGGGCCUAUAUAUAGUGGGGGGGAGGGAGGGCAGCAACAUGACAGCCCCUGGCGCCUCCCUCUCCCCCUACAACACCUCUCCCUCUCGGAGAAGCUUGGCGAAUCCCUGCCGAGACCCCGCUACUUCCACCACCACGCCGUCGUGCUGCUGGAUCUCCUUCAACCUCUCCUUCCCCCUUGCUGGAUCAAGAAGGAGGAGAUGUCGCUGCUCCGUACGUGUGUUGAACGCGAAGGUGCCGUCCGUUCCGCACUCGGUCAUCGGUGAUUUGGAUCACGGCGAGUACGACUCCAUCAACCCCGUUCAUUGGAACGCUUCCGCUCGCGAUCUACAAGGGUAUGUAGAUGCACUCCUUUCCCCUCGUUGCUAGUAUACUCCAUAGAUGGAUCUUGGUGAUGCGUAGAAAAUUUUUAUAUUCUGCUACGAUCCCCAACAGUGGCAUCAUGAGCCAGGCCUAUGCGUAGUUACUAUGCACGAGUAGAACACAAAGCAGUUGUGGGCGUUGAUGUUGCCAAUUCUUCUUGCCGUUACUAGUCUUAUCUUGAUUCGGCGGCAUCGUGGUAUGAAGCGGCCUGGACCGACCUUACACGUACUCUUACGUGAGACAGGUUCCACCGACUGACAUGCACUAGUUGCAUAAGGUGGCUAGCGGGUGUCUGUCUCUCCCACUUUAGUCGGAUCGGAUUCGAUGAAAAGGGUCCUUAUGAAGGGUAAAUAGAAAUUGGCAUAUCACAUUGUGGCUUUUGCGUAGGUAAGAAACGUUCUUGCUAGAAACCCAUAGCAGCCACGUAAAACAUGCAACAACAAUUAGAGGACGUCUAACUUGUUUUUGCAGGGUAUGCUAUGUGAUGUGAUAUGGCCAAAAAGGAUGUGAUGAAUGAUAUAUGUGAUGUAUGAGAUUGAUCAUGUUCUUGUAAUAGGAAUCACGACUUGCAUGUCGAUGAUAAUGACAACCGGCAGGAGCCAUAGGAGUUGUCUUAAUUUAUUGUAUGACCUGCGUGUCAAUGAAAACGCCAUGUAAUUACUUUACUUUAUUGCUAACCGUUAGCCAUAGUAGUAGAAGUAAUAGUUGGCGAGACAACUUCAUGAAGACACAAUGAUGGAGAUCAUGAUGAUGGAGAUCAUGGUGUCAUGCCGGUGACGAAGGUGAUCAUACCGCGCCUCAAAGAUGGAGAUCAAAGGCGCAAGAUGAUAUUGGCCAUAUCACGUCACUUUAUGAUUUGCAUGUGAUGUUUAUCAUGUUUACAUCUUAUUUGCUUAGAACGACGGUAGCAUAAAUAAGAUGAUCCCUCACUAAAAUUUCAAGAGACGUGUUCCCCCUAACUGUGCACCGUUGCGAAGGUUCGUUGUUUCGAAGCACCACGUGAUGAUCGGGUGUGAUAGAUUCUAACGUUCGAAUACAACGGGUGUUGACGAGCCUAGCAUGUACAGACAUGGCCUCGGAACACAUGCGAAACACUUAGGUUGACUUGACGAGCCUAGCAUGUACAGGCAUGGCCUCGGAACACAAGAGAUCGAAAGGUCGAACAUGAGUCGUAUAGUAGAUACGAUCAACAUGGAGAUGUUCACCGAUGAUGACUAGUCCGUCUCACGUGAUGAUCGGACACGCCCUAGUUUGACUCGGAUCAUGUAUCACUUAGAUGACUAGAGGGAUGUCUAUCUGAGUGGGAGUUCAUUAAUCAGAUGAACUUAAUUAUCAUGAACAUAGUCAGAAGGUCUUUGCAAAUUAUGUCAUAGCUUGCGCUUUAGUUCUACUAGUUAAGAUAUGUUCCUAGAGAAAAUUUAGUUGAAAUAUGGUAGUAGCAAUUAUGCGGACUGGGUCCGUAAACUGAGGAUUGUCCUCAUUGCUGCACAGAAGGCUUAUGUCCUUAAAGCACCGCUCGGUGUGCUGAACCUCAGCGUCGUUUGUAGAUGUUGCGAAACAUCUGACAUACACGUUUUGAUGACUACGUGAUAGUUCAGUGCGUAAUGCUAACGGUUUAGAAUUGUGGCACCAAAGACGGUUUUUGAAACGUCGCAGAACAUAUGAGAUGUUCCGAAGACUGAAAUUGGGAUUUCGGACUAGUGCCCACGUCAAGAGGUAUGAGACCUCUGACAAGUUUCUUAAGCCUGCAAACUGAGGGAGAAAAGCUCAAUCGUUGAGCAUGUGCUCAGAUUGUCUGAGUACCACAAUCGCUUGAAUCGAGUGGGAGUUAAUCUUCCAGAUGAGAUAGUGAUGGUUCUCCAUAGUCACUGCUACCAAGCUAUUAGAGCUUCGUGAUGAACUAUAACAUAUCAGGGAUAGAUAUGAUGAUCCUUGAGCAACUCACGAUGUUUGACACCGCGAAAGUAGAAAUCAAGAAGGAGCAUCAAUUGUUGAUGGUUAGUAAAACCACUAGUUUCUAGAAGGGCAAGGGCAAGAAGGGAUACUUCAUGAAACAGCAAAUCAUUUGCUGCUCUAGCGAAGAAUCCCAAAGUUAAACCCAAACCCGAGACUAAGUGCUCCUUUAAUGAGGGGAGCGGUCACUGAAGCAGAACUACCCUAGAUACUUGGUAGAUGAGAAGGCAGGCAAGGUCGACAGAAGUAUAUUGGAUAUACAUUAAAUGAAUGUGUACUUUACUAGUACUCCUAGCAGCACCAGGAUAUUAGAUACCGGUUCGGUUGUUAAGUGUUAGUAACUCGAAAUAAAAGCUGCGGAAUAAACGGAGACUAGCUAAAGGUGAGAUGACGAUAUGUGUUGGAAGUGUUUCCAAGGUUGAUGUGAUCAAGCAUCGCAUGCUCCCUCUACCAUCGAGAUUUGGUGUUUGCGUUGAGCAUGAUUGGAUUAUGUUUAUCGCAAUACGGUUAUUCAUUUAAGGAGAAUAAUGGUUACUCUGUUUAUUUGAAUCAUACCUUCAAUGGUCUUGCACCUAAAAUGAAUCUCGAUUGUAGUGAUACACAUGUUCGUGCCAAAAGAUAUAAAAUAGUAAUGAUAGUUCCACAUACUUGUGGCACUGCCAUUUGAGUCAUAUUGGUAUAGAACGCAUGAAGAAGCUCCAUGUAGAUGGAUCUUUGGACUCACUCGUUUUUGAAAAGAUUGAGACAUGCGAACCAUGUCUAUUGGUAUAUAUGCAUGAAGAAACUCCAUGCAGAUGGAUCGUUUGGACUCACUUGAUUUUGAAUCACUUGAGACAUGCAAAUCAUACCACAUGGGCAAGAUGACUGAAAAGCCUCGUUUUUCAGUAAGAUGGAACAAGAGAGCAACUUGUUGGAAGUAAUACAUUUUGAUGUGUGCAGUCCAAUGAGUGCUGAGGCAUGCAGUGGAUAUCGUUAUGUUCUUACUUCACAGAUGAUUUGAGUAGAUGCUGAGUGUAUUUACUUGAUGAAACACAAGUCUGAAUUAUUGAAAGGUUCAAGUAAUUUCAGAGUGAAGUUAAAGAUCGUCAUAACAAGAGGAUAAAAUGUCUAUGAUAUGAUCAUAGAGAUAUCUGAGUUACGAGUUUGGCACACAAUUAAGACAUUGUGGAAAGUGUUUCACAAUUAAUACCGCCUGGAACACCACAGUGUGAUGGUGUGUCCGAACAUCAUAACUGCACCCUAUUGGAUAUGGUGCAUACCAUGAUGUCUCUUAUCAAAUUACAACUAUCGUUUAUGGGUUAGGCAUUAGAGAUAACCGCAUUCACUUUAAAUAGGGCACCACGCAAUUCCGUUGAGACGACACCGUUUAGAGAAACCUAAGUUGUCGUUUCUUAAAAGAUUGGGGCUGCGAUGCUUAUGUGAAAGAGUUUCAAGCUGAUAAGCUCAAACCCAAAGCGGAUAAAUGCAUCUUCAUAGAAAACCCAAAACAGUUGGGUAUACCUCCUAUUUUAGAUCUGGAAGCAAAAGUAAUUGCUUCUAGAAACGAGUCCUUUCUCGAGGAAAAGUUUCUCUCAAAAGAAUUGAGUGGGAGGAUGGUGGAGACUUGAUGAGGUUAUUGAACCAUAACUUCAACUAGUGUGUAGCAGGGCACAGGAAGUUGUUCCUGUGGCACUUACACCAAUUGAAGUGGAAGCUUAUGAUAGUGAUCAUGAAACUUCGGAUCAAGUCACUACCAAACCUCGUAGGUCGACAAGGAUAUGUACUACUCCUGAGUGGUACGGUAAUCCUGUCUUAGAUAUCAUGUUGUUAGACAGCAAUGAACCUACGAGCUAUGGAGAAGCGAUGGUGGGCCCAUAUUCCGACAAAUGGUCAGAAACCAUGAAAUCCGAGAUAGAAUCCAUGUAUCAGAACAAAGCAUGGACUUUGGUGAACUUGCCCGAUGAUCGGCAAGCCAUUGAGAUAAAUGGAUCUUUAAGAAGAAGACGGACGUGGACGGUAAUGUUACCAUCUAUGAAGCUCGACUUGUGGCAAAGAGUAUUUUCACAAGUUCAAGGAGUUGACUACGAUGAGAUUUUCUCAUCCGUAGCGAUGCUUAAGUCCGUCGGAAUCAUGUUAGCAUUAGCUGCAUUUAUGAAAUCUGGCAGAUGGAUUUCAAAACAAUUUUCCUUACCAGUUUUCGUAAGGAAAGGUUGUAUGUGAUACAAUCAGAAAGGCUUUGUCGAUCCUAAGGAUGCUAAAAGGUAUGCUAGCUCCAGCGAUCCUUCCAUGGACUAGAGCAAGCAUCUCGGAGUCAGAAUAUACGCUUUGAUGGAGUGAUCAAAGUUUUUGGGUUUAUACAAAGUUUAUUAGAAACUUGUAUUUACAAUAAAGUGAGUGGGAGCACUACAACAUUUCUGAUAAGUAUAUGUGAAUGACAUAUUGUUGAUCCGAAAUGAUGUAAAAUUUCUAGAAAGCAUAAAGGGUUGUUUGAAAAGAGUUUUUCAAAGGAAGACCUGGAUAAAGCUGCUUACAUAUUGGGCAUCAAGAUCUAUAGAGAUAGAUCAAGACGUCCGAUGAUACUUUCAAAGAACGCACACCUUGACAUGAUUUUGAAAGAGUUCAAAAUAGAUCAGCAAAGAAGGAGUUCUUGGCUGUGUUGCAAGGUGUGAGUAUUGAGUAAGACUCAAGACCCGACCACAGCAGAAGAGAGAGAAAGGACGAAGGUCGUCCCCUAUGCUUUAGACGUAGGCUCUACAGUAUGCUAUGCUGUGUACCGCACAUGAAGUGUGCCUUGCCAUGAGUUGGUCAAGGGGUACAAUAGUGAUCCGGGAAUGGAUCACAUGACAGCGGUCGAACUUAUCCUUAGUAUCUAGUGGACUAAGGAAUUUUCUCGAUUAUGGAGGUGAAAAGGAGUUCGUCGUAAAGGGUUACGUCGAUGCGAACUUUGACACCAAUACGGAUGACUCUGAGUAGUAAACCGGAUUCGUAUAGUAGAGCAGUUAUUUGAAAUGGCUCCAAGUAGCGCGUGGUAGCAUCCACAAGAUGACAUAGAUAUUCGUAAAGAACACACGGAUCUGAAAGGUUCAGACCCGUUGACUAAUAACCUCUCUCACAAGCAUGACAUGAUCAAACCCUAGAACUCAUUGAGUGUUAAUCACAUAAUGAUGUGAACUAGAUUGUUGACUCUAGUGAACUCUUUGGAUGUUGGUCACAUGGUGAUGUGACCUGUGAGUGUUAAUCACAUGGUGAUGUGAACUAGAUUAUUGACUCUAGUGCAAAUGGGAGACUGUUGGAAAUAUGCCCUAGAGGCAAUAAUAAAUUGGUUAUUAUUAUAUUUCCUUGUUCAUAAUAAUCGUUUAUUGUCCAUGCUAGAAUUGUAUUGAUAGGAAACUCAGAUACAUGUGUGGAUACAUAGACAACACCAUGUCCCUAGUAAGCCUCUAGUUGACUAGCUCGUUGAUCAAUAGAUGGUUACGGUUUCCUGACCACAUUGGAUGUCGUUGAUAACGGGAUCACAUCAUUAGGAGAAUGAUGUGAUGGACAAGACCCAAUCCUAAGCAUAGCAUAAAAGAUCGUGUAGUUCGUUUGCUAGAGCUUUUCCAAUGUCAAGUAUCAUUUCCUUAGACCAUGAGAUCGUGCAACUCCCGGAUACCGUAGGAGUGCUUUGGGUGUACCAAACGUCACAACGUAACUGGGUGACUAUAAAGGUACACUACGGGUAUCUCCGAAAGUGUCUGUUGGGUUGGCACGGAUCGAGACUGGGAUUUGUCACUCCGUAUGACGGAGAGGUAUCUCUGGGCCCACUCGGUAAUGCAUCAUCAUAAUGAGCUCAAUGUGACUAAGGAGUUAGCCACGGGAUCAUGCAUUACGGUACGAGUAAAGUGACUUGCCGGUAACGAGAUUGAACAAGGUAUUGGGAUACCGACAAUCGAAUCUCGGGUAAGUAACGUACCGAUUGACAAAGGGAAUUGUAUACGGGAUUGAUUGAAUCCUCGACAUCGUGGUUCAUCCGAUGAGAUCAUCGUGGAACAUGUGGGAGCCAACAUGGGUAUCCAGAUCCCGCUGUUGGUUAUUGACCGGAGAGGCGUCUCGGUCAUGUCUGCAUGUCUCCCGAACCCGUAGGGUCUACACACUUUAGGUUCGGUGACGCUAGGGUUGUAGAGAUAUUAGUAUGCGGAAACCCGAAAGUUGUUCGGAGUCCCGGAUGAGAUCCCGGACAUCACGAGGAGUUCCGGAAUGGUCCGGAGGUGAAGAAUUAUAUAUAGGAAGUCCAGUUUCGGCCACCGGGAAGGUUUCGGGGGUUAUCGGUAUUGUACCGGGACCACCGGAAGGGUCCCGAGGGUCCACCGGGUGGGGCCACCUAUCCCGGAGGGCCCCAUGGGCUGAAGUGGGAAGGGAACCAGCCCUUAGUGGGCUCAGGCGCCCCCCCAUGGGCCUCCCCCCUGCGCCUAGGGUUGGAAACCCUAGGGUGGGGGGGCGCGCCACUUGACUUGGGGGGGAAGUCACCCCCCUUUUCCCCUUGGCCGCCCCCCCAUGUAGAUGGGUUCUAGGCCGGCGCCCCCCCUCCCAGGGGGCCUAUAUAUAGUGGGGGGGGGGAGGGAGGGCAGCAGCAUGACAGCCCCUGGCGCCUCCCUCUCCCCCUGCAACACCUCUCCCUCUCGGAGAAGCUUGGCGAAGCCCUGCCGAGACCCCGCUACUUCCACCACCACGCCGUCGUGCUGCUGGAUCUCCUUCAACCUCUCCUUCCCCCUUGCUGGAUCAAGAAGGAGGAGACGUCGCUGCUCCGUACAUGUGUUGAACGCGGAGGUGCCGUCCGUUCGGCACUCGGUCAUCGGUGAUUUGGAUCACGGCAAGUACGACUCCAUCAACCCCGUUCAUUGGAACGCUUCCGCUCGCGAUCUACAAGGGUAUGUAGAUGCACUCCUUUCCCCUCGUUGCUAGUAUACUCCAUAGAUGGAUCUUGGUGAUGCGUAGAAAUUUUUUAAAUUCUGCUACGAUCCCCAACACUAUAAUAAGCAAGGGAUGACGAAAGUAAUUCCCAAGCUCUUCGCGGUGCUGAAAUCGGCGAAGGUAGAAAUCAAGAAAUAGCAUCAAGUGUUGAUGGUUAACAAGACCACUAGUUUCAAGAAAAGGGCAAAAGGAAAGAAAGAGGAACUUCGAAGAAGAAUAGCAAGCAAGUUGCUGCUCCCAUGAAGAAGCCCAAAGCUAGACCCAAGCCUGGAACUGAGUGCUUCUACUGCAAAGGAAUGGUCACUGGAAGUGGAACUGCCCUAGAUACUUGGCGGAUAAGAAGGAUGGCAAAGUGAACAAAGGUAUAUUUGAUAUACAUGUUAUUGAUGUGUACUUUACUAGUGUUUAUAGCAACCCCUCAGUAUUUGAUACUGGUUCAGUUGCUAAGAGUAGUAACUCGAAACGGGAGUUGCAAAAUAAACAGAGACUAUUUAAGGGCGAGGUGAUGAUGUGAGUUGGAAGUUAUUCCAAGGUUGAUAAGAUCACCAUCGCACACUCCCUUUACCUUCGGGAUUAGUGUUGAACCUAAAAUAAAAGUUAUUUGGUGUUUGCGUUGAGCAUGAAUAUGAUUGGAUCAUGUUUAUUGCAAUACGGUUAUUCAUUUAAGUCAAAGAAUAAUUGUUGUUCUAUUUACAUGAAUAAAACCUUCUAUGGUCAUACACUCAAUAUAAAUGGUUUAUUGAAUCUCGAUCAUAAUAAUACACAUAUUCAUAAUAUUGAAGCCAAAAGAUGCAAAGUCAAUAAUGAUAGUGCAACUUAUAUGUGGCACUGCCGUUUAGGUCAUAUUGGUGUAAAGCGCAUGAAGAAACUCCAUGCUGAUGGGCUUUUGGAAUCACUUGAUUAUGAAUCACUUGAUGCUUGCGAACCAUGCCUCAUGGGAAAGAUGACUAAGACUCCGUUCUCCGGAACAAUGGAGCGAGCAACUGACUUAUUGGAAAUAAUACAUACUGAUGUAUGCGAUCCGAUGAGUGCUGAGGCUCGCGGCAGGUAUCGUUAUUUUCUGACCUUCACAGAUGAUUUGUGCAGAUAUGGGUAAAUCUACUUGAUGAAACAUAAGUCUGAAACAUUUGAAAAGUUCAAAGAAUUUCAGAGUGAAGUGGAAAAUCAUCGUAACAAGAAAAUAAAGUUUCUACGAUCUGAUCGCGGAGACAAAUAUUUGAGUUACGAGUUUGGUCUUCAUUUGAAACAAUGUGGAAUAGUUUCGCAACUCACGCCGCCUGGAACACCACAACGUAAUGAUAUCUCUUACCGAUUUAUCACUAUCAUUUGGGGUUAUGCAUUAGAGACAGCUGCAUUCACGUUAAAUAGGGCACCAUCUAAAAAUCCGUUGAGACGACACCAUAUGAACUGUGGUUUAGCAAAGAAACCUAAGAUGUCGUUUCUUGAAGUUUGGGGUUGCGAUGUGAAAGGAUCGAGAAGAGGUGUCUAGGGGGGGGGGGUGAAUAGACUCUAAACAAGAAAAGUUGCAGUUUUUAAUUCUUUAGGUUUAUGUGGAGAUUUAGCACAAGUUUAAGCAUUCACGAUACAUAUCAAGCAAGCAUGACAAAGAGUAUAUGAGCAGCGGAAAGUAAAGCAUGCAAGUUGCAAGAAUGUAAAGGGAUGGGAUUGGAGUGUGCAAACACAAUUUGGAGACACAGAGAUUUUUUAUCUGUGGUUCCGAUAGGUGGUGCUAUCGUACAUCCACGUUGAUGGAGACUUCAACCCACGAAGGGUAACGGUUGCGCGAGUCCACGGAGGGCUCCACCCACGAAGGGUCCACGAAGAAGCAACCUUGUCUAUCCCACCAUGGCCGCCGCCCACGAAGGACUUGCCUCACUAGGGCAGAUCUUCACGAAGUAGGCGAUCUCCUUGCCCUUACAAACUCCUUGGUUCAACUCCACAAUCUUGUCGGAGGCUCCCAAGUGACACCUAGCCAAUCUAGGAGACACCACUCUCCAAGAAGUAACAAAUGGUGUGUUGAUGAUGAACUCCUUGCUCUUGUGCUUCAAAUGAUAGUCUCCCCAACACUCAACUCUCUCUCUCACAGGAUUUGGAUUUGGUGGAAAGAAGAUUUGAGUGGAAAGCAACUUGGGGAAGGCUAGAGAUCAAGAUUUAUGUGGUUGGAAUGGAAUAUCUUGACCUCAACACAAGUGUAGGUGGUUCUCUCUCAGAAAAUAUGUGUUGGAAGUGUAGGCAUGUUCUGAUGGCUCUCUCCACGAAUGAAGAGUGGGUGGAGGGGUAUAUAUAGCCUCCACACAAAAUCUAACCGUUACACACAAAUAACCAAACUCGGUGGGACCGAUUCAAAGAACUCGGUCAGACCGAUUUGGUUCAUAAUGUGACCGUUAGGUGUUUCGGUGGGACCGAAUGGAUCAACUCGAUGGGACCGAUUUCGUUAGGGUUAGGGCAUAACGUAAUCUCGGUGAGACCGAUUACACAAAAUCGGUGAGACCGAUUUUGGUAAUAGACUGAUACGUCUCCAACGUAUCUAUAAUUUUUGAUUGCUCCAUGCUAUAUUAUGUACUGUUUUGGACAUUAUUGGGCUUUAUUAUUCACUUUUAUAUUAUUUUUGGGACUAACCUAUUAACCGGAGGCCCAGCUCAGAAUUGUUGUUUUUUGCCUAUUUCAGAGUUUCGCAGAAAAGGAAUAUCAAAUGGAGUCCAAACGGAAUGAAAACUUCGGGAACGUGAUUUUCAGAACGAACAAGAUCCAGGAGACUUAGACCCUACGUCAAGAAACAAAAGAGGAGGCCACGAGGUAGGGGGGCGCGCCUACCCCCCCAGGGCGCGCCCUCCACCCUCGUGGGCCCCCUGUUGCUCCACCGACGUACUCCUUCCUCCUAUAUAUACCUACGUAACCCCAAACAAUCAGAUACGGAGCCAAAAACCUAAUUCCACCGCCGCAACCUUCUGUACCCACGAGAUCCCAUCUUGGGGCCUGUUCCGGAGCUCCGCCGGAGGGGGCAUCGAUCACGGAGGGCUUCUACAUCAUCACCAUAGCCCCUCCGAUGAAGUGUGAGUAGUUUACCUCAGACCUUCGGGUCCAUAGUUAUUAGCUAGAUGGCUUCUUCUCUCUUUUUGGAUCUCAAUACAAUGUUCUCCCCCUCUCUCGUGGAGAUCUAUUCGAUGUAAUCUUCUUUUUGCGGUGUGUUUGUUGAGACCGAUGAAUUGUGGGUUUAUGAUCAAGUUUAUCUAUGAACAAUAUUUGAAUCUUCUCUGAAUUCUUUUAUGUAUGAUUGGUUAUCUUUGCAAGUCUCUUCGAAUUAUCAGUUUGGUUUGGCCUACUAGAUUGAUCUUUCUUGCAAUGGGAGAAGUGCUUAGCUUUGGGUUCAAUCUUGCAGUGUCCUUUCCCAGUGACAGUAGGGGCAGCAAGGCACGUAUUGUAUUGUUGCCAUCGAGGAUAACAAGAUGGGGUUUUUAUCAUAUUGCAUGAAUUUAUCCCUCUACAUCAUGUCAUCUUGCUUAAAGCAUUACUCUGUUUUUAUGAACUUAAUACUCUAGAUGCAUGCUGGAUAGCGGUCGAUGAGUGGAGUAAUAGUAGUAGAUGCAGGCAGGAGUCGGUCUACUUGUCUCGGACGUGAUGCCUAUAUACAUGAUCAUACCUAGAUAUUCUCAUAACUAUGCUCAAUUCUGUCAAUUGCUCAACAGUAAUUUGUUCACCCACCAUAGAAUACUUAUGCUCUCGAGAGAAGCCACUAGUGAAACCUAUGGCCCCCGGGUCUAUCUUCAUCACAUUAAUCUUCCAACACUUAGUUAUUUCCUUUGCUUUUUUACUUUGCUUUUAUUUUACUUUGCAUCUUUAUCACAAAAAUACCAAAAAUAUUAUCCUAUCAUAUCUAUUAGGUCUCACUCUCGUAAGUGACCGUGUAGGGAUUGACAACCCCUUAUCGCGUUGGUUGCGAGGAUUUAUUUGUUUUGUGUAGGUGCGAGGGACUCGCGCGUAGCCUCCUACUGGAUUGAUACCUUGGUUCUCAAAAACUGAGGGAAAUACUUACGCUACUUUGUUGCAUCACCCUUUCCUCUUCAAGGGAAAACCAACGCAGUGCUCAAGAGGUAGCAUAGACUAACAGAGAGUUGGUCAGGCAAACUCGGUGGGACCGAUUCGCUCAUCUCGGUUAGACCAAAAUGUUACGAAGGGGUGACAGAGAGUUUGCAUUGCAAUCUCGGUGCGACCGACUGCAAAUUUUGGUGAGACCGAAAUUAUUGCAAUAGGCAGCAGAGAGUUUGCAAUCCCAUCUCGGUGAGACCGAGAUCCCUAUCGGUGAGACCGAUUUGAUUAGGGUUUCUGGCAGUGGCUAUGUCAAGAGAACUCGGUGGCUCCGGAUAGAAAGAAUCGGUGGGGCCGAGUUGGACUUUUGGUUUGGGACAUAUGUGGAUGUGAGGAAGUAGUUGAGGGCUUUGGAGCAUAUCAGUAACCACUUUGAGCAAGCAAGCCAUUAAGCAACACCUCAUCCCUUCUUAAUAGUAUUGGCUUUCCUAUGGACUCAAUGUGAUCUUGGAUCACUAAAAUAGAAAAUGUAGAGUCCCGAGCUUUGAGCUUGAGCCAAUCCUUUGUCCUUAGCAUUUUGAAGGGGUUCCACAUCCUCUAGUCCAUGCCACUCCAUUGUUGAACUUAUAUGAAACAUACUAGGUAGAAGCAUUAGUCCAACAAGAGAUAUGUUGACAUUAAUUACCAAAAUCACCCAGGGAGCACUUGUGCUUUCACGAUGCUUAUGUGAAAAAGUUUCAACCUGAUAAGCUCGAACCCAAAUCGGAGAAAUGUGUCUUCAUAGGAUACCCAAAGGAGACUGUUGGGUACACCUUCUGAGGGAGUCCUGGAUCAGGGGGUCCUCGGACUGCCGGACUAUAUACUUUGGCCGGACUGUUGGACUAUGAAGAUACAAGAUUGAAGACUUCGUCCCGUGUCCGGGUGGGACUCUCCUUUGCGUGGAAGGCAAGCUUGGCAAUUCGGAUAUGUAGAUCUCCUCCCUUGUAACUGACUCUGUGUAACCCUAGCCCCCUCCGGUGUCUAUAUAAACCGGAGGGUUUAGUCCGUAAGACAAGAACAAUCAUAAUCAUAGGCUAGCUUCUAGGGUUUAGCCUCUACGAUCUCGUGGUAGAUCAACUCUUGUAAUACUCAUAUCAUCAAGAUCAAUCAAGCAGGAAGUAGGGUAUUACCUCCAUCGAGAGGGCCAGAACCUGGGUAAACAUUGUGUCCCCCGCCUCGUGUUACCAUCCUCCUUAGACGGACAGUUCGGGACCCCCUACCCGAGAUCCGCCGGUUUUGACACCGACAUUGGUGCUUUCAUUGAGAGUUCCACUGCGCCGUCAUGAUAAAGGCUUGAUGGCUCCUUCGAUCAUCGGCAAUGAUGCGAUCCAGGGCGAGGUUUUUCCCCCCGGACAGAUCUUCGUAUUCGGCGGCUUCGCACUGCGGGCCAACUCGCUUGGCCAUCUAGAGCAGAUCGAGAGCUACGCCCCUGGCCGUCAGGUCAGGUUUGGAAACUUAAACUAUACCGCCAACAUCCGCGGAGACUUGAUCUUUGACGGAUUCGAGCCCAUGUUAGGUGCACCGCACAGUCAUGACGAGCAUGACUUAGCUCUGCCGUCGGACGGUGUUCGAGAGAUCACACCAGUGGCUACUCCGGCCCUCAAUCUGGAGCAGAUUGCACCGUCCGUGGACGGGUGGAUGGACCCCGCCACGGAGGCCGCACACUCAGCGGCGAUAGAGCCAAAUACUGACUUCACCUCCUACGAGACCUGUGUUGCUGGAUCCUUGGAUUCGUCCCCGGUCACGGGCUCCAAACCGCUUGCGUCAGUGCCUAUCGAAUCUGAUUGGGCGCCGAUCAUGGAGUUUUCCUCCGCGGAUAUCUUUCAGCACUCGCCCUUGGGCGAUGUGCUGAAUUCAUUAAGGUCUCUCUCCUUGUUAGGAGGCCCUUGGCCGAACUAUGUCCGGCUCGAGUGGGAAGCGGACGACGAAGAAAUUCAUUCCCCACCCACCACCCACUUAAUAGCCACUAUCGACGACUUAACCGACAUGCUCGAUUUCGACUCCGGAGACAUCGACGGUAUGGACAACGAUGCGGGAGAGGAACAGGAACCACCGCCCACAGGGCGCUAGACAGCCACCUCCUCACACGAUAUAUACAUGGUGGAUACACCCAAAGAAAACAAUGACGAGGAAUGGAAGGAUGCAGCGAAGGAUAAUCCCCUCGUGAAGCAACCAAAGCGACGACGUAGGCACCGCUCCAAAUCCCGCCUCGGCAAAAACAGCGAUAACAGCAUAAGAAAUAAUAAUACCCCGGCCGACUCCAAAGGAAACGACGACCACAUGGACCCAGCAACAGAGCAGGAUGAACCAGCGGACGGCGAACAUAGUACGGAGCCGCUGUCCGAUCACGGCGACGCCGAGGGUAAAGCUAAUCAACCUGUCUCCGGAGAGGAGAACAGUCCGGACGACGAUGCACACAUCAUCCCGGAAAGGCACUUGGAGCAAGAGGACCUCCACAGAAGGCUUAUUGCCACCGCAAGGAGUCUAAAGAAGCAGAAGCAAAGGCUUAAGGCCGCGCAAAAUACACUCAACAGUAGAUGGAACAAAGUGCUCGACACUGAAGAAAAGUACAGCGGCAGUCGCCACACAAAGAUCUAUCCAAAGCGCAAGUUGCUGCCUGAAUUCGAUGACAAGGCUUUAGAGCCUAUACAGCCGAAAAAUAAAACAGCCGAUCAGCCGGAUUGACCACCCCGUGGCCGCGAUAGGGCGGCUAACGGUGUCGCACAUAAGUCAGCACACGAUUUACGUGAGGACUUGCACCAAAAAACCGGUAUGACCAGGUCCAUCUAUGGAUCUAGGAAGCGCGUUCCGGCACAGAAUCAAAACCGAACACUACAACCGUCAUAAUGCCAUGACACAUCCAAAUACAGGGGUGCCGCGCACCCCCUAUGCUUCACCGAUGAGGUGCUGGAUCAUGAAUUUCCAGAGGGAUUCAAACCCGUCAACAUAGAGGCAUAUGACGGAACGACAGACCCUGGGGUCUGGAUUGAGGACUUUAUCCUUCAUAUCCACAUGGCUCGCGGAGAUGAUCUCCACGCCAUCAAAUACUUGCCCCUCAAGUUGAAAGGACCAGCUCGGCACUAGCUGAAGAGCCUCCCCGAAAACACAAUUGGAAGUUGGGAAGAGCUUGAGGAUGCUUUUAGGGCUAAUUUUCAAGGGACCUAUGUCCGACCUCCGGAUGCAGACGAUUUAAGUCAUAUAAUUCAACAGCCCGGAGAGUCAGCCCGAAAGCUUUGGAACAGAUUCCUCACUAAGAAGAAUCAGAUUGUCGACUGCCCAGACGCCGAGGCCUUAGCGGCUUUCAAACACAGUGUCCGGGACGAAUGGCUCGCCAGACACCUCGGCCAGGAAAAACCGAGGACAAUGGCAGCCCUAACAAGUCUUAUGACCCGCUUUUGCGCGGGCGAAGAUAGUUGGCUGGCCCGUAGCGGCACCAGCGACCCAGCCACAUCCGAAGUCAGGUAUGGAAAUGGAAAACCACGACGCAAUAAAAGCAAGCGUCGAAACAAUGAAGACAGCCCAGACAACACGGCGGUAAACGCCGGAUUCAGGGGCUCUCGACUCGGUCAACGGAAGAAGCCAUUCAAAGGCAGCAGAGAUGGACCAUCCAGCCUAAACAAGAUUCUAGACAGAUUAUGUCAGAUUCAUGGCACCUCCGACAAACCUGCAAAUCACACCAACAGAGAAUGCUGGGUCUUCAAGCAGGCCGGCAAGCUAAACGCCGAACACAAGGGGAGGGAGACACCAAGUGAAGACGAGGAUGAGCCUCGCCAGCAAAACACUGGGGGACAGAAAAAUUCCCACCAGAGGUCAAAACAGUGAACAUGAUUCACGUAACGAAGAGGAGGAGCAAAUGCGCACUCCAAGACGUAUGCGCCGUGGAGCCCGUCACCCCCAAGUUCAACCCUUGGUCGGCCUGCCCGAUCACUUUUGAUCGCAGGUGUCACCCGACUAGUAUCCGGCACGGAGGGUCGGCUGCCUUGGUACUAGACCCAAUAAUCGACAGAUACCAUCUCACCCGAGUCCUUAUGGACGGCGGCAGUAGUCUUAAUCUGAUAUAUCAGGACACAGUCCGCAAAAUGGGGAUAGACCCGACAAGAAUCAGCCAAAGCAAUACUACCUUUAAAGGAGUAAUACCAGGCCCAGAGGCCCGCUGCACGGGCUCUCUAGUACUAGAGGUUGUAUUCGGUUCUCCCGACAACUUCCGAAGUGAAAAGUCAACCUUCGACAUCGCUCCAUUCCGAAGCGGCUAUCAAGCACUACUCGGAAGAACGGCCUUCGCUCGUUUUAAUGCAGUACCGCAUUACGCUUAUCUUAAGCUUAAGAUGCCCGGUCCACGUGGCAUCAUUAUAGUUAGCGGAAACACCGAGCGCUCCUUACGUGCGGAAGAAUGUGUGGCGGCUCUAGCAGCCGAACACUGAAUGGCCUCUCCGACCAGAAUAAAUGAUCGGUCAUCAAGACCGCGGACACGGCUAGACGAGUCCGGCACACCACUAGCUAAAACAGCUCGGAUAAACCUGAGAUUGGGUCGAUGGAUAUACCACCAUAGGUGGCGCUAGGGGCUUCCCGCAUGUAAAAAGGGACUAUAGUUCGGAUUGACCUUAUUUAGAUUGAAUUUUAAUGGUUUAUUAAGAAUAACCAAUUUUUCGCACGAAAAAUUUCACCUGGGCUUUUUGUCUCUUGUAGAUGAUCAUCGUGCUACACCCUUCCAGGAUACGACACAAUGGAGACAUAGGCGCAGACGUGCAACAGGGCCCCAUUCAAAGGUUUCUUUUUAGAUUAAGACCCUGUGUAAACCUUUUUUACUGUCUCUUGUUGCUUCACACCCUCCGGAUACUCAAAAUAACCAAGAGGGAUGCUGGCGAUUUGGCUUUUUCUCACGUCAGACUAAUGCAUGUACCUGGAAAUUCAGGGCUUAUUAUCGAGGGCGUUACGCAGCCCAGUAUGCGUUGUAAAGACCGAAUACCUUAGGGAGUGUUCGGCGUCGCGAGUUUGGCCUUAUAUGCAUCAGCUCCGAAUCAUGUCUUUGGUAAAUAGUUGGGUUUGCCCGGCUCCCGUGUUUUGCUACCUUACGUUCCGCUCUAUCGGCUAAGGUGGCACCGGGAGAACUACUGCGAUUGUGCACUGGUUCAUCUAGAUGAGCACCUCACUAGAGAAAGCCGAAAACUGACUGUCAUGAUAAAGCGCGAGACUGGUCAACCACUCGAUGACUCAGCGGAAUCUUCGCGAUUCCUCCGCAUUAACGAAGGGCCGGUUUCCCGGUCAUGUAUGUACGCGCCCCGUAUUCGGAUGAGCGCGGACAUACCAGGGGCUAUAUAGUAGCCCCACCGUCAAACUCCUAUGGCUAAGUGAAAGUGUUAAAGCUAUAUAGUUCGAUUGCCUUGUUCGCCGCGCCAUCACCUCCUUAAUGGACCAAGACGUUGGAUCAAGUGUGAAUACGCGCUUUUUCGAACACUCCCGCAUUAUAUGCGUGGGGGCUGAAGCCGACGACUGCAAACUUUCAGGUUAUAUACAUACGUAAAUGGCCACACAGGAGGCAUCAUAAUACUUUUAGGCAAAAGUAUAAACACAGCCUUUAUAAUCCAAAUAGCAUUGUUUUUACAAUUGGGAUACAUGUCACUCGAACAUGAUACUCUUCGAGCACCGAGCCUCUAUUAAAUGAGCGCCUUCUAGGACUUCUUCAAAAUAGUGCUCGGCCGAGACCUGGCCUACGGCCGGACCCCGGGUUGCAAUAGCGGUGGCCUCCAUCUCUGCCCAGUAUGUCUUAACACGGGCAAGAGCCAUCCGCGCACCCUCUAUGCACGCCGACCUCUUUACAGCAUCGAUAUGCGGCACAACACUAAGGAAUCGUUGCACUAAACCAAAAUAACUACUCGGCCUUGGUCCUUCCGGCCAAAGAUGAUCCACGACAGACCUCAUGGCAAGCCCGGACAACCUAUGGAGGUCAGCCCACUCGGCCAUUUGCUCAUUUAACAGCUUCGGACGCGUUGGAGUACUGAACUGCGACCAGAACAACUUUUCCACUUCGUGAUCUUUUUGAUCUUUGAAAAACUCAGUCGCAUCAGCAACACUCGUUGCCAAGUCCAAGUACGCGUCUGCGACACUCCAUAAUUGAUCCAGAGGGGCAUACUUCGGAUCUCCGAACUUCGUCCGCAACAAAAAGGGCUUCCCAGCCGUGAUAUCUCCGGCUAGACGAAGCUCCUCCUUUGCCGCUCUGAUUUUAGAGCGGGUUUCCUUGGCUGCUACCAUGGCUUUCUUCAGGUCCGCCGCUUUUUCUUGGUUUUCCUUUUCAAGAAGCUCAUACCGGUCGGCAGCAUCCUUCAGCUCAACAGCCAUCUUGGUUAUUUUAUCUUCGCUCUGGCGAUGAGCAGCCUGUUCGGCUCUUAACUCUUCGAUCGCCUUUAGGGUGGCCGCAUCACUUCUCCUAGCUUGUUCCUUGGCUCGGGCAAGCUCCGCCCGAAGGGUCUCCACGGCGGCAGCUCCAUCUGCAGUCACAGAAUAUUAUAGAUACUAGCAUCAUGCUCCUCUUAAUAUCUGUUGACCACCGGAAGAUACAUACCCCGUGCCUCGUCAAGCCGCUUGUUUACAAGCACGAUGUCGGCAUCUGCCGCAUCAAGCUGCCGCCUCAGUUCGGCAAACUCACCAGUCUGGCCAGCCACCGGACCCUCAGCCGCCUGCACAUGAAAGCAACAUGAUCAUGAACUGGGACUACGAUCCUUUGUUUGCUGCCUUUGGACAGCAACCAGAGUCUCAGGGGCUACUAUCUGUAUAAGGCACACCUAGCGUGUGCGGUACCGUCAAAAUAUAUAUAUUACUUUGCGUACCUCAAAGCCUCUUAGCAGGCUCAUAAAAGCUUCAUGCAACCCACUUUUGGCGGAUUAAAUCCUCUCAACCACCGUACCCCAUUAAAGUACGAUGCGCCUCUGAAAUAGCCGCUUGCUCCAGAAGACCCAUCAGUGCAUCCGGUCGUGCACCGGACAGUCCCGGACUCUUUCUGUCGCUCUCCACAGGAGCCGAAUACUCCGGACUUCGAGCGGCCGAAGGGUUACCUUCUAGCCUUGGUGGAUCAGGAGAAAUCCUGCGUGACGACACCUCAGGGUCAUCCACCUCAUGAGGUGGGGAGACACGGGGAGGCGUUUCGCUCUCCAUCAUCUCCGAAAGAAGAUCCCCCGAAGACGAACUCUGUCGAGAAGGGCUGCGAUCCGAACUGCAAGACAUAUGUCUCGGUUAUUAUCCUCGAAGAUGAAGCAGGAUAUAUAUACUAAAAGUACUCUUGUUCACUUACAGCUCGGUGGAGGGCUGAUCCCCUUGCGGGCAGUGUGCGGUAAGGAUGCCCCCCGGGGCAGGGCCCCCUGGCGAAGGUUUCUUCCCUCGUUUGGAAACCCCCGUUUCAAGUCUUCAAAGGCGGUCCUUUUCCUUCCUUGGGGAGAGGGAAUUUUAGAUUCUUCUCCCCGGUUAUCCUCCUUUGCGGAGACACUAAUUCCCCCGGUUUGGAUGAGUAAUGCGUGAGGCCCGCUUUCGGCUUCUUUAUUCCUCCCUUUAUCUUCCUCUGAUGGCACUUGAUAAGGUCAUGAUCAAGCAUCCUGGCUAGUACAGGAUCCAGUGAGCCUUCGGGAAGGGGGGCCGAACACCUGAUCAUCUUCGCCUUUUUUAUCCAGUCCUGGUCAAAGAGCGAUUUUUCAGAAUGAUGUUGUGACAAAUGAAAAGACAACAUGUUUGGCCGCACAAUUACUUACGGGGGUAUCUGGACGAUUGCAGUUCAGACCCGCAUCCUUGGUGGUGUCCGGACACUUUAUUCGUGAUCCGAAGAACAAUCCAUACAUCUCUUCGAGCGUCACGCCGAAGAAUUGCUGAAUAGUUCGCGGUCCUUCCGGGUUGAAUUCCCACAUACGGAGAGGCCGACGUUGGCAUGGCAGGACCCGACGAACUAGCAUGACUUGCAUUACCUUGACAAGGCUGACAUCUCUCUUGAGGAGAUCUCAGAUGCAACUCUGCAAUGUCGGCACGUCAUUAACCGGCCCCCAGUCCAGCCCCUUGUUGACCCAUGACGCUAGUUGUGGCGGGGGGACCGAACGGAAGGUAGGGGCAGCUACCCACUUAGUACUUCGGGGAGCUGUGAUGUAAAACCACUCCCGCUGCCAUAAGUUGGACAUCUUCGGGAAGGAGCCCUUCGGCCAUGGAGCAUCGGCGCCUUUGCUUAUUAUGGCACCUCCGCAUUCUGCGUGUCGCCCAUCGAUCAUCUUCGGCUUCACAUUGAAGGUCUUGAGCCACAAGACGAAGUGUGGGGUAAUGCGGAGGAAGGCCUCACACACGACGAUGAACGACGAGAUGUGAAGAAUGGAAUCCGGAGCUAGAUCAUGGAAAUCGAGCCCGUAAUAGAACAUAAUCCCUCUAACAAAGGGAUCAAGACUAAAACCUAGCCCUCGGAGGAAGUGGGAAACAAAUACGACACUCUCGUUGGGUUCUGGAGUGGGGAUGACCUGCCCUUGAGCAGGCAGCCUGUGCGAGAUUUCGGCGGUCAGAUACCUGGCUUCUCUUAGCUUCUUGAUGUCCUCCUCUAUGACAGAGGAGGCCAUCCACUGGCCUUGAAGGUUGGAUCCGGACAUGAUUGAAGGUCCGAAGCGCUUAGCCUGAGCCUUGGGUGUUGGAACUCAAGGUGGGGGAAGGGGAGGAUCGAGCGCGAGAAGAAAAGGAUAGGCCUUGGCCCCUUUAUAAAGAGGGUGAAUAUCAAGCGUCCUCCGCGUGGCUGUUCGGAACUUGCCUAAAAUCGAGGAGUCAUACCAGCAGACGGGAUUGGGUUACCCACACCCGUAUUGAUGAGAAUCCCGUGAUAAGGGAACACGAUCUCUGCUUCGACAAGAGGUGGCAAUAAAACCGCCUCGCAACACGUACAGUGGCAGGCUGGGAAAAACGGUUCGUAAUGACCGGACCACGGCAGGACGUCACACUAUGAAAAGUUGUCAGCAGAUUAGAUUUGUGGAAAUAUUAUACUCUCUACGGUGGUAUGUGGAAUUUGUUUUGCAGAGCCGGACGCGAUCCUUGUGUUCAAAAUCUUCUAUGGAGUAUUCGAAGGAAGAACCCGCCUUGCAAUGCCGAAGACAAUCUGCGCGCCGGACUCAUCGUCAUUGAAGCCUGGUUCAGGGGCUACUGAGGGAGUCCUGGAUUAGGGGGUCCUCGGACUGCCGGACUAUAUACUUUGGCCGGACUGUUGGACUAUGAAGAUACAAGAUUGAAGACUUCGUCCUGUGUCCGGGUGGGACUGUCCUUUGCGUGGAAGGCAAGCUUGGCAAUUCGGAUAUGUAGAUCUCCUCCCUUGUAACCGACUCUGUGUAACCCUAGCCCCCUCCGGUGUCUAUAUAAACCGGAGGGUUUAGUCCGUAGGACAAGAACAAUCAUAAUCAUAGGCUAGCUUCUAGGGUUUAGCCUCUACGAUCUCGUGGUAGAUCAACUCUUGUAAUACUCAUAUCAUCAAGAUCAAUCAAGCAGGAAGUAGGGUAAUACCUCCAUCGAGAGGGCCCGAACCUGGGUAAACAUUGUGUCCCCCGCCUCGUGUUACCAUCCGCCUUAGACGCACAGUUCGGGACCCCCUAUCGGAGAUCCGCCGGUUUUGACACCAACACCUUCUAUCACAGAUCUGAAGGCAAGAUAUUCGUUGCUAAGAAUGGAUCCUUUCUAGAGAAGGAGUUUCUCUCGAAAGAAGUGAGUGGGAGGAAAGUAGAACUUGAUGAGGUAAUUGUACCUUCUCUCGAAUUGGAAAGUAGCUCUUCACUGAAAUCAGUUCCAGUGAUGCCUACACCAAUUAGUGAGGAAGUUAAUGAUGAUGAUCAUGAAACUUCAGAUCAAGUUACUACCGAAUCUCGUAGGUCAACCAGAUUACGAUCCGCACCAGAGUGGUACGGGAAUCCUAUUCUGGAGGUCAUGUUACUUGACCAUGAUGAACCUACAAACUAUGAGGAAGCGAUGAUGAGCCCAGAUUCCAUGAAAUGGCUUGAGGCCAUGAAAUCUGAGAUGGGAUCCAUGUAUGAGAACAAAGUGUGGACUUUGGUUGACUUGCCCGAUGAUCGGCAAGCCAUACAGAAUAAAUGGAUCUUCAAGAGGAAGACGAACGCUGAUAGUAGUGUUACUAUCUACAAAGCUCGAAUUGUCGCAAAAAGGUUUUUGACAAGUUCAAGGUGUUUACUACGAUAAGAUCUUCUCACUCGUAGCGAUGCUUAAGUCUGUCUGAAUCAUGUUAGCAAUUGCCACAUUUUAUGUAAUCUGGCAAAUGGGUGUCAAAAUUACAUUCCUUAAUGGAUUUCUUAAAGAAGAGUUGUAUAUGAUACAACAAGAAGGUUUUGUCAAUCCUAAAGGUGCUAACAAAGUGUGCAAGCUCCAGCGAUCCAUCUAUGGACUGGUGCAAACAUCUCGGAGUUGGAAUAUACACUUUGAUGAGUUGAUCAAAGCAUAUAGUUUUAUACAGAAUUGCGGUGAAGCCUGUAUUUACAAGAAAGUGAGUGGGAGCACUACAACCUUUCUGAUAAGUAUAUGUGAAUGACAUAUUGUUGAUCGGAAAUGAUGUAGAAUUUUUCUGGAAAGCAUAAUGGAGUAUUUGAAAGGAGUUUUUCAAAGAAAGACCUCGGUAAAGCUGCUUACAUAUUGAGCAUCAAGAUCUAUAGAGAUAGAUCAAGACGCUUGAUAAGUUUUUUCAAUGAGUACAUACCUUGACAAGAUUUUGAAGUAGUUCAAAUGGAACAGUCAAAGAAGGAGUUCUUGCCUGUGUUGCAAGGUGUGAAGAUGAGUAAAGGCUCAAAACCCGACCACGACAGAAAAUAUAAAGAGAAUGAAAAGUCAUUCCCUACGCCUCAGUCAUAGGUUCUAUGAAGUAUGCUAUGUACCAGAUCUAUUGUGUACCUCACCGUGAGUUUGGCAAGAGGGUACAAUAGUGAUCCAGGAGUGGAUGACUGGACAGCGGUCAAAAUUAUCCUUAGUGGAAUAAGGAGAUAUUUCUCGAUUAUGGAGGUGAUAAAGAGUUCGUUGUAAAGAGUUGCGCCGAUGCAAGCUUUGACACUGAUCCGGGUGACUCUAAGUCUCAAUCUGGAUACAUAUUAAAAGUGGGAGCAAUUAGCUAGAGUAGCUCCGUGCAGAGCAUUGUAGACAUAGAAAUUUGCAAAAUACAUACGGCUCUGAAUGUGACAGAACCAUUGACUAAGCUUCUCUCACAAGCAAAACAUGAUCACACCUUAGUGCUCUUUGGGUGUUAAUCACAUAACGAUGUGAACUAGAUUAUUGACUCUAGUAAACCUUUUGAGUGUUGGUCACAUGGCGAUGUGAACUAUGGGUGUUAAUCACAUGGUGAUGUGAACUAUUGGUGUUAAAUCACAUGGCUAUGUGAACUAGAUUAUUGACUCUAGUGCAACUGGGAGACUGAAGGAAAUAUGCCCUAGAGGCAAUAAUAAAGUUGUUAUUUAUAUUUCCUUAUAUCAUGAUAAAUGUUUUUUAUUCAUGCUAGAAUUGUAUUAACCGAAAACUUAGUACAUGUCUGAAUACAUAGACAAAACAGAGUGUCCCUACUAUGCCUCUACUUGACUAGCUCGUUAAUCAAAGAUGGUAAUGUUUCCUAACCAUAGACAUGUGUUGUCAUUUGAUGAACGGGAUCACAUCAUUAGAGAAUGAUGUGAUGGACAAGACCCAUCCGUUAGCUUAGCAUAAUGAUCGUUUAGUUUUAUUGCUAUUGCUUUCAUCAUGACUUAUACAUGUUCCUCUAACUAUGAGAUUAUGCAACUCCCGAAUACCGGAGGAACACCUUGUGUGCUAUCAAAUGUCACAACGUAACUGGGUGAUUAUAAAGAUGCUCUACAGGUGUCUCUGAAGGUGUUUGUUGGGUUGGCAUAGAUCGGGAUUAGGAUUUGUCACUCCGAGUAUCGGAGAGGUAUCUCUGGGCCUUCUCGGUAAUGUACAUCACUAUAAUCCUUGCAAGCAAUGUGACUAAUGAGUUAGUUACGGGAUGAUGCAUUACGAAACGAGUAAAGAGACUUGCCGGUAACGAGAUUGAACUAGGUAUGAUGAUACCGAUGAUCGAAUCUCGGGCAAGUAACAUACCGAUGACAAAGGGAACAAUGUAUGUUGUUAUGCGGUUUGACUGAUAAAGAUCUUCGUAGAAUAUGUAGGAGCCAAUAUGAGCAUCCAGGUUCCCCUAUUGGUUAUUGACCGGAGAUGUGUCUCGGUCAUGUCUACAUAGUUCUCGAACCCGUAGGGUCCGCACGCUUAACGUUCGCUGACGAUUUGUAUUAUGAGUUAUGUGAUUUGAUGUACUGAAGGUUGUUAGGAGUCCCGGAUGAGAUCACGGACAUGACGAGGAGUCUCGAAAUGGUUGAGACGUAAAGAUCGAUAUAUUGGAAGGCUAUAUUCGGACAUCAGAAAGGUUCUGAGUGAUUCGGGUAUUUUUGGAGUACCGGAGAGUUACGGGAAUUCGCCGGGGAAGUAAUGGGCCUUAAUGGGCUUUAGUGGAAAGGAGAGGAGGGCCUCAAGGGGUGGCUGCGCCCCCCAUGGGCUGGUCCGAAUUGGACUAGGAGGGGGCGGCGCCCCGCUCUUUCCUUCUUCCCCCUUCUCCCUUCCCUUCCUUCUCCUACUAGGAAUAGGAAAGAGGAGGGGAAUCCUACUUGGACCGGGGAGUCCUAGUAAGAUUCCCCACACCUGGUGCGCCCCUAGGUCCGGCCACCUCUUCCCUCCCCUCCUUUAUAUACGUGGCCAGGGGGCACCCCAUAGACACACAAGUUGAUUGAUUUAGCCGUGUGCGGUGCCCCAUCCAAAGUUACACACCUCGGUCAUAUCGUCGUAGUGCUUAGGCGAAGCCCUGCGCCGGUAACUUCAUCAUCACCGUCACCAUGCCGUCGUGCUAACGAAACUCUCUCUCGGACUCAACUGGAUCAAGAGUUCGAGGGACGUCACCGAGCUAAACGUGUGCAGAUCACGGAGGUGCCGUGCGUUCGGUACUUGGAUCGGUUGGAUCGCGAAGACGUUCGACUACAUCAACCGCGUUACUUAACUCUUCCGCUUUCGGUCUACGAGGGUACGUGGACACACUCUCCCCGCUCGUUGCUAUGCUUCUCCUAGAUAGAUCUUGCGUGAUCGUAGGAAUUUUUGUUGAAAUACUAUGUUCCCCAACAAAAAAUAUCAAACUUAUAGAAAAAUGCAACCAUCUUAAGAAAAAGAAAAUGCCUACGAAACAAACCGCCUUGCCACACACCGACUAGCACAGGCAAGUCUCGACGGAGGAUUCGUUAAACGUCAAGAGAGAUCGAGGACGGGCAGUUGCCUCGAAAAAUCCUCCUGUUCGCUCGAGCCGCUCCCGCGGACGGCAGAGCAUAACCCUAGCCGCCGCCCGCCAGCGCCUAUUCCCCGCCUCCCCUCCUCCUCGCCUCCGCCAGAGGGCGCGGCGGCGGGGGGAGGCAUUUUCCAUCCUCCCAUGGUGCUCUGCGACGUGGGAUGCAUCGAGCUGGUGAGGGGCGCGGCGCAGCGCGGAGGCGACGCAGCCGGCCGUGCUGCGGGCGUGGUUGUGUGGCGGAGCAGUGGUAGUUGCGCGGACUUGCUGGUGGGGCGUGCUGGCGCGUUGGGGAGGCGGGGUGGCUAGUGGCGGCGGCGGCUCCAUCAGAUCUAGGCAGCUAACGACGAGGAUUGCGAUGACGUGGGCUGGAGGACGGCUGCCGCCUUGGUUGGGCCGCCUGUCGGUGUCAAAACCGGCAGAUCUCAGGUAGGGGGUCUGAUGUGGAGCAUCCUACGGACAUCACCAUGUCAAGAGUCCGUUUGGCAAGUGACUCGUGCGACCUCUACUUCACAUACAUAAAUGUGAAUAAUCUCCUUUACAUGUGCUCACUUGACCCCUCCGAGGAUGGUAUACUACUUGUCAUUCCUCUCGUGUGCAUGCAUAGGUAUUGUCGGAGCUUCACGGACGGCGAGGAGGAGUGCAAGCGCCAAGGAACAACUACACCAUCUGCGAGGGGAACAUGGAAGAGAAGGCGGAAGAAAUGGAGCUGCUACAAGUUUAAGCUCUCGGACGUCCGACGACCUCCGAACGACCGACGAUCUCCGGACGUCCGACGCCUGGAGACUCCACCAGCCAGAUCAACUACAGCAGACGAAGACGCUACAGUGGCCGGGCGACCGACGACCACCGGACGUCCGGCAAGUCCCAGCGCCUGGACGACUAACGCCGACCGGGCGACCGGUACUACCAGUCCAGAGAAGAAAGUCGGAAGUCCGACGCCCUCCGGACAACCGAACCCCGGUGAGCGACUGGAUGUCCGACCCCGACCGGACGUUCGACACUGUAUGUGCGCAGCCGGGCCUUUGGCCUUGUAUCCCUCUCCCACUUACCCCUUCGUGGCUUAGACUAUAAAUAGACCACUUCCACCUCCUUUCUAGGGUUAGCAAAGUGAUAGCUCAUUUGUAGGUGAGCUUUGCUCCUACCUCCUCCUCUUGAGAGAGAGAGACCACCCCCAUAGAGUUCAAAACCUCCAUGUGAGAAGAUCUUGAGAAAUUCAAGCUCCCCUUCAUGGGAAGAUCCUUCUAGGACUCAAGCCCCGAUCUCCUUUGGAUUUGGGAUGAACUUUACCUUGUAUGUUUCCCUUUCUUGUUCAUGUACCCAUGUGGAUCUUGUGUGUUUGAUUGUCUAGUGGAUGUGUGAUUGGACUUGUUCUUGAGUGUUUCCCCUUGCGAAUUCUCUCCGUUCUUCCCCGUGUUCAUCGUGUUCUUCGAGGGAAUCCACUCCAAUCGUGAAAGAUCGGCCUACACCGGGUUAGCCCCGCAUCAUAUGGUAUCAUGAGCCAUGUUGAUCACGUAUUUGGAGUCCCUCCCACUGUUUUCUAGCCUUCUUUCGCUUGAUUUCGUCCUAAAUUUCAAAAAUCCCCACUAAAAAUAGCCCCAAUUUUUUUUUGUGAUUUGUUGGUUUGAUAAAGUUUUGUUGAUUUUGAUCCAUGGAUUUGCUUGGUUUCGAGUAGAUCUAGCAUCUCCCCAAGUUCCCCAUCUUUCAUCCACGAAAUCUCAUCAAUUUUGACCCUAAAAUCCCCAAUUUCCGCCCAAAAUCGCGUCCCGAAACUCGCAUCUCGCGUUGACCCAGACCCACCGGACAACUGACACUUUCUUGGACGUCAGACAACCUGGAACCACCGGACGUCUGACCAUUACCAGACGACCGGCACCACCCAACAGAGGAAAAACAUCGGAUUUUUGGCCUUUCCUAAGGUCCGACCACCGGACAUCCGACAUCCAUCGGACGUUCGACACCUGGAAAAACUGACUUCGGCUGAUUCUUAUUUCGGCCAUAACUAAUUCAUCCGAACUCCGAUUUUGACGUUCUUUAGCCCAUUUUGAAGCUCUUGACAUACCCCUUCCCACAAAAAUACUUUCAACAUCAUUUGACUCCAUCAAAUUUUCCAAAAUUUGGCAAGUUUGCCUAUGCCCUCCACCAUAUCAUCCGCAUUACCACCGUAGACUUCCGCAACCAGUGUUUGUGCCAAGCAAAGCCUUUGGGAUCAUGUUGGGUGAUAGUUGAUUUGAUGUUGCUGAAAAACAGAAACUUUUGCACCCACGAAAAUAAUUUUCAUUCUUAAUAUAAAGGCGAUCAAAUACCGAUUCUUUUUGUAGAAGAUUAAUAUACCGCCGGAGAGUAGCCCAUCACCAUCACAUCACUCAAUAUUCAUGCUUAUUUAGAUGAAUCUAUGGUUUGUAUUGGAGGGUGUAAGCUAUAUAUAGCAAAGUUGGAAUACAGUAGAUAUAAUGCGGAAAUAAAAUAUUAAUGGGUUUGCAACAGUAAUUAUAGCAGUGAUUUGCUUUCUUAUACUAACGGAUCUCACGAAGGUUUUGUUGAGUUUUGUGUGAUUGAAGUUUUCAAGUUUUGGGUGAUAUUAGGAUGGAUGAAGGAAUAAGGAGUAAGAAGAGCCUAAGCUUGGGGAUGCCCAUGGCAUCCCAAGAUAUUAUCUAAAUAUAAGCAAGCAACUAAGCUUGGGGAUGCCCGAGUGGUGUCCCCUCUUUCUUCUAACAACCAUCGGUAUUUUACUUGGAGCUAUAUUUUUAUUCGUCAUAUAUCAUGAGUUUUGCUUGGAGCAUCUUGUAUGAUAUGAGUCUUUGCUUGUUUUGCUUUUUAUUUUAAGUCAUCUAUUCUUUCUGGACACACCUAUUUGAGUGAGCCAAAAUUAUGCUAUGACUUGUUAGAAUUGCUCUCUAUGCUUCACUUAAAUCUUUAUGAGCUAUGGAAUUGCUCUAGUGCUUCACUUAUAUCUUUUUUCGCACGGUGUGCUUUAUUAUUUUUGGAGAAAUUCUCUCAUGCUUCACUUAGAUUUAUUUGAGAGUUAGUAAAUUUUUUAAGAAAUUCUCUCUUGCUUCACUUAAAUUAUUUUGAGAGAAUUUUUUUACGCUCAUGUUCUUCACUUAGAUUUGUUUGAGCUAUCAAAAGCAACAUAUGAAAUUAGUCCCAAAGUGAUAGAUAUUCAAGAGGGAUAUAAUAAAAACUUUCAUGAAGAUCAUUGGACAAAAUAAACUUGAUUCCUUGUAAUAGUUUUGCGAUAUGAUGAUAUAAUAUGCGAGUCAUGUUGAUGAGUAAUUAUGCUUUAGUAAGAAUAUUGGUGUUAAGGUUUGUGAUUCCCUAUGCAAGCACGAAAUUCAAUAGUUAUGCAAUGAAAUUACGUCCUACUUGUGGUGCAUUAUUCGGUGUUAGUUAUGCUUAAUGUUCGCUUAUGAGAAUUUUUGUUUCUUGGUUGGAUGCUUCUCAAUCUUUUGCUAGCCUUCAUUUGCACUAAGUAUGAUCACUACUUGUGCAUCCAAAAUCCUUCAAACCAGUUUUGCCAUAUGAGUCCACUAUACCUACCUAUAUGCGGUAUUCUUUUGCCGUUCUAAGCAAAUUUGUAUGUGCCAUCUCUAAUUUUCAAAAUAAACUUAUCUUUUGUGUGCUCAUACCGCUCAUGAAACGGUAGGGGGUGGCUGAUAUAUUUCCAUGCUAGAUGUGUUAUUCUCAAGAUGAGUGUUUAUUCACUUGUCAUUGCGCGAGAGUACGACAAAGGUAUUAGGGAUGCCUAGCCCGAAAUGAAAAAUGAUUUUACUUUAUGUUAUCAAAUAAUAAAUUCCUUGGAAAGUGUUCGUAUGGAAGGCACCUGUGGAUACGGUUGGCCAUGGAAAGUGAAAGUAUGAUGGAAAAAGGAAUAAACUUUAUUUUCUGUUUGGGAACCGCCUAUGAUAUAUCUAGCACGGAAAGUAUUGGAAACUACUCGAUCAUUUUCGUUGACAGGAAAAGCAUGCCACCCAAAAUGUUUUAUCUCUAUUGUUUCACUUUGAGCUUUGGCACCUCUACAAAUCCCUACUUCCCUCCGCGAAGGGCCUUUCUAUUUACUUUAUGCAAUUUUAUUUUUAUUUGAGUCUCCAUCUUCUCUUAUAAAGCACCAACUAAGGGGCACUAUGAUCGUACUUGAGCAUUGGGUGUAGCUAAUAUGCGAGUGUGUUUCAUGAUUGGAUCAAUGAUUGAGCAUAAUGGGCUAGGGAUAACUUGCUUUAGUAUUGAUAUUUUGGAAGACAUGGUUGCUUGUUGAUAUGCUUGAGUAUUGAAGUCUUCAUGUCAAAACUAGACUAUUGCUUUGAAUCAUAUAAAAGUCCAAAUGUCUAUGCUACAAAGAAAAGAAUAUGUGAUGAACCUGUUAGGCAGCAUUCCGCAUCAAAAAUUCUGUUUUUAUCAUUUACCUACUCGAGGACGAGCAGGAAUUAAGCUUGGGGAUGCUGAUGCGUCUCCAACAUAUCUAUAACUUUUUAUUGUUCCAUGCUGUUAUAUUAUCAUUCUUGUAUGUUUUACAAUCAUUUUAUAGCAACUUUAUAUCAUUUUUUGGGACUAACCUGUUGACAUAGUGCCCACUGCCAAUUGCUGUUUUUUUUGCUUGUUUUUUACUUCGCAGAAAAUCAAUACCAAACGGAGUCCAAACGUAGCGAAACUUUUUGGAGAUUUUUUCUGGACCAGAAGACACAAGAUGGGCCGAAGAAGUACCAGAGGGGUGUCCCGAGGGGGGCACAACCCAACAAGGAGCGCCUGGGGGCCCAGGCGCGCCCAGGUGGGUUAUGCCCACCUCGGUGGCCUCCCGCACCGCCUCUUUGCUCUAUAAAUACCCCAAUAUUCCAAAAAACCCCAGGGGAGUCAACGAAAAUCAAUUCCAUCCACCGCAAGUUCCAUAAAUCAUAGAUCCAAUCUAGACACCAUCACGGAGGGGUUCAUCAUCCUCAUUGGUGCCUCUCCGAUGAUACAUGAGUAGUUCAUUGUAGACCUACAGGUUCAUAGUUAGUAGCUAGAUGGCUUCCACUCUCUCUUUUGAUUCUCAAUAUAAGGGUCUCUUGGAGAUCUAUUUGAUGUAACUCUUUUUGUGUUGUGUUUGUUGGGAUCCGAUGAACUUUGAGUUUAUGAUCAGAUCUAUGUUUUUAUCCAUGAAAGUUAUUUGAGUCUUUUGAUCUCUUAUAUGCAUGAUUACUUAUAGCCUCAUAUUUUUUCUUCGAAUCUUUGGUUUAGUUAGGCCAACUAGAUCGAUUUUUCUUGCCAUGGGAGGAGGUGCUUUGUGAUGGGUUCGAUCUUACGGUGCUUGAUCCCAGUGACAGAAGGGGAACCGACACGUAUGUAUCAGAUCUUACGGUGCUUCCUUCUUGUGGUGUGUUUGUUGGGAUCCGAUGAACUUUGAGUUUACGAUCAGAUCUAUAUAUCCAUGAAAGUUAUUUGAGUAUUUGAUCUCUUAUAUGCAUGAUUAUUUAUAGCCUCGUAUUUCCUCUUUGAAUCUUUGGUUUAGUUAGGCCAACUAGAUCGAUUUUCUUGCCAUGGGAAGAGGUGCUUUGUGAUGGGUUCGUGAUGCGGCUUGAACUACGCCGAUAUUUCCCCAAAGAGGAAGGGAUGAUGCAGCACAGCUACGAUAGGUAUUUCCCUCAGUGAUGAGACCAAGGUUAUGGAACCAGUAGGAGAACCACGCACUGGUACACGUCGGUCCUAAACAAACGGUUUUUUUACCCCUUUCCGCAAUGGCAUUUGGAACCGUCGCCAAGUGAGUGUGAGCGAUAGGGGGUUCCUUCCCACACGACCCAGAAACCGUUGGGGAUAUGCCCUCCUGGCACACACGCUCGGCAAAAUGAGGUCGUGUGCGACCGGCGAGCACUCAAAUAUAGAAAUACGUACAUUAGUGCUAAAAAAAUACAAUUAUACAGGCAAAAUCAUUUCUGGUCAUAAGUACAUCCCACACAGUCAGUCACCACUAAACGUUUCCGUUCGUAUAUACAUCCCACACAGUCACUACAAGGAAAACGUUUGCGCAAGGUGGCGUAACGCAAACAGUUUUGAAGAGAAUGUCGUGUGUGAUUGUUCAUUGAUCCAACACGGUUUAUUCCUAGAAACUGUGUGCGUUGCCUUAGGUCAUCGCCCACGGUGUUUUCUCAUUAACCUUUUGCAAUAGGAAAACCCAAUUAGCAAGCUAAUUGGCCAAUUAGCGGGCUAAUUGGCCUAUUAUUAAUAAUCCAUUUACUAAUCUAAUUGACAUUCAUAUUAAGCACAUAAUAUAUUCCAUUUCCAUAUUAAGAAAGCAGGAUUUCAUAAUUGAAAUACAUCGGAGUACAACAUGAUAUAGCUUCAACACCCAGCUACCCCAUUACACAACUGCACCAGCAGCAAGUUUCACAUGCAACAUCUAGAACCUUUCAAAAUUAGCAUCAUAGACGGUACAUAGAGAGAUGCAUCUCAUCUAGAAAACUGCUGAAGCGGAAGGCGAAUAUUGAGCCUUCAUUCAUGCUGAAGGUCUUUGCAACUUUAGGCCAGUGCCUGUGGAUGAUUGACCGUCCAUCCUUCGACCUCUUCAGGAACACUUCAAUAUUGAACCGUGGGUGUUGUAUGAAAACUUUCCUCGCCUCCUGACCACAGAGGUGGUUUGAGAGGUAAUCAUCAGUGAAGUCUGAAAACAAGGAUGUGCAUAAAUAUCUUCUCUAUAUUGGAAAUGGGGCAAAGGAAUACAAAAAGGCAAGGUAUAAUAGUUAGUACCAUCUUGUAAACCUCAAUGCUUCCCAUUGUUUCCCUGCAACACAUAUAAGGUAGUUAGUCAUCAGGUUAAGUAAGGGUUCGCAUGCUAUCAGUAAAAUAUGUUGAUGAUAAAUAAGCACAUUGCAGAUUCAUCAGAUUAAUUCAAGCCACAUGGAAAACACAUUUAUCCAAACCAAGCAUGAUUAGGAACUAGGAAAUAUAGCACUUGUAUAUGUUUCUCAUGUAUCAAGUGCAGCCAAAUUCGAUUUAUUCCUCACAUGGUAUACAAUAACAGAAUGCAGCCAUAGCAAUUGAACAUCGCAUUGCAGAAUUGAACCAAGCAGUUAACUAAACACCACAACAAAUGAACCAAACGUUAACUGAGUACCACAUUGCACAAUAUAACAUACUCCUAAUAGAAGAUCAGACAUUUAACCAAACCAAGCAUGCUUAACAACUUGGAAAUAUAGCAACUGUAUUUGUUUUUCAUGUAUUUAGUACAGCCAAAUUCGAUUUAUUCCUCAUAUGGUAUACAAUAAGAGAAUGCAACCACAACAAUUGAACAUCGCAUUGCAGAAUUGAACCAAGCAGUUAACUAAACACCACAACAAAUGAACCAAACGUUAACUGAGCACCACAUUGCACAAUAUAACAUACUCCUAAUAGAAGAUCAGACAGUUAACCAAACCAAGCAUGCUUAACAACUUGGAAAUAUAGCAAUUAUAUUUGUUUCUCAUGUAUUUAGUACAACCAAAUUCGAUUUAUUCCUCACAUGGUAUACAAUAACAGAAUGCAACCACAACAAUUGAACAUCACAUUGCAGAAUUGAACCAAGCAGUUAACUAAACACCACAACAAGUGAACCAAGCCACAACAAAUGAACCAAGCAAUUAACUAAACACCAAUCGAACAAUAUAACAUACUCCUAAUAGAAGAUCAAACAGUUAACCAAACCAAGCAUGCUUAACAACUUGGAAAUAUUGCACCCUGAAGAAUUGAACAUCACAUUUGCAGAAUUGAACCAAGCAGUUAAUUGAACACCACAUUGCACGACAUAAAGAACAUAUACACUAUAGCAGAAGAUUUCAUGGUGAAAGUAGAUAGCACAAUUCACUAGAAUUUGUUAAGGAAAGGCAGUAGCUAGCAAAACUGAACAUGGGUCCUUAUAGUGAGCUAAUAAGACAAGCUAGUCCUCAUUGUCGGAGAUAACGAUGAUGAUUGGCUCCUUGGACAUGGAAGAGGGCGAGGCCUCCGGAUCGUGGGUGCCCUCGUUGUAGUGGUGAGUUGCUUGAGCCGCUCCGGGCACCAACCUACUGGCUCUCGAGAUGAGGUAAGCACGUGCACGCUGAGAAAACACCUCGUAGUCUUCGUCGAAGGCACCGACGGUGGCCUCGAGAAAACACCACAAACUAUCAUUUAAAGCAGCCAACUGCAUCGCGGCGCCGGCGCGGGAGGCGUCAACGGUGGCCUCGACGGCGAGGUGCUCCUCCAAGAUCUGGGGGUUGGCACGAAUGGCAGCCAUCGCGACCUCAUCCGCGUGUGUGGCCGCAAUUUGCUUCUCUGCUGCCAAAUGCUCCUUGAGGUCCUGGCUAUAUUGCGUGCACCAUGGAUUAGGCCGGCGCUUAUUUGGUGGAGGGGUCGGUGAUUUGGGUGGUAGGUGUCGCACUCGCGCCGGCGGUCAGGGCAUGUGGGAUGUGGAAGGAGGAGGAGGAUGGGGGUCGGGUGUGGAUUACCUGCCUGGAUAGGCGAGGCCGAGCAGCGUGAAGGAGGGUCGCUGGUGAGGAGGCGGCAGCGCUGCAAGCAAGGAGUGAAGGUUUCAACUUGGAAAGGAAGGCGGAAAGGGGGGAAAUGUGGCUUUUGGUAAGGGGGGGCGGGGAGGUAGAUAUUUCCCCGGAAGCCAAAAAUUUGGAAUCCCUUCAGACAAAAAACUGGCGCGCAAAGUGUCAUCAGACACGGUUCCUUAUUUAGACACGGUCCGAAUAUAUUUUGUGCUGUAUCUCACACGGUUGGUUAUAAUAAACUGUGUGGGAUGUACUUGAUUUUUCGUCUUGAUUUUAAUUACAUAAUGGGGUCACAACGGCCAUGGACGGUGUUUGAAUUGCUAGACCUUUUAUCUGCAGUGAUCAUAAAAGAAUUGGAAUUAUUCAGGGUUCCUUUGGACAUUUUUAUGCAUUAAAUGAGUUUUCAAUGCAUUUAUGUGCAUAAUUCAAAUUUGAACUACAUGCACAUGCUCCAGUGCAUAUAAAUUGAUUGAAAAAUCAAAUCUUUGUCCUUGGGUGCAUGCUUAGGUCCCAUGCAAGAAAUGGGAAUGAAUGUCAAACACCAGGGCACGGUUGAUUGCCGGCAAAACAUUGAGAUGCCUGGUUUUUAAAUUCUAUUAAAUGCAAAACUCGUCUGAAAUUCAUGAAACUUGGCAUGCUAUCAUGGAGCGGCAUCAACAUGCCGUGGUACAAAUUUUGUCCCAUUUGGGGCAGGUUUGGGUAUAUGCUUCUCACAAACCGGAGCUUCUCACAACAAGCAUGAUGGUUUUCGGUAGGGAACGUCCCACCUUUGGGGACGAAACGAUAUCCAUUGCCUCUUAUUGCUUUCAAGUUUUUUUCUCGUGUCAACAUAGAACAACAGGAGUGUUGUGUGAAUUUUUGUGAUUUUUCGGGGUUCAUUUGGACAUUUUUAUGCAUUAACUGAGUUUUCAAUGCAUUUAUGUGCAUAAUUCAAAUUUGAACUACAUGCGCAUGCUCCAGUGCAUAUAAAUUGGUUGAAAAAUCAAAUCUGUGUCCUUGGGUGCAUGCUUAGGUCCCAUGCAAAAAAUGGGAAUGAAUUUCAAACACCCGGGCACCGUUGAUUGCCGGCAAAACAUUGAGAUGCAUGGUUUUUAAAUUCUAUUAAAUCCAAAACUCGUCUAAAAUUCAUGAAACUUGGCAUGCUAUCAUGGAGCGGUAUCAACAUGCCGUGGUACAAAUUUUGUCCCAUUUGAGGCAGGUUUGGGUAUAUGCUUCUCACAAACCGGAGCUUCUCACAACAAGCAUGAUGGUUUUCGGUAGGGAACGUCCCACCUUUGGGGACGAAACAAUAUCCAUUGCCUCUUAUUUCUUUCAAUAUUUUUCUCGUGUCAACAUAGAACAACAGGAGUGUUGUGUGAAUUUUUGUGAUUUUUCGGGGUUCGUUUGGACAUUUUUAUGCAUUAACUGAGUUUUCAAUGCAUUUAUGUGCAUAAUUCAAAUUUGAACUACAUGCCCAUGCUCCAGUGCAUAUAAAUUGGUUGAAAAAUCAAAUCUGUGUCCUUGGGUGCAUGCUUAGGUCCCAUGCAAGAAAUGAGAAUGAAUUUCAAACACCAGGGCACGGUCGAUUGCCGGCAAAACAUUGAGAUGCCUGGUUUUUAAAUUCUAGUAAAUCCGAAACCCAUCUGGAAUUCAUGAAACUUGGCAUGCUAUCAUGGAGCGGCAUCAACAUGCCGUGGUACAAAUUUUGUCCCAUUUGGGGCAAGUUUGGGUAUAUGCUUCUCACAAACCGGAGCUUCUCACAACAAGCAUGAUGGUUUUCGGUAGGGAAUGUCCCCACCUUUGGGGACGAAACGAUAUCCAUUGCCUCUUAUUGCUUUCAAUUUUUUUUCUCGUGCCAACAUAGAACAACAGGAGUGUUGUGUGCUUUUUUGUGAUUUUUCGGGGUUUGUUUUGACAUUUUUAUGCAUUAACUGAGUUUUCAAUGCAUUUAUGUGCAUAAUUCAAAUUUGAACUACAUGUGCAUGAUCUAGUGCAUAUAAAUUGGUUGAAAAAUCAAACCUGUGUCCUUGGGUGCAUGCUUAGGUCCCAUGCAAGAAAUGGGAAUGAAUUUCAAACACCAGGGCAUCGUUGAUUGCCGGAAAAACAUUGAUAUGCCUGGUUUUUAAAUUCUAGUAAAUCCAAAACUCGUCUGAAAUUCAUGAAACUUGGCAUGCUAUCAUGGAGCGGCAUCAACAUGCCGUGGUACAAAUUUUGUCCCAUUUGGGGCAGGUUUGGGUAUAUGCUUCUCACAAACCGGAGCUUCUCACAAGAAGCAUGAUGGUUUUCGGUAGGGAACGUCCCACCUUUGGGGACGAAACGAUAUCCAUUGCCUCUUAUUGCUUUCAAUUUUUUUCUCGUGUCAACAUAGAACAACAGGAGUGUUGUGUGAAUUUUUGUGAUUUUUUGGGGUUUGUUUGGACUUUUUAUGCAUUAACUGAGUUUUCAGUGCAUUUAUGUGCAUAAUUCAAAUUUGAACUACAUGCGCAUGCUCCAGUGACUAUAAAUUGGUUGAAAAAACAAAUCUGUGUCCUUAUGUGCAUGCUUAGGUCCCAUGCAAGAAAUGAGAAUGAAUUUCAAACACCAGGGCACUGUUGAUUGCCGGCAAAACAUUUAGAUGCCCCGUUUUUAAAUUCUAGUAAAUCCAAAACUCGUCCAGUGCGCAGGUUCACCGGGAAGCGUGCGAGAUGUUCAACGCAGGAUUUGUGCAUCUCUUCAACGCAAACGGUUCAGUGAAGCAGUAAAGCGGAAGAAAAUAAACAAAAAAAUAUACGUGCUGCCACACACCCUGUGUGUCGUGCGAGCAGGCAUGAGUUGACGGGACGCAUGCGAGUAGUCCGCCGCACAGGCAUACCGAGAGGCGUGCGUGCAUGUGUGUGUAUUGACGGGGAGGCGUGCGAGUAGCUGUGUGAAAUGAUGGUAGGAAUGGCAGACGUCCGCCGCGCAGGCUCAUCGAGAGGCGAGACAACUUUUGACCGCAGCCUGCCUCGCUCCCACUGGUCCGUAUUAAUUGUGCGCCCGAGCCGCCGGCCGUAAUAGGCGGCCGCACCCCCGGUCCACCGUGGUCACUGACGUCUGGACUCCUGAGUGUAUGACGAUGCCGCCGAAGCGCACCAUCGGAGGGAGUGGCGACGCAGGGACUGGUGAAGCACCCGCACAAUGCGUCAAGCUGGCCACAGAGGUUUCCGUCGCCGCCGACGAGGUCUCGUGCGGGCAGCAGCACGACCUUGAAUUCGUCGGCGCCGUCGUGCCCCCAGCUGGAGCCGGCAGUCAACAGCAACUCUGGCAACAACUGCGACUCCGACGGAAAACCGGUUAGUCACCUACAUAUAUGUUUGUGCCUUUUUUCUUCCUGAUCUUGGGAAUUGAUUUCGAAUGUCCUACAUGUUAUGCCAUUUUUUCUUUCAGAUUGGUAUGAACACAGAUGGGGCUCCGACCAGCGCCACCGCCGGAUGUAGAUCUUUGACCCGGCUGUGCGGCCAGAAGCGCCCCCUUGGACCUGAGGAACCAGUAGAAUCUCCGGCGGACCGCAUCAGCGAUCUCCCAGACGGAAUCCUUGGGGAGAUCAUCUCCCUUCUCCCCACCAAGGAUGGCUGCCGCGCACAAGUCCUCGCAUCUCGGUGGUGCACUCUGUGGUGCACCACGCUUCUUAAUCUCGACUGUCGUCAGCUAUCUGUCGAUGAUGAUUCUGAACUCCCCGGAGCCAUCAUCUCCUCCCACGGGGGUCCGUUCAACGCAUCUGCAUCCCGACAUGCUACCUGCUAGACAUACCCUGCACAGUGGCCGCCUGCCUGACAUCCCGUCAAUUCGAUAAACUCCAGCAGCUUGAGUUCUACCAUUACAGCGAUAGGUUUCCACCAAGAGCCGCAUCUGUGCCCUCACCAUCGAUGCCCAUCUCAUGGUUUUCCUCCUCUCUCCACACCGUCACCUUGACCCGGUGCCAUCUAGCAGACUAUUUGGUACAAAUGCUUCGACUGCCAGUGCUGAAAAAACUUGCACUUGUGUUGGUUGAUCUGUCGGUGGCCUCACUUCACAGCAUCAUCCACUCUAGCUGCCCUGCACUGCAGCGUUUGGUGCUUGUUUUUGGAAUAGGAAUCCAUAUCCCUUGUCUCAAAAUAAAGUCGUCUCACCUUGUAAGCAUUGGAAUUCAUUUUGAAGGACAUGAGCUCAUCAUCGAAGACGCCCCUUCACUUCAAAGGUUGCUCCUUAAUUGUUGUUAUAAACCUUCACAAAUAACUGUGGUCCCUACGCCUAAACUGGAGACCUUGGGUGCAAUUAGUGAUCUGUUUGAAUGGUCCGAGAUGGUGUUUGCCUCCACACCUAUUGAGGUAUUGUAUAUUAUUCACGUACACUUUUGUAAUUUGCAUUUUUCAUUUGCGCGCAUAAGUUAAGCAUCAUCUUGGAGUACACUUUUAGUGCUAAUAUUAUGUUCUAUGCUCAAUGAAGCGCUUGUCCAUCCUAUCAGUGGUGGUGGAUUCUGUCAAGACCUUAUAUAUCACUAUGUGGUGUUUUGAUCUCAACAUCAUUAUUGCCUUGCUGCAAUGCUUUCCAUGUCUGGAGAAUUUGUAUAUGAAGGUGAUGAUUUCACGCACAUUGAAAGCCCAUAUAUAAUGUACUAUAAUUAAUCAUUCAGCUAUCACUCUUUCAACAUAAUCUUUUUUAGAUAUUAACUGUUUUCAAUCUUCAUCUCUAUUUAGGCACCAACACAUGGAAAAAAAGGUAUAACCAAUCAAUGGUUCAAGAAGCACCGGGAUUUUCUCAGAUCUCACAACAUUCGUUUGAAGACAGUAACACUGGAAGGAUAUGCAUCCAACAAUGCAAACACUAGCUUUGUCACAUUCUUCAUGUUGAAUGCGAGGGCACUAUUGUCCAUGAGGAUUAAGUUUUUCAACAAGAAAUUUCUUACGGCUGCAGGUGUUGAACAACAUAAAAAGAAGUUUCAUGUGGACCUAAGGGCUUCUGAUCGUGCUCGGCUUCUAUUUACAACAACUUGUCAUCAUGGACCAGUAGAAUUUCUGGCCGUUGAUCUUGAUUUUAUGGAUCAGACCGAUCCAUUUGAUUGUGACUGCCGAAAACUUUGGUUGAGUAAGAUGUCAUUGUCCUAUUCAAUCUAGAUUUUGUCUAAACCUGAUGAGCAAUUAAUCCUCGUGCUUUUGUAUUGUUUGUUAGCUGGAGUUAGAUAUUGUUGCCCUUUUCAACUCGGCUUUGACCCAUAUUUUCUUUCAUACUGGGCCAAUGGCUUGCCAUUUCUUUAAUUAAGACAUAAAUAUUAUAAGCAUUCACAACAUAGGCAAAGAACAUCACUCUCGCGGGAUCCUUGAGAUCUUUGUUCAUUACAGAACCACAAGUUUUUAGUGCCCACCAACACCCACAAACUUAUUUUCAGCUUGCACACCAAGGGUUGUAAUUCUUAAUAAGAAAAGCUGCAUGGUAGUCACAUAUUUGGAUUUACCAUUUGGGAUCCACGAGGAAAAAGCCUAUCCAGGGCAGUGCCGACUCGACAGUAAACAUUGAGAAACCUGGUUUUAAAAUUACUGUAAAUCCAAAACUCGCCUCAAAAUCAUGAAACUUGGCAUGGUGUUAUGUCAUAGCACCAACAUGUUGUGGUAAAAAACUAGUCCAAUUUGGGUCAAGUUUUGGUACAAUCUUCUUACAAACCGGAGCCAUUCUAAUUAUUGUGGUAAUUUCUAGCUUACUUCUCUUUUUAUUGGUUAACUCGUCAAAUACUUUUUAUAUAUAAUAGAUGUGUGUGCCCGUCUAGCACACACACACGUUGAUCUAUCUAACUGUUUCAGUUGUUGUGGCUAAUCGCAAACAGUUCAUCCAUGUAAAGUGUAUGCCAUCAAUCGCAGACACUUUGAUCUGGCUGGCCGGUUUCUGUUCUGUUGCCUAAUCGCAAACAGUUAAUCCUUCUAAAGCAUAUGCCCUCAAUCACACACACCUUGAUCUGGCUGACCGUUUCUUUUGUGUUGCCUAAUCACAAACAGUUCAUCCGAGUGAACCGUAUGCUUUAUGUCGCACACGCCUUCAUCAGGCUGCCCGUUUCUUUUGUUCCGCCUCAUCGCAAACAAUUCAUUGGAUUGAACCAUAUGCCCUGGAUCGCACACGCAACUAAAAUCUGAACCGUGUUUGAUGGCUCCGCCAUCGCAAACGUUUUGCACCUUUUUUGACGGUUCUUUUACACCACCGUUUGCGAUUAUUGCAUCGCACAAAGUUUCUCGAAGGGUCUCUAAUUGUAGUGUCGUGUUAGCAGCAUCCUGCAGUAGUGACGCAACACCACGUAAACAGCUCCUGCACACAAAGAACAAAUACUUGCAACCCGAUGUAAGAGAGGGGUUGUCAAUCCCUCACGGUAAAAAGAUAGGUAAAAUUGUAGUAGAUUGAGGUCUAUUUCUACAUAAAUAGAUCUUGUCUACAUCAUGUCAUCGUUCUUAUUGCAUUACUCCAUUUCUCCAUGAACUUAAUACACUAGAUGCAUGCUGGAUAGCGGUCGAUGUGUGGAGUAAUAGUAGUAGAUGCAGGCAGGAGUCGGUCUACUAAUCUUGGACGUGAUGUCUUGAUGUCUACUACGCAACUUUAUUCUUGUAGACACGUGUUGGGCCUCCAAGCGCAGAGUUUUGUAGGACAGUAGCAAUUUUCCCUCAAGUGGAUGACCUAAGGUUUAUCAAUCCGUGGGAGCCGUAGGAUGAAGAUGGUCUCUCUCAAACAAUCCUGCAAUCAAAUACAAGAAAUCUAUUGUGUCCCCAACACACCCAAUACAAUGGCAAUUUGUAUAGGUGCACUAGUUCGGCAAAGAGAUGGUGAUAAAAGUGUAAUAUGAAUGGUAGAAAUAUAUUUUUAUAAUCUGAAUAAAUAAAAACAACAAGGUAGCAAAUAGUAAAUAGGCACAAAAACGGUAUUGCAAUGCUUGAAAAUGAGGCCUAGGGUCCGUACUUUCACUAGUGCAAUCUCUCAACAGUGCUAAUAUAAUUGGAUCAUAUAACCAUCCCUCAACGUGCAACGAAGAAUCACUCCAAAGUUCCUAUCUAGCGGAGAACAUAGGAAUAAAUUGUUUGUAGGGUACGAAACCACCUCAAAGCUAUUCUUUCUGUUUGAUCUAUUCAAGAGUCCGUACUAAAAUAACACAAAGCUAUUCUUUCCGUUCGAUCUAUCCUAGAGUUCGUACUAAAAUAACACCAAAGCAAAUUCAUAUUCAUAAUACUCAAUCCAACACAAAGAACUUCAAAGAGUGCCCCAAGAUUUCUACCAGAGAAACAAAGACAAGAACGUGCAUCAACCCCUAUGCAUAGAUUACCCCAAUGUCACCUCGGCAAUCCGCGAGUUGAGUGCCAAAACAUAUAUCAAGUGAAUCAAUACGAUACCCCAUUGUCACCACGAGUAUUCAAUUGCAAGACAUAUAUCAAGUGUUAUCAAAUCCAUAAAAGUAUUCAAUCCGAUAACAACAAAAUCUCAAAGGAAAAACACAAUUCAUCACAAGAUAGAGAGGGGAAAACACCAUAUGAUCCGACUAUAUUAACAAAGCCCGCGAUACAUCAAGAUCGUGACAUCUCAAGAACACGAGCGAGAGAGAGAGAUUAAACACAUAGCUACCGGUACAAACCCUCAGCCCCGAGGGUGGACUACUCCCUCCUCAUCGUGGUGGCCGCCGGGAUGAUGAAGAUGACCACCGGACAUGAUUCCCCCCUCAGGCAGGGUGCCGGAACGGGGCUGAAAGUGCGUUAUAUCGACUAGAGGGGGGUGAAUAAGCGAUUUUUAUGAAUUCUUCACUGAGGAAUUUUUGGGUGAGGAAAUUCCUGAGUGAAGAACGACUUGCAGCGGAAUAAGUACUCAGAUGUAAACAUAACAGAACACAAGCAUGGUCAUCAUGAAGAAAUGAAGACAAGCACAGAGUACAGAAAGCGUAAACACAGGAUGAAGACAAUCAGACUGAAGAAAUUGAACUGAGGAAAUUGAGAAAGUCUUCAGUCAAAGUCUUCAAAACAGAUAUGAACAAGUGCACAACAUAGUAAUGAGGAAAUGGAAGAGUUGAGGAAAUAGAACCAGUAGGCUUGGUGAAGACAAUGAUUUGGUAGACCAGUUCCAACUGCUGUGAUAGUUGUACGUCUGGUUGGAGCGGCUAGGUAUUUAAACGUGAGGACACACAGUCCCGGACACAUAGUCCUCACCGUAUUCUCCUUGAGCUAAGGUCACACAGACCUCGCCCAAUCACUCGUGGUAAGUCCUUAGGUGACUUUCAAACCUUCACAAACUCGGUCACUCGGUGAUCCACAAUUUCCUCUUGGAUGCUCUAGACCAUGACGCCUAACCGUCUCGAAGAUGCACAGUCUUCAAAGGUAACAAGCGUCGGAUCCACGCAGGAUCAAUCUCUUCAGUGACGCUCAAUCACUUUGGGUUUGUAGGUGUUUGGGUUUGGGUUUUCCUCAGUUGAUGAUUUUCGCUCAAAGUCCUCGAAGGAUGGGAUGCUCUCAAAUGACAAGUGUCAGUUUCUCUCGGAGCAGCCAACCAGCUAGUGGUUGUAGGGGGCGGCUAUUUAUAGCCUAGGGAGCAGUCCGACAUGAUAAGACAUAAAUGCCCUUCAAUGAUAUGACCGUUAGGUGGGUAGAUAUUUUGGGACAGCUGGCGCGUAGCACAACAACGGUCGGAAUUUUGAGUAUCAAAUACCUCAGGGCUAUCAUGUUCCUCACUGUGUAGGCAAUCCGCACUGGCGAAUUCCUAACUCCUCAGUCAGAAAAAAUUCCUCAGAGACUAGAAGAACUUCGUCUCUGUCACUGAAGAAAUUGACUGAACUGUAUGAGAAAUGGCUUCACUCGAAGGGAUUGGUAGGUGUAGGAUUUUGAGUUGAGCAUCACAUGGAAAUUUUUCCUUAGUAUUUCCUCGACCCCCUUUAACAGUACGGUGUUUCUUAUGACUCAAGAAAGAGAAAAUGAAACUACGAAAACAAAAAUCUUCAUGCUUCAUGUUCCUCGUAUGAAUACCAAGUCUUCAGGUCACACCAAUUUCUUCACUUUCAAAGUCUUCAGAAAGUCUUCAGAAUACCAAAAUCUUCAGUCGAAGAUAUUCAUUUUUAGGGGUCGACUUUCUCUGUAAAUAUCAAACUCCUCAUAGACUUAUAGACCUGUGUACACUCAUAAACACAUUAGUCCCUUAACCUAUAAGUCUUCAAUACACCAAAAUCACUAAGGGGCACUAGAUGCACUUACAGUCUCCCCCUUUUUGGUGAUUGAUGACAAUAUAGGUUAAGUUUUCAAUGGGGAUAAUCAUAUGAAGUGUAAAUACUGAUAUUGAGGAAUUUUAUUGCAAGAUAUAGAAGAACUCCCCCUGAAGAUGUGCAUAGUGAGGAAUUUACUUUUGAAGCAAUGCACACUUGAAGAGUAGAAUCAUGGAGAUCCCCCUAUAUCUUGUAAUUUAUACACGCAUUUGACAUAUAAUAUGAAGAAUUUGAAAUGCAUGAUGAAAUAUGGUGACUGAUGUAAUUCAACAUGCGAGCAUUAAUGUCAGUGAGGAAUAAGCAUGCAGAAGAACACAACAAAAGUAUCAGACCACCAUAGAGUUUAAGUCUACAACUCGAUCGAAUAAAGUCUCAGAAGAACGAGAGUUGUAACUUAGCAAAAAACGCCCAUAUAGAUAGACCUGCUUGAAGACUAACUCAAAUUUCUCCCCCUUUGUCAUCGAAUGACCAAAAGGAUCGAAAAUGAGGAUUAACGCCCCUGAAGAAUAUCAAGUUGAAGAAGGAGCGCCAGCGUUGUUGGGGUCGUUUGAUGUUGUAGGGCCUGCCGCAGUGUUGUCCAAGUCUUCAUACUCGUCGGUGUCGCGUGAUGAAGAAUAGGAGCUGGCCACCAAGGAAGGAACCUUGACCUUCUUGUAUUUCUUCGGUGGAGGUGCAGACCAGUCAAAAUCCUCCUUGAGACCCAUUUGCUUCAGAUCUACUUCACCAUAUAGAUGUGACAGAAUAGCCCAGGUGUGACCGAAGACUUCAUGGAGGUAGUAAUGGUUUUUCUUCACUGCAUUAUGUGUAGCAGUCAUGUUGUGAAGAAUAGAACCAACCUGAUGCUUAACCCAUUUAUGGUUUCGAUCCACCUUCUGGUGAAGACUGAGAAGAAGCUCACGGUCAGUCAUCACUCUUGGAGCUGUGGCUUGAGGAUUUGGCUUGGAUCAUUGGCAGCAGAAUCAUGAGUGGCAGAGUCAUCAUUGGUGGAAUAAGAUGCAGCUUUGCGAAACUGACCAUCCAAUGGACGAAUGCCUUCAUCUAUAACAGCGGCGGCCUUGCCCUUGUCAUCAGCUGAGGAAAAUGUCCUUUUGAGGACUUCGAUGGGGGGCAAGUAGCUGCCAUGGUUGAGAGUGUCAGCCUUGUAGUUGAGUGAAGACCUUGUUCUGAUGAAUCUCAUAAUCCAAGGUGCGUAAGGCUUCAACUCAAACGGAGAGAGUGCAACAUUUGCCAGAGUCCUCAUGAAGAGAUCAUGAUUAUUGACAGGAAUGCCAUGAAUGAUGUCGAAUAGCAGAUUCUUCAUGAUGCCAACAAUUUCCUCAUCAGAUGAGUCGUGGCCUUUGAUUGGACUCAUAGUCUUCGUCAGAAUGCGAUAGACUGUUCUGGGUACAUACAACAAUUCCUUCACGAGGAAUUUGGUCCUUGGGGCUUGACCGGGCUUCAGAGGCUUCAUAAGCACUUGCAUGUAAUGAGCAGUGAGUUUAGGCUCCUGGUACAGGCAGCGAGCUCCUUCAAGGGGUGGACUGAUGGGCAGGGCGUGAAGUAAUUCAGAGGCCGGUGCCUUAUAAUGAGUGUUUUCGGUCAUCCAGUCCAACGCCCAAGAGUUGAUAUCAUCAGCAUCGCCUGUGAUGUGCAGGGUUGCAUAGAAUUGAAGAAUGAGCUCUUCAUUCCAAUCACAAAUAUCCAUGCAAAAGUUGAGCAAUCCUGCAUCAUGAAGCACACUGAGGACUGGGAUAAACACAAGGCAUUGAUUCCAUGUCGACGUGAGGAAUAUGCUCGUGGUCGAAGACUUUGUCCUUGUUGAAGAGUAGUGAAGAAUAAAAAUUUUCUUGGCUGGCAAUCCAGAACCGCUUCCUUCUAAGACGAGCAGAGUCAUAUGGGUUGAAGUCAGUGAAGAACACAUGCUCGCCGAAGAAGUCAUCAGCCUUGAAUUUCUGCUUCUUCGAGAAGGGAUCCUUUGGCUUGGGCUGAGGAGUAUCAGUCAAUUGCAUCACCACCUCAGGAAUCACAAUCUCAGGCUCCAUAGGCUGAGGAAUUUCAGGUUCUUCUUCAGUGACAGCCUGGGUCUUUAAUUCUUCAUUAACAUUUUCUUCAGCACUAGUGGCUGGAAUCUCUUCAUGGACAGACGGGGUUGCACGAGGUUCUUCAGAUCCCAUUUGUACUUCAGUAUUGUCAGGGGACUGAGGAAUUUGUUGCAGUGGUGUGAACAGAGGAGAGUUGGGGUGCUGACUUUCCCAAAAGUCAUCAUUCAGCACUGGUGUUGUACACCCAAUGUCCACAUCUUCAUCUUCACUCUUUUCCUCAACGCCGUCCUCUUCAGCAGUGAACUGAGGCAUGGGCGAUGAGACUAUUGGGGUUGAAGGGAUUGCAUCCGCUUCAAUUUCUUCAUCCAACUGCUCUGACGAAGCAGCAGAAGGAAUCUCUUCAUCUGAUUCACGUGGAACCACAUAUUCUUCAUCAAAAGGAGCAAGGUCCUUUGAUGGCAUGGAUGAGACCGGAAUAGCAUCAAUUGGAUUUGCAAAAGAGCUGGUCAAUGGCUUCAUCUUCUUCGGAGCUGAAGAAUCUGAUGAAGUUGAUGCUUUCCUUUUCUUCACUGCUGCAUGCUCUGCAGCCUUGGUUUUCUUCACAUCUGAUGCAGACAGAAGGAUCGGAGUUGGGGUAGGUGCAGGAGGAGCAGAGGAAUUUGGUCCAAUUACUUCAGGCACAACUGAUGCAGUUGCCCUGACUUCUUCAGUCUCUUCAGGCGCAACACUAGUGGUUGCCCUGUCAAUUUCUUCAGCGGGUGGAAUGCAGUCAUCAGCCCUGGUACUCUGAGUUUCUUCAGCAGCCUGGAUGUCAUCAGCGGUGCUAGCAUGUUCUUUAGUCGGCUGAGCAGAAGCCUCAGCCUGAGGAUAUUCUUGUUGCGUUGGGGCUGCAACAUUGGAAGUGAACUUCUCAGUUAUCUUUACAAAUCUGACUUUGGCUCCAAGCCAGUCAGCAUAGUAGCGAUCAAAUUCAUCACUUAGUUGCUUGGUCUCAGAUUGAAGAGCAACAAGUUCUUCAGGUGAAAGCUUUAGAACGUUUUGCUUCAGAAAGCGCUCUUUCUUGUACUGCGCUUUCUUCACUCUCAUUCCUUGUUCAAAUUUCCAUUUUUCUUCUUCAAUGAAGGCAGUCAAAACAUGACUUUGACCAGGAGUGAGAUUCAUCUCCGGCAAAGGUGUGUUGGGGUCCUGGUGCCAUAGAUCGAUGAAGUCUAGGAUCAACUUCGGAUCCAGUAUCAUUGGCACAUUGCUGCCUAUGGCUCUAGUGGCCCUGAGCUGCCCGUCUCUGAUGAUUUCGGCAAGUUCCUCAUCAUUAGCUUCAUCAUCUUCGGACGGUAUUUGAAAGGCGACCUGCUUCUUGUGAGGACUUGGUCGAGUGCCUCGUCCAGCAGUGGCCUUUUUCUUUAGCAUAGAGGGGCCAGUUGAAGAAUUUGGUGGAGCUGAAGAACUAGCAGAAGUUCCUGAGGCAAUCGAGAUGCCUGCUGUCCUUUGGCACGUGGCGAGAUGCACAGGUGCAGAGGAUUUUGUCGGAGGAGCUGAGGACUUUGGCCGAGGAGCUGGAGCAGCUUGAGGAGUUGGCCGUGAGGGCUUUGAAGAAUCUGGCCGUGAGGGCAUUGCUGAGGAACUUGGCCGGGAGGGCAUUGAGGAUGAAGCACUUGGCUUAUGAGCAUGCUUCUUUGCCAUGGCCUUCUUUGGCUUGACAGCAGAGGCCUCAGCAGUGGUAGCAGCAACAGAGUCUUCAUUAAAUUUCCUCACUGCUUCCUUAGCUAUUUUGGCUAGCUUGGCCUAGCGCUUGGCCCAUUCAUCAUGAUAGUCCUCACCACGCUUGAGGCUGGUGGGAUUAGCUUCUUGGCCAGGUGCCAAUGGAGGUAUUGGGCAUGGAGGAUUUAGAGCGAAUUUCUUCAUGUACUUGGGAGUAACAUACCUGUACUCCCUCCAUUCCCGUGCCCAUCUCCUCUCUAUCCUUUGUAUGCGCACCUUGCGCUGAUUUUUGUCCUCCUUGCCAAACUUGGCCUCAUCAGGAGUGCAAUAAUCCUUGUAUAUGUCAUCAGGGAUCUCAAAAGCAGUAUUGACCUCAGGCCUCUUUCCUCCCUUCUGUGGCUUUUUACCAUCAGCCAUUUUCUUCAGCUGAGGAAUAUGAACAACAGAAUUUUCUGAAGAGGUGUGCAACUUUUCUUCGAGGAACGCUGCAAAUGAGUUAAGUUGAGGAGAACCUAGUGAUUCAGCAGCGGACAUGAGUACCUGUGAACAGAGUAUAGUUGCGAGGAAUUUGGAGAGGUCAUAUGCAUUCUCAGAAGGUUUUUCAAAAAGAACAAGUUUGAGGAAUUUGACCAGAUGUGUCUUGAAGAAUUUCACUAAGCGUUCUUUGUCUUAGGUUCCAAAGUUGUACAGAUUGAAAAUCCACACAAUUGAGGAAUCUUGAAAAAUGUUGCUUAGAGAAACGGCUCAAGAACAGAUGACAUGUGAGGUGUUUAGUGUGUGAGAAUUUGAAGAAUAAACACCUUUGAAGAUUUUGUAGUAAACAUUUGAAUCAAAGAGGGCAGUAAAAGUAACUUUUAAUUACCCUGGAUAAAGAACACGACGAACUGGGAAGUGUAGAUGUGAAGUUCGUCAGUUCAGAUCUUCCAAGCCCUAACUCGGCAGAGGGAAGACAGCUACGGCGGCGGCGGAGUGAAGAAAUCCGCAGCCGACGCGAAUACGACGACGACGAGGUCGAGGCAGUGAAGCUCUUCCUCACCGGCGAUGAUGGAAGUAGCGGCGGCACUAGGUUUUGGGAAGCUCGAGCGGAGUAAAAGUGAAGUGAGGAAGGGGAGGGGUAUUUAUAGUCGGAGUGAAAAAACUGUUCGCCCGAUGAAAUUGGACGAACAUGCCCCUGACCCUUCCCAUUCGCUUGACAUGUGUCACCCACGUACUGAGAGGUGGCGAUCGUGUGAGAUCAUGGGUGAAUAGAUAAACAUUUCACAGAAUGCAGAACGGUUUGAGUGGCAAAGACGAAAAUUUAGAUAAGAUAGGUUUUAAAGUACCGUUCGCAAAUUCUUCAGCUGACAAGGACACAGUGAAGAUUUUGAACGAGUUUCAAAUAGACGCACAUGAAGAAUUUGUGAAUAGACUGGGUUGAGUUUAGCAUAGAGGGGGAAGGGUCCAAUCACAUUCACUUAGCAGAAAGAGCAACUUGAAGAAUUAGCAAUAAGUGAAUGCUGUAGAAGACAUAAACUCUCUCUCUAUAUAUAAAUAGCCAAUGAAGAAAACCGACGGAAAUGGUGAAGACAAUGCAAAGUUGAAGAAAAUGAACAACUGAGGAAUUUCAACUGAGGAAAAACUCAAUUGAAGAUUUUCAACUUUUGGUGGUGGCGUAACCCACCGUGUAAGAAUGAUGAUUUCAGACACCGCGUACAAUUGUUGUAGGGCUCUGAGAAUCAAAUUCUUCGUUAAUUUCUUCACACUUAGAGUGUUAGUCUUCAUUGAUUGAAGAAAAACAUUUCUUCAUGUGUUGCACAUCUAAGUCAUCAAUUUUGCAUAAGUGUUAGGAUGAGUGUUCUUUUCAAAGAACAUUCGAAGAUUCUAGGAUAUUUAGCUCACACCUCAACUUUCUAAAUCGCUUCUCAUCCAAGGCUUAGUGAAGAUAUCGGCUAGCUGUUCUUCAGUCCGUACAUGCUCAAUAGAGAUGUCGCCCUUCCAAACAUGAUCAUGAAGAAAAUGAUGACGAAUUUGAAUGUGCUUAGUCUUCGAGUGCUGAACUGGGUUGUGAGCAAUCUUGAUUGCACUCUCAUUGUCACAGUAGAGAGGCACAUUCUUCAUGUUGACGCCAUAGUCCUUGAGAGUUUGCUUCAUCCAUAGCAAUUGAGCACAGCAAGAACCAGCAGCAAUGUACUCAGCUUCUUCAGCAGUAGACAGUGAUACGUAGUUCUGUUUCUUCAAGGACCAACAGACCAAUGAUCGUCCGAGGAAAUGGCAUGUGCCUGAUGUUGACUUGUGAUCCACACGAUCACCAGCAUAGUCAGAGUCUGAAUAUCCAAUGAGAUCAAAAGCCGAGCCCUUGUGGUACCAUAAUCCAAGUGUUGGUGUGUGAGCUAGAUAUCGAAGAAUAUGCUUCACAGCCUUAUGGUGUGAUUCCUUCGGUGUAGCUUGAAAUCGGGCACACAUGCAAACACUAAGCAUAAUAUCUAGCCUAGAUGCACAUAAAUACAAUAAAGAACCAAUCAUGGAGCGGUAUACCUUUUGAUCGAAGUCAAUACCAUUUUCAUCAGUGCAUAGAUGGCCAUUUGUGGGCAUUGGAAUUUUGACCCCUUUGCAAUCUUGCAUGCCGAAUUUCCUCAGUACAUCCUUGAGGUAUUUCUCCUGAGAUAUGAAUAUGCCAUUGUGCUGUUGACGAAUUUGAAGACCUAAGAAGAAUUUCAAUUCUCCCAUCAUAGACAUUUGAUAUUCUUCACUCAUCAUAUAGGCAAAUUCAUCACUGUAACGUUGGCCAGUACAACCAAAGAUAAUAUCAUCAACAUAAAUUUGGCACACAAACAAUUCACCAUCAUAAGAUUUAGUGAAAAGAGUAGGGUCAAGUGAACCGGGUUUGAAGCCUUUCUUCAUGAGAAAUUCCUUCAAAGUAUCAUACCACGCCCGAGGGGCCUGCUUGAGGCCAUAGAGGGCCUUAUUGAGUCUGAAGACUUUGUCAGGAUGCUUUGGAUCUUCAAAACCUGGGGGUUGAGCAACAUAUACUUCUUCCUCAAGCUUACCAUUGAGGAAUGCACUUUUCACAUCCAUUUGAUAUAAAGUGAUAUCAUGAUGGUUAGCAUAAGCAAGUAAUAUGCGAAUAGCCUCAAGUCUAGCAACAGGUGCAAAAGUUUCAUCGAAAUCAAUUCCUUCAACCUGUGUAGCCUUGAGCUACAAGACGUGCCUUAUUCCUCACCACAAGGCCAUUUUCAUAUUGCUUGUUGCGGUAGAUCCACUUUGUGCCAAUGAUAUUGUGCUUGCGAGGAUUUGGGCGAUUAACCAGUUCCUAGACGUUGUUCAGCUUGAACUAAUGUAAUUCUUCUUGCAUAGCUUGAAUCCACUCAGGCACCAGAAAUGCUUCAUCUACCUUAGUGGGCUCUGUGAUAGAGACGAAAGCAAAGUGCCCACAAAAGUUAGACAAAUGUGAAGCUUUUGAGCGUGUGAGAGGACCUGGAAUGUUGAUGUCGCUGAUGAUUUUCUCAAUCUGCACUUCGUUGGCAACGCGAGGAUGAGCGGGUUGUCAUCAAGGAAUUUGAUCAGCAUUUUCUUCAGCACCAUUUUCUUCAGGUGCAUCAGCAUGAUGUUCUUCACAUUCUGGAAUGAUUUCUUCAACAGAUUCUUCGGUAGGAAUGACAUCCUCAAUAGCUUUGAACUUGAUAGAUUCCUCAGGUGACUGUUCAUGUAACACAGAAGGUAGGUGCUCUCUUUGCGAGCCAUUAGUUUCAUCGAACCGCACAUCUACAGUUUCAACAACUUUGUGAAGAACGUUGUUGAAGACUCUGUAGGUGUGCGAGUCCUUUCCGUAACCAAGCAUAAAACCUUCAUGUGCUUUCGGUGCAAAUUUUGAGUUGUGAUGAGGAUCUCUAAUCCAACAUUUAGCACCGAAGACUUUGAAAUAACUCACAUUGGGUUUCUUGUCAGUGAGGAGUUCAUAAGAAGUCUUCUUGAAGAAUUUGUGAAGAUAUACGCUGUUGAUGAUGUGGCACACAAUAUCAAUUGCCUCAAUCCAGAAAUGAUGAGGCGUCUUGUAUUCAUCAAGCAUAGUGCGAGCCAUCUCAACAAGAGUCAUGUUCUUGCGCUCCAUGACGCCAUUUUGCUGAGGAGUCUAAGGAGCAGAUAACUCAUGAGUAAUACUGAGUUCAUCAAGAUAGUCAUCAAGACCAGAAUUCUUGAACUCAGUUGCGUUGUCACUUCUGAUGUGCUUGAUCUUCACACCAAAGUUGGUUGAAGCCCUCGAAGAAAAUCGUUUGAAGACUUCCUGCACCUCAUGUUUGUAAGUGACAAUAUGCACCCAUAUGUAACGAGAGUAAUCAUCAACAAUAACAAAGCCAUAUAGAGAUGCAUCAUUUGUAACUGCAGAAUAAUGAUUAGGACCAAAGAGAUCCAUGUGAAGCAAUUCAAAUGGUCAAGUAGUAGUCAUGAUAGUCUUUGCUGGAUGCUUGGCCUUUGUCAUCUUUCCAGCUUCACAGGCUCCGCAUAAGUGAUCCUUGAGGAAUUUGACAUUCUCAAUGCCAAUGACAUGCUUCUUCUUCGCGAGCGUGUGCAGAUUCCUCAUGCCAGCAUGACCAAGUCGUCGAUGCCAUAGCCAGCCUUCUGAAGCGUUUGCAAGUAAACAUACGGCUGGUUGUGGUCCUGUAGAGAAAUCAACAAUAUACAGAUCUCCUCUCCUAAAGCCUUCGAAGACUUUGGAAUUGUCAGCUUCUAUGAUCACAACACAACGAUACUUGCCAAAGACAACAACCAUAUCAAGAUCACAAAGCAUUGAGACAGACAUGAGGUUGUAUCCUAAGGACUCGACAAGCAUGACUUUGUCCAUGUGUCGAUCCUUUGAGAUUGCAACCUUACCUAGACCCAAUACCUGACUUUUGCCUUUGUCAGCGAAGAUGAUAUGCUUCAGAUGCGAUGGAGAUAAGGGAACAUCCAUCAAUAGAUUCUUGUCACCAGUCAUGUGAUUUGUACAUCCACUAUCGAGGACCCACUCAUUGGCUUUGGGUUGAUCAUCCUGCAGAUGAAUUAGUGCAUCUUACGAACUCAUAUACUUCAUCAAUGAAGAAUAUGACAUCAAUUCAUCGGAUCAAUUUCAUCAACCAAUAGAACAGAUAAAACAGUAUGAGGACGUGAGAAAUGAGGCUUCAUUUCUUCAUGAUUAGCCUGCGUCCUUUCAGGCAAUUUCAGGUCUCCAGCAAAUUCUUCAGGCGUUUAAGCACGUCUGGAGACCUGACCCUGCAGAAGAGAUUAGUUCUUUUUCUUCACCACCGACAUCUGAAGGGGUGGCAAAGAGUUCAUCACUCUGUGAGCUCCAUACGAGAAAGGUGGCAUAGAAGCCAGUCCAUUUCUUUUCACAUAAGAGGAGUUAGGAUAAGCAUAUGAAUAAGCACAGAAAUUCUUCGAGGACUUAUGAACAUAAUGAUUAGAAGAAUAAUGCUCAUAUUCAUAGCCCUAAGCUCUUCCCUGUGAAACAGAGGUGUUAGCAUGAUGAUGUUCAUAUGAGGACUUUGAUCCUGUCGGUGUUCUGGGAACGGGGGUCCCCAGACUUGCCUGCCUGCGGCCCAUGGUGUGGCUAUGCUUGCGGGCCUGUACAGCCCAUCUUCAUCAACAAGGCUUUCAAGACCCUCGCGAGGGGCCAAGCCUCGUGAGGCGGGCGAUGCAAGACCUCCUCAAGAGCGGCCUCACCAGGCUGCCUCGCGAGGAGCGGAGAUAUCAAGGCGGGGCAAACCUCGCGAGGCUCUCGUGACGUGAGCCAUGACGAUCGACACUAGGCGGGCGCCAGCGCGCGCAGCGUCCUUGUUUCCUCUUUGGUGCCAAGGGGGCAAGCACAGGCGCGGAGUACCGAGGCAUCAGGCAAAGGUUUCCAUAACCGGCAACGAGACCAAGACCAGCAGGCCAGCAGGACAGAGGUCACCGUGGAGCCCAAGACGGCGUCACCGCUAGGGCCUUUUGCAGGCGAAGACCGCUUUUGUCAGGAUAGCUCGUACCAAUUGUCCCCUUUCAAAUUGGCCGCCGUUGUUGGCUCCCUUCCCGCUCAAUAUUUGGGAAGAGGACCAGGGCCUAUAUAAGUAGAACUAGCCACCACCGUAAAGGCAUCUCAUCUUGGAUCGGAUAGCUCAUCGAAUCCUCACCCACAAGUUCGCAGAGCACAAGAACACCUCAACCUCAGGAGGCUGUUCUUCCCCUUGUACUAUUCCCCAUCAGCCCAAGAGGCAAUCCACCACCACACACUGGACCAGUAUAAACCUCGUGUCUUUCUGUGUUGUGAGUACGUCGAGUUCGUCUGCGAGAUCUUAGCGAGCUAGGGCGUAGAUCGGUAGGGGGGAAAGACUUCGCGCGCACCCCAGAGUUUGAACCUUAAGGGUUUUGCUGGAACCCCAGAUCCGACAUUUGGCGCGCCAGGUAGGGGUGCGCCGUAGCUUCCCUUCCGUCGAUCAGUGCUUCGUCGCUCCAUCGUCUCCAUGGCGGAUGCUCGCCGCGCUAGAGCUGAGCGCCGGGCUGCCCUCACCGCCCGCGUUGCUCAAACGGCUCCCGUCGGCGGGCCACCUCGUCGUUCCCCGUCUCCUUCCACCAACGCCGCAACCAGCCCGGCGGGGAACGAGCAGCAAGCGUCCUCGCUGCACCCGUCGGUGCGGCAGGACGGCCGCACCGCCAUUCCAUCGCUGACCCCGGCCGGCUCCUCGUCCCAUGCACGUCGCGCUCCCAUGGACGCGCAGGCCGUGCUCCUCAUGGCGAACGACCUCCUGCGCUACCGCCCGGUCGACGACCUCUACGAGGACUGGCUCGACCGCGUCACCGAGCUCGUCCGCGCCGCAGGAGGCUCCCCGGCGCCGUCCCUCUCUCUGCCACGCCCUCCGCCAGCCAUGGGCGACGUGGCUCAUGGAUCGCCUCCACCACCUCUGUCCCAAGACGGUGCCUUGGCACCAAGGCGCGCGGCCCCACGGUGCGAUCCACCAUGCCCGAUGCCCGCGCGUGAAGAGAGAAGCUGCCAAGAAAUUCCUCGGCCGCGAGAAGCUGCACCCGCGCUCCCCACGCCACCUCGCCAAGACUGUGCGCUACCUGCGGUGGUGGCACGCGGGCCUCGUCAAGACCAAGCUCCACCUCCGAGACGGCCCCCGGCAACCACGGCCGGCUGCCGCGCCUUCACCCCCGAGCUACGUAGCGUCGCCUGGCCGGGCAAGUUCAAGUCGGAUCUGCCUCCUCGCUACGGCGGCACCCUCGACCCCGCAGAGUUCUUGCAGCUCUAUGAGCUGAGCAUCAAGGCAGCCAACGGCGACGAGAAAGUCAUGGCGAACUGGUUCCCAAUGGCGCUCAAGGACGGCGCCCGUUCGUGGCUCCUGAACCUGCCUCAUGGCUCGAUCUCCUCCUGGGACGAGAUGCGCGACCGCUUUGUCGCCAACUUCCAGGGAACUCGUGACCGCCGCCGGCCGCGGGUGACCUGCGCCGCAUCAAGCAACAACCAGGAGAGACCCUCCAGAAGUACAUCCAGCGCUUCAACAACACCCGCCUCAAGAUCCCGAAGGUCACGGAUGAGGCCAUCAUCUUCGCGUUCUCUGACGGCGUCCGCGACAUCAAGAUGAAGGAGGAGCUUGCUAUCCACGAGGAGUUGUGCACAUCUCAGGAGCUGUUCAACCUGGCGACCAAGUGCGCAAGGGCUGAGGAGGGGCGCCUCUCCCUCCUUGAGCUACCAGCUGCGGGCGCAGAGGAGAAGAAGGCCAAGGCCAAGGACGUGAAGCGCAAGGAAGCAGCCGCGCUCGCAGCGGAGCCGGACACCAAGCGAGGCAGAGACCUGCCCGAGUCAUCCAAGAGCAACCGACCAUUUUGCGCCUUCCACAACUUGAACACCCACAACACCAACGACUGUCAAGAACUCAGAGCCAUUCGCGAGGGACGCUUCGGUCAAUGCCCCGAGCGCAGCGACCGGGGCUACGGCCGAGGAGGAGGACGUGGAGGCGGACGCUGGGACGACCGUGGCCCGCGCUAGGAGUGGCGCGACCAUCCUCGUGAGGACCACUGGUAGGAUCAUCCUCGCAAGGGCGCCUGGAGAGACCAGCCUCGUGAGGAUCGUCCUCAGGGUAACGCCGGUCUUCCUCCGCUGCCGCCACCACCAAGAAGGAACGACGACCACCAUCAAGACGAGGGGGCUGGGGGCUUCCAAGAGUUGCGUGCUAUCGCUUGCAUCUUGGGCGGAGCCCAGGCCCCAGCCUCGCAGCGCAUCUUCAAGCAGUUUGCUCAUGAAGUGAACGCAGUCCUCCCCAAGCUCGAGGCCACGCGCCUGCUCAGGUGGUCCCGGUGUGCCAUCACCUUCAACUCGGCAGAUCAGCUCAAGUGCGCAGCCACCGCUGGCGCCCUCCCGAUGCUUUGUUCACCAGUCAUCAGCAACGUGCAAGUCACCAAGACCCUCAUCGACGGCGGCACAGGGCUCAACGUCCUGUCCGUCGACACGUUCAACAACCUUCAAGUGCCCUAUGACCAACUUCAGCCUACCAAGCCUUUCUCAGGAGUGACCGACGGUUCCACUACACCGAUAGGGCAAGUCCGCCUCCCUGUCACCUUCGGGGAACACAAGAACUACCGCACCGAGCUCAUCGACUUCGACGUCGCGCACAUCUGCUUGCCAUACAACGCCAUCCUUGGGUAUCCGGCGCUGGCCAAGUUCAUGGCCGUCACCCACCACGGCUACAACGUCCUCAAGAUGCCGGGAAGCGGCGGAAUCAUCACAGUCCCAUGUGAAGAGAGAGAUGCGGUGUUCUCCCUCGAGCGCGCCUUCCAAGCUGCAGCAAUCGACGACCCCGACAGCAAAAGUGAAGGCCCUCCGGAGGCCAUCCCCAAGAAGAAGCAGUUGCGCCGUGCCGGACCUCAGGAGGAUGGCGUCGCGGCUGGAACCUCAUCAGGAUCAGCGCCCGCUCCAGGGGAGCCUCCCUCCAUCGCAUAGGAAGGCGCGCCCAACGCCCUCCUCGGGCAGGGCUCGGGGGCUCUCUUCUGGAGGGCCUCAGACCUUGCCAACAUCUCGAGGGAGGCGCUUGUGCACCACUUGGAGGCGUGCUUCGCGACAUGUUUCUCUUAGGAGAACACAGGGCAAGGAGCGUCCGCCACUCAGGAGUUCAUCACCAAGACCACUUAGGAACUGCAAGACGCAAGGUCCAUGCACGGCGACCGCCGCUCACGAGGCGCAGCUCCCCAACUAGGCGAGGAUGCCGGGCUGCGCGUCUGCAUCAACAUACCAAGGCUCAACAGGGCCGCAUCUCAGGAGCUUUUCUGGCCUUCGCACGUGGGCCGCUGCGAGGGUCCACCGCACACCUACGUUCGCAUGCCUUUCGGCCUGCUGAGCGCGUCAUCAGCCUAUCAGCGCAACCUGCGGCGUGUUCUGGCAGCUCAGGAGGCCAGGCACCACGCCGUCCUGGCGGAGAUGGAGACGGUCCUCAAGGAACCACCCGAGCCCCCAGAGCCUCCCGAGGCUCAGGGCCCCGGUGGCUCAUGAGGAGCUACCCCUUCGCGGCAUGCCUUCCGCUGUACCAACUCUCCUUCGUUGACAGAACCAGGUGACAUUUUCCAAGUUCGUUCAGCUGGGAGCGCCCCUCGGGCUGCAUUAUUCCCAGGCCGCGUGGGUCCGUCCCUGUGGCAUGUAUCCCUUUUGCUUAUGUCCUCAGUUUACCCUGUUGGGGGCGCCCCUCGGGCUGCAUCAUCCCCAAGCCGCUCGGGCCUGACCCAGUGGCAUGUAUCUUUCUGCAUUUACCUAAGCUGGUUUGCCUUCCAUGCUUAAUCUGCCUAUGAUUAGCACCUACUCGAUUGCCACCCGCUGCGGGUACGUCCCUUCAUCAUGCAAUUCACUUGCGCGUUAAAAGGGGGGCUCCUGAGCAUCGCGACUCAGGAGCUCUUACUGGCUCUCCAGCCCUCACCCCCUGGCCUUGACCACGACAUCACGAGCUGGCAUACCAGUGGCGGCUGAGCUCCCUCGAGGGCCGAGACCUGAGGACGUAGAGCACUUGCACCUAACCGUCUCGCAGGAACUCACAGCUGUCAAAGACCCAAGACCAGGCGCAACCCGCCUUGAGGUAGGGCCUCGUGAGUCCCGCUCUGGCUCACGAGUGCCCAGAUACACCUCACAGCCCUGCCGUGCAAGCCACGUGUCAGGGCGGGGCCGUACACGCCCCGGGGGAUCCUCCCGGAGGGCCCCCCCUCCCACACACAAGUGGAAGCACCAUGCUCCGCGCUGGCCGUUGACACUGCCAAGGAGCGGCUAUGCCCGUGCACAAGCGGAAGCACUAUGCUCUGUGCUGGUGAUAAACAACUAAGGGCGGCUUCAUGGUCAUACCAACCUCAGGGAGCCCCAGAGCUCAGCGUCCGGCCUCACCGCAACGCCUCCCCUCGGGAGAGCCGCGCGAGGGGGCUGGACACGGGGGCUGCGAUCGGGUCACGCCCAAGCGCACGCCACCCAACCAGGUCUCCCGGACCUGGUCGUCGCACGCCCCUCCCGAGGCCUCGGCGAGGGCAGGUAUGGAAAUUGUUUGCGCGUCAAGGGGGACUCCUGAGCAUCGCGACUCAGGAGCCUAACUGGUCACGUAGCCCCUCACUCCUUGGUCCGUCCUGGUCUCCGGUCGGCCCAAUGGCGGUUGAGGUAUGCGCGGGGCCGGGCUCUACCGACGUAGAACAUUAAUCUAUCCUCGCGUACUCUCCCUAUAAGCUGUUUGCACGUCAAGGGGGACUCCUGAGCAUCGCGACUUAGGAGCCUAACUGGUCACGUAGCCCCUCACUCCUUGGUCCGUCCUGGUCUCCGGUCGGCCCAAUGGUGGUCGAGGUAUGCGCGGGGCCGGGCUCUGCUGACGCAGAACACAAAGCAAAUAGGAAGAAAAUCGCAAAAUCUCGAAGCAAAUAUUACAAAACAUAUUGUCCUCACAAUACCGAAUGAAAAGUUUAACGCCUCCACGAGGCCUGGUGCAUAUUACAGGAACAGGAAAGUAGCCGCGAGUCACCCCUGGACACCGCCACCACCUGCAGAAGAUGCUCCUCCCCGAGUAACGUCGCCUUCACCUGCACCACCAGCCGCAGGAUCGGCGGCAUCGCCGGACAAGGGUGCGGAGACAAAGCCGCAGAACUUCUUCAGCAAGGCCUCCACCCGACGUUGCACAACUACGGCGGCGGCUGCGCAGUGAUCAUCAGCCACAGGCUCCAGCAGCUCGUCAAGACAAGUGCUGGGGUCGCGAAGGUGCAGAUGACUGAAGACACGAGUCAAUGCAGCUGAAGACAGGACGCGAGCCUCUGCCUCUGCCAUGGGACCGAUACCGUCCACGACUUCCUCGAGCGCCUUCACCAAGAGGGGAAGCAGCAGGGCAGGGCCGUCCUCAUCAGUGGUCAGCCGCCUCUCCAAGCCGUGCUCAUAGAGCGUCUUCAGUGCCACGCGAGACCUCUCCUCGAGAUCGGCAAAGGCCACGCGGUCCUCAGCCAGGACCCGCGCCUUGGCAUCAAGAUCGGCCUCCCUCGCCUUCACCUUCCGCUCCAGCUCUUCUAGCCGGCCGCGCUCGGUGGCCUGCGUCUUCCCCAACUCCCCCAGCUCAGCGUCACGGUUCUUGACGGCGUCCUCCCGGGCCUUCAUCUCCUCCUCCUUUAGCUGGCGGCCGCGUGCUUCUUCGGCGUACUUGUCGCGCAGGCUCUUCAGCUCGUCCUCCAGCUCUUGGCAGCGGUCGCGGGCGGCCUUGGCGUCCUUCAGUGCCACCUCACAAUCGGCUGCAGCAUUGGCAGUGCUCUGUUUCUCCUUCUCGGAAGACGCUGCAGCCUGACUCAGCGUUGUGUGAACCGCCAAGUCGGAGUGAAGCCAGCCAGAGGCCAGCUCCAGGCGCCCGGCCACCAGGCGCGGGUCCGCGCUCAGAAGAUCUGCCUGCAACUGGGUCAUCUCCAAAAGAGCGCGCUCCAGGACAGCAGUAGAGGCAGAAGAACCUGGGAGUGGAGGUGCAGCAGUGGGAGGAGACGACGCCAUCACCAGGGCCUGGGAGACUGCGGGUUCCGGAGCAGCUGGGACCUCUUCAACCGGGCCAGACGCCGGCACUUCCGGAGCCAGCGGGGCCAUGGGGGCUGACUCCUCCCGGCGAUGCUCCUCUUGGCCUCGCGAAGACGACCGGGCUGGGGAGGUGCGGGCGCUGGCAUCUCCUUUCUCAGCAGAAGGGGGCGCGGCUGCCGUACCCUCUUUCCUCUUCUUCGCCGCAGACAGCGGCCUGGACAACCAAAGACGAGAGUCAGGAAGCAGCAACAUGAGAAAAAGCAAGACGGAGAUCGAGCACUUAUUGAUCCACCGCGACGUAUUCCACCUUCCGCUUGGGGAGCUUGAAGCCUGAAAGCCUCGGAGCCUGGGGAGUAGGCGCGCGGGCUCUGGGGGCAGAAGAUGGCGCGGCAGAGGGACCGGAGGCAGCAUCCUGAGGAACCAGUGACGACCUACCCUUUGUGGGGAUGAGGGGGUGCUCCCUCUCCUCCCGGCGAGCGUCGGUCUCGGCAUCGUCUGGCAGGGCGCGGAGGAUCUCGGCCUUGCUUAGAGGAGGAGUCUCCCCCACCUCUUCAAGAGUCUUCUUCGAGUCCACCUCCUCUUCCUCCUCCCCACGGGACUCGUCAAAAGAUACCUCCACCGGCUUCGGCGCCGUCGGGGCUCCGGAGAGCGCAUGCGGCACCAGCCUGCGUGCAUCGAAGGUCGGCCUGGAAACCAUGAAUGGCUCCCAGUCCUUGCAGAGGAACAAAGGAGUGAAAGCGCUCCGCGGGUCCCCUUGGUUGUCCCCAACCAAGAGGCGCAGAACAGCAGCCAGUUCGUCGCCAGGCAGGGCCCCUGGCCUCAGGCGGGUCUUUUCUUCUUCAUCUCCGAGCUUCCACAAGGGGCGUGCACGCGCCUGAAGCGGGGCGACGCGCAACAUCAAGAACUCCCUCAGGAGCGUGGCCCCUGUGACCUUCGCCGCCUUCGUGUUGCCCGGCUUCAGGUCGGUCUGCAUCUGUGCAACACCGGCGAUGCCCGCUCAUCGGCAAGCUCUGCGCGGGGCCACCCCUUGUCAAACUGGGGCGCCUCCGUUGGCAAUACCAAGUGUGGGUGGACACACUUAGCAUCCAUCAUGACCCAUUUGGCCCGAAUGUUGUUGGCCCUCUUCACGUUGCUCGAGAUUGAGUUGGAUUUGCCGGAUGCGACGAAAUUGGUGCACCCGGAGACGUGUCCGUCGCUGACGCGAAGGAAGAAGAAGUGGCGUAGGAGCACCACGGAUGGCAUCAUGCCCAGGUACGCCUCGCAGUAGUAGGCGAAGAUGGACAGAAGGAGGAUAGAGUUGGGAUGGAGAUGCAACGCCUGCAGCCCAUAGUGGUCGAAGACCUCAUAAAAGAAAUCGGAGAAGGGGGGAACCAACCCGGCGACAAUGCUGCUCAAGAAGAAGGGGAAGAACGUGCUUCCCUCAGGCUCCGGCACGUCGGAGGCAAGCCGGAGCUCCGUCUUCCCCUAUUCGUUGCUCUCCCCCGCCGUCAGCAGGCGCGCGGAGGCGAGGCUCUUUUCUGUGACGGUGGGUGCUUCAAGAGCUGGCUCGUACCAAGCCGGCACCGAGGAGGAUUGGACCUUGCGCGGCGCCAUCUGUUGCGGAUGCGGAGCGAAAUCAGAGUAGAUCUGGAGGUCUCGGCAGCAAGGAGCGAGAAAGGGGAUCUGAGGCUAGGCGAAGGGGAGCAGUGAAGGCAUAUGCUGCCUGUGCCAGCCUUUUGUCAAGUCGAGCAGUUGCGGAGGCCGCGUGGGGAAGCGGAGACGCCCACGUCCAAUCAACCGCCAUGCGUCAACCGAGGCCGCAGGCUUUUAGGGCCCACGGCGCUCCGUACUUGACCUUUGGCUUCGCCUCGAAGCCAAGCCCGAGCGCACCUUGGGCCCGGGGGCUACUGUCGGCGUUCUGGGAACGGGGGUCCCCAGACUUGCUUGCCUGCGGCCCACGGCGUGGCUAUGCUUGCGGGCCUGUACGGCCCAUCUUCAUCAACAAGGCUUUCAAGACCCUCGCGAGGGGCCAAGCCUUGCGAGGCGGGCGAUGCAAGACCUCCUCAGGAGCGGCCUCACCAGGCUGCCUCGCGAGGAGCAGAGAUAUCAAGGCGGGGCAAACCUCGCGAGGCUCUCGUGACGUGAGCCAUGACGAUCGACACCAGGCGGGCGCCAGCGCGCGCAGCGUCCUUGUUUCCUCUUUGGUGCCAAGGGGGCAAGCACAGGCGCGGAGUACCGAGGCAUCAGGCAAAGGUUUCCAUAACCGUGCAACGAGACCAAGACCAGCAGGCCAGCAGGACGGAGGUCACCGUGGAGCCCAAGACGGCGUCACCGCCAGGGCCUUUUGCAGGCGAAGACCACUUUUGUCAGGAUAGCUUGUACUAGCUGUCCCCUUUCAAAUUGGCCGCCGUUGUUGGCUCCCUUCCUGCUCAAUAUUUGGGAAGAGGACCAGGGCCUAUAUAAGUAGAACUAGCCACCACCGUAGAGGCUUCUCAUCUUGGAUCGGAUAGCUCAUCGAAUCCUCACCCACAAGUUCGUAGAGCACAAGAACACCUCAACCUCAGGAGUCUGUUCUUCCCCUUGUACUGUUCCUCAUCAGCCCAAGAGGCAAUCCACCAGCACACACUGGAGUAGGGUAUUACACCACAACGGUGGCCCGAACCAGUAUAAACCUCGUGUCUUUCUGUGUUGCAAGUACGUCGAGUUCGUCCGCGAGAUCUUAGCGAGCUAGGGCGUAGAUCGGUAGGGGGGAAAGACUUCGCGCGCACCCCAGAGUUCGAACCUUAAGGGUUUUGCCGGAACCCCAGAUCCGACAGAUCCUUUUGAGGAAUCUGAUCCACGUGAGGAGUUUGGUCCGUAUGAGGACUUGGAUCCAUAUGAAGAAUUUGGUCUAUAUGAAGAAUUUGAUCUAGGGUUCUUUUUCUUCAUAGGUGGUGUCAUGAUGACAUUCACUUGAAGAUUUUCAAGACACCUUUUGGGAACCCAGAUUUUCUUCAUAGGGGAACCAUUCCUGCAGUUAGUGCCAACAUAUCUAGCAAAUACUUCACCAUUUUGAUUUUUGAACAGUUUAUAAUUGGAGUCAAAUGACUCAUUAGAAGAAUGAGGAGAUUCACAUGUAAAGCCAGAUAGAUUAGAUGGAUCUACUGGAGGUCCCUUUGCAGCAACCCAUGAGGUUUUGGGGUACUACUCAGGCUUCCAAUAUGUUCCAUCAGCAUUGAUUUUCCUCUCAAAGGCAAUACCCUCUUUCCUAGGGUUCCUGUUGAGGAUUUACUUUUUAAGCACAUCACAAAGAGUCUGAUUCCCUUUGAGGCUUUUGUACAUGCCUGUCAUGUACAAUUCCUUCAGCCCUGCAUCAUCAGUGAUACUAGCAAUGUCCUCAUAUGAGGAAUUAGUGAUAGCAGAGACAGGUGAAGAAUUUGUAGCAUUAGAAGCAUUUGAACAUUCAGGUGAAGAAUUAGCAGAUUCACGUUCAAUGCACUUCAAACAUGGAGGAACAAAUUAUUCCCGAGUAGCACUGAUAUGUUGAGCAAGUAAUGAAUCGCGCUCCUUCUGAAGAUCUUCAUAACUUACCCUUAGCUUUUCAAGAUCUUGCUUUCUUUGAAGAAAUUCAUAAGAAAAUUUCUCAUGAUCAGAUAAGAGAGUGUUAUGAUAACCUUGAAGGUUGUCAAACCUAGACUGAAGUCUCUGAAGAUUUUCAGCCUAAGCUUUCGACUGAUCCAUUUCUUCACCCAACAUAUCAUCGCUCUUAUUUAGCAUGUAUUGAACUUUUUCCAAAGCUCUUUGUUGUUUAGUGGCAAGGGAAGCAAGUUUGACAUAGCUAGGUCCAAAUUCAUCACCAGAUUCAUCAUCACUGGAUUCAGAUAGAUAGCAUUCAGUUACCUUUGCACCUUUUGCCAUAAGGCAUGGUGUAGAAGAUGAUGAUUCUGGUUCGAAUGUCAUCGCUUUGAGAGAUUUCUUGAAGUCCUCAAACCAAGGAUCAUGACGGGUUCGAUGACCUUCAUAGACCUCAGAGAGACGGUCCCAGAUAAGCUUUGCAUGAUCGACAUGCAUGAUGUUCCUGAACUGAUUUUGAGACAGACAGGAGCAGAUGACGUCUUUCGCUGUGAGGUUGAGAAGGGUGAACUUGCGAAUGUCGUCAGCUUCUGCCAUCUUGCACAGAUCGGUAAUACCAAUCUCAGUGACGGUCCACAGCUCAUUGUUCAUCGCCAUGAGACGCUUCUUCAUCAUGGCCUUCCACUUGGGAUACUCGUGACUGUCAAUGAUGGGGCAUGACACGGUCUUCAUUCCUGUGGUCGACAUAACUAACACUCCAGGCGGUUAAACCAAAAUCACACAGAUCAAGAGAGUACCUCGCUCUGAUACCAAUUGAAAGCGUGUUAUAUCGACUAGAGGGGGGUGAAUAGGCGAUUUUUAUGAAUUCUUCACUGAGGAAUUUGUGGGUGAGGAAAUUCCUGAGUGAAGAACGGCUUGCAGCGGAAUAAGUACUCAGAUGUAAACAUAACAGAACACAAGCAUGGUCAUCAUGAAGAAAUGAAGACAAGCAUAGAGUACAGAAAGCGUAAACACAGGAUGAAGACAAUCAGACUGAAGAAAUUGAACUGAGGAAAUUGAGAAAGUCUUCAAAACAGAUAUGAACAAGUGCACAACACAGUAAUGAGGAAAUGGAAGAGUUGAGGAAAUAGAACCAGUAGGCUUGGUGAAGACAAUGAUUUGGUAGACCAGUUCCAACUGCUGUGACAGUUUUACGUCUGGUUGGAGCGGCUAGGUAUUUAAACCUGAGGACACACAGUCCCGGACACACAGUACUCACCGUAUUCUCCUUGAGCUAAGGUCACACAGACCUCGCCCAAUCACUCGUGGUAAGUCUUCAGGUGACUUCCAAACCUUCACAAACUCGGUCACUCGGCAAUCCACAAUUUCCUCUUGAAUGCUCUAGACCAUGACGCCUAACCGUCUGGAAGAUGCACAGUCUUCAAAGGUAACAAGCGUCGGAUCCACGCAGGAUCAAUCUCUUCAGUGAUGCUCAAUCACUUUGGGUUUGUAGGUGUUUGGGUUUGGGUUUUCCUCACUUGAUGAUUUUCGCUCAAAGUCCUCGGAGGAUGGGAUGCUCUCAAAUGACAAGUUUCAGUUUCUCUUGGAGCAGCCAACCAGCUAGUGGUUGUAGGGGGCGGCUAUUUAUAGCCUAGGGAGCAGCCCAACAUGAUAAGACAUAAAUGCCCUUCAAUGAUAUGACCAUUAGGUGGGUAGAUAUUUUGGGAUAGCUGACGCGUAGCACAGCAACGGUCGGAGUUUUGAGUAUCAAAUACCUCAGGGCUAUCAUGUUCCUCACUGUGUAGGCAAUCCGCACUUGCGAAUUCCUAACUCCUCAGUCAGAACAAAUUCCUCAGAGACCAGAAGAACUUCGUCUCUGUCACUGAAGAAAUUGACUGAACUGUAUGAGAUUUCCAAUGGCUUCACUCGAAGGGAUUGGUAGGUGUAGGAUUUUGAGUUGAGCAUCACAUGGAUAUUUUUCCUUAGUAUUUCCUCGACCCCCUUUAACAGUACGGUGUUUCCUAUGACUCAAGAAAGAGAAAAUGAAACUACGAAAACAAAAGUCUUCAUGCUUCAUGUUCCUCGUAUGAAUACCAAGUCUUCAGGUCACACCAAUUUCUUUAGUUUCAAAGUCUUCAGAAAGUCUUCAGAAUACCAAAAUCUUCAGUCGAAGAUAUUCAUUUUUAGGGGUCAACUUUCUCUAUAAAUAUCAAACUCCUCAUAGACUUAUAGACCUGUGUACACUCAUAAACAUAUUAGUCCCUUAACCUAUAAGUCUUCAAUACACCAAAAUCACUAAGGGGCACUAGAUGCACUUACAGGGGCCUAGAUUGGUUUUCGGUGGCUACAGAGGCGUGCGGCGGCGGAACUUCUGAUCUAGGUUAACCCCGAGGGUUUUUGGAAUAUUUGUGAAUUUAUAGGGUAAAGAGGGUGUGCGGGAGGCCACCGAGGUGGGAACUGAUGUAUACUAGACAACCUUCUUCUUGUAGACGUUGUUGGGCCUCCAAGUGCAGAGGUUUGUAGGAUAGUAGCAAAUUUCCCUCAAGUGGAUGACCUAAGGUUUAUCAAUCCGUUGGAGGCGUAGGAUGAAGAUAGUCUCUCUCAAGCAACCCUGCAACCAAAUAACAAAGAGUCUCUUGUGUCGCCAACACACCUAAUACAAUGGUAAAUUGUAUAGGUGCACUAGUUCGGCGAAGAGAAGGUGAUACAAGUGCAAUAUAGAUGGUAGAUAUAGGUUUUUGUAAUAUGAAAAUAUAAAAACAGCAAGGUAACAAGUAAUAAAAUUGAGCGUAAACGAUAUUGCAAUGCGUUGAAACAAGGCCUAGGGUUCAUACUUUCACUAGUGCAAGUUCUCUCAACAAUAAUAACAUAAUUGGAUCAUAUAACUAUCCCUCAACAUGCAACAAAGAGUCACUCCAAAGUCACUAAUAGCGGAGAACAAAUGAAGAGAUUAUGGUAGGUACGAACCACCUCAAAGUUAUCCUUUCUGAUCGAUCUAUUCAAGAGUUCGUACUAGAAUAACACCUUAAGACACAAAUCAACCAAAACCCUAAUGUCACCUAGAUACUCCAAUGUCACCACAAGUAUCCGCGGGUUUGAUUAUACAGUAUGCAUCACACAAUCUCAGAUUCAUCUAUUCAACCAACACAAAGAACUUCAAAGAGUGCCCCAAAGUUUCUACCGGAGAGUCAAGACGAAAACGUGUGCCAACCCCUAUGCAUAAGUUCAACUGAACCCGCAAGUUGAUCACCGAAACAUACAUCAAGUGAAUCACGUGAUAUCCCAUUGUCACCACAGAUAAGCACAUGCAAGACAUACAUCAAGUGUUCUCAAAUCCUUAAAGACUCAGUCCGAUAAGAUAACUUCAAAGGGAAAACUCAAUCCAUUACAAGAGAGUAGAGGGGGAGAAACAUCAUAAGAUCAAACUAUAAUAGCAAAGCUCGCGAUACAUCAAGAUCGUACCACCUCAAGAACACGAGAGAGAGAGAGAUCAAACACAUAGCUACUAGUACAUACCCUCAGCCCCAAGGGUGAACUACUCCCUCCUCGUCAUGGAGAGUGCCGGGAUGAUGAAGAUGGCCACCGGAGAGGGAUUCCCCCCUCAGGCAGGGUGUCGGAAUGGGUCUAGAUUGGUUUUUGGUGGCUACAGAGGCUUGCAGUGGCGGAACUCCCGAUCUAGGUUAUGUUCUGGGGGUUUCUGUAUAUAUAAGAGGUUUUGGCGUCGGUAACAAGUCAGGGGGGUCUCCAAGGCAGCCACGAGGUAGGGGGCGCGCCCCCCACCCUCGUGGUGGCCUUGGGACUCUUCUGGCCCAUCUUUGGUACUCCGUGGGCUUCUUCUGGUCCAAAAACAAUCUCCGUUGAAUUUCAGGUCAAUUGGACUCCCUUUGGUUUUCCUUUUCUGCGAUACUCAAAAACAUGGAAAAAAACAGAAACUGGCACUGGGCUCUAGGUUAGUCCCAAAAAUGAUAUAAAAUAGCAUAUAAAUGCAUAUAAAACAUCCUAGAUGGAUAAUAAAAUAGCAUGGAAUAAUCAAAAAUUAUAGAUACGUUGGAGACGUAUCAACAUCCCCAAGCUUAGUUCCUGCUCGUCCUCGAGUAGGUAAAUGAUAAAAACAUAAUUUUUGAUGUGGAAUUCUACCUAGCAUAUUUCUCUAUGUAAUUUCCUUUAUUGUGGCAUGAAUGUCCAGAUCCGAAAGAUUCAAGAUAAAAGUUUAAUAUUGACAUAAAGAUAAUAAUACUUCAAGCAUACUAACAAAGCAAUCAUGUCUUCUCAAAAUAACAUGGGCAAAGAAAGUUAUCCCUAGAAAAUCAUAUAGUCUGGCUAUGCUCUAUCUUCAUCACACAAAAUAUUUAAAUCAUCCACAACCCCGAUGACAAGCCAAGCAAUUGUUUCAUACUUUUGAUGUUCUCAAACUUUUUCAAUCUUCACGCAAUACAUGAGCGUGAGCCAUGGACAUAGCACUAUAGUUGGAAUAGAAUGGUGGUUGUGGAGAAGAAAAAAAAGGGAGAAGAUAGUCUCACAUCAACUAGGUGUAUCAACGGGCUAUGAAGUUGCCCAUCAAUUGAUAUCAAUGUGAGUGAGUAGGGAUUGCCAUGCAAUGGAUGCACUAGAGCUAUAAGUGUAUGAAAGCUCAAAAAGAAACUAAGUGGUGUGCAUCCAACUCGCUUGCUCACGAAGACCUAGGGCAUUUUGAGGAAGCCCAUCAUUGGAAUAUACAAGCCAAGUUCUAUAAUGAAAUAUUCCCACUAGUAUAUGAAAGUGACAACAUAGGAGACUCUCUAUCAUGAAGAUCAUGGUGCUACUUUGAAGCACAAGUGUGGUAAAGGAUAGUAGCAUUGCCCCUUCUCUCUUUUUCUCUCAUUUUUUUAUAUUUUUUUAUUUGGGCCUUUUCUCUUUUUUUUAUGGCCUCUUUUUUUUUCUUUUUUUUUCGUCCGGAGUCUCAUCCCGACUUGUGGGGGAAUCAUAGUCUCCAUCAUCCUUUCCUCACUGGGACAAUGCUCUAAUAAUGAUGAUCAUCACACUUUUAUUUACUUACAACUCAAGGAUUACAACUCAAUAGAACAAAGAUACAACUCUAUAUGAAUGCCUCCAGCGGUGUACCGGGAUGUGCAAUGAUUCAAGAGUGACAUGUAUGAGAGAAUUAUGAAUGGUGGCUUUGCCACAAAUACGAUGUCAACUACAUGAUCAUGCAAAGCAAUAUGACAAUGAUGGAGCGUGUCAUAAUAAACGGAAUGGUGGAAAGUUGCAUGGCAAUAUAUCUCGGAAUGGCUAUGGAAAUGCCAUAAUAGGUAGGUAUAGUGGCUAUUUUGAGGAAGGUAUAUGGUGGGUAUAUGAUACCGACGAAAGGUGCGCGGUAUUAGAGAGGCUAGCAAUGGUGGAAGGGUGAGAGUGCGUAUAAUCCAUGGACUCAACAUUAGUCAUAAAGAACUCACAUACUUAUUGCAAAAAUCUAUUAGUUAUCGAAACGAAGUAUUACACGCAUGCUCCUAGGGGGAUAGAUUGGUAGGAAAAGACCAUCGCUCGUCCCCAACCGCCACUCAUAAGGAAGACAAUCAAUAAAUAAAUCAUGCUCCGACUUCAUCACAUAACGAUUCACCAUACGUGCAUGCUACGGGAAUCACAAACUUUAACACAAGUAUCUCUCAAAUUCACAACUACUCAACUAGCAUGACUCUAAUAUCACCAUCUUCAUAUCUCAAAACAAUCAUAAGGAAUCAAAAUUCUCAUAGUAUUCAAUGCACUUUAUAUGAAAGUUUUUAUUAUAUCCCUCUUGGAUGCCCAUCAUAUUAGGACUAAAUUCAUAACCAAAGCAAAUUACCAUGCUGUUUAAGACUCUCAAAAUAAUAUAAGUGAAGCAUUAGAGUUCAUCUAUUUCUUCAAAAUAAAACUACCGUCGUGCUCUAAAAGAUAUAAGUGAAGCACUAGAGCAAACGACAAACUACUCCAAAAGAUAUAAGUGAAGAUCAAUGAGUAGUUGAAUAAUUAUGUAACUAUGUGAAGACUCUCUAACAUUUAAGAAUUUCAGAUCUUGGUAUUUUAUUCAAACAGCAAGCAAAACAAAACAAAAUAAAAUGACGCUCCAAGCAAAACACAUAUCAUGUGGUGAAUAAAAAUAUAGCUCGAAGUAAAGUUACUGAUGAACGAAGACGAAUGAGGGGAUGCCAUCCGGGGCAUCGCCAAGCUUAGGAUCUUGGUUAUCCUUGAAUAUUACCUUGGGGUGCCUUGGGCAUCCCCAAGCUUAGGCUCUUGCCACUCCUUAUUCCAUAGUCCAUCGAAUCUUUACCCAAAACUUGAAAACUUCACAACACAAAACUCAACAGAAAACUCGUAAGCUCUGUUAGUAUAAGAAAAUAAACCACCACUUAGAUACUGUUGUGAACUCAUUAUAAAUUCAUAUUGGUGUAAUAUCUACUGUAUUCAAACUUCUAUAUGGUUCAUACUCUCCGAUACUACUCAUAGAUUCAUCAAAAUAAGCAAACAACACAAUGAAAACAGAAUCUAUCAAAAACAGAACAGUCUGUAGUAAUCUGUAUCAUUCGAAUACUUCUGUAACUCCAAAAAUUCUGAAAUAAAUUGGUGGACCUGAGUAAUUUGUCUAUCAAUCAUCUGCAAAAAGAAUCAACCUAAAAGCACUCUCUAGUAUAAAAUGGCAGCUAUUCUCGUGAGCGCAAAAGUUUCUAUUUUUUUACAGAAAGAUCGCAAAGACUUCACCCAAGUUUUCCCAAAUGUUCUACUUGGCACAAACACUAAUUAAAACAUAAAACCACAUCUAAACAGAGGCUAGAUGAAUUAUUUAUUACUAAACAGGAGCAAAAAGCAAAUAACAAAAAUAAAAUUGGGUUGCCUCCCAACAAGCGCUAACGUUUAACGCCCCUAGCUAGGCACGAUGAUUUCAAUGAUUCUCACAUAAAAGAUAAGAAUGGAAACAUAAAGAGAGCAUCAUGAAGAAUAUGACUAGAACAUUUAAGUCUAACUCACUUCCUAUGCAUAGGGAUUUUGUGAGCAAACAACUUAUGGGAACAAUAAUCAACUAGCAUAGGAAGGCAAAACAAGCAUAACUUCAAGAUUUUAAGCACAUAGAGAGGAAACUUGAUAUUAUUGCAAUUCCUACAAGCAUAUAUUCCUCCCUCAUAAUAAUUUUCAGUAGCAUCAUGAAUGAAUUCAACAAUAUAACCAUCACAUAAAGCAUUCUUUUCAUGAUCCACAAGCAUAGAAAUUUUAUUACUCUCCACAUAAGCAAAAUUCUUCUCAUUCGGAAUAGUGGGAGUAUCAUAAGAAACUCGAAUAGUAUAAAUUGUUUCCAUAUUAAAAGAGUAAUGUUGAGAAAAAGGGUAAUCAUAAUCAUGACAAUUUUUAUAAAUAUAAUCAUCACUACUUUUUAUAGCAUAAGUUUCAUCACAAUAAUCAUCAUAAGUAGCAACUUUGUUCUCAUCAUAAUCAAUUGAAACCUCUUCUGAAAUAGUGGAUUCAUCACUAAAUAAAGUCAUGACCUCUCCAAAUCCACUUUCAUAAAUAUUAUAAGAUUCAACACCCUCCAAAAUAGUGGGAUCAUUACUUCCUAAAGUUGACACUCUUCCAAACCCACUUUCAUCAAUAUAACCAUCAUAAAUAGGGGGCAUGCUAUCAUCAUAAUAAAUUUGCUCAUCAAAACUUGGGAGGCUAAAAAUAUCAUCUUCAUUAAACAUAGCAUCCCCAAGCUUGGGACAAACAUUAAUUGCAACAAAUGUAUUCUGAAACAUGUCAUUCUCAUCAAACAUAGCAUCCCCAAGCUUGGCCCUUUUCAUAUCAUAAGCAUAAUCACUCUCAUCAUUAAUAGUAUGGAUAGCACCAAUAGUAUAGCAAUUAUCAUCAUCACAAUGAGUAAUAGGAGCAAUAUCAUUUGGGAGGGAUACCUUUUUACCUUUGCUUCUCUGUCUUUUCCUUUUCUUCUUCACAUCAUGUGUGGGUUUAAUCCUCUUUUUGAAGCUCCUUAUUAAUGAGAUUGGUUGAAUAGAAAGCUCCUCCUCGUCACCUGAUUCAUCAUAAGAAAGAAUAGGAGGAUAUACUACUGGAAUUAGCUUCUUUGCCGUCUGCCAGUUCUUUGCCAUCUGCCAGCUGAUGGCAAAGAAGGUCUUUGCCGUCUGCUUACAGAAAACGGACGGCAAAGACCUGGCUGAUGGGAAAGAAGGUCUUUGCCAUCAGCCAGUUCUUUGCCGUCCGCUAGCGGACGGCAAAGAAUCUUUGCCGUCAAUUGGCAGACGUCAAAGAGAGAGGUGGCCCCCACUAACGAGCUAAUUAGAAAAAACUUAACGGCCCAAUUCUUUGCCGUCUGCUAGCAGACGGCAAAGAGAAAAAAGCGGACGACAAAGGUGGGGCGGACGGCAAAGAACUAACCUAACUAACGGCCGAGCCCCACCCCGCCCCUUCCUCUCUCUGUUUCUCUCCCUCUCUCCUCCCCGACGAUCAGAGCCACCCACCGCCGCCCCGCCACCCGCCGCUGCCCCCGCCNNNNNNNNNNNNNNNNNNNNNNNNNNNNNNNNNNNNNNNNNNNNNNNNNNNNNNNNNNNNNNNNNNNNNNNNNNNNNNNNNNNNNNNNNNNNNNNNNNNNNNNNNNNNNNNNNNNNNNNNNNNNNNNNNNNNNNNNNNNNNNNNNNNNNNNNNNNNNNNNNNNNNNNNNNNNNNNNNNNNNNNNNNNNNNNNNNNNNNNNNNNNNNNNNNNNNNNNNNNNNNNNNNNNNNNNNNNNNNNNNNNNNNNNNNNNNNNNNNNNNNNNNNNNNNNNNNNNNNNNNNNNNNNNNNNNNNNNNNNNNNNNNNNNNNNNNNNNNNNNNNNNNNNNNNNNNNNNNNNNNNNNNNNNNNNNNNNNNNNNNNNNNNNNNNNNNNNNNNNNNNNNNNNNNNNNNNNNNNNNNNNNNNNNNNNNNNNNNNNNNNNNNNNNNNNNNNNNNNNNNNNNNNNNNNNNNNNNNNNNNNNNNNNNNNNNNNNNNNNNNNNNNNNNNNNNNNNNNNNNNNNNNNNNNNNNNNNNNNNNNNNNNNNNNNNNNNNNNNNNNNNNNNNNNNNNNNNNNNNNNNNNNNNNNNNNNNNNNNNNNNNNNNNNNNNNNNNNNNNNNNNNNNNNNNNNNNNNNNNNNNNNNNNNNNNNNNNNNNNNNNNNNNNNNNNNNNNNNNNNNNNNNNNNNNNNNNNNNNNNNNNNNNNNNNNNNNNNNNNNNNNNNNNNNNNNNNNNNNNNNNNNNNNNNNNNNNNNNNNNNNNNNNNNNNNNNNNNNNNNNNNNNNNNNNNNNNNNNNNNNNNNNNNNNNNNNNNNNNNNNNNNNNNNNNNNNNNNNNNNNNNNNNNNNNNNNNNNNNNNNNNNNNNNNNNNNNNNNNNNNNNNNNNNNNNNNNNNNNNNNNNNNNNNNNNNNNNNNNNNNNNNNNNNNNNNNNNNNNNNNNNNNNNNNNNNNNNNNNNNNNNNNNNNNNNNNNNNNNNNNNNNNNNNNNNNNNNNNNNNNNNNNNNNNNNNNNNNNNNNNNNNNNNNNNNNNNNNNNNNNNNNNNNNNNNNNNNNNNNNNNNNNNNNNNNNNNNNNNNNNNNNNNNNNNNNNNNNNNNNNNNNNNNNNNNNNNNNNNNNNNNNNNNNNNNNNNNNNNNNNNNNNNNNNNNNNNNNNNNNNNNNNNNNNNNNNNNNNNNNNNNNNNNNNNNNNNNNNNNNNNNNNNNNNNNNNNNNNNNNNNNNNNNNNNNNNNNNNNNNNNNNNNNNNNNNNNNNNNNNNNNNNNNNNNNNNNNNNNNGACACGGCACCCCGACCCCGACACGACACCCACGACACCAGAGGCUGACGGGGUCAUAUAUUUGUGAAUUAUGAGUUAGAUAUAUUUUUCGAUUUUGUUAUGAAAAACAUCAUAUAUAAUUGUGUUGAUCGGGUAGAUUUAAACAUCAUAUAUAUUUUUCGAUUUUGUUAUGAAAAACAUCAUAUAUUAUUAUUCAUGUCGGUAUUUUUUUAUGUUGUAGUAAUUUCGUUUACUCUUUGUCAUGGCAGGUGUUGAAAGAUGGUGGGCGCUGGUCCGGAGCGCUCCAAGGCCCCUUCUUCGUCGGCGCGUGGUGGGAGGUCUUCCAUUCCACCCGCACAAAUCCGCCGAGCAUUGCUGGACAGUAUGACGACACCGCCGGGCCCUUCUUUGUCGACCGCGGUGCCCAGCAGGGGACGAGGUAAGGGAGGGAAGAAGAGAGGAGUUGGAGCACGUGGUCGCGGGAGAGGAGGUAGGGUGACUGCUAGGGUGCCUUCCUCGCCGCCACCCCCAGCUGUUUCACCCGAGCACGUGACUGCUAGGGUGCCUUCCUCGCCGCCACCCCCAGCUGUUUCACCCGAGCACAUGACUGCUAGGGUGGACUCGUCCGAGGAGGAGGCUACACGGACUCCGGUCCACAAGCCUCGGGGUGUCAGGCCUUCGGCCCACCAGACCCCGGACGAGCACACGUCUGGAUGGGGUACCUGGCCGGAUCAGCCUGAGGGGCCGAGUGGCCAUGGUGAUGAUGGCGGGGAGCCGACUGAUAUUGAGGAGCAGGGGGGCACCGUCUACCAGCGUGGUUGUACACGGCUCCCGUCUGUGCCGGCGACCCGCGAGCAGAGGUGGUUGAUUUUCCCUGAUGGGGAGAGGUAAGUGCAUUUAAUCUUUUUGUACCUUCUGCAUUCACAUUUCUUCAAAUAUCUAAUGUGUUGGCCUUGUCAUGUUGCAGGGGUUGGGACCACCAUGAGUAGGUCCACCGGCCCAACUCUGUCCUUGGAGUGCUUUGCCGGCAAAACUUCCCGGGGUUUGUCACGUUGCCUGGUGAGGGUCGGCUUCCAGAGCUUGGAUUGAGCUGGGAGCACUACUUGGCUGCCCCGGCCCCGCCGGGUGAGAUUAUCAACGGUGUCUUGUGCAAAACAAGGGCAGACGUGGUGAUCAGAAAGUUCUGGGUAAUUUCUCCUUUACACAAUUAAAAAUCUUCAAGUAGCUAGUUAUUAAUUGUACUAAUCAAUAUUGUCUCAUUUGAUUGCAGACAUUCUAUUGGUGUGAGGAGGGAUACGAGGAGGAGGCGGCAAAUGUUAUCGAUAACGUCUGCAAGCGCCUACUAUAGAAUUACGGCACGAGGCUCGGGUGCAGUCUGUUCGAGACUACUACGCCUUGCAUGGUAUCAAGAAGACCAAGCCGGCGUACCGUGAGAAGUUCUUGAGUAAGGAGCAGUACAUGAAGGUAAUUCUUAAGGCCUUGUACUUACUUCCUUCAUUUAGUAAUUCAAAACCGUAGCGCUCAAGUUUCUAUUUGCUAACUUAGGCGCCUCCAAGAUGGUGUGCGGAUCAGAUGGAUUGUUGGGAGGUGUUGGUCAAUGAGUGGUGCUCAAAACAAUGGCUAGCCGUCCACAACGAGGCCAAGGACAAACGUGCCCAAAUGGAAGGUGUGCCACACCAUCAAGGCAGCUCCAACUUAUAUCAGUUCGGGCAGAACUGGGUAUGUGGUUUGCUUCAUGAUUCAUGCAAUUCAUUCAUCAUGUUAGCUUGAGCCCUUUAAUUACUAAUUUACUUUGUUUCUCUCUUUCAGGCACGCUACAAUAAGGCGGAUAAGGUGCCAGAGGUGUACGACCUCUAUGCCAUGGCCCAUACUGCCUCUUACAAGAAAGUCAAGGCAUUCUCUGCGUCUGACCUCGAUGAUCCAAACAACUUCACCAACAUCUCCUCCCACGACAAGCUCGUGAAAUAUAGAGAUUAGGGGAAGGCGAGGAAAGGGGAGGACUUUAACCUGAGCCAGGGUCCCAUUGAUCCAGAGCUGGUGAUGAUAGCUGGUGGCGGGAGGUCCCAUGGCUCGAUAGCCAUUGGAGAUGGACUUAUCCGUUGUCCUAGCACUCUCCCGGAGAUCAAGGCGCGCCAGUCGAGCUCCACUCCUGAGAUAAGGCCUCGUGAACGGCCAGUCCAACUCGCCUUCAAGGUUAGUUAUACGUACUCAGCUAUCUUUCUCCAUUACAUUGUGUGUGCUUUCAUCAAUGAUUACAAAUGCUAACGAGGAGUGGUGUUGCAGGCUGCUAUACAGAGUGAGAGAGAUAGAACGGAUAAACUUCUGGGGGAGGCGGCGAAGAGGCAGCGAGAGUUGGAGGAGAGGAUGAUAAAGAUGUUGGAGGAGGAGAGGGCACAGAAUGACAUGCAGGCAAUGGCCAUGUACGAGCUCCUUGUGGUAAGUUUCUUCUGCAGAUUAGCCAAAACAUUCAUGUAGUGUUUGUCUCAUUACUAAGUAGUAUGACCGAGUCGUCAAAACCAAAUGUGCAGUCUGUGUGCGAGAAGUCCGGUCAGACUGCUCCGCCGAUGCCAGAGAUUGCUCCUGGGACCACGGUGAGUUUAAUUUGAAUGGACAUUACUUGCUAGUCUUAACAUUUGAGUGUCAUCAUGCUAACGAGACAUUGGAAAUGAUCUUUGGUGCAGCAUAACUCCAGACAAGCAUCAGACGAUCCUUCUCCAGCUACCGGCACGAGCCAGCCCGCUCCUGCACCUCCAUGAUCACGGUAAGUUUCUCUAGUGUUUUGCUUAACAAAUGCAUAAAGACCUAGACUUAGCUUUAUUUCCUCCAAAAUGACUUAAUAAGCUUACUGACCUCCAAAACCAUCCAUUUUACCUAAGUUAGCUCUAAAACAAUCUAUACUUAGCUUUGUUUCCUCCAAAAUGACCUAAGUUAGCUCUAAUAUGCUUAGUUAACUAGGUUUUCUCAAUAAUGACAUGUACUUAGCUUACUUAUGUCAAAAAUGGCAUAAUUAGCUUAGUUAGCUCAUAAACGAUCCAUUUCAACUAAGUUAGCUCUAAAAUGACCCAUCUUAGCUAGGUUAGCUCUAAAAUGAUGCAUCUUACCUAGGUUAUCUCUAAAAUGACCCAUCUUACGUAGGUUAGCUCUAAAAUGAUGCAUUUUACCUAAGUUAGCUCGCAAAUGAUCCAUUUCACCUAGGUUAGCUCAUAAACGAUCCAUUUCACCUAAGUUAGCUCACAAACGAUCCAUUUCACCUAAAUUAGCUCAUAAACGAUCCAUUUCACCUCAGUUAGCUCAUAAACGAUCCAUUUCACCUAAGUUAGCUCAUAAAUGAUCCAUUUCACCUUAGUUAGCUCAUAAAUGAUCCAUUUCAACUAAGUUAGCUCAUAAAUGAUCCAUUUCACAUUAGUUAGCUCAUAAACGAUCCAUUUCAACUAAGUUAGCUCAUAAAUGAUCCAUUUCACCUUAGUUAGCUCAUAAACGAUCCAUUUCAACUAAGUUAGCUCAUAAAUAAUCCAUUUCACCGAAGUUAUCCAUUUCACCUAAGUUAGCUCAUAAAUGACAUAUACUUCUUCUUCUAGUCUCCUUUUUCUAACUUUCUUAUUUGCCAUUUUGCAGAUUUCAUUCACUUCACGGAAGCUAGCUUGCUAUGAUGGAGUGCUUGUUUUUUCUUUCAGUCUCUUCUAGUAUUCUUCUAGCUUGCUAUGAUGGAACUUGAUAUCUUGAUGAAACUUUGAAUUGUAAUAUGUAUGGAUGGAACAAUGUGUAUGUGCAACUUGCUAUGUAUGAAUGGAUGGAACUAUAUAUGUAUGUACGAUGAAACUUAUGUGCUGGAUAUGUUAUAUGUUUGCUGUGAAAUAGCCCUGUGAAAUAUAUAUACAUAUAUGUCAUAUAUAUUUGCUAUGAAGAUUGUUGGAUUAAAAAACCCAGAAAAAAGAGGCAAUGCACGCUCUUUGCCAUCUGCCACCGACGGCAACGGGCUCUUUGCCGCCGCGGACGGCAAAGAAGCCACGUGGCAGCCACCUGUGUUUCCUGGCAGCUGACCCAUUUGGUCAGUUUGCCUACAGUGGCGGACGGCAAAGCCUUUGCCUACAGUGGCAGACGGCAAAGCCUUGGUGGGUAGUGACGUCCGACUGACGUCAUUUGGCCGACGGCAAAGGCCUGAUGCUCUUUGCCGUCAGCCGCGGACGACAAAGACUGCCGUUAGCCACCUAACGGACUAACAGUGAAUUUAUUGCCAUCGGCUUUCUUUGCCGUCCGCCGCUGAUGGCAAAGGCUCCUUUGCCGUCCGCGUCAGAAAUCAGACGGCAAAGAAGGUCUUUACCGAUCCUAUCUUUGUCGGUGCCUUUUGCCGUCCGCGGCAAACGGCAAAGGCUUUUGCCGUUCGCCAUCCAUGCCUUUGCCGUCUGCCUUGGCGGACGGCAAAGUAGCUGAUUCCUGUAGUGAUAUUGGGAAAUCUCUUCCCUUUCAUUAGUAUUCUCUUCAUCUUCUAUUUGUUUUCUUUUCUUUAUGUAAUUGGCAAUACAAGGAUUUUCAAUGCAAUUCACCGCACAAUACAUAAAAAUUUCUUCUAGAUCAAAAUCAAGAACUUUAUCAAGGACAAAUUCUGGCAUAUCCUUAGUUAUACGUUUCAUUUCUUUAUAACCCAAAAGCAAACUAAGUUCAUUAUGAUGCGCAAGGGAAAUCAAGUCAUCACAAUUUUUGGACACGAUAUGAUCAUGAAACAAUUUGCAUUGGAUAUUUAAAUGACCACGUUCAUUGCAAAGUUCACAAGGAUGAUUAAGAAAAAUUAAAUUUUUAGCACAAACAUCUAGCCUUUCUUGCAACCAUUUGGUUUCUAAAUACUUAUGCCUCUUGCAAAAUCUAUCUUCCCUAUUUGGUGUGUACUUGCAAACUCUAUGCACUCCACAAAAGUUGACAUGCUUAUAAGAGACAUUUUCAUCAUGACUAGUGCAAUCAUCAUUAGUAUUAUGGAUAUUCAAGGAAUUCAUACUAACAAAAUUGCAAUCAUGCUCAUCAUUCAAAUAUUUAGUGCCAAACAUUCUAAUGCAUUCUUCUUCUAACAUUUUGGCACAAUUAUCGGAAUCCUUAAUUUUCAUGAAAGAUUUUAAAAAGAUGAAGCAUAUGAGGCACCCUCAAUUCCAUUUUUUUGUAGUUUUCUUUUAUAAACUAAACUAGUGAUAAAACAAGAAACUAAAAGAUUCGAUUGCAAUAUCUAAAGAUAUACCUUCAAGCACUCACCUCCUCGGCAACGGCGCCAGAAAUGAGCUUGAUGUCUACUAAGCAACCUUCUUCUUGUAGACGUUGUUGGGCCUCCAAGUGCAGAGGUUUGUAGGACAGUAGCAAAUUUCCCUCAAUUGGAUGACCUAAGGUUUAUCAAUCCGUGGGAGGCGUAGGAUGAAGAUGGUCUCUCUCAAGCAACCUGCAACCAAAUAACAAAGAGUCGCUUGUGUCCCCAACACACCCAAUACAAUGGUAAAUUGUAUAGGUGCACUAGUUCGGCGAAGAGAAGGUGAUACAAGUGCAAUAUAGAUGGUAGAUAUAGGUUUUUGUAAUAUGAAAAUAUAAAAACAGUAAGGUAACAAGUAAUAAAAGUGAGCGUAAACGGUAUUGCAAUGCGUUGAAACAAGGCCUAGGGUUCAUACUUUCACUAGUGCAAGUUCUCUCAACAAUAAUAACAUAAUUGGAUCAUAUAACUAUCCCUCAACAUGCAACAAAGAGUCACUCCAAAGUCACUAAUAGCGGAGAAGAAACGAAGAGAUUAUGGUAGGGUACGAAACCACCUCAAAGUUAUCCUUUCUGAUCGAUUUAUUCAAGAGUUCGUACUAGAAUAACACCUUAAGACACAAAUCAACCAAAACCCUAAUGUCACCUAGAUACUCCAAUGUCACCACAAGUAUCUGUGGGUUUGAUUAUACGAUAUGCAUCACACAAUCUCAGAUUCAUCUAUUCAACCAACACAAAGAACUUCAAAGAGUGCCCCAAAGUUUCAAUCAGAGAGUCAAGACGAAAACGUGUGCCAACCCCUAUGCAUAAGUUCAACUGAACCGCAAGUUGAUCACCAAAACAUACAUCAAGUGAAUCACGUGAUAUCCCAUUAUCACCACAGAUAAGCACAUGCAAGACAUACAUCAAGUGUUCUCAAAUCCUUAAAGACUCAAUCCGAUAAGAUAACUUCAAAGGGAAAACUCAAUCCAUUACAAGAGAGUAGAGGAGAAACAUCAUAAGAUCCAACUAUAAUAGCAAAGCUCGCGAUACAUCAAGAUCGUACCACCUCAAGAACACAAGGGAGAGAGAGAUGAAACACAUAGCUACUGGUACAUACCCUCAGCCCCAAGGGUGAACUACUCCCUCCUCAUCAUGGAGAGCGCCGGGAUGAUGAAGAUGGCCACCGGAGAGGGAUUCCCCCCUCCGGCAGGGUGCCGGAACGGGUCUAGAUUGGUUUUCGGUGGCUAUAGAGGCUUGCGGCGUCGGAACUCCCGAUCUAGGUUAUGUUCUGGGGGUUUCUGUAUAUAUAAGAGGUUUUGGCGUCGGGAACAAGUCAGGGGGGUCUCCGAGGCAGCCACGAGGUAGGGGGCGCGCCCCCACCCUCAUGGUGGCCUCGGGACUCUUCUGGCCCAUCUCCGGUACUCCGUGGGCUUCUUCUCAUCCAAAAACAAUCUCCGUUGAAUUUCAGGUCAAUUGGACUCCGUUUGGUUUUCCUUUUCUGCGAUACUCAAAAACAAGGAAAAAAUAGAAACUGGCACUGGGCUCUAGUUUAAUAGGUUAGUCCCAAAAAUCAUAUAAAAUAGGAUAUAAAUGCAUAUAAAACAUCCUAGAUGGAUAUUAUAAUAGCAUGGAACAAUCAAAAAUUAUAGAUACGUUGGAGACGUAUUAGGCACAACCCACCUGGGCGCGCCCUGGUGGGUUGUGCCCCCCUCGGGGCACCCCCCAGGUGCUGCUCUGGCCCAUUGGUGGUCUUCUGGUCCAUAAAUAAUCCACAAAAAGUUUCACGGUGUUUGGACUCCAUUUGAUAUUGAUUUCCUGCGAUGUAAAGAACAAGCAAAAAAACAGCAACUGACACUAGGCACUGGGUCAAUAGGUUAGUCCCAAAAAAUGAUAUAAAGUUGCUAUAAAAUGAUUGUAAAACAUCCAAGAAUGAUAAUAAAACGGCAUGAAUACUUCAUAAAUUAUAGAUACGUUGGAGACGUAUCAGCAUUCCCAAGCUUAAUUCCUACUCGUCCUCGAGUAGGUAAAUGAUAAAAGAAAUAAUUUAUGAAGUGUGAAUGCUAGCAAAGUGCACAAGUUUGAUCAAUGAAAAUUUCAAUCACUUAUCCUAGCAUCAUAACAACAAUUCUUUCUUAUAAAACUUCUCAUGUUAUAGUAGCAACCAAUUCACAUGUUAAGGUUCAAACAAUGAAUUCUCUUGCAACUCAACAACCUAUGUUCUCAGUCACCAAGCAAUUGCAAUUCAACUUAUUCAACAGAGUUUAAGUAAGAGCUCCACAUACUCAACCAUCAUAUAGUCUUCUAUGAUUGCUAACACUCACCGUGUACACAUGAGCAAAACGUUUCAACCGGACACAUAGAAAGACAAGGGCUUUAUUGUUUUGCCUCCCAACGUAUUCACCUCAAAAGUGAUGUCAACAAUAAUAACUCAUGCUACCCAUAUCCAACUGGAUAUAUGUGCCUAGAUCUUUCCUCACCACAUGAUGCUUGCCAAAAGAGAAAAAUAAAAAGGAAUAGGGGGAAAAACUUUGACUCUUGCAUGAAAGUAAAUACAUAAAAGUUAAAGAUAGGCCCUUCGCAGAGGGAAGCAGAGGUUUCCAUGCGCUUAUUUGUUUGUAUGCUCAACCCCUUAGUGCAAAAGAACGUCAUGUUAUAUUGCCCCUUGCGAUAGAAACCUUUAUUAUGCAGUUUGUCGCUUUUAUUCUUUGCCAUCACAAGUUCAUACAACGCUCAAUUUUCUCUUACACUAAAUUAUCUAACACUUUUAGAAGCAAUUUUUAUUGCCUUAUUUCUCUGAUGACAACUUACUUGAAGGAUCUUAUUCAAUCCUUAGGUAGGUAUGGUGGACUCUUGAAGAUAAGAUUUGGGUUUAAGGGUUUUUGGAUGCACAAGUAGUAUCUCUACUUGGUGCAAAAUUUUUGGCUAGCAAGGAUGGGGGGCAAGCACCACAUGUUGAAGGAUCUAUGACAAUAUAACUUCUAUGUGAAUAUGAACAAACAUAAACCAUUACGUUGUCUUCCUUGUCCAACUCAACAAUUUUGGCAUAUAAUAUUUUGAUGGGGGCUCACAAUCACAAAAGAUUUCCAUGAUAGUGUAUUUGCAUGUGAAAGUUCUCUUCCUUAUACUAAUUAUUCGUGAAUUGCUUGUAUGCCCAAUAUUGUGACUGACAAGCCUCAAAAGAUUCACUUUCUAAACCCAAUGUGAAGCUACCACUAGGCAUGAUAUAAUUUCAACUUCAUGAUAUUCAAUUCAUUCAACAAUUUACUCAUAGGAUAUAAGUGAAGCACGAGAGUAAAUGACAAACUACUUCAAAAACAUAUAAGUGAAGAACAUGAGCAUAAUAUUUAUUUCUCUCAAAUUAAUUUAAGUGAAGCAAGAGAGAAUUUCUUCAAAAAUAGUAAAGCACACUGUGCUAAAAAAGAUAUAAGUGAAGCACUAGAGCAAUUCCAUAGAAAAGAGCUUCGUUGACGGGAUGUGAGUGCCGCUUACCUAGCCUCCCUGGCAACUAUUUGAGGACUCUAUUUUAUUUAAAAACUUUCAAAUCUAAGCAUUUUAUUAAAACAACAAGCAAAACAAAAUAAAAUGACAUUCCAAGGAUAGCACACAUCAUGUGAAGAAGCAAAAACUUAGUCUCAACCAAUACUAACCGAUAAUUGUUGAAGAAGAAAGGUGGGAUGCCUAACGGGGCAUCCCCAAGCUUAGAUGCUUGAGAAUUAUUGAAAUAUUAUCUUGGGAUGCCUUGGGCAUCCCCAAGCUUGAGCUUUUGUGUCUCCUUAAUUCAUCUCAUAUCACGGUUUUCCUAAAUCUCAAAAGCUUCAUCCACACAAAACUCAACAAGAACUCGUGAGAUAAGUUAGUAUAAACCAAUGCAAAAAACUUAUCAUUCUCUACUGUAGCAAAUCACUAAAAUUAUUAUUCAACAUUGCAUACUAAAUGCCUCUGCAUAUUUAAUACUCCUAUCCUCAAAUAGAGUCAUUAAACAAGCAAACAUAUGCAAACAAUGCAAACAUAACAGCAAUCUGCCAAAACAGUACAACUUGUAAAGAAUGCAAGAGUAUCAGUACUUAUUCAAAUCCAAACAUUAUGAAAUUUUGCCACACUGUAGAAAAUGUAUCAGAGCAUAUUUUGCAAAAAGUUUCAAAAUUUUAUCACAUUCCAAAUUUUCUAGGGAAUUUUUGCAACAUCGAUAAACUUUCUGUUUUCAAACAGCAACAUGUAGACUUGCAAAAUAAGCAUGGCAAUGGCUAUCAAUGCCACUUUUAUUGAAAUAAAAGAUGCAAAACAUUAUUCUAAAUAACAUCAAGAAAAUCCUAACAAAAUAAAUUGACGCUCCAAGCACAACACAGAUCAUGUGACGAAUGAAAACAUAGCUCCAAGUGAGGUUACCGGUAAUGUUGGAGACGAAAGAGGGGAUGCCCGCUUGGAUCUUGCUUGAAUAUCACCUUGGGGUGCCUUGGGAAUCCCCAAGCCUAGGGUCUUUUCACUUCUUAUUCUCCUCAUAUCGAAAUCUCACCCAAAACUUGAAAACUUCAAUCACGCAAAACUUAACGGAACUUCGUGAGAUAGGUUAGUAUGAUAAAGAGCAAGCCAUUUCACUUUGGUACUGUCAAAUACAAGAUUCAUAAUUGUUUCCACACAAUUCCUACUGUAGCAUAUCAUUUCCACAAUUUUUUUAUGGAGCAAUAUAAGCCAUAGAAACUAGACAACAAGCAAACUAUGCAUUGAAAAUAGAAUCUGUCAAAAAUAGAACAGUCUGUAAUGAUCUGGAUAACUACCAUACUUCUGCUACUCCAAAAAUUCUGAAAAAACUAGGACCACGUGAGAAAUUUGUAUAUUAAACUUCUACAAAAAGAAUAAACUCAAAAGCACUCUUCUGUUAAAAAUGAGAAUUAUUUUCGUGAGCACAAAAGUUUCUGUUUUCAGCAAGAUCAAAUCAACUAUCACCCAACAUGAUCCCAAAGGCUUUACUUGGCACUUUAUUGAAACAAAAGCAAUAAAACAUGAUUACUACAGUAACCUAAUCAUGUGAACACACAAAAACAGUUGGUAAAAGUGUUGGGUUAUCUCCCGACAAGCGCUUUUCUUUAAUGCCUUUUAAGCUAGGUAUGAUGAUUUCAAUGAUGCUCGCAUAAAAGAUAAGAAUUGAAACACAAAGAGAGCAUCAUGAAGCAUAUGACUAGCACAUUUAAGUAUAACCCACUUCCUAUGCAUAGGGAUUUUUUGAGCAAACAACUUAUGGGAGCAAGAAUCAACUAGCAUAGGAAGGUAAAACAAGCAUAACUUCAUAACUUUCAACAUAAAGACAGGAAAACUUGAUAUUAUUGCAAUAUGUAAAAGCAUAAUUUCCUCCCUCAUAAUAAUUUUCAGUAGCAUCAUGAAGAAAUUCAACAAUAUAACCAUCACAUAAAGCAUUCUUUUCAUGAUCCACAAGCAUAUGAAUUUUCUCACUCUCCAGAUAAGCAAAUUUAUUCUCAUGAAUAGUAGUGGGAGCAAACUCAACAAUAUAACUAUCAUGGGAUUGAAAAUUAAAAUCAUGAUGUCAAGUUUCAUGGUUAUCAUUAUUCUUUACAGCAUACAUGUCAUCAACAUAAUCAUCAUAAAUAGGAGGCAUUCUUUCAUCAUAAUAAAUUUUCUCAUCAAAACUUGGUAGACUAAAAACAUCAUCUUCAUCAAACAUAGCGUCCCCAAGCUUAUGGUUUUGCAUAUAAUUAGCAUCACGGAUAUUCAAAGAAUUCAUACUAACAACAUUGCAAUCAUGCUCAUCAUUCAAAUAUUUUGUGCCAAACAUUUUAUUGACUUCUUAUUCUAUCAAUUGAGCACAAUUUUCCUUUCCAUCAUUUUCAAGAAAGAUAUUAUAAAGAUGAUCAAUAAUAUGAUACAACCUCAAUUCCAUUUUUAUGUAGUUUUCUUUUAUAAACUAAACUAGUGAUAAAACAAGAAACUAAAAGAUUCAAUUGCAAGAUCUAAAGAUAUACCUUCAUGCACUCACCUCCCCGGCAACGGCGCCAGAAAAGAGCUUGAUGUCUACUACACAACUUUAUUCUUGUAGACACGUGUUGGGCAUCCAAGCGCAGAGUUUUGUAGGGCAGUAGCAAUUUUCCCUCAAGUGGAUGACCUAAGGUUUAUCAAUCCGUGGGAGGCGUAGGAUGAAGAUGGUAUCUCUGAAACAACCCUGCAAUCAAAUACAAGAAAUCUCUUGUGUCCCCAACACACCCAAUACAAUGGCAAUUUGUCUAGGUGCACUAGUUCGGCGAAGAGAUGGUGAUAAAGUGUAAUAUGGAUGGUAGAAAUAUAUUUUUAUAAUCUGAAUAAAUAGAAACAGCAAGGUAGCAAAUAGUAAAUGGGCACAAAAACGGUAUUGCAAUGCUUGCAAAUGAGGCGUAGGGUCCGUACUUUCGCUAGUGCAAUCUCUCAACAGUGGUAAUAUAAUUGGAUCAUAUAACCAUCCCUCAACGUGCAACGAAGAAUCACUCCAAAGUUCCUAUCUAGCGGAGAACAUAAGAAUAAAUUGUUUGUAGGGUACGAAACCACCUCAAAGCUAUUCUUUCCUGUUCGAUCUAUUCAAGAGUCCGUACUAAAAUAACACAAAGCUAUUCUUUCCGUUCGAUCUAUCCUAGAGUUCGUACUAAAAUAACACCAAAGCAAAUUCAUAUUUAUAAUACUCAAUCCAACAUGAAGAACUUCAAAGAGUGCCCCAGGAUUUCUACCGGAGAAACAAAGACAAGAACAUGCAUCAACCCCUAUGCAUAGAUUACCCCAUUAUCACCUCGGGAAUCUGCGAGUUGAGUGCCAAAACAUAUAUCAAGUGAAUCAAUACGAUACACCAUUGUCACCAUGAUAUUAAAUUGCAAGACAUAUAUCAAGUGUUCUCAAAUCCAUAAAAUUAUUCAAUCCAAUAACAACAAAAUCUCAAAGGGAAAACACAAUUCAUCACAAGAUAGAGAGGGGAAAACACCAUAUGAUCCGACUAUAUCAACAAAGCCCGCGAUACAUCAAGAUCGUGACAUCUCAAGAACACAAGAGAGAGAGAGAGAUCAAACACAUAGCUACUGGCACAAACCCUCAGCCCCGAGGGUGGACUACUCCCUCCUCAUCAUGGUGGCCACCGGGAUGAUGAAGAUGGCCACCAGAGAUGAUUCCCCCUUUGGCAGGGUGCCGGAACGGGGUCUAGAUUGGUUUUCGGUGGCUACAGAGGCCUGCGGCGGCGGAACUUCUGAUCUAGGUUAAUCCCAAGGGUUUUCGGAAUAUUUGUGAAUUUAUAGGAUAAAGAGGGGGUGCGGGAGGCCACCGAGGUGGGCACAACCCACCUGGGUGCUCCUGGGCCCCUAGGCACGCCCUGGUGGGUUGUGGCCCCCUCGGGGCACCCCCAGGUGCUGCUCUGGCCCAUUGGUGGUCUUCUGGUCCAUAAAAAAUCCACAAAAAGUUUCACGGUGUUUGGACUCCGUUUGAUAUUGAUUUCCUACGAUGUAAAAAAUAAAAAAACAACAACUAGCUCUGGGCACUGGGUCAAUAGGUUAGUCCCAAAAAAUGAUAUAAAGUUGCUAUAAAAUGAUUGUAAAACAUCCAAGAAUGAUAAUAAAACGACAUGAAUACUUCAUAAAUUAUAGAUAUGUUGGAGACGUAUCAUGCCUAUAUAAUGAUCAUUGCCUGGAUAUCGUCAUGAUUAUUUGAAGUUCAAUCAAUUGCCCAACAGUAAUUUGUUUACCCACCGUAUGCUAUUUUUCCCGAGAGAAACCGCUAGUGAAAUCUACGGCCCUGGGUCUCUUCUUUAUUAUAUUUGCCUUCGCGAUCUAUUUUUAUUUGCUUUUAUUUUCAUAUCUAUUAAUCUAAAAAAUACAAAAAUAUCUUGCUGCCAUUCAUUAUUAUUUAUUUUAUCUCGCGUUCUCGCGAGAUCUAUUUAUCCAAUCUACUACAAUUUUACCUAUCUUUUUACCCGUGAGGGAUUGACAACCCCUCUCUUACGUCGGGUUGCAAGUAUUUGUUCUUUGUGUGCAGGAGCUGUUUACGUGGUGUUGCGUGGUUAUCAUACCGGUUCGAUAACCUUCGUCUCAUCACUGAGGGAAAUACCUACCGUAGUUGUGCUGCAUCAUCCCUUUCUCUUUGGGGAAAUACCGACGUAGUUCAAGCCGCAUCACGAACCGAUCACAAAGCACCUCUUCCCAUGGCAAGAAAAUCGAUCUAGUUGGCCUAACUAAACCAAAGAUUCAAAGAGGAAAUACGAGGCUAUAAGUAAUCGUGCUUAUAAGAGAUCAAAUACUCAAACAAAUUUCAUGGAUAUAUAGAUCUGAUCAUAAACUCAAAGUUCAUCGGAUCCAACAAACACACCACAAAAAGGAAGCACCGUAAGAUCUAAUACAUACAUGUCGGUUCCCCUUCUGUCACUGGGAUCAAGCACCGUAAGAUCAAACCCAUCACAAAGCACCUCUUCCCAUGGCAAGAAAAAUCAAUCUAGUUGGCCUAACUAAACCAAAGAUUCGAAGAAAAAAUACGAGGCUAUAAGUAAUCAUGCAUAUAAGAGAUCAAAAGACUCAAAUAACUUUCAUGGAUAAAAGCAUAGAUCUGAUCAUAAACUCAAAGUUCAUUGGAUCCCAACAAACACACCACAUCAAAUAGAUCUCCAAGAGACCAUUGUAUUGAGAGUCAAAAGAGAGAGAGGAAGCCAUCUAGCUACUGCCUACGGACCCAUAGGUCUAUGAUGAACUACUCAUGCAUCAUUGAUACGUCCAUUUUGCAUCAUGUUUUCUUACUGUUAUUUAUAAUGUUUUUAUCCAUAGUAAUGCUUUUUGGAGUAAUUCUAAUGCCUUUUCUCUCAUAUUUGCAAGGAACACACCAAGAGGGAGAAUUCCGGCAGUUGGAAAUCUGGACCUGGAAAAGCUACGCCAGACCACCUAUUCUGCACAACUCCAAAUAAGCUGAAACUUCACGGAGAUUUUUUAUGGAUUAUUUAAGAAAUACUGGAGCCAAUAACCACCAGAGGGGGGCCACCAGGUGGGCACAACCCACCUGGGCACGCCAGGCCCCCCAGGCGCGCCCUGGUGGGUUGUGGCCUCCUCGGCCCACCUCCGGUGCCCAUCUUCUGGUAUAUAAGUCAUUUUGACCUAGAAAAAAUAAAGAGGAGACUUUCGGGACGGAGCGCUGCCAUCUCGAGGUGGAACUUGGGCAGGAGCACUUUUGCCCUCCGGCAGAGCGAUUCAGCCGGGGGAACUUCCCUCCCGGACGGGGAAAUCAUCGUCAUCAUCAUCACCAACAACUCUCCCAGAGGGAGUCCUGGACUAAGGGGUCCUCGGGUGUCCUGCCUGUUAGCCAUGGGUCGGACUGAUGGGCUGUGAAGAUACAAAGACCGAAGACUGCACCCGUGUCCGGAUGGGACUCUCCUUGGCGUGGAAGGCAAGCUUGGCGACCGAAUAUGUAGAAUCGUUUCUUUGUAACCGACCUUGUGUAACCCUAGAUCCUCCCGGUGUCUAUAUAAACCGGAGGACUUAGUCCGGAGGGAGAUAUACUCAUUACCAUAGUCAUACAGGCUAGGCUUUUAGGGUUUAGCCAUCUCGAUCUCGUGGUAGAUCAACUCUUGUAAUACUCAUAUUCAUCAAGAUCAAUCAAGCAGGAAGUAGGGUAUUACCUCCAUAGAGAGGGCCCAAACCUGGGUAAACAUCGUGUCCCUUGUCUCCUGUUACCAUCGGCCUUAGACGCACAGUUCGGGACCCCCUACCCGAGAUCCGCCGGUUUUGACACCGACAUUGGUGCUUUCAUUGAGAGUUCCACUGUGCCGUCCCCAAAAGGUUCGAUGGCCCCUUCAAUCGUCGACAAUGACACUGUCCAAGGAGAAACCUUCCUCCCCGGACAGAUCUUCGUGUUCGACGGCUUCGCGGUGCGGGCCAACUCGUUUGGCCACCUAGAGCAGAUCGAUAGCUACGCCCCUGGCCAUCAGGUCAGAUUUGGGAGCUUGAAUUACGCCGCGGACAUCCGUGGAGAUUUGAUCUUCGCCGGAUUCAAGACCGCGGCGACCGCUCCUGGUCACCUUGACGAACAUGACCUAAAUCUGUCGUCAGACCGCAUCCAGGAGAUAGCUCCUGUAACCACUCUGGCCUUAGAUCCAGAGCACACUGCGGCAUCCAAGGAUUGGAGGCUCAAGCACUUCAAAAAUAAUACACUUCCGUGAUGAUACGUGUUUGUCACAGUAGGUCACGUUUUCUGUCAUGCAUGUACAUCCAUGACAAAUUUAUGACAGAAUCAAGAUAGUCAUACCUGUGCUGUCGUAGAAGUGUUCCAUGACAUUACCAAAAUUAUCAUCACGGAAGUGUCCACUUCCAUGACGAUAAAUCACGCGUCACAGAAGUGCUUUCGUCAAGGGUGACCGACAUGUGGCAUCCACCGUAACGGAACGCCGUUAAGCUAUCGGGUCCGGUUUUGGAUCCGAUAACCCGUUAACAGCCCCGACCAAUGGGGAUUUUCCACGUGUAAAAUCAUCAUUGGCUGGAGGAAACACGUGUCGGCUCACGGUUGGGACAGAUGUCAUCCACUCAUUGGACCCAAAGCGCCUAUGAUACGCCGACACGUGGCACGACCCAAUAGAGGCCCAUUCCUGGGAAAAGGCCGGCCCGUUUGACUUGGUCAAAAGGUGGCGGGCCGGCCCACGGCAAGCCUGUUAACGGCCUGUUCGCAUAUAGCCCAUUUACAGCCCGCUAUCCCAGGGCCCGUUUACGGCCUAUCCGAAUUAGGCCCAGUAGCGUCAUCUGGGCCGUCCAAUAUAAUUCCAACCCAUUUUAACUUCCGGCCCAUGUAUGGCCCAUGACGUCUUUCGGCCCAUAUGAGGCCCUUAGUAACCCUCGGCCCCUUAACGACCCGUGGUAAAACUGGCCCGUAAUGAACAAUGUAUCACUUUAUACCCAUUAACGGCCCAUUAUUCCGUUGGGCCGUUUCCAGCCCAUGAUAUCUUUCGGCCUUCUCAGGGCCCAUUUAUUCUUGGGCUCAUUUCCAGCAUUCGGUUACUUACAGCCCGUUACUGUCAUUUUCUGCUUGUGGGCCAAAUUCAGUCCGUGGUUACAGUCGGCCCGUUUGUGGCCCGUUAAUACAUUGGGCGUUUUCAUGUCGAAAAAACUCGUUGGGCUGUUUUCAUAGAGUUAUCAAAUACGGCCAAUAAACGGCCCGUUAUUGUCCAUGAAUAGUACGGCCCAUGAUUGGCGAAAUGACGAUACGCCCCGUAGAAGGCCCAUGGAUCCUACGGCCCGUAAAAGGCCAAUGGAUCGUACAACCCGUAGAAGGCCCAUGGAUCCUACGGCCCGUAUAGAAGGCCAAUGGAUCCUAUGGACCGUAGAAGGCCCAUGGAUCAUACAGCCCGCAGGAGGCCCAUGGUUACAACAGUCCGUGUGUUGCCAUGAUUAUUUUGGCCUAGUUUCCAAAAUAGGUUAUUGUGGCCACUAGAAAAACUCAGAAAAAGAACUGCAGUGACUACAAGCAAACAACUAAACAAGACAAUAACGAAAUAAAUAAGCAAGCAAUUAACGCUAGCAUAUUACCGCUAUUACACAUAUUACAUCCACUAGGCAUCAAAGUUCGCCACCAGUGCAAAUAUAGGGAACAAAGCAGCAUAUUACAUACACUGGCCAUCAAAAUUGGCCACCAGUGCAAAUAAACGCGGCAGCAAAACAAGAGCAUAACUGAAACAACUUCAUAAGAGCUCAAGAAACGUGGUAUCCACCAUGCUAGCAAUAAGCUUAGCAAGCUUAUUAGCUUUGUCCUGUUUGGCACUAAAAUCCUCCAACGCUUGCUGUUGCACCAGAAAGUAUGCAUCUGAAUGCUCCAGGGACUUCCGCGGUCCUUCCGCUUCUUGUCGCAGCACAACUGAUCGAUGUCUUUCAGCUUGUAGUUGAGAGUCAAGAAACCGAACUGAUUCAGACAGUGAGUUUGAAUAGCUUGUGCAAGCGGUAGUGGCCAGUAACUCCAACACUAAACCAAGAUAGGACUUUGGGGUUGUCUCACUGUCUUCGAGAUAGUCUUCCUUAGCUGUUUUAUCAGCUUUGUUGGAGACCAACAAGGAUGUGUCACUAUCCUGAACCUUAUCUGCAUUACUUCCUUUACCAUUGCUUAAUAAGACACUCUUCCCCAAUAUUCUGUCAGCAUUCUAAAAGAAGACACAUAACAGUUUAGCAUGUACUAGUAUAUGAAACUCAUUUCGGUGAACCAGUUCAUUAGUAAGGUGGACAGGAUUAAACUACCAAGUCUUCUAUUGCCAAGUACUAGUACAUAAUAAAAGCAUCAAACAAACAUAUAUCUAUGUCCUAUGGUCACUGCAUUGUCUUGCCAAAUCAAAAUAGAGACACGGUUCAAAUCAUAUCAGUUCAAGACAAAGCAGCACUGAAAGAAUACAAAGCGUGGAAAACUACACGGCACAACAAGAUUUCAGAUGGGUACCACGGGUCUACAUGUACAACAACACUAUUGGCUCUGUUGUGAUGCUAGUAAUGUGCAUGAUAUGAGAAGUCAACUGUAUACACAAUUGAAAUUAAAUCAACAGAGCUAUUGAUAAGAGCAAGCCUGUUAAAGAAACAUGCGUGAACAUACCUGCUGUGCCAUUGAAGUUUUGAUUGGAUCCUUCAAUUUAAAAAUAAGUUUGUAUGAGUAAAUACAGUGAUACAAGAGCAAAGCAGUAUGCAUGAUAGCAAUCAUAGUUAAAAAACGCGCGCCUAAGCAAGCGGUUAAGCGCGCCUAGGCUCUAGGCGUUGGCGAAACGCAUUGCGCAUAACUACGCUUAAUCUGUGCAUAACUGCGCAUAAGCAUGCGCUUUGGCUAGUAAAGCGCAAGGCGGUGGCAAAACGCACAAUUAACGCCUAGCGCUUUUUUGAACUAUGAUAGCAAUGGAAUCUUCAAUUAGAACAGUUGUUCUUCAGGUUUAGGCACUUGUUCUACAUGAACAUAGUACAGUAAGACGCAAGAAUAUAGUACUUAAAACUAGAAAAUGAGCUCAUAGACCUUACCACAUUCUUGGUUCGGUACCAGUACAGAACAAGGCGUUCCCAGUCAUCGUCCAGUAAAUGUGUCUCAGGAGAACGUAAGGGAAUUUGAUGAGUUUCUUUGCCGGUGAAGUACGUUUUCUUCAGGUAAUUCCGAUACUGCCACCAAGCAUUCUUGAAGAUAGCAGAGGUAUUAGCAUAGGUUACCUCAUCCUAUGUUUCCAAAUCGGUCCUUCUCUAUAGAGAAAAUUGGGAAAAUUUGCUGUAUUAUAACCAUCAUGGAGGUAGGAUGUAUGGGACAAAGCAAAGUAAUUGCCAUGAAUAACAUUACUUACACAUAACUCCUGGACAAACACCUGCAACUGGCAUUUUCCUUCAUCUUCAGUAUAAUAUUUCCAAGAUGGGAAGAUACGCACAUACGAUUUAACAACAUCACACGCAAUAGAUGCUAAACUACGACUAGCUGGUUGUGCUUCCUCCACAGGAAUAGGCGUACUAACAGGUGGAGUUGGGGUUCGCCGUGGUAGUACUGGCCCUUUGGCCACUGGAGCUGCCUUACUAACUACUCUUGUUUGGGAGCUCUGUGGUGGAGAUGGUGUUGUGUCAACAGGAACUGGGUUACUAUCUGCUGGGGUUAGGGUUAGAUUGGGUGAAGCUGGUUCUCUGUCCAUCGCAGUAGGGUUACAAUCUGUGAGAGUUUGGGUUAUGUGUGGUAGGGCUGGUUCUCGUACAUGUACAACCGGGGUGCUAUCUCCACCAAGAGGUAGCACUGUUUUAUUUGAAGACCGUGUUUUUAGUCCGCUAGAUGCUGGCAUCACCCGCUCCAAUUCAAAUGGCUGAUAAACAGGAAACAUAGUUGAAUGUACAGACAUUGUAUGAGAGACAGAUGCAAUAGAUAGUGUGGAAAAAAGAGGGCAUGAAAUAGUUGACAUGUAUAUUGUUUAACUAAAACGGAUAGCAUGACAUAAUUUCACAUAUAUGAUGUCUAUCUAAACUGGAUAACAUAGCAUAACAUAAUUCAAAGAUAUGAUGAAUAACUAAACAGGAUCGCAUGAGAUAAUUCACCUACAUGUUAUCUAAGUAAUCAGGAUCACAUCAUUUAAUUCACAUAUGUGAUUUAUAUGCUAAAAGAGGGCAUUAGAUAUGAUGUCUGAACUAAGAACAUGGUGUUGAAUAUUGUGUAUAUGAUGUCUAAUCUAUGCAAUGCAAGACACCAUAUGCAUGAUAUGAGCAGUAUAACCGUGCCAAGUUAGAGCAUACACCUCGGUGGGGGAAUAGGACUGGUCAUCUGUCUCUGAAUCCAUCUCUGAGGAGCUAUCGGGACCCAACAAGAGAUCUGCUUCGACAGGUAGCACUAUCUGCGCUGAAGGCCUUGUUUUCACUCCAGAUUUUUCAAUCUCCCACCCAAAUGGCUGAUUCACAGGAAGAGUAGUUUAAUGUACAAACAUUGUCGACAAAUGGAAAUGUAAUGAAGAAAAGGAUGGGCAAGAUAUCAUUCAAAUAUAUGAUGCCUGGUUAAACAGGAUGGCAUUGCACAUUUCAAGUAUAUUAUGGCUGGCUAAAAGACAUGAGACUGCAUAAUUCCCAUAUAUGAUAUAGAAACUAAACAGGUGGCAUUACAGAACAUGUCUAAACUAAGCAAAUGACAUAUAUGAUGUCAAAAGUAGGCACUGCAAGGCAACAUAUGCAUGAUAUGACUAACAUCAUCAUGCCAAGGUUGAGCAAACACCUUGGGGGGUAAAUAGGAGUGGUCAGCGGCGUCUGAAUCCGCCCCAGAACAGAUAUCUUCCUCUGGAUUAUAAUCUGGAGAGGGGUGGGGAGGGCUUGCCAUUGAACCCACCAUGGAGCGAUGUCUGCAUGACAUUGUAUCGCCGCGCAAAACUCUUCUCUUUUUCUCUACAUGUUCAGCAUGACUGUGUACAAUAUCUGACAUGCAUACGAAAAAAUAUAGUGAGAUUAUGUAAGGAGAGCAUGCAGAAAUUUAGAGUGAUGGUAACAACCAGUGGAUGGAUCCAAAAAUAAUGAUAGCAGGUUGAUGAUUGCUUUAAUUUAAUAAAAAGAUAGAUGAUGAUUGCUUUAUUAUUUGUUUCCCACCCAAGAUGAACAACAUAGGCAUACCCUAGGUGAACCAGAUAUUAGACAGAGAUACUAUUCAUUGCUUCCUCGAUAUGUGCCCCACAACUAAUUUAGAACUCAAGUUUGAACAUUAAUUUGGACCUGACUUGGAGUCCAAGAGGUGAACAGGACGAUAAAGUAGCAGGUAAUUCUAAGCAAUGCAUAACAUAAGCAGAAACAAAAGAGUGCGACCUCUCUUGUGGACCCGUGUACUCCUCAGGUUCAUCUGCCGAGUCGAUGAUGGUGAUGCCGUUGCGGUGGGUGCCGGCGGCAGGGAAGGAGAUCUGAGGCGGCGAAAGACGGUCAGGAGUCGUGAUGUCUGGUUUGGUGGAAGUUUCUGUCGAUGGAGCAGCUCAGUUGAGGUGGACGACGUCGCGGCAGGAGCAGGACAAACUAGACAAAGUUCCCUUCAACACCUACCUGUAACUGAAGUAAUUCCGUAAGGGCUCAUUUGGCUUGCAUGAUUCUAAAAACGCAGGGAUAGGAAAAACACCGGAAUAGGAUAGGAAUGCACAUGGUAAACAGAGCAUUUGUAAACACAGGAUUUCUGUCAACUUGAGGGUUUGGUUUACAGGAAUUUGAAGAGCAGAGGAAUGCACAGAAACAUGGCCAAAAUAAAGUGAAAACCAUAUGAAAGCGUGUACAGUUAGAAUGUUAUUCUGCCACUAAUGCACUUGGUCUUGUUUUCAUGCAUAGGAUUUUGAAAAGUAGGUCCAGGUGGAUGUUUUGCUUCAUUCCUUUCAACAAAAUGCAUGAAUAAUUGAAUACUAGAGUGCCAUUGGAAAGUUCCCUCUUGCUAUGUUUUUUCGUUGAACCAAAAUAGCCCUAAUGGAUCGACAUGAAUGUAUAGUAAUAAGUGAUGCAAUAAGUGUACAACCUCUUUGCCGUAGCCGUGUCGACCUCAGCAUCAUUGGUUUGGUCGCUGAAGCAGUUGAGGCAUAGGUGGCUGUCGGAGGUGUGGAGGAAGAUCUGAGGAAUCUGUAGACAGCGUCCAGGGCACUGCUUUGUUGUGAUGGAUCGUUCUGUCGUUGGAGCAGCCCCGGUGAGCCGUAAGACGUCAAGGCUGAAGCAGCACAAGACAUACAUCGCCAAUCUCAAGUGGGAUUCUAAUAGCAUCUCCAAUAGAUGAUGUAAAAUAGAUGUAAAAUUUACAUCACCAAAAACCACCUGACUACAACAGAUGAGGUAAAAACUGUCGAAUCUGAACUUAACUGUCGAAACUGAAAUUUAUUGUGGAAUCAGAAUGUUACUGUCGAAACUGAACGCAAUGGUAGCAGAGAGGCACUUGACAUGUAGUUUAGGGAGGGCCUGCAGUUCAUCUUCAACCUGCCCCCCCCUGAACCGCCAGCCACCACCGACCGAACCGCUGGCCCCAGCGCCGCCUCGCCGCCCUGAAACAACUCCCCACCGCCGCCCUGGCCAGCCCUAUAGGCCCCCCGCCCCCACCCUGAACCCUAAGAUAGAUAGUGGGGUACCUCUCUGGCGAGCCCCCAUCCCCGCUGCGGGUGGUUCUUCCUUAACUCCGGCGAGCCCCCCACCCCCUGAAAAUCGACUGACCCAAAAGUCGAUUCAGUCGACUGAAGUGUAGCUAAAUUGGAGCAGAGUAGCAGCACGAGUGAGGGGGAGAGCAGCAGCAGCAGUGCAAGCGAGCGAGCGAGAGCCGGAGCGGCAUCAGCUGGGCGAGCGAGCGAUCGAGCGAGAGCCGGAGCAGUAGCAGCAGCGCGAGCGAGCGAGCGAGAGCCGGAGCAGCAGUAGCAGAUCCAGCUGGUAUGGACGCCGCCGCCGAAGGGGCCUCGCACUGGGGGAGAGUCGCCGUGGAGAUGUCGCCCGCGGCGCCGACUUCAAGGUAGCCGCUCCAUGGGGGUGCGGGAUGGAGCACCGUCGGCGCCGAGAGGUCGAGCUAAGGAGAAGGUGCAAUGCGAUGAGUGUAGGCCUCGGCUUCGUCCGAGGAGUCGGUGAGGAUGCUGCGGUUCCGGUGGAGCAGGUUAAGGUGGUGCUGUGGGGAUGGAGCAGCCGCGAUAGACGAGGCGAUCGUCGGAGCAGCUCCUUGGAGGUGGAGGACGGGGCGGCUGAACCGGCGGGACAACGAGAUGGACGACGGAUCCUCAUCCGAGGAGGUGGACGAGGGACGUCGAGCUGUUGCGGUGGACGAUGUCGUCGGGGAAGAGGCUCCGGCUGGGCAGCGGUGAGGUGGCGGACGGAGGAGGGUGGGGUUUCGCGGCUGGAGCGGAGAGGUUAUGGCGGCCUGGGAUUUCGAAUGGCAAAAAGGAGGCGAUGGGAGGGGGUGAACCAUGACUUAGGGACGCACUUGUCCAAAAUGUAGGGUGUGUUACAAAAGUACCGCGCACCGAUUUGAACUAGCGGCCCUUUCGGCUCAGGGUUAGAAGGGGGAUUUCGCAUGUCGAGAUUUGGCAGCUGGAGGGAGUUUUCGCGCGCGUUGUAAUUUCGGGGUAGCAAGGCGCGGGUUGUGAAGGCGCCAGUUUUGGGAGCACGAUAUCUGAAUUUUUGGGAUAUAACAAGGCGCGCGUUGAAUUUUAGGGACAAGCCUAACGUGUAAUAUUGUACUUGUACGUACCAAAUCAAUUCGCACUUCCCUCAACCAAAAAGAAAACAAAAAAAUAAAACUAUUCACACCACACAAAAAGAGAGUCUUGCCCCGUUUUACUAUAAAAAUGCUAUUUAAAGCUACUCAUACCAACAAUUUAGUGCAAUUAAAUGCUAUUCGGUAGUAUGAAUCCAUGUUAUGUCCAAUUAAAUUUUUUCGCUUGCUGCAUAAUGCAUGUAACCUACUCAUACCAACAUUUUAGUGCAUUCCAAAUGUCUAUACUACCGCUGCAAUUCAAACUGAAUUUGAAUUCAUUUCUCUAUUUCAAUAACAAUCUACAAUCAUGAUUGUUGCCAACUUCAACCAUCAUUCGUGUAUUACCUUAAUAACACACCACAUGAUUACUAUAGAGAUAGAUAUGAACUAUUUGUACUACAUGAACUCGAAUUCUAUUUUUUGAAUACACUUGAUGUUGAUUCCAAAUAAUAGUACAUUUGAUGUACUAACUAUAUAUUCAUAAUCUAAACCAUGUUCCAUAUGUGUACACCAUGUUUAUCACACAUAGUAUAGUGCCCCGCCCCCUUCAUUAUGACAAGUAUUUAGACCUGAGCUACAAAAGCCACACAUUAGCCCAAAUUAUGAUCAAUGUUCUAUAUGUUAUACGUAGUACUAGCAAGAUGCCCAUGCGUUCCACACAACAUCAACAUGAUCAAGGGGAGGCCUAAUUUGCAAAUAUGGAGAGGGGUGUGGGUAUCUUUUUUCAAAAUUGCCAUAGUUUCCUUCCUAUCCGUCAGAUAUAAAUCGGACGGCCUAUAUUGCAGGAUGGCACCAUCAUCAACAACUCCGUUUUUUAUAAGAGUAGAGAUAAAAUAUAAUAUAUGUAGUAUAACAUGUUCAUAACCACACCAUGUGUAUCACCGUUAUAUAUAUUCACACAUGCGUCGGUUUAAAACACUAUGAUUAAUUCUUCAAAUAUCUGAAUUCGCUUUUUAUAAUGAAGUAUGAUCUCUAUUCGUCUUUUACACCCACACAAUCCUCUUAUCUUUGUAGCUAGCUAGCGCUAACUUUCUCUCGUGCAUGCAGACGCCCGCAUCCCUCUAACCCUCCCUUAGCAUUCUCUAGCUCCAUCGCGCAAAUUCGUCUUUUCACUUUAGGUCGUUCACCCACGGUGUGUGUAGGCCCCCCAGCUCCUUCUUUACGACACACAUCGAUCGAUAUGCCUCUCUAGCCAGGUGUGCCUAGCACAAAACACAAGCUUCCCCUCUUCUCUUAUCACCGUCCAUGCCUCACUCCCACCACUCUUUUCAUCGAUCUCGUACUCGCACACUUCUCCCCCCUCGAUAUAGUAUGACUCUCGCACCACCUCCUACAUGCAUCCCUCUCUCUCUAUCCUUCUCCCCGUGCCUCAUUUGCUUCUAACACACACAUGCAUGUAUACCGAUCGAUCUCCCAACAUAUACCGAGGUCGACUUUAACUAUUCCCCCCAUCGAUCGACAUACCUCACAAGUUAUGUCUCUCCUUUCUCGGACAAAGGACGAUUGAUCUUCCUAUGUAGUUAUGUCUGCUUACGACAUCCAUAUCGCCCCCUCAUCAUUCGUGCAUGCCUCCAGACCCAUCUCUCACACGCACGUGCACAGACAGUCAGCCAUCCCCUCUCUUAUUGAUAUUGCAGGCGUGCCCUCCGGUUGUCUAGCAAGCCUAUCCCACCAUUUGUUAGAAGUAACUCCACUACCACCCCCUCCAACACUCUAGCUCUGUCUCUCUCCCAACCUUAUUCCUCUCCUACACAUAUGCAUGGAUGUCGAUCAAUCUCCCUUAAUACAUGAGGUAGGUCGAUCUCCCUUAAUACAUGAGGUAGGCCUCUCUCCUCCUCCACACAUAUACCAGCCAUUGUAUCUCUAUAGUUAAUUAGGCCUCCCUCCCCCCACCACACACCGAUAGUCGAGCGCUGUAGGUAGGUAUCGAUGCCACAGAGACAAACUGCACCUGUCCCCUCUCACGUUCCAGUAGGCCAGCCACUCUAUAUCUUUGACGUGGGCACACACAAAUUCGAUGGCACUCUUUAUCGAUCGCGCGCGCGCACACACACACACACAUCAUCAUCAUCCCUCUCUUCGAUUCUACGGACACCUCAAGCCGAUGAUACCUCCACUCUCUUCUCGUGGAUCGCCCCUCUAUAUAUAUGAUGUAUCCAGGACUCUAUUUCACACACAUUGCAUAUGUUACAUUUUUUGAUUGACCCACCCCCCCAAAAAAACUCUCAUGAACCCACACACUAUAUCUCUCUACGUUUGUAUCUCUCUCACGCAACCCACGUAGGUGGUGUACGUAUACAAGAAGAGAAUAGGUGCACCAUGCACGUAUUCACGCUUCGUGCCCAGCCACACCCGUGCGGGUACACGGUGGAGCUCAUUUCGGUACGAAAUGGCAGCCCACGUGCUAAUUUGAACGCGUGUAGCGGUUGUUUACCUACGGAGGUCGUGUACCACGUGUGCACGAAACAAAGUUCGACUUGAUGCGUUGGCGCGUUAUUUUUAAAUAAAGUUAUAUCGCUCAAUGGCACGUACACAUAAUAUAAAACGAUUUUUAUGGAGAAAAAGGUAGUCCGCUCCACUAUAUACAAUGGAGCCUGCCUGCCUGGUUUGUCUCUCUCCAGAGUAUCUCACACAAGGCUACAGUGGCCUCUCUCUCUCUCUCGCCGUUGGUCACUGAUCCGGCCGCAUCCCGUCCGCCGGCGGAAUGGGAGGACGUGCAUCGUUUCUCCGUUCGACGGCGCGAGGCAGCACGUCCCGAUCUGCAGUACAUGUCGUUCUCUCUGACCAAGCUCCGGCGUGGUAGGGCCUACGCCACCUGCUCGCUUCCGCAGUAUGGGCAGAUUCCGCCCGCCGCCGCUCACCUAGUUACAUCCCGACGACUUCCAGGUAUCCCCUCCGGCCUUGCUCCACUGCCCGUCUUCCCACGUCGCUGCAUGUGGAUCUUCCAUAGUUCUUUGCCCAAAACGUAGCUCGUCCGGCGUACUUUCCAUAUUGCAAUCUCGUCCUCACACCGUUUUAGACAAACACAAUUGUGUUGUUAUCUUCCCUUAGGACAAGGAAUAUGCUUCUUUUUUGUCGUCGCAUGUGUCAUCAACUGUUAUUGGCCAGUAAUUGUUUCCUUUCUACCUCUUUUUUGCAAACAGGGCUAUCCACUUCACCUUGUUGCUAUUGCGACCUUUUGGUGAACUGCACAAAUCACUUUUUUCUUAAGAGUGUUUUGUGCAGUUCUGCCAAAAUGUCACACGGGCAACGUCUCUACAUUUCAUUGCGACUGCACAAAGGGAGAUUGGUUUUGCUCUAUCCUCCUCAUCCAACUCCGAGCCUAAUCUUCUCCAACUAGUUAGUCUUAAGAGAGACUCCAAAGGUGACCGGCUUCUAUUUGUGUGUUUAUUGUUUCAUCAGCAGUCCUCUAUUAUCGUAAUCACACUUAAUAUCUUUGGAACAGGGACGCUCAGCUCUAUUUUAGUGGAACUGCACAAAAUGAUCGGAAUGUUGCAUGCUCCAAACAGCUACUUUUUCCCCAACAUGCCUUGCUGAUUUAGACAGAGCUGGGGGGACGUUGCUGCCAAUGAAAGCAUGGAUCAAUUUUAAUUUAACACCUUCUCACAACUUUGUCUUCAUUUGUGAUGUAAAUAUUAGCUCUGAUUAGCAAGGAAGUUAGUUUUUUAUUGUUUCCGAAAGAGCAUCGAUGGCAAGACACACGAAACAAAAGCUGAAAGCUCACACCAUUGUACAAUUUCAUGUCGCUGGAAAAUUAUUUGUAUAGUACGUCAAUUAUGUAAACAAAUGCUGGAAGCUUGAUAGCAUUGCCAGAAGCCUCUUCGGCAUCCGGGUCCAUGUGCCAUGCACAAAAUUAUACUCCUUCGUUCCUAAAUAUUUAUCUUUUUACAAAUUUCAAACGGGCAUAUUUUAGAGUGUAGAUUCACUCAUUUUGCUUCGUAUGUGUACUCCCUCCGUCCCUAAAUAUUUGUCUUUCUAGAUAUUUCAACAAGUGACUACAUACGGAGCAAAAUGAGUGAAUCUACACUCUAAAAUAUGUCUAUAUACAUCCGUAUGUAAUAGUCCAUUUGAAACUCUAAAAAGACAAACAUUUGAGUAGUCACUCGUUGAAAUCUCUAGAAAGACGAAUACUCCAGAGUAUAUUUAAGAACUGAGGGGGUAGUGCACAGCCGCAUGGGAGACUCAGACCGGUUGUUGCGCCGCAUUAAUAGUGAGUAAUGAGCAGUCAAAUCAUAAGCCCCACCUUUCCCACUGUAAGUUGCUCGGAAGAAGCAACCAUCAAUACGCUCUUCUUUGAAUCCGCUCAUACUACUCCAUCCGUCACUGUUUAUAGAGCGCGCUUCAGAAAAAGAGAAAAUCUCUGGGACCAAGGUGACUAGCGAUCAGCCUAAAAAAUAGCAUUGGUAGUUAUAGCACGGCGACUAUUACUAGAGGAAAUAAUGCGUACACACAUGCAUGCAGUGCUUCCACCCCGGGUACACACAUGCAUGCACUUACUCCACUCCGUAGUACUACAUCGAGAGAAAAUUGCGGUUACCACGCCCUAAUUAAUUGAGCAUUAAACCAAAUGCGUCUAAAGUCUCUCUGGUGGUGGAAAUGCAUUGAGAGAAAUGCAUCAUAAUGAAACGCGCCCUGUAAACUGUGAUGGAGGGAGGAGUAGUAUGAAGGUGCAAAACCAAGUACGCGUAUGGCCAGUCGGUCAACGCACCUCCUCUUGGCAUAUCACUGACAUGUGGGACCGGAGUGUGAGCAAAGCGAUCUCAAUUGAUGGCAAAAUGGCCAACCCGCCGUUCCUUGAGAGAGGCGAGGAGCGAGAACACACAGACGGGCUCGCACAGAGGGCAAGAUAUAUUCGAGCAUGGUUGAUCGAUAUCAUCAUUACAUGUUGGGCUGCCGUUUUCCGCCCUUCUCCAGAAUAAAUGUGUACUUUAUCAAAGAUUAAGAAAAAUAAGAGCACAGAGGCUCCACCAUGCAGUUCUAGUAGUAGUACUACUAAACAUUGCGCUUGGCUCUUCGCCUCUUCGUGAAGUCGAACAAUGAUGGUACUCCGCAUGUUCGGUACUACAGUGUAUGCCUCUGGCAAUUUGACACCGAAUGAACUGAUGCAUGUCCACCGCCUGGGUGAGGGUACGUUGCAUUAGUCAAAAGGCGUAAGCGAGCUUCACCUUAUCCUGCAAGCUUCUCCUCGUUCUGCGAGUUGACGGGACGCACCAACAAGUAGUGCUAGUCCAUACUCCCUCCUUUCCGGUUAAUAUGGCUUAAUCUUUUUUGCGGGUAAAUGAGAGAGCUUUAUUCAUAUAUAAGCAUUCUUAGGACGAUCAGCCAAGACACUGGUCACUAGGAAGCGAGGUACCCCGCAAAAAAAGAAGAAGUAGGUAGCGAGGUGUUUCAUCAAGCCAGCUCUCGGCCACAUUCAAAGUGCAGCAAGCACGGUUCGCACAAAGAUGCGCCGCAAGGUUUGCUGACCUGUUUACAUGCUGAAUAACAAAAAAAGAGGAAAUAUUAUCGAGCGCUCCUAUUUGUAAUAGGAUAUGAGCCAUAAUUAAGCGAGAAUUGUGGCGAGUGUUCCAUGCAAUCAACUUCCAUUAUCACAUGCGAGAACCCUCGAAGAGAACCAAAUGUGUUGAAGAUUGCUUUAUCACAUUUUUAAAAUAUAAUAAGAGUGCAGACGCUCCUCCAUCCGGUUCCUAGUACCAGUAUAGUACCUCUAUAGACUAUAGUAGUAGUACUAGUAAACUUUGUGCUUGGCUGUUCGCCUCUUCGGGAAGUGCAACAAUAAUAGUACUAGUAUAGUGUAUGCUUUUGGCAAUCUGACACCGAAUUAACUGUUGCACGUCCACCGCCUGAGCGAAGGACAACUUGCAUUAGUCAAAAGUUUCUCCUUGUCCUGCGAGCCACCGCGCGCAAGCUUCUCCCGUCCUGCAAGCUUCUCCUCGUUCGGCAAGUUGACGGGACACAACAAAGUAAUGCUAGCCCAUACUGCCUCCUCUCCGGUUAAUAUGGCUUAAUUUCAAACGAGAUAAAUACACUAUCUAUCAGUAUAUAUUUGUACAAAUAUGGUCAGUGGACUUCAUAAUACGCUCAUUGCGCUCAAUAUAUACAUUUUCUAGUGUUUAUACGGUCACUAGCUCACCCUGGCUGAGUAUGUGUGUGCAUGCACGUGUAGGUUGAGCACUUGAGCGUGACUGUGUGUGUUCCGUCGUGUGCUCGGACAUGCAUGCAUUAUGGCGUCGCACGCGUUUUUGCGUCCAUGUGUACGUGUGACUGUUGCAUACACGUAGGGGGAGUACGUGUAGGGGCCACUAAAGGAGCAGUCAAAUCACACAGUAAGUUAGUCGGAAGAAGCAACCAUCAUUUCACUCUUCAAUGACACGUACGCAAUAUAAAAUGGUUGAUAUGGAGAGAAAAAUAAAACCACUAUAUAUACACUAGCAGGAGCCUAAGCUACAAGCCUGCUUGCUUGGGUUGCUCUCUUCACAAGCAUAGAACGACGGUGGCCACACCGCUUGUUGGGGAUAUUACCACUGGGCGUAAACCGGCCAGGAGAGGCUGCGUUAACUUCAUAAGUAGUUCAUCUGUACCUGAAGCCCAUGAAGACAGACGAUGACGCUUCAUGGAGGCCCAGGGCCCAAAGCCGAUUUAAGGCAUGUAGACACAAACCGGCAUUGAGAUGUAAACUUGUGUUGUAAGAUAUGCAUAGCAGAAACCAAGACGAACACGAUUAUGAGCCGGCCUCGGAGUCUGUAAACCGACGGGCGUCAACCCAUGUAUAUAAGGGGACGACCCGGCGGCGGUUCAGGAACAACAGACAACAACUGGAGACUCAGGCAAAGCGUAUUCGCUCCCUGGUCAUCGAAACCCCAUCAAUUCCAUCACAACUAGACGUAGGUUUUACCUUCAUCGAAGGGGCCGAACUAGUAUAAAACUCUCUUGUGUCCCUUGUCCACUUUAACCCCUUCGAGCUAACCCGUAGCGAUGGCUCCACGAUUAAGUCCUUUCUCUAGGACAUCUGCCGUGACAAAACCACGACAGUUGGCACCCACCGUGGGGCUAUCGCACGAUGGUUUCAAGUUCUUGGAGGGCAACUUCGAAGGACUCAAGGGUUACGCUGUGGGCCGGAUGACCAAGAGUCCUCGCGGCAAGCUCUACAUCGACGAUGCAGGCUGGGGCCCCGAGGCCGGCUCAAUCGAGUACGGGUACCGGGUCCCCUUUGGUGGCAUACACGUUUUCAUUGGCAAGAUCGGUGAGCCGGGCCCUAAGCCGGACAUCUGCACCGACCUCAUCGAAACGGCUCAGCGUGCGAGAUCUGCCCGGGUCAAGCCUGUCAUGAAGCGUGCCUUCGUGGGAGUUAUCCAUGGAGGUGAAUCUGAGGAUAGAUCGGAAUCUGGUGGUGAGACCGUCGUUUAUUCCGGCGAUGAGUCAUCGACUGGAGAGACCGAGUCGUUAUAUCAGUUACAAGAUGGCCGGAUUGGGGCAUGUUCCGAUGGCGACAGUAUUCCGGACCCCUUCGAUCUGCCAAACCGGGUGGCGAUCUUCAUGGCCGGCACGCAACCAGCGCUCCACUCUUCAACCGCAGCGUCAAUGAUUUCUGGGUCAGCAGCGGCGGCAGCGGCGGCAGCGGCUGGGGCAGGAGGCCCUGUGCGACUGCUAGCUCAGGUUAUAUCUGAUUUGUUUGAUGUGUUGGUAACGCUGAUGGCGGAGGUUAACCCGGCGGAUCAGGAUGCGCACAAUGCGGAAGUCACGAAAGUGAAAGAUCAGAUCACCCAGGCAAAAGCCGACUUAGCAGCUGAGGAUACCAGGAUAGCCGCGGAGCGGGCUGCUUUGGAUGUACAAGCUUACCGGAUUAUGCUGGAUCAGAGUGCGUCAAAUGAAGUCCUGAGGAGGAGGCACCGAUCUCGCCAGCCGCCGGUUUACGAUGCUACAAAUCUCUUUAACACCCCAGGGGCAGGAACCAGUAAUCUGCCGGUGGUAAACCGGGCAGAGGCACCCGGAGCAGGGGCGCCGGUUCAGCCACGUUUGGUGGAUCCGCCUCAUCAGAACAACAUUGUGGUACCUCAUGUCCCCACAUCACCGGGUCAUUAUUCUAACCCAAUGGACAACAUUGUCGCUGCCGCUUCACGGCUGGCGGCCAUCCCGAUCGAAGGCGAUUCUCCAGCAGCGGUCGAGACGCGUCAGGUUAAGGUGCUUCUUCAGACAGCCUUGAUUCAACAGGAGGCUUAUUCAUAUAGUCGCGAUCGGAUUCAUUCCACUCCCCGUCCAAGCCGGAGUUAUAGCAGACGUAUGGAUGAACCGCAGUGUCAAGCAAUGCGUGGAACCGUGAUCCGCCCUGGGGCCAUAAUCCGGUGGGUGGUGCCGGUGAUGCUCAGGAUGUGGUGGACCGGGCUCGCGCACGCAGAGAGGCCGAAUUAGCAGCGCAACACAAGGCCCGUCAGCUUACUCCGGUUCGUCCAGCCACAUCGGUGGAACUAGGAGUUACCUCUAGUUCCUUGGGAGUGCCAUGUCUUGUCCCGGCGUUGCGCAAUGUGCGCCUGCCCAAAGAUUUCAAGGGCCCGCGCAAGGUGCCGAAUACACCGCUGAUUUAUCCCCUGAAACAUGGGUUGAAAGCUAUGAGAUGGCCAUGGAGAUGCUGGACGUGGAUGAUGCGGCAUGUGCGAAGUACUUCACCAUGAUGCUAGAAGGAACGGCCCGCACUUGGCUAAAGAGUUUACCGGCUAAUUCUAUCAGGUCAUAGGCUAAGUUGAGAGCCCGGUUUGUUCAGAAUUUCAAGGAUACAUGCAAGCAGCCCAUGUCAAUUAUGGACUUAGCUGCCUGUGUCCAGGAGGAAGGAGAGUCAACAACCCAUUGGGUGCGCCGGGUUUCGGAGAUUUUGCAUUCAUCAGACCGCAUCAACGCUGACACCGUAGUCUUAACAUUGGAAGGCAAUUGCCGGUUUCAGCCCUUGAAGUUGAAGUUGGGACGGCUCAAACGUCAUUUUAAUGACAUGGGAACCCUCAUGGCUGCACUGGUGAAGUAUGCCGACUCUGAUAGUACCAAGGACCCCGAGUCUGACGAUGAAAAGACAGGGAAGGGAAAGAAGAGCGGCAAUGCCAAGGGGCAGCACCACAACCCGGCGGGUCAUGGAAACGGCGGCAAGCGUAAAGCGGAGCACGGUUUAGAUUUUGUGGCUAACACUAAUACGCACGACAAGGGCCAGCAGCGUAAGGGUAAACCGCCCCGGCGGAAUGGAAUGCCGAAUCCUAAUCCGGACCGUUUGUCAUAUCUGUUGAACCAGCCCUGUCCCAAGCAUGGGACGAAGGAGGAACCAUCUACACACCUCUGGAAAGAUUGUUAUAUCAUGCAAGAGUUCAAAAAUUCUGACUCUUUCUGGUAUGAUCAUGGAUCAGGAGGCGGUUCGGGCUCUGGCUCUCAUGGGCCGGGUUAUGGCGGAGGAAAUUCCGGUUCGGGAUUCCAUGGCAAUCAGGGUGGACACAACAAUCAAAGUAAUCAAGGUAACCAAGGUGGCUAUAAUCAUCAGGGCAAUCAGCAGCAGCAGCAGCAGUCGGGUUACCAGAGGAACCCGAAGCAGUUGAAUAGCGGAUAGUAUCAUGUCUUCACCACUAGCUUGGACAAGCGCGAUCAGAAGCUUCAUAAGAGGAUGGUGAAUGCCGUUGAACCGGCGGUGCCCCGUUAUUUGCGCUGGUCCGAGCAGCCCAUUGUGUGGAGUAGAGACGAUCAUCCACCCCGGGUUGACAAUCCGGGUCAUCUGGCUCUGGUGGUGGCACCUCAGGUGGGAGGUUAUAAGUUCACUAAGGUACUCAUGGAUGGAGGGAGUAGUAUCAAUAUCCUUUAUUAUGAAACUUUCCGUCGCAUGGGGCUAACAGAUAAAAAUCUUAAACCGUCCAAUACGGUGUUCCAUGGUGUGGUGCCUGGUAAGUCGGCAUAUCCUGUUGGUAAGAUAGCUCUGGAGGUGGCUUUUGGAGAUGAGCAUGACUCAAGAUCAGAAACCUUGACCUUUGAAGUGGUGAAAAUCAGAAGCCAGUAUCAUGCCCUAUUUGGACGACCACCUUAUGCUAAGUUUAUGGCAUGGCCUUGUUAUGUCUAUCUACAGCUCAAGAUGCCGGGUCACAAGGGAACUAUAACCGUGUAUGGGAGCCGCAAGAUUGCCCUGGAAUGUGACGAAGGUGAUGCGGCUUAUGCUGAGUCGGUUUGUGCAACAGAGGAGUUGAAGUUUUACAAAGACAAUGUUGAUCCGGCAGGUAUGACUUCAUUGAAGAAACCAACUAUGGAGCAUGAUCCGGCCCUGAAGUUUAAAUCGGCUGAUGAGACUAAACUUGUUGACUUCGUGCCUGGCGAUUCGUCCAAGCAGUUUAGCAUCAGCGCUAACUUGGAUCCGAAAUAGGAAAGCGCGCUCAUCGAGUUCAUCCGUGAGAAUCGGGAUAUCUUUGCAUGGAAGUCUUCUGACAUGCCUGGUGUACCGAGAGAACUCGCUGAGCACACCCUCAAUGUUGAUCCUAAGUAUAAACCGGUCAAGCAGUUUCUCCGCCGGUUCAAUGAAGAAAGACGCAAAGCUAUUGGAGAAGAAGUAGCCAGGCUCUUGGCGGCUGGAUUUAUCGUUGAAGUAUUCCAUCCUGAGUGGUUGGCUAAUCCGGUGCUGGUCCUCAAGAAGAAUGGCACUUGGCGUAUGUGUGUGGACUACACAGAUCUCAACAAUGCUUGUCCAGCAGAUCCUUUUGCCCUCCCCCGUAUUGAUCAGAUUAUUGAUGCUACGGUGGGUUGUGAGCGGUUAAGUUUUUUGGAUGCAUAUUCUGGUUAUCAUCAGAUCAAGAUGGCAGUUAAGACCAAGAGAAGACGGCCUUCAUAACCCCCUUUGGAGCCUUCUGCUAUGUGUCCAUGCCCUUUGGGCUCAAGAGUGCACAGGCAACUUAUCAACGAUGUGUGCAGAAUUGUCUUCAUAAACAGAUCGGCCGCAAUGUUCACGCCUAUGUGGAUGAUAUUGUGGUGAAAUCAAGGAAAAAGGAGACAUUGAUUGAUGACUUGAAGGAAACCUUUGAUAACCUGCAGGUUUAUAGAUGCUUAAUCUGGCCAAGUGCGUCUUUGGUGUACCUGCAGGCAAGCUCUUGGGUUUUUUGGUGUCUAACAGGGGCAUUGAAGCUAAUCCGGAAAAGAUCAAGGCCAUCACCUCCUUGGCUAAACCAAAGUGUAUCAAUGAUGUUCAACGCCUGGCAGGCCGGAUUGCCGCGUUGAGCCGGUUUGUCAGUCGUCUUGGUGAGAAGGCCAUUCCUUUGUAUCAGAUGCUGAAGAAAACGGAUAACUUCAUCUGGAGUGACGCCGCUAAUGAAGCAUUUGAGGACUUAAAGCGGCAGCUAGCUAAUCCGCCAAUUCUCGCUGCUCCGGUUGAUAAAGAACUGUUGCUGCUAUGUGUGGCAGCUAACGCUCGGGCUGUUAGUGUGGCUAUUGUGGUGGAGCGCAAGGAGGCAUGAAAGGAAUAUCCGGUUCAGCGGCCGGUUUACUAUAUUAGUGAGGUACUCAUUGAAUCCAAGCAGAGGUACCCGCAUUCGCAAAAAAUUGGUGUACGGGGUUUUCAUGGCAAGCCGGAAGCUUAAGCAGUAUUUCCAAGGUCAUCCCAUCACGGUGGUCAGCUCUGCUCCUUUGGGGGAUAUAAUCCAGAAUAGGGAGGCAACUGGUCGAAUUGCUAAGUGGGCUAUCGAGCUCGGGCCUCACGGGUUGAAAUACAUACCCCGAACGACGAUCAAAUCUCAGGCACUUGUGGAUUUCAUCAAUGAUUGGACAGAGUUACAAGCGCCAGAAGAAAAGUCAGAUCACACGUAUUGGACUAUUCAUUUCGAUGGGUCCAGGCAAUUGGAGGGCUCGGGGGCUGGAGUCGUGUUAAGUUCCCCACGAGGUGAUAAGUUUUGUUAUGUUCUCCGUUUAAUGUUCCUUGCACUAAUAAUGCAGCUGAAUAUGAGGCAUUACUCCAUGGUCUUCGGAUGGCUAAGGAGAUGAAUCUCAGCCGGGUUAAAUGUUUCGGUGACUCGGAUUUGGUGGCUCAACAAGUGUCUGGCACUUGGGAUUCCAAGGACCCACUAAUGGCAGCAUAUCGUUGUGAGGUGGAUAUUGUUGCAGGUCAAUUCAAAGGUUAUCAGGUGGAUCAUGUGGACCGGCGGAAGAAUGAAGCAGCAGACGCUUUAAGCCGACUGGGCUCCCAACGUAAACCGGUUCCACCUAAUGUCUUCCUGGAUGUUUUGCAUAAUUCGUCCGUCAAGCUCCCUGGUGAAGAGGGUUUGGCUAUUCCUGACCCGGGGGCUCAGUUGGUGGCGGCUCUACAUGUUAUCCCGGAUUGGACGGUUCCAUAUCUGGCAUAUAUGAACCGGGGCGAGUUACCAGAGGAUGAAGUUUUGGCCAGGCAGAUAACCCGGCGGUCCAAGUCCAUGAUUAUUAUCAAUGGAGAGUUGCACCAUUGCAGUGUGACAGGGGCGUUUCAACGCUGUGUAUCUCCUGAUGAUGGCCGUGAAAUUUUGCGUGAGAUCCAUGAAGGAGAUUGUGGACACCACGCCGGUUCAAAAUCUUUGGUGGCCAAGGCAUUUCGUCACGGUUUCUAUUCGUUGACAGUUCAUGCUGAUGCCGAGGACUUGGUUAAAAGAUGUGAUGGCUGUCAGAAAUUCUCACGACGUGCUCAUGUACUAGCUCAAGAAUUGAGGAUGAUUCCAAUCACCUGGCCGUUUGCAACUUGGGGGCUGGAUAUGGUUGGGCCUUUCAAGAGGUCCAAGGACAAGAAGACCCACCUUUUGGUGGCGGUUGAUAAGUUCACAAAACGGGUAGAGGCAGAGCCAGUUAGUAAGUGUGACACGGCCACGGCGGUUCAAUUCAUCAAAAAGGUGAUUUUCCGGUUUGGCUUUCCACACAACAUUAUAACAGACAAUGGUACCAAUCUAUCAAAGGGUGACAUGAAGGAGUUCUGUCAACGUGAGCACAUCCGACUUGACGUGUCAUCUGUGGCUCACCCCCAGUCCAAUGGUCAAGCGGAGAGGGCCAAUCAAGAGAUCUUGAGAGGCAUCAAACCCCGGCUUAUGGUUCCUUUGCAACGAACGCCGGGUUGUUGGGUUGAGGAGUUACCUUCAGUGUUAUGGAGCAUCAAUACCACACCCAACAGAUCGACAGGCUACACACCGUUCUUCAUGGUUUAUGGAGCGAAAGCGGUUCUUCCUAGUGACAUCCGUCAUGACUCGCCUCAUGUAGCGGCAUAUGUUGAAGCGGAUAACGAGAAGGCAUGGCAGGAAGCUCUUGACCUGUUAGAUGAGGAGCGUGACAUGGUGGCAGCCCGUUCGGCGAUUUAUCAGCAAGAUCUGCGUCGUUAUCAUAGCCGCCGGGUUAGAAACAGAACCUUUCAAGAAGGAGAUUUGGUGCCUCGACUCAUCCAGGAUCAGACGGAUAUGCACAAGCUAUCCCCCCCUUGGGAAGGGCCUUUUGUGGUUAGCAAGGAUUUGCACAAUGGGUCGUACUACCUAAUCGAUGUUCGAGAGCGCAAAGGCUCACGUAAAUCGGAGGAGGAGACCAACCGGCAGUGGAAUAUUGCUCAUCUUCGGCCCUACUAUACUUGAGCUACAGGCUCUGCUUAUGUACAUAUUAUGACAUUGUAUAUAUUAUGAUCAAUAUAAUAAACCGGAACCUCAGCUAAAGCGGGGUAUCUGUUGUUUUCUUACAUCACGUGUGGUUACAUGGAGCUUACAAAGCGGCGUCCGGUUUACUCCUUGAUUUAGCUUCUUAAAGCUUGAUAUCAGAUCACUUGGGGGCUUGGUCGUAUCCGAACCAUAGCUACACCUCUUGAUCAGCGUAAUGCCACAGCCUCACUUGGGAGCAUGGUCGAACCUGAACCAUGACUACGCCUCUUGAUCGGCAUAAUGCCACAGAAUCACUUGGGGGCUUGGCCGUAUCCGAACCAUAGCCACGCCUCUUGAUCGGCGUAAUGCCACAGCAUCACUUGGGAGCAUGGUCGAACCCGAACCAUGACUACGCCUCUUGAUCGGUGUAAAGCCACAGAAUCACUUGGGGGCUUGGUCGAACCCAAACCAUAGCAAUGCCUUUUGAUCGGCGUAAUGCCAGGGCAUCAUUUGGGGGCUUGGUCGAACCCGAACCAUAGCAACGCCUCUUGAUCAAAUUUGGGGCCUGGCAGCCCGUGAAAAGCUUCGACUACAACGGUUUUAUUUGUCUUUUGCUAAGUUUCUUUUUCUUUUGCUAAGAUUUGUGAUGUUUUCAAACCAGUAUUUUCAACCCGGUUGGGCUGUCAACUACAAGUUGUCAGUACAUGACCAAGUUAUAAUCCGCAGACUAUCAGCCUGGUCUGGUUUUGACUCAUAGUCACCAGUAUGGAAUCAGCCGGUGUUUACCACAACCCGGAACGGUUUUGUUGUAAACCGGCAUUAUAUAACAGGAGGUACUUUUACUCCGGAUUAAGGUUAUUACCUUAAUUACAAGGUUGGUCAGCCAACACUAUGCCUAAAGGUCGCAGGUAUCAUAUAUUUCCAUACUUGGUUAUAAAACUUGGUCAUAUAUAUAGUUGGGUAUCAUGACCCGCCCGGUGGUAAACCGCCAGGGCAUUUUAAGCUUUUUAUCUGCAGGAACAAUUGGAAUAAAUAGCUAUGGAUUAUGAACAUCAUAUCUCAAAGCAUGGCGGAUUAACACGCAUCAGUUGUGGAUAAAUACGCACGAAGGCAUAACAGAAGUGUUUUAACUAGCCUAUUACAAGGCGUUUCAGUACUCAAAGGAAUAAUUGUUUCUCAAUAAACAUUGCAGUAUGGAAGGUUAAACCGGCCACCGGGUUAUGAUCACUGAGCAGCUUGACCUGACGGCUGCGGGUCAUCUUGCACCGGUUCUUCUUCUUCGUCCCUACCCAGCUGCUGGAAGUCAACAGUUGUCCAGUCGAUCCCAGUUAAAGCUUGGAACACAGCUUCGUCGCUUAUAAGGGUGGACGGUUCAAUAUCAGGGGCAUAAGUGUGCUUACGGAUUGGAGGAAUCAGGCUUUGAGUUUCAAGAGCUGGUGCAGCAACCCGCUUGUUAUUGAUAUCAUAACUCGCCUGAUAAUGUGAAAGAUGAGCUUCUUCAGCUAGUUGACAAGCCAGUGGACGUACUUCCCGGUUUAUGGCGCGGAGAUCUUCAGUGCAAAAUUCUGAUCCGUCCUCUUUCAAGCUUGGGUAGCCCUUAGCCACGUCCGUCGGAUCAAGAUCAGGCACCCAUGCUUUUGCCCGGGUUAGCGCGGUCAGAGCGCCAGCCCUUGCAGCAGACCUCUUCAGCUCUUCUAUCCGGGCAGGCAGCAUAGAUAGCCUGUCUAAGGUAUCCUUGAUCAACGUCGGGGGUGGCUUAUUGUGCGAAGCGGUGCAGAUAAUCCGUUGUGCGCUGGUAUAAAGUUGCUCUAUCAGCGUGUAGGCAGCUUUCAACUUCUUCUGCACACCUGAGCCCAGAUGGCUAAUGUGGGUUCCUGUAUCAUUUCAAACAUCAGUAAACCGGCAACACAUGAGAGGAUAUGUUAAAAGCAUAAAGGAAGGAUGCUAACCAAACACGGCAGAGGUCAUAGCAUGCACUUGCCGCUUUACACCAGUCAGCUCGUCAACCACCGGUUUAAGAGCGGCUUCUGCGUUUUCAGCCCUUUUUAUCAAAAGCGGCUUUUUCAGUCUCCCAAUCCGCCCGCUCUUUGUUGAAGCCCUCUUUCAGUUUCUCCAUAGUGCCUAGAGCGCGGGUCAACUCUUCCUUCGCUUUGGAGGCUUCAGAUUGCUGGGUUUUGAUAUUCUCCUGCAGAUCAGCGGUUUGGCGUUCCUUCUUGCUCAGCUCCGCCUGUAAAGAGACAGAUACAUAAUGAGUUGACACUACAUAUUUGAAGUACCAAGCACAUAACAAGUUAUGCCCUUAGUACUUGGGGGCUAAUGCAUAUUUGCGUUUACUCAGAAAUUUUUACAAGUCCCAAACACAAUACAAGUAUUAAGCUUGGCACUUGGGGGCUAAUGUGUGUUUGAAAAGCUGUUGAUAUGGGAUUUCUUCUACAGUCCCGGUUCAUCUUUAUAAAGUUAAACCAUCCCUUGGGGACUAUACCGGCGAAAGAACAGUAUGGCAAAUUUUAAGGAACCGGUUCAUCUUAACGAGGUAAUCCGGUCUCUGGAGGCAAAAUAUGCAAAGAUAAGUUGUGACAAAAGUCCCGGUUUAGAUCGGUAUCAUAAACCGUCACUUGGGGGCUACUAGGAAUUGAUAAACUACAAUUGGACAAAAGAGAAAAAUGGUAGUUAUCCCAUAUCGCUCCUUCAUCAAGUUUACCAAACUAGCUUCAUAGUCACGACUGGUAUACAGACGGUUCAAGAAGCCAGAAUGAAUAUCUUGAACAUUGAGGUUGGUGAAGCUUGAUAAAUCGGCAUUCCAUUUGCCUUUGCCGAUAGCAGAGAGAUCAUCCUUGGCAGUAUGCUUUGACAAAGCUACAGGGUUGCCUGGAGUGGAGUGGCCAAUGCCAGUAAUCAUAACAUCAUCGUCUUGUUCAUCAGCAGCUCUUGCCGGAGUUGGCGGUUUAUCAGUGUCCUUCGCUGGACUGACCGGUUUGUCACCAGUUCGGACAGGGCUUGUUGGCCGGUCUGCAUGACUUGUAGUAUCAACUUGCACUUGUUCAGCAAGGAAAUCAUGUUCUUGAAGCGGCGGAUCGUGAAGCAUAGCGUCAGCAUCGGUUUCUUCCAGCUCUGGAGUUGUUUCCGGUUCAGCAGCUACAUUUUCAUCACCCGUUUGUUUAACCGAGCUUUCUUGCUGGGUCUUGGCUUGGCGCUGUGAAAAGAUAAGACAUAAGGAUCAGUACAGUAUGAAAAGAUAACAUAUCAAGAAUAAAGGCAUGUGCAUAACUCACCCAGGAACUGUUUUGAGAGGUGGAAGUUGUGUGGCCGAAGACUCGCCAGAGGAUGAGUGAGAAGUACCCUGAUAAUUUGAAUCAGACGGGUUAAGAGGCUGGCGAAAACAACCUGCUUUUGGGCAUGAAGUAUCAAUGGGAUAAGAGACCUCUGAUCGGCGUUUCCGAACCGGACUGUUCGGUAAACCGGUGGAGGUAACUAACUAGCCGCUAUGCUGGGUUGUACGGCAAGCUUCGUGUUGCUGCGUCUUCAAAAGAGAGUUUGGAUCCAAAUAAGCAAGAGGGUGAGAAUUUUACUUUCCGGUUUGCUUGACAGAUUUUCGAUGUUGGCAGAGGAUCUGAAUCGGAGGAAAGAAUAGUUACCUCUAUGUCCUCAGCGUGACUGCCUUCAGCGUCGUCCUGAUAAUAAUCAUUGUCAAUGAGAUGUACGAAAAAUAAACCAAGAGAGUCAAGUUCUACCUCUGAUUCUAGAUUACGCACAUUGUCAUCAGCUGGUAGAUCGGAGGAUGCAGUGGUCCUUCUCUUGGCAGGUUUCUUGACAAUCUUGGUCUUUGGACGAACUGGCUUGACCGGUUUGUCUUGCGGUUUUGCCGGUUUAUCUUGUGAUGGUUUCUUGUUCCAGAACGGAUCAUCACCCUGUCAGAAAAAUAAUCACACUUUCAGAGAAUAUUUGGACAGAAGCAAAUUCAGACACAAAGGAUUAUAUGAUUCUUACAACUAGUGGUUUAUUGAAGGUGCAGAAAGGGAGUAGCCCGGUUUGGGCACAGACGGCCUCUGGUUCGUUCAGUAUUUUCUUUACAGCCUCAGUGACUUCGUCAUCUGUAAGCUGAAUGUCAAUGUGCCGUUGAGCAUCCUUCAAACUCCUCGUGUACUCACACAUCAAACCGGGGCGCCGGCUUAAGGGCAGAAUGCUCUAGCUUAUCCAGCAACGAGCAAGAUCGGCUCCUGUCAAACCAUUCGCCAUGAAGGCUCUAAGCUUCGAAAGUUGGGGAGCAUAGUUGGCCCGUUCUCUUACUGUCAGCCUCUGAGGAAACGAGUGUGUGUUGCUCAGGCGUUCAGGGCGGUAACCCGGCAGGGGGUUUUCGUCAGAUGGAGAGGUAUCCAUGCAGUAAAACCAAGUUUGGUUCCACUCUUUGGGGUGACUGUGGAGUUUGGGAUGGGGGAAGGUGACUUCUUUUCUCUUCUGAACCGCCAUUCCGCCCAGUUCCAUAUUGGGUCCAUCUGAGAAUUCGGUGUGACGGUUUAAAUGAAAGAAAUCCCUAAACAGUUUGACGGUAGGUUCCUCUUGCAGAUAAGCUUCACAGAAUACUUGGAAGUGGCAGAUAUUGGUAACAGAGUUGGGACCGAUGUCUUGAGGGCGCAGCUGAAAAUUGGCUAGCACAUCUCGGAAUUUUUUUGAACCGGGAGGGCUAAAACCUCGUCCGAGAUGAUCAGCAAACACGACUACUUCUCCAUCCUUGGGUGUAGGAGGAUUUUCCGGGCCAGGGACCCUCCAGUGGAUGACAUCUUUCUUGGCUAGGGCGCCCGUCUUAACAAGGUUGUUUAAUUGCUCCUCGGUUACUUGAGAGGGAGCCCAAUUGCACUGAUAAACUUGUUUAGCCAUGACAAGGAAAAUCUGAAACAUGAGUAUUACCGGUUUAAGAUUUACAAUGGACAACUAUACAACGGUAUGAGGAUACUAACAUAUUGGUAAACCAGAGUUUGGCAAUGGAACAGUGUAAUGCAUUGGCGGUUCAAUAGGGGACUAAUGGUAUCUACCGGUCAUCAUUUUUUCUGUGAGGUUAAACCGGCCAAUCUGGUAUUCAAAAGGUGUAAGAGAAGGAAGAAACAAGUUUCACAUCUUGCUAUGGUAAUUUCAUAUCUACCGCGCAUGGGAAAAACAAAAUAUAUUCUGACCUAAAUUCCAGUGUACUGAAGGUUCACCAAGAUGAGAUGAGUUGGAUAUCAAACAGGUGCUGAAACUGCUAAAGCACGAGAUCUAUGUGGUUUAAACUACUACCGCACGAGACCUAUGUGGUUUUUGGAUCUAACCCACGGGUAUAAAAAAGGGAAAAGAAGGGCGGCGACGAACAUCGAUGAACGACGGAAACCCUAAGCGCAGAUCUAUGGUAAGAGAAAGGGGAGACUUACGGAUGCUGUUGAGCAGCGGCGGCGCACGGAGGAGCUCUGGUACAUUCAGGUCGUUGCAGCGGCCAAGGGUGGUGCAGCAGUCGAAGGUUGACGGCGGCGGCCGAGGUCGAAGGUUCGGGCGUCGCGAGGAUGAAGAUGAAGCGAAGAGGCACGAGGGGGAAACUGGAAAGACCCCCUGGCCCUAUUUAUAAGGAGAUGAACGACAGAUGCGAAAAUCGAGGAACCUGAUUUUUUGGUAUAAGGUGAUGCUGUCGCCUUGAUUGUCAGAGGCUCGUUAAUGACCGGUGACGUCACGGCAGUUUACCAAGAUCCUAGAAGAUGAUGUCAUGGCGGUUUACAAGAUUGUGUGAAGAUGUUGAAGAAGAAAUUUUCUCAAGUAUUGAGGAUUGACAUGAACCAGUUCAAAUCAAUCUGGGGCCUAAUGUUGGGGAUAUUACCACUGGGCGUAAACCGGCCAGGAGAGGCCGGGUUGACUUCAUAAGUAGUUCAUCUGUACCUGAAGCCCAUGAAGACAGACGGUGACGCUUCAUGGAGGCCCAGGGCCCAAAGCCGGUUUAAGGCAUGUAGACACAAACCGGCAUUGAGAUGUAAACUUGUGUUGUAAGAUAUGCGUAGCAGAAACCGAGCCGGACACGAUUAUGAGCCGGCCUCGGAGUCUGUAAACCGACGGGCGUCAACCCAUGUAUAUAAGGGGACGACCCGGCGGCGGUUCAGGAACAACAGACAACAACUGGAGACUCAGGCAAAGCGUAUUCGCUCCCUGGUCAUCGAAACCCCAUCAAUUCCAUCACAACUAGACGUAGGCUUUUACCUUCAUCGAUGGGGCCGAACUAGUAUAAAACUCUCUUGCGUCCCUUGUCCGCUUUAACCCCUUCGAGCUAACCCGUAGCGAUGGCUCCACGACUAAGUCCUUUCUCUAGGACAUCUGCCGUGACAAAACCACGACACCGCUGGUCACAUAUCCGGCCUGAUCCCGCAGCUAGGGGAAGGGAACAAUGUUCUGCGUAGACGCGGUCGGCAUCGGCCAGGGAGAAAAUCCACAGUUGGUGCGUCCCAAUCGGGGGUCACCGCGGUAUGGGCCGAUGCCGCGUCCCAACCGCCCUUCUAGCUACAGCCCGACGUCCCAGGUAGUCCAUCUUCCUUUUGGAGCCGGCUUGCUCCACUGCCGCAGCUCCCCACGUAGCUCCAUCUCCAUGUUGAUCUUUCUCUACUUCUACCGGCUUCUACUUGUGAUGAGUUUAUGUCUAAUGAACUAGUGCCAGUACUAUUAUUCUAGUCACACUUCUUCAAUAUCUUUGCCAUCAGGGAUGCUCAGCUCGAUUUUAGUGGAACUGCACAAAAGCAUCGUAUGAUCCGAGGGUGCCAGCCAUCUUUCCUUCGACAGGUUCUACCUGGCCAGGAAAUUAAAUCCUGUUUAGGGUUUAGGGUUUAAGUCAUAGUGACCCAUCAGUAGUUUUUGUUUCGUACAAGCUCUCACAACUUUUGUCUUUAGUUGUGAAGUAAAUAUUGGCUAUGAUCUGUGAAUCAUUGAGAUGCAUCAGCAUGUGAGUUAGUUUUCCUUUGUAUUUGAUGGAAUGUUGUAACGGGGCAACCUUGGAGGAGGAAUGAAAAUGGAGUGGAAAGUUUCCCUUUUUUCGGAGGAAAAAAUGGAAACGGAGAGAAACCAACGUUUUGUUUCGUUGGAUCGCGCCAUCGAGAAAAACCAACGUUUAAAUCACGUCUGUCGCGUUCGUGUCUCACCCUUCUCCAUGGCUCGACCCCACACGGUCGCUCGGCAUGCCACUCACCGCAAACCGAGUAUACGAUAACUUUCCCGCCUGCUUGUCGAUGGAUUGCGCCAUGGAGUACUAGUACUACUGGAAGAGAUUGACGAGUUGGGGAGGACAGCUAGCUCUAGCACGGACUCCCAAGAACUUUUUACAUGCAUGUUGUGGCCGGCUAUUGCGACCUUUGAACGCGGAGCAGUCGCGUGCACCAGGAAGCAGCGCGGGCGACGCUCUCUCGGCCGGCGCGCCGCUUCAAUGGCGGCGCCAGUGAGAGGUCGCGUCCGCUCUGGCAGGGCAUGAAUGCGGCAGUGACCGUUUUGGGCGGGAAGCACGCGUGAGUUAUGAAGAGGGUUCGGGUUGGUCAGGAGCGGCCGUGGCAGCGGUCUGGACGCCUGCAAACAAGAGAUGAUGUACGUUAAUAUUUCCGCGUAUAUAAUUAACAACAUAAAUAAUGUGCCAGUUGGACAAAUAUGAUUGGAGAUGGAGAUGGAAAUGGAAUUUUACGUAAACACGGAUAUGCAUGUCUAUGUCUAUGUGUGUGUGCGCGAUGACUCUCGCGACCUGGAAGCGAGGGCGUGUUUUUGAUCGAGUUCUCUUUCUUGGUACGUUAAAAAAUUGUCCGCCAGUUUUCGUUUCUUUUUUCCGGGAACGCGCGUAUUCCAUUUAAAACCACUGCUAUGGAGAGAUUGUUUUACUCCAUUAUAGCCUCUUGUUUGAUGGAGUUUCUUGCGUCUCGCUCUCUCACCCUCUCCAUAACAAAACAAGAGGACAGCGUCCAUACUAUCUCUCUCCACACCGGUGGUCACAGAUCCGACCGAAUCCCGUCCGCUGCGGGAGGUGAGGAGGUGCAGCGUUGACGUUGUCGCCGUCGGCGAUGGAGGAAGCCGAUGCGCACCGUCCUCUCGGAGCCGGCGCUGGCGCGGACGAAGGUCCUCCGCGCCCUUGUUUGCUGCCGUCGUGUGGGCAGAUCCCGCCCGCCCGCCUAAGCCACAUCUCGCCCACCUGAGGUAUAACUUCUUGUACUGGUCUAGCUCCCCAGGUCGCUGCAUGCGGGUUUUCUUUUAUGCGACUACUCCCCAGCUCCCCAUGUAUAGUAGCUAGGGUUCGUCGGCCGGUCCAACAUCACCUACUAUUAUAGAGGAAAUGCCACUCGAAAAGUUGUCCCGAUUUAUGCCUCGGUGGAGGUAUACAUUUUGUUUCGACCAAAAAGUACAUGGUGGUUGUGCAGUCAUUGUCCAUAUGCUCCUAUUGUUGCUGCUAAUCUAAUACUAUCACUGGUUAAAUGAAGAAAUGCCUUUUUUUCUCGGGUAUCCUGGUUUAGUUCCCAUCAAGAUAAUCAUGAUGCUUCUGUUUGUUGGUGUACUUUUCAUAAUUCUUAUUGACAAUUGAGAUGUCGUUGUUAAUCUUGUAAAACAAAGUAACAACACUAUAUCCCUUUUUUAUAUUUUUGGAAACAGCGAUGUGUAUCUCCAUACCCGGGCAUGUCUUCCUCAAUUUUAGUGGAACUGCGCAAAAUUGGAUGGCCAUUGUUGUUCCGCCUCACUGUCCUCUGCCACGUAGUUCUUCCUUCCUCGAGCUUGACUACUGAGAAGAAACAGACCAUAGUGAGGAUUUGUUGAACUUCAUAGGUGCCUCACCCAAACUUGAUGCCAAAUGGAUGAUGCAUCACCACGAUGACCUAUCGAUGCUCAUGGUUGCACCUCAUGGUUGCGUCGGCUGGUGAAGCUGAUCGAUUUUCAAUGAAAAACAAGUUGUCUUCCAUCAGUGCUCUUUGCUUGUUACCCACAAAGAUGAUAUCCUUCGUCAGUUCACCUUGGUUGCGUUGGAGACGCAGUCGUCUUUCAUGUUGGUGCAAUUUUAUCACACAAUUGGCUAUGAACCAAAUGUUUCCUCGAAGAAGGAUCGACGUUGGUACUAAGAGCGUAAGUUUUGUAUUGAUUUCUAAGCCUUCUCACAACUUUGUCUCCAGCUCCCCUGUAAUUUUAUUUGUCCAGCUAUUAACUUUGAUUAAAAAAAUGGUGUGGACUAAAAACCCGGAUGGACGUAGUAGCCCUCCAUUUUUAUUUACUCCGCAUAUUACAUUUGACUGAAGUCAAACUUUGUAAAGUUUGACCAAGUUUAGGCCGAACACAACAAACCAUAAUUAUUAGAGAGGGCAAACUGUACAUACUCUCAAACCUUUUCGAUAAUUGAAAUUAAAAUUCUUUAUUUGUACACACUCUCACACGUUUCCGAUAAUUUGGCGCAUGUGUGGUUGUUCACUUAAGGGAGGGUAGUGUACCGCACGUGAAGGACAGGAAGUGCGACCAGGACGCGUGGAUCGUUAGUUCAUCGGAAGUAUUCCCUCCGUUCCUAAAUAUUUGUCUUUCAAGUGGUUUGCAAUGGACUACCACAUACGGAUGUAUAUAGACAUUUUUUACAGUGUAGAUUCACUCAUUUUGCUCCGUAUGUAGUCAUUUUUGAAAUCUCUAGAAAGACAAAUAUUUAGGAACAGAGGGAGUAGUAGUUUUCUUCACUGGUACGUUAAAUAAAGAGUUUCGUUUCGUACUUACACAAUUUAAAACGAUUGUUAUUGAGAGAAUAAGAAAACCACUCCACUAUAUAUUAGUCGUAUACACGAGUACUAUAUGGACGCAGCUUCAUUGACUUUAGUGCACCUGCCUUUGGGUUUAUGACAGGUGGGCCCAAAAUUUGGCUGGCCCACCUGUCAUACAGCCAAAAGAAGGUGCAGUUAAGGCACCGGAGCUCAGUCCGUACUACAGUAUAUAUAUAAGAUGGAGCCUCAGCGCUUGUUCGCUAGGGUUUGCACUCUCCACACUCUCGCCGCACUACAUAUAUAUACACGCUGGAGGUUCAGCGUUCCUUUGCUAGGGUUUGCUAUAUUCACUGUCUCUCACCCUCUUCACCAGAUCUAAACAAGACUGCGUUGUGGCCUCUGUCUCUCUCACCCCCCUCACAGAUAGCUGGCGAAGGAGGCGUUCCGAUCCCGUCGCACCGGGAAGGGGAGGGGGUGCAGCGUUCACUCUAUCGCCUUCGGUGAGGGAGGCAAUCCACUGCCGGCUGCGCUUUUCUCGUUCACCCAGCGCCUGUGCGGGAGGGCCACCGACCCCUUCUUCCUCGCUGCCAUACGUAGUGUGGGCAAUCUGACCUCCCGCCGCACGCCUUGCCACAUCCCGACGACCCUAAGGGAUGAGUUUCUUUGAAACCGUCAUUGGUCUAGCUGCAUGCUGAUCUUUUUUGAUUCUGUAGUCGAAUCUAGGUCUUGGUUCAAAGAGGAAAAAAGGGUGCAGUGGGGUGGAGCAUGAAUCUAGGACGUGGUUUGAUGAGGAAAGGAGGGAGGGAAAGUAGUAUAGACUAGCUAUCCAGCCGCUUUGUUGGUGGGUAAUCCAGUACACACAUCUGUAAGGAACCCAACUCUUUGUUGAAAAGGGAAAGAAACUAGGGGGUCGGGUAGUUUGUGCAGGACUAGAUUUGCUGCCCUCACAUCGGAAAAGUUUCAAAGAGAACAAAUAUGGGACCAACGCAGAUAUGCUGCUUGGCUACAUACUCUGCAUCACCCAUUUAUACGUGUGGACGCACAUGGUGCUGGCAUGUCCCAUGUCCCAUCCACAUGAUCGUGCAGUGUGUUUUGAGAUGUUGUGCUACUUGUAUUGGUACUGUUUUAAAUAAAUGUUGAAUUGAAGCUAUUGUAUUUUAAGCAAUGCCACUCUCAGAAUUAACUACUGAACUAUUUUAAGAGGAUUUCUUUGUUAAUAUGAAUCAAUGCAACCGUUUUAGAAAUGCUACUGUCCUAUACUUUGUUUUCCAUCAAGAUAAGGUAGAUGCUUCUUGUUGUGGCCGCAUGUUUCAUCCUCCUUUAUUGGCAGUAAUUGUUUCCUUUUUUUGCCUCUGUUAAAUCAGGGAUAUCUAUUCAACUUAUUGCUAUAGCAAACUUAAAUGUCUCACCGGCGACUUUACUUGAUUUCAGAGUAACUGCACAAAACGAGAUUGGAUUUCCUAUUCGUGUUGGCAUAUUCGUACAUGAUCUUGUGUGCAUCAUGACAGGUUAGUACUUGCCUUCAUCCACAUGAUCGUGCAGUGUGUUUUGAGAUGUUGUGCUACUUGUAUUGGUACUGUUUUAAAUAAAUGUUGAAUUGAAGCUAUUGUAUUGCUGUCUUUUCCCAUUAAGUAGUGAACAAAAAUGGGACCAACCCAGACAUUAUUCUUGUUGCUUUGUUACAACAAACUCUGCAUCACCCCCUUUAUAAGUAGAUGGAAGCACAUGUUGUUGUUGCGCCCACUCUCCCCUGGAACUGUUUAUGCUUUUUGUUAAUCUAAUGCCGCUGGUAAAAUUAAGCAAUGCCACUCUAAGAAUUAACUACUGAUUCUUAUUUCAAAACUGCAAGACUUGUUAGGGAUUGGCGGGAUUACCAUUUUUGUGGCCGCAUGUUUCAUCCUCCUUUAUUGGCCAGUAAUUGAUUCCUGUUUUGCCUCUGUUAAAAUAGGGAUAUCUAUUCAACUUGUUGCUAUUGCGACAUUUUGCUUCGCUUAAUUUUGGUGGAACUACACAAAAUGAGACCGGAUUUCCAUAUAUGUGUUGAGAUCUCUUUUAGAUCCACCUCAGGCGUUGUUUCAAAUCUUGGUCUUGAAAGGUCAGUACCUACUUUCCUCAGAAUUAACUACUGAAUCUUAGUUCAAAACUGCAACACUUGUUAGGGAUCAGCGGGAGUACCAUUUCUGUUUGGGAUCGGCCGAAGUACAUGUUUAAGAAAUGUAUUGUUCAGAUAAUGUCUUUGUUAUUAUAUAUCAGUUACAGUGUUUUACAAAUGGUACUAUCCUGCUUUGUAGUUCUUUCUACAUGUUUAACCAAGGUAUGUUAAGAUAAUGUCUCUGUUAAAAUGAAUCAGUCGCAUUGUUUUAGGAAUGAUACUUUUCUGCUUUGUCGUUCUUUAUACAUGUUGAAACAAGGCAUUGUUAAGAUAAUGUCUCAGUUAAUACGAAUGAAUCACACUGAUUGAGAAUUGCUACUCUCCUGCUUUGUUUCCCAUUAAGAUAAGGUAGAUCAGUAGAUGUUUUUCUUCUGGGAGUACAAGUCAUCAACAGUUAUUUCUCAGUAAUUGUUUCCCUUAUACCUUUUCUUGCUUACAGGGAUAUCAAAAUUAAAGCUCGGUUUUAUUCCGACUUUGAUUUUAGUUGAACUGCACAAAAGGAGCCAAUGUGAUUAAGGCAAACUGCUGCAUUAGUGGGUCCAGUUGGUCUUACCACUUUGCAGAAAGAAGCAGUCACUGUUUGCGCUACAUUACACAAGGAAUGAUCGAGAAGCUUUACAGAGUAUUAGUAGACGCUGGUGACAUGACUAGUCUGCAGAGAUGGCUGCUUUACUUGUGGUUCGGAGGAACACUGGGCAAACAAGUGUCCAAACAAGUACCAAGAAGCCAGGACAGGACUCCAAGUCCGUCAAUGUCACUCUAAGCAACAAUGAUGGGGCAUCUAGGUAUGGUAAUCUGUUUACCGUACUUUCAGUUUGUUAGUCCACCGAUUGGUGGGUUGACACUGGGGCCAAUAUUCAUGUGUGUGCUGAUGUGUCUUUGUUUUCUGGCAGCAUAUAAAUACAAAAUCCACAGGGAUGCUCAGCUUGAUUUUAGUGGAACUGCACAAAAUGUUCAGAUGGUUCGUGUUCUCCAUAAUAAUACUUCAUCAUGCACAAUACAUCAAAUGGUUCUCUAAUCAUUCGUCGUCACCUUGAGCCACCGGACUAUCAGAUGACAAACCCUUCCCGUUCCACAAUCAUAGGCACUACAUAUUUUGAAUGGGAAAAGCUUGUCAAAGUUGACAUUAGUUUAAUAUAUUGGAAUUGGAAAACCUUGUCAAUUUUUGCUGAUUGAUGUUAGCUAGAAGACAUGCAUUUGAUAUUUUUGAGUGGGACGCCCUUUGUUAUGAGCAACGUCGAUCGUUUUUUCCUAUUCCUGUCUUCAGUUCAGAAGUAAAUAUUUACUCUGCUGAGAUGCAUAGUCACAUGAAUGUUGACUUAUGUAAGAUAUUUUAAGAGUUUGUUCUGAAUAUUUUCUAUGUAAUGCUAGGCCUUGUGGUUGAUUGCAAAGUCGAGCUUGGAAUGUUGUGGCAUGCGGCAUCACGAGCUGUUCACCGUGCCUCCUGAGAAUAAUGCUUCGUAUUGUUUUGCAUGUCGAUCUAAUGUCAGUAAUUUGCUUGUUAGGAAGAUCAUCCUCUUCUGUUGUUUCCGUGCUUAAGAAGUUCAUCGUCUUAUGUUUCAUUCAUAGCCUAUACGACAAGUCGGGUAGGUUAGACGUGAAACCAUAUGAUCUUCCGACCAACUCAUCAUCUUAGGCCGUGAUUGGAUCGUCGUUUUCCAACCAAAACCGCUUGUAAAACUGACGCUUGUAAAUAAAAGCAGAUGGUCUCGGGCGAAGCGCUUGGUUGGUCGAUUUCGACUAGUAAAAUAUACACUGGUCUCUCAAAUUACACGCGUAACCCACCGGUUUUACUUACAGACCUCGGGCCCUCGGUUUCAUUACGCCUGUAUUUUACGCGUUGUUUCCGAUGACGAGUAAAUUAUACUUGUAUCUUAAUACAGUUGUGAAAUAAACCAGAGCUCCCAAGCGCAGCCUUACCGUUUCAUGCCGUCUCAGUCUCUCGAAGGUGCUCAUAGGUGUCCGAUGAUCCUGGCUUCCUGAAUGAGCAGCGGGCGCUAUAUCAGACCAUCCGUAGGGCCCGCAAGGCCCUCUCCAUCGUCCUUCGAGUUGUUGCGCUCGCCGUGGCGCCGAGCAUUGUUAACAUGGUCAAUGAACAUGAGGAUUCAGGAGAUGACUUUAUUUUGACUGGUUGACAGUAGGGACCCACCAGGGCCAUAGCCGUACGUACGCAAGUGCCUCCUUAUUAUGUACAACUAUAUUUUUUUUGCUUCCUCCUGGUUUCCUGACAUCGCGGUCCCACACCAUUGUCAACCUAUGUAGUCAAUAAAUGAGAGAAUUGCACAAGGUGCGGCCGACAGCUGGGACCAAGCAGCUCGAGUAGUAUUUGUGUUUUUGAGGCGUGAGCACUGCAGAGUUUUUCUUGGCGAUGUUUUCGUUGUUGUUCAGAGGAGAGCAGGGUAUUAACUAGGUGGGCUGUGGCCCGUCUAGCCCAGGACAGAUAUCCAGCCCAGAUGUUAAUUUUUUUUCAAGAUGAAAAUGGCUAGCCCAGCUAUACGUUUUUUUGAGGAAUACCCAGGUAAGGUCAACUUGUUAUUCUCCGCCUCACUGGGCUGCAAAUCUUUCCUAGGAGGGAUGCAUUAGGCUUAACAGGAAAAUGGGCUUUAAAAAAUCAUAAAUGGGAUGUAAUUAUAAAAACUGGGUAGUAACUAUAAAAAAAAUGCACCAAGCACGGAAUUAGUUUACAAAAUAUUAUUUAUGGAUUUUGAAAAUCUUUAAUUUUUAAUUGUUGCGCGCGCAAUGUUUCGUUAGAUUUUUACGUAAUACAAAUUUAUAUAUAAUCUGACUAGAAAUUUCAGGAUAAAAAUAUUUCGGAUCCCAUCAAAAUGUGGAAAAUUUUAUUGAAUUCUGUCUUCAACGGUUGGUUGAAAUUAUUAAUCAUUGUCCUAGCUAGAAAAUGGGCUGUACUUUUAACAAACUGUAAAUGGGCUGUAGUAAAUUCCAUUAGAAUUCAAAAAUGGGUUGUACAUUCUUACAAAUCGCAAAUGGGCUAUAAGUUCUCUCCCACACACUUGUGGGCCUACUAAGUUGACGCAUCCCCUAAAAAAAAGAAGUUGACGCAUAUGCAAGGCUUUGUCAACUUAUUAUAGUCACCACACGGUUCUAGCAGCAGUGGCCGUUGGAUGUCCAUCCAACGGAUGCCGUGCUUCUUCUUCAAUCUCGGAUAUUCUAGCUUCACCCGCCCAAAAAAUGAUUCCUCCCCCUGACAUCUGGGGCGCACCGUUUCGGAAGCUGACCUAUGGGCCUACUAAGUUGACGCGUACCAAGGGCUUUAUCAACUUAGUCAAUAUGAACGAUUCUAGCUGCAGUGACCGUACGAUAUCCAUCCAACGGCCGUAGUGCUUCUUCAACCUCUGGUCUUCUUGCUCCAGCCGCCCAAAGCAGCGCCGGGCGUGCCGCGUGCUCCUGCCUCCCGUGGCCGGCUGUGAUGCCGCGGAGGCCUCAUCGCCCCCUACUACUCCCACCGCUGGCCAGGCCAUCCCUCUACUCACCCACACCCACUGUUAUUCCGCGGCGACGGCAGCCUCACACCGCAGCCGAACCAGUGAACCCUCGUACUCCUCUCCGCGUGGGCUUCCACUGCCGCGUCUUCCCCGGCUCCAUGUCGUCCCCUUCCUAGGCCUCGCCGUCGUCCAUCGCCCUGGUGCUCUCGGCGCGGCGUGGUCAACGUGGUCAAGGAACGGCUUCCAUCGGACAUGGACUGUACGUGGGGGGCUGACAGCUGGGUCCACGACGGCAGCAAGGAAGUGCCUCCUUAUUACGCGGAAAAUAAUGAUUCCUCCACCUGACAGCAGGGACCCACCAGAUGGGCCACCGUAUUUCGUGAAAAAAACGUUUGCCCCCUGACUGCUGGGACCCACCGGACGGGCCACUGUAUUGCGUGAAAAAAAUGUUCCCCCCGCUGUCAGCUCGGACCCACCGGAAGUGCCUCCUUAUUACGCACAAAAAAAUGAAUACUCCCCCUGCUGGUUGGGACCCACCUUGGUGGGAGGCUGACUUGUGGGCCUACUAAGUUGAUGGGGACGGAGUGCUUUGUCAACUUAGUCAAUAUGAAUGAUUCUAGCUCUAGUGACCGUACGAUGUCCAUCCAACGACAGUAGUGCUUCUUCAACCUGUGGUCUUGUUGCUCCAGCCGCCCAAAGCAGCGCAGGUCGUGCCGCAUGCUCCUGCCUCCCGUGGUCGGCUGUGCUGCCGCGGAGGCCUCACCGCCCCUACUAUUCCCACCAUUGGCCAGGCCCUGCGGUGACGGCAGCCUCACACCGCAGUCGAACAAGUGAACCCUCGUACUCCUCUCCGCGCGGGCUUCCACUGCCGCGUCUUCCCCGGCAUCGCGACGUCCCCUUCCUAGGCCUCGCUGUCGUCCACUGCCCUGGUGCUCUCGGUGCGGCGUGGUCAACGUGGUCGGACGUGGACUGUACGUGGAGAGGCUGACAGCUGGGUCCACGACCGCAGCAAGUGCCUCCUUAUUACGCGCAAAAUAAUUAUUCCUCCACCUGACAGCGGGAACCCACCGGACGGGCCACCGUAUUUCGUGAAAAAAACGUUCCCCCUGACUGCUGGGACCCACCAGCUACAUCUUCGCACGCAAGGAAGUGCGUCCGGGCAAAAAAACGAUUCGCCCCCUGCCUGCUGGGACCCACCAGCUACAUCUUCGCACGCAAGGAAGUGCCUGACAGUCGGGACCCACCUGGCCGAAGCGUACGUAGCGUUGUCAUUCUGGUCACGAACGUGUACGUACACACUGGUCGAUGUAGAGGCGCGCACGUGUCGUAGUAGAGGCGCGCACGUAGCAUGUACACGUACGUACAGCGGCAAGUGUGCAAGAAAGAAAAUAUGGCCACGUACGUACAUACGGGCAGGGUCUCGAACGCGUACUCGCGCAUACGUACGGCCAGGGCUCGUGUACAUGGCUGGGUCGGAACGGAGAAACUGCGUCGUCGUCGUGUUCAUGGGGAGCCAACCGGCUGGGUCAGAACGGAAUGCGUCGUCGUGUUCAUCGCGAGGGCUUGGACGGAACAGCCGAUGGAAACGAGGCCUGGCAUACCGCAGAACGGAGGAAACGGCCUUGUGUUCGACCGGCCACGUUCGAAACGGGAUCCUGUUCAUCGGGAGGGGUCUGGCGUACCGCAAAACAGAGGAAACGGACCUCCUACGGUCGAAACAGGGGUCCUGUUGAUCGGGAGGGGUGUGGCGUACUGCAAAACAGAGGAAACGGACUUGUGUUGGAGCGCUACGGUCGAAACGGGGGUCCUGUUCAUCGGGAGGGGUGUGGCGUACCGCAAAACGGGACUCCAUGGGAUACUGUUCAUCUCCACCGUUGACCCCCUCCAGCCUCCAUGGGCUACUGUUCAUCCACCGUCGACCUCCUCCAGCCUCCACCUGCGACUGUUCAUCCACGGGCUCCUGUUCAUCUAGCCUCCACCGCGCACUACUCCACUGGCUACUGUUCAACCAGCCCUCUCCACGGGCUCCUGUUCAACCACCCCUCCACGGGCUACUUUUCAUCCAACCCUCCACCGUCUACUAUUCAUCUAGCCCUCCACGGGGUGGUCCUAUUCAUCCAGCCCUCCACGGGGUCCUGUUCAUCAAGCCCCAACCGGCUCGAUCGAUCGGGGUCCUGUUCAUCCAGAGGCAACACCACGGGGUCCUGUUCAUCCACCCCCACUGGGAACUAUUCAUCCAAACACCCCCAGCGAUGCUCACUGUUCAUCCAGAGGCAGCAUCGAUCGGCUUCAGUUAGCAGCAAUAGCGAAGGAAUCGCAUGAUCCGGUUCAGUUAACAGCCAUCGAUCGAUCGCUCGGGUUCAGUAAUGCGUAGCCUGCAGUGCAAUCGCUCGGGUUCAGUUAGAGCCCAACGCCUCGCUCGGGUUCAGUUAGAGCCCAACGCCUCGCUCGGGUUCAGUUAGAGCCCAACGCCUUGCACCCACGUGUAGGCGUGUACAAGAGAAACGCGCAUCGCUCGGCCCCGACCACCCACCGUAACCGGGAACACCCCGAUAUUUUCCUCGCCCUCGCUUCUACCACGGUUUUUUCCGUCAUGGACGGCCCAAAGAAUGUCAUGCAGCUGCGUCUCCGGCCCGCCCAGGACGAAAAGCCCAUUUUCUGUCAUGAUUUUUUGUCAUAGAAGUAGGAGCCCACCACAUCUAUGAUGAUACCGGGUUUUGUCAUGAUUAUUGUCAUAGAAGUGUCAUAAGUAUGACAGAAAAUAAUUUCGUUCGGCCCAAAAUGUCACGGAUGUGUCUUUUUUUUCUAGUAAACCCCACCACGGAGGCCACAGAUUCCCCGGCGUUGGAGCCGCAGAUGGACUUAACCUCACACAAUACUCGUGUCACCGGAACUCCAGACUCUUCUCCGGGUAUAAGUUCCGAACCAUGUGAGUCCGGAUGCCGAACUUGAUCGCUUAUCGAUCUUCGGGUUCAGCGCCUCAGACAUCUUCCAGCACUCGCCCUUGGGCAAUGUGCUGAACUCAUUAAAGAACUUGUCCUUGGCGGGGGACUCACAGCCGAACUAUGUUCGGUACGAACUAGAGGCUGACAAUGGAGAAUUUUGUUUCCCACCCGCCACCCACUUCAUAGCCACGGUUGAGGAUUUAACCGACACGCUUGGUUACGGCUUCGAAGAAAUCGAUGGUAUGGACGACGAUGCUGAUGAAGAGCAAGACCAAAAUCCGCCAUAUACUGGACGCAGGACGGCCACUUCUUUGUACGAUGUGUACAUGGUGGAUACACCCAAAACAACCAACGACGAUGACAAAGAAAAUCCAGUCGAAAACAAACCUCCUGAGACACAGUAAAAACGUCGGCGUCCUCGGCGCCGCUCUAAGUCACGUCGUUCAAAAGACAGCAAUGCUGGCACCGGUGAAAAUAAUACUCCAGACGAUGUCGAAAACAAUGAAGACCUUGCUGAGGUAACAUCCGAACAAGAGGAGCAAGAAAACGGGCAAGCUAGCCCCGACGAACAGGCCAGGCCCAACGACUCGGAGGACAGUAGUUACUGUCCGCUCUUCGAGGAUGAGGAAAGCCUCGGCAACGAAGAUUUCAUCGUGCCUGAGGAACCUCUCGAGCAGGAGCACUUUAAGCGCCAGCUAAUAGCCACUUCAAGGAGCCUGAAAAAGAAACAGCAGCAGCUUCAAGCUGACCAAGAUCUACUCGUCGACAGAUGGACUGAUGUCCUGGCAGCCAAAGAAUACGGCCUUAGACGCCCAGCCAAGAGUUACCCGAAGCGAAGGCUGCUACCCCAGUUCGAUGAAGAGGCGCCGGAGCCCAUACCUCCCUCGCGUAAUGCGGCCGAUCGACUACUACGCGGUGGGGAACAGUGCAGCAGACCGACCACCAUGUGGUCGGGAUAGAGCGGCAACUCAGGCCGAACAGUAGCCUGCCCCACCGCCUCGUAAAAAUAGAGACGAAACAGCUCGGGGUCAUACAUACGACCUCCGGCAGACCCUGGAUAUUAGAGCAGGACAUACCCGAUCGAUUUAUGGAUCGCGAGGACGUCCCUCGACACGUGAUGAUGGCUACCUAUUCGGACGUGACAAACCUAGUCACACCCGAGCCGAUAACCGCAGACGAACUCCAUCGGAGCUAUGGUGCAAUGCGGCCAGAUACAGAGGCGCCGCACACCCUCUUUGCUUCACUGAUGAAGUAAUGGAUCACGAAUUCCCCGAAGGGUUCAAACCCGUGAAUAUUGACUCAUACGACGGGACAACUGAUCCCGCGGUAUGGAUCGAGGAUUUUAUCCUCCACAUCCACAUGGUCCGGGGAGAUGACCUCCACGCUAUCAAGUACCUCCCGCUAAAGCUUAAAGGACCAGCUCGGCACUGGUUAAACAUCCUGCCUGAAAAUUCUAUUGGCAGCUGGGAGGACUUGGAAGAGGCCUUCCUCGACAACUUCCAAGGUACAUAUGUCUAGCCACCAGACGCAGAUGACUUAAGCCACAUAAUUCAACAGCCCGGGGAGUCAGCCAGGAAGUUCUGGACUAGGUUCCUAACUAAAAAGAACCAGAUCGUCGACUGUCCGGAUGCAGAAGCCCUAGCAACCUUUAAACAUAUCAUCCAUGACGAAUGGCUCGCCCGCCACCUCGGCCAAGAAAAGCCAAAAUCUAUGGUAGCACUCACGGCACUCAUGACCCGCUUUUGCGCGGGUGAGGAUAGCUGGCACAGCCAUGGCAAGCUCCGACGUAAUAGACACAAACACUGAAGCAAUGGUGACAAUACCAACGACACUACAGUCAAUGCCGGAUUCAGUGGCUCCAAGAAUGGCCAGCGGAAGAAACCGUACAGGAGAAACAAUCAGGGACCAUCCAGCCUGGAUCGCAUACUCGACCACCCAUGCCAGAUACAUGGCACCCCAGAUAAACCAGCCAACCAUACCAAUAGAGAUUGCUGGAUUUUUAAGCAAGCCGGCAAGUUAAACGCCGAGAACAAGGAAAAGGGAUCACAGAGCAAGGACGAUGCUGAGGAGCCCCCGCAGCCAACUACAGGGGGACAGAAGAAGUUUCCCCCUAAGUCAAAACAGUAAACAUGAUAUAUGCUACACACAUCCCUAAAAAGGAAAGCAAGCGCGCACUAAGGGACGUCUACGCGAUAGAGCCAGUCGCCCCAAAAUUCAAUCCAUGGUCAUCAUUUCUGAUCACCUUUGAUCAUCGGGAUCAUCCGACCAGCAUCCUUCAUGGCGGUUCGGUCGCACUAGUCCUCGAUCCAAUCAUCGACGGAUUUCACCUGACGCACGUCCUUAUGGACGGAGGUAGCAGCCUCAAUCUGCUCUAUCAGGAUACAGUGCGAAAAAUGGGCAUCAAUCCAUCACAGAUCAAGCAAACAAAAACUCCCUUUAAGGGAGUCAUACCAGGUGCGGAUGCCCGUUGUAUGGGCUCAAUCACGCUAGAGGUUGUCUUCGGGUCUCCGGACAAUUUCCAAACUGAAGAGUUAAUCUUCGACAUCGUCCCCUUUCGCAGCGGCUAUCACGCACUGCUCGGACGAACCGCAUUCGCGCGAUUCAAUGAUGUGCCACACUAUGUUUAUCUAAAGCUCAAGAUUCCCGGUCCACGCGGCGUCAUCACGGUCAAUAGAAAUACGGAACGCUCCCUCCGUACAGAAGAGCACACAGCUGCCUUAGCAGCCGAAGUACAGAGUGGCCUUCUCAAGCAGAACCCUAAUUCGGUUGCCGAGCCCAUGGACACCGUUAAGAGGGUCCGAACUACCCUGCAGAAGGAUAGCUCGGCUCAUCAGGAGCUUGACUAGCAAUCCGGCCUCCGUUUGAGUCCCUAUCAAGUGGUGGCGAUCGUGCCGCGCAUACAUAACUACGCACUCAAAAUCCCAUGGGCAUCGACGGAGGCAUAGCUAACUUGUGAUCCACAGGGCAGCUCGACCGCCCCGGACACUCAUACUUUCACUAUUUCCCUUUCUUCUUUUAUUUCUUCAUUUUUUCUGGCCUUUCCUGGUGGCCUGAUCAUCGGUCCUCUUGAAGGACAAAAACACCAAGACAAUAAGAAGCAUGGACGUACUGGAAAACUCUUAGGUGGUGUCUUUAACGAUCCCUUUACCUACCUUCAGGACCCAUACGUAGCUCUCUCUUGGUGAAGGCAUAGUAAAUAGCCUUUCAGCUUAUCGCACUACUUGUAUAAAAUGUGCUUUAAAGAACCAAUGAAAUUAUGGUAGAAACAGUUUGCGACCCAAGUUUUCACGACUUUAGCUUACCACAGCUUCUUCCUUUUUUCCUUUUUGGUAAUUCUAUCGGAUAGCACCUGUACACUCGGUGCGUUCCAACUUGCCAGGGGCUUCAUAGCACCCCACAACAUGGCAACAAAAGUCCGAACACUUUUACAGUAUAGUUCGGCACCCCGAAUUUAGCAUUAUAUGCAUUGGCUCUGAAUCAUGUCUUUGGUCAAUAGUUGGGUUGCCCGGCUCCUGUGCUUGCUACCUUACCUUCCGCUAUAUCGGCUAAGGUAGUAAAGGGAGAACUACUGCAAUUGUGCCCUGGUUUAUCCAAAGGAGCACCUCAGUAGAGAAAGCCGAAAACUGACUGUCAUGAUACGGCGAGAGCCGGUCAGCAGUUCGGAGGUUGCAAAUCGUUGGAGAUUUCUCCCGCAUUAUGUGAAGGAUCGGCACUUCCCGAUCAGACGCUCAUAGCACUCUGGUUCGAAUACUAGGGGCUGCGCACAUGUUUUAUUGUAAAACUCCUAUGGUUAAGUGAGGGCGUUCAAGCCGCAUAGUCUGAUUGCAUGGUUCGUUGCGCUAAACAACUCCUUCAAGGACCAUAUAAUUGGAUCAAGAUUUUUUAGAUUCCAUCCCGAACACCUCCGUACUACCUACGUGGGGGCAGAAGCCGACGACUGGCCAACCCUCAGAUUUCAUACAACACGGCCGCACAGGAGGAAAAAAUUAAAACAUAACAAGCAUUAUAUUACAAACCGACUUCAUGUCAUCAUUCCAGGCAAAGACAACAUGAACUUAUUCAUUCGAAAAUAAUGUCUUGCCCACACUGCGCUGCUGCAAUGCGAGACCCCUCUAGGACAUCCGCAAAAUAGUGCUCGGGUGUGCGGUGCUCCUUGCCCUCUGGCGCCCCCCUGGUCAGCUCGACGGCGUCCAUCUUCGCCCACCACAUCUUGCAACGGGCGAAGGCCAUGCAUGCACCUUCAAUACAGGCUGAUCGCUUGAUGACGUCCAGCCAAGGACAUGCGUUCACCAGCCGCUUCAUGAGUCCGAAGUAGCUGCCGGGCAUAGCUUCGGCUGGCCACAGCCGGAUUAUCAAAUCCUUCAUGGCUAGUUCGGCCACCCUAUGCAGCUCCACCGGCUUUUUCAGCUGAUCGGUGAAGGGCACGGGAUGCUCCGGCGCAAGAUACUGCGACCAGAACAAUUUCUCCGUGGAGCUCCCUUCUUCGGCUCGAAAGAACUCCACGGCGUCGGAAACACUGUGCGGCAGAUCUACGAAGGCUCCUGGAGAACUCCGAAUCCGGGUUAGUAAAAAAUACUUCUUCUUCAUAUACUUGCUUUGCAUACUAAAUGCCUUACCCGCCACGAUCUUCUUGGCCUCCUGGAUCUCUUGGAGGGUGCCCUGGGCCUCAUUCCGGUCCGUCUCCGCGCCCUGACGAGCCUUGGCGAGUUCGAUCUCUCGAACCGACACAUCGCGCUCCAAGGUCUCGCACUUCCUCACCGCGUCCUGGAGCUCCUGUUGGACCUCGUUGACACGUGCCUUGAGCUUCUUACGGGCGGCCUCCUACUUGACAGCCUUCCCCUCGGCUUCGGCCAGGGCCUUCUUCAGGGCCUCGACCUCGGUCGUUGCUCCUGUACAUAUCGUGACACUUGGGUCAAUAUAUAUCAUCUUACUCUUUUUGAGUAUUUCCCGGGUUUACAUACCUUGAUUCUCCUGGAGCUGCCUCUUCACCUGGCCAAGCUCCUCCCCGGCCUGCUCCAGCCUCCGCUUUAGUUCGGAGACUUCGGCAGCAUGUGAGGCCGCGGCCAGCAGCGAUGCCUGCAUAUUCAUUUUUGGCAAAUUUAGUUAGUUUCCUACAAUAAAGGAUUGAUCCUCUAUCUGGUUUUUUCUUUCCGAAGCACCGGAUAGUGUCUCAGGGGCUACUGUCUAUAUUGGGAUUUUCUCUUUUUUUAUUGCUUACCUCAAAACCUGUCAGCAGGCUGCUGCAGGCUUCGGUUAGUCCGCUCUUGGCAGACUGUACCCUUUCAACCACCGUGCCCAUAAGAAGAGGGUGCUCAUCCACAAUGGAAGCGCCUCACAGCACUUCCAGUAGAUUAUCUGGUGCCCCUAGUUGGACAGGGGUCACCGGUGGAAUAGGCAUACCCCCUUCUUUCGAAGGAGGUUGCGUGCUGGAUUCCGGAGCCCUAUCGGUCUCCGGAAUCAAGUCCGGUUGAGGGUCGAACUGAGUACGGCCCUCCUCCCCAGCCUCCAGGGGGAUUGGUUCCCCCUGGUGUUCGGCGAUGGGGGCUUCGCCUUCGGGCGCCUCUUGAGCCUCCCCCCGGCCUGGGAAGGUCCAUUGGGAGAGCACCUCGUCGUCUCCUUUGGCCUUGGGAGAGUAAGCGGCCGGCGGUGUCUCGCUGGCCAUCUCCUUUGAGUCCAACGUACCUCUUGAUGAGGAUUGCUGGGAGCUGUCGUGGGCCGGACUGCAAUAGCAUAAUUAACCAUGUCAAUACAUUGAAGAGGAGAGGCUGGACAUAUGGGUAUGCGGGAGUCAUAGCACUUACGAUGCAGCUGGAGGCUUAGUGCGGGGGUGUCGCUCCGGACUGCUGCCAACGUCCCACGCGGAGUUAUCCGUGAAGGAGCCCUUCCCUUUCUUGGACGUCCCCGCCUCCAGGUUCGUGGAGGCCGCCCUCUUCUUCCUUCCCUCAUCAGGGGGAGGGUUGUCCUCCUCCUCCUCCUCAUCGUCGUCAUCUUCGGCGGCGGAGGGGCGGGUCUUGUCUUCGGACGUCGCGUCCGAAGCGCCCCUGCGACGGGGGCCACUCCGAACCCCCUUGGCCUUCCCCUUGGCCUUCUUCACCGGCGUGGUAUAGGGCGCCGGCACCAGCAUCUUCGCUAAACGCGGAAUGACUAGUUCUUCAGGUAGCGAAGCCGGACACUGGGUCCGCUUCGCCCUCUCCAUCCAUUCCUGAAGAAGCAAUGACAGUAAACAUUCAGAUAUCCUCCUUGAAGCAAACAAGUAGAGGACGCGUUGGAAACUCACCUCGCUGGUGGGGUGGUUAAUGUCGUGCCCACGGUCCGUAUCCGUGGCUGGCGGAAUCUCGUUGCCCUUGAAGAGCAACUUCCAGGCAUCUUUGUGAGUGGUCUCGAAGAGCCUCUUCAGGGUAUGGUGCUUCUUUGGAUUAAACUUCCAUAGCAGGAGGCUUCGGCUUUGGCAUGGGAGAAUCCGGCGAACUAGCAUCACCUGGAUUAUAUCGACAAGUUUGACAUCCUUGUCCACCAUGCUUUGAACGCGUGUCUGCAGCGCUAUCAGCUCGUCUGGCGAACACCAGUUCGGGCUCUUCUCGACCCAGGAGGUGAGCCGCAUUGGAGCACCAGAGUUGAAUUCGGCAACUGCGGCCCAGUUGGCGCCACAGGAUUCUGUAAUGUAGAACCAUUGUUUCUGCCAUUCCUUGGCAGUCUCCACGAAAGUGCCUUUCGGCCAGGAGACAUUGGACAGCUUACUCACCAUGGCUCCUCCGCACUCCGCGUGCUGGCCAUCCACCACCUUCGGCUUCACGUUGAAGACUUCGAGCCACAACUUGAAGUGGGGUUGGAUGCGGAGGAAGGCCUCACACACGACGAUGAAUGCCGAGAUGUUGAGGAAGGAGUUCGGGGACAGAUCAUGGAAGUCUAUCCCGUAAUAGUACAUCAGCCCACGGACGAAAGGGUGGAGUGGAAACCCUAGCCCGCGGAAGAAAUGAGGGAUGAAUACCACCCUCUCGUUGGGCUUCGGCGUGGGGACGACUUGUCCUUGGGCCGGCAGACGGUGGGCGAUUUCCUUCGCCAACUACCCGGCCGCCCGAAGCUCACUAAUGUCCUUCUCCUUGACGGAGGAGACCAUCCACUUGCCUUGACCUCCGGAUCCGGACAUGGUUGAGUGCUAGCUUGAGUGGGAAGAAGAUGACAGCUUGGGCGCUGGAGCUCAAGAUUGGAAGGGCGGAGGAAGAGAUAAGGCGUGGGAGAAGAAGGGGGAAUCCUUAUCCCCUUAUAAAGGCAGUGAAUAUUGAACGCCUCCCCACUCGCCUCAAAACUCGCCUAUUCCCAAGGACUGUGUAAAUGGUACGGUUGGGUUACCCACGCCCGUAUUGAUGAGAAUCCCGCAAUAAGGGGACACGAUCUCUACUUUGACAAGACGUGCCAAUGGCAACCGCAUCUCGAAACAUGGAGCGCAGACGAAAAAUGGUUCGAAAUUAUGACCGGACAGACGUGAUGUCAUGUUAAAGAAAGUUGUCAGCGGAUUGGACUCGUGUAAAAUUAUAUUCUCUCCGCGGUUGUGUGUGGUGUGUAUGUUGCAGGUCCGGAUAUGUUCAAUACGUUCGAGGAAUAUCUUGGAGUUCGGAAGGAGGAACCCGCCUUGCAAUGCCGAAGACAGACCUAUGCACCGUAUACCUUGUCAUUGAAGCCAGGUUCAGGGGCUACUGAGGGAGUCCUGGACUAAGGGGUCCUCGGGCGUCCGGCCUGUUAGCCAUGGGCCGGACUGAUGGGCUGUGAAGAUACGAAGACCGAAGAUUGCACCCGUGUCUGGAUGGGACUCUCCUUGGCGUGGAAGGCAAGCUUGGCGACCGAAUAUGUAGAUUCCUUUCUUUGUAACCGACCUUGUGUAACCCUAGAUCCUCCCGGUGUCUAUAUAAACCGGAGGACUUAGUCCGGAGGGAGAUAUACUCAUUACCAUAGUCAUACAGGCAAGGCUUUUAGGGUUUAUCCAUCUCGAUCUCGUGGUAGAUCAACUAUUGUAAUACUCAUAUUCAUCAAGAUCAAUCAAGCAGGAAGUAGGGUAUUACCUCCAUAGAGAGGGCCCGAACCUGGGUAAACAUCGUGUCCCUUGUCUCCUGUUACCAUCAGCCUUAGACGCACAGUUCGGGACUCCCUACCCGAGAUCCGCCGGUUUUGACACCGACAGUCCCAUCUUGGGGAGGUCAAUCUCCAUCAACAUCUUCAACAACACCAUCUCAUCUCAAACCCUAGUUCAUCUCUUGUAUUCAAUCUUGUUACCGGAACUAUAGAUUGGUGCUUGUGGGUGACUAGUAGUGUUGAUUACAUCUUGUAGUUGAUUACUUAUGGUUUAUUUGGUGGAAGAUUAUAUGUUCAGAUCCAUUAUGCUAUUUAAUACUCCUCUGAUCAUGAACAUAUUUAUCAUUUGUGAGUAGUUACUUUUGUUCUUGAGGUCAUGGGAGAAAUCAUCACUACAAAAAAAGACACAUCCGUGACAUUUUGGGCCGAACGAUUUUUUUUUUCUGUCAUACAUAUGACACUUCUAUGACGAUAAUUGUGACAAAACCCGGUAUCAUGAUAGAUGUGGUGGGCUCCUACUUCUAUGACAAAAAAUCAUGACAGAAAAUGGGCUUUUCGUCCUGGGCGGGCCUGAGACGCAGCUGCAUGACAUUCUUUGGGCCGUCCAUGACGGAAAAAACCGUGGUAGAAGCGAGGGCGAGGAAAAUUUCGGGGAGUUACCUGUUACGGUGGGAGGUCGGGGGCCGAGUGAUGCGCGUUUCUCUCGUACACGUAUGCGCGUGUGUGCGAGGCGUUGGCUCUAACUGAACCCGAGCGAGGAGUUGGGCUCUAACUGAACCCGAGCGAUUGCACUGCAGGCUACGCGUUACUGAACCCGAGCGAUCGAUCGAUGGUUGUUAACUAAACCCGAUCGAGCGAUUCCUUUGCUACUGCUGCUAACUGAAACCGAUCGAUGCUGCCUCUGGGAUGAACANNNNNNNNNNNNNNNNNNNNNNNNNNNNNNNNNNNNNNNNNNNNNNNNNNNNNNNNNNNNNNNNNNNNNNNNNNNNNNNNNNNNNNNNNNNNNNNNNNNNNNNNNNNNNNNNNNNNNNNNNNNNNNNNNNNNNNNNNNNNNNNNNNNNNNNNNNNNNNNNNNNNNNNNNNNNNNNNNNNNNNNNNNNNNNNNNNNNNNNNNNNNNNNNNNNNNNNNNNNNNNNNNNNNNNNNNNNNNNNNNNNNNNNNNNNNNNNNNNNNNNNNNNNNNNNNNNNNNNNNNNNNNNNNNNNNNNNNNNNNNNNNNNNNNNNNNNNNNNNNNNNNNNNNNNNNNNNNNNNNNNNNNNNNNNNNNNNNNNNNNNNNNNNNNNNNNNNNNNNNNNNNNNNNNNNNNNNNNNNNNNNNNNNNNNNNNNNNNNNNNNNNNNNNNNNNNNNNNNNNNNNNNNNNNNNNNNNNNNNNNNNNNNNNNNNNNNNNNNNNNNNNNNNNNNNNNNNNNNNNNNNNNNNNNNNNNNNNNNNNNNNNNNNNNNNNNNNNNNNNNNNNNNNNNNNNNNNNNNNNNNNNNNNNNNNNNNNNNNNNNNNNNNNNNNNNNNNNNNNNNNNNNNNNNNNNNNNNNNNNNNNNNNNNNNNNNNNNNNNNNNNNNNNNNNNNNNNNNNNNNNNNNNNNNNNNNNNNNNNNNNNNNNNNNNNNNNNNNNNNNNNNNNNNNNNNNNNNNNNNNNNNNNGUUUUGCGGUACGCCACACCCCUCCCGAUCAACAGGACCCCCGUUUCGACCGUAGGAGGUCUGUUUCCUCCGUUUUGCGGUACGCCACACUCCUCCCGAUCAACAGGACCCCCGUUUCGACCAUAGGAGGUCCGUUUCCUCCGUUUUGCGGUACGCCACACCCCUCCCCAUGAACAUGACGCAUUCCGUUGCCUCCGCAUGAACAUGACGCAUCCCGUUGCCUCCCCAUGAACACGACGACGACGCUGUUUCUCCGUUCCGACCCAGCCAUGUACACGAGCCAUGGCCGUACGUAUGCGCGAGUAGGCGUUCGAGACCCCGCCCGUAUGUACACAUACGUGGCCGUAUUUUCUUUCUUGCACCCUGGCCGCUGUACGUACGUGUACAUGCUACGUGCGUGCCUUUACUAUGACACGUGCGCGCCUCUACAUCCACCAGUGUAUAUGUACGUACACGUUCGCAACCAGAAUGACAACGCUACGUACGCUUCGACCAGGUGGGUCCCAACUGUCAGGCACUUCCUUGCCUGCGAAGAUGUAGCUGGUGGGUCCCAGCAGUCAGGGGGCGAAUCAUUUUUUUUGCCCGGACGCACUUCCUUGCGUGCGAAGAUGUAGCUGGUGGGUCCCAGCAGUCCGGGGCAAACUUUUUUUCACGAAAUACGGUGGCCCAUCCGGUGGGUCCCCGCUGUUAGGUGGAGGAAUAAUUAUUUUGCACGUAAUAAGGAGGCACUUCCUUGCUGCGGCCGUGGACCCAACUGUCAGCCUCUCCACGUAUAGUCCACGUCCGAUGGAAGCCGUUCCUUGACCACGUUGACCACGCCGCGCCGAGAGCACCAGGGCGGUGGACGAUGGCGAGGCCUAGGAAGGGGACGACGCGGAGCCGGGGAAGACGCGGCAGUGGAUGCCCACGCGUAGAGGAGUACGAGGGUUCACUGGUUCGCUGUGGUGUGAGGCUGCCGUCGCCGCAGAAUAACAGGGGGUGUGGGUGAGUAGAGGGAUGGCCUGGCCAGCGGUGGGAGUAGUAGGGGGUGGUGAGGCCUCCGCCGCAUCGCAGCCGGCCACGAGAGGCAGGAGCACGAGGCACGACCAGCGCUGGUUUGGGCGGCUGGAGCAAGAAGACCAGAGGUUGAAGAAGCAGUACGGCCGUUGGAUGGACAUCGUACGGUCACUGGAGCUAGAAUCGUGCAUAUUGACUAAGUUGACAAAGCCCUCCGUCCCCGUCAACUUAGUAGGCCCACAAGUCAGACUGCCACUAUACUAGGUCCCAGCUAACAGGGGGAGUAUUCAUUUUUUUGUGCGUAAUAAGGAGGCACUUCCUUGCGUGCGAAGAUAUAGCUGGUGGGUCCGAGCUGUCAGCGGCGGUAACGUUUUUUCAUGAAAUACAGAGGCCCUUUCAGUGGGUCCCUGAUGUCAGGUGGAGGAAUCAUUAUUUUGCGCGUAAUAAGGAGGCAUUUCCUUGGGUGCGGCCGUGGACCCAGCUGUCGGCCUCUCCACGUACAGUCCACUUCAGAUGCAUGUCGGUCGUUGACCACAUUGACCAGGCCGCGCCGAGAGGACCAGGGCGGUGGACGACGGCGAGGCCUAGGAAGGGAACGACACGGAGGUAGGGAAGACUUGGCAGUUGUUUCCCACGCGGAGGGGAGUACGACUAUACGAGGGUUUACUGGUUCGUCUGCUGUCGCCGGAGAAUAACAGCAGGUGUGGGUGAGUAGAGGGAUGGCUAGGCCAGCGAUGGGAGUACGGUGUGGCGGUGAGGCCUGCGCGGCAGCAGAGCCGGCCGCAGGGAGGAGGGAGCAGGCAAUCCCGCCAGUGCUUGUUUGAGCGGCUGGAGCAGGAAGAGCAGAGCUUGAAGAAGCACGACGGCCGUUGGAUGGCCAUCCAACAGUCACUGCUUGUGCGUCAACUUUUUUUUAGGAAAGCCUCAAAUCUGUGGAAAACAACAUACUGCCCAUCUGCCAUUAUUUCUAAUAAUUUACAACCCAUUUGCUAAUUAUUAAGGUUUUUUUGGAGCCCAUAUUCUUGUAGUUAGCAUUACAGCCCAUAUUGUGGCCACGGUUAAAAAAUUAUACGAAAUUUUGCAUAUUUCGGUGCGGUCCGAACUUUUUUUAAUCCCGAAAUUUUGACUCACAUUCAAACUGAUUUUAAAAAUAAAUGUAUAUCAAUAUGAAAUCCAACAAAUACUCCACGCAUAAAAAUUAAUUUAAUUUAAAAUCUCGAAAUGAAAAAAAAAGAUAUUUGAAACUAAUUGCCGGUUUGAUGUGUUUUAAAAAUGUACUGCCCAUUUCUCAUUACUAAUGGGCCAUUUUCUCGGCCAGCCGAAUGAAAGCUCUCCUCGUCUUGAAAGAUUUGCAGCCCAACAGGCCUGACAAAGCGACUUACUUGGCAAAUCACAAAAAAACUGGGCUGUGGCCGUGGACCCAGCUGUCAGCCUCUCCACGUACAGUACUCUUCCGAUGGAAGGCGUUCCUUGACCACGUUGACCACGCCGCGCAGAGAGCACCACAGCGGUGGACGACGGCGAGGCCUAGGAAGGGGACGACGCGGAGCCGGGGAAGACGCGACAGUGGAAGCCCGUGCGGAGAGGAGUACGAGGGUUCACUGGUUCGGCUGCGGUGUGAGGCUGCCGUCGCUGCAGGGCCUGGCCAGCGGUGGGAAUAGUAGGGGGCGGUGAGGCCUCCGCGGCAGCACCGCCGGCCACGGGAGGCAGGAGCAUGCGGCACGACCGGCGCUGCUUUGAGCGGCUGGAGCAAGAAGACCAGAGGUUGAAGAAGCACUACGGCCGUUGGAUGGACAUCGUACGGUCACUGGAGCUAGAAUCGUUCAUAUUGACUAAGUUGACAAAGCCCUUCGUCCCCGUCAACUUAGUAGGCCCACAAGUCAGCCUCCCACCAAGGUGGGUCCCAGCUAGCCGGGGGAGUAUUCAUUUUUUUUGUGCGUAAUAAGGAGGCACUUCCGGUGGCUCCGAGCUGACAGCGGGGGGAACGUUUUUUCACGAAAAACGGUGGCCCGUCAGGUGGGUCCCAGCAGUCAGGGGGCAAACAUUUUUUCGCAAAAUACGGUGGCCCGUCCAGUGGGUCCCUACUAUCAGUUGGUGGAAUCAUUAUUUUCCGCGUAAUAAGGAGGCACCUACUUGCUGCGGCCGUGGACCCAGCUGAGACUCUCCAUAUAUAGUAUACUUCCGAUGGAAGUCGUUCCUUGACCACGUUGACCUCGCCACGUUCCGUUGCAUGCAUGCGUCCAUGGGUGUGGUGCGUCCCCACUUUCAGCCUCUCAUGUACAGUCAUCUUCCGAUGACUCUCGGUUGUUGACCACGUUGACCACAUCGUGCCGGGCGCACCCAGACUGGAACGACCCGGAGAUGGGGAAGACGGGGCAGUGGAGUCGCAGAUGGAGAGGAGUGGGAAACUUCACUGGUUCAGGUGCGCGGUAGCACAGCCGCGGUGCCACCCACGGGAGACAGAAGCAAGAACAGAGGUUGAAGAAGGAGCACGGCUGUUGGAUUAAGAUCCAACGGUCCAGCUGCUAGAAUCAUUUGUUGAUUAAGUUGACAAAGCCGUGCGUACACGUCCGCUUAGUAGGCCCACAAGUCAGUCACCAAAUCUGACGGGUCCCAGCUGUCAACGGGAUGAAUAAUUUUUUUCGCAAAACAAGGAGGCACUUCCUUCUGUGCGAAGAUACAGCCGGUGGGUCCCAGCUGUCAGGUGGAGAAAUAAUUUUUUUCGCAAAACAAGGAGGUCCCUCCUAUAGCUGGUACGAAUCCAAACCUAGACUAUGACUAUAUAUGGUGCUAUGCUACUCUGCAAGUAAUGAAACUGACAUAUCCAACGUUCGCUUCUCCUCUUCUCUACUUACUCUGCCUAGCAUCAGAAGCUCUGGCCGCAGCAACCAUGUCCGCUGGCUGCUCGUCCACCUGCUCUUCAGCAGGCAACAACCAGAUAUGCACCAAGUCACCACCCGUACCAUCGCCUGUGGGUCUCAUCACACCCCCACCGGCACACACACCGCAUCUGAUUGCUCAUCGUAACCCGCUACCGUUGAUGUGGUGCCACUGCUGCAAAUCACGCAGAGUCAUCCGUCGCGUCUCAACCACAAUCCGCAACCCUGGCCGAGUGUUCUAAAAAUGCCCGAAUCAUGGGGUAAUAAUAUGUUUAAGUGUUGUUCUGCUGCUUUCAGUUGCUGUUUUUUUAAUAGUUUGGUUGAUGAUCUUCCAAUUUGAUUCGUGCAGAAAAGGGAAGAUUCGUGUGAUUUGUAUUUCUGGGAAGUUGCUGAUGUGGGGGAAUGAAACUAUGUUGAUUAUUUGGUUAGCCGAGGAAUCCCAAUACCAGCAGGUUGGGGUGUUGGACAAGUAACUGAAGGAACAACAGAAGAGGAAGAUGCAGAGCAGAAGGUUAAAGAUGCAGUUCCUCUGAUCAUGGCCAAGCAGCAGCUGCUGAACGGCCUUGACAACAAUGAGGAGAUGAAAGAGCUUGUGAAGAUAAUGGGCAAAAUCGAUGUGCUCUGUAGGAUGAUUGUCUCUUUAUUUGCAGUGUAUGUAGCACUCGUGAUGUAUUCAGUGGCUACGACAUGAGCACUUUGCUGAAACUAGUAAUGAAUGAAACCUGUGUAGCAGGCUGGGCGUAGUGUUGUGAACAUCUAAUGAUUUCUAUUAACGGAAAUCAGGGGGUAUCCCCUUUUGCUCAUAUAAAUAAAUAAAUAGCAGAGGCCCUGUCGGGUCAGCUUUGUUCUCAUUCGAAGACGUCGAGCAAAUUGCAGUCCAACAGCAAACUAUGUCAUCAAAUUCAAGUUUCACAGCCAAAUAUGACUACAACUAAACAACAAUGUCAUCAUGUUUUAGUUGUCAUACAAUCACCAAACACAAAUCAGCAUACAUAACAAGUGAUGUUCUCACAGCAAAAUACUAAACAACAUGUUCAUUAGGUUUCAGUUGUCAUAGCAAACACAAUUUCACAUAGUAGAUAAAAAAAUGUCUUCUGACAGGCAAAUACGACAAAAGCAAUGUAAUCAUCAUCCGCAGCAGCAGCGUCAACAUCUUCGCCAUGUGUAUCAGUCUGAAUCAUAAUUCCCCAUGGUGUCAUCUUCUUCUUCUUCGUCCUCAACGUCCUCGAACGUUGGCUUCUUGUUGAUCAACUCUUGUAUGUCCACAGCACGACAGACAAUCUUUUCGCCAGCGUCAUUGGCGUGAUGGUUCUCAAAGAUAUUAGGAACAUCUGUGUUAUCUUGUACAUCAGGAGCAGUGUAAGCAUCAUCUUGUUGUGCAACUUCAUUAAACAAAUUCCUCUGCUCAAACCUUUGCAAUACUCUCCAGUCAUCGCUACGUGCAAAUGUGUCUUCCAAGAAAAAUAUCUGUGUUGCUUGAUUUGCCAAAAUAAAAGGCUCGUUGGUCUGGUACGUCGCCUUGACAUUGAUGAAUUUGAAAUAAUCAUCAGCUAUGGGUUUUGCGAUCCUGGAAAACAGGUUAUACCAACGACAGCACAACAGAACCACACACCAAUGAUCCUCGAAACUGGAGAUAUACUGCAACUGAACAAUGUCUGUUAUGUUAGCAUACAUUUCAGUUGUCUCUUUGUCAUACAUAUCCGUGCUCAUGAUGGCACUGUUUUGUGUCUUCCUGCCUUUGUCUCGUGCAAGGGUGUUGUAGCGCACAUCUCCAACAACGCAAGAUUCAUAAUGUCUUACCCGAGUAUCCGGACCCAUUGCUAGUGAGUAAAGGGCAUCAUCAACUGCCUGCCCAUCCUCCCGCAUCUUCUUAACCUAUGGUUAGAAAAUAGACAAGCCGAUCAUCUUAUGUACUCAAUAUAUUAAAAAAAACUGACAGUGCACUUCAAAAGCUUACAUGGUUCUUGAACCAUUUCGCAAAUCCUGCCAUAACCAGUUUGUCAAUGUUUCUUGGAUUUUGUGGCAGUAACUCCUCUUUGUAGAUGCUGCACAACAUAGUGAUCGCGUCAAACAUCUAAAUAUAUAAGAAUGUGCUGCAAGUUUAGCAGAUUACGAUGUAUAAGCUGCAGUACUGCACUUACUUGAUAUAAGAUAGUAUCUCAGGACAGUUAUUCAACACAUACCAAACCAUUUUUUCCAAAUCUUUAGGUUUGUCCUCUUGUCGACUCUUCCCUGUAACUUGAACAGAAUAAUCGAAAACAUUGAGCCUGGGAUUGUCUUCACCCACCUCUUUGCUAAGCUGAUCAGCUGUUUCAAUGUAUUUUGAGCAGAAUGUCAACGCUUCUGUAGCAAUGUAGGCCUCUGCAAUGGAACCCUCGGGUCUAGCUUUGUUCCUAACAUAGCCCUUGAAAGUGCCUAGCCGCCUUUCAAUAGGGUACAUCCAGCCAUACUGUACUGGACCUCUAAGUAGUGCCUCAUCAGGUAGAUGAACAGCCAAAUGCACCAUCACAUCAAAGAAGGCUGGAGGAUAUAUCUUCUCAAGGUCGCAUAGGAUAGUUGGUAUCUUGUCUCUAAGACGCUCCAAAGCAUCUAUCCUGAUAUUCCUACUGCAGAGUUCCCUGAAGAAUUGUCCCAACUAUGCAACUGCUCUGUAUAAGUCAGGGCGGCCCAAUCCUCUAUGGAUAACAGGUAAAACCCUUUGAAGUAGGACGUGGCAGUCAUGAGUUUUCAACCCUUGUACCUUGUUUCCAUCUGCACUGACUCUCCUUUCAGGGUUGGAAGCAAAUCCAUGUGGGAAUCUCACACGUGACAGGACCUCGCAGAAUUCUUUUCUUUUUACCUUGUCCAAGACGUACACAGCUGGUGCCAUAUCCCAUGGUUUACCUUCAUCUUGCACCUGCAAAUCCUUUCUGAUACCCAGGUGUGUCAAAUCAAUCCUAGAUUUUAAGGUAUCUUUCGUCUUGCCUUCAAUAUUAAGAAGUGUGCCGAUAAUGCUGUCACAUAUAUUUUUCUCGAUGUGCAUCACAUCAAGAUUAUGCCGCAGAUCCAAAUCUUUCCAAUACUCCAAGUCCCACAAAGUGGACCUGCGGGUAAACAAUAAUCUCUCUUCUACCCUGCCACGCUUCCUUUUCCCGCUACCAUUACCAGGAUGGUUUCCUGGUGUAAUAUGCUUGACCUUCUCUAAUUGCACUUGCAACUCAUCGGCCGUGAGCCUCUUUGGCGCAUCACGGUUUUCAUGCUUUGCAUUGAACACAUGUCUUCGGUAUUUUCUAGGAUGCGGCUUGUCCUUGGCAAGGAAACGGCGGUGUCCAAUGUAACAGAUCUUGCUAAGUAUUGCGUAUGACAGCGGAUUCCUGUCACAGCGAACACAUGCAUUGUAACCAUGUGUCGUUCGCCCUGACAUAGUGCCCAAAGCCGGAUAAUCAUGGAUGCACCAAAUUAUAACAGCACGCAGAAAAAAUCAGCUGGUGGGCUGCUAUAUAGGUCUCGAGUGAGAACACCCUUCCAUAGCUGUUGAAGUUCCUCCACAAGAGGCUCCAUGAACAAAUCAAAAUCCUUUCCAGGACUUUUUGGACCUGGGAUGAGCAAGGCCAUCAUGUAGUUUGAUUCUUUGGUGCAGACAUUUGGAGGCAUGUUGUAAGGGAUAACAAGCACUGGCCACAUGCUAUAUGUGGCACUCUGGUGGCCAAAUGGAUUAAAUCCAUCUGAAGCUAAGCCAAGUCUAAUGUGUCUCGGGUCAGCAUCAAACUCUUUGUGUUUAUCAUUGAAGCUUUUCCACUCACUACCAUGAGAUGGAUGGCUCAUUACAUUCUGAUCUCUGUACUCCUGGUUCCUAGAAUGCCACAGUACAUCCUCUCUUGUUUCAGCAUCAUGAAACAACCUCUGCAAUCUUGGUAUAAUUGGAAAAUGUCUCAAAACAUUAUGAGGAAUCCUCUUCACAGCAUCGUCAUCUUUCCAUCUUGAUGAUUUGCAUUUCGGGCAUUCACUUAAGUUGGCAUAAUCCUUCCGGAAUAGAACACAAUUAUUCUUACAAACAUGGAUCAUAUCAUAUCCAAUUCCAACUGCAUGAAGGAAAUUCUUCAUUUUACUGUAGGUGUGUGGCAGCUCAGACGCAUCUGGGAAAGAUUCAAGGAAAGCAGCCAACAUCGCAUCGAAAGAUUUGUUGGUCACCCGCUCAGAUGUCUUCACCUGAAGAAAGGUGACCAUAGCUGAGAAUACUGACAGCUUAUUUCCUGGGGUGACAGCAACGUUGCAUUGUUCCAACAUGCGGGCCCACCGUUUUUCUUCUGCAGGUGAAAGUUCAUGGAAUGCACGAGCAUUUCGUAGCAUUGUUUGAAUGUUGGUCAAACUCACUGGCUCCACCACCACCACCUCCUCCCCCUCUUCCACCUGAGCAUCAGGCAGAUCAAGAUGGUGAUCUGCUGCUUCCACGUAGUCAAUAACAUUGACGUUCAUAGCUUCACCAUGAUGAACCCACCUAGUAUAUGUGACCGACAUCCCAUACAAGUGUAGAUGAUUUUGCACAGUUGACUGGGGGUCUUGUAACUGAAUUCAUACAACUGCUACAUGGGCAAAGCACAUCUGAUUUCGGACCACCGUACUCAGCUCUGAUAAAGUUCAUGAAGCUUUCAACCCCCUCGACAUAUGCAGCGGAGAAUCUUCGAGCAGAAGUUAUCCAAGUCCUGUCCAUCUAUUAGACAUACAAAUUAGUUCUUCUACUAGAUAUUACAGGAAAAACAUAUAUGCUUUUUAUGAAGUCCAGAAAAAAUACCUAGGUCGAUGUCUAAAGCUAUGGCAAGAUAUUUGGACAAGCAGAUCUAAGUAACGAAAUAUAUGUAAAGCUAAUUCAGCAAACAGAUUUGAGUGCCAAAUUAUGGCAGGCUGUUUCAGCAGUCAAUGAGGCCGAGCACACAGCCAUCGAACUAUCGAAGGCCAUCGCAGCAAGAAAAAUAGAGUAUAAAAUGGUGUAGAGCUAUUUCACCUAACAGAUUGGCUACUAGACCAUGGCAAUCUACGUCACAAUAAAUAUAUGGCAGGAUAUUUUAGCAACUAAUCAGCCUUGGCAUGCCAUAUCAGCUAAGCAGAUUGAGUGCAGAACAGGGCAAGGAAGCUUCUUAAGCAGAGUAUAUUGACAGUAAACUACUUCGGCAAACAGUGAGAUUAACAGCGUCUAUCAGCUAACAUUCAGAGCUACACCGACAUGAACGGGGCCUCAGUCUAGAAUGCGCGUACCAUGGGAGAAGCUGACCACCAUGCGUCUCCACACGAACGUCGCCAGCGGUGGCGGCGCUGACCACCGUGCGCCUCCACAAGAACGUAGCCAGAGGUGGCGGCGCAGCUAGAGGACGGCAGUCUACGAGAGCGUACUGUGGGAGCGAGAGGAUCGCCGAACCGCGGCGCCGACAUAUCGGCGCGGCGUGGAGGGCGGCUUUGGCGGAGCGAAUGGAGUGGAGGGNNNNNNNNNNNNNNNNNNNNNNNNNNNNNNNNNNNNNNNNNNNNNNNNNNNNNNNNNNNNNNNNNNNNNNNNNNNNNNNNNNNNNNNNNNNNNNNNNNNNNNNNNNNNNNNNNNNNNNNNNNNNNNNNNNNNNNNNNNNNNNNNNNNNNNNNNNNNNNNNNNNNNNNNNNNNNNNNNNNNNNNNNNNNNNNNNNNNNNNNNNNNNNNNNNNNNNNNNNNNNNNNNNNNNNNNNNNNNNNNNNNNNNNNNNNNNNNNNNNNNNNNNNNNNNNNNNNNNNNNNNNNNNNNNNNNNNNNNNNNNNNNNNNNNNNNNNNNNNNNNNNNNNNNNNNNNNNNNNNNNNNNNNNNNNNNNNNNNNNNNNNNNNNNNNNNNNNNNNNNNNNNNNNNNNNNNNNNNNNNNNNNNNNNNNNNNNNNNNNNNNNNNNNNNNNNNNNNNNNNNGGGAUUUUCGCGCGGUGGGCGGGGGGAGUUUGGCGCAUGGUCGGUUUCUCCAAGUGCAGUCCCACGUGUCAGUGAAGAGGCAAGCCGAAGCGCGUUCCGAUUGCGUGAGCCGUGUGCAGGACCGAACGUGUGUGGGGUGCAAUGCGACCGCGACAGGAGUGCUGUGAGUGUACUGCCUUUUUACCUUUUAAACUAGGUGCUUCGCCCCCCUCAAAAAAAAAUUUGUUGCUUCGCACGAUCCAUCGGUACUACUACUAGUAAUCCGGUAAUCCCGACUAAAACGGCGCGGCCGGGUCUUUUCCCGCACGAUAUGCUGGGAGGUUGGCUUAGUUGGGUCUUUUAGGACGAGUAAUGCUACACCUACGUAAUCCCAGUUACGUAAUUAACGUAAUGUGAAACGUGUGAGCUGUUGAUUGUAGAUUGGGGGAGGGAGGGGCCCACCACCAUGAAAAUCAGGGGAGGAGAGAGAGAGAGGCAAUUUACGUUAACCCUUUCGUAGGUUCCCGUAGAUGUAGAAAGAUGUGAAAUGCGUGAAUGUGUAGUGGAUGUACUAUUGGAGUGCCUAAGAUAAUAUGUGUUUAUUUUACUUCGCAUGUUAGAUUUGUCUCGGUUCAAUAAAAAGCAGAGUUGGUGAUGAUGGUGUUCCUGUCAUCCUGGAAUAUAGGCCGUCCGAUCUAUAUCUAACGGAUAGGAAGGAAACUAUGACAAUUUACUCGCACUCCUCUCCACAUUUGCAGAUAAGGAUUUCCCUCGUUCAUCCUUUUCUCCCACAAGAUCUUGACCUUCCGUGCAACGCACGGGCAUCUUGCUAGUACUCCUACAAUAUGUAUAUUAUUGUGAAAGUUCAUAUACACCUGCCGAGAUUAAUGCAAACACAGCAGAUUUUCAUUACAUUUCAACUUUUAUAGGACAGAAAAAUAAAAGAAACCCGACCCUAAACCUAUUCUACGGCGGCGACCGACGUCCUCCAUCUGCGAUCUCUAUGUACGGGGGCGGGGUUCAAGACCCGUGAAGUGAAGGUGCGGUCUCCGGCGAGGAAGAGUAGAGCACGGGAUACGGACCGGCCAGUUGGCACACCAUGCCCUGCCGCCUCCCAUGCCCUACUCAUCCUCGGAGGAGUCCCCGACCUUGGCGGUGCCGAACGUUGGACGGCGGCAAGUAGGACGCGUGGCUGACGGUGCUCCUGUCGUCGGCCGCCAGCGUGGCCACCGCUUGUGCGGUCGCGUCCGCAUCCGGCUACGCCGCUAUUGCGUCGCGAGAGGCGACUUGAGCGAGGGCGGCGACCUCGAGCUUCAUCCCCGAAGACAAGCUCUCCCGCGGAGCGUUCGCACUUGCAGUCAUGGCGGAUGUGGUGCCAGGUAGGAGGACGAUGCGCUAUGGUGUGGAGGUUAGCUGGGCGUUGCCGCUUUAAGUAGCGCAUUCCGGUGAGGCCAAGCGUCUGGGUGCGUCAUUAAGUCGCCGGAGUUGGUUCCUUGGGCACCGAGCCUCUUAACGACGACAUACGAACGAACGGCAUGAAUGCGGGCAGCUGGCGCCGGCUGGGAACGCACCGCGCGACGGCGCGAGGGACGAGGGUUUUGGUGUGCCAGGGUAGUCAGCUGCGGUCGUGGCAACAUUGGAGAUGCCCUUUGCUCACAUGCGAUCCCCGCAUGUCAUUGAAAAAGCAAGACGACCCGGCAUGGUCUCAGGUCCAGAGGAUGCAGUUGGCCGCGCUACACCACUCCGCGGACACGUCGCGGCGCCCCGUGCAUCCUCGACGAGCCGGGUGUUGGGGUGUGUUUGGAUUGUGGCCAAAGUGCACCUUACCAAAAUUUUGGUCAUGACCCAAAGAUUGGUCUUUGUUUGGAUGGUUGCCAUUUUUUUGGCAUGCCAAUGAACUCUAGCCAACUCUAGUUCAUUUUUCUUGCCAAUGUCGGCCAAAUCAUGGGCAACCAAUACCUCAACCAAAAUUUUGGUCAUGACACAAAGAUUGGUCUUUGUUUGGAUGGUUGCCAUUUCUUUGGCAUGCCAAUGAACUCUAGCCAACUCUAGUUCAUUUUUCUUGCCAAUGUCGGCCAAAUCAUGGGCAACCAAUACCUCAACCAAAAUUUUGGCUACCCAAUGCUUUGAUGGGGCAACCUUGGGCACAAACCAAACAUACCGUUAGUCGUGCCACAGCACUAACGCCACUCUCGGCACACUGAAACCGACCAUGUCUAGCGACGAUAUGAGCGUGUCGCUCACCGCGGUCGCCGUGUCCAGAGGCGGUGCUGGAGCUGCGCCCCGUUGUUGGCCCCAACGACCCACAUGAAAGGUUGUCGGUGGCGAGGAGGUCGUGGGCCAGCUCCUCCAUUGGACUAGUCUGCGCUACGUCGUCCCGACGGGUGUGCCCCACAUGUCGGUUUCCCUAUUUUCCCGGCCAUAUUCGAGCGUCAGUGCUCCGCGUUGCGCAUUAGGCCUUUCACUAUGUAGGUCAAGCGAGACAACUUAUUGUUUAUUUGAGCCGUUCAAGUAUAAUCAUGUGGCGUUUGCUUAUUUCUCAUUCCUCUCCAACCCUCUUCUCCAUCGAUCAUGUCGCCCUCCAGUCGAGUCCAUCCUCCCGCAUGCCUCAUUUGAACAUUCCGCCGAGUAUCAUUCGCAUGUACCCACCCUAGUCCUCUUUCAAUAGAUCUCCGGACCCCGAGACGAAAUCGAGAGGGAACGAGUGGGGGCACGUGAUACCUAAGGCGCAUUCAAAUUUUGAACCGGUGAUCAUAGCAUCCGCAAAUCAUAUAUAAAGGGUAUUCAAUGUUUGUUUCGUUUUUGAACGUACAAUAUAAUCCCCCUAUCCUUUCUAGUUUACAUAUAAGUUUUAUGUGUAGUCAAAGUAUCUCUACUUUGAUCAAAAAGGUAUCAACAUUCAACAACGCCCAAUCAAUAUUGUUAGAUUCGUACGUACUCCUAGAUUUAUACUCGAGAUGGUUUCCAAUUUGACUAUUGACAAGAUUAAUACUACAUGAGAUGUAUAAUGUGAAAAUUACACUACUAGGAAAAGGGCUAUAGAUGGAAUGGCCACUAAUGGCGCACCAGACAUGUGGUGCGCCAUUGCUAUGUAGCAGUGGCGCACCAUGUGCUGGUGCGCCAUUCGUGUGAAAUACACUAAUGGCGCACCAGACACACGGUGCGCCAUUAGUAACAAUUUUUAUUUUUUAUUUUGCCAGACAUACUAAUGGCGCACCAGGGCACAGUGCGCCAUUACUAGUUGUAACUAGUAAUGGCGCACCAGCAACAUAGUGCGCCACUACAAUAUUUUUUUUAUUUUUUACUUUUUUGCAAAACUACUAAUGGCGCACCUGGGGCAGUGCGCCAUUACUAGUUUAAGCUAGUAAUGGCGCACUCCUCCCUGGUGCGCCAUUAGUGUUUUUUUGUGCAAAACUACUAAUGGCGCACCACCAGCAGGUGCGCCAUUAGUAACCAGGGUUACUAAUGGCGCAUUAGGUGCUGGUGCGCCAUUAGUAACCUGGGACGAGCUAGAUAUUUUGGACAGCCACACCUACCCACUCACUUUCCCCACUUCAUUCUCUCCUCCCUCCUCCAAGCUUGUCUCGGCUGCCUCCUCCUCCUCACCUCAUUUGCACCAUAAAUUCAUCCAAAUUACGUGGUUAAACCCCUUUUUUUGAUAGGUAAGUAAGGGGGAAGCUAUCUUUAUGUUGUUCUCCCUCCAACAACGUGCACAUGCACUUUUUAUGUCCUAGCUAGAUCUAUGUAUGUUUGUGGUGUUGCAUAUGUUUGUGGUGUUGCAUAUAUGUUUGUGUUUGCAGGUACCGGUAUUUGAAAUGCGAUAGUUGCCAAUAUUUUGCCGGAAUGUUGAUUCAUUUCCGUUUCGGCGAGAAUUUUGGCACUAUGCAUUCUUUUUGGUCCUAUUUUUAGGGAAAGUCAUGCCAAAUUUUUUCUUGGUUCUAAAAUAUCGUUUUGCUCUACCCCGCAGGCGACCAUGGUCCGCACGAUGACCGAAGGCAUCGUGAAUAGGUUUUUGAGCUCCGCGAAGGCCGAGAUGCUUGAAAAGAAUGAGACGGAGAUAAGAUGUCCGUGUCGAAGAUGCAAGCUGAAGAGCCUUAUUGCGGACCCGGAUUCCGGGCAGGUGCGGGACCACCUGCUCUUGCGUGGUUUCAUGGAUGGCUAUCGGUGGCAAGGUGAUGAAGAUGACUAUGAAGUCGUCCAUGGGGGUCGGGCAAGAAAUGAGGAUGGGCAGCAAGACAACCACCGCGGCUCGGGCGGGCGAGAAGACGAAGAAUCUCCAGGACAUGAUCACGACGGUGAUGCUGUACACAGUCAUCAUGUAGAAGAUGCCGGACAUGAUGAUGAGGAAGAUGCGGGAGCAGACGAAGGGCACGAUCAUGAAGAUGAAGAUGCCGGCGGAGCAGACGACUAUGGACCAUCGAUGGGCUGGGUGCAGGACCCUCAUAUUCAAGAGCUGCUUCUCAAGCAGACGGAUAACGCAAGAGCUGCCGCCCGAGAGAAAGCCAAGCUGGAUCAACUGGAGAUAGACGCGGUUACUCCAUUGUAUGAAGGAUGCAGGCCCGAGGAUACCCUCCUGAAAGUAAUGCUCAUGGCUCUGGAGAUGAAGGUAAAGCACAAAAUGACCGACGCAUGCUUGGACGAGAACAUGUCAUUCUGGCACGAACGUCUUUCCAAGGGGAACAAGUGCCCGACCAGUUUCGAGGAGGCGAAGAAAAUCGUGUGUCCUCUGGAUUUACCGCAUGUGAAAUACCAUGUGUGCAUGAACAAUUGCAUCAUUUAUCGGGACGAGCACGCGAAGUCUACCAUAUGUCCGGUGUGCGGCGUCACUCGAUACAAGAAGAGGAAGAAAGCUCCUCGAAAAGUGGUGUGGUACUUUCCGAUCACUCCUCGUCUGCAGCGGUAUUUCGCGAAUCCUAAGGUAGCAAAGCUCCUGCGUUGGCACGCGGGUAGGGAGGAGAAGAACCGAGAAGAUGACGCAAAUGAUCCGGAGAUAAAUAAAAAAGAAAAGAUGCUGAGUCACCCUAAGGAUGGGAGCCAGUGGCAAGCGUUGAACUUCGAACACCCAGAAUUUGGGAACGAUCCAAGGAACAUCAUGCUGGGCGCGAGCACCGAUGGAGUCAAUCUGUUUGGCAGCGAGAGAAGCACACAUAGCACCUGGGCUGUGUUUGUGUGGAUGUACAACCUUCCCCCCUGGUUGUGCAUGAAGAGGAAGUACAUUCACAUGAGUAUGCUAAUUGAAGGGCCGAAACAACCAGGGAACGACAUCAAUCUGUAUCUGGGGCUGCUGGAAGAGGAGCUAGACACGCUGUGGAAAACGCCAGCUAGAUAGAGAUCCCGGGUCUUCGAAAACCGUGUUCAUGGGACAUCGAAGGUGGCUUCGCGACGAUGACCCGUGGAGGAAACGCAAGGAUCUGUUCGAUGGUGAAACCGAACCCCGAAGACCCCGAUGUUUAAUAGAAGACCAAAGUGUUAGGAAUUCUGUCCAAACUGUAGUUUUCAGUAUUCUGUCCAAACUGAAAACUGUUAAAAAGACCAUGUGUUUUUUGGUCAAAAUCUGCAUGUAAAACUGAAAUAAUCAGUCAUAAAGAAUAUCCUCAAGACCAUGUGUUUCUUGGAUUUCUGUAAUGAUGAUGGAACAUUAUAAAGCAUUGUACUCCAGUGUGUAUGAAGGAUACAAAAAAUUUAGCAACUUCUCUGAUUUUAUAAAGUUGUUCUUAUAUGGGUGAAACUUCACUUGUUUUUAGGCUAGUGCAGGGUGUUGCUUUAUUGUGAUGCCUCUGAAUUACUUGUGAUCAUAUUGAGAAAGACUUGCAAAGAUGAUGAUCAUCUUUUACAGAAAACAAUUUCUGUAAACACGUCAGUAACUUUGCUAGUUUGCUGGGUUUUGUCUCCGACCAUUGUGUCGUGAUGAAUUUGCAGGUACCCCGAGAGGCCCUUGAGUUUGCUGGAAUGUCGAUUAACUUCCGUUCCGAAAAAUUCGGGUACUCCAUAUGUCCAAUUUUCAGCAAAGGUCAUGCUGAAAUUUUCCGUGAAUUUUAGCAUGACUUUGUUAAAAAUAGGACAUAUGGGGUACUUGCGACUAAUGCAUGGGCCGGGGUAUCUUAGUACUUAGUUAAGUAGGAUCAACUGCCCCGCCAUUCUUGCUGGAUUAAACCAUAGGUGGCAAUAGAGCCAAGUGAUUACGCCCAACUUAGAAUUCUCCUUAGCAUCGAUAAACCCUAGAUGAUAAACCCAACAUAGGUGGCAAUAGAGCCAAGUGAUUAGUGCCAAGUGAUUAGGCCCAACCUAGGGUGCCUCGGCAUCGAUAAACCCUAAAUGAUGAAAACUUAACUUAGCAUUUAGGGUGCCUCGGCGUCGACAAACCCUAAAUGAUGAAACCUUGGCUUCUAUAGGGUGCCUCGGUGUCGAUGAGAACCUAAAUGAUGUAUGCUUAGGCUUUUAGGGUGCCUCGGCGUCGACAAACCCUAAAUGAUAAAAGCUUAGCUUUUAGGAUGCCUCGGUGUCGAAAAACCCUAAAUGAUGAGACCAUGAUCUUGUUCCUUGACAAUAACCAACUUUUUGACCAAACUUUUUUCCUAUUUAGAGCGAAACAUGGCCCACAACGAUGAGGCCGGCGGUUCGGGCGGCAAGCAAUUCUGGGAGCUGUCCCAGGAGAUGGAGGAAGAACCUCACCGCUAUGAGGACGCCGUGGAAGACACCGAUCCUGACUACACAACCCCUAGUGGCGUCGGGGAUGACACCACUGAUGGUUCCGCCGAGGAUGCCACCACUGAUGAUGGCGGCGCACGCACAGAUGGCAGCCAACCGAAGAGGCAACGGAAGGACCAGCGCCCGAACAUGCUCGGCACCGUCAAGGAGGAAUUUACUGAAGUGAACUCCGACGGGCAUCCAACGGCGCCCAAACAUGUAGUCAAGGGGUACUCGGUUCAGCUCGGGUGCAUUCUCCGGAGCACCGUCUCGAUCAACACUGAGAACCUAAGGCAUAAGGACCGAGGGAAUUUGCGCAGCCUCCUCUUCACGAAGGUGCACGAACGAUACAAGUUCCCCGAUGAGUUUGCAAACACACGCCUCUCAGGGAAUAAAGUGAACAGUGCCACCCUCACAAGGAUGAGAACGGCCCUGUCUACAUGGAGAAGCAUGGUGAAGGCAAUGAUUGAAAAAGGUGAUAGUUAUGAGAAGAUCAAGGCAAAAUAUCCUUUGAUGAGCGAAGAUGACUACAAGGAGUUCAAGAUCAAGUGCGAGAGCAGCGCAACCUCCGAAUCAAGUCAGUGGGGGAAAGAAAUGCGGCAGUUGAACUUAGGGGUCCACCAACUCGGUCCCGGCGGUUACAGAGUGGCGGAGCCUAUAUGGGACAAGGAGGACGCGGAGCGUGCCGAGCAAGGCCUACCGCCCCGCUUUGAGAAAUUCCCUGACAAGCAGACCAGGAACUUUGUCAGGGCCUGGUACAAGGAGGACCCGGUAACAAAGGAGCUUACCACGGAUCCGAAGACCAGGGCACUUGAGCUUGUUCUGGUAAGGAAUACACCCCCGCGUAAUUAGCUCCAUAUGGUUGCAUUCUAAUUAAUGAAGCCAAAUUUCUAAAUGGUUCACAUUCCUUCCGCAGGAGGCUGAAAGCAGUAGCGCGGGGUCAUCUCAGAGCUCCCCUUUUGACACCCCUUUAAAUAGGGCGGUGAACGUAAUGAAAAACAAGGAUAAGCUCAGUAAGCCGUCGUCAGCUGGUCGUGUGGCCGGCAAAGGCUUGUCCACAAAAUGGUUGUCAUACUAUACCGCUGGUGGGCGAAAGGAGAAAAAGACCAGCUCGGAAAGCCAGUCGCACGAGGUUCAAGAACUCAAGGCACAAGUGGCGCGGAUUCCGGAGAUUGUCCAAGAGCAAGUGCAACAACAACUGGGAACGACGCUCACCGCCAUUGUGCCUACCUUAAUUCAGGGGCUGACGACGUGGAUUGCGGGCGGCCAACAGGGGCCUCCCCCGGUUCCCAGCUUCACGGCUAGCAAGUCGCACAACGCGCAGGCGGCGCCAUUGGUGUCUCCGGCGGAGGCGGUAUUCGUGUCUCCGGCGCCGGCACGGGCAUUGGAGCUUAAUGCACCUGGGUGUACGCCGGCCGGCACCUCACCAGCAAGCGGCCCCUCCGUCAGUUGCACGCGCACGCCCGCCGUUGGCGGUGCCUCGACAUUAGCCGAGCUCGACGGCAUCACGGUAACUAAGCCUCUUGGCCGAUGACUUCAUCUCCUUGCCUUUGACUGGGCAUCCCUGACGCCCUACAUGUUUUCGCAGGGCGCCACCGAUGUUCCUUGCACUCUCCUGCACUUCGUUGGCGGCGAGUUGGUCGAUGUCACCAAGGGCAGAAUCGUUCAACCGGGCAACUGCGUGUUCCACGGUAAUCCGAUGCCACCCACCUUGUAUAGGGUUGAACUGGUUCAGGUGCUGCCAGGCUGCGACGAGUUGUUACCUCCGAUUCGACCCGCUGGGGCCGACGAAGAUGAUGUGAUGACCCUCAGCGCCUAUGUAAGCUGGCCCCUGCUUCGGCCGAAGAGCCAGAUUCGUUUGGGGGCGGGGGACACCACCCCACAGACAAGACCGCCAGUCGUGCCAGCGCCAAGCCAUGGCAAGAACGCCGCAACGCUACCGGACAUGCCGGACAUCCCUAUGGCACAGGAUCCGGACAUGCAUAUGGCACAGGAUCCGGACGACGAUGACAACGACGACGGUACAUUUACCAACGUCAAUAAGUACUUUGCCGAACAUGCGUAUGGUGACGAGUUCUGCGGGCCUCCUUCUCAAGAACCCAACCCUCAAAAAGACGACCGCGAUCUAGCUGGUACGGCGGAGAAACCCAAUUGCAACAAGCGUCGUCUGGCGUUCAGUUCUCAGGAGACGCCUCCAGCUGCCGCCUUCACCGAGCCUCAGAUAGCUUAGGUGCCAAAUAUUAUCAGCCCCAACACGCUCAAGAAGGCGGUCUGUGAGCAGAACUCGAUCCCAUUACAACAGACCAAGAAGAAGGGACGGAAACGAAAGACUAACAAGGGCGCCAGUGCGAGCCAGCCGGCACCGAGUACGAUCCAUGCUCAGGACGGGCCACCUUCACCUAAGGAUAUCUCGAGGAGGGUGCAUGUGGCGGGUAGGCCGAUGCUACCGACAAAUAUGCUCAAUGCUGCAACCGGUGCUAUGCGGAGUCUCCAUGACAGUGUUCUUUCUUUGGAGAAGCGGCGUCUCAGAGAGAAUGAUGUGGCAUACCCGGUUUUCGUGGCCAAGGUGCCAGAGGGCAAGGGCUUGUGGAUAGCACCGUCGGGGGUACGAUCGUCCUGCGGUUUGAUGACAUCUUUCCUAUGCUUAACCUUCAUCCGCUGCACUACACCUUCGUUCGGUUGUUUUCGCUGAGUAUGGAGAUGCGGAUCAUUAGAGACAAGACCCCGGACAUUGUGAUAGUCGACCCCUUCUACAUGCGUGCCAAGAUCUUGGGCAGCGAUGGGGACCGGCAAGUCGCGAGUUCACACCUCGAAGGCGUCAUUCUGGCAAACCCAGAUAAGGAUAACUUCCUCAUGCCUUACUUUCCCGAGUAAGUCAUCUCCUAACCGCCCCGUAACAUAUGAUUUCUUAGAUUUCGAUCGUUCUUUUGUUUCUAACAUUCCGUGUUCUGUGCAGUGACACACAUUGCACACUCAUCCUCUUAAGCCCGAAAUAUUCCAUGGCCACGUAUUUCGACCCGGACCGUGACUCCAAGAUAGACUACACAAAUAUCAAGAAAGUUCUUGAUGAUGCUCUCCCCGGCUACGCCGCAUCUGGAGGCACCUUUAAGAGGCCAGUUCGUAGGUACGGCAGGCACGUGUUCACCCACAAUACGACGUUCCCCUGCGUCAAGCAGCCGCCUGGCGGUCAGAAGGAUGCCUACUAUGCCCUCCAUCACAUGCGGGCAAUCGUGCGGGACCAUAAUCACCUUUUGCUACCAAAUAAUCUCAAAGAUUGGGCCGCAAGCUUGGCGGCAAUCCAGGACGCGGACAUCUGACAAGAAUUCUUUCGCAUCCAGUCGGAGUUUGCAGAAAUCAUCCAUCAAGAUGUCCUUCGUACCUCGGGGCAGUUCUACCUCAAAUUUCAACCGUCCAACAGCGAGAUAGACACAACGCUACAAAUGCAGGCUGACAACGCCCGCGACUUCAUGACCAUCACGACAGACGGCGGCUUCAUCCACGCUCCGGUCCCAUGAGUCGAGUUGAAAGUAGUGAUGCUAUGUGUAGUUCUGAAACAUUCAUUAGCUCAUGUUGUAAUUAAACUUUAGUGAACUUGUAUGUCUCUUUGGUUUGGACAGUCGUUCAACUUAGAUGUAAUCGAUGCUAUUUGUUAGUACGACCAUGAAUCGUGCUAUUAAUGUCUUGCUUUUCUCUUCCGAUCCUUUUGUUGCAUACUUAUAUAUUGCUUAUGUAUUGUCUGUUGUUUGGCUAGUGCAUAGAGAUGCCGUCGUAUGUCGUGUACAAGGGUAAGGUUCCCAGAGUCUACGACGACUGGGAGGAGUGUCGGAGACAGGUUCACCGUUUCAGCGGUAAUAGUUACAAAGGGUACACCACUAGGGCGGAGGCGGAAUCUAGAUACGCGUGCUAUCUAGCGGGAGAGAGGAGGGAGCGUUGGAGGAACCGGAUGAAGACCAGUUUCAUCGCGAUGAUGCUCAUCGUGAUGACCGCAGCUCUCUUCUAUGUGAUGGUAGUUUAGAUGAUUGAUAUCGACUUGUAAUGUGAAGACAAACUCGCUACUCGCGGUCUCGAGACUUGUAAUGUUCUAUCUUCGUUCGGUCUUUUGAAUUCGGAGACUAAUAUGAUGAAUUGUAUUUGGAGACUAAUCUUCUAUUGUAUUCGAUGAAUCUGCUGUUGCUGUGUCCUGCUGCUUAUAUUCUGUCCAAUAAUAUAUUUUGUAAUCUGUGCAAAAUCAGAAAAGAAAAAAAAUCCCUAAUAUACAUACUAAUGGCGCAUCACGCCAACGUGCGCCAUUAGUAUGCCAAAGGAUACUAAUGGCGCAUCGCAGCGCAGUGCGCCAUUAGUAUGCCAGAGGGUACUAAUGGCGCAUCACCCAGCAGUGCGCCAUUAGUAUGCCGAAGGAUACUAAUGGCGCAUCACAUCGCAGUGCGCCAUUAGUAUGGCAAAGCACAUGGGUAUAUAUGGCCCCCUGGGAGGCAUACUAAUGGCGCACCGUGGCCUAUACUAAUGGCGCACUUCCCGGUGCGCCAUUAGAGUACCAGAUACUAAUGGCGCACCAGCGGUGCGCCAUUAGUAAAAGAUACUAGUGGCGUGAUGCUAGUGGCGCACCAGUAGUGCGCCAUUAGUAGGCAAAACUGGUGCGCCACUAGUAAGCCUUUUUCUAGUAGUGUUAUAUCAUUGGAAACUCCUUUCACAUACGAAUUUGACCGUAUGCUUUGUGUAAGUUGCAUGUCAUAUAUUAUUACUCUAACAUUUGGUCAAGUUAGCCUCGAAAAACGCAUUAGACCCUGUAUGCUUUGUGUAAGUUGCAUGUCAUAUAUUAUUACUCUAACAUUAGUGUAAGUUGCAUGUCAUAUAUUAUUACUCUAACAUUUGGUCAAAGUAGUAUAGUGGAAGUGGAUCCUCUGACGUAGGUAUCCCUGCCUUACCCUCCCUUUCGGUCACUUACUGGCGGGCCCCAUGCUUGCUAGGCCCUGCAUGUCAGUUACUCAAUGGGUUCGGCCACGUCAGGGGAUCCUCAUCCGUAGUAUACUCCCUCUGUUUUUAUUUACUCCGCAUAAAACGGAGGGAGUGGUGGUAUAAUAAAUGAGGCGGGCGGGGGAGGGGGAGGGACGUCGGUUUCCUCUCAACUGCGGUCCCACAAGCGAGCGAAAACGCAAGACGAAGCGCGUUCCAUUCGGUGAGCGAAGUGGAGGGUCCAGCGUGCCGGGCUACAACGUGAAUGCGACAAGAGCGAUGUACAGUCAAAACCGAUUGACCGGUCGUCAUCGGAACCACUAUUCACACCAGAACCUUCGCUCCUUGGCCUACGCCAGCCACUGCCCUAAAACCACACCAAAUCUCCAGCCCAUUCCCCCACCUUUCGAUCCCCUAGCCCGCAUCAAGCGUCCCCUAGUUCGCCGGAAAGCCAUGGUGCGCCGCAAGAUCACUUACUACAAGAUGCUGAUGCCGGAGCGCCACGCAGAAAUCGCGGCGGCGGUCGGCGCCACAGACCUCCGUUCCCAAGCUCGCUUUGCGGCGGGCCAAUCCCCAAGUUCUCUGGAGCCAAGCUACGAGGAGGAGGAAGCCGGUCCAAUGUUCAUGGCGGAGGUCGCGGCACAGAAGGCCCACUAUGGGUAUGAGACGAUGGACGUCGACUUCGUGCCGGCGUCCGAGUCCCCCAUGGUGCAGGCGGACCAGCGGUUCAACAUGGCGAUACUAAAGGAGGACCGGGAGGCAGAGGCUCAACUCGACGCGGAGCGCGCGCAUGCCGCUGCCAUCAAGGCUCUCCUGCAGGCGGAACCGGAUGUCGUGGAUGUGAACCGGGCGGCGGAGGCUCAACUUGAGGCAGAGCGCGCGGAUGCUGCUGCCAUCGAGGCCCUCCUGCAGGCGGAACCGGAUGUCCUGGACUUGAACUGGGCGGCAGAGGCUCGACUCGACGCAGAGCGCGCGGAUGCCGCUCUCAUCGACGCCCUCCUACAGGCGGAACCGGACAUCCUGGACUUGAACCGGACGCUCGACUCGACGCGGAGCGCGCGGAUGCCGCUGCCAUCGAGGCCCUCCUGCAGGCGGAACUGGACGUCCUCGACUUGAACCCGGCUGUGCUCUCGUCUGUGCAGAGCGCCCGCACGCUCCGCUUGAACGAGUAGCUGGAGGCCGAGGACAACCACGGUGCGGAGACACACGUCGGCAGCGACGGCUGGUUCGCGCCGGCAGCCAAAGACGACGAGGCCGUCUCUUUCCGCGAGCAAUGAUAGUUUUUCUUUAUGUUGUUGUUUUUAUGAAUAUUUUGCUGUGUAAAAACAUAUAUUUGUUAUGCAAGUCGCCUGACUUGGGUCAGUCUACCAUUUCAGGCGGUUGGAUGAAUAUCCUACGUCUCCUAACCCUUCUUUCCUUCUUCCUCACCUCUUCUUCUUCCCCAACAGACCACCGCACGGGCCAUACGGAUACUCCCCAACAUGCGGUUGGAUAAACAUACUCUAUGAACGAAAAUCAUGUGUCAGCGAUAGGAUGGCUGAGUUUGGUUUGUUCACAUGCGACAACACGUGUCAGUGAGGGUGCGUUCCCUUGGUUGGGUUUGCGGCGUGCAGGAACGACUGUGUGAGGGUGUGGUGCGACCGCGGCGUGCAGGAGCGACCGUGUGAGGGUGCGGUGCGACUGCGACAGCCGUGCGCAAGUGUACAUCCUUCUCCUUUUGAAAACUUUAGGCAAGCUUGGCAAAAAUGUGUGGCGAAGUUUGGCAAUGCAAGGCCUAGACCCAAACAGGAUAAGUACGUACGUACUAGGAGUACUAGUGUUAAAAAAGAAAGGCGGGGUUUUCCUUCGCGGGAUUUAAUCGAUACAAAUCCUCGUUUCAUGUGUCAAUUAAUGCAUAUUUUUUUCUCCAAGGACCAAAGAGCUAACCAUCUCACUCCUCAUCGCUUGAUUAAUGCAGCGCCAUGCAAACCAACCUUCUCACUUCCGCACGCAUGCAAUGUCCUUGGUUGCUAACCCCAUCAAUUUUACCUCGAUUAGUGUUAGUGGCCCUUUGCAAAUUGUAAUUUUGAUAUACUGGCCUUGUGUACAAAAAAAUGGAGGUAGUAACUAUAUUUGACUUCCUUCCCCAUUGCGGUGACGUUGACGAUAUCUUUUUUUGGUGGUUUGGCGAAGUGCGUUCGACGGAGAACACCAUUGAGGGAGACCACAGUAAGUCAUUCGCAAGUGCCGCCUGCAAGCCGAGACAACCGCCUUAUUUGCAUCCAGGAAGUCCUUUACUAGUACUACUAGGAGUACUAGUGCGGUGAGAUGGUUUCUCGAAGAAGAUGAUGGAGAAGCGGAGUCAGCGAAGAGUGAAAUGAUGGUUGCUUCGUCCGUGCUUUUGUGAUUUGACGCCUCACUACUUUGUGAUUUGUGAUAGAAGGGACAGGGGAGUAGACUCUGUGCUCUAUAUUGUACUACAUGCGUCCAAGCAUGGGAGAAAGAGGAGAGACGUUGCAUUUUUCUAUUCCUUCAAUCAAUCAAUCAGGGAGCUUCGGUUCCAUCUUUUUGGCUUUGGCAACACCAUCCACAAUGGUUCCCAUGAUGCCAAAAGCUAUUUUCACAUUUGGCUACACAUUGUGGAUGCCCUUAACCGUACCACUUGGUUUCGCUCCUGUGUGCUAUCUACACAAAUCUCAAUUAUAUUGAUCUAAAAAAUUAUAGAAUCAAGAUUAGUAAAAAGGAGGUGAUUUUGCCGCGCGGAUGGUGGGGGAGGUUUCUUAAUUGAGCAAUGCUACAUCCACGUAAUGGUUUACGUAAAGUUAUGAACUGAUGUGAUGUGGGACUAUUUGAUUGGAUUAAAGGAGAGGAUUAGGCCCACCCCACCAGAAAAUCAGGGGGGCAUAUAUAGAUUAGAUGGAAAGUAUACGUAGCAGCUACGUAGCCCUUUGUAAGUCUAGGAUUAGGCUUCUUAUUUUCGGAGGACGUUGUCCUGGCGGUUUGCUAACAUGCGGUCCCACGUGUCAGUGCUUUACCAAGCCGAUCCGCGUCCCACAUGAGGCAGAACAACGGCAGAAGCAACAGGUGGUUAAGUUGAAGAAGAUGAGGGAGAAGCGGAUUCAGCAACGAGUGAAAUGAUGGUUGCUUCGUCCCUCCAACUUAACUGCGGGAAAGGUGCAGCUUGUGAUUUGACGCCUCAUUGCUCAUUGCUACGCCGGCGCCAUGACUGGGGUGCUUCACCCCGGCUGCUCUGCACUGUAUUCCGGUAUGGCAUGUGGACCCGGUAGCUUGAUGUCCCACAUGUCAGCGAAAGGGACUAGAAGAUUUAUGAAAGCGAGCGCUCCACUCUUACGACGGAGGAGUAGACAACACGACGGCCUAGUGAACUGUCACUUUUAGUACUGUAUUGUACUAUAGUUUUGCUGUUUCGCAUGAUCCAUCGAUACAAACCCGAUUAAACAGGAAAGGGCGGGAUUUUUCCCGCGCGGUAGAUGAUACUGGCCAUACAUUUCAAAGGCAAUUUUAAUGUAUGCAAACUGAAUAAUUAUAAGUAACAAUAUGAUAUCUAGUAAAACUAAAAACACAUAUGAUUUAUUGUGUUAGAGUGUAGUAGUAGUGUUGUAUUGCAUAGUUGUUAGAUGAAACAUGUGAGAACGUGUAGAGAUGUAGUUUUGGAGGGCCUAUAGAGAGAAAAGCGUAAUACGGUCACCGAACUUCAGAAUAAGCUGAUUACGGUCACUAUAUACGUUUUGCGGUGAUUAUACGGUCACUUGCUCACAGUUCAGCAUCGGAUUGCACUCUGUUGACCGGCCAAAUAGUCUGCGUGGCGCCAUGUUGACUAGUUAAAUUGACCACGUUCCUUGUGGGUCCCACCUGUUAGUUCGCAUAGGCAAAAGGUCAGAUAAACACAAAUUUACGCAGGCGUGACAAGGCUCCAACCCGUGCGCGGGAAUCACCUGGUUGUGUAUGUGUCUGUCAGGGCCUGAUGUGUGCGCAUGCACGUGUAGGUUGAGCACUUGAGCGUGAGAGUGUGUGUUGGUCGUGUGGUGUACUGGUGUGUGCAUGCAUGCGUGCGUGUGUGCGUGUGAGUGUUGCGUGCGUGCGUGUGAGUGUUGCGUGCGUGCGUGACUGCGUGUGUACGUGUGAGUGUUGUGUGCGUGCGUGGGUGCAUGUGUUUGUGUGAGUGUUGCGUGGAUGCAGUUCGUGUGCAUGCGUGCGUGUGUGUAUAAUCACCACACUAGCUCAUGUGUGUUAAAACAGACGGCUCAGCAUACCAAUACAAGGCCACCUUGUCCGCUGUGCCCGCGGUCAUGACUUCGAACCACCAUCCAAAUAUUUUUUUGUCGUUUGUUUUCAUUCUUACUAGCAAGAUGCCCGUGCGUUGCACGUAACAUCAAGCUGCAUUUGUAUGACUUGUUUAUCUUGUGAGAGAAAAGGAUGAACGAGGGAAGGCCUUAUUUGCAAAUCUGGAGAGGUGUGUGGGUACCUUUUUGCAAAAUUGCCAUAGUUUCUUCCCUAUCCGUCAGAUAUAAAUCGGACGGCCUAUAUUGUAGGAUGGCAGGCACACCAUCAUCACCAACUCUGUUUUUUUAUAAGAGUGUAUUUUAUGUAUUUUAUAAGAGUGUAGAUGUAGAGUAGAUACAAGUCGACAGGUGGGCACGAUGGUAGUGAGAUAAUGUGAUGCAACACUAGAGGUGCCACGUGGAGCGUUUAACUGGUCAACUAGUCAUGUCAUGAGCAAAUACAGAGUUGUACGGUGAGCCCGUGACUGUAUAAUAACCACUAAACGUAAAUGGUGACCGUAAUGAGUGGAUUCUGAAGUCCAAUGUAUGUAUCGUGUUUUCGCUUCAAAUACAAUGAUCGUCAUUGCAUAUAUCGCGAGAGAAAGAUGAAACAUGCGUGAAUUUUCUGGGGGCUUACUUUUAGAGGACCUGGAGAUAGUUUUGUGUGCAUACGUGAAAGGGGCGUACAGGGGGGGUAUGCGAUGGAGAGAGAGAUGCUCUUCGUUUCUCUUUAUUAUGACUAACUUUGUAUAUAGUAUAAAAAUAUACAAAUUCACAGUGUGGAAUAAAUAUCAUUGUGGGAACCAUGCAAUGCAAAUUAGCGUCCGUACUCCUCCAUAUAACUUUCUAAUGUUGUAUAUAUGUAGAAACUCUAAAAUAAUUUUUUGGCCACACUUUAUUCAAAAGGAAUGUUGUAUGCGAAAUAAACGUGAAGAGAGGGCGUUUUAGAUCAAUGGGGUACGUGAUGUAACAUGUGUGAAUGUGUAGUUGAUGCAUUUGGCGGGGCCUAGAGAGGUAUGUGUGUGUAUUACGUAUUCGAGAGAGGCAUGGAUAGAGGGCCGACGGGGGGCGUGGGAGAGAUAGCACGAGAAAUGAGAGUGGUCUAGAGAGAGAGAGACGAAUAUGACGUCACGACAAGAGAUUCCAUUCCCUUGAGUGUGUAUAUGCAAGGGGGGAGGGAAUAGAGGCACCAGGAGAAAUUUUCUGUGUGUGUGGUGUUUGUGUUGGUAUGUGUGGGUGUGAGAAGAUAAUGAGACGUGGGGGCAGAGGGUGUGUCACCGCGUGAGGUCCGGUGGGUCGAGGUGAGGCCCUUCGUUCGGUUCUGACCUGCGCCACAUUGGUCGGCCCGUGACACAUUUAGGAAGACCCAUGGAUGACUAGUCGUACAAGACAAAGAUAGCAGAAUUGUGAAGGACUCUAUGUCCACUGACAAAGCCGGCUAGGAUUUGUAACCCUAGGUUCUCGGACUAAGGUAACCCCUUUAUCUCUGAUAUUACUAUUCAUCCAACCUAACUUUAAGGGGCAUCCUACAGAAUGCUCUGCUAGAAUCAUCUCGUCGAUUAGGAAGAGAUGUGUGAGACAAUGCGUGAGAGACAGGCGUAAAGAUAAUGUGCGUACAUGAGACACGUAGGCAGGUCCAUGUAUAUAGAAAGGGUCGAUGAGGAUUGUGCGUGUGUAUGUUUGCGAGAGGAAAAGUGCUUGUGAUAAAGGUUAGUGAAAACAGUUGUAAAUGGUUACGAGAGGGAGGGAGGGUUAUAUCUAGAGCAUGUGUGCGAGAAAGACACCUCGGGAGAGAGUGUGUGAGCAUGUGUGAGAGACCACCGAUGGAGAGUGAAACUACACGUAAAAGACUGCUCUACACAUUGAUUAAAGAUAUAAAUUGUAUCCAAAUAUUAGGAUGGGAUCAUGAUAUUUGCAAUUCGCAUAAGGAGCGGUCAUUGAUCCAUCAGACAUCUAGAUUCUAUCGAAUUUGAGCAUGUCUAUGUUAUUAUUCGACACAAUUGAUCCACAUAGUUAGUAUUUUGAACUCCAGACAAUGCAUCACUUUAGCAAUCGAAUAUAAACGUGAGUAUAGUUCAUGUUGUGUGUGUAAAGCACAUUAUACAUACGAAAGUUACACAAUGGACAUUAUAAAUAGCUACCUAUGAACUAGCAUACAUUUGAAUUCAACUUAAGGUGGUUUAAAAAAAUCGAAUUCAACAUGAAGUCCAUUCAAUUAUUUGAAUUUGAUAUCAUGGCAUUUGUAAACCAUACCUAAAUUAUGGGGGCACCAAUCUUUGCUCUGAUUUUGUACAUAAUAGCAUAUGUAGUCGUGUACAAAGUAGAUUCAAAUUUAGCUCCUCCAUUCCAAAAUAAUCGUAGUUAUAGGAUUUUCAAGUGUCAAAAUUUCAAAAAGAAGCGGAUAAUUUAAUGAGGUUUUCAAACAUACAAGGUCAAAUAUAACGUUGUCUAUUUAGGUCAAUCCUCAUAGUUCAAGAGUACUCUAAACGUGAAUGCUUGUGUUUCAAAAUUUCGAACGAAGCGCCAAAAGAGCCUCUACUCGCCCGAAACCGCGUGAGACCAAUGUUUGGUAGUACAAGGAAAUUACUUUUCUAAUAACUCCGACCCAUGAAACCUACUGGCCCGACGUCCAAAGGUCUAAACCGGGGUAGGUUUGUAGCUUCAUCUAGACGCCACACAACCGCAUCCGAAAAGAAUUCAUACACAAUGGCCGCCUAAGCACACAUGUGCGCGGCCGAAAUCGCUCCCGCCCACUAUUUCGGACACCUGGGAUUACCAUCCUACCCCCGACCCGCAGUAGGUCCGAAAUUUAAGAGGGGGGCAAAGUUUGUACUUUCCCCAAAUUUCAAACAAGCGCGUCCCAUCUUCUGUUCAAAAAAGCCAAAAACAAGCGCGUCCCAGACCGAAACAUGGUUCCCCGCCACCCGUCCGAUUCCCCAUUCGUACUCCGUGGGCGCCAAAACUACCUCUCCACCAGCCGCGAAACCCCGGCUUCCUCCGUCCGCCACCCCAUCCCACUGUAACAUCCUAUCUAGUUCAUGCAUUAGAGUGUUGCAUCAUGUUUACUUUUUCCAGAAACUUGAAAUGGGGAUGACAGAAACCCCCAGCACCCCCUCUGAAAACAACUAGGGUUUAGUAAAAUUAUUUUCAAUGAACCUGGAAUACCCUUCUAAAAAGUCCUCCCUUUUUGCCUUGGGUUAGGACCUCUGACAAAAUGGGUUCACAAUUUUCUAGGACACAUAAGGUCACUGGAUUAAUCCUUUAUCUAUUUGCAUUUGGGCAUUUAAAUGCUAUAGAAUAAUUCAAAUGCCCAAAUAAUUCUGGAUUUAAGUGAGGGCUGUUAGGAAUAAUCCCAACAGAGCCCACAAUUAUUUGCUGGAUUUUUGGAAAUGUUUUAGUAUUUUUAAUAAAGCCACACAAUUACAGAAAGAAAAUAGGAAAAACAAAACAGAAUAAAGAGAGGGAGAGAAUCUUACCUGGCAGCCCACUGGCCGGCCCAGCACUGUGCUGGCCCGCGCCAGCCAGCUGCUUCCUCUUGCCAGAGCAGGCACAGAGGUGACGCCAGCGUGUGCGAGCUCGCCACGGCGCCACCUGCUUGCCGCCCGCGCCGCUGGACGCGCUGGUCGACCUCCGUCGCCCGCUCGACCGCCCCGACACCCCCAUUCGCCCCCUGCACCUCUCUCUCGCUCUCUCUCGCCAUGGCCGAAGCAGCCGCCGUCGUCCCUCCGACGUAGCCGCGCCCACCGUCGUCCUCGCGCCGCUCCACCGUGUCCACAAGCUCCGCCUUCGUCCGCUACGCCGAGCCAGCCGAGCCCCGAGCGCUUGCAUGCUCUGCACCACCUCCACCGACCUCGUCUUCGUCGAUCACCACCCGAGAUCCAUCUCGCUGUCGCCGCCGCAGUAGCUCGUCCCCGACCUCGCCGUCUGCUCUGUCGCAACCACCGUGAGCCUGGCCACCUCCCUAUCCUCUCCAUUCUCCCUCUCGAGCUCUGUAGAAACUGCACGUAGCUCACCCGCACGCACCGCCGAUGAGGCUCCGGCCAUCCAACGGUCGCACCACCAUGGCCGUUAGCUUCACCGCAUCGCCAGGAGCCCGUAGCACCAUCGCACGCCCCUCGCCGUGCUCUCUAGCGACGGGUUCGACUACACCCGUACCCCGGCAGCCGCACAGCUCGUCGCCGGCGUCGAUUCCGGCGACCCCGAGCUCCACCACCACCACCAAUCGAUGCGGCUCGUUCCCAGCUGCGUGUAGAUGCUCUCCGCCGCCCAUUUGGUCGCCGGACCACGGAUCCCGCACCCCACCGCCGCGUCUGGCCUCGCCGGCGGUUAAACGCCGGCGCGUCAGCCCAGUUGACCAGGGGUUUGACCUCCCCUGGGUCAAUGACAAGUGGGGCCCGCCUGCUAAUUAACAUGGGUUAGAUUUAAAUUAAUUCUAAUUAGUUUAAUUAACUAACAGUGACACUGACACAGGGGACCCACACGUCAGGUUUGACCUGGACGACCCCGCUGACGUCAUCAUGACACACUGCUGACGUAAUAAACAAUUUAAUUGCUGGAAUUAAUUUUAUAUAGGAAAUUCCAGAAAAUAUCACAAACUUCAAAAAAUCAUAGAAAAUAAUCUAUAGCUCAGAAUGAAAAGAUUUAUAUAUGAAAAAUGAUCAGAAAAAUCCAAUCUAUCCAUCUGUACUGGUUUCAUGCAUGUUUAAGCAAAUUAACCUGCUGUUUAAUGCAGAACAAGAUAAAGCACUAAUAAGGGCCACUUAUGAGCUUGGAAUUUGAAUCUUUGAUUCAAAAUGGUCCAAACCCAUCUGGUCUUAGUUGCAUUAGCCCAAUACAUUCAUUUUGCCAUGUCUCAUGCAUGCAUCAUCUUGUUGCACUUUGCUUGGUGUUGAUUGUGCUUCGAUGUGUUCUUCGUGGUAGGUUCUGCCUCCGAGGAUAUUCACGAGUAUCCAACUGAAGGGCAGUAUUCCACCACCACUCUGUCAGGCAAGCAACCCAUUGAUCAUUUCGAUACAAACCCAUCUUCUCGCUUCUGCUCUCGUUUACUGCAUUAAGACAACGCGAUUCAAACUGCUGUGUGUUGCGGUAGUUGAACCCACUUUCCUCUGCAUGACCUGUUAUUGCCACAGUAACUAGAUGAAACCCACUAGCAUGUGUAGGAGUUGAUUGAACCAUGUUGUGUUCCUACAAUGCUAUGCUUGCUACGCUUAGAGUCGUGUUAGGUCUGGCUCAUCAGGGUGAUGAACUAGAGUGAAAGCAUGUGUCGGUAAUGAGAGUGAGGUGUUGAAUAUGUUUUGGUAAAGGUAUCGAUGAGAGGCCAUGUAGGAGUACAUGGUGGGUUGUUUCAUUGAGACCGUCCCUAAGAACUGAGAUCUGUAUGCGUGAUUUAAGAUUCAGCUACUACCACGCAUUGGGCCCGAAACCAAUGGACCCCCUCGGCUUCUUAAUCACCCUUGUCCUCUGUCCAGGAGUUGCACGUAGUUUCUGGUGUUUGUAGUAAGCUGGAGGCCAUGGACAGCGCUGACCCGAGGGGUGGGCUGUGAUGCGGUAGGCUCGUGGCACGGUGUACCGAGUCGCCCAUUUGGUGUCCUGGGAACCCUGCACACAUCGUUUGGGGCCGUAUGUGGAAACCUCGGCCGGACUCCCUGCGGAUGGAACCUGAAUAGGCGAUAAACCUGGACUAGAGACUUGAGUGUUUAGGUAGGCUGUGGCCGACACCCACGUUGGGCUUCCGCUUGAAGGUUGCCAAGUACAUGUCGUGUAAACGACGGUAAGUGGUGAGAGCGUGUGUGACGAAGUACACCCCUGCAGGGUAUAAAACUAUUCGAAUAGCCGCAUCCGCGGUAAAGGACUACUUGGUCGCUUAUGCAGUUCAUAGACAAGUUAAUGGUUACUACUAAAAGACUCAAGAUAAGUGUGAGUACCGCGGAUGGCUCUCUCGUAGGAUGAUGAGGGAGGAUCCACGGUGGAGUAUUGAGAUGGUGAUUAGUGGACUCGUGUGCGAAAACUAUUUUACAGGUGGUGUCUCGUAGGAUAGCUUAGCCAAGAGUCAAAGCUGACUUGCUGCAAUAACUCCACUACCUUCUUGAGAAUGUGCAUGUAUAGUAGGAUCUGUUGUAAGACUUGCUGAGUACCUUUGUACUCAUGUUGCUUCAAUUACUGUUUUCAGACGACAACACCGCCCCUUCUGAUGGGUUCUAUGUAGAUCUCGACGUUGACGAGUGACUUGCCACCCAGGUGGUGAUCUGAGCUUGUGAAGGGCCUACGUAGAUAGACAUGCUUCGUCAAGCCUUCUUUCUUUCUAGUGUCUGUACCCAGACAAGUUUGCUUCCGCAUGUGCUUGUAUGUUUGUAUGACUUGAGUGUCGGGUCAUGUGACCCCUAUCUGUAUGAACAUGUUAUGUAUGGCUCUCCGGAGCCUUCUAAAUAAAGUACUUUCAGUUGUAGAGUUUUGUUGUGAUGCCAUGUUGUAUUUACACAUAUCGAGCAUAUUGUGUGUAUGAUUGAAAUGCUUGGUAUGUGUGGGAUCCGACAAUCUAGUUGUUUAUCCUUGGCGGCCUCUCUUCUGGGGAAAUGUAGUCUAGUGCCUCCAUGAGCCAUAGUAGUCCGCUAUAGCCCGGUUCACCGGAGUCCUGCUAGCCCAGCACUACUCCUCCGGACACUUGUCUGGCCGGCAUGUGUUUCACAUCGUUCCUGUGUCUGUCCCUUCGGGGAAAUGUCACGCGGUGACAUCCGGAGUCCUGCCUAGCCUGCUAUAGCCCGGGUUCCCGGAGUCCUGUUAGCCCAGUGCUACAGCCCGGAUUCACACGCUGCUGACCGACACAUUCGAUGUUGAUUCAUGUAUGCCUGUCCCCAUACGUUAGUGCCACUUUGGGUUCACGACUAGCCAUGUCGGCCCAGGUUCUCUGUCAUAUGGAUGCUAGCGGCACUGUCAUAUACGUGAGCCAAAAGGCGCAGAACGGUCCCGGGCCAUGGUAAGGCGACACCCGUGGGAGUGCCGUGCGUGAGGCCGCAAAGUGAUAUGAGGUGUUACAGGCUAGAUCGGUGUGACUUAGAAUCGGGGUCCUAACACCCACCCAUCAACCGCUGCCCUCCUCCAUCACGCCGGAGCGGAUACCCCGAUGUCGUCGUCCAUCGCAACCUCAACCGCAAUGCCCUCCACGGCUAGUAGUUCAAGCCGAGACCGAGCCGUCCGUACCCGAGCCAGUUCAACCACGUCGUCCUGUGCCUCACCGCUGCCGCUCCAACUUUGCCACCCUCCACCACACCGGAGUUGUUCCUGCUACGCCGUCCUUCGCCGCCUCGGAUCUGCUUCCCCUCCGUCGACAUACGGCCACGGCAACAUAGUCAACAAUUUGGCCAUGGGUUCGUCCAAGCCUGCACCCUCCAGAACAUCGGUUUCCCCGGUAAAAAGAAGAAGAUCGGCGCGACAUGUGGAGGUGACCACACCGGCAACCGAAAAAGGUACUCCUCUUCCCUUAUUCGUGCAAAUCUUUCGUCUCUGCUUGCACGGUAUUCAUCCCACAGAAGACACUAGUUGACCGCUUCUUCUUGAUACUAGAUGUUCCUAGUAACUCGCGAUGCACAAGGUUUCUCCUCAUAUACUAUUUCACCUUAGCUAGAGGUCCGUCGCCCCCCUGAAUUUCAAUUUCUGGCCAGUUGAUUCCCAAUUAACGGAAGCAUUCCCCGGCGUAACAGGCGCUAGUACGCCUAUUUCGCCGGGGAAGCAGCGCCUUGGUGUUUAUCUUAGGGGCGUGUGCGGCCUAGAGCUACUGGCGCCCAAUCUGGAGGUCGGCCGGAAUUAAAGGGAUGGCCUGGGGGCGCUGCCAAGCACGGCGGUGGUGUGAGGUCGAUGGGAGGGUGGGGCGGCGGAGGCAGGGGUCUGGGCCGGUGGUCGCUGGCGGUUCGAGAAAGAUCGUCAACAGUGACUGGCAAGAGGUAGACGAAGGCCAUCUGCCCGUUCCUUAUAGAUCGGACGGUUCAUUAAAAAAAUCGACUGGCCUAUUUAUUUUCAGUCGACUGUUAUCUUAGAUAUGACCACAUGUGGUGGUGUGCUGGAGGAGUACCUGCAUUUCCUGUGCUCAUAUAUUACAAAAUCAUACGGAGUAGAAUCUAAUUUUGUUUUCCAUGCAAUGUUGUAGAGCUAUCAUAUGUCUCCUGUCAUUUAUUUUUCAGCCACCUGCUAUCUGCUACUUUUACAGUGCACUAGUUCUGCACACACUUCACCCUUACUCUCACUAUUGUGUUUUUAUGCAAGGGUAUUUCAAACUCUGCUGCCAUGAGAGAAGCCAAAAAGAAAAGAGAGAAGUCGCUCCAGCUUUGUGUGCAGUUAGGCAAUACACGUUACAGCGCUAUAAAGGGUGCAGUGUCAGCAGAUGGAGACGGUAAACGUAGCUCUGGAGUUGAUGACCUCGCUCGCAAUGAACCACCAUCCCAGGUGCUUGCUUUAACUUCGCGGUGUCAUAUGUGGUUGCAUGUUCCAUAUGGUGUCUAGCUUGUAUUCGAAAGGCCGAAGUCGGUAAGAUAAGGAAAGAUAUUUUUUUACAUGAACCACCAUCCCGUGAGCACCAGAAGACAAAUAGCUAGUCAGGGCACUGGCCGAGCCAGUGACAAGCCCAGCAAAGAUAGGCAUCACCUGGAAGCCAACUAAAAAGCUGCGAUGGUGGCGAAGCAGCCCGCCUCCCACCAGGCUCUCAGGUCCUAGAUGAUCAUGCUCACCACUCCAGCCGGAUGUCUAGCUUGUAUUGCGUCCAAUUUGGUUAAAUUGCAUCUGCUUAGCUUACACAUUAUACCUUUGAAUAUGGCAUGCCUUUCUAUUUUUGGUACAUACUAGUACAUCUGUGUAUUAACCAUGUUCUUACAUCAAACUAAUGUUCUUGUGUAUCCCUCACCAAUCACUUAUGACGAGGCAGGCAGGCAAGGGGACUACUCCUCAUUUAAAGAAUGCAGCGUCGGCCUCCCGACAUGAUUCUCAAGAAACAGAAAUUCUAGAUGAAGAUAGUGAACGUAGCUCUGUAGUUGAUUACAGCAUUUCCCCUACACUAGCAUCGCAGGUGCUUGCUCUAACUUGGCAGCGUGAUAUGUGGUUGCAUGUUGCAUAUGGUGUCUAGAUUGUAAUUCUUCCAAUCUGGUUAAACUGCAUGUGCUAGUCUGCUUAGCUUAUACAUUAUACCUGUUAAUGUGACAUGCCUUCCUGUAUUUAGUACAUAGUACAUCUGUCUAUUAAGCAUGUCCUUACAUAAAACUAUUUUUUUUGUAUCCCGCCUCAAUCAACAUGACGAGACACCUUUAGUAUAUGCAGUGCGAUAUUAGUUGCAUCUUUCAUAUGAUUUAUAGCAUGCGCUGCUUUUAAUUUGUUGAAAUUCCAUUUAUGAUGGGACGCUUUUAACUUGGCAGAGUCAUAUUGGUUGCAUCUUUCAUGUGGUGUCUAGCUUGCAUUGCUUCUUAUUUGCUGGAAUGGUUUCUGCUUAGUUUACACAAACAGUUGUGAACAUGCCAUGUCGUCCUGUUUUUCGUACAUAUUCCAUCCUGGUAUCAUGUGUUUGCCUUACAUCAAAGUAGUGAUUGUCAGUAUCAUGCAUGAAUGAGUUCUGAAGAGAGAAUUUUAUUGCUUUUUCUUGUCGGUUUUACUUGACAAUUCAAAAUCAAUAAAGCAGAAGGAAGUUAGCAAGGCAGUGGAUAAAGGUGCUCCUUCCGAACGGAGGGCCUCUACAGUUUCUACUCCUCCACACCCCCAAGAUGAUUUCCAAGACAACACAUGCAUAGACACUCAACAAAGCUGUGUUUAUGAUGAGCACGUCUCCCCUAGUGCAGCAUCACCGGUGCUCCCUCUAACUUGGCACUGUUAUAUGUGGUUGCAUGUUAUGUGUGAUAUCUAGCUUGUAUUGCUUCUAAUUUUGUUGAAUUCCAUCUGCUUACUUUACACAUUAUACUUGAAUAAUACACGUGUUCCUGUUUCUAGAACAUACAAUAUCUGUCUAUCACACCAUGUUCUUACAUCAAAUUACUACUGUUGUGUAACCUGCAACAAUCACUUAUCAUAAGACACGUUUGACUUCGGAGUGUGAUAUAGGUUACAUCUCACAUUCUUUUCUAGCUUGUACUACUAAUUUGUUGAAAUGGCACUUAUGACGAGACAGUUUUAACUUAGUAGAGUGAUAUUCGUUGCAUCUUUCAUAUGGUGUCUAGCUUUCAUUGCUUCUAAUUUGUUGAAAUGCCUUCUCCUUAGUUUACACAUCAUAAGCUGUGAAUAUGCAAUGUUGUGAAUAUGCAAUGGCACUAAUGACGAGAGACCUCUAACAUGGUAAUGUGAUGUUGUUUGCAUCUUGCAUAUGAUUUAGUUCUUGUACUGCUUCACAUUUGUUUAAAUGCCAUUUAUAAUGAGACACUGUUAACUUGGCAGAGCGAUAUUUGUAGCAUCUUUCAUAUGGUGUCUACCUUCCAUUGCAUUGCUUCUAAUUUGGUGAAAUGUCUUCUUCUUAGUUUACACAUCAUAGUUCUGGUUAUCUCUUCCGUCCUGUUUUUCAUACAUAUUACAUCCUCCUAUCAUGUGGUUGUCUAACAUCAAAGUUCAGUUCGUCUGCAUCACGCAUCAAUUUGUUCUGAAGAACUAAAUUCUUAUUCGUUUUUCUUGUCGGCUUGACUUAACAUGGCACAGAGAAAGAGGAAGAAACACAGAAUGGCAGGGAAUGAGAAGCGGAUGAAUCCUGCAGAUUCUGCUGGUACUGAUGGUGCAAUAGAAGGUCAAAGUCCAGCGGGAAAUUCUACAAACACGGCAUCCCAUGCUACACGAGUUGCAAAAAAAGCCAAACAGAAACAAAUAGCUGCCACCAAACAAGCAGAGACAGCCCUAGUUCUUGCAACACCUACCACAGUACUACUAGCUGCACAACUUACUCGUGCGUCAACUGAGCUAGCAGCACGUUCCCAAGCUCCCUUGCCACCUGACACUACUUCCCAAGCACUCUUGACACAAGACGAGUUGGCAAUAUCAGAUGAACCUUGUGAGCUUCAACAGCAAGAAGGUAGUUGCUGGAGUCAAGUUACAGUUACAUGCUUCUUUAUAUGUAGUCUCACAGUUUGAUGUACACUAACACUUCCUAUGUUCGUUGUUGUACUAGCACCUAGGCGCAAGAGGAAACAAACAUCAGGGAUAAUGCUCGAUAGGUUAACUAAAUCUAGAGGAGGAAGAAUGGAGAUCCGUUUUGACGCAGGUUUAAAAAGGCCACGUGAUGCUACAGAGUCAGCCAAGUUAGUAUCAGAGGCAGCGGUUGCCAUUAGGUGUCAUGUACGCAUCCUCCCAACAUGGAUUCAGUACAGGAAUGACAAAGAUGAAACCCAGUUCAACACCUUCCUCGACCAUUUAUCUGUAAGUAUGGUUAUGUAUGGAAACUAGUAAUAUCGUCUUGCUCUGUCCCAUACUUUCUAGGUUGCUGAUAAUGAGACUCCCAUAAUUUUCAACAGAUGAGGUUCAAGUUGGAUAGCCAAGAUGAUGCAACCAGACAAGCUUGCACCCAUGUUUUCAAGUCUGCUCUGCGACAGUAUCGGUAUAACUUGAGGAAAACUCACUUUGAAGGCAAGGCUAACAAUGAACUUUCCCAAACAUCUCCAGUGGAAAAUAUAUCGGAUGAAGAUUGGAGGGGCCUUGUUAAACACUGGUGUGAUCCGAAGUAUCAGGUACAUUAUAUAUAUAUAUGAUCAGAUCACAUGUUGAAGUCCUAUUUACGCAUGUGCCACACAAAUCUAUCUUCUUGUAGGUGAACUGUUCAAAAAACAAGGCCAACCGUACGAAAGUGAAAUUCCAACAGACGACAGGAUCUCGUAGCUAUAUUGCACACUGCGAGGCUCUUGUAGUUAGCUGCUGUUUCACUCUUUUCGCGGUACCAUAUUAUCAGAUCUAUAUUGACUUGUUCAAAAUGCAGAGGAAAGCCCGCAAGGACCAAAAAGUACCUGAACCAAAUGCUGUGGAAAUCUUCAAGGACUGUCACACCAGCAAGAAGAAGGGCAUGACUACACCAGUCAAAGCCGCUGUUGUAAGUCCUUAAUCCUCAUGCCUUUUAACUACUACUUACUCUGACUUGUGCCUUGAACUGCAUGGUUUGCAGCCAAUGUCUAUUACUCUUUUCAAUUUUAUACACAAUUGUCUUAGCGUAUCAUUGCACCUUACAAGGUUUAAAAGAGAGGAGUGAUGUUCCUUUGAUCUUGACCCGUAAUCUAGUUCCGUGCUGGACUUGCCCACACAAUGUUACAAUUGCCUGUUUGUCUGUUCUCAGUUGUUUUGUGAUAUGAAUGAUGUCAUACUAUACUUACCAUAUUAUAAACUUUGUCUCUUUAUCCUUAGCCCUCAAUACAAUGUGAAGAAAUAGACAAUACAUUAGCGAUGGUACAUGGUCAUAUGUUUGGAACCUGGUUUUAUUAUGUACUUUGCAAUAAAAUACAACUAAUAUUUUACAUGGGUUCACCAGAAUAAGUUCUGUAUAUAGACCAAAGCUAUUUUGUUUGGUUUUGCUGCCUCCUUAAUAUCUUCUGUUCUGGUACUACUAAUGUAAAACCUCAACUUUUCAGCAAGCUAUGGAAAAAAUGGUGGAACCGCCACCUUCUGAAGGUGGCGAGGCAACUAUAACCGCAAUGUCAGCUCUUGCUGUAGUGGGUCAGUACCUGUCCACUAACAGUGCCAAAAGCACGUUCCUGCGUAAUACUGGGUUGGUCGUUAAGACAAUAUCGUCCAAACUGCCUCAUGAUCAAGAUAUGCAAGCUCAAAGCAAUGUUGUAUCUGCGCUCCAGACACAAGUCCAUUCCCUAAAAGAGACCCUUUGUGAAACAAGGAGAAACAUUGCUCAAUGUCGUCAAGAUAUGCAUGGUUUUGAAACCAGACUAUCAGACAUUUGCUAUGUUGUUCAGGAGCCUAGGGGAAAUGAAGGCGAGGGUUAUGGUGCUCCAUCGGACAAUACAACAUGAAAACGUAACAGUCAGGUCAAAUGAACUGAGCUUCUGAACUUCUGGUGGUGCAUUUAUCUGCUAGACUGUUAAGUUUUAUGCCAACCUUCCUUUUGUUAUAUAGUUGUAAUUUGUUUUGGUGCGAUACAAAAUUUAUUCUUAACAUGCAGCCACCGGCUGAAGAAAACAACAAGCCAUUUUUGUAUAGUGUAGGGUGUUCCCUAUAUUUGCACUGGUGGCGAUCUUUGAUGCCGAGUGGAUGUAAUCUGUGCAAUCGCCUUAAUAGCCUAGCGUUAGUUUCGGCCUUAUUUAUUUCCUAGUCUUCUUUUUCCCUGGUUUGCUAGUGGCCGCAACUACCAUGGGCCAUAUACGGGCCGUAGGAUCCAUGGGUCUCCUAUGGGCCAUCGAUAAAUGGGCUUGUAAUCGGUGGGCCUUGGGCCGUCGGAUAAAUGGGUCUACAUGGGCCGUAAUCGGGCGUAAUUGGUAUCGGCCCAGCACGGUAACAGGCCAUUAACAGGCCGUAGGAUAGCAAAGGCUUAAUUCUGUCAUAGGCAUAACGGGUCGUUAAUGGGCCAGAAUAUAGGACGGGCUGGAAACGGCGCAAUGGGUUAACAGGCCAGAAACGGACCGACUCUUGCCAUGGGUCGAAUUUGGCCCAUUAGGGUAACAGGCCAGUAACGGGCCGACUCUUGCCAUGGGCCGAAUUUGGCCCAUUAGGGGAACAGGCCAGUAACGGGCCGACUCUUGCCAUGGGCCGAAUUUGGCCCAUUAGGGGAACAGGCCAGUAACGGGCCGGAAGUAAUCGAGGGCCGAAAAUGAGCCCAAGAACGUAUGGGCCGUCAAUAGGCCGAAAGCUAACACGGGCUGGAAACGGCCCAUGUAAAUCACGGGCCGUUAACGGGUAUAAAGAAAAUUACUGUUCAUUAUGGGCUAGAGUCACCGUGGGCCUGUAAAGGGCCGAAAGAUACGAAGGCCUCAUAUGGGCCGAAAGACGUCGUGGGCCAUACAUGGGCCGAAAGUGAAAAGGGCUGGUGUUAUAUUCGACGGCCCACAUGACGUUGUUGGGCCGAUUUCCUUUAGGGCCUAACGGCCGGUGAGUUAACGGGCUGUAAAAUGGGCUAUUUGCGAAGAGACUGUUAACAUGCUUUUCAUGGGCCAGCACGUUAACUUUUGACCAAGUCAAACGGGCCGUCUUUGUAAGCUAAAUGGGCCAGUGGUGGGCCGUGGCACGUGUCGACAUAUCAUAGGCGCCUAUCUGACCCACUGAUGAGCUGACACGUGUUUCGUCCGGUCAAUAAGAAUUUUACACGUGGAAAUUUCCCAUUGGUCGGGGCUGUUAACGGGUUAUCGGAUCCAAAACCCGACCCGAUAGCUUAACGGCGUUCCGUAACGGUGGAUGCCACGUGUCGGUCACCCUUGACGAAAGCACUUCUGUGACGCGUGAUUUAUCGUCAUGGAAGUGGACACUUCCGUGAUGAUAAUUUUGGUAAUGUCAUGGAACACUUCUACGACAGCACAGGUAUGACUAUCUUGAUUCUGUCAUAAAAUCGUCAUGGAUGUACAUGCAUGACAAAAAACGCGGCCUACUGUGACAAACACGUAUCAUCAUGGAAGUGUAUUUUUUUGUAGUGCAUGUUGCAAGUAAUCAUGUGAACUUGAUAUGUGUUCGAUAUUUUGCUAGUAUGUAUGUUGUGAUUCCCUUAGUGGUGUCAUGUGAACGUCGACUACAUGACACUUCACCAUAUUUGGGCUUAAGGAAUGCAUUGUGUAGUAGCAAUUAGAUGGUGGGUUGCGAGAGUGACAGAAGCUUAAACCCCAGUUUAUGUGCUAUUUCGUAAGGGACCGAUUGGAUCCAAAAGUUUAAUGCAUUGUGUAGUAGCAAUUAGAUGGUGGGUUGCGAGAGUGACAGAAGCUUAAACCCCAGUUUAUGCGCUAUUUCGUAAGGGACCGGUUGGAUCCAAAAGUUUAAUGCUAUGGUUAGAAUUUAUUCUUAAUACUUUUCUCGUAGUUGUGGAUGCUUGCGGGAGGAUUAAUCAUAAGUAGGAGGUUUGUUCAAGUAAGAACAACACCUAAGCACCGGUCCACCCACAUAUCAAAUUAUCAAAGUAGCGAACACAAAUCAAACCAACAUGAUGAAAGUGACUAGAUGAAAUUCCCGUGUACCCUCAAGAACGCUUUGCUUGUCAUAAGAGAACGUUUUGGCCUGUCCUUUGCCACAAAAGGAUUGGUCUACCUUGCUGCACUUUUGUUACUACUAUCGUUACUUGCUCGUUACAAAUUAUCUUGCUAUCAAACUACUCCGCUACUUACAAUUUCAGCACUUGCAGACAUUACCUUACUGAAAACUACUUGUCAUUUCCUUCUGCUCCUUGUUGGGUUCGACACUCUUACUUAUCGAAAAGAGAUACAAUUGAUCCCCUUUACUUGUGGGUCAUCAAGGCUAUUUUCUGGCGCCGUUGCCGGGGAGUGAAGCGCCUUUGGUAAGUGGAAUUUGGUAAGGAAACAUUUAUAUAGUGUGCUGAAGUUUAUUGUCACUUGUUACUAUGGAAAACAAUCCUUUGAGGGGUUUGUUCAGGGUAUCUUCACCUCGUCCGAAACCACAAUUAGCUACCCCUCAACCUACUGCACCUAUUGAAAAUAUUGAAUAUGAAAUUCCUUCGGGUAUGAUAGAACAACUGCUAGCUAAUCCUUAUGCAAGAGAUGGAACUGAACAUCCUCAUAUGCACUCUAUAUAUGUGGAACAAAUUUGUGGAUUGUUUAAGCUUGCAGGUUUACCCAGGGAUCAAGUGAUGAAAAAGUUUUCCCUUUAUCUUUGAAGGGAAAAUCAUUGACAUGGUAUAGUCUAUGCGAUGAUACUGGAUCAUGGAAUUGGAAUCGUUUGAAAUUGGAGUUCCACCAAAAAAAUUAUCCUAUCCAUCUAGUUCAUCGUGAUUGGAAUUAUAUAUAUAAUUUUUGGCCCCGUGAAGGAGAAAGUAUUGCUCUAGCUUGGGGGAGGCUUGAAUCAUUGUUAUACUCAUGCCCCAAUCAUGAGCUCUCAAGAGAAAUUAUUAUCCAGAACUUUUAUGCUCGGCUUUCUCGUAAUGAUCAAACCAUGCUUGAUACUUUUUGUGCUGGUUCUUUUAUGAAGAAGACUAUUGAAUUCCGGUGGGAUAUUUUGGAAAGAAUUAAACGCAACUCUGAAGAUUGGGAACUCGAUGAAGGUAAAGAGUCAGGUAUUAAACUUAAGUAUGAUUGUGUUUAAUCUUUUAUGGAUACCGAUGCUUUUCAAAAGUUUAGCACUAAAUAUGGACUUGACUCUGAGAUAGUAGCCUCCUUUUGUGAAUCAUUUGCUACUCAUGCUUAACUCCCUAAGGAGAAUUGGUUUAAAUAUCACCGACCUAUUAAAGAAGAAAUUAAGAAACCAGUACCAGUUAAAGAAGAAAAUAUACUUUAUAAUGUUGAUCCAGUUGUCCCUUCUGCUUAUAUUGAGAAACCACCUUUUCCUGUUAGGAUAAAGGAACAUGCUAAAGUUUCAACUGUGGUUAACAAAAGCUAUAUUAGAACACCUAAACCUGAUGAACAAAUCAAAGUACAACCUAGCAUUUCUAUGGUUAACGAUCUCUUGGAAGAAGAUAUGGAUGGGCAUGUUAUUUACUUCUGUGAAGAAGCUGCUAGAAUUGCUAAACCUGAUAGAAAAGAUAAACAUAGACCUGUUGUUGGCAUGCCUGUUAUUUCAGUUAAAAUAGGAGAUCACUGUUAUCAUGGUUUAUCUGACAUGGGUGCUAGUGUGAGUGCUAUUCCUUACACUUUAUAUGAAGAAAUUAUGAAAGACAUAGCACCUGCUGAGAUAGAAGAAAUAGAUGUUACUAUUAAACUUGCUAAUAGGUACACAAUAUCACCAAUUGGGAUUGUUAGAGAUGUUGAAGUCUUGUGUGAGAAAAUAAAAUACCCUACUGAUUUUCUUGUUAUUGGUUCCCCACAAGAUGACUUCUGUCCCAUUAUCUUUGAUAGACCUUUCUUGAACAUAGUUAAUGCUAAGAUAGAUUGUAAGAAACAAACUGUGGGUGUUAGCUUUGGUGAUGAGUCUCAUGAGUUUAACUUUUCCAAGUUUAGUAGAAAUCAUCAUGAAAAAGAAUUGCCUAGUAAGGAUGAAUUAAUUGGUCUUGCUUCUAUUGUUGUACCACCUACUGAUCCUUUAGAACAAUAUCUGGUCGACCAUGAAAAUGAUUUACAUAUGCAUGGAAGAAAUGAAAUAGAUAAAUUUUUCUUUGAACAACGUCCUCUACUUAAACACAAUUUGCUUAUUGAAAAUCUUGGAGGUCCUCCUCGACCCAAAGGUGAUCCUGUGUUUGAAUUAAAACAACUUCCAGACACUUUGAAAUAUGCUUAUCUUGAUGAAAAGAAGAUAUAUCCUGUUAUUAUUAUUGCUAACCUUUCAGAACAUGAAGAAGAAAGUUUUUGAAAGUUCUAAGGAAGCACCGGGCUGCUAUUGGAUAUACUCUUGACGAUUUAAAGGGCAUUAGUCCCACUCUAUGUCAACACAAAAUCAAUAUGGAACCUGAUGCUAAACCCGUUGUUGAUCACCAACGUCGGUUAAACCCGAAGAUGAAAGAAGUGGUAAGAAUGGAAAUAUUAAAACUUCUGGAAGCAUGUAUAAUCUAUCCAUAGCUGAUAGUAGAUGGGUAAGUCCUGUUCAUUGUGUCCCUAAGAAAGGAGGUAUUACUGUUGUUCCUAAUGAUAAGAAUGAGCUUAUUCAACAAAGAAUUGUUACAGGCUAUAGAAUGGUAAUUGAUUACAGAAAAUUAAAUAAAGCAACUAGAAAAAGAUCAUUACCCUUUGCCUUUUAUUGAUCAAAUGCUUGAAAGAUUAUCUAAACACACACACUUUUGCUUUCUUGAUGGAUACUCUGGCUUUUCACAAAUACCUGUUUCUCAACCUGAUCAAGAAAAGACCACUUUUACUUGUCCCUUUGGAACCUAUGCCUAUAGACGUAUGCCUUUUGGUUUAUGUAAUGCACCUGCUACCUUUCAAAGAUGUAUGACUGCUAUAUUCUCUGAAUUUUGUGAAAAUAUUGUUGAGGUUUUCAUGGAUGACUUUCCUAUUUAUGGGAAGUCUCUUGAUGACUGUUUAAGCAAUCUUGAGCGAGUUUUGCAGAGAUGUGUACAAACAAAUCUUGUCUUGAAUUGGGAGAAGUGCCACUUUAUGGUUAAUGAAGGCAUUGUCUUGGGUUAUAAAAUUUCUGAAAGAGGUAUUGAAGUGGACCAAGCCAAGGUUGAUGCAAUUGAGAAGAUGCCAUGUCCUAAGGACAUCAAAGGUAUUCGUAGUUUCCUAGGUCAUGAUGGUUUCUAUAGGAGAUUUAUCAAAGACUUCUCUAAAAUUUCUAGGCCUCUCACUAGUCACUUGCAAAAGGAUAUUCCUUUUGUUUUUUAUGAUGAUUGUUUAGAAGCCUUUGAAACACUUAAGAAAGCCUUAAUUUCUGCACCUAUUGUUCAACCACCUGAUUGGAACUUGCCUUUUGAAAUUAUGUGUGAUGCUAGUGAUUAUGUUGUUGGUGUUGUUCUAGGACAAAGAGUUGAUAAGAAAUUGAAUGUUAUUCAUUAUGCUAGUAAAACUCUAGACAGUGCUCAAAGAAAUUAUGCUACUACUGAAAAAGAAUUCUUAGAAGUUGUGUUUGCUUGUGAUAAAUUUAGACCUUAUAUUAUUGAUUCCAAGGUAACUGUUCACACAGACCAUGCUGCUAUUAAAUACCUUAUGGAAAAGAAAGAUGCUAAACCUUGACUUAUUCGUUGGGUUCUCUUGUUACAAGAAUUUGAUUUACAUAUCAUUGAUAGAAAAGGAGCUGAGAACCCAGUAGCUGAUAACUUGUCUAGGCUUGAAAAUGUGCUUGCUGACCCACUACCUAUUGAUGAUAGUUUUCCUGAUGAGUAGUUAGCUGCAAUAAAUGUUGCUAAUAGUACUCCUUGGUAUGCUGACUAUGCUAAUUACAUUGUUGCUAAAUAUUUGCCACCUAGCUUUACAUACCAACAAAAGAAAAAAUUCUUCUAUGAUUUAAGACACCACAUCUUUAUAAAGAAGGAGUAGAUGGUAUUAUUAGACGUUGUGUACCUGAGCAUGAACAGGGACAAAUCCUACAGAAAUGUCACUCUGAGGCUUAUGGAGGGCAUCAUGCUGGAGAUAGAACUUCUCACAAGGUAUUGCAAUCUGGAUUUUAUUGGCGUACUCUCUUCAAGGAUGCCCGUAAGUUCGUCUCAUCUUGUGAUGAAUGUCAAAGAAUAGGUAAUAUCAGUAAGCGUCAAGAAAUGCCUAUGAAUUAUUCAGUUGCUAUUGAACCAUUUGAUGUUUGGGGAUUUGAUUACAUGGGACCUUUUCCUUCCUCUAAUGGGUAUACACAUAUUUUGGUUGUUGUUGAUUAUGUCACUAAGUGGGUAGAAGCUAUUCCAACCAGUAGUGAUGAUCACAACACCUCUAUUAAAAUGCUUAAGGAAGUUAUUUUCCCAAGGUUUGGAGUCCCUAGAUAUUUAAUGGCUGAUGGUGGUUCACACUUUAUUCAUGGAUCUUUCCGUAAAGUGCUUGCUAAGUAUGAUGUUAACCAUAGAAUUGCAUCACCCUAUCAUCCUCAGUCUAGUGGUCAAGUUGAACUUAGCAACAGAGAAAUAAAAUUAAUUUUGCAAAAGACUGUUAAUAGGUCCAGGAAUGUAACAUCCCAAAUUUUCAAUUUGGAAUGUUAUACAUUAGAUCAUCAUUGCAUAGCAUAUUUUAUUGCAUUUUGGCAAAUCCUCGAUAAAUCCUAAGCAACUCAAGGACCCUCGGAGAGAGUUGGGGAUUUUCCCGGUUUUUCAUAUUUGAUUUUUAUCAAAUAAUAAAACGAGGAUUUUUGGUUUUAAUUAUUUUUCUCUCCAAAAAUAUUUUAUAUUAAAAUAAAUGAGAGGAGAAAAUAUGACUUCUCCAAAAUAAUUGAAAUAUUGGAGGAAAAAUAUUAAAAUCAAAUAUUGGAUUUUAUUUGCAAUUUUAAUUGCAUUAAAAAAUUGCACGUUUUCAAAACUGCAUUUUUGGGCCAAGAAAAUGUUCAUCUUGUUCUAAUUAUUUUAAUUAGACGGGAAAAAUUUGUUUUAGCAUUUUUGGAUUUUUAUUUAUUUUUCUGCGAUUUUUUUAGAUUCGGUGCAUUUUUUUUAAAAAAAAUCCUGCGCCCGACUGGGCCGGGGCCCAGCCGAGCCAGGCCGGCCCGUCCCCGCGUUGUCUCCCUCCCGAGCACGGCUCGCGCGCCGCCGCCGAGUCCGGCUCGAGNNNNNNNNNNNNNNNNNNNNNNNNNNNNNNNNNNNNNNNNNNNNNNNNNNNNNNNNNNNNNNNNNNNNNNNNNNNNNNNNNNNNNNNNNNNNNNNNNNNNNNNNNNNNNNNNNNNNNNNNNNNNNNNNNNNNNNNNNNNNNNNNNNNNNNNNNNNNNNNNNNNNNNNNNNNNNNNNNNNNNNNNNNNNNNNNNNNNNNNNNNNNNNNNNNNNNNNNNNNNNNNNNNNNNNNNNNNNNNNNNNNNNNNNNNNNNNNNNNNNNNNNNNNNNNNNNNNNNNNNNNNNNNNNNNNNNNNNNNNNNNNNNNNNNNNNNNNNNNNNNNNNNNNNNNNNNNNNNNNNNNNNNNNNNNNNNNNNNNNNNNNNNNNNNNNNNNNNNNNNNNNNNNNNNNNNNNNNNNNNNNNNNNNNNNNNNNNNNNNNNNNNNNNNNNNNNNNNNNNNNNNNNNNNNNNNNNNNNNNNNNNNNNNNNNNNNNNNNNNNNNNNNNNNNNNNNNNNNNNNNNNNNNNNNNNNNNNNNNNNNNNNNNNNNNNNNNNNNNNNNNNNNNNNNNNNNGAUCGGUUAUUUUUUUUGGUUUUAUUAAUUAGUGAACGUUCACCGACCUGUUCGUUUUAGCGAACGUGUUCGUCGGAUUGUCGCUGUUAACGAACGUUCGUUCGUUUAACUGUUCGUCAGUUUUUCUUUUUCGUCAGAUUUUCCGCGAUUAUUCCAGAUCGUGAUUUCCGAUCAGAUCUUCGUUUUCGUUUAACUUUUCGCUCGUUUAUCGGAAUCUGGCGAUUCAAGCGCCUAGAGUUUCGUCUCGAAAUACUCUUUCCGUUUAACCCACUCAAACAAGUUUUUGCCUCUGUAAAAUUUGACCUAGAUCCAGAUUAGUAAACGAAGCUUGUUUCUUUCGCUGUUUGACUUUCGUUGCUUCGUUUGAGUUGAAUCUUUUUGCAAACCGGAGUUCUUAAGUUGAACUUUCUGGUUAGAUCUUUAUUUGAGUUUUACUUGUGCAUUAGAUGAGUACUUAUUGUUUGCUUGUUUGUUUGCGAUAGAGUACCCGGAGUGCGCUGCUUGCUACUUCGAAUCUCUAGGUUUCACGGAUCAUCAGCAAGGCAAGUAACACUUUGAUCAUACUUUUCACUACCCAGUUUUAUUGCAUUAGAUCAAUCCUCAAACAUUGCAUGGUUAGGAUCUAAUUAAAUUGUGGGUAUUGGGAAGUAGUUGAGGUAGUACCUAUUACCUGUUUUAUUAUCAAACCCUUGGGAGUUACUUCUACGUUGCUUAUAUCGCUAUGCUAUGCUUGUAGACGUGGAUUGGGUUUGAGAGAUAUUCAUGACAGAUGUGAGAUUGUUAAUUAAUGGUUUAUUUAAGGUGGCAACUAAAACUCACAUCUGGGUGGAUUGAGGCACCUGGAGAACCCAGUGCUGCCUGUAUUUUUGGAUAUCCCGGAGUACCCGUGUGAUCAUCCUAUGGACCGCCACCCAGGCUCAAAGGGAUCAUGAGAUUAUUCAUGCUGGAAACUUCCGUGUGCAGCCACAAGCUAUUAUGGGCUCUAGCAUAGUUGAUUAAGUUGUGUGAGCUCUUGAAGAGGUAGACUAGCAGAUGUAGGGGACGUAGGUGGUACUGUCUACCCGGAGUAGAGAGUUUACGCUUCUGAAAUACCGUGUCUCGGUCAUUCGUUUCUCAAACACCAUGAAGUGCGAGAAUCCCAACGGAGGAGAUCGAGUCUUGUGGGGAAAAGUGCACAAACCUCUGCAGAGUGUACAAACUAAUCAUGAUUAGCCGUGUCCCCGGUUAUGGACAUAUUGAGUAUCUAGUACUUGGAUUAUCAUAUGAAUCUCAUCAUCAUGUUAUUUUAAUUAAUUUUGUUGGGUUAAUGAUGAUACUUAAUUGGGAUUGAGUUGGAGGUACCUUCUCAAUGUUUCACAACCACCAUGAUAGUUAAAUAAAAUUUAUUCCUUUGAAGUAGGGAAAAAUUGGCUUUUCGCAAAACUGUAACCAUAGAGCUUUCUACCGGCCAUAUAUGCAUGUAGUAUGUCAUUAUUUUGUUCAUUACUCUCUAUGUGUUACAUUGCCAGCAUAUUCCAUGUGCUGACCCGUUUUCGGGCUGCAACGUUUCAUGUUGCAGACUUUUCAGACGACGAGUAAGGUGCCUUAGGUCGUGGUCUUAUACUCAGUGAUGCCGUUGGAGUUGAUGGACUCACUUAUCUUCCAAGCCUUCUGUUGUUAUCGUAUUAGAUGGCCUUAAGCCAUAUUUAUCAUACUUAUUCUCUUUUGAGAUAUUUCGUUGUAAUAAGUGUGUGAUUGCUACUCUGUUAUAAAUCCUCCAUUUGUAUUGUGCGUGUCAGCAUUACUGAUCCAAGGAUGACACUGGUGCACAGCAGCACAGACUGUUUGAGGUCUGGUCGCUACAAGGAAGAAUUGGUCUAAGUAAUUAGAUGAUGCACUUUGGGCUUAUAGAACAACAUGUAAAAAUCCUAUGGGCAUGUCUCCUCAUAAAAUGGUUUAUGGAAAAUCUUGUCAUUUGCCUCUUGAGUUAGAACAUAAAGCAUAUUGGGCAGUCAAAGAGCUCAAUUAUGAUUUCAAACUUUCUGGUGAAAAGAGGUUAUUUGAUAUUAGCUCUUUAGAUGAAUGGAGAACCCAUGCUUAUGAAACUGCAAAAUUGUUCAAAGAAAAAGUCAAAAGAUGGCAUGACAAAAGAAUCCAAAAGCGUGAGUUUAAAGUUGGAGAAUAUGUUCUUUUGUACAACUCUCCUUUUAGAUUUUUUGCGGGAAAGCUCCUCUCAAAAUGGGAAGGCCCAUAUGUCGUCGAGGAGGUUUACCGGUUUGGAGCCAUCAAAAUAAAUAAUUCCGAAGGUACUAACCCGAAGGUUGUCAAUGGGCAACAAAUAAAGCAUUAUAUCUCAGGUACGCCUAUCAAUGUUGAAAGUAAUAUUAUCCAAAAUUUGACACCGGAAGAACACAUAAAAGAGUCCUUCCGGAACACUCCAGAAUCGUGGAAAUAAGGAGGUACGUUAUAGAGUAAGUAAAUGGACUCCGAAAAAUCCGCAAUUUUGGAAUAUUUUAGAAUUUUGGAAAUAAAGAAACUCCCAGGAAGCGUCCCCUAGUGGGAACAAGACACUAGGGAGUGCCAGGCUUGCCUGGCGCGCCCAGGUGGGUUGUGCCCACCUGGGACACCUUCCGUACUCCGUUUUUCUUCCGUAUGCUUGUCCUCCAAGAUAAAAAAAAAUCUAUAUAUACUUCCCGAACCUGUUGACCAUCGUAUCGCGGAGAAAUCCUCUGUUCUCUUUUCUUGCUGUUUUCUGCAUAGAUCUGAAAAUAUGUCAUCUCAAGACUCCGACGGAGAGAGCUAUGUCUCACAUCUCAUUGCUGACCCAAAGACCUAUGGGGACCUAUCUCCUUAUGGUCGAACUACGGAUGAUGAGGAGGAUGCUCAUUUGAUGAGGAUCGAUUAUUCAAGUUCGGAGGAGGAGGAUGUUCCUCUACCUCAACCUGGGGAUAUGCACGUGAAGUUCAAGAAGUCUAGUCUCCCUAAGAGAGCUAACCGGUCUAAUAACCAAUCUAUUCCUUCUCGUUUUCGGCAAAAAAAGAAAAGGAGAUUUAUGUGACAAGAUCUUGAAGCUGGCGUUGGAGGUCGAUGAUUUAAAAGAGGAAAUUGCUCUCCUCAACUACAAUAUGAAAAAGCUGAAGGCACAUUUGUCUUCAUCACCAUCAUCUUCUUCACCAUCAAAGGAGAACUGAGUAUCGGGUAUGGGCACUCCCCUUGGCUUCCGCCAAGAUUUGGGGAGGUGCCCCGAUAUCGUAUCAUCCCACUAUCUUUUUGCUUUACUUAUAUUAGUUCAAUCUUUUGCUUUAGAUGAAAUAAAGUUUAGUUCGAUCAUUUCUUCUCCCGAUCAUUUCUUCUUUGAGAGUUUGCCUAGUGAUCUAUCAUUGUAAUCGUGUGCAAGUUACGUAAUAAAUUUAGUUUGAGUUUUUGCUUUCUUUACUUUCAUGUUGCAAAUAAAAAAAGAAAUAAGAAAGAAAAAGAAAAAAGGAAAUAAAUGAAGGAAGGAAAUAAAUCAAUAAGAUUAUAUACUAAUCCUAUGGUAGGUGAUAGCACCACAUAAGGAAAAGUAUAAGUAGAAUUUUUUUAGAGAAUGACAAACAUAGCAUUAGUCAAUGAUGCAACUCAUGAAAUAAUUAAUAAGGGAAGAGAAGAUUCACAUAUAAAUAUACUAUCCUAGAAAUCUUUUGUGAUUGUGAGCCCUCAUCAAAAUAUUAUAUGCCAAAAUUGUUGACGUUGGACAAGGAAGACAACUUAAUGGUUUAUGUUUGUUUAUAUUCACAUAGAAUUCAUAUUGUCAUAGAUCCUUUAACAUGUGAUGCUUGCCCCUAUCUUUGCUAGCCGAAAAUUCCGCACUAAGUAGAGAUACUGAUACGUCUCCAACGUAUCUACUUUUCCAAACACUUUUGCCCUUGUUUUGGACUCUAACUUGCAUGAUUUGAAUGGAACUAAUCCGGACUGACGCUGUUUUCAGCAGAAUUGCCAUGGUGUUAUUUUUGUGCAGAAAUAAAAGUUCUCGAAUGACCUGAAAAUCCACGGAGACACGUUUUGGAAAUAAUAAAAAAUACUGGUGAAAGAAUCAGCAUCAGGGGGCCCACACCCUGUCCACGAGGGUGCAGGGUGCGCCCACCCCCCUGGGGCGCGCCCCCUACCUCGUGGGCUCCCUAUGACUCCACCGACCUCAUCUCCAACUCCAUAUAUUUACGUUCGGGGAAUAAAAAUAAGAGAGAGGGAUUCAUCGUGUUUUACGAUACGGAGCCGCCGCCAAGCCCUAAUCUUCCUUGGGAGGGCUGAUCUCGAGUCCAUUCAGGGCUCCGGAGAGGGGAAUCUGUCGUCGUCGUCAUCAUCAACCAUCCUCCAUCACCAAUUUCAUGAUGCUCACCGCCGUGCGUGAGUAAUUCCAUCGUAGGCUUGCUGGACGGCGAUGAGUUGGAUGAGAUUUAUCAUGUAAUCGAGUUAGUUUUGUUAGGAUUUGAUCCCUAGUAUCCACACCGUUCGGUCGCGCGAGUGAAAGGCAGUAAUGACGAUAUAUGAUGGACUGAUUGAGAUGAGAGAAGCUGGUAUGAACUCGACCUAUCUUGUUUUUGUAAAUAUGAUUAGUUCAUCGUUCCUGAUUCAGCUUAUUAUGAAUGAAACAUGUUUGCAAUGACAAUUAGAGAUUAUAGUUGCUCAUGCCAUGCUUAAUUUGCUAGGAGUUUAUAAUGGUUUACCUUGCGUGUGCCAACAUGUUAUUAAAAUAGUUGUGAUGUGGUAUGAUAGGGUGGUAUCCUCCUUUGAACGAUUCGAGUGGCUUGACUUGGCACAUGUUCACGCAUGUAGUUGAAACAAAAUCAACAUAGCCUCCACGAUAUUUAUGUUCAUGGUGAUUUAUAUCCUACUCAUGCUUGCACUCAUUGUUGAUUAAUCUUAAUGCAUGUUCAUGACUAUUGUCGCUCUCUAGUUGGUCGCUUCCCAGUCUCUUUCUAGCCUUCACUUGUACUAAGCGGGAAUACUGCUUGUGCAUCCACACCCAUAAAACCCAAAGUUAUUCCAUAUGAGUCCACCAGACCUUCCUAUAUGCGGUAUCUACCUGCCGAUCCAAGUAAAUUUGUAUGUGCCAAACUCUAAACCUUCAAAUGAAAUUCUAUUUUGUAUCCUCGAAUAGCUCAUAUAUCAACUAGGGCUGUCUAUAUCUUCCAUGCUAGGUGGGUUAUUCUCACGAUGAGUGGACUCCGCUCAUCACUCACGAGAAAAUGGCCGGUAACUGGGAUGCCCAGUCCCAUGCUAAAAUCAAAAUAACUGCAAACAAAACUCCCCCAGGACUGUUGUUAGUUGGAGGCACCCGUUGUUUUGGGCAAGCCAUGGAUUGAUGCUUGUUGGUGGUGGGGGAGUAUAAACUUUACCAUUCUGUUUGGGAACCGCCUAUAAUGUGUGUAGCAUGGAAGAUAUCGAGAUCUCUUGGUUGUUAUGUUGACAAUGAAAGUAUGCCACUCAAAAUAUUAUUUAUCUCUAUUUCAAAACUCAAGCUCUAGCACCUCUACAAAUCCCUGCUUCCCUCUGCGAAGGGCCUAUCUGUUUACUUUUAUGUUGAGUCAUCAUCCUCUUAUUAAAAAGCACCAGUUGGAGAGCACCGCUGUCAUUCCUAUGCACUACUAUUAAUUUACAUUGAGUAUGACUGGAUCUCUUUUACCAUGAAUUAUAAUGUCUAGUUAGUCCUUGAUCUUCAGAGGUGCUCUGCAUUUAUGUUUUGCGGUCUCGGAAAGGGCUAGCGAGAUACCAUCUUAUUAUAUCAUGUUAUGAUUGUUUUGAGAAAGUGUUGUCAUCCGAGAUUUAUUAUUAUUGCUCGCUAGUUGAUUAUGCCAUUGAUAUGAGUAAACAUGAGGCCUAUAUGUUAUUGUGAAUAUGGUUAGUUCAUAAUGUUUGCUGAAAACUUGAAUUCUGGCUCUACAUAUUUGCAACAACAAGAUCAAACAGAGUUUGUAAAAGUUUUUCUUUAUCACUAUCAAUUUGUCAACUGAAUUGCUUGAGGACAAGCAACGGUUUAAGCUUGGGGGAGUUGAUACGUCUCCAACGUAUCUACUUUUCCAAAUACUUUUUCCCUUGUUUUGGACUUUAACUUGCAUGAUUUGAAUGGAACUAACCCGGACUGACGCUGUUUUCAGCAGAAUUGCCAUGGUGUUAUUUUGUGCAGAAAUAAAAGUUGUCGGAAUGACCUGAAAAUUAACGAAGGCACGUUUUGGAAAUAAUAAAAAAAAUACUGGCGAAAGCAUCAGCAUCAGGGGGCCCACACCCUGUCCACGAGGGUGCAGGGCGCGCCCACCCCCUGGGGCACGCCCCUGCCUCGUGGGCCCCCUGAGACUCCACCGACCUCAACUCCAACUCCAUGUAUUCAUGUUCGGCGAGAAAAAAAAUAAGAGAGAAGGAUUCAUCGCGUUUUAGAUACGGAGCCGCCUGCUACCUCUUGAGCACUGCGUUGGUUUUCCCUUGAAGAGGAAAGGGUGAUGCAGCAAAGUAGCGUAAGUAUUUCCUUUGAGAACCAAGGUAUCAAUCCAGUAGGAGGCCACGCACGAGUCCCUCGCACCUACACAAACAAAUAAAUCCUCGCAACCAACGCGAUAAGGGGUUGUCAAUCCCUACACGGUCACUUACGAGAGUGAGAUCUGAUAGAUAUGAUAAGAUUGUAUUUUUUUGGUAUUUUUUAUGAUAAAGAUGCAAAGUAAAGAAAGCAAAAUAAAAACGACGCUACAAAUAACUUGUUGAUGGGAGAUUAAUAUGAUGGAAAAUAGACCCCGGGGGCCAUAGGUUUCACUAGUGGCUUCUCUCAUGAGCAUAAAUAUUACGGUGGGUGAACAAAUUACUGUUGAGCAAUUGACAGAAUUGAGCAUAGUUAUGAGAAUAUCUAGGUAUGAUCAUGUAUAUAGACAUCACGUCCGAGACAAGUAGACCGACUCCUGCCUGCAUCUACUACUAUUACUCCACACAUCGACCGCUAUCCAGCAUGCAUCUAGAGUAUUAAGUUCAGAAGAAUAGAGUAACGCCUUAAGUAAGACGACAUGAUGUAGAGGGAUAAACUCAUGCAAUAUGAUAUAAACCCCAUCUUGUUAUCCUCGAUGGCAACAAUACAAUACGUGCCUUGCUGCCCCUACUGUCACUGGGAAAGGACACCGCAAGAUUGAACCCAAAGCUAAGCACUUCUCCUAUUGCAAGAAAGAUCAAUCUAGUAGGCCAAACCAAACUGAUAAUUCGAAGAGACUUGCAAAGAUAACCAAUCAUACAUAAAAGAAUACAGAGAAGAUUCAAAUAUUGUUCAUAGAUAAACUUGAUCAUAAACCCACAAUUCAUCGGUCUCAACAAACACACCGCAAAAGAAGAUUACAUCGAAUAGAUCUCCACGAGAGAGGGGGAGAACAUUGUAUUGAGAUCCAAAAAGAGAGAAGAAGCCAUCUAGCUAAUAACUAUGGACCCGGAGGUCUGAGGUAAACUACUCAUACAUCAUCGGAGAGGCUAUGGUGUUGAUGUACAAGCCCUCCAUGAUCGAUGCCCCCUCCGGCGAAGCUCCGGAACAGGCCCCAAGAUGGGAUCUCACGGGUACAGAAGGUUGCGGCGGUGGAAUUAGGUUUUUGGUUCCCUAUCUGGUAGUUUGGGGGUACGUAGGUAUAUAUAGGAGGAAGGAGUACGUCGGUGGAGCAACAGGGGGCCCACGAGGGUGGAGGGCGCGCCCCCCUACCUCGUGCCCUCCUGGUUGAUGUCUUGACGUAGGGUCCAAGUCCUCUGGAUCACGUUCGUUCCGAAAAUCACGUUCCCGAAGGUUUCAUUCCGUUUGGACUCCGUUUGAUAUUCUUUUUCUGCGAAACUCUGAAAUAGGCAAAAAACAGCAAUUCUGGGCUAGGCCUCCGGUUAAUAGGUUAGUCCCAAAAAUAAUAUAAAAGUGUAUAAUAAAGCCCAAUAAUGUCCAAAACAGAAUAUAAUAUAGCAUGGAACAAUAAAAAAUUAUAGAUACGUUGGAGACGUAUCAAGCAUCCCCAAGCUUAAUUCCUCCUCGUUCUCGAGUAGGUAAAUGAUAAAAACGGAAUUUUUGAUGUGGAAUGCUACUUGGCAUAAUUUCAAUGUAAUUCUUAUUAAUUGUGGUAUGAAUACUCAGAUCCGAAAGAUUCAAGAUAAAAGUUCAAUAUUGACAUAAAAAUAAUAAUACUUCAAGCAUACUAACUAAGCAAUUAUGUCCUCUCAAAAUAACAUGGCCAAAGAAAGUUCAUCCCUAAAAAAUCAUAUAGUUUAGUCAUGCUCCAUUUUCGUCACACAAGAAUGCUCUCAUCAUGCACAACCCCGAUGACAAGCCAAGCAAUUGUUUCAUACUUUAGUAAUCUCAAACUUUUUCAACCUUCACGCAAUACAUGAGCGUGAGCCAUGGAUAUAGUACUAUGGGUGGAAUAGAAUAUAAUGAUGGGGGUUAUGUGGAGAAGAAAAAAAGGGAGAAAGUCUCACAUCAACGAGGCUAAUCAAUGAGCUAUGGAGAUGCCCAUCGAUUGAUGUUAAUGCAAGGAGUAGGGAUUGCCAUGCAACGGAUGCACUAGAGCUAUAAAUAUAUGAAAGCUCAACAAAAGAAACUAAGUGGGUGUGCAUCCAACUUGCUUGCUCACGAAGACCUAGGGCAUUUGAGGAAGCCCAUUGUUGGAAUAUACAAGCCAAGUUCUAUAAUGAAAAAUUCCCACUAGUAUAUGAAAGUGACAAAACCAGAGACUCUCUAUCAUGAAGAUUAUGGUGCUACUUUGAAGCACAAGUGUGGUAAAAGGAUAGUAACAUUGUCCCUUCUCUCUUUUUCUCUCAUUUUUUUAUUUUUUGGGCCUUCUCUUUUUUUUAUGGCCUUUCUCUUUUUUUAUUCCUCACUUGGGACAAUGCUCUAGAAAAUGAUGAUCAUCACACUUCUAUUUAUUUACAACUCAAUGAUUACAACUCGAUACUAGAACAAAGUGUGACUCUAUAUGAAUGCCUCCGGCGGUGUACCGGGAUAUGCAAUGAACCAAGAGUGACAUGUAUGAAAAAAUUAUGAAUGGUGGCUUUGCCACAAAUACUAUGUCAACUACAUGAUCAUGCAAAGCAAUAUGACAAUGAUGAACGUGUCAUGAUAAACGGAACGGUGGAAAGUUGCAUGGCAAUAUAUCUCGGAAUGGCUAUGGAAAUGCCAUAAUAGGUAGGUAUGGUGGCUGUUUUAAGGAAGAUAUAAGGAGGUUUAUGUGUGAAAGAGCGUAUCAUAUCACGGGGUUUGGAUGCACCGGCGAAGUUUGCACCAACUCUCAAUGUGAGAAAGGGCAAUGCACGGUACCAAAGAGGCUAGCAAUGAUGGAAAGGUGAGAGUGCGUAUAAUCCAUGGACUCAACAUUAGUCAUAAAGAACUCACAUAAUUAUUGAAAAAAUCUACAAGUCAUCAAAAACCAAGAACUACGCGCAUUCUCCUAGGGGGAUAGAUUGGUAGGAAAAGACCAUCGCUCGUCCCCGACCGCCACUCAUAAGGAGGACAAUCAAAGAACACCUCAUGUUUCAAAUUUGUUACAUAACGUUUACCAUACGUGCAUGCUACGGGACUUGCAAAAUUCAACACAAGUAUUUCUCAAAUUCACAACUACUCAACUAGCACAACUUUGAUAUCACUACCUCCAUGUCUCAAAACAAUCAUCAAGCAUCAAACUUCUCUUAGUAUUCAACACACUCAUAAGAAAGUUUUUACUAGUCUUGAAUACCUAGCAUAUUAGGAUUAUUUAAGCAAAUUACCAUGCUGUUUAAGACUCUCAAAAUAAUCUAAGUGAAGCAUGAGAGAAUAAUAUUUUCUAUAAAACAAAACCACCACCGUGCUCUAAAAGAUAUAAGUGAAGUACUAGUAUAACUCAAAAGAUAUAAGUGAAGCACAUAGAGUAUUCUAAUAAUUUUCGAAUCAUGUGUGUGUCUCUCAAAAGGUGUGUACAGCAAAGAUGAUUGUGGUAAACUAAAAAGCAAAGACUCAAAUCAUACAAGACACUCCAAGCAAAACACAUAUCAUGUGGUGAAUAAAAAUAUAGCUCCAAGUAAAGUUACCGAUGGAAGUAGACGAAAGAGAGGAUGCCUUCCGGGGCAUCCCCAAGCUUUGGCUUUUAGGUGUCCUUAGAUUAUCUUGGGGUGCCAUGGGCAUCCCCAAUCUUAGGCUCUUGCCACUCCUUGUUCCAUAAUCCAUCAAAUCUUUUACCCAAAACUUGAAAACUUCACAACACAAAACUUAGCAGAAAAUCUCGUGAGCUCCGUUAGCGGAAGAAAACAAAAGACCACUUCAAGGUACUGUAAUGAACUCAUUAUUUAUUUAUAUUGGUGUUAAACCUACUGUAUUCCAAAUUCUCUAUGGUUUAUAAACUAUUUUACUAGCCAUAGAUUCAUCAAAAUAAGCAAACAACACACGAAACACAGAAUCUGUCAAAAACAGAACAGUCUGUAGUAAUCUGUGACUAACGCAAACUUCUGGAACUCCAAAAAUUCAGACAAAAUAGGAAGACCUAGAAAAUUUGUUUAUUGAUCAUCAGCAAUUGGAAUCAAUAUUUUAUCACGUUCUGGUGAUUUUUAACAAUUAUUUUCGUGAACAGAAAGUUUCUGGAAUUUACAGCAAGAUCAAAUAACUAUCAUCCAAGAAGAUCCUAUAGGUUUAACUUGGAACAAACACUAAUUAAAACAUAAAAAGACAUCUAACCAGAGGCUAGAUCAAGGAUUUAUUCCUAAACAGAAGCAAAAAGCAAAAAAACUAAAAAUAAAAUUGGGUUGCCUCCCAACAAGCGCUAUCGUUUAACGCCCCUAGCUAGGCAUAAAAGCAACGAUAGAUCUAGGUAUUGCCAUCUUUAGUAGGCAAUCCAUAAGUGGCUCUCGUAAUAGAUUCAUAUGGUAAUUUUAUUUUCUUUCUAGGGAAUUUUUCCAUUCCUUUCCAUAACUGAAAUUGGAAUCUAAUAUUCCCUUCCUUCAUAUCAAUAAUUGCACCAAUCGUUCUAAGGAAAGGUCAACAAGAAUAAUAGGACAUGAAGGAUUGCAAUCUAUAUCAAGAACAAUAAAAUCUAUGGGCACAUAGUUCCUAUUUGCAACAAUAAGAACAUCAUUAAUUCUUCCCAUAGGUUUCUUAAUAGUGGAAUCCGCAAGGUGCAAGUUUAGAGAGCAAUCAUCAAAAUCACGGAACCCUAGCAAAUCGCACAAAGUCUUUGGAAUCAUGGAAACACUAGCACCCAAAUCACACAAAGCAUAGCAUUCAUGAUCUUUAAUUUUAAUUUUAAUAGUAGGUUCCCAUUCAUCAUAAAUUUUUCUAGGGAUAGAAACUUCCAACUCAAGUUUUUCUUCAUAAGAUUGCAUUAAAGCAUCAACGAUAUGUUUAGUAAAAGCUUUAUUUUGACUAUAAGCAUGAGGAGAAUUUAGCACGGAUUGCAACAAGGAAAUACAAUCUACCAAAGAGCAAUUAUCAUAAUUAAAUUCCUUGAAAUCCAAAAUAGUGGGUUCAUUAAUAUCUAAUGUUUUGAUCUCUUCAAUCCCACUUUUAUCAAUUUUAGCAUCAAGAUCUACAAACUCCGAAUUGUUGGAACGCCUUCUAGGUAAAGGUGGAUCAUAUUCAGUCCCAUCAUUAUCAAGAUUCAUAUUGCAAAAAAAAGAUUUAAUAGGGGACACAUCAAUAACUUUUAGAUCUUCAUCUUUAUUUUCAUAGAAACUAGAAGAACACACUUUCACAAAGCAAUCUUUCUUAGCACGCAUCCUAGCGGUUCUUUCUUUGCAAUCAUCAAUGGAAAUUCUCAUGGCUUUGAGAGACUCAUUGAUAUCAUGCUUAGGUGGAAUAGAUCUAUGUUUUAAAGAAUCAACAUCAAGGGAAAUUCUAUCAACGUUCCUAGCCAAUUCAUCAACUUUAAGCAUUUUUUCUCCAAGAAAAGCAUUGAAAUUCUUUUGCGAAUUCAUAAAUUCCUUAACACUAGUCUCAAAUUCAGAAGGCAUCUUAUUAAAGUUUCCAUAAGAAUUGUUGUAGGAAUUACCAUAAUUAUUAGAGGAAUUACUAGGAUAAGGCCUAGGAUUAAAGUUUCCUCUAUACGCGUUGUUACCAAAAUUAUUCCUACCAACAAAAUUCACAUCAAUAGAUUCAUUAUUAUUCUCAAUCAAAGUAGACAAAGGCAUAUCAUUAGGAUCAGAAGAAACACUCUUAGUAGCAAAUAAUUUCAUAAGUUCAUCCAUCUUUCCACUCAAAACAUUAAUUUCUUCUAUCGCAUGCACUUUUUUAUUAGUAGAUCUUUCAGUGUGCCAUUGAGAAUAAUUAACCUAAUAUUAUCUAGGAGUUUAGUAGCUUAUCCUAAAGUGAUUUCCAUAAAAGUGCCUCCCGCGGCCGAAUCUAAAAGAUUUCUUGAAGCAAAAUUCAAUCCGUCAUAAAUUUUUUGUAUAAUCAUCCACAAAUUCAAACCAUGCGUAGGGCAAUUACGUAUCAUUAAUUUCAUCCUCUCCCAAGCUUGUGCAACAUGUUCAUGAUCAAGUUGCUUAAAAUUCAUAAUAUCGUUUCUAAGAGCGAUAAUCUUAGCGGGAGGAAAAUACUUAGAGAUAAAAGCAUCUUUGCACUUAUUCCAAGAAUCAAUACUAUUUUUAGGCAAAGACGAAAACCAAGCUUUAGCACGAUCUCUAAGCGAAAAAGGAAAUAGCUUCAAUUUAAUCAUUGUCCACAUCUUCUUUUGCAUAUCACACAAAUCAACGAAGCUAUUUAGAUGGGUAGCGGCAUCUUCACUAGGAAGGCCAGCGAAUUGAUCUUUCAUGACAAGAUUCAACAAAGCAGCACUGAUUUCACAAGAUUCAGUAUCGGUAAGGGGAGCAAUCGGAGUGCUAAGGAAAUCAUUAUUGUUGGUAUUGGUAAAGUCACACAAUUUAGUAUUAUCUUGAGCCAUCGUGACAAGCAAGCAAUCCAACACACAAGCAAACAAGAAGCAAGCGAAAAAGAGGCGAACGGAAAAGAGAGAGGGCGAAUAAAAUGGCAAGGGUGAAGUGGGGGAGAGGAAAACGAGAGGCAAAUGGCAAAUAAUGUAAUGCGGGAGAUAAGGGUUUGUGAUGGGUAGUUGGUAUGUUGACUUUUGCGUAGACUCCCUGGCAACGGCGCCAAAAAUCCUUCUCGCCACCUCUUGAGCACUGCGUUGGUUUUCCCUUGAAGAGGAAAGGGUGAUGUAGCAAAGUAGCGUAAGUAUUUCCCUCAGUUUUUGAGAACCAAGGUAUGAAUCCAGUAGGAGGCCACCCACGAGUCCCUCGCACCUACACAAACAAAUAAAUCCUCGCAACCAACGCGAUAAGGGGUUGUCAAUCCCUACACGGUCACUUACGAGAGUGAGAUCAGAUAGAUAUGAUAAGAUAAUAUUUUUGGUAUUUUUUAUGAUAAAGAUGCAAAGUAAAGAAAGCAAAAUAAAAACGACGCUAGAAAUAACUUGUUGAAGGGAGAUUAAUAUGAUGGAAAAUAGACCCGGGGGCCAUAGGUUUCACUAGUGGCUUCUCUCAUGAGCAUAAAUAUUACGGUGGGUGAACAAAUUACUGUUGAGCAAUUGACAUAAUUGAGCAUAGUUAUGAGAAUAUCUAGGUAUGAUCAUGUAUAUAGGCAUCACGUCCGAGACAAGUAGUCCGACUACUACCUGCAUCUACUACUAUUACUCCACACAUCAACCGCUAUCCAGCAUGCAUCUAGAGUAUUAAGUUCAGAAGAACAGAGUAAUGCCUUAAGUAAGAUGACAUGAUGUAGAGGGGUAAACUCAUGCAAUAUGAUAUAAACCCCAUCUUGUUUUCCUCGAUGGCUACAAUACAAUACGUGCCUUGCUGCCCCUACUGUCACUGGGAAAGGACACCGCAAGAUUGAACCCAAAGCUAAGCACUUCUCCCAUUGCACGAAAUAUCAAUCUAGUAGGCUAAACCAAACUGAUAAUUCGAAGAGACUUGCAAAGAUAACCAAUCAUACAUAAAAGAAUUCAGAGAAGAUUCAAAUAUUGUUCAUAGAUAAACUUGAUCAUAAACCCACAAUUCAUCGGUCUCAACAAACACACCGCAAAUGAAGAUUACAUCGAGUAGAUCUCCACGAGAGAGGGGGAGAACAUUGUAUUGAGAUCCAAAAAGAGAGAAGAAGCCAUCUAGCUAAUAACUAUGGACGCGAAGGUCUGAGGUAAACUACUCACACAUCAUCGGAGAAGCUAUGGUGUUGAUGUAGAAGCCCUCCAUGAUCGAUGCCCCCUCCGGCGGAGCUCCGGAACAGGCCCCAAGAUGGGAUCUCACUGGUACAGAAGGUUGCGGCGGUGGAAUUAGGUUUUUGGCUCCCUAUCUGGUAGUUUGGGGGUACGUAGGUAUAUAUAGGAGGAAGGAGUACGUCGGUGGAGCAACAGGGGGCCCACGAGGGUGGAGGGCGCGCCCAGGGGGAGUAGGCGCGCCCCCUACCUCGUGCCCUCCUGGUUGAUGUCUUGACGUAGGGUCCAAGUCCUCUGGAUCACGUUCGUUCCGAAAAUCACGUUCCCGAAGGUUUCAUUCCGUUUGGACUCUGUUUGAUAUUCUUUUUCUGCGAAACUCUGAAAUAGGCAAAAAACAACAAUUCUGGGCUGGGCCUCCGGUUAAUAGGUUAGUCCCAAAAAUAAUAUAAAAGUGUAUAAUAAAGCCCAAUAAUGUCCAAAAUAGAAUAUAAUAUAGCAUGGAACAAUAAAAAAUUAUAGAUACGUUGGAGACAUAUCACCGCCGCCAAGCCCUAAUCUUCCUCGGGAGGGCUGAUCUAGAGUCCGUUCGGGGCUCCGGAGAGGGGAAUCCGUCACCGUCGUCAUCAUCAACCAUCCUCCAUCACCAAUUUCAUGAUGCUCACCGCCGUGCGUGAGUAAUUCCAUUAUAGGCUUGUUGGACGGUGAUGGGUUGGAUGUGAUUUAUCAUGUAAUCGAGUUAGUUUUGUUAGGGUUUGAUCCCUAGUAUCCAUUAUGUUCUGAGAUUGAUUUUGCCAUGACUUUGCUAUUCUUAAUGCUUGUCACUAGGGCCCGAGUGCCAUGAGUUCAGAUCUGAACCUAUUAUGUUUUCAUGAAUAUAUGUGAGUUCUUGAUCCUAUCUUGCAAGUCAAUAGUCACCUACUAUGUGUUAUCCGGCAACCCCGAAGUGACAAUAAUCGGGACCACUCCCGGUGAUGAACGUAGUUUGAAGAGUUCAUGUAUUCACUAAGUGUUAAUGCUUUGGUCCGGUACUCUAUUAAAAGGAGGCCUUAAUAUCCCUUAGUUUCUAAUAGGACGCUGCUGCCACGGGAGGGUAGGACAAAAGAUGCCAUGCAAGUUCUUUUCCAUAAGCACGUAUGACUAUAUUUGGAAUAAAUGCCUACAUUACAUUGAUGAACUGGAGCUAGUUCUGUGUCACCCUAUGUUAUAAGUGUUGCAUGAGGAAUCGCAUCCGACAUAAUUAUCCAUCAUUGAUCCAUUGCCUACGAUCUUUUCACAUAUUGAUAUCUGCUUAGUUACUUUUCAGUUGCCACUGUUACAAUUACUACAAAAUUGCUAUUGUUACUUUUGCCACCGUUACUAUUACUUCCAUAUUACUCUGCUACUAAAUACUUUGCUGCAGAUAUUAAGUCUUUCAGGUGUGGUUGAAUUGACAACUCAACUGUUAAUACUUGAGAAUAUUCUUUGUCUCCCCUUGUGUCGAAUCAGUAAAUUUGGGUUGAAUACUCUACCCUCGAAAGCUGUUGCGAUCCCCUAUACUUGUGGGUUAUCAGAUACUACUUGUGAAGGAGAUAUGCCCUAGAGGCAAUAAUAAAGUUGUUAUUUAUAUUUCCUUAUAUCAUGAUAAAUGUUUAUUAUUCAUGCUAGAAUUGUAUUAACCGGAAACUUAGUACAUGUGUGACUACAUAGACAAACAGAGUGUCACUAGUAUGCCUCUACUUGACUAGCCCGUUGAAUCAAAGAGGGUUAAGUUUCCUAGCCAUACACAUGAGUUGUCAUUUGAUUAACGGGAUCACAUCAUUAGAGAAUGAUGUGAUUGACUUGACCCAUUCCGUUAGCUUAGCACUUGAUCGUUUAGUAUGUUGCUAUUGCUUUCUUCAUGACUUAUACAUGUUCCUAUGACUAUGAGAUUAUGCAACUCCCGAAUACCAGAGGAACACUUUGUGUGCUACCAAAUGUCACAACGUAACUGGGUGAUUAUAAAGGUUCUCUACAGGUGUCUCCGAUGGUGUUUGUUGAGUUGGCAUAGAUCGAGAUUAGGAUUUGUCACUCCGAUUGUCGGAGAGGUAUCUCUGGGCCUCCUCGGUAAUGCACAUCACUAUAAGCCUCGCAAGCAAUGUGACUAGUGAGUUAGUUGCGGGAUGAUGCAUUACGGAAUGAGUAAAGAGACUUGACGGUAACGAGAUUGAACUAGGUAUUGAGAUACCGACGAUCGAAUCUCGGGCAAGUAACAUACCGAUGACAAAGGGAACAACGUAUGUUGUUAUGCGGUUUGACCGAUAAAGAUCUUCGUAGAAUAUGUGGGAGCCAAUAUGAACAUAUAGGUUCCGCUAUUGGUAAUUCACCGGAGAUGUGUCCCGGUCAUGUCUACAUAGUUCUCGAACCCGUAGGGUCCGCACGCUUAACGUUCAGUGACGAUCGGUAUUAUGAGUUUAUGUGUUUUGAUGUACCAAAGGUAGGUCGGAGUCCCGGAUAUGAUCACGGACAAUACGAGGAGUCUCGAAAUGGUCGAGACAUAAAGAUCGAUAUAUUGGAUGACUAUGUUUGGACAUCGGAAUGGUUCCGGGUGAGUUCGGGCAUUUACCGGAGUACCGGGAGGUUACCGGAACCCCCCGGGGAGCAUAUGGGCCUUAAUGGGCCUUAGUGGGAGAGAAGAGAAGGCAGCCUAGGAGGGGGCGCGCCCCCAAGCCCAAUCUGAAUUGGGUGAGGGGGCCGGCCCCCCUUUCCUUUCUCCUUCCCCCUCUUCCUUCUAUUCCUAGUGGGACUAGGAAAGGGGGAGUCCUACUCCCACUAGGAGGAGGACUCCUCCCCCCUUGGCGCACCUAGAGAGGCCGGCCGGCCUCCCUCCCUCCUUUAUAUACGUGGGGAGGGGGGCACCCCAUAGACACACAAGUUGACAUUUGUCUUAGCCGUGUGCGGUGCCCCCCUCCACCAUAAUCCACCUCGGUCAUAUCAUUGCAGUGCUUAGGCGAAGCCCUGCGCCGGCAACUUCAUCAUCACCGUCAUCACGCCGUCGUGCUGAUGAAGCUCUCCCUCGACACUCAGCUGGAUCGAGAGUUCAUGGGACGUCACCGAGCUGAAAACGUGUGCAGAUCGCGGAGGUGCCGUACUUUCGGUACUAGGAUCGGUCGGAUCGUGAAGACAUGCGACUACAUCAACCGCGUUGUCAUAACGCUUCCGCUUUCGGUCUACGAGGGUACGUAGACAACACUCUCCCCUCUCGUUGCUAUGCAUCACCUAGAUGGAUCUUGCGUGUGCGUAGGAAUUUUUUUGAAAUUACUGCGUUCCCCAACAGUGGCAUCAGAGCCAGGUCUAUGCGUAGAUGUUAUAUGCACGAGUAGAGCACAAAUGAGUUGUGGGCAAUAAUAGUCAUACUGCUUACCAGCAUGUCAUACUUUGAUUUGCUGGUAUUGUUGGAUGAAGCGGCCCGGACCGACAUUACGUGUACGCUUACGCGAGACUGGUUGUACUGACGUGCUUUGCACACAGGUGGCUGGCGGGUGUCAGAUUCUCCAACUUUAGUUGAAUGGAGUGUGGCUACGCCCGGUCCUUGUUGAAGGUUAAAACAGCAUACUUGACGAAAAAUCGUUGUGAUUUUGAUGCGUAGGUAAGAACGGUUCUUGCUCAGCCCGUAGUAGCCACGUAAAACUUGCAACAACAAAGUAGAGGACAUCUAACUUGUUUUUGCAGGGCAUGUUGUGAUGUGAUAUGGUCAAGACAAUAUACUAAAUUUUAUUGUAUGAGAUGAUCAUGUUUUGUAACAGAGUUAUCGGCAACUGGCAGGAGCCAUAUGGUUGUCGCUUUAUUGUAUGAAAUGCAAUCGCAAUGUAAUUGCUUUACUUUAUCUCUAAGCGGUAGCGAUAGUCGUAGAAGCAAUAGUUGGCGAGACGACAACGAUGCUUCGAUGGAGAUCAAGGUGUCAAGCCGGUGACGAUGGUGAUCAUGACGGUGCUUUGGAGAUAGAGAUCAAAGGCACAAGAUGAUGAUGGCCAUAUCAUAUCACUUAUAUUGAUUGCAUGUGAUAGUUAUCCUUUAUGCAUCUUAUUUUGCUUAGUUCGGUGGUAGCAUUAUAAGAUGAUCUCUCACUAAAUUUCAAGGUACAAGUGUUCUCCCUGAGUAUGCACCGUUGCGAAAGUUCGUCGUGCCGAGACACCACGUGAUGAUCGGGUGUGAUAAGCUCUACGUUCACAUACAACGGGUGCAAGCUGGUUUUGCACACGCAGAAUACUCGGGUUAAACUUGACGAUCCUAGCAUAUGCAGAUAUGGCCUCGGAAUACUAAGACCGAAAGGUCGAGCGUGAAUCAUAUAGUAGAUAUGAUCAACAUAGUGAUGUUCACCAUUGAAAACUACUCCAUCUCACGUGAUGAUCGGACAUGGUUUAGUUGAUUUGGAUCACGUGAUCACUUAGAUGAUUAGAGGGAUGUCUAUCUAAGUGGGAGUUCUUAAGUAAUUUGAUUUAUUGAACUUUAAUUUAUCAUGAAGUUAGUACCUGAUAGUAUUUUGCAUGUCUAAGUUGUUGUAUAUAGAUGGCCCGUGUUGUUGUUCCAUUGAAUUUUAAUGCAUUCCUAGAGAAAGCUAAGUUGAAAGGUGAUGGUAGCAACUACACGGACUGGGUCCAUAACUUGAGGAUUAUCCUCAUUGCUGCACAGAAGAAUUACAUCCUGGAAGCACCGCUAGGUGCCAAACCCGCUGCAGGAGCAACGCCAGAUGUUAUGAACGUCUGGCAGAGCAAAGCUGAUGACUACUCCAUAGUUCAGUGUGCCAUGCUUUACGGCUUAGAACCGGGACUUCAACGACGUUUUGAACGUCAUGGAGCAUAUGAGAUGUUCCAAGAGUUGAAGUUAAUAUUUCAAGCAAAUGCCCGGAUUGAGAGAUAUGAAGUCUCCAAUAAGGUCUACAACUACAAAAUGGAGGGGAAUAGUUCUGUCAGUGAGCAUAUACUCAAAAUGUCUGGGUAUAACAAUCACUUGAUUCAACUGGGAGUUAAUCUUCCUGAUGAUAGUGUCAUUGACAGAAUUCUUCAAUCACUGCCACCAAGCUACAAGAGCUUCGUGAUGAACUAUAAUAUGCAAGGGAUGGAUAAGACAAUUCCCGAGCUCUUCGCAAUGCUAAAGGCUGCGGAGGUAGAAAUCAAGAAAGAGCAUCAAGUGUUGAUGGUCAACAAGACCACCAGUUUCAAGAAAAAGGGUAAAGGGAAGAAGGGGAACUUCAAGAAGAACGGCAAGCAAGUUGCUACUCAAGUGAAGAAGCCCAAGUCUGGACCUAAGCCUGAGACUGAGUGCUUCUACUGCAAAGGGACUGGUCACUAGAAGCGGAACUGCCCCAAGUAUUUGGUGGAUAAGAAGGAUGGCAAGGUGAACAAAGGUAUAUGUGAUAUACAUGUUAUUUAUGUGUACCUUACUAAUGCUCGCAGUAGUGCCUGGGUAUUUGAUACUGGUUCUGUUGCUAUUAUUUGCAACUCGAAACAGGGACUAUGGAUUAAGCGAAGAUUGGCUAAGGACGAGGUGACGAUGCGCGUGGGAAAUGGUUCUAUUAGAAGGGAGAGAGAGGGAUUGGUGGAAUAGUUUGUUGUAUUGCUUGAGCCUCGUGGGCAUAUAUAUAGGAGUACAUGAUCUACUUGGAGUACAAGGCAAGGCAGGAACAAAUCCUAGUCUAUCCUAUACUUCCUAAUAUACAUUAUACUCAAUGUCCCCCCACAGUCACAAUGGUAGCGACGCAGAUGGUGAGACUAGAGAAGAAUCCGAAGGCAAUCCGACGGACACCCCCCCCCCACAGUCGUAACGAUCGACGCAUCGCGAAGUCGUGGCUGGAGUGGAAACCGACGAGGUUGCUCAAGCAAGGCGGUAGCCCUUUGUGCCAUUUGUCGAGGUAGCUGAGAGCAUAUGGUGGUGGAGCCGUGGUCGAGGUAGCCGUGGGAAGAAUGCCGUGGUCGAGGUCGAGUCAGGGUAGCCAGUCGAGGAAGUCGCCGUGGAGCCGCGGGCGCAAGGGGGCGUCGAGUUAGUCAUAGGCGCAGUAGUGUUGAAGUAAUGGUGCGCAAGGGAGAAGACGUUGUUGACGACGCGUCGCGCCGGGGUUGCCAAGCCCGGGGACAUAUCGUAGACGAAGGCACGCACUGGUGUUGCCAACACUGGGCAUGCGUAGACAGACGAAGACGAAGUUGACGAAGCGCCGCACCAGGCUUGCUAGGCCCGGGGACACGUCGUGGACGAAGGCACGCUUCGGUGUUGCUAGCACCGGGCAUGCGUAGACUGGGACCUGCACGAGCUGUACGCCAUGUCGAAGAAGUCGGAGAAGCCAGCAGAGAAGGACUCGACGACGGUUGCGGUGCCAAUCGGUGCGGGGCCGAUGUUGGCUGCGGUUGUCGGAGUAGACGAAGUGGUCGGGGUAGAUGACGGUGACGCUGACGACGGGCUGGUGCUGGACGAAGAUGAAGGAGGUGGACGGGUGGCGGCGGCUACUGGGGUAGCGGCGGCGGCAGCCAAAGAAGAGCAGCGGCGGCCUGACGGCGGUAGCGGCGGCUAGGUUAGGAGCGCGGUGGCGGUGCUCGAAGUAGGCGAAGAACCCUGACAGUGUGACGAAGACCGGCGCGGAUGGUAGCGUUCCUGCGCCAAGGGAGGCGGCGCGGCGCAUACCACGGGACGUCGACGCGCGGUGACGGCGGAGUGGACCGCGGGCCGCAACGCUACGGCCCGAAGGGGCAAUGCAGUGGCGGCGGGCAGGUCAGGGCGACGGUAGGAAGACCUCGUGGCGGCGGCUGGGACCGCGGGCCACGGCGCUACGGCCCGAAGGGGCGGCGUAGCGGCGAAAUUCGGGUCAGUGCAACCGCGGGAACAGUCUCGGGACGGCGGCGUGGACCACGUGCCACGCUCGCUGCAGCCCGACGGGGCGACGCAACGGCGGCGCGAGGGUCGGUGCAGCCACGGUACAGCCUAGAGCGGAUGCCCUCGGGGCGGCGGGGGACCACGGGCCGUGGCACUACGGCCCGAAGGGGCGACGCAGCGGUGACGCGGGUCGAUGCAGCCGGGAGAAGAACCACGGGGCGGCGGCACUACGGCCCGACGGGGCGACGCAGCGGCAGCCCAUUGCUCGAGCGGUAAAGGAGCGUGUUGAACUCAGGACAGUCUUCACGGGGUCUACACAGGCACGCGCAACCAACGGGCCAGGUCGGUCGCACGACGUAGAUGAGGCGGAUCGCGGCGGCGGGCGGGUGAUCAAUCCAAUCGCGCGCAAGGUCAGGGACGCCGCUUGGUGGAGGCGGGAUGGCGGCGGAGUCUGAGAUGAAGCCGGCGACGGCGGGCGGCAGGGCAGCUAUGAUUGGCCGCCACAUGCCGCGAGGCCGCCGGGUCGGGGUGAUGUAGGAGUCCCGGUCGGAGCAGGGCGGUGACGGCCGGCGUAGAUCGACGAGCGGGCCGGCGCGCGAACGGCAACGGUGAAGGGCCGCCGCAUGAUGCGAGGCCGCCGGGUCGGGGCGACCGGCGGGCAGACGAGCGGACGACGCGCGAGGCCGUUGGAUCAGUGAAGAAGCCGACCGAUCGCGCCGGUGUUGGAGUAGAGGCGCACGGGGUCGACCGUGGGGGUGGGCGACGCAAACUGAUCAAGAUUAGAUCCGAAAACCAAAAAGAAACCACCGAUCAAGAUAACCGGCGGGAGAGAGAAAAUCCUCAAGCAAGGGCUCGGGGAAAAUACUCUCUAGGGUAGCCGGUCAACACGACCGGCGGACGAACCCUAGGUACGGGCGGUGUGGCCCCCGGCGGCGGUUCUGGAGGUCGACCGCCCCAGGGGCAGCGCGCGGGUGCGGAAGCGCCGGCGGCUAGGGUUUAGAACCCAGAAACUGAUACCAUGUAGAAGUGCAUGCUCUAGCCAAUGCAACCAAAAGACCGAUCUGAUGGAAGAGACUAAGCAGCACAUUACCUCUUGGCUUUGAUACCAUGUAGAAGUGAGAAAGAGGGAUUGGUGGAAUAGUUUGUUGUAUUGCUUGAGCCUUGUGGGCAUAUAUAUAGGAGGACAUGAUUUACUUGGAGUACAAGGCAAGGCAGGAACAAAUCCUAGUCUAUCCUAUACUUCCUAACAUACAUUAUACUCAACAGGUUCCAAAGUCGAUGUGAUCACCGUCGGCACGCUACCUCUACAUCUACCAUCGGGAUUAGUUUUAGACCUGAAUAAUUGUUAUUUGGUGCCAGCGUUAAGCAUGAACAUUAUAUCUGGAUCUUGUUUGAUGCGAGACGGUUAUUCAUUUAAAUAAGAAAAUAAUGGUUGUUCUAUUUAUAUAAGUAAUAUCUUUUAUGGUCAUGCACCCUUGAAGAGUGGUCUAUUUUUGUUCAAUCUCGAUAGUAGUGACACACAUAUUCAUAAUAUUGAAGCCAAAAGAUGCAGAGUUGAUAAUGAUAGUGUAACCUAUUUAUGGCACUGCCGUUUAGGUCAUAUUGGUGUAAAGCGCAUGUAGAAACUCCAUUCUGAUGGACUUUUGGAAUCACUUGAUUAUGAAUCACUUGGUACUUGCGAACCAUGCCUCAUGGGCAAGAUGACUAAAACGCCGUUCUCCAGAACAGUGGAGCGAGCAACAGAUUUGUUGGAAAUCAUACAUACUGAUGUAUUUGAUCCGAUGAAUAUUGAGGCUCGCAGCGGGUAUCGUUAUUUUCUCACCUUCACAGAUGAUUUGAGCAGAUAUGGGUAUAUCUACUUGAUGAACCAUAAGUCUGAAACAUUUGAAAAGUUCAAAGAAUUUCAGAGUGAAGUAGAAAAUCAUCGUAACAAGAAAAUAAAGUUUCUACGAUUUGAUCAUGGAGGAGAAUAUUUGAGUUACGAGUUUGGUCUUCAUUUGAAAUAAUGCGGAAUAGUUUCGCAACUCACGCCACCCGGAACACCACAGCGUAAUGGUGUGUCCGAACGUCGUAAUCGUACUUUACUAGAUAUGGUGCGAUCUAUGAUGUCUCUUACUGUUUACCGCUAUUGUUUUGGGGUUAUGCUUUAGAGACAGCUGCAUUCAAAUAGGGCACCAUCUAAAUCCGUUGAGACGACACCAUAUGAACUGUGGUUUGGCAAGAAACCUAAGCUGUCGUUUCUUAAAGUUUGGGGCUGCAAUGCAUAUGUGAAAAAGCUUCAACCUGAUAAGCUCGAACCCAAAUCGGAGAAAUGUGUCUUCAUAGGAUACCCAAAGGAGACUAUUAGGUACACCUUCUAUCACAGAUCUGAAGGCAAGACAUUUGUUGCUAAGAAUGGAUCCUUUCUAGAGAAGGAGUUUCUCUCAAAAGAAGUGAGUGGGAGGAAAGUAGAACUUGAUGAGGUAACUGUAACUGCUCCCUUAUUGGAAAGUAGUUCAUCACAGAAAUCUGUUCCGGUGACUCCUACACCAAUUAGUGAGGAAGCUCAUGAUGAUGAUCAUAUAACUUCAGAUCAAGUUACUACCGAACCUCGUAGGUCAACCAGAGUAAGAUCCGCACCAGAGUGGUAUGGUAAUCCUGUUCUGGAGGUCAUGUUACUUGACCAUGAUGAACCUACGAACUAUGAGGAAACAAUGAUGAGCCCAGAUCCACGAAAUGGCUUGAGGCCAUGAAAUCUGAGAUGGGAUCCAUGUAUGAGAACAAAGUGUGGACUUUGGUUGACUUGCCAGAUGAUCGGCAAGCCAUCGAGAAUAAAUGGAUCUUCAAGAAGAAGACUGACGCUGACGGUAAUGUUACUGUCUACAAAGCUCGACUUGUUGCGAAAGGUUUUCGACAAGUUCAAGGAGUUGACUAUGAUGAGACUUUCUCACCCGUAGCGAUGCUUAAGUCCGUACGAAUCAUGUUAGCAAUUGCUGCAUUUUAUGAUUAUGAAAUUUGGCAAAUGGAUGUAAAGACUGCAUUCCUCAAUGGAUUUCUGGAAGAAGAGUUGUAUAUGAUGCAACCUGAAGGUUUUAUCAAUCCAAAGGAUGCUAACAAAGUGUGCAAGCUCCAGUGAUCCAUUUAUGGACUGGUGCAAGCAUCUCGGAGUUGGAAUAAACGUUUUGCUAGUGUGAUCAAAGUAUAUGGUUUUAUACAGACUUUUGGAGAAGCAUGUAUUUACAAGAAAGUGAGUGGGAGCUCUGUAGCAUUUCUAAUAUUAUAUGUGGAUGACAUAUUGUUGAUUGGAAAUGAUAUAGAAUUUCUGGAUAGCAUAAAAGGAUACUUGAAUAAGAGUUUUUCAAUGAAAGACCUCGGUGAAGCUGCUUAUAUAUUGGGCAUCAAGAUCUAUAGAGAUAGAUCAAGACGCUUAAUUGGACUUUCACAAAGCACAUACCUUGAUAAAGUUUUGAAGAAGUUCAAAAUGGAUCAAGCAAAGAAAGGGUUCUUGCCUGUGUUACAAGGUGUAAAGUUGAGUCAGACUCAAUGCCCGACCACUGCAAAAGAUAGAGAGAAAAUGAAGGUCAUUCCCUAUGCUUCAGCCAUAGGUUCUAUCAUGUAUGCAAUGUUGUGUACCAUACCUGAUGUGUGCCUUGCUAUUAGUUUAGCAGGGAGGUAUCAAAGUAAUCCAGGAGUGGAUCACUGGACAGCGGUCAAGAACAUCCUGAAAUACCUGAAAAGGACUGAGGAUAUGUUUCUCGUUUAUGGAGGUGACAAAGAGCUCGUCGUAAAUGGUUACGUCGAUGCAAGCUUUGACACAAACCGGAUAUGUAUUUAUAUUGAACGGUGGAUCUGUCAGUUGGUGCAGUUCUAAGCAAAGCAUCGUGGCGGGAUCUACGUGUGAAGCAGAGUACAUAGUUGUUUCUGAAGCAACAAAUGAAGGAGUCUAGAUGAAGGAGUUCAUAUCCGAUCUAGGUGUCAUACCUAGUGCAUCGGGUCCAAUGAAAAUCUUUUGUGACAAUACUGGUGCAAUUGCCUUGGCAAAGGAAUCCAGAUUUCACAAGAGAACCAAGCACAUCAAGAGACGCUUCAAUUCCAUCAGCGAUCAAGUCAAGGAGGGAGACAUAGAGAUUUGUAAGAUACAUAUGGAUCUGAAUGUUGCAGACCCGUUGACUAAGCCUCUCUCACGAGCAAAACAUGAUCAACACCAAGACCCCAUGAGUGUUAGAAUCAUUACUUUGUAAUCUAGAUUAUUGACUCUAGUGCAAGUGGGAGACUGAAGGAAAUAUACCCUAGAGGCAAUAAUAAAGUUGUUAUUUAUAUUCCCUUAUAUCAUGAUAAAUGUUUAUUAUUCAUGCUAGAAUUGCAUUAACCGGAAACUUAGUACAUGUGUGAUUACAUAGACAAACAGAGUGUCACUAGUAUGCCUCUACUUGACUAGCUCGUUGAAUCAAAGAUGGUUAAGUUUCCUAGUGAAAGCACAAGUGCUCCCUGGGUGAUUUUGGUAAUUAAUGUCAACAUAUCUCUUGUUGGACUAAUGUUUCUAUCUAGUAUGUUUCAGAUAAGUCCAACAAUGGAGUGGCAUGGACUAGAGGAUGUGGAACCCCUUCAAGAUGCUGAGGACAAAGGAUUGGCUCAAGCUCAAAGCUCAGGACUCUACAUUUUCUAUUUUAGUGAUCCAAGAUCACAUUGAGUCCAUAGGAAAGCCAAUACUAUUAAGAGGGGAUGAGGUGUUGCUUAAUGGCUUGCUUGCUCAAAGUGCUUAGUGAUAUGCUCCAAAGCCCUCAACCACUUUCUCACAUCCACAUAUGUCCCAAACCAAAAGUCAAACUCGGCCCCACCGAAACUUUCUAUCCGGCGCCACCGAGUUCAGUUGACAUAGCCACUGCCAGAAACCCUAAUCAGUUCGGUCUCACCGAUGGGAUCUCGGUCUCACUGAGAUGGGCUUGCAAACUCUCUGUUGCCUAUUGCAAUAAUUUCGGUCCCACCGAGAUAUGCAAUCAGUCCCACCGAGUUUGCUUGGCCAAACUCUCUGUUUCCCUUAUUACCGAAAUCGGUCCCACCGAGUUUGUGUAAUCGGUCAAACCGAGUUCAGGCUUUACCCUAACCCUAGCACAUCGGUCCUACCGAGCUGAUCAUAUCGGUCCCACCGAAAUGCCUAACUGUCACAUUAUGAACUAAAUCGGUCUGACCGAGUUUCACGAUUCGGUCCCACCGAGUUUGGUAAAUUGUGUGUAAUAGUUAGAUUUUGUGUGGAGGCUAUAUAUACCCCUCCACCCACUCUUCAUUCGUGGAGAGAGCCAUCAGAACAUGCCUACACUUCCAACAUACAUUUUCUGAGAGAGAACCACCUACACUUGUGUUGAGGUCAAGAUAUUCCAUUCCAACCACAUAAAUCUUGAUCUCUAGCCUUCCCCAAGUUGCUUUCCACUCAAAUCAUCUUUCCAUCAAAUCCAAUCCUAUGAGAGAGAGUUGAGUGUUGGGGGGACUAUCAUUUGAAGCACAAGAGCAAGGAGUUCAUCAUCAACACACCAUCUGUUACCUCUUGGAGAGUGGUGUCUCCUAGAUUGGCUAGGUGUCACUUGGGAGCCUCCGUCAAGAUUGUGGAGUUGAACCAAGGAGUUUGUAAGGGCAAGGAGAUCGCCUACUUCGUGAAGAUCUACCCGAGUGAGGCAAGUCCUUCGUGGGCGACGGCCAUGGUGGGAUAGACAAGGUUGCUUCUUCGUGGGUGGAGCCCUCUGUGGAAUCGCGCAACCGUUACCCUUCGUGGGUUGAAGUCUCCAUCAACGUGGAUGUACGAUAGCACCACCUAUCGGAACCACAGAUAAAAAAUCUCAGUGUCUCCAAAUUGCGUUUGCACACUCCAAUCCCAUCCCUUUACAUUCUUGCAACUUGCAUGCUUUACUUUCCGCUGCUCAUAUACUCUUGUCAUGCUUGCUUGAUAUGUAUUGUGAAUGUUUAAACUUGUGCCAAAACUCCACAUCAACUUAAGGAAAUUAAAAACUGCAACUUUUCUUCUUAGAGUCUAUUCACCCCCCCCCUCUAGACACCUCUUCUCGAUCCUUUCAAUUGGUAUCAGAGCUUUGGUCUCCAUUGCUUUGGUUUAAUCACCAUUGGAGGAAGAUGGAUGAGUCUAUGUUGGGGAGUCUUAUACGUAGAGUGCCUAUUCUUGAUGGAGAGUUCUUUCAUGAGUGGAAAAAUGAAAUGCUUGAGAUUUUCAAUGAAUAUCAUUUGAACAAGUACAUUACUAGCCCUUGUGCACCUCAUGUUGAUCCUUUGCAUCCUACCCUUGAUGAGUCUAUUGACAUGAUCCGCAACCUUAGAACUGUUAAUCUUAUCACUAGAGGCUUGCCUAGAAACUUGAUUGGAUGUUUGCCUACUCUUGAUUGUGCCUACACUAUAUGGAGAUUUCUUGAGGAAAGAUUUCCAAACUAUUCCUUGCAAAACUUAGAUGAAAUUCUUCAUAAGUCUAUUGCCUUGAGUAAGAUGAAUUCUAGUGAUCCUAGCUUUGGUGAUUGUCUAUUUGAGCUUACCAAUCUCAUGCGUGGCAAAGGAAAUGUUGGAAUCAUUAGCAAUAUCAUAUCCGAAGCUAUUAGAAUUCAUAAAGGUGACCAUUGUGAUGAUCAUUUAUCUAAUGAAUUACGCUCUCUAGGAAUUGAUCAAAUACAAGACGAUGUUGAACAUGGAUACUAUGAUGAGGAUGAUGAUAGUGACUAUGAUCUUGAUGAUGCGAUGAGACACUUUGGUCUUAUGGCUAAUCUUCGCGGCUACAUGGCUGGAGGAAAGGAAUGGGUCCUUGAUAGUGGAUGUACUGAUCAUAUGACCGGAGACAAAGAUAUGUUUCGUGAGCUUGCUGAAAAUGACGGCCCUCGAAAGUAUGUCACUUUUGGUGAUAACUCAAAGGGUAAGGUGGUUGGCCUCGGUAAGGUGGCCAUCUCACAUGAUAGCUCCAUACAAAACGUCAUGCUCGUUGAAUCUCUUGGGUACAAUUUACUUUCAGUAUCUAGACUUGCUGAUUUCGGUUUCAAUGUCCUAUUUACUGAAGUAGAUUGCCAAGUGUUUCAUAGAGACAAUCAUAAAAUGGUCUUUACCAGUAUACGUAGAGGUGAUCUUUACAUUGUUGAUUUCACUAAAAAGGCUCAACCUAGAACUUGCUUAAUUGCUAAAUCUUCUAAAGGCUGGUUGUGGCAUAGAAGGUUGGGUCAUGUGGGCAUGCGAAAUCUUGAUAAGUUUUUAGUAAUCUCUUUUCUUCAUGCUCUGAAAGGUUAGCACUGAUAAUAACAGGAUAUAUCUUCCUUUCAUCAAGAUAAGCAUAUUUCAAUGUAUCAGGCAAUUGUUUCAAUUCAAACACAGGGUCACCCUUAGGUGGAGGAGGAACUCCAAGAGUUUCAAUAGGCAAACUGUGUUUUAAGGAUAGGUGGUUGAUCAAAGAACAUCUUAUCUAUUUCAUUUCUUUCGUUCAUGUGCAUAUCAUUUUCAUGGUCUAGUAAAUAUUGUUCUAACAGAUCAGUAGGGGUACGGAAAUAGAAUCAAUACCAAUAAUUUCAUCUUUACUAAACAAUUCUUUAUCAUGAGGUUGUCUACCAAACUUAAAGAAAUUAAACUCAUGAGAUAUAUCACCAAAUUUAACACUGACAAUUUCUUUAGCGCAAUCAAUCUUAGCAUUAACAAUGUUUAAGAAAGGUCUACCAAAUAUAAUGGGACAACAAUCAUCUUGUGGAGAACCUAGAACUAGAAAAUCAGUAGGGUAAUAUAUUUUUCCACACAAGACUUCAACAUCUCUAACAAUCCCAAGCGGUGAAAUAGUAUCUCUAUUCGCAAGCUUAAUAGUAACAUCAAUAUCCUCUAUUUCAGCAGGUGCAAUAUCAUUCAUAAUUUCUUGAUAUAAGGUAAACGGGCUAGCACUCACACUAGCACCCAAAUCACAUAAGCCGUGAUAACAAUGAUCUCUUAUUUUAACAGAUACAACAAGCAUGCCAACAACAGGAUUAUUCUUAUCUUUAGUAUCGGGUUUGGCAAUUCUAAUAGCUUCAUCACAGAAAUAAAUAACAUGCCCAUCUAUAUUAUUGACCAAGAGAUCUUUAACCAUAGCAACAUUAGGUUCAACCUUAGUUUGUUAGGAGGGUCUAGGUUCUCUAAUAUUACUUUUUUAACCACGGUUGAAACUUUAUCAUGUUCCUUUAUCCUAACAGGGAAAGGUGGUUUCUCAAUAUAAAGCAAUAGGAAAACUGGAUCAACAUUGUAAAUGAUGGUUUCAUCAUUAACCAUAAUGGGCUCCUCAAUCUUUUCUUUAACAGAGGGAUGCUAUUUAAACCAGUUCUCCAUAGGGAGAUCAACAUGAGUAGCAAAUGAUUCACAAAGGGAGGCCACUAUCUCAGAGUCAAGUCCAUAUUUAGUGCUAAACUUAUGAAAAAGCAUCGGUAUCCAUAAAAGAUUUAAGACAAUCGAACUCAAGUAUUAUACCUGACUCAUUACCUUUGUCGAGUUUCCAAUCUUCAGAGUUGUGUUUAAUUCUUUCCAGGAGAUACCAUCUGAAUUCAAUAGUUUCCUUCAUAAAGGAACCAGUUGAAGAAGAAUCGAGCAUGGUUUGAUCAUCAUGAGAAAACCAAGCAUAAAAAUUCUGUAAAAUAAUUUCUUUUGGGAGCUCAUGACUGGGGCAUGUGUACACCAUGUACUUAAGCCUCCCCAAGAUUGAGUGAUGUUUUCUCCUUCACGAGGCCAAAAUUUAUAUAUAUAUAUAUAUAUAUAUAUAUAUAAUUCCGAUCACGAUGAACUAGAUGCAUAGGACAAAACUUUUGAUGAAAUUCUAAUUUCAAUUGAUUCCAAUCCCACGUUUCAAUAUCAUCACAUAGCCUAUAACAUGUCAAUGUCUUUCCCUUCAAAGAUAAAGGGAAAACCUUCUUCUUAACUUCAUCUUCGGGUAAACCUACAAGCUUAAAUAAUCCACAAACUUCAUCCACAUAGAUUAGGUGCAUAUUAGGAUGUAGUGUUCCAUCUCCUGCAUAAGGACUACCUAGCAGUUUCUCUAUCAUACCCUAAGGAAUGUCAUAAUAAAUAUUUUUAGCAGGUGCAGUGGGUUGAGGAGCAACUCUUUGUGCUUCUGGUCAAGGUGAAGAUAGCCCGAACAAACCCCUCAAAGGAUUGUUUUCCAUAGUAACAAGUAACAGUAAAUUUCAGCAUGUAAUAUAAAUGUUUCCUUACCAAAUUCCACUUACGAAAGGCGCUUCACUCCCCGGCAAAGGCGCCAAAAAAGAGCCUUGAUGUCCCACAAGUAUAGGGGAUCAAUCGUACUCCUUUUGAUAAGUAAGAGCGUCGAACCCAAUGAGGAGCAGAAGGAAAUGACAAAGCGGUUUUCAGCAAGGUAGUUUCUGCAAGCACUGAUUUAUUGGUAACGAGUAGUUUGAUAGCAAGAUAAUUUGUAACAAGUGACAAGUAGCAAUAGUAACUAAGGUGCAUCAAGGUAGCCCAAUCCUUUUUGUUGCAAAGGACAGGCUGGAACGGUCUCUUAUAAUAAGCAAAGCGUUCUUGAGGACACACGGGAAUUUCAUCUAGUCAUUUUCAUCAUGUUUGUUUGAUUUGCGUUCGCUAGUUUGAUAAUUUGAUAUGUGGCUGGACAAGUGCUUGGGUGCUGUUCUUAGUUGAACAAGUUUCCCACUUAUGAUUAACCCUUCUCGCAAGCAUCCGCGACUACGAAAGAAGAAUUAAGAUAGAUCUAACCGUAGCAUUAAACAUAUGGAUCCAAAUCAGCCCCUUUACAGAAUAUUGCAUAAACUAGGGUUUAAGCUUCUGUCACUCUAGCAACCCAUCAUCUACUUACUACUCCACAAUGCAUUCCCUUAGGCCCAAAGAUGGUGAGGUGUCAUGUAGUCGACAUUCACAUGACACCACUAAGAGAAUCAACAACAUACAUAUCAUCAAAAUAUCGAACGAAUACCAAAUUCACAUGAUUACUUAUGAAAAGACUUCUCCCAUGUCCUCAAGAACAAAAGUGACUACUCACACAUCAUAUUCAUGUCCAGGAUCAGAGGGGCAUUGAAUAGCAUAAUGGAUCUGAACAUAUAAUCUUCCACCAAAUAAACCAACUAGCAUCAACUACAAGAUGUAAUCAACACUACUAGCAACCACAAGUACCAAUCUGAGGUUUUGAUACAAAGAUUGAAUACAAGAGAUGAACUAGGGUUUGAGAUGAGAUGGUGUUGGUGAAGAUGUUGAUGAAGAUUGGUCCUCCCACGAUGAGAAGGUUGUUGGUGAUGACGAUAGCUUCGAUUUCCCCCUAUCCCCGGCGGAAUCGCUCCACCGGAGAGAAAACGUGCUCCUGCUCAAGUUCCUCCUCGAGACAGAGGCGCUCCGUCCCGAAAGUUCUCCCCUUAUUUUUUCUAGGGCAAAUGGGCUUAUAUAACAGAAGAUGGGCACCGGAGGCUGGCUAUGGGGCCCACAAGACACUAGGUUGCGCCCUGGGGGGGCCCUGGUGCCUCAUGGGCACCUGGGUGCCCCCCUCUGGUACUUCUUUUCUCCAAUAUUAUUUAUUUAUUCCAAAAUAAAUCUUCAUGAAAUUUCAGCUCAUUUGGAGAUGUGCAGAAUAGGUAUCUCUGACAUAGGUUUUGCAUGUCUAGAAUUCCAGGUUCAGGCAAUCUCCCUCUUCAUGUAAAUCUUGCAUAUUAAGAAAUAAAAGGCAUUAGAAUUGCUCCACAAAGUGUUAUAUUGACUAAAAACACUAUAAAUAACAGUACGAAAACAUGAUUCAAAAUGGACGUAUCAAUAUGGACUCGGCAGCGGCGACGCUUCGCGUCGUUGUCCCUCCUGAGGGCGUUGAUACAUCUCCAACGUAUCUAUAAUUUUUGAUUGUUCCAUGCUGUUAUAUUAUCAAUCUUGGGUGUUUUAUAAUCAUUUUAUAUCAUUUUUUGGUACUAACCUAUUGACAUAGUGCCAAGUGCCAGCUGCUGUUUUUUGCAUAUUUUUUACAUCGCAGGAAAUCAAUAUCAGACGGAAUCCAAACGCAAUGAAACUUUACGGAGAUUUUUUUGGACCAGAAGGAACAUAAUGGGCCCUGGCUGCGCCUGGGGGGUGCUCCGAGGAGGGCACAACCCACCAGGGCGCGCCAGGAGGCCCAGGCGCGCCCUGGUGGGUUGUGCCCACCUUGGGUGCCCCCCGGACCGCCUCUUUGCUUCAUAAAUAUCCCAAUAUUCCCAAAACCCUAGGGGAGUCGACGAAAUAUUCAUCCAGCCGCCGCAGAGUCCAGAACCACCAGAUCCAAUCUAGACACCAUCUCGGAUGGGGUUCACCACCUCCAUUGGCGCCUCUCCGAUGAUGCGUGAGUAGUUCUUUGUAGACCUUCGGGUCCGUAGUUAGUAGCUAGAUGGCUUCAUAUCUCUCUCUCUCUGAAUUCUCAAUACAAUGGUCUCUUGGAGAUCCAUAUGAUGUAACUCUUUUGCGGUGUGUUUGUUGGGAUCGAUGAACUUUGAGUUUAUGAUCAGAUCUAUCUUUUUAUAUCCAUGAAAGUAUUUGAGUUUCUUUGAUCUCUUUUAUGCAUGAUUGCUUAUAGCCUCGUAUUUCUUCUCCGAUAUUUGGGUUUUGUUUGGCCAACUUGAUCUAUUUAUCUUGCAAUGGGAACCGACACGUAUGUAUCGUUGCUACUAAGGAUAAAAUGACGGGGUCUAUCUCUACACAGAUAAAUCUUGUCUACAUCAUGUUAUCGUUCUUAUUGCAUUACUGCGUUUCUCCAUGAACUUAAUACACUAGAUGCAUGCUGGAUAGCUGUCGAUGUGUGGAUUAAUAGUAGUAGAUGCAGGCAGGAGUCGGUCUACUAAUCUUGGACGUGAUGCCUAUAUAAUGAUCAUUGCCUAGAUAUCGUCAUGAGUAUUUGAAGUUUUGUCAAUUGCCCAACAGUAAUUUGUUCACCCACCGUUUGCUAUUUUUCUCGAGAGAAGCCAAUAGUGAAACCUGCGCCCCCGCGGGCCUCUUUCUCAUAUUAUUUGCCUUUGCGAUCUACUUUUCCUUUGCUUUUAUUUUCAGAUCUACUAAACCAAAAAUACAAAAAUACCUUGCUGCAAUUUAUUCUUAUUUAUUUUAUUUGGCGUUCGAUCUAUCAAUCUACUACAAUUUAUUCACGUCCGUUUGCCCAUCUUGGGGCGCCGCUACCCGAAAGGGAUUGACAACCCCUUUUACACGUCGGGUUGCGAGAAGUUGUUAUUUGUGUGGAGGUGUUGUUUACGUUGUGUUGCUUGGUUCUCCUACUGGUUCGAUAACCUUGGUUUCACAUAUGAGGGAAAUACCUACCGCCGCUGUGCUGCAUCAUCCCUUCCUCUUUGGGGAAAUACUGACGUAGCUUCAAGCCGCAUUAGGUGUUGUCGUGGAGCUUAGGUGUUUUAGGGCAUUGCGUGUCGUUGUUAUCAGAUCUCUUUGUAUUCUCGUUCGGUUGUGUAGUCGCGUGCAUCUUGCCUGAUCUGUUUAUCUUGAGAUUGACAUUGUAUGAGGGCUACCACAUCAUCUUGUAUUGUUCGACCGUGUACUCUGUUCGAUUGUUGCUUUAUAUAUAAAGCGGUGCGAAAGCCUGUUUCAAAAAGCCAAGAAAAUGUCUUGCCGGGCGCACACACAUGCGCAAAUCAAACAGAAUGGCAGGCCGGCUCCACCAUCGCCUCACCGCCGCCAAAGAAUGUGGAGAGCGAAUGAACACUAGCAGCAGCGCUCGGACCGCGCUGGCGAGGUGGGGUGCUCGCGGGCGGCAGGCACGACCGCUUGUCGCGAUUGAACCAGCCCGAUGCAGGGUGAAGGCGCCGAGAUGAGGGUCUGGCUGGACCGCUGCGUGUGAGCCGACAUCACGGGUGGCAUGUAUGACCCGACUGUCAUGAUAGCACCAGCCUGGUGUGGGGCAAAGGCCGCCGACAGGUGGGUCCGACUGGCCCGCCGCGCACGGGACAAUGCUUGGGACGCCAUGGCCAACACCUUGGUGGCGGUGUCUAUUUUUUGGCCUGCUGAUUUCCUUUUUCUCGACCCGGUUGAGCGUUUUUCACGAGCGAGGCAAGCCAGUCGGGGCCAAAGGCAGCCGACGCCAACUGUGCUGACAUCGGUGUCGUGGACGCAACGGUCUAGUUAGCCGGCGCCACGGGCACAACGCAGACCCCUGGUUGGCUUGACCCCAUGUAACACCCCGGAUGUACCUUUCCAUAUUUGUAACUCCAACUCUUGCCAUUUUCGGCUAUGUGUUAUGAUAUUCUCUCCGUGGUCGGGUUUUGUCUUUCGUUUUGCAUUUUGUUCAUGUCAUGCAUAUCAUAUCAUGUCAUCAUGUGCAUUGCAUUUGCAUACAUGUUCGUCUCAUGCAUCCGAGCAUUUUCCCCGUUGUCCGUUUUGCAAUCCGGCGCUCCCAUCUCCUCCGGCGCACCCCUCGUGUUUUCUUUUGUGAGCGGGUGUCAACAUUUCUCGAAAUGGACCGAGGCUUGUCAAGUGGCCUUGGUAUACUACCGAGAGACCAUCGGUCAAGUUUCGUUCCAUUUGGAGGUCGUUUGGUACUCCAACGGUUAACCGGGUAACCGCAGAUGCCUUCUGUGUGUUGCAGCAAAAAAACCCCUCAAAACCAGCCCAAAACCCACCAAACUCUCUUCCAUGCUGUAGGUCAUUCGAUCACGAUCGUGUGGGUGAAAACCGCACCUCAUUUGAACUCUCCUAGCUCCCUCUAGCUAUAUAUAUGCAUCCCCUCCCGAAAACGUUCGCAGAUCAAACCCUAACCUAAUCCCUCCGCGCUGCCGGACACGUCCGCCACCGGCCGGACGCCCCCGCCGCCGCGCCCCGUCCACUCACGCGCCGCCACCUGUCCCGCGGAUCCCCUCCACCACGCCAGCCCGCUCGGCUCGGGNNNNNNNNNNNNNNNNNNNNNNNNNNNNNNNNNNNNNNNNNNNNNNNNNNNNNNNNNNNNNNNNNNNNNNNNNNNNNNNNNNNNNNNNNNNNNNNNNNNNNNNNNNNNNNNNNNNNNNNNNNNNNNNNNNNNNNNNNNNNNNNNNNNNNNNNNNNNNNNNNNNNNNNNNNNNNNNNNNNNNNNNNNNNNNNNNNNNNNNNNNNNNNNNNNNNNNNNNNNNNNNNNNNNNNNNNNNNNNNNNNNNNNNNNNNNNNNNNNNNNNNNNNNNNNNNNNNNNNNNNNNNNNNNNNNNNNNNNNNNNNNNNNNNNNNNNNNNNNNNNNNNNNNNNNNNNNNNNNNNNNNNNNNNNNNNNNNNNNNNNNNNNNNNNNNNNNNNNNNNNNNNNNNNNNNNNNNNNNNNNNNNNNNNNNNNNNNNNNNNNNNNNNNNNNNNNNNNNNNNNNNNNNNNNNNNNNNNNNNNNNNNNNNNNNNNNNNNGCCACCGCCACCGUGCACUCGCCGCCGCUGUUCCGCGCGCCGCCGCGCCCGCUGGCGCCCGAGCCCCGCCGCCCUCUUCCUCCUCCGGACGGCCUCCUCCACCUCCUCCCCGAGCCGGCGCCCGGCCGCCCCGACCUCUCCUCCGGCCGCCGCACCCUCUCCGGCGAGCAGCUCGGCGCCUGUUGAGGAUAUAACCCUUAGAGUCACCCGCUCGGCGGGGCCGGGUUACACAUAAGGAUCAUCACCUGAAGCCCGGCGCCAAGCUUGAAGACGGUGGGCCAAAGAUGGGCUUAAUACCCGGAGAUGGCUUAAGGCCCGUAGUUACAACCGCCAUUAUGGUAGAACUUGUAGUGUAAGGCAAGAAUAGUUGAGAGUCCGAGCCGGACACUCUUAUGAGCCGGCUGGGAUUCUCAGAAACUGCUGGGCGUCAACCUCUCUAUAUAAAGGGACGACCCGGCAGCGGUUUAGGGGUAAGAAAGAUCUCGUCGAGAGCCAGGCAUAGCAGUUAAGCUCCCUGGUCAUCGAAACCCUAAUCAAUACCACCUCAACUGGACGUAGGCUUUUACCUUCACCGUAAGGGGCCGAACCAGUAUAAACCCUCGUGUUCCUUGUCCCGUUUAACCCCUUCAAGCUUCCUAGCGGCGAUGGCUCCACGACUAAGUCCUAGCUUGAGGACAUCUGCCGUGACAAUUCCACGACAGUUGGCGCCCACCGUGGGGCCAGCGCACGGUGGAUUUGAGUUCUUGAAGGGCAGCUUCGAAGGGCUCAAGGGAUACGUUGUGGGCCGGAUGACCAAGAGUCGUCGCGGCAAGCUCUACAUCGACGAUGCAAACUGGGGCCCCGACGCCGGCUCAAUUGAGUACGGGUACCGGGUCCCCUUCGGCGGAAUUCAUGUUUUCAUUGGCAAGAUUGGUGAGCCGGGCCCUGAGCCGGAUCUCUGCGCCGAUCUCAUCAAGACGGCUCCGCGCGCACGACCCGCCCGGGCCCUGCCUACCUUGAAGCAUGUUUUUGUGGGAUGUAUCCAUGGAGGGCUCUCUAAUGGAUCUGGAUCUGGGGAUGAGACGGCCGCCGGCUCUGACGGCGAGUCGUCCACAGAUGAGUCAAACUCGUUGUAUCAACUUCAAGAUGGCAGGCUCAUGGGCUGUUCCGAUGGUGACAGUAUUCCGGACCCGUUUGAGCCGCCGAGCCGGGUUGGAAUCUUCAUGGCCGGUGCGCAGCCUGUUCAGAACCCUGUUGCUGGGGCGGGAAACCCGGUGCCCUCGCCGACUCAGGUGCUGAUGGAUCUCACGGACAAGAUGACGGCCCUGUUGACCGCCGCGGUUGACCCGGCGGAUCAAGCUCAGCAUGACGCGGAGGUGGCGCAGUUAAAGUUAGAUCUAGUGAAAGCCAAGGAGGAUCUGGCAGCGGAAGGGAUCAGGAUGGCUGCAGAGAGGGCGACUCUCGACGCCCAAACUCAGUUGAUUCAGGCGCAGUCCUUCCGGCUCACGAUGGAUCAGAACGCGUCCAAUGAGGUCAUGAGAAGGAGGCAUCAAAAGGCCCAAUCUCGACUCCCUCCGGUCUACGAUCCUCGAAACCUCUUCGACACGCCAGGUGCAGGGUCUAGUAACCCGCCAGGGAUCAUAGUGCCCGGGUCUGGGACCCCUGUUCAGCCACAAGUGAUGGGGCCUCCCCGGGUGAACCCUGCCCCGCCUCAGUAUGUGCCAAUACCACCGGGUCAUUAUGCUAACCCGCUGGAGAACAUGGUCGCCGCAGCAGCACGGCUGGCGGCCCUUCCAAUUGACGGCGACUCUCCAAUAGCUAUUGAAACCCGCCGGGUCAGAGAACUCCUCCAGACAGCGCUGGCGUAGCAAGAGGCGUACUCUUACAAACGGGACAGGAUCCACUCGACCCCUCGUCCAGGCCGGAGCCCGAGUUAUAGCAGACACAUGGUCUCAGCGACCGGCUCAAGUAAUGUCCGACACCAUGACCCGCCCCCUGGCCAUGGCCCGGCUCAAACGGAGCCUUUCACGCAGCAGACCAAGACAGAGCGCGGCAAGAGGCGGAGCAGGUGCCUCAGUUGACGGCUUACCAAACUCCCCCGGUUUAUCCGACGACUUCCGUCGACGUGGGUAUCCCGACGAGGACUGGAGGUGUCCCUUGUUUAGUGCCAGCUCUCCGCAAUGAACGUCUACCCAAGGACUUCAAAGGCCCUCGGAAGGUGCCUAAUUACACGGCUGACUUACAACCCGGAGCCUGGAUUGAAAGUUACGAGAUGGCCAUGGAACUGCUGGAGGUCAGUGAAGCGGCGAUGGCCGAGUACUUCACCAUGAUGCUAGAUGGGACUGCCCGCACUUAGUUGAAAGGGCUACCGCCGAAUUCCAUCGGAUCUUGGGCUGAGCUGAAGGCCCGGUUCAUACAAAACUUCAAAGACACCUGUAGGCAGUCUAUGUCAAUAGUGGAUUUGACUAACUGUAAAUAGCAGGAGGGUGAGUCUACGACACAUUGGGUUCGCCGGGUCAAAGAGAUCAUACAUUCAUCGGAUAAGAUGGAUGCCUGCUCUGCCGUCUUAAUGUUGGAGCAAAAUUGUCGUUUUCUGCCCCUGAAGAUGAAACUCGGGCGGCUUAAGCGCGACUACAAUGAUAUGGGUACGCUGAUGGCGGCUCUCGUCAAGUACGCCGAUUCUGAUAGUACCAAGGACCCCGCUUCAGAUGAUGAAAGGACAGGGAAGGGAAAGAAGAACGGCAAUGGCAAGGGUCCUCAGCAUAACCCGGGGAACCAAGGAGGUGGCAAGCGUAAGGCCGACGGUAGCCUAGAGUUCGUGGCCAACGCCAGCUCACAGGGUAAUAGCCAGGGACGCAAGGGGAGGCCCCCUCCCCGAGCCGGCGGGUCAGGCCCGACGCUGGAGCAGCUGUUGAAUGAGCCCUGUCCAAGGCAUGGCUCUAGAGAGAAGCCAGCUACUCAUCUAUGGAAGGAUUGUGCAAUCAUGAAGGCCUUUAAGAAUUCCAACGCCUUUAACGGCAACAAUGGCCCGGGCGGUGGCUCAGGCACCGGCGGCUUUUAUGGCCCGGGCGGCGGCUCAAAUUCUAAUCCUCAGAAUGGUCAAGGGGGCUUUAAUCAGCAGUCUGGCCAGGGUCAUCAACAGCAGCAGGGGGGUUAUCAGACCAAUCCAAAGCAGCUUAGUGGUGGACAGUAUCAUGUAUUUACCACCAGUCUGUGUAAGCGAGAUCAGAAGCUUCAUAAGAGGGCUGUGAAUGCUGUUGAGCCAGCGGUUCCACGCUAUUUAAGAUGGUCUGAGCAGCCUAUUGUGUGGAGUAGGGAGGAUCACCCUCCCCGGGUGGAUAAUCCGGGUCACUUGGCCUUGGUGGUGGCUCCUCAGGUGGGAGGAUAUAAGUUCGCUAAGGUGCUCAUGGAUGGAGGUAGCAGCAUCAACAUCCUCUAUUAUGAAACUUUCCGACGAAUGGGGUUGAUUGAUAAGAACCUCAGCCAGUCAAACACUAUUUUCCAUGGUGUGGUACCUGGUAAGUCGGCUUAUCCAGUCGGCAAGAUCGAGUUGGAAGUGGCCUUUGGAGACGAGCACAACUACAGGGUGGAAAAAUUGACCUUUGAGGUGGUCAAGAUAAGAAGCCCGUAUCAUGCCAUAUUUGGGCGGCCGGCUUACGCCAAGUUCAUGGCACGGCCGUGUUACGUGUAUUUACAGCUCAAGAUGUCGGGUCUCAAUGGGACCAUUACGGUUCAUGGCAGCCGGAAGGUGGCCUUGGAGUGUGAGGAAGGCGAUGCAGCUUAUGCAGAAUCUGCUUGUGCAACAGAGGAGUUAAAAUUCUACAAGGACAAUGUUGACCCAACAGAUAUGACCUCUCUGAAAAAGCCGACUACGGAGCAUGAGCCGGCAAUGAAAUUUAAGUCGGCUGAUGAGACUAAACUUGUUGAUUUCAUUCCAGGUGAUUCAUCUCAGCAGUUUAGCAUCAGUGCCAAUCUGGAUCCAAAAUAGGAAAGCGCGCUCAUCGAGUUCAUCCGUGAGAAUAGGGACAUUUUUGCAUGGAAACCUUCUGACAUGCCAGGUGUACCUAGAGAACUCGCUGAGCACACUCUCAAUAAGUCCACAUAAAGGCCGGUAAGUGUGUUAUUACGGUUAUAUCAAGGAUAUCAUUGAAGACCAGUCUUUCAUGACUUAGAUCUUUAUUCCGGGCUAUAUGUACGAGACUACGAUUCUCAGUGCGGUAAGCCGCCUCGAGACUUGUGAUUUUGUUUUUCUAUGCAGGAUAGUUAAAGACAACUAUUUGAGCUUGAGGAAAAGGAAUGAUCAAUUAUGACCCGGAGAAAUAUAAGGAAGCAACUUCAAUGGAAUUCAGCAUUCAACACGUGCACGAUGGCACGGCAAAGUUAAGGUGUUGGUCCUAUUCUAUUACAAGACUCAUCGAGUCCAAAAGGGUGAAGCAUUGUUUAAAUAAGCCGCCUACAGAGUUAAGAUGCUUGCUGGGUCGACGCUUCCGGCUCAUCCCUCUCCGCUCCUCCGGCUGUUCACAAGACCUGGAAAGUUGACGAUUUCCAGUCAAUGCCGCUCAGAGCUUCAAAUUGAGCUUCCUCGUCAAUUAACCCGGCCGGGUCAAUUUCCGGGGCAAAGGUCUGCUUACGAGUCGGCGGGACUAAGCUGAUGGCUUCAUAACGCGGAGUGGGGAUCCUCUGAUUCUCUGCAUCGUAACCCGGCUGGUACUUGGUCAGAUCCGUGUCAUUUCCAAUCAGGGUGGCCACCGGGCGCACGAUCUUCACGCAGGCUGCAAAGUCCCUUUGGUCGAAGGGGGUCCCGUCUUCCUUCAAGCUGGGAUAGCAAGGGCAAUGUCCGCCGGGUCUAAUUCUGGAAGGAACGCCUUGGCCCGGCUCAGAGCAGCUAUGGCUCCGGCUCUUGCAGAGGCCCGUCGCAGCUCUUGGACACGCUGAGGAAGAACAGCAAGCCGGCGAAGAACUUCCGCCAGGUGAGUCGGCACCUCAUUGGAUAGGGCCACCACGGCCAAGGCGCGCUGUGACCCGGUGUAGAGUUGCUCCACCAGAGUGUACACGGCCUUCAACUUGGUCAGCACACUUUGGUUGAGGUUGACACUUCUGGGACCUGUUUAACAAAGUAGGAUAAGCCGUUCUCAGUAAUGGGAGUUAUGAGAUAUAAAGGUUAUGAACUUAUCGAGAGCCGGUGGAAUAACUUACCGAAGAUGGCGGCGACCAUAUGUGACACAUGGCGUUUCAAGCCGGAGAGUUCGGCGAUUCUCUCUGACAGAGCCUUCUCCGCCUGUUUGGCCCGGCUUACAAGCGCAGUCUUCUCUUCGGCCCAAGUCUUCCUUUCCGUUUCAAAGUCCUUCUUCAGCUUCUCUUGAGCAGCAAUGUUGGACACAAAUUUGGCGUUGGCUUUCUGGGUUUCAGUUUCCUGCGUCCUCAGGCGGGUCUUCAGAUCAGAGAUGUCAGCCUCAAGCUUCUUGCAAGCAGCCUGCACAAUUUCCGGGUUAUAGUAUGAACAGUUACUAUGCAAAUUUAAAGUCCCAAGCGCUUUCCAAGCAAAGACACUUGGCACUUGGGGGCUAAUGCAUGUUGAAAGUCUCUAUCUACAGAUUACCGGUUCAUGGAAGUAAGCCGGAAGUUAAGUCUACAACAUAUUCUGUCAUAAGUAGUAGACUUGGGGGCUAGAGUAUGGUAAAGAGGAUUAUGCAGUAAGCAGUAGAGUGGUACCUCAGACUUCUGUUGUAUCUGUUUCACCAUGUCGAUCUCCAAGUCCCGGCUGCUGUGCACUUGAUUGACAUAGCCGGAGAUGAUCUCUCCAAUGCUCAGGUUGGUGUAGUCUGUGACGUCCAGCUUGGCCCGGUGGCGCGCUAGCAACUCCUCCUUCGCAGAGCACUUAGCCAGUGCAGUGGGUCUCCCCGGCUCGACAAACUCCGUCCGGGUGAUUACCACGUCCGGGUCAUCGACCGGUUGAGCCGGGCUGGAGAUAUCCGGGUUGGUGGAAGUCUCCAUGGCCGGCUCAUCAACUGGAAUGGUGGCGUCAGGAGCAGAAGCAGCUGGCGGCUCUUGAACUGAAACCUCUGGCUCAGGCAAGACCGUCUCUUCGAACGGCUUAUUCUUCUUUGCUCUUUUACUGAGCUUUGCUUGAGCACUGAAAGGACAAGAGGUUAGUACAAAAGUAUGAGUAAAGAUAAAGCACAGCAAGGGAUGAUCAUCAUUACCCGGGUACGGUCUUGAAAGCCGGCAAAUUCGACUGCAUCGAGUCACCAAAGGAAGGAGAUGUUUCGUGAUAAUUUGAAUCAGAAGAAUUGAGAGGUUGACGUAUAACACCCGCCAGAGGAUGAAAAGGAUAUAAGUUGGAGAUAACCUCGGUCCGGCGCUUCCUUGAUGCCUUAGGUAAGCCGGAGGAGAGGUCAGCAUCCUUGUUGGUCCGGGUGUGCCGCCGGCUCUCAUGAAUCUGUUGCUUCAAAAGAAAUUGAGGAUCUUGAUAAGCUAAAGGAUGUGAAAAUAUUACUUUCCGGGUUACCCUUCGGACUUUCAGCCUUGGCAAGGGCUCCGAGUCGGAGGAAAGUGUCAUUACCUCUUCAACCACCAGGUUACUUGCUCCGGUGUCAUCCUGUUGAUGAACAGUAUUGAUAAAGGUGGACAGAAAUAAACAAGAAAUGCAACAAGAGCUCACAGGUUCAGGGGUUACCUCUGACUCGGAGCUGUCACUCAGUUGAAGCAGCUCUGAGGCAGUGGGCCUGCUUCCCUUCUUGCGGGGAGCGGCUCUCUUAGCGGCUUUCUUAGCCUUUCUGGCCUUCUUGGCCGCCUCAUGGUCAUAUUUGACCUUCCAGAAUUUGUCAUCAGCCUGAAAAAUACAAUGACGGUUUCUUAAGGUUCAGAUGAAAGCUAUUUACAAAAGAAAAUAAGAUGUUCAGAUCAGCGGCUUACCGCUGGGGCCGGGUUGGUCUUGCAGAAGGGGCUUAAGCCGGUCCUCCCGCAGUCUGCGAAGCUCUCGUUCAAGAGAGCCUUGGUCAUGUCCUCAGCAACGUCUUCAGGAAGAUCGUUGCGGCUGUGUCUCGGGGGGUCAUCUUUCCGGCCCGUGUACUCACACAUUAAGCCGGGGCGGCGGUUUAAGGGGAUCACCCGCCACGAGAUCCAGACUCGGACCAGAUCAAUGCCAUUAAGGCCAUUUCCCAGGAGAGCCUUGAUUUUGUUGAUGGUGGCGAUCAGAGGUUGGCGCUCCCCUGAGUUAACUUGUCUGACAGAGGGUGAGUUGGUUCCAGACGCGAAGGACGAAAGCCGGGCAGCGGGCUCUCGUCAGCCGGCGACGUGUCUUGGCAGUAGAACCACGUCUGGUUCCAGUCCUUUGGGUGGCUUGGCGGCUCGGCGUAAGGAAAAAGGCAGUCUCUCCGUCGCUGAAUGGAGAUUCCACCAAGUUCUAAGCUCGGCCCGUUGGCGCACUCGUUCUGGCGGUUCAAAUAGAACAGCUCUCUAAAGAGUAGAAGGCUGGGCUCCUCUCCAAGGUAGACCUCGUAGAACACUUGGAAGUUGCAUAUGUUCGACACCGAAUUGGGUCCUAUAUCUUGUGGCCGCAGGUCAAAGAAAUUCAGUACAUAUCUGAAGAACUUUGAGCCGGGCGGUGCGAAGCCCCGGCUCAUGUGAUCCGCAAAUAUUACCACCUCCCCGUCCUUUGGCUGUCGUCUCUCCUCUGACGGGUCAGGGGCGCGGUAAGACAUGACGUCCUUCUUGGGCAGGUAACCCGUCUUCACAAAAUCUGCUAAGGUUUCGUCGGUGACGUUGGACCUCAUCUAGUUGCAAGUGAUGGGUGCUUUGGGAGCUUUGGGAGGCAUGGUGAAAGUCGGAAGCCUAUGAUAAAAGGAAAUGUCCGGUUUAAUUAUAAGCCGGAGGGAAUUUACAGUUCAAUGUUUAAAGUGGCGGCUUAUGAAGGGGCCUAAUGACAUAUACCUAAGUGCAUCGGGUUAUCUAAGCCGCUGGAGGUAUUGAGAGUAAUUCAAUCGUCUACAACCUCGUUCUAAAUGAGCCGGAAAAUUUUACGGCGCGUGGCUUCUUUUGAGCCGGAAGGUUUUACGGUGCGUGGCUUCUUUAAGCCGGAAAUGUAAACCGCCAUGACUCAGCAGGUGCAGUUUUUUACUAAGUGUGGUGAAAACAGGUUUCACACAUCGCAAUAACUAAUUUGGAUCAAAACAAUCGGCUAAAAAGGAAAGUUUCUAGACCUAAAACAGACGCAAAGGAAGUUCUUGGGUUCGAACGGAGCCUUUAUACAGUGAAAAGAGAUCUAUUUGCAUUUGAAAUGGGUGCCAAACAGCUACCGCGUUGUUUUUAUACUAUCUUCAGAUCAAGAAAGGGCGGCGGUGGUGAAAUCUAUGAAGAGUUCAUGACGAACAGCGAAGAACACCGGUGAACUCAAAAAUCUUAAUGCAAAUCUAAGGAACGGAGAGGAAGGAACUUACAGACGCAGGUGUGCUGUGAGGGUUCGCCGCGGUUCUCUGGACGGUUCAGGGUGAUGCAGCGGCCAAGGUCGACGAGGACGCGGAGCUCUGUUGCGGCGGCGGCGGCGGCGGAGCUCGAGCAGCGCAAGAGUAGCGAGAGGAAGAGGACGACAGAAGGGGGAGAAUGGAAAAGACCCGAGGGUCGGGCUAUUUAUAAGGCCAGACUCAUAAGUGGGCGCGAGAAACGAGGAGGCCACGGCGCGGUUAUCUCACCAUAAAACGCCUCGAUUUUCGGGAUGACAGUAAAGAUAAAUCCGUUGCGAAUAUGGUGGAGUAAUAAACGGACUUAAUGGAAGAUGACGUCACGGCGGAUUACCCGGAAUCCAGAGGAUGACGUCACGCCGGGUUAUGGCCUUCACACAAUUGUAAGCCGGAGAUUUUCUGUCGAAAGGAUUGAAGAUUGACAUGAGCCGGCUCAAAUCAAUCUGGGGCCUAAUGUUGAGGAUAUAACCCUUAGAGUCACCCGCCCGGCGGGGCCGGGUUACACAUAAGGAUCAUUACCUGAAGCCCGGCGCCAAGCUUGAAGACGGUGGGCCAAAGAUGGGCUUAAGACCCGGAGAUGGCUUAAGGCUCGUAGUUACAACCGUCAUUAUGAUAGAACUUGUAGUGUAAGGCAAGAAUAGUUGAGAGUCCGAGCCGGACACUCUUAUGAGCCGGCCGGGAUUCUCAGAAACUGUUGGGCGUCAACCUCUUUAUAUAAAGGGACGACCCGGCAGCGGUUUAGGGGUAAGAAAGAUCUCGUCGAGAGCCAGGCAUAGCAGUUAAGCUCCCUGGUCAUCGAAACCCUAAUCAAUACCACCUCAACUGGACGUAGGCUUUUACCUUCACCGUAAGGGGCCGAACCAGUAUAAACCCUCGUGUUCCUUGUCCCGUUUAACCCCUUCAAGCUUCCUAGCGGCGAUGGCUCCACGACUAAGUCCUAGCUUGAGGACAUCUGCCGUGACAAUUCCACGACAGCGCCCGAGCUCGGGCCAGAUCGAGAUCCACUCCGGUUGACUUUUUCUCUCCCCCCCCCCCGUCUUUGAUUUUGACAAUAAGUGCCCAUGUUCAUCGCAUCAUAACUCUCUGCAUAUAGCUUCGUUCCACGCGUGUAAUAUGUCAAAUUGUUCGUCUCAUGAUGCUCUACACUUUGUUCAAUUGCACCAUGUUCAUUAGAGGCCAUAUUGAUGCCCAAAUCUCUGGUGCAAGAGUGCUACUUGCUGUUAUCUGAUGUUACUUAGCAGAACUUGGAGAUUUGUUAUUUUUGUAUCAUUUAAUCUGUACAUCUUAUGGGCAUGAGCUCUGCAUGUGUUUUGUUGUAUGCCAUGCCAUCUUUCCAGGGGUGUAUGCCAUGUAUUUUUGUGAUCUCUGUGGUGACUAGCACAAGCAUGCAAACUAGGCUCCGUAAUGUUUCUGAUUUCAGAGUCUUAGUGAUUUCUCUAAGUCCUUGUCUGCUGUUAUUUUGUUGCCAUGUAAACUUGACGCUACACAGAGAUCCAUGCAUAUUUUGGAGAUGUUCAGUAGGGAUGUUUUAUAGAUAUUGUUCUAAUUGAUCCAUUUCUGCCCUUGUUUGCAAUUAUGGAGUGCCAUAGCAUGACUCAAAUAUUGCUCUAUUUUUGCUAUAAAAUAUUUCUGGCAGAUUCUUAACAUGAUAUGCAAUUUUGCCAAGCUUAUUGUAGUUGAUCCAUACAUGCUAUGUAUCCGUUCUUGCCAUGGAUAGCUUCAUAAACAUGCCUUCUUACUGUAGGUAUGCUUCUUUUGUCAUGCAUUACUCUGUAGUGAGUGCAUCAAGCUCACAAAGAUGCCUUCAUAUUAUUGUUUCUGCCAUGCUCUGUUUUCUGCCAAGUCUGGAACCUGUUAACGAAACUUGCUAUGUUUACAUGGUUGCCAUCAUAUCUUCUGGUCCUUUUUGGCUUAUGGUCAGUAAGGGACUUUUGUCAUAUGCAUUUAGCAGAAUACUGCCAUGCCUUGUUUUUCCAUGUUAAGUUCCUGUAGCAUGUUGAUUUCGUGCUCGGAACAUUGCUACCUGAUGCUGUUUUCUGCCAUGUCCAGUAAUUUCACCAAGUCUGUGAUCCCGUUAUCUUUUGCACUUUUGCCAUGCUUGUUUGAGCUUGUUAUGUUGUAAUCUAGCCGUAGCUCAGUGUUCAUCUUUUGUCAAGCAUCUCCUGUAGUUUACUGCCAUAUGGUUUGUUGCUAUGUUGAAGUGUUGUAGCAUUGUUACUUGUUGCAUUUUAAGUACUAUCAUGCUGUUAAUCGCAGAUUCGUGUCAUUCUUGUUUUGCUUGCCAUUUGCAAACCGUGCAUCCGUUUCCGGUGAUCUUUAUAUCGAUUUCGACCGAAAUUAUCUCAUCUUUCCAGUGGCAUGCUUGGUUUGCCAAGUUACUGCCUUGUUCAUCAUUUUUCUUCCGGAGCACGCAUAUGCAUCAUAUCAUAUCUGGCAUAUCAUUUAUGUAUUGCAUCAUGUUGCUUGUGCAUUCCCCGUGAUUGAUUGUGGUUCCAUUGUUUGUGUUCUUGUCUUGGGUAGAGCCGGGAGACGAGUCCGUGAAUGAGGAACCUGUUGAGUACGCUUACGAGGAUCAAGCUUUCGACAACUCUGAGAACCUUGCAGGCAAGAUGACCCCCCCCCCCUCGAAAUCACUUCUAUCUUUGCUUUGCUAGUUGUUCGUUCUAUUGCUAUGCUGCGCUACCUACCACUUGCUAUACCAUGUCUCCCAUAUUUCCAUGUCAGCCUCUAACCAUCCUUUCCUAGCAAACCGUUGUUUGGCUAAGUUACCGCAUUUGCUCAGCCCCUCUUAUAGCGUUGCUAGUUGCAGGUGAAGUUGAAGUUUGUUCCAUCUUGGAACAUGGAUAUGUUGUGAUAUCACAAUAUCUCUUGUUUAAUUAAUGCAUCUAUAUAUUUGGUAAAGGGUGGAAGGCUCGGCCUUAUGCCUGGUGUUUUGUUCCACUCUUACCGCCCUAGUUUCUGUCAUACCGGUAUUAUGUUCCUUGAGUUUGCGUUCCUUACGCGGUUGGGUGAUUUAUGGGACCCCCUUGACAGUUCGCCUUGAAUAAAACUCCUCCAGCAAGGCCCAACUUUGGUUUUACCAUUUGCCACCUAAGCCUUUUCCCCCGGGUUUUCCCGAGCCCGAGGGUCAUCUUUAUUUAAACCCCCGGACCAGUGCUCCUUCGAGUGCUGGCCCAAACCGAGCGAUGUCUGGCGCCCCCUGGGCAACCAGGGUCUAUGCCAACCCGACAUCUGGCUCAUCCGUUGUGCCCUGAGAACGAGAUAUGUGCAGCUCCUAUCGGGAUUUGUCGGCACAUUCGGGCGGCUUUGCUGGUCUUGUUUUACCAUUUUCGAAAUGUCUUGUAAACCGGGAUUCCGAGACUGAUCGGGUUUUUCCGGGAGAAGGUUUAUCCUUCGUUGACCGUGAGAGCUUAUGAUGGGCUAAGUUGGGACACCCCUGCAGGGUAUUAUCUUUCGAAAGCCGUGCCCGUGGUUAUGAGGCAGAUGGGAAUUUGUUAAUGUCCGGUUGUAGAGAACUUGUCACUUGACCCAAUUAAAAUACACCAACGGUGUGUGUAGCCGUGAUGGUCUCUUCUCGGCGGAGUCCAGGAAGUGAACACGGUUUGAGUUAUGAAUGACGUAAGUAGGAGUUCAGGAUCACUUCUUGGUCAUUGCUAGAUGACGACCGCUCCGUUGCUUCUCUUCUCGCUCUCUUUUGCGUAUGUUAGCCACCAUAUAGGCUUAUUGCUUGCUGCAGCUCCACCUCAUUACACCAUCCUUUCCUAUAAGCUUAAAUAGUCUUGAUCUUGCGGGUGUGAGAUUGCUGAGUCCUCGUGACUCACAGAUUCUACCAAAACAGUUGCAGGUGCCGACGAUGCCAGUGCAGAUGAUGGGAUCGAUCGGGGAUCUAGCAUUCGGGGUUAUCUUAUUUUCAUUUGGAUCUUAACCGUAGCCGGUCUAUGUGUGUAUUUUGGAUGAUGUAUGAUUAUAUUUAUGUAUUGUGUGAAGUGGCGAUUGUAAGCCAACUCUUUAUCCCUUUCUUGUUCAUUACAUGGGAUUGUGUGAAGAUGACCCUUCUUGCGACAAAACCACAAUGCGGUUAUGCCUCUAAGUCGUGCCUCGACAUGUGGGAGAUAUAGCCGCAUCGUGGGCGUUACACCCCAUGCGUGUGUCGACUCACGCAAGCGUGACACAUGCCCUCACGCGCGAGCCGGCACAGGCGGACGUGGCACACGCCCCACCUGCCGCGACCGGACCAGCCCAACGGGCGGCGAGGACGUCGACAGGUGGGUCAGGCUCACCCAUCAUGAGCGAGACCGCACGCGAAAAGGCCAUCACACGUGCGCCCUCUUCUGCCAAUGAUGGUGGCCCUGGGUGCACCCUCGGUCUACGUCAUGGACCACGAAGGCGGGUCGCCCGAGCGCGUGCCGUCCCUGAAGAUCGGACAUUGGGGAGAGCCCACGAGAUGCCCUCACGGCAUGCCAGCUGGAAACAGAUAGCGUAGAGGUUCUCUUCACUCUCAAAUCCCUCAGGAGGUUGGUACUCCAGCAUUCUUUAUAAGAGUAAUGAUACACACGCUCUUGUGUAUUUGAGAAAAAUGGGACGCAACAAAAACAUCAAUGAUCAUAUUCAACAACUAUUAGAGAUAUUAAAGAGAUGUACCGCAACAAAACAGGCUAAGCAAGAACGAACAUUCUCAGAAAAAACUUUGGGGCUUUUCAGCAAAUAUACCGCUUUGUUUGUUGAUAUCGUUGAAGGCCUUCAAUCCUUAAGAAAAAACGAUGAUCUCUUCCCUUUCUUUGACGGGAAUGGAGGUCUAAUACAAAUGUUCUUUCUCGAGGAAACAUGAAGAUAAGAACAAACAAGAACCUACCAGAACAAAACAAGAAUGGGCAUAAUGAACCGCUUUUUCUCAUCCCUGUUAUAUCUGUAUGUUCGAUUAUGUAUUCCACUAUUAGGCGAUCCUACGGAACAAGUAUGCGACUCCACACGAAUAGGUAUACCGUCAUGAUACACGAAUCCAUUACACACAAUAACGAACAACCAACACCUAUAUACAUACACCAUCGUUAGAAUCUUGGCACAGUUCGGCAGUAUAGGAUCCGCGUACCCCCGCCACUGUUUGCUACAAAUUAUCUUCUUUACGAAAGCCAGCACGUUGAAGGAUCCAACACCCAACACCGAAGGAAGGCACACCUAUGCUUGGCUAGACACCCUCGUCGAGCAAGCAAAAAAAAGAGGCAAAGGCCAUUGCCUCUUUAUUCGUUGCAAUAUCUUUUACUAGGGUCUCACCACACCAAGCCACGAGGGCCGGCCUCUCAUGGCGGCCGCUAGGGGUGGAAACGGAUCGGAUGUGGAUCAGAUAGUGCUCUUAUCACUUCCAUUUUCAUAUUUUCAAAACGAAUACGAAUCCGAAUACGGAUGUUACCGGAUACGGAUGCAGCUCGGAUAUUAUUCGAAUACGGAUAUGUAUCGGAUAUUUUCUUGAUUCGGAACGGAUACGAAUAAUAUCAACAUAUUGCUUAAGUAAAUUAGUCGAUAGCUAUGGACCUGAAAUAAUCAACUUGUGACAUACAAUAAGUCAAUGGUAAAUAGGUUUAUGAAUAAAUACUAUUGUAAUGCAUAAUAAUUUAUAAGUUUAAUCAUAUAAAGAGUAAAAUUUGACCCCUUAUUUGGCUUUUAUGUUGGAUAAUUGGAAUACUGGGUCUAGAAUUUUGAAAAUUACCUCUCAUAAUCUUAUUCGGAUACGGAUAUAUCCACUUCCAUAUCCAUAUUUGUGUCAAAAUCUCCUACCAUAUUUUAUUUUUUAUCUGUUUAAUAAAUUCGGAUACGGAUAAUUUUCAUUUCCAUUUUGGUUCGGAUGCAGAUGUUUCGGAUACGAAUAGGCAUUUUCUCGAAUACGAAUAUCGGAUAUUUCGGAUUAUCCGCUACCACUUUCCACCCCUAGCGACCGCCUCGAGUGACGAGAGGAUCCUCGAAAGCAAGCAAAGAACAAGACCCGUGAGAGCGAUUCUUCAAAGAGGAACACGCCUGCACAAACCAGAGAAACGGAACCCCGCAACCACCGGCACACCAACACGGUGAGUACCGGCAUACCCCUAGACCUCCUGGCGACGGUAGAGUAAGCAUCAGCACCAUGCUAAUUAUCUUAACUAAAAGAAGUGUUUGGGAAGAAUUGUGGGGGCCAAUGGCUGUCGGCAUUUACUUUGACCUGAGUUCGCCGCCUCACUCUAAUUCUUGCAAAGGUUAUUCCAAGGUAUUUUACUGAAUGGGAUGCUAGCUGUUUAACGGUUUUUUAUCCAAUAUAAUGGGCAUUUCCUGUGUUUUAAGGAAAAACUAUCAAAACAGACAAACAAACAGUAGGAAAGUGAGGCUGUCCCGAUUCAAGUUCUCACGAGUGAGAAUAUGAGUUCCCAUUCACCUAUCAGUUUUCCUUCAAAAGGGAUCAGCUACCAACCCAGCAAGAUUACACGAGAGACGUGGUAAAUCAGAGUGAGAGAGGGGGAAAAGAGAGAAGCAAAAUAGUGAACGCGUCGGUCUGCUUUAGUGUAUUGUAAAAAUAAAAAAUCUUGCAAGAGAAUGGCAUCUUAUUGCUUUUAAUAAGGGAGAAAAGAAACUGAGAGACGGACGCAGGAGGGACAGAGGAUAGAAAAGUGGCGGGCAAGUGCUCUCCCUCUGUGUGACCAGUGACCGUCGUCCAGAAGUAAAAAUGGCUAACGCGCCAGUCCGCUUUAAUCCAAAGAAAAGAAACCUUGCACCAAAAUGGCAAAAUGGCAGCUGGGUGCUUUGAUAAAUGAGAAAAGAGACGGGAGCGACGGACGGACGGGCCGAGACAGAGGAGAGGAAAGUGAGGCCACCAGCCCCUUCUACUUCCAUUAAAACCCCACUCCCCUGCCUCGCACCUCCGGCUCCGGGACCCCGACGAACGCCGAGCAAGCCAUUGUGAGGUACUCUCAGUCCGCCCCCAAAUCCAGGCCUCUCUCUUCCUCGGCUUCUUCAUGGCAGUCCCAAAUCCCGUCUCUUUACCGCGGAUUAUCGCAUCGUGCUGUUCUUCACUUUUUCUUCUGGAGUUGAGGGUUUCCAGAGUUUUUCUUUUCUUUUCACGAAACAGGAUUCAGGGUUCUUCAUGGAAGCCGCAAAUCCCGUCUCUUUACCGCGGAUUAUCGCAUCCUACCCCGUUCUUCACUUUUUCUUCUGGAGUUGAGGGUUUUUCAGACUUCCAGUUUUAUUUUAUUUUCAAGAAACAGGGAUUCAGGGUUCUUCUGGAGUUGAGGGUUUCCAGUUUUUCUUUUUCUUUUCUCGAAACAGGAUUCAGCGUUCUUCAUGGACGUCGCAAAUCUCGUCUCUUUACCGCGGAUCGCGCGCUUGUGAUCCUACUAUUCUUCACUUUUUCUUCCGGAGUUGAGGGUUUUUCAGAUUUCAAGUAUUAUUUUUCCCAAAACAGGGAUUCAGGGUUUUGGGAUGCAAGUUCUUGGCUUUCUUUCGUAAUCGAUAGAGGGGGUAAAGCGCGUAGGUUUUUAAUAGUCGAUCUGCUCGUGUACAGAGACUUCUACUUCUUGUUCUCUCCUUUAUUUUGGCGGGUAAUGAUUUUUACAUGCCGUGGUCAUCAUUUUUCACCAAGAUUGGCUCUGCCUCUCAAGAUUCUGUAUGUUCUUGACCCAACAGUAUGGCAUGAUAGUUACAAUUUUUGUGUGCCUACCGUGGUUCUUUAGUACUGGUAGUCUAUAUGAUAAUGUGCUACCUUUACCUGAGAUUGGCUCUACCUGAUGAUUUAAUCUCACUUGCAGAGGAGGAGAGAAGAGGAAGGGGCAGAUCUAUGGGCAACUGCAAGAGUUCAUGUAUGUAUGCCUAGCCAAUCGUGAUGUUUAGACUGUGUCCUUAAUAAACCAAAUAAAAGUUAGAUGUUUGGACUCUGUCUUCUAAAAACCAAAUAAAAGCUUGAUGUUUGGACUUUGUCUUUUAAAACUGUAAAAGUUAGAUGUAAUUUACAGCAUUAAAUCCUUGGAAAAAGUCAAGGCAGGAAUAUGAAAUCCUAGCUCUUAAUUGAAGAUGGCUAGCUAGUAUGUUGAGUAUAUCACUCUCCUUAUCUAGAAACACGAAGUUGUUUGAGUGCUGGUCUUGAUGUCUUGUUGAUUAGAAGCGGUAGUACAGGUUAAUGACAUACUAUAAGAAAGUACAAGUAUUUCUGCUUUGUUCUACCCCUAAUUGAUGACUUGAAUAACUAUAUGCGUUCAAGAUUUUGAUUCAUUUAAUCAGGACACGAAGAACUUAUGUGCUGUUGUUCAUUCUUGCGGUUGUUGAUAUUGUACUCUGUUCAUUUGGAACUGCAACAUGCACAUGACUCUUCUCAUAGCAUGUUCUCUCUUUCCUUGUUUUCUAAUUUUGAGUUAUUGCAUUUGUGCAAAUAUCAGCUCGUGCACGCCUAGGAAAGGCCCAUGUCGUUCCGGAUUCAGAAUGGAGGAUGCAGGACUUUGGAAAGACCCAUGUUCCUGAUUUAGAAUGGAGGAUUAAUGACUUCUCAUCGCUGCUUGAGACAGGAGCUAAGUCAGCAAAAUCUGACGCUUUUCACUGCUCUGGGUAUAACUGUUAUGCACCAUAAUUGCAGAAGAAACUCUGCAAUAUUCAUGUAUUAGCUGUAAAUACCAUCUAGCUUAUUUUCGUAGAAGAUAAUUAUAUGUUAUCCAUAUACACAUUGAUUUAGGAUGCCAUUUACUAACAAUGAUGUUUCAAUCGAUCAUCGAUGUAAUCAAAUUAGCAAUCACAAUCUCAUAAACAAACAGUCAGAGGCUAAAACUUGAUAUGGUGCAUGAAGUGAAGAAAUUAGACUUCAUUCCUACUUCAGUUAUGAAUUCUAGACUGACUUUGGUUUCUUCGCAUGAUUUCCUUUACCAGGUACCUGCACGUGAGUCCAAUGCAUAAGGAAAUUGGUUCUGAAACGCAAUAUGUUGCUCUUCGUCUUAAGACAUCCGAAGCAAGCAUGGUGCCAGGUCACACGGUGCAUGUGGUUUUUGAGUUGUCAAUAUACAACCAUACAAAAGGAAUGUACUGCGGAUGCAAAGGUAGUCUCAUGGAUGUGUUUUUUCAAGCACAUCCAUCAUAUUACAGCUACAAAUCCAUAGUCCUUUGUGUGUCAUAAGUUUGAGAAUUAAAUACCAUGAUUCCAUCAUUACAAGUCAUCAACAUCUGUAAAUAUCGAAAUAUGAUCAAAUACAACGUUUUACCAUUAACAAGUCGCUUGAGACAUUAAUAAAGUGGCUGCAUGCAUUGCCCAGAUGCAGAGGCCGGGGGUCUUCCUCCUUUUCUAAAAGAAAAACGUUAACAAGUCUCUUUGUAUUUUCUUUGCUGUCAAGUUUCUCUGUAGACCUUCAGGAAUUUGGAAGGUUCAGAUGGCAUACACAUGUUUCUCACUUGAGACAUUACAAGUUUCUCUGUAGACAUUACAAGUUUCACACUUGGGACUAUUAUGGUUCAGAUGGCAUACACAUGUUUCUCUUUAAAUCUGAUUAUCAUUAUUUGGAUGUAAUUCACUACCUUGCUUUCUUAGCUAGGGUGAAGGUUGGUUAGAUAUUAUUUGGUAUAUUUUUGUCUUGCAUACAAGUUCUUCAUUCUCUAAUAUUCUAACUUUACCUAACUGCAGAUACCUACAACUUUCAUUUCAAGAAUACCUACUCGAAGGAGCAAUGCUUGAUUCCUCUUCAGGAGCUACUGAAAUCAUCUGCUUUUCUAGUUGAUCAUAGCUGUGUCUUCGGUGUGGAGAUAUUAAAAAUUGAUGUCUCUUCUCCUGAAAAGAUGGCUGUUGUGGUUCAGAAGAAGGAUACCACAGUUCAGAACCUCUUUGUUCAGAAGAAGGGGUUCGUCAAAAGGACAUACACUUGGAACAUGAACAAUUUCCUUGACCUGGACUUGGAUCACUUUGUUCGCUCUCCUACAUUUGAAGUUGACGGGCAUAAAUGGUAUGCACCUGUUACUAGUUAGGCAGUUACAUCACAAAUGAUUUAUAUAAAUGGUAUGCAUGUGUUAUCCAACAUUUUAGCUUACAAGUAUCCGUUAGCUUACCAUACCUGGUCACUGUACGAACUUUUUUACUCUUUUAUGCCAAUGGACAUUAGCGAUGGCCAGAUCUUUGUGCAAGGCAAGGUCCUUCAGAUAUUAUAACUGGACAUUUUAGCUUGAUACAACCAAAGAACUGUUAGUAUAUUUACAGAUAUGCGUAGCGCAUUCCAGUUUCAGUAGAAACAUAUUUUUGGAUUCACGCUGCACCAAAAAUUCUGAAACAAUGUAGUACUAAAAUAUAUGUUGAAUAAAAGCUAGAAAUUUCAUUUUCAUGUAUAUAUUUGGUACCACCCGUUCUUGUAUGUGCCACAUACCAUCGAUUAUUUUCUCAGAUUGUUUUUGUGCAACAUUGUACUCCAUUAUCUUGUACUGUAGUGAACUGGUGAUGUUUUGUUUAUAUUUUUUUGUACAAUUGUAAUGCCACCAUGUUGUGUCCAAAGUUAACCUGCAUACAGCCAAGCUCAGCUACAACUUUCUGAUUUCAGUAACUAACCACAUUCUUCAAAUACAUUUUUCCGGGUACCAAAUUAUUUUUGAAGUUACAGUUCCCAUUUUCUUCACAGGUACGUCCGCAUCUAUCUGCGUGGUGACAAGUACAGCACUGAUUGCCUCAGCUUGUACUUAUACCUGGAUGCAUCGGAUGAGCUCCAUCUCGAGUCCAAGAAGGUGGUUGUAAUGACUCUGUCCAUCCUGGACCAAAAGAAUGGGAAACACUUGACUGCAACUUCAGGUUCAGCUCUCCUUAGCAAGUAUCAGUGCUAGCAGCUAGUGUCUGUAACCUCAUGAUGAUUACAGUUCCAUCUUACUUUUAUGGUGAUCGCAGGUCUCUUAGUGUUUACGGGUGGAUGCGGCUGGGGAUGGGCUGAUUUCCUUGGACUCAAGAAUCUCAAGGACCCGUCGGGAGGCUAUGUUGUGGGAUCGAGCUGCGUUGUGAAGGCGGAUCUCACUAUCGUUGGUUCAUCCAAUGAUGGUUAGAUGUUUACCUCAUGGCCUGAUGGAGAGAUAAUGCCCUUACAUCCUACUUAUAACUAGACUUCUAUUUGAGAUAAUGUUGUGGUAGCACUACUAAAAACUUGUGGGAUGAUUUAGUAGUAAUGAGCUGGAUUUGAGACGUAAGAUGAUUUCACGCAUAUAUUUCUAGAUAUAUGCAUCGAACAGAUUAUGUCAUCGGAAGUACUUCUAUAUGCAUGGAUGAUGCAACUAUGUU
rnacentral:lncRNA from 1 species